rnacentral:lncRNA from 1 species
GUCUCCUAGUACCCUAAAGGUAUAGAAACAUGUGUCAUCUAACCGGAAUGAACGACACUAAGCUCAAUCUUUAAGCUUCUCAAGCUAGGGUUAGGAAAAACUCACCGAUUGCGAAGGAAGCUCUCUCGAUCUCCAAACGGGAGUUAGAGUCCUUCCAAUCUAACCUAAACAAAGGUUCUAAACCCAUCAAUUUGAUACAAAAGCCCUCAAAAUGAAAAUCCCCAAAUCUAACCCUAAAAUGCCAAAUCUAGGGUUUGAUCUAGUAAAAUCCAACAAAAUCCGAAUCUAGAGGAGAGAAAUUGCUACUAACCUUUUAGAAGCUCCAAACCAAGCUCCAAAGUCCUCUAGGGUUGAAGGUUGAUCCUCAAACAAGCUCCAACCAAGAUCUCACACUUCUCCAAUGGUGGAAAACCCACAAAAAGCAAGAAGGAGAAGAGAAAAGAGAUCAAAACUAGCAAAAACCCAACAAAAAUGAAGAAGAAACCAAAGGGGAGUUCUCACCUUAUCUUCUCUGUUCUAGGGCUCAAAAGAGCAGCCAUGAGGGCUGGGGUGACUUAUAUAGGCGUUGCAACAAUUGCAAAAACACCCCUCUACGAAACAGUCAAAAUCUGCACUGCGUACCGGUACACGGGUUUGUGUACCGGUACACUGCCCACGAAAUGCCAAACCCGAGCCUCGGGUUCACUGGGAAAUGCUCUGUGUACCGGUACACAACCACGUACCGGUACAGCCAUCAACCCCGUACCGGUACAGCAAGCGAACCCGUACCGGUACACGGCCUGCUGAAGGCCACCCGAGAGCUGACCAAAAAUCCAACUUUUUGGAUUUUGGUACACAGCUUUAAACCACAAUUCUCGGGACUCGAACCAUAGGUCGGAACACUGUCAACGACCUACCAGAAAGUCUGGAAAAGCUCGACACACAAAUCAAACACUCGAACCUCGCAAUUUGCAAAGGUCCAGUGUGUUACAGCCUACCAAUACAACUAUAUACAUCAAUGUGAAUUUGUAUGUUUCUUAGACAUAAAGGGCGACCUAGUCGCUUCGGUAAGCACAACCCACCUCAAAUCGCUUUCCGAUAGCUUGUCGACACUUGCAAUCGGCCUCCAGCGGCACCCGUGUCCGGUUCAGCCCGAUUUUGCUAAUACUCACCAACCGUGCGUCGAAUCGUGGCUCCGAAAAUUAUAGGUCUUCGAUUAUGUUCCACGGUGCUUCAAAUCCAUUUUCAUGAUUUUACGAUGUCGCCUCGGCCCUCCAGGCGGAAACGAAGCCUAACGUCCGUUUCUUUAAUAACUUCACAAUGGCUCGACGAAUCACCGAACCGACUUCGCCAACGCGUUCGUUUACCUAGUAAUUAGGUUUACGGAGGGUCAAAUUAGAUCAAACCCAUACGUUUUACAAAACCCCAAUUUUGAAGCCCUAGAUGCCAUUAUAGCUAAAUGCAUUAUUUAACUUCAUGAAUCAAACAAUAAACCUCUAAUUAGCAUCUAAGCAUUCUACUAAAUCCAUCUCUAGAGCAUAUAAAGCUAAUACUAGAGAUCCACCUCAAAGCUUGCUCCAAACCAUAGAGAAGAUGAAGAAGAUGAAGAUGAUUCACUUCCAAGCUUCAAUCUCCACCAAAUCCACCAAUUUUGGGAGAGAUUUAGAGAGAGAAUGGGAGGUUUCUCUCUCUCCCUCUCCAUGCGUGUGUGAGGGUGUGUGUGUGCGGGUUGUGGCUGCACGGUUGAGGGGAAGAAGGAGACAAGUGGCCAAAUUCACAAGAACCCCUUGCACCUAUUAGAAAUUACAUCUCCAGCUCAGUUUAGCAGUUCGGAGUUAUUGGAGCCCUUCUGAACGUCCGUUUGCGCUCAAAUUUGAUGGACAGGCUCGGUUUAAUGUACUGAGUAAGAAUAUAUCUUAAGUUUUUAGUUUCGACCCCGUUUGGUCACCGAAAUCUCUACCGAACUGUAAUCUUUAUCAGAUAGCUGUUGGAUUUUAUUUUCCACUUUUCGGGUGUCAGAAUGGCAUGAAACUUUAAAUUUAGCCUCAUAAAAAUAAUUCUGACAUAUCCUCCAGUUUUCAUAAUUUUCUGACACAGUGCAUUUUCUGCUAAUUUAUCUACCCCGUUUCUCACAGAAAAUUCUAAAUCUUCUAUUUUCACUCCGAUUUCAGCACAGGUCAUUCUCAACCUAUAUUUCACCUCUCUAAAUCCAAUAAAAAUAGUAUCUCAUACUAUUUUUAUUUAUUUUCGUUUUUAUAUUUAAAAUUCGGUAUAUUAUAUUCCACCGCAACCUCACCGGAACCAUUCAAAUGGCCUUCCAAUCGAAUGUACACCGUAACUUAAUAGUUUUAGAAGUCCGGUACCUUACAAUUAAUCUCUCCAAAAAUUCAUCAUCUACUGUAUCGUGAGCAAUAUAUUCAUUCGCUACCAUAGGGCAUCGAAUACUGAAUUUAAGACGAAAUUCUUCUCUAUUACAAUUUACUAAACGAUACAUUCUCGCAUCAAAAUUAGUAUAUGUCGUAUCUGAACGAAUCGCAAUCAAUUUCUUCUGACCGCCGACAUAUCGGGGACCAUUUCCAUCCGUAGUUAACUGUCAAUCCCAAUGAACACUAAGAGACAUCCGACGAUUAGCCAUUUUCACUACACAAAAAAAACUUUCAAAUCUACUCUCAAAAUAUUUAGUAAAUAUAAUACAAAAGUUUAAACCUAAACUAGGCUAAUGCCUAGUUUAAAGUAGGUUUAAACCUAGUUUAAACCUAGUUUAAAACAAGUUUAAACUACAAGCCCGUCUCAUUAAAAAGUUUAAAUAUAACGUACCGAAACUCGGUAGAAAAUAUCGAAUUUUGGGCAAAUAGGCUCAAGUGUGCGAAAGAAAUAGUUGGACAAAUCCCAUUUAACUUUUCAACAAGGUUAGAAGAGUUAAAAGUGAGUUAGGAAGAGUUAAAAGGGUCUUGGCAUUGCUCGGUGCAGAAGAGAAGUCGAACAAGAACUAAAACCCAAGUCUGGGCAUUGUGUACCGGUACAACAUUGAUGUUGUACCGGUACAACACUGCAAACCGAGAGAAAUUGCUCUCGGGUUUGCCUCCGUGAAGUCGUGUUACUGGUGACACCCUUGGUGUGUACCGGUACACUUUUGCAAAACCCGAACAACUGCUCUCGGGUUUGCCUCUGCGAGAUCGUGUAACCGGUGACAGCCCACCUUGUACCGGUACACAUUGGACCUGACAGCAGGUUGAAGUUUACUGCAAAUAGAAAAAAGUGGAGAGCCUUUUUGCUAUUGUAGCNCAUGGGCCUAGCUUCGACAGAAGGCUCACAACACAAUCACUUAGAAAUUUUCGAUCUCAAUGUUUCCCUAGCAUUGGAUGUUCCAGGUGUACAAGGCCCCCAAACUCAAUUCUCGCGAUAGAGGUGGAUCAAUCCACCGUUCAACGACAACUCUCUAUCAAAGUCAUCCUGAUGCGAUCGUCAAACCAAAGUCAAUUCCAUCAGUCCUCAUAUAAGGUUCUAUCCUGAAGGACUCAAUUCCUUGUACACGCUCCUGACACGGGGAAUUCGUAACUUGGUACCUUCCCUCUCACGAGCUUUCCGUCCAUUUGUGAGAGUUCCACAACUCGAUCACUUCAAUCCUGCAAACGCAGUCCAACCUCGCACAUCCUAUUAAAAUACCCCAAGUCAUCCGCAACGGUUCCACAAAUCCACCCAGAGGCUGGGAUUAUCAUUCCGCGAACCCUUCCACAGGUAGAGUAUUAUAGGCUUAGGCAGCAUCAUCCUCGUGAUGUCCACACCUAGCAUCACAACCCAUUUGAGGUACGACCUCAAACUCCAACAUCAACAGCAUUACUCAGAUUACUCACAAUCUUACAAGUACACCAACAACUCAAGGCCAUCUGACAAGGUCAAUGGGCCUCAGCAACGGUCUAAGCCUCCAAUCGUGGUUCAAUUUGAAUCACGAGAGUCGACAUACAGUCGGAACGGCCCAACCGGUCCCACAACAGGUGAGAGUGCUCCUCCACGAGGCAAAACACCAACUAUAAAAUCUCCCUGUCAAAUGAGCUAACGAUUGGUGACUCGAUCGGGGACAUAACGACCGAUCAAGGACAUCCUUUAUUUCAAGGAUUCUUGAUCACCCAAAGCUAAUGGCCACUCAGGCCCCAAACCCUCUCCAACACUUACCCUAUUUUAGGUAAGAGAGACUAUCAACGCAUAUAGCAGAAGUAAAUCCUCAAAUCGCACUAUUUCGUGCACACAGUCCUCAAGGCGAGUCAAGUCAGCUCGCAAACCAAGGGUACCAGGUACCCACAACAACUCCACACCAAGGAAGGCCAAUCUAUUUGUUGGCACACAGAACCAUCUCACGGGGUAGAGCGUUCAAAACGACACACCCGAUCAACCGAUCAUCCACACGCGCCAAAGGCUCAACGCUAACAAAUCCUCGGGUUGGGUAACUACACACUCAGCGUGUCCUCGAUCGCACGAUCCAACACGUGGCUGUCACGCCCCGGGACCCAGCGGAAGCCCGCCCGGCGCGUGCCCAGACCCGCCAUAUGUCUACAACAUAUAAGGCGUCUGGGAACAACAAUAAUAAAAGCAAUAAUAAAAGACAUCUAGGAGUAUCAGAGCAUAGUAAAUGUCUAAUUGCUACAACAAAGGAUAAGGAUAAAACUGUAAAUCCACCAAAUGAAACAUAGAGUAAGAACAAUAGGAAAUCCCAAAUACAAGAGUUAAAAGUAGGUACAUAGGUGGUCUCUAUACAUGGAUACAAAAUCUCUCACUCUCUCUCAACUACAAAAAGAAAGAGUAAACCACCUAGGCAAAGUACCGCUCCUCGCUAGCUAGCUAAGCGAUCCCCUUGCCGCGAUCCCGUGCCUCCGCCGGUGCCGAAGGCUCUGAAAAGUAAACCACAAAACGGGGGCAUGAGAACUAUUAAAAUAGUUCCCAGUGGGCAAUUACUGACUUCAGUGAAUGCACCACAAGGCCCAAAGCUACAGAAGAUGUCAGUGACUAUAAAAGUAGAAAGGUGGCAGGUAAGUAAAAAUGUAACCCACUACGACAUGAUAUCUCUACUUAGCAUGAAUAGUAAAAGUAUGAAAGCAACUAUGCGUGAAGUAAAGUCUCCAACUAUCAUAAUGUUCACAAAGCGAAAUAGUAAAGUUCCGUUGUUUACUAUUCUGGUCAAUGUCCAAAUAAUACUCUAAGUCAUCAUCUAUCCACAUGUCAUGAUGAAUACUCAAGUCAAAUCUGAAGAGACCCACCCGAAGGCUGUCUAUGGCCCUGAGACCCACCCGGUAAGAGUAGGAUUAGGCCACUAAUUUGGUGAUAAAUUCUAUGUCAAUAGAAGCAAUGCAUGACAUAAGACAGAAGGGCCCAUUGAGAAACUGACAAUUAAUGUAAUAAUAAUAGAGAUAGAGAUAGACGUAUAUGAACUACUGCAAUUGUGAUACUAUGCAAACAUAGCUAGUAGAAAGGUGUCAAAAAUACAGCGGCACUCGGAGAUGGCCAUCUGCGAUACAUCAGAGUGCGGGAUUGGGCGCGAAGUGGAUUGCGUUGGGACAGCUCAUCCCUAAGGGUGGGGAUAUGAUACCCGGUCCAUUAGGCUCGGCACCCCGGCAGAAGCCUACNNNNNNNNNNNNNNNNNNNNNNNNNNNNNNNNNNNNNNNNNNNNNNNNNNNNNNNNNNNNNNNNNNNNNNNNNNNNNNNNNNNNNNNNNNNNNNNNNNNNGAACACUGUCAACGACCCACCAGAAAAUCUGGAAUUGCUCAGCACACAGCUCGAACACUCGAACCUCGCAAUUUGCAAAGGUCCAGUGUGUUACACUAACUCCGGAGUGCCGGCUUGUUGGGAGCGACCCUCACAAGCAUGUGCGAAUGAGCACAAAUGGCAAACAAGCAUAAUCAAAAGCUCAAGAAUCCGAUCCUCAUGUCUCAAACAUGGAAAGCUACUAGUAACCCAACGGUCUAGCUCUAUGUUACAACGUGAUAUCCCAAUACUCACUUGCUUAGUGCCUCUUUAUGACACUUAAGCACCACAACUAAUCAAGCCCAAAUCAUGUUCUAUGUCCCCAAUUAAGACAUUAAUACCAAUGCUCACUAUGGCCCGAGCCCAAUGCCUCUUUAUGACAUUGGCCCAAAUUCUCAAAUAGUUUAAGUCCCUAAGCCUCUCUAGGCUUCCAAAGUCCCUAAUGUCACAAUUGGGCAUAAAGGUUAAAUGCAUGAUAGCAAUGUUUAUUUUCAUGAUAGGAAUUAUGGUUCCAAAUCUCAACCAGAAUGCUAUGUCUCACAUGCAUGCACUCUACCACAUAGAGGUCCAAAAAUUUACUAUACAUUACAUAUGCAUGUUAAUCAUUCUAAAAUUCAUAAUAAAUAUAUCUAACAUGAUUAUGCAUGCUUUUUCAUUUAACGAUACUCAAAUCAUCACAAAUAAGAUUUUCUCAUUAUGUGGCUAGGUCAAACCCACCGAACCGUCGCGGAGUCCUUCGUUUCGCCGAACGGAGUUGUCCACGAGUCUCUAAGUACCCUAAAAGUAAGGAGCGAAGAGAUACACGAGCAUUACGAACAACUCUAUGCUCAAACAUUAACCAUCACAAGCAAAGGGGCAAAAACUCACCUAAGGAGUAGAAAAUCUCUCUCAAGCUCCAAAAGAAAGCUAGAACCCUUCCAAUCUAACCCAAAGGAAGAUUCUAAUCCAAAAAAUUGAGCCUCAAAAGCCCUAGAUCAAAAAGCCCCAAAAUCAACCCUAAAAUCCCAUUCUAGGGUUCCAUCUCCUAAAAACCUUCAAAUCAUGAAAUCUUGGAAAAAGAACAAGUUGCUUACCUCCUAGAAGCUUCAAUCUUGGUUCAAAACCCUCUAGGUUCCAAGAUCUCGCCUCAACUAUGCUCCAAAUCCAAGCUCCAAGCCACCAAAAGGAGGAAGAGAGGGUAUGGGUGAAGUUCCAAGCCUCCAACAAGCUCUCUCCUCCAUCUUCUUCCUCUCCUUCUUCUUCUUCUCUCUCUAGGAGCAAAUGAAAUGGUGGAAUGAGGGAGGAGAGAAGAAGAAGUUGUAAGAAAAUCAUGUGUACGCAGCGGAAGAAAAUAACACAAUUAAAAGUUUUCUUGAAAACCAAAGAUCACCUCGUGUUUCAUUUUAGAUCAUUAAUAAUAGAUCUAAUUGAUCUAAUCAAAUAGGAUCUAUAUUAUUUUAUUUUACCUAGCGCGGGUCGAGGUCACCGCGAAGUCGAAAAUCGUUGGUAAAAAUUUCUUCGUCCUCGGUUAGCCACGCACGUACCCGGCCUCUACUCGCGUCCACACGAAAUCACGCCCUUGAUCGAAAUAGACGACAGCUUCAAUCCGUAAUCCGAUCACGAAUUAACCCUUGCGUCGACUUGAGGAAGAUGAAUCAAUCUUCUAGAUGUGCUAGCAACUUUUUGAAGAUCGAAACCGAUGGAUUAAUUGUGGAGGACUUAAGAAAGAAAAAGAAUUGACGGCUAGGGUUUUCUUUUUCUUUUUGCUUAAUUUUCCAUUCAUUUUAAUAUGUCAUAUGACAUAUAUUUAUAAUGAGAAAACCCUAACGUAAUCCUAAUCGAAAUCCUAUUCCGAUUAGAUUAUCCAUUAACCCACAAGUUGGUUAUGAUAUUAACCGAAUUCCGAAUCCUAAUUCUAAUUCGAUUCGUGUGUAACAUUUACACAUAAGUCCUCAUAUUAUUUACUAACGAUUAGUAAAUACACCAUGCAACUUUUACACAUAAAUACCUCUAAUUUACAACAAUUGCAAAUUAGUUCUUUUACUAAUAAAUUAGUAAACUUUAGUAUUUAACUAUAUUAUAAUUGUAAUUAAUCCAUCCGAUAAACUUCUUUUAUCAUAUCUUAAAUAUCGAUCAUGCGCGAUUUCUUAUGUGUGUGACCUAAUAGGUUCAAUUCUGUCUGGUAGUGGGAUAUGAUGAGAUCUCCAUCUACAUCAUCAUCGAAACUCUUUUCGAUGGCUCAAACUCUUUUGAUUCCACCCUAAUAGAAUAAUUAAUAAUUAUUUCUAUUGGUUCCCACAAUCCACCAGUGACGCCUAGCAGCAUGUAGUGGCAAUCCAGUCAAAAGUGAAUAUCGGACUGAACCUCUAGGUGCAGUUACCGUACAAUACAAUCCUUCUAUCGCAUAGUUCCAACUAAGUGGAGGUCAUGGAAUAUUCGUCAAACCCCAUCACCCGUCAUAUGACAAAUUUGAUCAGACAGAAGCUCUUAUGGUGACUCUUGGAAACAUCUUUCCAUACACCAUAUUACCCCGGCCGAGGAUUUCUGUGCUUUGCCGUACAAAUAGCAUAGAACUAAUUAUCUCUCUACCGAGAGCGAUAGAUCCCCUAUAAACACACACCCAUUCCUGAUAUGAACCGACUGCAGCCAACAUAUACUACUAAGACCCAUGGCUAGGAUCAGAGUUUGUUGCAUAGUCAAACUACAGUGGCCUCAUAUUGAAUGACCGUGGUGUCGCAGGUCUAAGGAUCAGUUGUACCACUGCAACAUCGAACCAGUUACUGACGAAUGAGUAGACAUCCAUGUAACUGUUCGUAGUUAGUCACGCUCAAUACCGUUGUUCUCCAACAACCGCCUGCAUGUUCGCUCCAGUGUCCCCACACUGAUGACUCGAGAUUCGUCAUCCCAAAAGGGAAGCGACACACACAUCAAUCUUACCGGAUCAAUCAUCGUCCCCAUGAUGAUCCUCCGAUUGUGAGCAUUUAUGAAUUAAUCACCAAUAAUAUGUAUCUCAAAUUCUCAACUCUUUAGAAUACAUAUUAUCAUCUUAUUAAUUCAAAGGACGAUUCAUGGACACAUUUAACAUGAAUGGAAUAAAAGGCCCAAUUAUAUAAAUAAUAAUGAUUAAGUACAAAAAUAUGUCCCAUAGAAAAUAAAAUGCGUCAGCUUGAUAGGCUUCUAGGGCAUACAACUAACAAUCUCCUACUUGCACUAAAGCCAAUCAGCCAUGUACCUAAUGCCCAUCUUCUCAAGAUGAGUCUCAAGUUUCUGCUGAGUCAAUGCCUUAGUUAGCGGGUCCGCCACGUUAUCCUCGGAGGCAACCUUCUGUAUUUCAAUAUGUUUAUCCUUGAUGUACUCUCUGAUCUUGUGAUACCGCCGCUCAAUGUGCUUGGAUUUCUGAUGAGACCUUGGCUCUUUUGCUAAUGCUACGACGCCAUUAUUAUCACAAUAUAGUGGCAAGGGAUCCUUACUGGAAGGAACCACGCCAAGCUCAGCGACAAAUUUCUUGAUCCAAACAGCUUCCUUGGCAGCUUCAGAUGCAGCGAUGUACUCCGCUUCUGUAAUAUACCAGAUUUUGGUAUAAAAAUAAAAAUAAAUAAAAAUAGUGUGGGAUACUAUUUUUAUUGGAUUUAGAGAAGUAAAAUAUAAGUCAGAAUUGAUUUGUGCUGAAAUCGGAAUGAAAACAGAAGAUUUAGAAUUUUCUGUUGGAAACGAGACAGAUAAAUUAGCAGAAAAUGCACAGUCUCAGAAAAUUAUGAAAAUUGGAGAAUAAGUCAGAAAUAUUUUUAUGAGGCUAGAUUUAAAGUUUCAUAUUUUUUUGACACCCGAAAGUUGGGAAAUAAAAUCCGAAAGCUAUCUGAUAAAGAUUACAGUUCGGUACAGUUUUCGGUGACCAAACGGGGUCGAAACUGAAAACUUAAGAUAUAUUCUUACUCAGUACGUAAAACUGAAUAUGACUGUCAAGUUUGAGCUCAAACGGACAUUCAGAGAGCUCCGGCGAAAGAUAUCAGAUUUUAAGUUGCCUGGAGUGAAUAGUGUUUGGUGUUGACUUUAAUAAGAAGCUAUUUAGCUUCUUCUCCUCCAUCAGCCGACCACCAUGGCCGACACCCCUCUCACGCAUGCAUGGAGGGAGAGAGAGAGACCUUUAUUUCUCUCUCUAAAUAUCUCUCUCAUCUCUCUAUAUCUCUCUCUAAAAAUUGGAGGGUUGGUGGAGAUCGAGUCUGCGAACGUGUUGGAGGCAACGGAUCGAGCUUUCGUGCGCCCGUUGGAGCGGCGUGUUUUCGUUGCGGCGUUCACAUUGCGGUAAGCUUUUGGGAUUUGGUUUAAUCCUUAGCUUUAAGUGCACUAAUAGCCUCUAAUGAGCAUUGAUAGUAUGUUGUUCCAUUUAAUUGGAAUUAUUUGGAGGUUAAUUCAUAUUAGGGCUCAAAAAUGCUAAUUUUGAAAAUAUGAGGGUUUGAUCUAAUUUGACCCUCCUUAAACCAAAUUGCUAGGUAAACGAACCCGUUGGCGAAGACGGUUCGGCAAUCCGACGAGCCGUUACAAAGUUGUUAAAGAAACGGACGUUUAGGCUUCGUUACCGCCUGGAGGGCCGAGGCGACGUCGUAAAAUCAUGGAAAUGGAUUUGAAGCACCGUGGCACAUAACCGAAGACCUUUAAUUUUCAGAUCGUGGAUCGGAGGCCGUUCGGGUGGUCGCGCAAAAGAUCGGGCCAAACCGGAUUACGGGUGCGACGGGAGGCCGAUUGCAAGUGUCGACAAGCAAUCGGAAAGCGUUUUGAGGUGGGUCGUGCUCACUGAAGCGAUUAGGUCGCUUUCCAUGCUAAAGUAUAGUAUGUUUACUAUUGAUGCAUGAUAAAGUAUGCUAUUUAAGAAUGCAUGAUAAAGAUUAAAGUAUGCUAUUUAAGAAUGCAUGAUAAAGAUUAAAGUAUGCUAUUUAAGAAUGCAUGAUAAAGAUAGAUGUCAAAUGAAUGCAUGAGUUGAUGUUAAUUUACAUGAGCAUAUUAUAGAAAUGUUAAACAGAUGUCAAAUGAAAGUAUGAGAUUUAUUCUAACCGAGAAUGCAUGUGGUAAAUGUUAACGAAUGCAUAAAAUGCUAAGUAAUGACUACCAAUGGAUGACAAAAUAUAUGCAUGUUGAACAUAGAUCGAGUGGCAUUUGGAAAUGGUAAAGUGGACACUAGAGUUAGUGUGGGACAUCAAAGAAUAAAUGUGAUGUAAAGAAUAAUGAUAAUGGCUAAAGAUAAUGUAAAACAAUGUGAUGAUAAUAAUGUAAUGUUGCAUGAUGUGAGUACACGUGCUUAUUAGAAUGAUUAAGAAUCUAAAUAAUCUAUGUGUAUGCAUGAGAUGUAAUGUGAGAACCUAAUGAUAAUGGUUUGAGACAAGGCAAAGCAAUGUGAUGUAAAGAAUAAUGAUAAUGGCUAAAGGCGAUGUAAAGUAAUGUGGCAUAAAGAGCAAGCAAAGUGUAAAGAACAAUGAUAAUGGCUAGAGUUAGCAACCAAUGUGACAUAAAGAACACUAGAGUUAGUGUGUGGCAAUAAAAGAACAAGUGUGAUAUCAAGAAUGACAAUUACUAAAGUAAUUGAUAAUUGUGGUAUAAAGAAUAAUGAUUGCUAGAGUUAGCAACUAAUGUGAUGUAAAGAACACUAGAGUUAGUGUAAAACCAUGAUCCAACUACAUAUCCUUAGAGUUAAGGAUUGAUCAUACUUGCUAUGAGUUCCGUGCUCGAGGGCGGUCGCUCCCCCUCGAGCGAUGCGCUCCGGAGUUUGGCAUCCGGGUUGGAGUAGACCCGUAAGGACGGUCCUAGCUGGUGAGUUCCUGCGAUGAUGGACUUAAUGUGAAGCAAGUUAAUGUGGCGAAACCCCCGGGUUAGCCGUGAGAUUAAAGAACAAAGAACAAAAAGGAAUCAUGAAUUGGAAAGUGGAUCUUGUAUUCAUUAUGAAUUGACUCAAGACGGAGUCGAGUGGCAUAGUUGGCUAAAGUAAAGGUGACAAUUGAGAAAGAAUGACAAUUGAGAAACGUUUGUUAAUGUUAUAAAGAAUGGCAAAAGUGUAUAAUGCGCCUAAGGUGCGAGUGCCCUUAAUAAAGAAUAAAGAAUAAAGAAUAAAGAAUAAAGAAUAAAGAAUAAAGAGUAAAGAAUGGCUAAUGAUAAAGAAUAGCAAAUUCUAAAGAAAGUCUAAUGGUAAAGAAUAACUAAGAGUUGCAUAAUUUGCAUAUUUGUGAGGCAUGAACAUGUAUUGCAUGAUGUUAUAUGUAUAUAUAUCUGUUGGACUAACAUGUUGCAGUGCCUCCUUUGGACCUGGUGGGUUGAGCUUUUCACUUGGGUGGCUGUACCCACUGACGACUAUGGACAAUAGUCUCACCCCCGUGUUGUUGUUUUUGGGGGUACAGGUUCACACGCGAGCGGCGCGGCGGCGCGAGGAAAGGGCGUAGCUCCGUAGUUAGCGCCCUACCACAGAGACCAGAUAGCAGCACCCUGAGUCGGCUUCUUAGGGGUAUAAGAAAAGAAAAGAAAAGAAUUGAUGUUGUAAUAUUAUGUUUAGAAAUCGAUUGUAUAUUUGGAAGUUGAGAAUCAAUGUAAUGAAAAAUGCGAUGUAAAAUGAUGAGAUGAAUGAUUGUAAUAACAUAGGAUGUGUUAUGUUGUUUGAUACCUUCCUUAUGCAAUCGUUGUUGAAAAAUUGUUCCUGUUUGGAACCUCUUGUACUUGGAUUGAUUGCGACGCCUUGAACGUACAGGGGAGACUCUGUCCGCGUGUAGGGAAAACCCUGUCCGUUCGGCGGUCUGUUGGCGUGCCCGAAUCCGACCAAAGAGGCGGGCUCGGGGCGUGACAGAUAAGAUGGUAUCAGAGCAUAAAGUAGAGAAUGGGAAAGUGGUUUAGAUGAACCUAGGAGACCCUAGGAUAGUAAACCAUAGGAGAUUAAGGCUCGUGAGAGACGAGGACUUGUGGCUUUGGCGAAAGGUUAAGGGAUUGGGUUGUGUUGUAAACCUCUAAAAAGGAGAUUAGAGGUGGAUUCAAGGUGUGGUCUACUCUCAACCGAGGGUGUUCAUGUUGGACGCGUACAACAUGAAACCGAGUGAUGAGAAUAGAUGACCUUGUAUGACUUUCGCCUGAUUUGAGUUGAUGUCAGUUGUCUCGUACUCGACCUAGAAGGUUGAGAGUUAGUUGAGUUGUUAUGUUCUAGGUAACGAUGGCACUGCGUAGGCGAUCUUCGUUUAGAUCGACGCGGGGUGGGACAAGUGAUGUCCCAGAGCAAUCCAAGGCGAGCGGAGAUUUGGAACUUCGCGAACAGUUGGCCACACUUGUGGGUGUGGUGAGGCAACGAGCAGAUGUGGUGCAGCGGCAGCAGGAGGCUGUUAUGCACCAGGAGGAGCGAAUUAAGAGACUCCUGAAAAGUUGUAGGUGUAAUAUACCGAAACUUCGGUAAGCGAACAUCGAACCUUGGUCAAAUUAACCAAAGAGCGAGGUUGGUACACUUCGGAAAGGCCGAAGGCAUCAAAUAAUGCAAAAGUGCGUUACUGGGGAUCUUCGAGAGCUUUGGGAAUCAAAAUCUGCAAAUUGCAGGUUUUCUGCUCUCGGGGACCGGUCUCUGGUGGGAGAGACCGGUCCCCGCACGCGCAGACAGCGAAAGGGAGGAAAAAAAAAAAAAGGCUAAGUCCCCGGUGGACAGCUCUCGGGAACCGGUCCCUGCAGGGAGAGACCGGUCCCGAAGAGACCGGUCCCAUCGGGGGAGACCGGAUGCAUCGUGCGUGAGCCCUGCUGACCGCGGGGAGAGCUCUCGGAGACCGGUCCCUCGUCGGGGAGACCGGUCCCCGAACCUGAGAGUGGCCCAGUCAGGGCAGUGUAAAAGAGUAAAAGUUGAGAGGCUUGUUUGCACUUAUGCAACAUGUGGGGCUAUGUGAGGAGUAUGAGAGCUCUUUUCUCUCAUUUCUCAUCCACACACCCUCUCAUAUCUCUCUUUCUCUCUCUCUAGAAGACAAGAAGAGGAAGAAGAAAGGAAGGAAAAAGAAAGAGAAAGAGCGGGCUUUGGCAGCCCUCAUGACCUUCAUAAAGUUUGAUCCACCUACCUUCGAUGGAGAGAAUGUCGAUUCGUGGAUUGUGGAUACGUGGAUUGACUCCGUGGAAACGCUCUUCGAGGAGCUGUCUACCUUGGAGCGGGACAAGGUACCCCUAGCCGUGUAUUGUUUGAAACAGUCGGCUAAGGCGUGGUGGAAAGGCAUUCGACGGAACCGAUCGCCUAGUAUUCCUCCAUGGCAUGGGAUGAGUUUUGGGGAUUGGUAUCUUCUACUUACUUCCCCCGACAGUGAAAAGAGAAAGCUUCAGGACAAGUUCAGGAAGCUGCGGCAAGGAGACCGCUCAGUUAGAGAAUACGAACGGGAAUUCUCCCUAUCAUGAACUGUAUCCGAGAUAUGGAGCCUGCUGCUGACGACGUCAUGGCGGGUAUGAGCUGUUAAUGCAGUUAUGUGUUUCUGCAUAAUGUAGAGUUGGUGCAUUGCAUGCAUUGAGCAUGUAAUUAAUUACUACUAUUUAUGUAGUAGCAUAGUAGGGUCCAAGUGAGCGGGUAAAUGUAAACACCCGGGCACGCUUAUGUGGUGAAAGCGUUGCACCUGCCGGUGCAGGUAGAGAACUGGAUGGUACUAGCGAGUUGCUAGUGGUGGUCUAAUGAUGAGACUUGUAGUAGAGGUGGAAAUGACGAACCAACUCGCAGAGCAAUCUAUGUAAUUGAUUGCGAGAGUUGUGUCAUGACACUUGUGGACACUCGAAUGGUUUGAGUGUUCUAGAUGUUGCUCCGGUAGAGCGAUUGGCUGCCAAAUACGGGCGCGUUGGCCUAGUAGUACCUCGAAUUGAGGUGGGUGAGUCGUGCUCGUGUGGCCGGUGUGCAUAGGCAAGAGUUGCCUAAUGCUGGACAUAGUGUGGAGCGCUUUAGAGGCGUGCGAUACACGAGUAUAGUUACUCGUGGAGUGCGGAUUUAGUUCAGCCGGAUGAGUGUGUUGGCAGUAGCACCUGAGCAUUGCUAGGUGUGAAGCGUGCCACGGAUCACUCGUGGGGCUGGUGGCUCGCACUAGGUGCAUAGGAGCCGAUAGUGGUACGUAUUGUGCUAUAGAGCGUGUAGUGCGAUUGAUAGUAUACUGAGAGUGCGAGUGUGACCCAACCCGGGAAUCUGUAACGGUUUGGGAUCUUAGUUGCUCCUGGUUGGAGUGUGUGCGAAUUCCCAAGUGAGAAUUUCGCCCCAAUGAUGAUUGGGUCUGCAUUGCGAGCGAGAGACGCUGCGUAUUGAGAAAGGUUUAGGUGGUAGGCCUACAUAGUAUUGGUGGCCUUUGGACCACCAGUGGAAACCGAGGAAAGCGAUUUGGCGGAUAGACUUAUCGAGAGGUUUGACUCGAAUUCACGAACAAAGUGUUCUUGUGAGCUCUUUGCAGAAAUGGUUUGACGUUGACCAUGGCAUAUGGUAUUGAAAAAUGAAGUGCUCUUGGAGAGACCUUGAGCUUAUGGCAAGCCACGUGGAAUUUGAGAACUGGAAGUGGGGAUGUGCCGAAGUGGGCCAUCUCACUUAGAGCAAAAAGUCGGGGCGGAAUUAGAGCACUCGCGGUGAAGCGAUGCACUAGUGAUGUUGCUUUUAAGCAAUGUUGGAGAUAGAAUCGGAGUGUAUUCCCUGAGGGGAAAGUAAAUGCGAAGAAGAGUUCUUGUAUGCCAAAUGACAAGUGGUAUUGGACCGCGUGAAGUCGUUGAGUUUCGACUUGCGCCGCCACCAAGAGUGAUGGAUACCCUAAUGCACUUUGUGAGAUGCGCCUUGCAAAUUUGGAUGCAUUUAGUAUCAUGAACUCCGUGGUAGUCCUCUUGGAUAGUUCCAAGGAGUGUGAAGCCAUUCCGAAGUGGAAAGCGUAUUGGUGCUCUCAAUUACUCGAGGAGCUGAAUCGAGUUGUGGUUUGAAUUUCGCGGACGAAAUUCUUUUAAGGGGUGGAGAAUGUAAUAUACCGAACUUCUAAAUUCACGAAGUUACGAUGUAAGUUAGCUUAGAAAGCCAUUGGAAUCGUCCCGGCGAAGUUCGGGAGCAUUCGGGUGCUUCGGUGCGCAUAGGGCGCGAAAACGGAGCCGAAAGGCUAUGUUGGACCGUGAGUUAAAUCCGGCAUUAGCGUGGAUGAAAAGAUGAUGAAAACAUGUUCGAAAACAUAUUUGGAGAGUCUCGGUUCGAUUUGAAAUGAAUCAGAGGUCAAACGAGCGAAAACGAGCGAAAACGGAGCUAAAAUGGUGAAAAAGCUGAAAAUUUGGCUAAGUCCUUGAAGGCUGAUUUCUGGACCUUCGGGGACCGGUCUCUCAGUCAAGGACCGGUCUCUCAGGGACCGGUCUCUCAUCGCAAGGACCGGUCCCCGAAGCCCGAAAAUGCCCAGUUCGGGCUGUUGUGAGAAAUGCAUUGUUGAGGGUGUUUUCAGCAAUUUUGCACUAAUAGAGGCUAUUAGAUGGUGGAAUGAGAUCUUUCUCUCAUUUCUCUCACUCUCCCACACCAAAACCUCUCCCUCUCUCUCUCUAGAAAGAAAAGAAGGAGAAGAAGAGGGGAAAGAAAGGGAAGAAGAAGAUGAAGGAGAAGAGGCCAAGAAGAUAGAGUUUCAUCUUCAUCUCCUUCCUUGAGCCAUAGGAGCAAGCUUAGAGAGGUAAGCCUUAUGCUCUCUAAUGGUAGACUUCUAGAACUUGGUUUAUAUGUUCUAGAAUUGGAUUUUAUGUACUCCUAGCAUGUCAAAUAGAUGAUAAAUGCUUGGAUCAUGAGAUGAAAUGGUAGAUUUUGCAAUAGUUGCAUAUUAGGGCUCCAAAAAGGGGGUUUUUGUAGAUAGUUGAGUUUGAUCUCAAUUGACCCUCUAUAAACCUAAUUGGGGGUAUAACGAACGCGUUGGUGCGCUCGGUUCGACAAUCCGACGAGUGUACGCAAAGUUAUUGACGAAACAAUCUGUUUUGGUACAGAUAACUGCAGCACGCGGGAUAAGCCUCCAAAAAUCAUGAGAAUGGAUCGGGAGCAUCGUGGUGUCGGGGAAUAAACUCCCGAACAGACGGAUCGCGAAUUGGUGGCCGUUCGGGUGGUCGCACAAGAGUUCGGGCCAGACCGGGUUACGGAUGCCGCGGGAGGCCGAUUGCAAGUGUCGACAAGCAAUCGGAAAGCGUUUUGAGGUGGGUUGUGCUCACCGAAGCGAUUAGGUCGCUUUCCAUGCCAAAGUGUAGUAUGUUUACUAUUGAUGCAUGAUAAAGUAUGCUAUUUGAGAAUGCAUGAUAAAGUAUGCUAUUUAAGAAUGCAUGAUAAAGAUAGAUGCCAAAUGAAUGCAUGAGUUGAUGUUAAUUUACAUGUGCAUAUUAUAGAAAUGCUAAAUAGAUGUCAAAUGAAAGUAUGAGAUUUAUACUAACCGAGAAUGCAUGUAGUAAAUGUUAACGAAUGCAUAAAAUGCUAAGUAAUGACUACCAAUGGAUGACAAAAUAUAUGCAUGUUGAACAUAGAUCGAGUGGCAUUUGGAAAUGGUAAAGUGGACACUAGAGUUAGUGUGGGACAUCAAAGAAUAAAUGUGAUGUAAAGAAUAAUGAUAAUGGCUAAAGAUAAUGUAAAACAAUGUGAUGAUAAUAAUGUAAUGUUGCAUGAUGUGAGUACACGUGCUUAUUAGAAUGACUAAGAAUCUAAAUAAUCUAUAUGUAUGCAUGAGAUGUAAUGUGAGAACCUAAUGAUAAUGGCUUGAGACAAGGCAAAGCAAUGUGAUGUAAAGAAUAAUGAUAAUGGCUAGAGGCGAUGUAAAGUAAUGUGGCAUAAAGAACAAGCAAAGUGUAAAGAACAAUGAUAAUGGCUAGAGUUAGCAACCAAUGUGACAUAAAGAACACUAGAGUUAGUGUGUGGCAAUAAAAGAACAAGUGUGAUAUCAAGAAUGACAAUUACUAAAGUAAUUGAUAAUUGUGGUAUAAAGAAUAAUGAUUGCUAGAGUUAGCAACUAAUGUGAUGUAAAGAACACUAGAGUUAGUGUAAAACCAUGAUCCAACUACAUAUCCUUAGAGUUAAGGAUUGAUCAUACUUGCUAUGAGUUCCGUGCUCGAGGGCGGUCGCUCCCCCUCGGGCGAUGCGCUCCGGAGUUUGGCAUCCGGGUUGGAGUAGACCCGUAAGGACGGUCCUAGCUGGUGAGUUCCUGUGAUGAUGGACUUAAUGUGAAGCAAGUUAAUGUGGCGAAACCCCCGGGUUAGCCGUGAGAUUAAAGAACAAAGAACAAAAAAGGAAUCAUGAAUUGGAAAGUGGAUCUUAUAUUCAUUAUAAAUUGACUCAAGACCGAGUCGAGUGGCAUAGUUGGCCAGGGUAAAGGUAACCCUGUGAAAGAAUGACAAUUGAGAAAGAAUGACAAUUGAGAAACGUUUGUUAAUGUUAUAAAGAAUGGCAAAUGUGUAUAAUGCGCCUAAGGUGCGAGUGCCCUUAGCAAAGAAUAAAGAAUAAAGAAUAAAGAAUAAAGAAUAGAGAAUGGCUAAUGAUAAAGAAUUGCAUAUUCUAAAGAAAGGCUAAUGGUAAAGAAUGACUAAGAGUUGCAUAAUUUGCAUAUUUGUGAGGCAUGAACAUGUAUUGCAUGAUGUUAUAUGUAUAUAUCUGUUGGACUAACAUGUUGCUGUGCCUCCUUUGGACCUGGUGGGUUGAGCUCUUCCCUUGGGUGGCUGUACCCACUGACGACUAUGGACAAUAGUCUCACCCCCGUGUUGUUGUUUUUGGGGGUACAGGUUCACACGCGAGCGGCGCGGCGGCGCGAGGAAAGGGCGUAGCUCCGUAGUUAGCGCCCUACCACAGAGACCAGAUAGCAGCACCCUGAGUCGGCUUCUUAGGGGUAUAAGAAAAGAAAAGAAAAGAAUCGAUGUUGUAAUAUUAUGUUUGGAAAUCGAUUGUAUAUUUUGAAGUUGAUGAUCAAUGUAAUGAAAAAUGCGAUGUAAAAUGAUGAGAUGAAUGAUUGUAAUAACAUAGGAUGUGUUAUGUUGUUUGAUACCUUCCUUAUGCAAUCGUUGUUGAAAAAUUGUUCCUGUUUGGAACCUCUUGUACUUGGAUUGAUUGCGACGCCUUGAACGUACAGGGGAGACUCUGUCCGCGUGCAGGGAAAACCCUGUCCGUUCCGCGGUCUGUUGGCGUGCCCGAAUCCGACCAAAGAGGCGGGCUCGGGGCGUGACACCCUAUGUCAUCAUGUCUCUAACAUGGAAUAUAGCAGAUAUGUAGUGGCCUAUCAAUAUGUCUCUAUGUUGCAGUUUCAUAGUUUACUAGUUUCAAGUGCCCCUUUAUGACACUCUUGCUCUCUAUGUCAAAACAUGGCAACUAUGUUCCAAGGUACAUAUUCCAAGUCAUCAUCAUCAUAAGAGAUGUAUUUUUCAUUUGCAAAACAAGUACAUUUCCCGUAUGCAUGCAUUCUACUCAUAUAGCUCUACUAUAUAGUGAAAUUUUCAUAAUACUCAAGGCAUGCAUUUUAAGUGCUCUAAAAUUCAUAUAAAUCCCAUUUAGCAUAGAAAUGAACUUAAAAAUAUUUUACAACAAGUAGAAAGAGCAUAGGGGCCAUUUUGCCCCAUUUCCACGAAGCCAAACCCACCGAUGACAACAAAACUCCUCGUGCGCUCCAACGAGGGUGUCCUCUAGUCUCCUAGUACCCUAAAGGUAUAGAAACAUGUGUCACACGAACGAAACGAACCAUCAAUAGCUCAAUCAUUAAGCUAGACAAGUAUAGGUGAGAAGAACUCACAUCUAGUGCAAAAAUCUCCUCUAAAGCUCCAAAAUGAAGCUAGGGCUCAUCCAAUCCAACCUAAUGGAAGCCUCUAAUCCAAACAAUCUAGCUCCAAAAGCCCUAGAUUCAAAAUGCCCAAAAUAAACCCUAAUAUCACAAUCUAGGGUUUCAAUUCAAUAAAGCCUCAAAAACAUGAAUCAAAAGGUGGAAUCAUGUUUCUAACCUCUUUGGAAGCCCCAAACUUAGCUCCAAUCCAAGUGGGGUGGGAGAUCUCCUCAGCCACAAGCUCCUCUCCAAGCUCUAAGCCAUCAACAAUGGUGGAGAAGCCACCAAGAUGCAAAAAGAGAAGAGAAAACCCAAAUAAAAACCAAGCAAAGGGGUAAAAAUGCAAGGAAAGGGAGAGAGAGCUCCUCUCACCUUCUCCUCCUCAGGUCCCAGCACAAAAGAAGCCCUAAGGGGCGUGGGUGCUGUUAUAGAAAGCCCACAAUCGCGAAAAACCCCCUGCAGUUCAAACUGCACGAAAUCUGCCUCCUUGUACCGGUACACGGGUUCUUGUACCGGUACAAGGCCGACGAAAUUGCAAACCCGAGGCUCGGGUCGCGCGGUCUGCGGCUCUGUACCGGUACAAGCCCGAUGGCUGUACCGGUACAACCAUCAACCCUUGUACCGGUACAAGGCCACUCUGUUCCGGUACAAGCCCUGCUGCAGGCUACCCGAGAGCUGUCCAAAAAUCCCGAUUUUGGGAUUGUGGUGCCAAGUCUCACUCCAACAUCCUCGGAAUGCGUGCCGGGGGUCGGAACACUAUCAACGACCCUCCAAAAACUGUGGAAAGGCUCCACACACAGAUCAAACACUCGAAUCUUGCAAUUUGCUAAGAUCCAGUGUAUUACACUUCCACUCAGGGUGAGGCCAGGGACCGCGGGAAGGGAGUUGCUUCGAGCUAGCUUCCUUCGAGGACGAUUCGCUAGGUGGUCUACCUCUCGUUGUGUUUUAUUUUGGAGAGGUUGAGAGUUCUACCAGUGUACUAGAGACCACCAUUUUUGUAUUAGAGGCUGAUACUGUUUAACUUCGGAUUACUUUUGUGUAUUAGUUAUGUUCUAUUACUAUUAGUAUCGAUGUUAGAACUUUACUCGCUCUGAUAUCAUUAGUUGCUUGUUAUUUCACUCCUUCUACUUGUUUCUUUACUUGCUAUUACUUCCGCUUUUAUUGUAGACGCCUUAUAUGUGUUGACAUAUGGCGGGUCUGGACACGCUACCGGGAGGGCCUCCGCCGGUCCCGGGGCGUGACAUCCCUACUCUUGGAAUGUGUCUGUCCCACUCGACCCCGUAGGCUUCUCAAUACCGCACGAGCGAACAUAGGUCGCGUAGGCUAACUCCGGAGUGCCGGCUUGUAGGAAGCGACCCUCACAAGCAUGUGCGAAUGAGCACAGAUGGCAAGCAAGCAUAGUCCAAGUCUCAAGUAUCCAAUCCUCAUGUCUCUAACAUGGUAUAGUCACUAGCAUCCCGAAGAUCUAAUUUAAGUCACAAUGUGAAGUUUCAACAUUUACUUUGCUUGGUGCCUCUUUAUGACACCUAAGCAUGUUAACCACUAAGUCCAUUUUACGAUCUAUGAUUCAAGUAUGACAUUAAUACUAGGUUCAUAAUGUCUCGAGCCCAAUGCCCCUUGAUGACAUUGGCCCAUAAGUUCUCAAGUAAUACCAUUUCCCAAACCCCAUAAUAGCUCCAAAGUUACAUUGAGGCUCAAAUAGGCAUAGGUUUAAUGACAUUGAGGCUCAAAUAAUCACUUAACGAAGCAUAAACCACGAGUUAUGAGAAUUUCUCAUAAUAUAGGCUAGGUCAAACCCACCAAAAUCGAAACAUUCGUUUCGCCGAACGGAGGUAUCAACUAGCUUCCUAGCACCCUAGGAACAUCAAAAAUGGGGUUACCCGAAUGAAACGAAGAGCAAAAAGCUCAAUCAUUAACCUAGAAGCAAAAGGGCCAAAACUCACCUCAAGAGAAAAAAUCUCUUCCAAAGCUCCAAAAGAGACCUAGAACCCUUCCAAUUCAAGCCCAAGGAAGGUUCUAAACCAAAGAAUCUAGCUCCAAAAGCCCUAGAUUCGAAAUGCCCAAAACAAACCCUAAGUUCACAAUCUAGGGUUUCAUCUAAGGAAAACUCUCAAAAACCAAAUCUAGAGGGAGAGAAGGGGUUACUAACCUCUUAGAAGCUUCAACCAAGGUUCAAAGUCCUCUAUCAACCAAGAUCUUCCCUCAACCAAGCCUCAAAUCCAAGCUUCAAGCUUCAUCCAUGGUGGAAAUGGCACCAAAGGACAAAAGAGAGGGAAAAUCCAUCAAAAACCAUGCAAAAAUGGAGAUCAAAUCCAAAGAGAUGGUGUGGGGAGCUCCCUUACCUGGUUCUCCACUCUUCUCAGCUCAUGGGAGAGCCCUAGGGGCGUGGGUGCUGAUAUAAGGGUGCCACAAUCGCGAAAAACUCCCUGCAGUUCAAACUGCUCAAAAUCUGUCUCUGCGUACCGGUACACGGGCCCACGUACUGGUACACAUCCCACGAAAUAGCCAAACCCGAGCCUCGGGUUGAAUGGGAAGCUGCCAAUGUUGAUGGCUGUACCGGUACAGCCAUCACCCCGUACCGGUACACAGCCCUCUAAAGGCUACCCGAGAGCUAACUAAAAUCCGAUUUUUCGGGUUUUGGUGCAAGGCUUUAAACCACAAUUCUCGGGAUUCUAACCAUAGGUCGGAACACUGUCAACGACCCACCAGAAAGUUUGGAAUUGCUCAGCACACAACCAACCACUCGAACCUCACAAUUUGCAAAGGUCCAGUGUGUUACAUUCACCCCUCCUAAAAAGGAGUUUCGUCCGCGAAACUCAAAAGCAAAGUACCUCAAGCAUCCAUCUGAAAAAGAUGGGGAUAGCGCUCCCUCAGUGCGCUCUCCAUCUCCCAAGUGGCCUCGCGCUUGUCGUGGUUGCUCCAAAGCACCUUUACGUAGGGGAUUUCCCGGUUGCGCAAUCUUUUCACCUCGCGAGCCAAAAUCCUCAACGGCUGCUCCUCGAAGCUCAAAUCAUCCUUCAUCUCCACAGGCGUAGCGUCCAACACGUGAGCCGAAUCAUGGAUGUACUUCCGAAGGACCGAUACAUGAAAAAUAUUGUGUACACCCGAUAGGUUCGGCGGUAGAGCAAGUCUAUACGCUACCGGACCUAUACGCUCCAAAACCUCAUACGGUCCAAUGAAUCGGGGGCUCAACUUGCCCCGAAUUCCAAAUCUCCUAAUCCCUCUGGUUGGCGAGACUUUCAAUAAGACGUGAUCUCCUAUCAGAAACUCCAAGUCUCGUCGACGCUUAUCAGCAUAACUCUUUUGUCUACUCUGGGCUGUCAACAGUCGCUCCUCUUGACACUGUCAGGGAAGUAAUGCCCCAGCAGGAGUUCCUUGAACCUCCUCCAAGAAAUCGCCGUCAGAUCCGUGCUGGGGUUGUCCUGGAUGUCCAACCACCACCGGUAGGCCUCGCCGUCCAGAUGAUGUGUAGCGAGCCAAACUCUGUCCCUCUCCUCUACAAAGGUAUCCCGAAAUAGCUUCUCCAUAUGCAUAAGCCAUUUCUGCACGAUCCAGUGAUCCACGUUCUCCCCGUCAAAGGUCCGGGGGCUGCAUCUCCUUAACUCACUCAGACGCUCCAUAAGCCGAUCCCGCUCAGCUCCCUCAACCAUCACGGGGAAAACCGCCCUCGCUACAGGCGCUCGCGCUGGUGGUACCGCGAUGUCCUCGUCCCGAGGUACUGCCGCUGGUGCCGUCCUAGAAGCGUCGAGUGUAGGGGACGACACCCUGGGCGCGACCACCUCUACUGGUGCGGGUGGUGUAGGGACCUGGGCCUCCCUGGCAGCUGCCUGCUGCAGUAGAAGGUCCUCCAGGCGCUUCAUCCGCGCCUCCUAUCGGAGGGCCGUGUCCGCCUGCCGUGUCACCAAAUCAGUGAGGGCUGCCAGCUGGCCCCUCAACUCACGGACCUCGCCAGAUCCGGAGGUAGCGGAGGUCUCAGCCUCCUCAAAUUGUGCCGCAUUGUCCGCCCCUGCAGAUUGAGAGUGCGUAAUCGGCAUGUCACUACAAAACAUAAAAGCGCAAGUUAGUAAUCCGCGCUAUCGAAUUCCCGCUCAAAUAACAAUACUCAAAUCAUGCGAAAGUAAAGAAGUGUUGUCCACAACUAACUCCCGAUGUUACGUUGUCGGCCGCCAACGUAACCCUCCGCGAAGUUAGAAGCCAUACACUCCGAUUAAACUCUAACUUUUUAGAGUUGUCAUAAAACCCAAUCAUAAUACUUUCGCUCACAAGUCAAUUAGACCUCGUCUCUCAAGAGCCUACUUCCUAUAGUCCAACCGGCCUAAGGUUUGCUAGGUUCUCUAAGACUCAACCCUAGGCUCUGAUACCAAACUAAUCUGUCACGCCCCGGGACCGACAGAGGCCCUCCCGGUAGCGCGCCCAGACCCGCUAUAUGUCUACACAUAUAAGGCGUCUACAACAACAGCGAAAAUAAAGCAAGAAAGCAAAAGAAUCUAACGAUAUCGGAGCAAAAUAAAUAACUAAGUUCUACACAGAGGGGUAAGUAUAAAACUAAAAUUCACUAAUAAAGCCAUAGAGUAGUACAAGGAAAUCCCAAAUACAAAAACUAAACAUAAAGAGUAUAUAGGUGGUCUCUCUAUACAUGGUACUCAAAAUCUCUCUCUCUCUCUCUAAUACAAAAAAAAAAGAGAGUAAACCACCUAAGCUCACAAGUAGCUCCCAGCUAACUAGCUACGCGACUCCCUUGCCGCGAUCCCGUGCCUCCGCCGGUGCCGAAGGCUCUGAAAUAACAUCAAGAAAAAGAAGGCGUGAGAACUAUAAUUUAUAGUUCCCAGUGGGCAAUUACUGACCUCAGCUCAAUGCACCACUAGGCCCCAAAAGAAAAGGGUAAGUCCAACAGCAACAAUAAUAAUAAAUGGAUUGCAUUUAUAGAAGCAUGAUUAAAUUGCUAAACUACUAUGUCGCAAAUAAACAUGAUGUCAAAUGUGAUGUACAUUUACUUUAUCAAAAUAAAGCAUGUCCAAGCAUGACCAAUAUGUCCCAUCAUAACGAACAAGUAGGUAUCAUGAUCCACUAUAUCAAAGUAUGAUGAAUAUGCUCUAUCAUGGCAGCAACGUAUACUAUGAUGCAACAAUUAAGACUAUCAUGUAUACUACAAGUCCCAACACUAUGCUAUGAGCAUGUCAAGGUAAUCAAACUACUAAGCCUAUCUAGUAGUGAUAGUCAUUUUCCGGUUCAAUGUCAUUAUUUCCAACAUGUUCUAGAGCCUACAUAGUGUAGUCCAGCUUGUGCCACCUAAGUGUCGGUGGUAGUUCCAGCAUUCCCACUCUAGGAAUGAAUCUAUCCCUCCCGACCCCGUAGGUUUCUCGAUACCGCACGAGCGAACAUAAGUCGCGUAGGCCAACUCCGAGGUGCCGGCUUGUAGGGAGCGACCCUCACAAGCAUGUGCGAAUGAGCACAAAUGGUAAACAAGCGUAAUCAUCGUCUCGAGUACCCAAUCAUCAUGUCUCUAACAUGAUAAUUGUCACUAGCAUCUCAAUGAUCUAGCUCUAGGUCACAAUGUGAUGUUCCAACACUCACUAUGCUUAGUGCCUCUUUAUGAUACUUAAGCUUGAUAUAAGUUAAGAACAUUUCAUAUUCUCUAUUCCAUUCAUGACAUUAGUACUAGGUUCUCAUCUAACUCGAGCUCAAUGCCCCUUUAUGACAUUAGCUCACUAAUUCACAAGUCAAAUUUGUCACGCCCCGGGACCGGCGGAGGCCCUCCCGGUAGCGUGCCCAGACCCGCCAUAUGUCUACACAUAUAAGGCGUCUACACUAAAAGCGGAAGUAAAAGCAAGAGAUAGAACAAAUAAAAGUAGCGAAAUAACUAGCAACUACUGAUAUCAGAGCAAGUAAAGUUCUAUCAUCUACACCAAAGCAAAGAAAAUAAAGCUAGUCAAACAAAGACAACCAUAAGUAGAACACUAUCUAUCUCAAAAGUACAACAAUGGUGGUCUCUAGUACACUGGUAAAACUCUCAACCUCUCGCAAAAGGAAAUACAUCGAGAGGUAGACCACCUAACAACUCGUCCCUCGCUGAAGAGCUAGCUGGAAGCAAUGCCCUUCCCUCGGUCCCUGGCCUCACCCGGCGUGGAAAGCUCUGAAAAAAACAUCGAGAAAAAGAGGGCGUGAGAACUAUAAUUUAUAGUUCCCAGUGGGCAAUUACUGACCUCAGCUCAUCGCACCACUAGGCCCCAAAAGAAAAGGGGUAAGUAUAAUAAGCAACAAUAAGAAUAAUAGUAACAACUGUAGAAAGCAUAACAGAAGUGCUAAUCCAUAUGUCUCAAGUAAGCAUGAUGCCAUGGUGAUGUACAUCUACGCUAUCAAAUGGUAAUAUGUCUAAUGCAUACUAAUAUGGUUCAACGUAAUAAACAAGUAACCUCACGAUGCAAUGUGUCAAUGCAUAAGGGUAAACACUAUCCAAACAUCCGAGUACAUUACUAUGCAAUAAUGAAACCGGCAAGUAUACUAAAUGUACCAAUGCCAUAUCAUGAGCAUGUCCAAGUAAUCCAACUACCGAUCCUAUCGAGUAGUGAUUGACCAUAUACCACACCGUGUCGAUUUCCAUUUCCAAUUAGGGACCUACCCAAGGUAGUCCAGCUUGUGCCGCCUAAGUGCCUGUGGUAGCCCGACAUUCCUACACAUGGAAUGUGUCUGUCCCACUCGACCCCGUAGGCUUCUCGAUACCGCACGAGCGAACAUAAGUCGCGUAGGCUAACUCCGGAGUGCCGGCUUGUAGGGAGCGACCCUCACAAGCAUGUGCGAAUGAGCACAAAUAGCAAACAAGCAAGGUCACUGUCUCAAAUACUCUAUCCGCAUGUCUCUAACAUGGCAAGGUCACUAGCAUCUCAAGGAUCUAGCCCAAUGUCUCUAAGUGAUGUCCCAACACUCACUUGCUUAGUGCCUCUUUAUGACACUUAAGCAUCACACUGAUCAAGCUCAAUUCUUGUUCUAUGUUUCAUUUAAACAUUAAUACUAAUGACUACUAUAGCCCGGGCCCAAUGCCUCUUUAUGACAUUGGCCCAAUUCUCAAAUAGUCGAAGUUCUCAAGCCCUCUCUAGGCUUCUAAAAUUCCUAAUGUCCCAAUUGGCAUAUAGGUUAAAUGCAAGAGAGCAAGAUCCGUUUUCAUAAUAGGGAUCAUGGUUCCCAAUCAUAACUAGAAUGCUAAGUCUCACAUGCAUGCACUCUACCACAUAGGGGUCUAAAAUUUCACUAUACCUAAUAUAUGCAUGUUAAGCAUUCUAAAAUUCAUAUUAAAUAUAUUUAACAUGGAAAUGCAUGAAUUUCAAUUUUACGAAACAUAUUUGCCAAAUAUGAGCAUUUCUCAUAUCAUAGGCUAGGUCAAACCCACCGAACCGUCGCGUGCUCCUUCGAUUCGCCGAACGGAGUUGUCCACGAGUCUCAAAGUACCCUAAAAGUAAUCAGCGAAGAGAUACGAGAGUAUUACGACCAACCAAGAGAUCAAACAUUAACCUAGAAGCAAAAAGGGCCAAAAUUCACCUCAAGAGGAGAAAUCUCUUCCAAAGCUCCAAAAGAGAGCUAGAACCCUUCCAAUCCAAGCCCAAGGAAGAUUCUAAACCAAUCAAUCUAGCCCCAAAAGCCCUAGAUCAAAAAGCCCCAAAAAUCAACCCUAAUACCCAUUCUAGGGUUUCAAAUGGCAAAAUCUACCGAAACAAGAAUCAAAGGGUAGAAUCAAAGUACUAACCUCUCUAGAUGCCUCAAAACAAGCUCCAAAUCUUCUAGGGUUGAAGAUUGGUCCACCACCAAGCCCUACAAGCAAGCUCCAAGCCUUGCAAAGGUGGGAAAGAGAGAAAGGGGUUGAGCUCCAAGCUCCCUCAAGCUAGCUCCUCUUCUUCUUCUCCUCCUUCUUCUUCUGCCCAAUUAUAUAAAUAAUAAAGAUUAAGUACAAAAAUAGGUCCCAGAGAAAAUGAAAAUGAGUCAGAAUGAGAGGCUUCUAGGGCAUACAACGAACAGAAAUAGCUAAUAUAGCCCAUCUAGUGUAACAAAAUCCAAAGAGGCCCCUCAAAAACCCAAUAUUGCAACAGCCCGAACUGCGCAGUUUUCGCCCAGAGGGACCGGUCUCUCCCCAGAAGGGACCGGUCUCUCAGCUGCGAACCCGAAAAACCAACGUUCGGGAACCGGUCUCUCCCUGCACGGGACCGGUCUCUCCCCGCGAAGACGCGCUCGGCGACCGGUCUCACCAGCCAGGGACCGGUUGCCCCAAGGCUGCCGCAACACUAUUCACUGGGGGACCGGUCUCUCCUACCAGGGACCGGUCCCCGAGAGUAAAAACACUCAGGACUCGUCCAGAACUCAAGUUUUCGAACUUUUUAGGUCGGAAAACAUUCUACGACCCUCCACCAAGUGUGGAAAAGCUCGAAACAAAUCCAAACACUCGAACCUCGCAAUUUGCAAAGGUCCAGUGUGUUACAGUUUAUAAUGUAGUCCAAUGCCCUCGUGUAAACCUGGUAUAUAUCGCAAUUCUCUUUAUUGAAUAGCUUGCAAUAUACCAUGGAGGUCUAGAGUCCAUAGGCGGACUGGACAAGUGAUGUCAAUUCGACGUAGGUAAACAUGAACCCAAAUCCCACAAAAUUGGCAAAGCUCGGGGAAUGGCACAUAACUGCGCCGCACACCCAAAAUCCCUUACACCUCGCAUAGGCGAUACGUCCAAAAAUACAAGGUAUCAAACAAAGCGAAUUCUAAUGCUAUUCUAAAAUUGUCAUAAAUAACUAUAUCUAACAUGAUUAUGCAUGUCUCCUCCACCUAACGAGACGCAAAACAUCGACGGGAAAGGAGAACUUUCUCAUCCGCCUCCCGCAACACAUCGAGGCCAAGAGCAAUUCUUUCACCCACCUCGCUCCAACCAAUCGCGGAAUGGCAUCUCAUUCCAUACAACGGAGUUGUCCACAAAUCUCUAAGUACCCUAAAAGUAAGGAGCGAAGAGAUAAACAAAUGUUACGAGCAACUCUAGGCCAAACAUUAACCACCACAAGCAAAGGGGCAAAAACUCACUUAGGGAGUAGAAAAUCUCUCUCAAGCUCCAAAAGAGAGCUAGAUCUCUUCCAAUCCGACCAAAUGGAAGAUUCUAAACCAAGUAAUUGAGCCUCAAAAGCCCUAAAUCAAGAACGCCCAAAAUCAACCCUAAAAUCCCAUUCUAGGGUUUCAUCUCCUAGAAACCAACAAAACAUGGUCUAGAGGGAAGAAAUGAGCAACUAACCUCCUUAGAAGCUCCAAUCCAAGCUCCAAGGGUGAAGUUCUCCUCUCUUGCAAGCUCCAAGUCCAAGCCUUCAGGCACCAACAAGGUGGAAAGAGAAUGAGAGGAAAAGAAAUGCUCCAAGUCCUCAAGCUAUAUCCUCUUCCUCUUCUUCUCCUUCUUCUUCUUCUCUUCCUUCUUCUCCUUCUCUAUCUAGGGUGUUGGGUGAAUAAGAGAAUGAGGAAUGAGAGAAGGGAGAGGGUGAAAUUGCCAUAUAGGCCAUCAAAUAUAACAAAAUCCAAAGAGGCCCCUCAAUUUCCCAAUAUUGCAUCAGCCCGGACUGGGCAGUUUUCAGACUGAGGGACCGGUCUCUCCGACAUGGGACCGGUCUCUCGGCCUGCCCCGAAAAUCCAACAUUCGGGAACCGGUCUCUCCUUGCACGGGACCGAUCUCUCCCCGCGUGGACGCGCUCGGGGACCGGUCUCACCCGCCAGGGACCGGUUGCCUCGCUGGCUGCAGCAACACUUCUCUGAGGGGACCGGUCUCUCCUAACAGUGUAAGGAAGUGGAUUCUCGAAAUUCGAGGAUUGUACUUCACCCAGGAUCGACUACUUGUCGAAUGUAUACCCUUGGUGGGAGUUGGAAAUGUCCAAAACACAAAAAGUGCUUUGGAGUUGAGUCCGUGAGAGCAAAUGGUGCAAACUGUACUUUUGGGCUGAUGUUGCUCUCGGGGAUCGGUCUCUGGAGGUGAGAGACCGGUUCCCUUGGCUGGGUGUUACGGGGUUGCAUGAUGCAACCAGUCCCUGGCAGGGAGGAACCGGUUCCCGAACGUGGUCCCAGCGAGAAAUGCCAAAAAUUGGCUAAGUCCUGAAAGUCAAGCUCUCGGGGACCGGUCUCUCAGGUGAGGACCGGUCUCCCGAGGACCGGUCUCCCGGGGAGAGACCGGUUCCCGAACGCGUGCGCCCGAGGGAAGCUCUCGGGGACCGGUCCCAAGUCGGGGAGACCGGUUCCUCCGCGCGAAAACUGCCCAGUGAGGGCUAUGCAAGGGAUGAAAAGUUGAGGGGUCUAAAUGAAAAAUGGCCUUUAUUAGCGUGGGCUGAGCCCUCUCUCUCCCUCACACUCUCUCAUUCCACUUUCCCUCACUCUCAUUUCUCUCUUGCUCCCUCUCUCUCUCUAGAAAGGAAAGAAGGAGAAGAAGAAUAAGAAGAAGAGGAAGGAAAAGAAGAGGAAGAUAAGGAAGAAGAAGAAGAAGGAGAUCAAGAGGAAGGCUUUGAGCACCUCCAUCUCCCUCUCCUCUUCCCAUUGGUGUAGCUCUUGAGGUAAGCUACUAAACCCUAGCUUUGUAAACUUAGGGUUUUUGGGUUUUUAUGCUUUGGAAUGGGUCAAAUGGACCCCAAGCAUGCUUCUAAGUAGAUCAAUCCCAUGAAUCUAAGGUUCUAUUGGUGGUUUGCUGUAUGUGCAACCUAGGGCUCCAAAUGGGGGCAUUUUGUAAAGUAUGAGAUUGAUCUCAUUUGAGGCUUUGUAAACCUCAUCGAUAGGUGCCCAAACGCGGGGGCGAAGUCAACUUCGUGAUUCGUCGAGCGGGCUUAGAGCAAUCGGCGAAUUACGGUCGUUACGGCGUUAUCUUGGACCAAGGGAGGCUAAAGCCUUUUCGUAAAGCUCGCCGAGGAGCGUUUCUAGAGCCUCUACGUUGGUAAAAGGUGGGGGGUGUCAUCCGAAACUUUCGAACUCCUUUCUAUGUCUUAGCUUGCAUUAAUCUCAUCUCUUCAUGUGGCAUUGUAGGAUUGCAUAGUAGCUCCAUUCCUUAUGCUUUCUAAUUGAUAACCUAGUGUACUUGGAACGCUUGGUAACUAGAUAGGUAAGGAUUGGGUCGGAACGUGAAUCCUAUGAUGCUAGAGAUAGAGAUGAACCCGAUGGAGGUAUUGAUGACAUAGAAAGUAGUGUUAUUGUUAAAGAACAAACGAGUGGCAUCUAAAUGUUGAAUGAUGACGAGUGGCAUUAAUGUAGUGUAAUGACACUAGAGGUCGAUGGACCUAGGGAUAGGUGGAUCCCUUAGAAAAUGUCUUGUGAACAAUGAAUUUAGACAACCUAAAUAGCGUUGCAUGAUUGUCGGGAACAAAUGAUCCCGCGAGAGAUAUUGACCCUAGCGGUAGGGCUUCCUCACUUGGAGAGGAUUUGAUUGGGUUAUGGACCCUAGUGAUAGUGCUUCCUCACUUGGAGAGGAUUCGAUUGGGUAUUGACUCUAGUUGUAGAGUAUCCUCACUUGGAGAGGAUAGAUCUAGCUCACAGUCUGCGUUUGGGAUGGUAUAGCCAUCCAAUCCCCACAUGGAGGGGAUUGUCGUCGAGUACUCCGGAGUGUCGUGUGACUAGGACCACUUGGAGGUCCGGACCACAUGGAGGUCCGCAGACGGUCCCGGGCUUGGGUGCACUUGGAGCUCCCUCCCCACUUUAGGAUUGAAAGGUGAGUCAUGGGCGAGCCCUAGGACCUCGCUACAGAUUGGGUAAAUGGAAAGGUUUAUUAAUGUCAUUGAACAUUGCUAUUCGAACAUGGAUCAAAUUUGUUAGCAUGAUAGCAAACCUUUAUUAGAUGAUGCAUGCAUUCAUACUUAUGAUUAUGGGCAUAGUAGCAUAGUUUUCCCUACUAUUGCAUUCACAGCUUUCGGAUAAAUAUCUAUCUAUUUAUCUAUCUGUUGUUACUUGUCCCCACUUGGACCUAGUAGGGAGAUCGGCAGAGUCGGCGGCCGAGCCCACUGGGAACUAUGGAAGAUAGUUCUCACCCCACUCUAUUUCCAGUGGUAGGUUCAGGAUUGCCGAGGGAGGACCACGGCAAGGGCAUCGCGCCCGACCAGUGAGACCGUGGUAGUAUAGUAGCUUCCUUUUGCAUUAGCACACCUAUGUAUUGAGAGAGAUAUUCAUGUAAGUGAGGUCGGAGAGCUAUGUAUUUUGAGGAUCGAAUGUAUUCAUUUUGGAAAAUAAUGUAAAUGAGAAUGUUGGAACUAUUGUAAUAGUUAGUAAAGUACUCUCUUUAUUUCACUUGUUUAUCUUGUGGAUUACUCGCUCUUCUUGUUGUUGGCACUGUUUGUGCCCUUGUUGAAUGUGUAUGUUUAGAAUUUAAAGUCCUGGGUAAAUUCUUGUAUACAUUCCUGUUGUCGAGCCUUGGGCGGACAGGGGAGGUGCUGUCCGUUCGGCGGUCCGUCGCCGCGGCCGAAUCGUGCCAAAUUGGUAGUGGUUUUGGGGCGGGGCGUGACAAACAAGGACCGGUCCCCGAGAGUAAAAACUCUCAGGACUCGUCCAGAACUCAGGUUUUCGAACUUUUAGGUCGGAAUACAUUCUACGACCCUCCACCAAGUGUGGAAAAGCUCGAAACACAUCCAACCACUCGAACCUCGCAAUUUACACAGGUCCAGUGUGCUACACUAAGCUUGAUCCGUUGGUGAGAAGAAGAAGAAGAUGAUGAUGGUGAUGAUCCUCCUUUUCUCCUCCAUCUUCUCCUUCUUUUCUUGUUCUCUUUUCCUUUCCUUCUUCUUCUGUAACAUACCAGAUUUUGGUAUAAAAAUAAAAAUAAAUAAAAAUAGUGUGAGAAACUAUUUUUAUUGGAUUUGUAGGAGUAAAACAUAAGUCAGAAGUGACUUGUGCUGAAAUCGGAUUGAAAACAGAAGAUCUAGAAUUUUCUGUUGGAAACGGGACAGAUAAAUUAGCAGAAAAUGCACAGUCUCAGAAAAUUAUGAAAAUUGGAGGAUAAGUCAGAAAUAUUUUUAUGAGGCUAGUUUUAAAGUUUCAUAUUUUUCUGACACCCAUAGAGUGAGAAAUAAAAUCCAAGAGUUAUCUGAUAAAGAUUACAGUUCGGUACAGUUUUCAGUGACCAAACGGGGUCGAAACUGAACCAGUGAUCGUCAGCUUGUUAAGUUAAGUAAAACCGAACAUGACUGUCAAGUUUGAGCUCAAACGGACAUUCAGGGAGCUCCGGCGAAAGUUAUCAGAUUUUAAGCUGCCCGGGAUGAAUAGUGUUUUGGGGUGUAUUAUGAAGAAGCAAAUGCUUCUUCUUCUCCCCCAACCGUGCAGCCCACACACACAUGCGCCACACACACACACGCAUACAUGGAGGGAGAGAGAGAUCUCCCUUUCUAUCUCUAAAUCUCUCCCAAAAAGAGAGGGUUUUGGUGGAGAUUGAAGCUCAAGGAUGGAUUUUCAUCUUCUCUAUCUUCUUCCUCUCCAUUAGAGCAAGCUUUGAAGGUAAGCUUCAAACCCUUUAAUGGCAUUUCUCUCUAGUUUGAUUUUUAAGCUCUAAGAAUGGAUUUAGAGGUAUUCUAGCAUGCUAAUUAGAGGUUUGAUGCUUGAAAUCAAGGCUCUAAUGGUGGAUUUUUACCUAGUUGUAAUCUAGGGCUCAAAAAUGCUAAUUUGGUAAAUAUGAGGGUUUGAUCUCAUUUGACCCUAUGUAAACCUAAUUGCUAGGUAAACGAACGCGUUGGCGAAGACGGUUCGGCGAUUCGUCGAGCCGUUGCGAAGUUAUUAAAGAAACGGAUGUUUAGGCUUCAUUUUCGCCUGGAAGGCCGAGACGAUAUCGUAAAUUCAUGAAAACGGAUUUGAGGCAUCGUGGCACAUAACCGAAGACCUUUAAUUUUCGGAUCGUGAAUUGGAGGCCGUUCGGGUGGUCGCGCAAGAGAUCGGGCCAAACCGGGUGCCGGGUGCCGCGGAAGGCCGAUUGCGAGUGUCGACAAGCAAUCGGAAUGCGAAAUGAGGUGGGUUGUGUUUACCGAAGCGACUUGGUCGCCCCGCAUGUCAAAGCAAAAUGUGGAAUCUUGUUGAUGCAUAUGUGUAUGUGCAUACGGGCAUAUUAGUAUUGUAUAAAUGCAUGCUAGUUGGUAAUUUGUAUAUUAGUAUGUAUGCUUAGUAAAAUACAUGCUAGGAGCAUUUAGCAUUAUGAGAUUCAUGUUGACAUGUAUUAGAGAACGUGAGCAUAUAAAUAAAUGUUAACAUGUUGUUAAUUAUAUGAGUUAUGAGAAAUUGCUAAAUGUGGACACAUGUUAGAUGACAAUAAGCAUAUUGACAUUAUGAAAAUGCAUACUACAGGAUAAUUGCAUAAUAAUGCAUUGGGAAAGUACAUGCUAGUUGUAAUGUAUGUUGGCAUUGAGAUGAUGUAUGUAGUUAACACUAAAAGAAUGCAUGUAAAUGACAUGAUGUAAAAGCUAGGCGAAUGCUUGGUAUGGUUGCUAUACAAAAAUUAUCGUAGAAUGCAUGAUGAAUAUGCUAUGUAAAUGCUAGAUGAUUGCACGAAUUGGAUCGAUAACUCUAUGAUAGAGACCUUGACAUUGGACAUCUAUAUAUUAGAUCGAGUGGCACUUAACCUAGAGUCAGGAACCUAGGUUGAACAUGGAUGAUAUGAACCUAGUGUGAUAAACAUAGGUUGGACAUGAACCUAGUGUCAAAGAACUUAGGUUGGAAUCAUGUGUGGCAUUAAACCUAUUGUGAAAGAACAUAAGUCGGACUUGGACAAUAGUAAACAAGGGUGACAAUGAAAAUAGAGACAUGAUUGGCAUCAAGAAAGUGGUUGUUAAACAUAAUUUAACCAUAUUGACAUUGGUCCAAGUUGACAUAGAGAGUGGCAUGAUUAAAUAGGUAGAAAACCUAUUAUGACAAUGGCAUUGUGACGAGUGGCUAUGAAUCCUCAAGUUGAGGAUUGGAUCGAUACUCACGUUACGUCUUGGCUUGAGGGAGGUAGCUCCCCCUCGGGCGGUGCGCUCCGGAGUUGGUCNAACAUGAAUGGAAUAAAAUGCCCAAUUAUAUAAAUAAUAAAGAUUAAGUACAAAAAUAUGUCCCAUAGAAAAUAAAAUGCGUCAGCCUGAUAGGCUUCUAGGGCAUACAACUAACAGAAGUAGCCAUAUAUUCCAUCUAGUGUAACAAAAUCCAAAGAGGCCCCUCAAAAAUCCAAUAUUGCAUCAGCCCGGUCUGGGCAGUUUUCGCCCAGAGGGACCGGUCUCUCCCUGGAAGGGACCGGUCUCUCAGGUCGAACCCGAAAAACCCACGUUCGGGAACCGGUCUUUCCCUGCACGGGACCGGUCUCUCCCCGCGUGGACGUGCUCGGCGACCGGUCUCACCAGCCAGGGACCGGUUGCCCCAAGGCUGCCGCGACACUAUUCACUGGGGGACCGGUCUCUCCUAUCGGGGACCGGUCCCCGAGAGUAAAAACUCUCAGGACUCGUCCAGAACUCAAGUUUUCGAACUUUUUAGGUCGGAUAACAUUCUACGACCCUCCACCAAGUGUGGGACAGCUCGGAACAAAUUCAAUCACUCGAACCUCGCAAUUUGCAAAGGUCCAGUGUGUUACAGUUUAUGUUGUUGUUGUUUGCCCUCGUGUAAACCUGGUAUAUCUCGCAAUUCUCUUUAUUGAUUUGCUUGUAAUAUACUGGAUGUUAGAGCCUUGGGCGGACGGGCAAGUGCUGUCCAUUCGGCGUCUGUCAUGUGCUCGAAUCCGACCAAAUUGGCGGAGCUCGGGGCGUGGCACUUAACUUCCCGCGGACCCAAAAUGCCUUACACCUCGCAUAGGCGAUACUUUCACAAAUACACGGUCUCCAACCGCGAAUUCUAAUUCUCUUCUGCGCUUGUCAGCAUAACUCUUUUGCCUUGAUUGUGCUGUCUCCUCCGCCUCCCGCAACACAUCGACGGGCAAGGCGAACUUUCUCCUCCGCCUCCCGCAACACAUCGAGGCCAAGAGUAAUUCUUUCACCCACCUCGCUCCAAUGAAUCGGGGAAUGGCAUCUCUUUCCAUACAAUGCCUCAAAUGGCGCCCAAGUCUCAACAACAAGGAUCAUGUACAUUUAGUUGCCCAGGUAAACAUAACAACAUACAUGAAUCAUUGCGAGUAUGAUACAAGCAAUAGCAAAAGAGAGAAUACUAACUAUUACAAUUUCAUUCAACCAUUGUUUACAUUUUCAUCUCCAAAAUACAUACAUUAGGUUUACAUGCUUAUCUCAUGACAUAUAUAUAUACAUCCACAAGUAACCUCUCUCAAAAUACAUCAUAACUCUCAAGGUACAUGGUACUCUAAUGAAUAAAGGAAGGUGUCACGCCCCGGGACCCAGCGGAAGCCCGCCCGGCGCGUGCCCAGACCCGCCAUAUGUCUAAAACAUAUAAGGCGUCUACAAUAAAACGAUAAAUAAAGCAAUAAAAGGACAACAUUUAGAAGUAUCAGAGCAAAGUAUAGCUAGAUUUCUACAACAUGAUAAGGUAAAAGAAGUUCAAAACUACUAAAUAAAAUUCAUAAGUAAUACAAGAGAUGUCCCAGAACAAGUGCUAAAAGAGUACAUAGGUAGUCUCUAUAUAUGGUACAAAAAUCUCUCUCUCUCACUACUACGACAAAGGAAAGAGUAAACCACCUAAGAGCAAGUAGCUCCCCGCUAUCUAGCUAGGCGACACCCUUGCCGCGAUCACGUGCCUCCGCCGGUUCUGAAAGCUCUGAAAUAAAACCAUAAAACAGGGGGCGUGAGAACUAUUAUUUUCCCAGUGGGGAAUUACUGACUUCAGUGAAAAGCACCACUAGGCCCAAAAGAACUAAAUAGGUAAGUAAACAAGUAAAAGUGAUAUGAACGACAUGUAAAUAAACAUGUAAACUUGCUACCACAUGAUGUCUCUACUUAGCAUGAAUUUGCAUAAGUAAUAAAGCUACUGUAACAUGAAUGUACAAGAGUAUAACUAACAUAAUAUCCACAAGCUAAAUAGUACAAUGUCACUGUUUAUUAUUUUAUCAAUGUCCACUUGGCAAGUUAACUACUUAAAGUUUAAAUCUUGUAAGACCCGCCCUGUAAUAUACCGAAAAUUCGGAAAAUAAAUAUCGAACUUUAGUCAAAUUGACCAAUGUGCGAGGUUAGAACACUUCGGAAAGUCCGAAGGUGUUAAAAUGAUCAAAAGUAAGUUAAGGGAGGUUUUCGAGAGCUAAAGGAUCAAAAUCUGCAUUUUGCAGUUUUGAGCUCUCGGGGACCGGUCCCUGGUGGGAGAGACCGGUCCCCGAACGCGUAUGAAAUGAGACAGCCGAAAAAUCGGCUAAGUCCUGAGAAACCAGCUCUCGGGAACCGGUCCCUGUCUGAGAGACCGGUCCCUGAGAGACCGGUCCCCCAAAGAGAGAUCGGAUGCAUCGCGCGCAGCAGCUCUGGCUGCGCGGGGAGAGCCUUCGGGAACCGGUCCUUGAAGGAGAGACCGGUCCUCGCCUACGCGAACAGCCCAGUCCAGGCUGUGUGAAAGAGUGAAAGUUGAGGGGUUAAGCUGCAAUUUUGCAACCCAUAGAGUAUAGUAAGGGAACAAAUGAGACAUUUCUCUCAUUCUUACCCUCUCACACUCUCUUCUCUCCCUCUCUCUGUCACGCCCCGCCCCGAGACCGCUACCAAUUUGGCACGAUUCGAGCGCGGCGGGCGUGGCGCCGAACGGACAGCACCUCCCCUGUCCGCCCAAGGCUAAAGCGACGAGAUCAUGUACAACAAGUUUCCAGGAAAACAACUUGAAUACAUACAUGAUCAAAGACAACAACGAGAGCACAACCUGUGCUAAACAUAUAAAGAGCAAGCAUCACAAGUAGAAUCAUACAAGUGAAAAAAAAAGAGAUAUAAACUAACUAUUACAUCACGUUUGGCAUUCAACUUUGAUACAUUUAACCUCAUUUAAACUUUGAUAUAGUCAUUACAACUUUGCUUCCUUUUUCCAAAAUGUAAAUACAUGUAGUCACUCUCCAACCUCACCCUAUACAUCAUCUACUCUCGAAUAUAAAUAUAGGGUGAACUAAUGCAAAAUAGGAAGUAAGCUACUAUCAACACUAGGGCGCUAUGCCCUUACCACGGUCCUCAGCCGCUGCUCUCUCGCGUGUACCUGUACCCCAAACCACACGGGGUGAGAACUAUAUAAAUAUAGUUCCCAGUGGGUUCGGCCGCCGACUCCGCCGAUCUUCCCACUAGGUCUAAGCAGGCAUAGGAAGACGAAGACAGAUAGAUAGAUAUAUAUAUGAAAGCAGUAACGAUAAAGCAUAAUAUAAAAUGAUGCUAAUGUCCAACUAUGCCUCAAUCCAAUGCAAUGAAUGCGUGCACUACAUAGUAAAAAGCCAACUACUAUGCUACUAUGCUCAACAAGGUUACUUGUGUCACACUGGUGAGGAUCCGCUCACUCACCCGACUCACACUCUAAACACAACGGGGAGGAUCCGCUCACUCGCCCGACUCACGACACACACACAACGGGGAGGUCCGUUCACUCACUCGACUCUCAAUUUAAACACAACGGGAAGGAUCCGCUCACUCGCCCGACUCACGACACACACAACGGGGAGGAUCCGCUCACUCGCCCGACUCUCGAACUCAAUCUAGUGGAAGAGGAACCGCUCACUCAAGGUGAGAACUACUCACUCAACCAUCUGUCGAUCUCGUGGAAAAGGAACCGCUCAACCAAGGUGAGAACUACUCACUCAACCAUCUCUCAGUCUCGUGGAAGAGGAACCGCUCACCCAAGGUGAGAACUACUCACUCAACCAACUCUCAGUCUCGUGGAAGAGGAACCGCUCAACCAAGGUGAGAACUACUCACUCAACCAAGACCGUCUGCGGGGCCCAAAAAGGCUAACCCCUCGGGACCCAAAAAGGCUAUCCCAAUCGUGUGACAACUCCGGAGUGCACUGCUUGUGUGGAACGACCACACCAAGCUUCGAACAGACAUUGCUGUAUGAUCAAAUCCCCAUCAUUGAGGAUACCCUACCACUUAGACAACAUCACUUGGGAACUGGUUCACCACUAAGUUCAACAUAAAACAAAUGUUUUCUCUAUACUUUACCAAUCAUGCAACUCAUCAAGUUUAACAUUAACUAGAUGCCACUCGUCAAGUUUAACAUUCUCAACACUAGUUAUUCUUUACUAGGCUCAACAUUCAUAACACUAGUUAUACUUGACUAGGUUCAACAUUCACAACACUAGUUAUACUUGACUAGGUUCAACAUUCACAACACUAGUUAUACUUUACUAGGUUUCAACAUUCACAACACUAGUUAUACUUGACUAGGUUCAACAUUCACAACACUAGUUGGAUCACACUAGGUUUUCAUCCGCAUGAACAUCAACCAUCACAUAUAGGGUUAACUACUUCAAGCUCAACUCAUGCAUACUAGGUUCAAUGCUAUAACCAUAAAGCCGACUCACACUAGCAUGUAAAUAAUGUAUAUAAAGCAUCUUUAAUACCCUAUAUGCAACAUGUACCAAUAUGCAUAACUGAUCGAUAACUGAACAUAGACAUAGGGAGCAGCCCAGCUGCUUCGGGAUGGCACUCCCCCACCUUUUACAGCGUUCCGAUUGCUCGUCGUCACUUGCAAUCGGCCUCCCGCGGCGCUCGGCACCCGUUUGGGCCCGAUCUCACAGUUGCACUCCAAGAGCGCUCCGCUUCGCCGUUUCAAGUGCAGUAGCUCUUUGGUUAUGUGCCACGAUACCUCAAAUCCAUUUCCACGAUUUUACGACGUCGCCUCGGCCCUCCCGGCGGACCCGAAGCCUAAACGUCUGUUUCUUUAAUAACUUUGUNGGCCUAGUGGUGUAUUGAGCUGAGGUCAGUAAUUGCCCACUGGGAACUAUAAAUUAUAGUUCUCACGCCCUCUGUUUUGUGUUUUCUUUCAGAGCCUUCCACGCCGGGAGAGGCUAGGGACCGAGGGAAGGGCGUGGCUUCGAGCUAGCUCUUCAGCGAGUGACGAGUCGCUAGGUGGUCUACCUCUCGAUGUUUUUAUUUUGUGAGAGGUUGCACUACAAGAAUUUCUACUGUUAACGACCAAGUUUUAACGAAAGGGGUUAAAUUUGGUCGUUAAAAAUGUAUAGAUAGGAUUCCCGCGCAGUUAACCCGACUUUUAACGACCAAUAUUAUUUUGGCCGUCUUUUCUGAGAUUUAUCCCGUCGUUAAUUAUGUUGCUUUGGCGCGUUUAUUUUUGCUCACCCCUGAAUUUUUUUGCAAGCCUCACACGCAACCCCCUCUCUUAAUUAACAGAGUAGCACUCCUCUCCUUUUUUUUUUCUCUUCUCUCUCUCCCAAUCCCCUGUGACUCUUCACCUUCUUCUUUUUCCCCCUUUCUCUACCCCACAAGAAAUCCCACCCACCAGAAGCCACACCCUACAGCCCGGCCGUUCAUCGACGCGCGUGAGCCCUCAGUCGGCCUGAAGCGAAUGUUGCAAGUUGUAGCCCCUCUCGCGAGUUCCUCGACGGCGAGCUCUCCAACAGUCUGAAGCAAUCGUACCCUGCCGCCCUCUCUCAUGGUUCCUGUACCUUGCAUCUCGUCGCCCCGUCAACCCUCCGACAGCCGCACCCGGUUUUCUAUAAGUCGCGCCUUUUGUUAGCCCGCAGCUGGUUCCGCCCGCGCCCACAGCCCGUCGCGCCCAGCACCUUGCAAGUUCCUUCACACCGCCUCCCUUCUUCUCCUCUUUUCCCCACCCUCUGCUGGUACAAAUCUAACCUCAUAUCUUGUAGGUCCCAUCUUACUGGUUCGUGCCUCGUCAUCCCUUGGUCGCCAUUGUCCGCGUCCGUCGCCAUACCCACUGCAAUUUUUUGAGUAUUUUCUAUUUCUUUACUAAUUAAUUGUCAAGUUGUUUCUCAAUAUUUUUUCCUCUUUUAGCUUUUAGGGUUUUAAUUUUGUAGAAUUCUUUUUGCAUCAACAGGUUAACAAUGUUUUUUUUUUUGUGUAUACUUUUUAGAUUUCAAUCUUGGUCUCUCUAGAGUUUUAAUUACCUAAUUUUUUGUAGGUUGAUUUUUGUCAGUUUGUUAAAUCUAUCUUCAAACUUGAGGCUCUUCAGUUGGAAUGUCGUUAAAAUUUUAGAAGUGUAGACAUCAUAGUUGUCAAUAUUUGAAUAUUGAAACUUUAAACUAUGCAAGAUGCAGACCUUGUUAGUUGAAAAUCUUCUUUAUUGUGUUUGUAUUGUUUUUGUUUUUCUCCCCUCUGUUGGAUGGCAAACUGUGGUUCUUAAUUUUAGUUGCUCUUAAAUUUGUCUUAAUGUUCAUGAGGUCACAAGAUUCUCUAUGCAACCAUUUAGAAAGGAUUCUUGAACUGUUUUCAUUAGGUUCUUUAGAAAAUAUUCAGGAAUGCAACCAUUUAGAAAGGAUUCUUGUUAAAGUAUAGAAUCUAAGGAACAAGAAGAUCAGGAAAGGAAUGGGCUCCAAGAAUCUCGGCCUGUUCAUGUAGAAUCCUUCACAAAAACAAGAUUGGCCCAUCAAAUCUUGGGCCCAAAAUUGAUCCUCUUUGGGCCAAUGAUUUAGGCCUUCACUUAGCUUGGCCCAUCAGAUCAAGAUCUGCACACCAAGGCCUACAUCCAAUCCAUAAUGACUAGUGCAGUAGUGGUAUUUGCAAUGAAGUAAACUAUUUAUGUUUUAUGACGAUCCUUUGAGUAUAUCUGUUGACAUAUUUUUGUGGUAGUAUUGUUUGGCAAAAGACCUUUAUUAAUCUUUUAUAUGUCAGGGAUUGAUACAUUAAUUUUUUUCAUAUUGGAUACUUAGUCAUUUUAAUGUUAUGUUUUGCUCAAAUCUGACAACUUUAGAUUGCAACUUUGGACUAGGGGUUAACAAAUAAUCAUUUGAUGCCUCAUUGGUACAUGAUAUCAGCAAUUUAGGUGUUGCAAAAGUAAAGUGGACUUCAUUAUAUUUUAGGUAAAUCAAAACUUUAGUAUGCUUGUCUAGAUACUGAAAGUAUUUUGUCUCUUCCAAAAUAGCAAUGUUUCUAUUGUUAGAUCAUCCAUCAGAUGAUUAGACUUUCUUGGAUCCAUCAAGAGGGGUCUCACUAGUUAGCAUGUUGAACUACUUGUAGAUGUGUAUGCCUAACUGGUUGUUAAAGGAUCAGCUGAUUCUACCAGUAUGAAUAGGGUUACUAGCAUAUCAUGGAUAAUUUGGCAAGUCUAUUUUACCUCAGUGUAAACUUUGGGUUACUUGGAACAAAUUCAUUACGGAUCUAAUUGAGGCAUGCUUAUGCAUGUUCAAUGCUUUAUGUUUGAUUAAUUUAUUAUGGAUUGUCUGCUGAUAUUCCGAAAAUUUAUAUGUCAAGUAGCCAGAUUCUGUUUUACCUUUAUACAUGGAUAGUGAAUGCAAAAUCAACCUAGGGGAAUUGACUAUUUCAUCUGCAUCAAGUUACGAAUAUUGACUGUUCUGUUCUUUGGGUUGAAAAAUAUGUCUGACAAAUUAAAGACAUUCUUCUAUUUAACCUUCUAAUCUCCCUUUCAUUUGUUCAUAUACUUGACAAAUUUUCAGCAUAGAAAUGUACUGCAUCUUGGAAGACAUAGCAAUUGUAGCUUUUCCCUUGUUUGGAUGAUUAUGGCGAAAAUAUGAGACAUCUUUGGCUUAAGAUAAUUAUCCACUUAGCAUAUUGCUUCUACUCUUAUAUAUCUUACUGUUUUUAUUUAGUCUUUGUUAUUAUUAGCUCUUCAUGCUGAGCUUUGUUGUUUAGUUAUGCUGACUGAUGUUUACAAACUAAAACUUCAGUCUAUGGGCUAAGAAAGUCAUUCCCCAUAUAGUAGAUUUUCUUGAAUUCUUUUGUGAAGUGAUGAUGUUCUUUCUUCCUUUUCAUUUGUACUGCGACAAACGAAGCCAGGGAGAGUUGGUAAUAGCGAAAUGCUCUUAUUAAAUUUUGUUACACUUAAACUUUGAUUUCAUAACCUGAUAUGCUUGUAAUUUAAUUUUACUUAAACUUUGAUUUCAUAACCUCUUAUUCUUUGUUUUUUACAGCCCCUCACUCUUUCGAAAGCCAAAUUGCAGAUUGAAGCUACUUUCUCCUCUUUAUCUUUUUCAAGGUUUGUGUUUUUUAUCGAAUUUCAAUUAGUUGUUGCUUUCAGUGCCCACUACCUACUUAUCGUUGUUGAAAUAUUGUGAGGAUAUGUGCUUUCUCCUCUUUAUCUUUUUCAAGGUUUGUGUUUUUUAUCGAAUUUCAAUUAGUUGUUACUUUUAGUGCCCACUACCUAUUUAUCGUUGUUGAAAUAUUGUGAGGAUAUGUAAUUAUGAUUUGCCCUUUUGAUAUUGAUGUUAAACAAUGUAAUUCUGUAUAUCUUUUAUUUUUAGUUUUUUUCGCAAAAAGUUUAGUCAUUUUGUAACUACUAAUAUUUAAACUUUGAAAUAUUUUAGUCUUUAAGUUGUAUGCAAUCGACCUCAAGACAUUAUGCUUCAUUCUUUGUUUUUUCGCUUUUACCUUCUUAUUGUUUCUAUUUAGUAGAAUUUCAAAUUUUGCUUAUUCAUUAGAAACUUCUUAUGAUGAUUUUGGUGUGAAUGAAUUCUUAAUAAUCAUUUUGAUGUGAAUGAAUUCUAAUAGUAAUUUUUCUUCUACAUUCUUCGCAAAUUAUUGAAUAAACCUUGCUCAUUAUGCUAUCUCUAUGUUUAGGUAAUUUUUUUGGAUUACCUCCAUACAAUUCUGAAAAAAUGGCACCUAGUAAAAGUUGGAUGGAUCUAGUUGAUGAUCGAUUAAGUGAAGCAUAUGAAAAAGGAGUUCAAAAUUUUUUGAAUUAUGCUUUUAAACGUACAGGACAAAACAACAAAAUUCGCUGCCCUUGUGUUGAAUGUAAUAAUACAUAUUCAGGAACUCGUGAGCUGAUUGAGACACAUUUGAAAGUCUAUGGAAUAGUUCAAAGUUAUACUUUUUGGUAUCAUCAUGGUGAAAGGUUUGGUGAGUCUCAAUCAGAGUCAGAUUCGGAUGAUGAUAAUGAGGAAAUAGAAGAAGAUGAAAGCAUUGAUGAGAUGCAUGAAAUCAUAAGGGAUUUAUAUCCCGAAUUGAAUAGAAAUUUUGAGAACAAUACUACUACAGUUGAUGAAGAUCUUGAAGACGAACCAAAUGAUGAAGCAAAGUCUUUCUAUAGGUUACUCAAAGAGUCUAAUCAACCAUUAUAUGAUGGUUCGAAAUGCUCAAAAUUGUCUUUACUAAUCAAAUUGUUUCAUAUUAAGAGCCUCGGAGGAUGGAGUAAUACAUCAUUUACUAUGUUGCUUCAAUUAUUAAAAGAAGAUAUUCUACCAAGUGGAACAACUUUUCCAGAUUCAUAUUAUGAGGCAAAGAAAUUUAUUGAUGAUCUUGGACUAUCUNCUUAGUCAGAGGCCACCAGAGUUGGGUUACAUUUUAGUAGUAGUUACCCUUUUAUCAUCUUUUGUACUUGAUGAUUAGUGAUGUAAAGAAAGAAUGUAAAGCACCCUUUUGAGGAAAAUGUGAUGUAAAAAAGAAAUGAUGAAAUGAUGCAAUGAAAUGUAAGGAAUUGUAAAUGUACAAGUUGGAUGUAAUGUAUAUGAUCUAAAUUGAAUCAUAGUACAAAAUGAAUGCUAGUUUCCUAUCUUUCACUCAGGGCUAUUGCUUACCCUCGUGUAAGCCGUUUGUGUAUAUUUCCGCUAGUGCUUUUCUCUAUUGAUGAAAAUGUACAUGUGAGGAGCCUUGGGCGGACAGGGGAAACUUUGUCUGUUCGGCGUCUGUUUGACGUGCUCGGGUCGGGCCAAAUUGGUAUCGGUCCCGGGGCGUGACACGCCCGUAGGCUGUCUGGCCUGAAGACCCACUCGUAGGCUGUCUGGCCGAUGCCGUGCCUAAUGGCCCUGUGGUAGUCAACAUCCCCACUCUAGGAAUGAGCCUUGACCACGGCAAUCUACUUUGGCGCCCAAUCCCGCACGGUGAGUAUGUAUCGCGAUGGCUAUCUCCGGAGUGCCAGCUUGUAGGGAACGACCCUCACAAGUAUGUGCGAAUGAGCACAAAGGCAAGUAAGCAUAUAUGUCUGUCUCAAGUCUCAAGUCAUCAUGUCUAAAAUAUGGAAUAUAGCAACUGUGUCGAUGGCCUAUCACUAUGUCAUCAUGUUUAAAAUACGGAAUAUAGUCGAUGUCCAAUGGCCUAUCAUUAUGUCUCUAUGUUGCAGUUUCAUAGUUUACUAGCUCAAGUGUCCCUUUAUGACACUUUUGUCCAACAAGUCCAAGCAUGAUUUUUGGUUUUCAUGAAUACAUAAUUUAAGUCAUUUUGAAAAUAGGAGACAAGUUUUUCAAUUGCUAACAUAAAUACUUCUCACAUGCAUGCAAAACACCCAGAAUGCUCUACUAUAUAGAGUGAAAUUUUCAUAAUACAUAAGGCAUGCAUUUAAAUAUUCUAAAAUUCAUAAAAAUUCUAUCUAGCAUGAAUAUGCAUGAAUUUUAACGUUACGACGAGUAUAACACCCAUAGGGGGCACUUUGCCCCGGUUUCAUGGAGUCAAACCCACACAACUCUUGCGACCCUUCGUUAGCUCCGACGAAGGUGCCCACUAGCCUCCUAGCAACCUAAAGGUGUAGAAACAAUAGUUAAAUGGACCUUACGAACAACACAAGGCUCAACAUUAAGCAACUCAUGCAUAAGGGUGAAAAACUCACCGAUUGCGAAGAAAUCCCUUUCGAUCUCCAAAUGGGAGAUAGAGGCCUUCAAAACCAACCUAAACAAAGGUUCUAAACCAAUCAAUUUGGUUCUAGAAGCUACAAAUCCAAAAUCCCCAAAAAUAACCCUAAAUCUCAUUUCUAGGGUUUUAUCUCAAACAAGGCAUCAAAACUCAAAUCUAGAGGAAAGAAACUAGCUACUAACCUCUAGGAUGCAUCAAACCAAGCUCAAAGUCCACAAGCUCCCAAGAUCUUCCCUCAAUCAAGCUCCAAACACGAGCUCCAAGCUUCUCCCAUGGUGAAAGCCAACAAGAAGCAAAGAAACACAAGGAGGAGAAGGUCAAAACGUGCAAAAAUCCAUCAAAAAUGGAGAGGAAUUAAGGGGAAGGGCACUCACCUUUGAUCUCCACUGGUUAGGGCACAAGAAAGCCCUCUAAGGGGGUUGGGGGUAUACCCAUACCGUGAAUAAUCAUCGGUAAAGGUUAUAAAGUAGAGAUGACUACACCUAGCAUGCACAUCAAAUGGCCCACACAUCAGUGUGUAUCAAGAAAAGUAUCUCAGUGGCCCUUUCCCUUUGUCCUACAAAAGGUAAUUUAGUCAAUUUUUCUUGAAGACAAGAUUCACAAACUGGAUAAAACUCUGAAGUCAAUGAGCCGAGAAGCCCAUCUUUAUCCAAUUUAUUGAUCCUUUCUUCUCCAAUAUGACCAAGCCUAAGAUGCCACAUAUACUUUAGGUUUAUNUGAUUCAUGCAAAAUUUGUGGUGCUUCUAGAUGGAAACAUGACAAAUAUAGUAGGGAAAUUAAACAUAAAGCAAAUGGUAAAAGAAUACCAUUGAAGUCAUUACGUUAUUUUCCAUUAAAAUCUAGACUUCAAAGGUUAUUUAUGUCAACAAAAACAGCUUCUUUUAUGAGGUGGCAUUUUGAUAAAAGAGUAGAUGACGGAGUGAUGCGGCACCCAGCUGAUUCAAUGGCAUGGAAGUCUUUUGAUGAACUGCAUGAAUCAUUUGCAUUAGAGCCUCGUAAUGUGAGACUCGGUCUUGCUAGCGAUGGCUUUCAGCCAUUUGGAGAUUCAAGAAAACCAUAUAGUAUAUGGCCAGUAAUACUAAUUCCCUACAAUCUACCUCCAUGGAUGUGUAUGAAGCAAUCUAAUUUUAUUUUAUCAAUGCUUAUUCCAGGACCUGAGAGUCCUGGUGAUGCAAUCGAUAUCUAUCUCCAACCGUUGAUAGAAGAGUUGAAGGAACUAUGGGAAGUAGGGGUUGAAACAUUUGAUGCAUCAACACGACAAAAUUUUCAAUUACAUGCAGCUUUGUUGUGGACAAUUAAUGAUUUUCCUGCUUAUGGAAAUUUAUCUGGAUGGAGUACAAAGGGAAAACUAGCAUGUCCUUGUUGCAAUAAGAAUACUUUUUCUAUUAGGUUAACCAAUGGUAGCAAGCAAUGUUAUAUGGGCCAUCGACGAUAUUUGCCUAGCAAGCACAAAUGGAGGAAUGAUGAAUAUUCUUUUGAUGGCACGAAGGAGAGAGGUUGUGCACCAAAGCUAUUUAACGGAGAUGAAAUCUUGGAACAAGUGCAAGAUCUUGAAGGGAUCAUAUUAACAAAAGCUGCUAAUAAAAGAGUAAAAAUAUCACAUAGCAAUCGGGGUGAUAAUUGGAACAAGAAAAGUGUAUUCUUUGAACUUCCUUAUUGGAGAACUCUUUUGUUGCGACAUAAUUUGGAUUUAAUGCACAUUGAGAAGAAUAUAUUUGAUAAUAUACAUGGCACACUUAUGAAUAUCAAGGGAAAAACUAAGGACACAAUGAAAUCCCGUCUCGAUUUGCAAGCAAUGAAUAUAAGACCAGAAUUAUAUCCAAUCCGAAAAGGGGAUAAGUUUGUUUUCCCUGCUGCCUCUUACACAUUAUCGCCAAAUGAGAAGCAUACAUUUUGCCUUUUUCUUAAGCAAUUAAGAGUUCCAGAUGGCUUCUCCUCAAAUAUAUCUCAUUGUGUAAAUCUUAAAGAACAUAAAAUUUCUAGAUUGAAAAGUCAUGAUUGUCAUAUUAUGCUGCAACGCCUACUUCCUCUUGCUUUAUGUGGUCUUGUUCCUAAAGAAGUUUAUGAACCACUUAUUGAAUUAUCUUUAUUUUUCACUGUGGUUGGCUCUAAGACACUCAAGGCAGAUGAUUUGGAUCAGAUAGAAGCUCAUAUUCCAAUAACUCUUUGUAAAUUAGAGAGAAUUUUUCCUCCUUCAUUUUUUGAUAUUGUGUUGCAUUUGCCAAUUCAUCUAGCAAACGAAGCUAGGAUUGGAGGACAGAGCCAAUAUAGGUCAAUGUACUCUAUUGAGCGUCACUUGUAUACUCUAAAAGGGUUUAUACGCAAUAGAGCUUGUCUAGAGGGUUCAAUCGCGGAAGGCCACAUUGCAAAUGAAUGUAUGACCUUUUGCUCAAGAUAUCUUCAUGGCAUUGAGACAAAAUUUAAUCGUCAUGAGCGAAAUUAUGAUGGUAGAGAUAGCACAUCUGAUGAAGGUUUAUCUAUUUUUUCUCAACUUGGUAAAGCACUAGGAGCCGGUACUAUAUAUGAUCUUGAUGGAAAUGAGUUCGAGCAAGCACAACUUUAUAUUUUAAAGAAUUGUCAUGAAGUUCAACCAUUUCUCGAGUAUGAUUUCAUUGUUCAUGAACACUACUUUUUUCUUUUAUUUCAAUUUCUUAUGUAUAUAAUAAGUUCAUUUAUGCUGUUAUGCAGAGAAUACUCACAAACUCAUUGUAAUAGAGGAUUAGAAUUGUGUGAUAAGAACUUUAUUGAAUGGUUUAAGAUUAAGGUAAGCUCACUUUUAAUUAGAAAUUUUUGUCGAUCAAUAUUUGCAAUAUAUGUAGAACGCAAUAUGUUUAAUUUAUUAUUCGCCUUGUAGGUAGCGCAUUUAUAUAAGCAAGACAAAAGCUUGAUCAUGGAACACAUGCUUUCUUUGUCACGUGGCCCUACUAAAUAUGUCACAUGCUAUAAUGGUUAUCUAAUAAAUGGAUAUAGGUUUCGGAUAGAAGAUUGUGACAAAAGCUUAAAGACACAAAAUUAUGGGAUGGUUGUUGUUGGUGAUGCUGGUGCAGAAACUGAAAAACGAGAUUACUAUGGGCUCUUGACGAAGGUCAUUGAAUUACAAUACGUUGGAGGUCAUUGAGUAGCAUUGUUUCGAUGUAAUUGGUAUGAUGUAUAUGAUAGAGAAAAAGGAAUCAAAACAGAUGAAUAUGAGAUUGUUAGCAUUAAUUGCCACAGAUUAUUGAAAACAAAUAAGCCCUUUGUGUUAGCUAAUCAAGCAUCACAAGUGUUUUAUGCUAUCGAUAACAUUAAUAAAGGAUGGCAUGUUGUGCAGAAGACUCAGCCUCGUGACUUAUAUGAAAUGCCACUACAAAAGGAUGCAGAUUCUGAAGAUGUUCAAGAUGGAAUUGAUGCAUAUCAAGAAUAUGAAUCAUUCACUCCUAUCAAUAAUUUAUCCACUUUACUAUAGAGCCAGUGAUGAUUGAUGCAGUUUCCACACGAAAGGAGAGAAAACGAAGAUCAUAAAAGAAUGAACGCAUAUUUGUUUGUCUUUGAAGACAUAAUGGUUUUGUAUAUGACAUUUCUUUUACUUGUAUGCAAAUAUAUUUAUUUUUGUUUAUGAGUUUAAUUUAAUUUUGGAUGAAUUGUUCACUAUUAUAUUUUAAUAAUGAACUAAAAUUUCUAAUUAUCUUUAUAGGAUGCAGCCGCCAAAAUCACGAAACGGGAAUGAUUCCACUUUUAGAGGAGAUAAGCUUAUGUUUAUACCACCGGGUGCAUUGGGCAAGGGGCGCGCACAAAUUGGUUUAAGAUCUUUCUAUUCCUUACGACCGUCGACGUCGCAAAGUGAAAGUGUAGGGGCUAAUACUACACCAUCGCUUCAUACUCCUAUUGUGCAAUCAAAUGAUAUCUCCCUUCCUCAAGAUUUUGAGCCUAUGGAAGAAGCGCAUAUUGGAGAAGAAUCAAGGGAAGCUGGUAUAACUUCUCUCCUUUUGUUUUACAUAUAUGUUUGUCUUUAUGCAUUUAUUUAAUCUUUAUGCGCUUAUGUGUACUAUAUCAUCGGUUAUUUUUCAUUAGCCAUUUACAUAUAAGGACUAUUAGUAAUGCAUAUUUUUACUUUUCUUUUUCUAUUCCUAGAUUCUAUAAGUGUUCCAAAGAAGAGGAAUGUGCGAGGUAAAAACAAGUGUAAGGAAGUCGCAAAGUUGAAAAGUGGAAAAAAAUUGGGCGUGAAAUUCUACAAUAAGCGCGUUAUUGGAAAGAAUCAUAGGGUAUUUUCAAGGCACUUAGGAAGAAUCGUGCGCGAUCACAAUAUUUGUCCACUUCGUGUGCACUCAUGGAAGGAGAUUGGAGAUGAAGAAAAGGAAUAUAUGUGGGCUACGGUGACGGUAAAAUUAUUUAAUUUAAUAUCAGUUUGAGUUGAUCAUUAAAUUAUUCCACCACAUGUAUAAGUUUGGACUUACAAUUAUAAGUUUUACAAAUAUAUAUAAAUAUGAUUUGAACUUGAAGGAUAAAUUUGAGAAUAUCCAAAAAAUGGAGAGUUUCCGUGAAAUAUCCUAGCUCAUAUGAAUGAUUUGUGGAAACAAAUGGAGAGGGAGAUUUUGCACGCAAAUAAUGUAAAAACCAUGCAGUACUUAUUGCAAGAGAACUUUAAGAAAUAUUCCUGAAGAUGAUUGAUGCGACUGAGGAUUGAUUGUUAGUAAAGGAACAUUCUCAAGUAAUAAGUUUCUGUAUGCUUUUGUUCUUCUUUUUUGUCAUUAGAAUUGAAUUAUCGGUAUAAACUUAUUUAUCCUGAAAGAGACUUCCUUGUACAUUGCCUAUAUUUUGAAUUUUUUUCCUUCUAUAUAAAUAUAGGGCGCAAGUGAAACAGAACUCUGGCAAUAGAGCAAAGUUAACAGUCCUCAUCGUACAGGUAGUAAGCCAAAUUCGUCAAGUUAUUUGAAAAAGUAAUAGAAAGUUAACAUUAUAUCCUUUUUGAUAUUUAAUUUUUGUAUUAAUAAAUAUAAUUUGAGUUGAUUUUAUUACAAAAGGGAGGCAAAGUCGGUCAACCGCCAAGCUUAGCAACUAUAUUUUUUGAGACUCGAAAAAAGGGUGGCAAUUUAGUUGGUGAAGACACUAUAAAGCAAUAUGUAUGUGGAAUAUAUGUUUCAUUUUAGUUUUAUCGCAUUUAAUGCAUUAUCAACUUACUAUUUUUUUUCUUAUUUCUUGAAGGAAAAAAUUGUUACUGCUACUCAAUCAGGACCAUCCUCAUCUAAUAUAGAGUUAGUUGAAGAAUGUUUUGGGCCACAACGUCAUAAUCAUAUUAUUUGCCAUGGCGAUGGCUUAAAGCCUAACGACUUGAAGACUAUUGGAACUAGAGCUGAACUCCAGGCUAAGCUUCGUGAAACUCAAAAAGAAAAUGAUUCGCUUUAAAGCCGUAUGGAUGAAAUGGAAGCCGAAAUAAGAAUGAUUAAAGAAAUAUUUCAACGCCAACAUUCCAAUGGUCCACCUCCUCCUUCAUCCGAAGGAUAAACAAUGUAAUCUUAUUUAAAUUAAUUAGCAUAGUUUUUGCACGUUUAUAUUAGUACACAAAAGUUAUUUUAGAUUUUAUGAGUUGUUUAUUUACUUUAUUAUUCAAAAUUCAUUUGCAUGGCUUACUUUUACAUUAUUUUAACAUCUAUUCUUUUUCUCUUUUGUAGGUAGUUCAUGGUAAUUUUUGGGACAAAAGGACGAUGAAUUGCAAGUUCUCUUUUUUGUUUUUAAGUUGACCUUUUUUUAGAAAAUGGUGAUAGUCGUUGAUGUUAGGACUCUAUUUUUUUGUUGUGAAUGUUGACUAUAUGUGAUGGUGUGAUGGAAACCGUAUGUACUAACUAGGUGAAUGUACUUGGUGAAUGUUUUGGGAAAAAUAUGAAUAUUGUGGUGCUAAUUACUUUAAACUGUUAAUGAAGUUUUAUUAUAAGUUUAUAAAUUAUGGAUUUGUUGUGAGUUGUAUGUGUGUGUAUGUAUUUACAUCAUUGUGUAUGCAAAUUGUUUAUGUGGUUAAAAGUAAUAAAUUUGUCAAAAAUAAAAUAUGAGCAAAUACAAUAUUUGUAUCAUUAACGACGGGAAAAAUGGUCGUUGUUAUGUUGUCUUCUUUUACUUGUGAAAUGCUUUUAACGACAAAAAAUGUAGUCGUUAGUUAUACUAGCUACGAAAUCUUUGGUCGUUACUGUAAAGUGAAGUGGUUACUAAUGUAGCUAAAUAACGACGACAAAAGAUGUGGACGUUAAUAAUUUAUAACGACUAGUGGUUCAUUUUGGUCGUAAUUGUUUUUAACGAAGGAAGCUUUUACGACGGGUCACGACGGAUAAAUUGUCCGUCGUUAUUGAUAUUUAACGAUGGAACUAUGGGUUUACAACGACGGUAUUCCCUUUCGUUAAAUGAGAUAUUUCCUGUAGUGUUGAGAGUUGUACCCGUAUAUGUAUAGAGACCACCUUUCUUUUGGAUCUUGGUAUUUCUUUUGAGGAGUUAGUAUUGUAUCACCUUAUGCUUUACUUUCUUUGUCUAGUUAUGUUUCUUUUACUCUGGUUUAGAUGAUAGAACUUUACUCGCUCUGAUAUCGUUAGUUGUUAUUAUUCUAUUUGUUUUAUCUCUUACUUUACUUCCGCUUUUUAUUGUAGACGCCUUAUAUGUGUAGACAUAUGGCGGGUCUGGGCACGCUACCGGGAGGGCCUCCGCCGGUCCCGGGGCGUGACAGAUUAAUUUGGUAUCAGAGCCUAGGGUUGAGUCUUAGUGGACCUAGCGAACCUUAGGCCGGUUGGACUAUAGGAAUUAGGCUCGUGAGAGACGAGGUCUAAUUGACUUGUGAGCGAAAGUAUUUCGAUUGGGUUUAUGAUAACUCUAAAAAGUUAGAGUUUGAUCGGAGUGUAUGGCUUCUAACUUCGCGGAGGGUUACGUUGGCGGCCGACAACGUAACAUCGGGAGUUAGUAGUGAAGGACACUUCCUUACUUUCGCAUGAUUUGGGGUUUUAUCUAUUUGAGCGGGGAUGCGAUAGCGUGGGUUACUAACUUGCGCUUUUAUGUUUUGUAGUGACGAUGCCGAUUACACGCUCCCAGUCUGCCGGGGCGGAUGAUGCGGCACACCCCGAGGAGGUCGAGACCUCCGCUACUUCCGGAUCUAGUGAGGUCCGUGACUUGAGGGCCCAGCUUGCGGUUCUCACUGAUCUGUUGGCGCAGCAGACGGCAGCGGCGCAGCGACAGGCUGAGGUGGCUCAGCGGCAGGAGGCGCGGAUGAAGCAUCUUGAGGACCUCCUACUUCAGCAGACAGCAGCCUCGAGGGAGACCCAGGGCCCCACACCGCCAGCACCUGUGGUGGAUGUCGCACCGAGGGCGCAGUCCCCCGCGCCCAGUUCCUCACGUGCGGCACCGGCGACCGCACCUCGGGAGGAGGUGGCUGCGGCACUACCAGUUCAGAGACCGGCCACGGGAGCGGCAUUCCCCGUGAUGGCCGAGGGAGCCGAGCGGGAUCGGCUCAUGGAUCGCCUCAGUGAGUUCAGGAGGUGCAGCCCGAGGAUCUUCGAUGGCGAGAACGUCGACCACUGGAUUGUUGAGAAGUGGUUGAUGCAUAUGGAGAAGCUAUUUCGAGAUACCUUCGUUGAGGAGAAGGACAGGGUUUGGCUCGCCACUCACUUUCUGGACGGCGAGGCCUAUCGUUGGUGGUUGGAUAUCGAGGACAACCCCAGCACCGACUUGACAGCGAUUACUUGGACGAGGUUCAAUGAGCUCCUUCUGGCACACUACUUCUCGACCAGUGCCAAGAGGAAGAUGGAGCAGGAUUUGCGCAGCUUGCGCCAGGACGAGCGGUCAGUGGCCGAGUACGAGAGAGAGUUUUCUCGGCUACUCCACUGUGUACCUUUUGUGGUCCGGGACGAUGAGGACAAGGCCCGCAUCUUUGAGCGUGGAUUGCGGCCUUCGAUCUUUCGGUUGGUGCAGUCCUCCAACCUCCAAACCUACCGGGAGGUUGUGGACCGUGCACUCAUUGUGGACGCUGGAGCGGCAGACCUUCAGGAGCGUCGCGAGGCCCUAGACAAGGGCAAGGGAAAGAGGCCCGCGGCUGAGGGUGCGAGUCAGACGCACUCACGGAGGCCGCCAAGGCAUCCCAGGAGCCGGAGCCAGUCGCGAGGACGUGGCCAGUCUACUCAGCGAGGAGGACCCGAUCGCCGUCAGGCUCUCCGUUGCGUGAUCUGUGGUGGUCCCCACUACCCGCGACAGUGUUCACGCAGCCAGGGCAGGUUCUUCUUGUGUGGCCAGGAGGGCCACUUCCAGUCGGACUGCCCGAGAGGUUCAGCGCCAGCGCCAUCUUCGGCAUCUGCACCAGCAUCACUAGGUCCCAGCCAGGGGACAUCUUCUGCGCAUCACUAGGCAGGACGGCCGCCAGUUCAGCGGCAGGGGGAUGGGUCACGACAGGCCCCGAGUGGGCGCAUGUAUGUGGCCCAGACUGAGGAGACGGCGGCAGCCGAGAAUGUGGUCGCAGGUAUCAUUUUACUUUAUGGUAUUCGAGUUAGAGCAUUAUUUGAUACCAGUGCAUCGCAUUCAUUUAUAGAUCGGCUGUUUGCCGAGUUGCAUAGCAUCCCACUUGUAUCCUUGUUGCAUCCAGGACGAGUUGUUAUACCCGAUCAUUCUUUGGACAUUCGGGAGUUUUGCCGCAGUUGCCCUGUUCGGGUUGGAGAUUGGAUCAUGCCCGUGGACUUGCUAGCCUUGCAUAAACUCGGGGAGUUUGACGUUGUGUUGGGCAUGGAUUGGUUGACUAAGUAUUUCGCCACUAUCGAUUGCAAGAAUCGGACGGUAACGUUUAGAGAGCCGGGGCAGGCGGAGGUUGUGUACCGAGGAUGCCAGAGUUCGCUGUUUGCGAUGACGAUUAGCUCCUCUCGAGCUAGGCAGUUGAUUAGUAGAGGCUGCGUAGCCUACUUGGCUACUGUUGUGUUGCGGGGUGUGGAUGACACCCCUAGGAUUGAGGAUAUCCCCGUAGUACGGGAGUUUGGAGACGUGUUCCCAGCGGAGCUUCCAGGCAUGCCACCUGAUAGGGAGAUUGAGUUUGUGGUAGAUCUCGUUCCCGGGACUACUCCAAUCUCAAAGGCACCCUAUAGGAUGGCACCAGCCAGAAUUGAAGGAGUGAAGGCCACAGUUUGCGAUCUUCUGGACAGGUUUUGUGCGACAGAGUUUCAUGUGGGAGAAGUCUUGUUUGUAAGAAGAGGAUGGUCACUUCGCUUUGUGCUGUGGACUUCGGUAUUAAUAAGUCUACUUAAGACAGAUAUUACGAGGAUUUGAUGCUCUAUUUGAUCAGAUCGGGAUUUGUGUAUACUCUCCAAGAUGACUUGCAGUCGGAUACAUCAGUUGAGAUCAGCUGAGAUGUGUCCGAAGCGGCUUUUGACCGGUAUGACAUUACGGUUAGUUAUGGCGUUUGGCUUACUUAAUGCCCGAGUUUUAUGGAUUUAAUGAACUGUGUUUUCAAGCUUUAUUUUAGACAGAGUUUUCGUGGUGUUCAUCGAAAUUUGGUCUGAUUCGCAGUGAUGUGGACAGAGGAACUUGAGAUGUGAUUCGUAUUAGGGAAGAACUCAUGCCAAUGAAAGUGUGAUUUUGGUUAGAGAGGUGCGUUUUUGUGUUAUUUGAUUUUGGAUCAGGCUAGCGUGGCACGGCGAAAUUGAAGCUAUAAGGUUGGCGAGGCGCGGCUGUGGAGAUAAGGUAGUUCAUUGUUUGCGGCUAUUCCGACGAUUCGUGGAAGGUAGUUUGCAAAUUUAUUUUCUAUCCCUCCGAGACUCAGCAUAAGGGCACCAGUUUAUUUGACUAUGCAUGGUGAAAGAUGCUUCAAGAGUUGAUGAGCGCGAUUGACGAUGCCCGAUCCUUAUUUUGGAGCUGUGAAGCAGGGUCGUGAUUUAUGGUGAUGCUUUCUUUUGGAUUGGCAUAAUGUGUUUUGAUUGCAGGACGGGAAAGCUGAUCGGUUAUGUUUUCCGCCAUUGAAGGGAAUAUGAAAGGAAUUCACCAUGAUUAGAGUUGCCGGCCGUGUGGUCUUGCUUUGAGCUUUGGGCAUUAUGCUGUAUGGCCGGCGAUGCGAAGUAUAUACGGAUCACAAAAGCUUAAAGUAUCUAUUCACUCAGAAGGAGUUGAACUUGAGGCAGCGCAGAUGGUUGAAGCUACUCAAGGAUUAUGAUUUGACGAUACUUUACCACCCGGGUAAGGCUAACGUGGUGGCGGAUGCGCUAAGUAGGAAAUCGACUAAGAACUUAGCAGCGAUGCUUGUGGUUACUCAACCGCCGUUGAUCGAGCAGAUGAAGCGGUUGGAGUUGGAGGUGGUGACUCCUGAUACACCUUUGAGACUGAUGACUUUGGUGGUGCAACCUACACUUAUGGAAAGGAUUAAAGAAAAGCAAGCUUCCGACUCGGAGUUACAAAAGAUUCGAACUAAGAUGGUUGAUGGUUGCGCCGGUGACUUCACUCUAGACGGUGAUGGAUUGAUGCGUUUCCGCAGACGACUUUGUGAACCGGCGGACUUGGGCAUUAAAGAGGACAUUCUUCAAGAAGCACACCGAGCACCGUACGCUAUACAUCCGGGAGGCACCAAGAUGUACAAGGAUUUGAAAUCACUUUAUUGGUGGCCCGGAAUGAAAAAAGAUGUUGGUGAGUUUGUUGCUAGAUGUUUUACUUGCCAACAGGUGAAGGUUGAGCACCGAGUUCCUGCAGGGAAGUUGCAGAGCCUACCGAUUCCAGUGUGGAAAUAGAAAAAGAUCACUAUGGACUUCGUGAUGUGACUGCCUCGCUCAAAGGCCGGGCAUGACGCUAUUUGGGUGAUCGUGGAUAGAUUGACGAAAUCAGCACAUUUCAUACCUAUCCACACUACUUGGACGGGUGAGAGACUCGCACAGGUUUAUUUUGAUGAGAUUGUGCGAUUGCACGGGGUACCUACUUCAAUAGUAUCGGAUCGAGACCCUCGUUUUGUAUCCUAUUUUUGGAGGAGCCUACAGGACGCUUUGGGUACACGCUUGGAUUUCAGCACUGUUUUCCACCCCCAGAGUGACGGGUAGUCGGAGCGCACUAUACAGACUCUCGAGGACAUGCUUCGAGCCUGCGUGAUUGACUUCCAGGGAGGAUGGUCGCAACAUCUACCGAUGGCAGAGUUUGCUUAUAACAACAGUUAUCAAGCAAGCAUCAAGAUGGCACCGUUCGAGGCACUCUAUGGACGAAAAUGUAGAUCGCCACUUCAUUGGAGUGAAGUUGGUGAGAGAUUGGCUUUAGGCCCUGAUGUGCUCCAGGAAGCAGAGGACAAGGUUCGUAUUGCUCGGGAGCGAUUGUUGACGGCCCAGAGUAGGCAGAGGUGUUAUGCUGAUCGGCGUCGACGAGACUUGGAGUUUCAGAUUGGAGAUCAUGUCUUCUUGAAAGUCUCGCCGACUCGAGGGAUUAGAAGGUUUGGAAUCCGGGGUAAGUUGAGCCCCCGAUACAUUGGACCGUAUGAGGUUUUAAAGCGUGUAGGCCCAGUAGCGUAUCGACUCGCUCUACCGCCAAACCUAUCGGGUGUACACAAUAUAUUCCAUGUAUCGGUCCUUCGGAAGUACAUCCACGAUCCGGCUCAUGUUUUGGACACUACGCCUUUGGAGCUGAGGGAGGACUUGAGCUUUGAGGAGCAACCUUUGCGGAUUUUGGCUCGCGAAGUAAAGAGAUUGCGAAAUCAUGAGAUCCCCUACGUGAAUGUGCUUUGGAGCAACCACGACGAGCGCGAGGCCACUUGGGAACUGGAGAGCGCACUGCGGGAGCGCUAUCCCCAUCUUUUUCAGAUGGAGGCUUGAGGUACUUUGUUUGUUUUGAGUUUCGCGGACGAAACUCCUUUUUAGGAGGGGUGAAUGUAACGCACUGGACCUUCGCAAAUUGCGAGGUUCGAGUGACUGGAUGGGUUUCGAGCUUUUCCACACUUGGUGGAGGGUCGUAGAAUGUUUUCCAACCUAAAAAAUUCGAAAACCUAAAUUCUGGACGAGUCCUGAGAGUUUUCACUCUCGGGGACCGGUCCUUGAAAGGAGAGACCGGUCCCCCAGUGAACAGUGUUACGGCAGCCUUGAGGCAACCGGUCCCUGGCGGGCGAGACCGGUCCCCAAGCGCGUCUACGCAGUGAGAGACUGGUCCCGCGCAGGGAGAGACCGGUUCACGAACGUUGGUUUCUCGGGUUCGCAGCGAGAGACCGGUCCCUGCUGGGGAGAGACCGGUCCCUCUGGGCGAAAACUGCCCAGACCGGGCUAUUGCAAUAUUGGAUUUUUGGGGGGCCUCACUGGAUUUUGUUACACUAGAUGGGCUUAUUAGCCAUUCCACCCUCUUUCCUUCCUCAUUUCCUCACUCUCACCCUCUCCCUACACUUUCUAGAGAGAGAAGAAGAAGAAGGAGGAGGAGAAGAGGAGGAGGAGCUUGCUUGAGGAGGCUUGGAGCUUCACCCCUUUCCCCCUUUCCACCUUUGCAAGGCUUGGAGCUUGCUUGUAGAGCUUGGUGGUGGACCAAUCUUCAACCCUAGGAGAUUUGGAGCUUGUUUGGAGGCAUCUUGGGAGGUUAGUACUUGGAUUCUACCCUUUGAUCCUUGAUUUGGUAGGUUUUACCAUAUGGAACCCUAGAUUUGAUGCUUAGGGUUUGAUUUUGGGGCUUUUUGAUCUAGGGCUUUUGGAGCUAGAUUGUUUGGAUUAGAACCUUCCUUGAGCUUGGAUUGGAAGGGAUUUAGCUCUCUUUUGGAGUUUGAGAGAGAUUUUCCACUCCUUAGGUGAGUUUUAACCCUUUUGCUAUAAUUGUUAAUGUUUGAACCUAUAGUUGAUCGUAAUACCCGUGUAUCUCUUCGCCCAAUACUUUUAGGGUAUUUGGAGACUCGUGGACAACUCCGUUCGGCAAAUCGAAGGAGCACGAGACAAUUUGGUGGGUUUGACCUAGCCACACAAUGAGAAAAUCUCAUUGUUGAUGAUUUAAGUGUUAUAAAAUGAAAAAGCAUGCAUAUUCUUGUUAUAUGUAUUUAUUGUGAAUUUUAGAAUGCUUAAAAUGCCUAUGUUGCAUAUAGUAAAAUUUUGGGCCUCUAUGUAGUAGAGAGCAUGCAUGUGGGAUAUAGCAUUCUGGUUGAGAUUUGAAACUAAGAUCCCUAUUAUGAAAAUGAACCUUGCUUUCAUGCAUUUAGCUUAUUUGCCAAUUGUGACAUUAGGGAUUUUUGGAAGCCUAGAGAGGCUUGAGGACUUAGACUAUUUGAGAGAUUGGGCCAAUGUCAUAAAGAGGCAUUGGGCCCGGGCUAAAGUGAACCUUGCUAGUAUUGUUUUAAUUGGAAUAUGGAACAUGAAUUGGGCAUGAUUAGUUGUGAUGCUUAAGUGUCAUAAAGAGGCACUAAGCAAGUGUGUGCGUUGGAGCGUCACUUUGAGACUUUGGACUAGAUCCUUGGGAUGCUAGUGACCUUGCCAUGUGAGAGGCAUGAGAGUAGAGUACUUGAGACUUUGACCUUGCUUGUUUGCCAUUUGUGCUCAUUCGCACAUGCUUGUGAGGGUCGCUCCCUACAAGCCGGCACUCCGGAGUUAGCCUACGCGACUUAUGUUCGCUCGUGCGGUAUUGAGAAGCCUACGGGGUCGAGUGGGACAGACACAUUCCAAGAGUAGGGAUGUUGGGCUACCACAGGCACUUAGGCGGCACAAGCUGGACUACCUUUGGUAGGUCCUUAAUUGGAAAUGGAAAUCGACACGGUGUUAAGAAUGAAUAAUCACUGCUAGAUAGGCUUAGUAGUUGGGUUACUUGACACGCUCAUGACAUAGCAUUGGGAUAUAUAUAGUAUACUUGCCUGUUUCAUUCAUUGUGUCAUAGUAUACUGGGUCGCAUGAUAGAGCUCAUUCUUUAUGCAUGACAUCUUGGACAGUAGCGUUUACUUGUUGCCAUCGGACGUACUUAUUGAUGCUAGAGUAGAUGUACAUCAUACUUACAUCAUGCUUACUUGAGACAUAGUAAUAUAGCAUUUCAUAUAGGCUUUCUUUCAGCAGUUAUUGUACACGCUCUUUAUUGCUUAUUAUUAUUGUCGUUACUUACCCUUUUCUUUUGGGGCCUAGUGGUGCAUUGAGCUGAGGUCAGUAAUUGCCCACUGGGAACUAUAAAUUAUAGUUCUCACGCCCUCUGUUUUGUGUUUUCUUUCAGAGCCUCCUACGCCGGGAGAGGCUAGGGACCGAGGGAAGGGCGUGGCUUCGAGCUAGCUCUUCAGUGAGUGAUGAGUCGCUAGGUGGUCUACCUCUCGAGCUAGCUCUUUAGCCGUUUACUAAGUCCAAUGCCUCUUUAUGACAUUGUUGUUUUCUAUGUUUAGCAUAUGUUCAUUGUUCAUAAGCAAGGAAAAGCUUGUCAUAUCACUAAAUAUAGCAUGAUUUCUAAUAUAUCAUGAGAAUGCCAUUUCACAUGCAAUUUACUAUGCAAUUUUCUCCCUACUACAUAGGGGUUAUACAACAUGAUACAUAACAUAUGCAUUUUAAGCCUUCUAAAAUUCUAUUAUGCUCUAUUUAGAAUGAAUAUGUAUGAUUUGCCAUUUUUAAAACAUAAAAGAUAACAUAGGGGGAGUUUACCUAUUUCGGUGAGAUCAAACCUACCGAGAACUCCUGGUAUCCCCUUCGUUUGCGCGAACGAGGAUGUCCACUAGUCUCCUAGCUCCCUAAAGAAAAUUCUAAGAGGGUUAGGAGCAAUGAACGAACAUCCCACAAGCUAAUCUUUAACCACCCCAUAAAGAGGUCAAAACUCACCUUAAAUGGUAGAAAACCCUCCCAAAAUCUAAAUAAGAGCUAGAGCACUUCUAUUCCAACCUAGAAGAAGGUUCUACGCCUAUCAAUUUAGCCCCAAAGGCUACAAAUCAAAAACCCCCAAAAGAAACCCUAAUAUCUCAUAUCUAGGUUUUAUCUCAAAAAAUCUACAAAAAUAUGAUCCAAAGGAGGGAUUAAGAUUACUAACCUCUGAACAAACUCCAAGCCAAGCUAGAAAUGAGCUAAGGUUGAAGAUUUAUCCUCUAGUAAGCUCCAAUCCCCAAACCAAGGCUUCUCCAAGGUGGUCAAACCAACAUAAAGCUAAGAGGAGAGGAAAUGAGAGAUCAAACCAAGCUAAAUCCAUAAGAAAAGGGAGAAAAUCAAGAGAGGGGAGCUCUCACCUCUGGUCUGCACUGUUUAGGGCUCAAAAGAGCUCUCAUGGGGCUGUGGGGAGUUAUAUAGAGUUGUAACAAUUCCAAAAACACCCCUAAAAAAUGUGUAGACUGCAUCUGCACUGCGUACCGGUAUUCGGGCUUGCGUACCGGUAUCCGGGCUGGAGUACCGGUACCCCGCAGCCGAGUGCGCACAACCCGAGCCUCGGUCAAGCGAGAAAACACACAGGGUACUGGUACCCUCGCGAUGCAGUACCGGUACCAGGUCCAGUACCGGUACUCAGGCAAUGCAGUACCGGUACUGUCACGCCCCGCGACCGCUACCAAUUUGGCACGGCUCGGGCGCGUCGAACAGACGCCGAACGGACAGCACCUUCCCUGUCCGCCCAAGGCUCAACAACGAGAGUGUGUACAAGAAUUUACCCAGGAUAUUAAAUUCAAUACAUACACAAUCAACGGGCACAACCAGUGCAAACAAUAAAAGAGCAAGAGUCCACAAGCAUACACGAGUGAAAUAAAGAGAGUUUACUAACUAUUACAUCACAUUUGCAUUCUUUAUACAAUUACAUUUUCUUUCCCAAAAUGAAUACAUGCUCAUCAAGUACAUAGCUCUCCAAAGUCCUCACUUACAUGAAUCUCUCUCAAAUACAUAGGUGUGCUAAUGCAAAAGGAAAGCUACUACUCUACUAAAAAUCCUCACUGGUCGGGCGCGAUGCCCUUGUCGCGGUCCUCGCCCGGCAAACCUGUACCUAGCCCUGGAAGUAAAGUGGGGUGAGAACUAUCUUCCAUAGUUCCCAGUGGGCUCGGCCGCCGACUCCGCCGAUCUCCCCACUAGGUCCAAGUAGGCAAAAGUAACAACGAAACAGAUAGAUACAUAUAUAUUAAAACUGUAAAGACAUAAUAGGAAAGCUAUACUACUAUGCCCAAUAUCAUGUGAAAUGAAUGCAUGCAUCAUUUAGUAAAAGUUCACUAUCAUGCUAACAAGUUCGAUCCAUGUUCGAUAAGCAAUGUUCGAUGACAAUAUUAACUUUUCAUUUACCCAAUCUGCGGCGAAAUCCUUGGGUUUGCCUACGCCUCAUAUAUCCAUCCCAUAAGGUAAGGAGGCUCUAUGUGCCCCCGAACCCGGGACUGUCUGCGGACAUCAAUCUGUCCUUAUCGCCCGACACUCCGGAGUACUCGACGACCAAUCCUCUCCAUGUGAGGAUAUGGAUGGCUUUACCACCCCGAAUAACAGACCGUGAGCUUGAUUAUCCUCUCGACGUAAGGAUACCCUACGAACCAGGGCCAACAUUCCCUAGGAACUCAUCUAUUCCGGCAUUCAUGCAUAAUUACUUAGCUAUAUUGUCACGCCCCGAGACCCGGCAUAGACCCGCCCGGUGCGUGCCCAGAUCCGCCAUAUGCCUGCACAUAUAAGGCGUCUACAACAAAAGCGAUAAAUAAUCUGUGGUACAAACAUCUAGAGAUAUCAGAGUUAGUAUACUACUAAGUUCUAACAACAAGUUGAGUCGAAAGAGAACUAAACAACUAAAGCAUAAAGUAAACUAAUACAUCAUAAAUCUCAAGAUACAAAAACAGGGUAGUCUCUAUAACCAGAUACAAAACUCUCACAACCUCUCCAAAAGAAAACAAAAGGGAGGUGAACCACCUAUCACCAAGUCCCUCGAUAGCUAACUCGAGGCGAAACCUUUCCCGCGAUCCCGAGCCUCUCCCAGAGUGGAAGGCUCUGAAAGAAAAUAUAAAACAGGGGGCGUGAGUACUAUAAUUUAUAGUUUCCAGUGGGCAAUUACUGAUCUUAGCAAAAUGUACCGCUAGGCCCAAAUCAAAAGCAGAUAUGGAUAACAGAAAUUAACUGCGGUAAAUAAAGCAUAUAGUAAAAUGCUAUUCUACUAUGCCAUAAGUAAUCGGGAUAUCAACAUGGAGUCCAUCUACUCUAUAUGAUCCAAAUAUGCCAAUGCAUAGCAAUUAUGUUCUAUCAUGGCUACCAAGUAUAUUAUGAUGCAACAGGUAAUACUAUGAAGUAUACUAUAUGUCCCAAAGUCCAACACAUAUCUAGUAUGUACUAUCAUGGCAAUUAAGGGUACCACUAUUCCCAAUGUCAACUGAAUCCAACUACGAUAUACAAUCAAGUAGUGUUUAUCACUUAUUGUUUACUGUUCUAGUCAAUGUCCACAUGGCAUGUCACUACUUUAAAGUCUCAAUCUUGUAAGACUCGCCCGUAGGAUGUCUGGACUGAAGACCCACCCGUAGGCUGUCUGGCCUGCACCGUGCCUAAUGGCCCCGUGGUAGUCAACAUCCCUACUCUAGGAAUAAGCCUUCCCCACGGCAUCCCACUUCGGCGCCCAAUCCCGCACGAGCGAGCAUAUGUCGCGAUGGCUAUCUCCGGAGUGCCGGCUUGUGGGAAGCGACCCUCACAAGCAUGUGCGAAUGAGCACAAUUGGCAAGAAAGCUUAUAAGUCCGUCUUAAAUCCCAAGUCAUCAUGUCUAAAACAUGAAAUGUAGCAUAUGUCUCAGUGGCCUGUCACUAUGUCAUCAUGUCUAAAACAUGAAAAUACUCACUAGCAACCCAUAGGUCUAAUCUAUGCCUCAAGUGAAGGUUUACUAAGUUCACUAUGUCCAAUGCCUCUUUAUGGCAUCAUCUCACUAUGUCCAAAACCAUUCCAAGCUUAAUGUUGCUUUAUGACAUUAGCUUACUAAAUCCAUCUCUAGUCCAAGCCUAAUGCCGCGUUAUGACAUUAGCUUACAAUUUACAUACACUCUAGCUUAUGUCACUCAAUGACAACAUGUCCAACCAUGCCAAGCAUGCGUUCUAAUUCCAAGAGUGUAAACUACAUGUCAUAUGCACUACAUGCAACAUGAUCUCAAUCAAAUGUAAGAAUGCUAACCAUAUGCAAGGUUCCAAAUAUGAACAGUUCUCUACUACAUAGAGGUCCAAUGUACUUUAUACAUAAGAUGCACAUAUUAAGCAUUCUAAAAUUUUCAAAUAUUCUAUCUAGUAAGAAUAUGCAUGCAUUUUUAUUUUACGAAAAGUAAAAACCAUCAUAGGGAUGAUUUAUCCCAUUUUGGUGAGGCCAAACCCAUCGAGAGUUCCACACGGCCUUCGUUUGCGCCGACGAAGGUGCCCACAAGCUUCCUAGCUCCCUAAAGGUUAAAGUAGGAGCGAUACACAAACGUUAUGAACAACGAAUAGGUUAAACAUUAACCAACUUAACAUAAGGCUGAAAACUCACCGAAUGCGAAGGGUGCUCUUUCGAUCUCCAAACGGGAGUAAGAGCCAUUCCAAACCAACCUACACGCACUACAACAUAAUUGGGUUUUAGAGACACAUAUUUGGGACACUUUUAUGCAAGUGUCCCAUUUAUGUUCAAAAUUAUUUUUAAAAGAAAUUAUCAAAGCCCAAACAUAAAGCCCAAUUCAAAAAAAAAAAAAAAAAUGUUACCCUGCUUAAUCCACCAACUUGGCCCAGUUACGAAAAAACAAACGAAAGAGAAAAAACUGAUCUCUCUCAUCCUCCUAUCUCCUAGGUCAUCUCUUCCUUCUCCCCUCACUCAAACCCUUAAAACCCUAGACGAAGAGCCCUUCGAUCACCAUCUCCACGAACCCCUCCCACCUCGACGCCCUCCAACUUCGCGACCUCAUCCUCUUCUGCGGCCGUGCCGAGCCCGUCGAUGCAUGCAAGCUUCGCCACGCCCUCGCCCACAGCUUCGUCGUCGUCUCUAUCUUUUGCAAGGCCCGAUUCUUAGACCGGGAUUACGAGCGCGAUGGUCUAGGGUUAGGGUUAGGUUUUGAAGAGCUUCUGGAGAGGGCGUUCAUCGGUUGGUGGGGUUUGGGAGGGCGGUUUCGGAUGGCGGCCUCACCGCUUCGAUUCAUGAUGUCAUGGUAAUAUUUUGCUUCAGAUCGCACUUAAAAUUUGUCCAAUUUAUACUGUUUUUGGUGACGAUAUUUUGCUUAUUUUGAGUAUGGUUGCUGGAAUUGAUCGUUUCUAGAGAGUUUCUGUGGAUAGAUUUUGAUGAUUAGUUAUGAAAUUUGUGUAGUUUGAGGCCUAAUUCGUAAUAAAGUGGCUAUCUUAACAUUGUGCAAAAAAGUGCUAUGUUGUGCUUCUGAAAAUAAGGUUCAUUAAAGAGUAAACCCUUUGACUAACUGUAUUGUGUGGGCUCUUUGAUUUGUCUUGUUUUUGUUAUACAGUUUAAAAGAUAAUUUAUGUUAUUAGCCACAUAACCAAUAGGGCAUGUAAACAACUUAUCUGUAGAGAGCUUUCUGCCUGAACUGAGAGACUAUGCAUGCCAAAAGUGAUGAUCAAGGUAACUUAUGACCAAAAACAUAAGUUUAUAACUAGCCAAGAAGAGAAUCUUGUUGUUGCGAACUAAAAGAUUGUAGAGCAAUUGAUAGUGUUUGUUUACAUCUAAAUUUUUUCAGUCCUACGGAUGUUUUUCUGUAGACAUAUCAUUGGCAACACUUUUCAAUAAUAAAGCAUUGUAUGCAUGGGUUGGUGAUGAUGUAGUGAAAAUGAUUGCUAUUUGUAUGUUUUCAUACAUGAAAACUGAAGCUCUCUAUAGAUCUUUUCUGGUAUGAAUUUGAUUAUUAAUUAUUUUAUUUUGUAACUUAUAUGAUUUUCUCCAUGGUUGCCUAACUGCUUUGCUUCGGUCAUGGACUAAACAACAAUAGGAUGCAGCAGAACAAUAUACUAUGGUGGAGUUUCUUCUACUGGAUCCCGUAGAGGAAAACACACCGAGGGCAUGUUUGUUUCAUUAAAACAGGACUUUGGGUUGAAGUGAAGUUCAGUAAAUACUUCUUCCCCAUUGUUUGUUUUGUAGUUAUAGAAGUAAAGUUUUAUUAGUUCUGUUGUUUGUUUUGUAGGAAGUGUAUGAAGUAAAAUUAUAAUUUAUAUAUAAAUAAUAAAUAAUUUAAUAAAAAAUAAUAUAACUAUAUUUUUAUAUAAUUAAAAUUUAAUUUAAAAUAACUAUAUUAUUUUUUUAUACAUAUAUUAUAGUAAGACAACAAUAAAUUAUCAAGUAAAAAAAUUAUUAAUGCUUAAUUAAUUAAUUUUUAUUAUAUUUUAAUUGUACAAACUAAAUAAAGAAAAUAUUAAAAUUUAACUAAUCAAUUUUUAUCAUAUUUUAAAUAUGUCAACUGAAUAAAAGAGUAAUUAGUACCAUAAUUAAAUAUAUUUAAAUAUAACUAUCUUUACCUAGUAUAUUAUUUUAUUUUUUUUUCUUCAUCUCUCUUCACCGUAAUUGACUUCGGUCCACGAUGGGCCGAAGUCAAUUACGCCGUUUCAGGUUAACCUGAGUUUCGACUGUAACUUAUUUACGGCGAACCAAACUGUCACUCCCCGGGGCCGAUUUUAAAAGCCUUUUAAAAACAGAGUUGCGGAAAACGUGCCAUUUUUUUUUUUUUUUCAACCUGGACCACGUGACGUACAGACCCGCCACAAAUACAAAGUUCCUCUGUCCACUCGGGCAGAGUCUCCUUUGUAUUUGCACGGCGUACCAACGGAUACAACAGGAUCACAACCACAACCUACAUUUACCAAUCAGCAACCAAUUCAUGAUAUGCAUUUCCAUACAGCUAACAAUCCUUAGAAUGAUGCAUGCCUCUAAGCACUCCUUAGGCGCUGGAUGAUGCAAUGCACAAUACAACAACCAUCCUAUUUAAAAGUGCUCCCACACAGAAGCUUUUAUUUUUGAACUCUAAUUCAUUCAUCAUGAAAAAAUAUUUGAAAACCUUUUGAAAACUGUUUCCUACACGGAAACUCUAUUUUGAAAACCGACUAUCUCGAUGGGUAGAAAACCACGAUGCGUAAAUCCAUAAAUACAAAUCCGAGAACCACAAGGUAUACAAACAUCCCAAAACUGAAGAUCCAUAAACCAAAUCCACAAUUCCACAAAUCCAUAAAUUCAACCAGCUCACAACAUUCAAACAUCAAGUAUGAUCAUCUAAUUGAACCAUAUAAACUAACUAAGCUAUAACAACAGAAUAGUAAGGAUAAAAACUAAAUCGAUAACCUGGGUCGGAAGCUCUAUCGACCGCUACGAACGUACCUCACGUCUCGUCCCAAAACUCAUCGCCUGCAAUACCUGAAAAAUGGUGGGGGAGGUGAGAACAUGUAAACAUGUCUCCCCUCCCAGUGGGUACCGCAAGUCGAUGAAGGUGAGGAGUACUCACCGGAUCAGGAAGAGCUAAACAACAGUACGGGUCAGUAGAAAAUACAGUAGCAAUAACAAUGAAUGAAAGAGACAUAUAUAUGAAAGAAAGUACAACUACCGCUACUGUAAUGAACAACUGAAUGUAUACAUGUAACAAGACUAUAGUAGCAAGACAAUGUAACGAAAGAACUGAAGAUAUACAAGUGACCACUGCUACUAUAGUUAUAUGCGUCAACCGGACAAGUAGUCCAAAAGUACCCAAUCUAAACCGCCGUGUCGGUCUAAGGACCUCAGGCAAAAGCCACUACCUGCUCGCACCUGGCAUGUAACCUGCCAAAGAAGAACACCGCUGGGCUCACUGGGUCGGAUGAUACGGACACUUUUCCGAAAAACACACCUAUCUGCGGGGGUUAUCAACCGCUGGUGUAGUGAAAUGCACUCGAGCCUGUGGCUGAUCAAUGCGGAUAUGAUCAAUAGCUAAAUGUCGGCACAGCCGCAUCAGCCCUCGGGACAACCGCAAUUAGGUCACAAUAUAUAGAAGCACAAGAAACCACACCUACUCAGCGUCAACUAAGAGGAACAUAUCAACAGUCUCCUACAAAGGUUAUACAAGCACUGGACUACUAAAGUCAACUAAGCACAUAGUGCAUGACGAACUGAACGAACUAGUACCAGAGUAUAUCAUAGAAUCAACCGACAUUAACUAGGCCAUAGACGAACAUCCAAACCCUCAGGGUACACCGCAACCUCAUAGGUAUCAACGACAGGACUCACGAAGCUGAUGACUAGCGUCACAAAUAUGCCAAAGUGUAGGAACUGUGUAAAACGUAUAAUAUGUCGGUGCUAACCGACAUCCCCCUUAGGGUAUACGCGACUUAAGGAGUCAUCGAAACGAUAGUAUCGAACCCGACAAUCAGAGUCAACAGAUAUGGACUGCAAUAACCGACCAACGUAGGUCAACAUAUACUAUACGCAACAAAGACUAACUAGUGUCAAAAGGCUAUGAAGUGCAACAACCGCCAACUUCGUCAAAGUACGCAUGAAGAUGAGAACUACUACUACUCUACUCAGGAUACUAGUAUGCAAACAACGAGUAGAGUAUAACGAAUAAACAGGGUGCAAGGCUAUCAUAUAUUAUGCGAUGUAAUAUAGAAGAGUCAAGGGUAAGAAACCAUCACCAAGCGUGCCCAACUGUACGACGUCGGCAUCGAAGAUACCACCUGUAAAGGAUUGCGCGGUCUGUCCUGAUGCAAAAGAUGUCGACAGGACUAUAGAGGCGGUCACGGGUUAUAGUCUACCCAAAUUAAUAAUCACAGUCAUUCACAACCCCACAAACUGUUAGGAUUUUAUAAGUGUGGCGAAUUUCGUGAAGGGUUUGCGACGGAGUCUCGAAAGAUUAGAAGAUGAAGAUUGACGAAAAGAAUUGAAGUUCUUAUGUCAAAGACCCUUGAGAACUCAGGUAUGAUUAUAAAUAAUUUGUGGUGAAGUUUUUCAUGUUAAAAGAUGUUUAGAAGACUUGGUUUCCUUCUUGUUUAUUCAAACUUAAGUUUCUGGAAAAACUCAGGGGUCGGGGACGGUCCUUUGAUCAGAGGAGACCGGCCCAUAGAGUUCUUGCGUAGAGUUGGCGACCGGUUCUGUCAUGAGGACGGUCCCCGUACGUGGUUUUCCUUGCUUGCGACAGGGAGGGACCGGUCUCUGAAUGAGCGCGGUCCCGUAGCAUAUUUUGACUUACGCGCCGAAAAGACGGCACGCUCACCUUGAGAGCGACUUCCCAAGGAUCGGUCUCCUCGAGGCACGCGACCCUGGAGGCGUCAUCGUCUGUUUUUUAAUUGAGUUUUAGAUCCUAGGUCUAUCUCUAGAAGUUCUUCUAAAUCUAUAAAUAUGAUAUGAGAUCUCCAGUAUGACUGUGUUGAGCGAGAUAAACUUUGUAGAAACCCUAACGGCUUAUUUGAUUUUUGAUCAUUGUUCUCAAUAUCAAGUUUUAGGAUCACUUUGAUUUCAGUUUUGAUUUUAACUUUUCUUCAGAAUCAAAUUGGUGGAUGUUUUUGAUUUGGAUUUUCCUCAUAUCAUAUGUGCUUUCAAGAGAGUUUAAUCACCAAAAUUGUUUACCUGUACGAGUUGGAUGCGGCAGUUAAGCAGUGGAUCUCGCCGUGAACUGUGAUUGGUAGGCCGUUUCGUGGAGUCGAGGUGUGUGGGCCGAAGGAUUUGCAGUUGCUGUGGUGGUUGGAGGAUUUCAGCGAUCGAAACGGGACUGGCAAAGCUAUUCUACAACGAGUUCGGUAUUUGAGUCUUGUAUUUUUGAUAAAUUAUUGUACUACAUGUUUUCUUAUGGAAUUUCUUUGAGUGUGAUUCGGUCCCGUGGGUUUUUUCUUCCGGUUGGAGUCUUUCCCACGUGUUAAUUCUCUGUGGUGUCUUGCUGAUUUUGAUUUUUCCGCAUUCAUAUUUUAAAUUUGCAUCGGUUUCGAGAUUGUUGCGUUUUACACCUAUUACCCCCCUUUAGGGGUGUUUUUACCUUUUAGAUCUCUAAGGGAUCCAUAUCUUACAAGUGGUAUCAGAUGCAGGUAUGGCUUGUAAUCUAUUGGCUGCGGGCGGCAAAAUUAUCGACCCCAUCUCUCGAUGGCACUAAAUACGCAUUUUGGAAGUCGUAUGAGCGGGUUUUUAUUGCUAUCGACGAAAGGUUUUGGCAGCAUUGAAUUCGGAUGGAACAUAGCCUAUGAAGGGUCGAGAAUCCGUUACGGUCCGAAACGUAGAAAUAAGUGUGGACAAAAGCGGAAAAUGACUAUCUUCGUUCAAUGGGUAAGGAGUAUCAUUGCUUUGUUCAUGGUUGAAUUCAAACUGAAUUUUACGAGUAUCGGCAAGUGAAACGCAAAGAAUUUGGCGACACUUUACAAAUCUAUCACGAGGGUACAGUUGGAAAGUUCAGAAUUAAAAUGUUGAUAACCGUUUUGAUUUAAUUGUAUGGUAAGAAAUGAAUCUUUACGGAGUAUUACACUCGUUUCAAGAUUAUUUGUCAAUACCUUGCUGCAAAUUUGGGUGAAAAAAAUUUCUGAACACAAAAUCGUUCGAAUAAAUUUUGAGACUUUCCGACGUUUCGUACAUAGGUGUGCGCGCUAGAACGUGUAACCAUCGGAUGAACUCAAAGUAGAUGAAUAGUUGGUGCUCUUCAAACGUAUGAAAUGGAUUUUCUGCUAUAUUCUCUUAUUCCAAGUUUGCUCCCUCUUAAAGCUUGCGUAUGGCACUAAAAUCAACGCAAGGAGCCAUGUGUUGAAUCUUCUUUCGACUCGAGCGCUGAUGUACUUGGAGGUUAUGGAGAAAAAAUGGCUCUUUUGACUAAGAUCCCGUCGAAUUUUAGAAAGAAGUUUUCUUCGAAGCCAAUUCUUCUAAGACCAAACAUAAUCAAAAAGGCGUUCCUUUUUAUUCUUCAAGUUUAAAAAAUCGGAAAAUUUUCAAAAGAUUUUCCAAAUAGAAAAGAAAAGUUAGCGAAGGUUCAAAUUCCAAUGCUAUAAGUUGUAGGGGUUUUGGUCACAUUGCUUCAGAUUUGUGCCUACAAAAAGUCCUUGAAAGAAAUAGCAUGCAAGCAUUACUUGGGAUGAGUCCUCCUCGACAAUCGUACUCAAGUGUGUGCACGCUAAUGCCAUGACUUAUUGCACAGGCUUUACUUUUUUUUGUGUUUAGCACGACGACUCAAUAUCUAUGUCCUCUUGCAUUGAAAAUCUUGCUACGGAAAAACUCAACGGAUGAAGAAUCUAGAAGAAGAUAUGCCGCCGCAUUUCAUCAACUUGUUAUUGAAUCAAGAAAGUGGCCGAAACACAAAGAAGUUGAGCGAAGACUGUAUAUCAUAGGCCAAGACGAAUACAAGAUUAGAGUCAUUAACAAAAAGUAUUGGAAGCAAGGAAAUAGGAUAACUUUGGACCGAGUCACUAUAAUUACUUCUCUAACAAGUGUGUUAUGUUGAGAGGAAAAGAAUUGAUGAUAACAUUUGAUUUUCUUACACAAGCGAAUACACAGAAGCCAGCAGAAUCCAACAGAGAAUUUUACAACGACUAUCAUUAACUCAAAUCGGAGUUGACAAGUUUUCUGUUUCUCCGGGUAAGCAAAUAGACUAAGAUGUUGGAUUCGGUCAAACCAACAAUUACGGACUUGGAUACAAAAGAACAUAUUGUCGAUCAAGUAAUGAGAAAGUAGCAUGAACAUUUCGACAAAAAACGGUUCACGAAGGUCUAUUACUUGUUUUUUCUUUUUUUGUAGUUGUUCCCAGAAUUUUAUUGCUUAACAAUCUUGUUAUUUUGUGUGUUGGUCAGGGUAUGUGAAGAGAUUUUUGCAAACAAAAGCCGCAAAAGAUACUUACAACAACAUGAAUAAGAAAUCAAGAAAAUUACAAAGAAGCGAAAGAACAAAGACAAGGCAAGACAAACGUGGAUGACUAGAAUGAAUGAUCCGAAGAAAAGAACUACAAAAUCGUCGACAAGCAAAGCAUUUCUAAAUCUAAGUCGAUCAACACAACCCAAUGCGUAAGUUGGUGUGCGCAAUAGGUGAACUCUUUCCUUGCCUUGUCAUUCAACUUCGUUUCAUGUUGGACAAUAUUCUUAGGUAUCUGGAUAGUGGUGUUCACGUUACAUGACUGGGGAUAAAAAAUGCGUUUUUCGUCUUUAAACAAAUUCUAGUGGACUUUGUUGUUUUUGGAGAUUGGUCGGUCAUCAAAAUUGUUGGGGAAAGAACUGUCACUAUAUCAGAUGUGCCACUUUGAAUAUUUUUUAUGUUGAGGGGCUCAAAUCAAUUAGUGCAGCUUAAGUCAGUUGUGUGAUGAACGGGUACUCUGUUAAAUUUUGCUGACAAGAAGUCGCACUGUGACGUAAUGAUGACCAUCUUUUAAAGGUUAAGAAUCUGAGAAUAACUGUUACUGUUGUUCCUAGCUUCUUCAUACUGAACACUGUACCUAGCAAAUUAGACUGAAACUUAUAUGCGAUUGACGUCUAGGUUCCACGAUGAACUUUUAAGGAACUAUCUAAAAUAACUAAAAAGGAGGUUGUUCGAGGUUACCUAAGAUAAGACUUUAAGAAGAACACUGUGUGUGGAGGUUUGCCAACUGGGGAAAAACUAGAGCCCACACAUAAGAUUUUGAAUCAUUUAGGAACAUUAAACCAUUAGAGCUUCUACACAUGCGAUUAUGGGACCUUUAGGAUUCAAAGUUUGGGUGGGAAAACGCUACAUUUUCUGACUUAUUGUUUGACUGAUUUUACUCGUUUUGUCUGGUAGUGCUUCUUACCGGUGAAAAAGUGAAUACAUUUUGAAUUCUUUUUCUGAAUCUGUCUCCCGUCUUAUAGAUUGAAGGAUAUGAUAAAAUUGGGCAUUCUGAAGUGUAUCAAGGGGUGGAAUUCAUAAAGUUCAAAAAUUUGUGAUUUUCUGUGUUUAAAAAGGCAUCAAACAUGAAUUUUAUGCUCCCUAUAACCAACAAACAGAACGAGAGUGGUUGAACGUAAAAUCAGGUCGGGUUUUCAACAGGGGGAGAUGGCGUUGUGUUAUGUUCUAGCAAGAAGUUGCAUACACUUCUGCGCUGAAGCAGUUUAAACACGGUGUCUAUGUGAUUAACCGCAUCUAUUUACGCCGGGUUACGUAAACACCGUAUGAAUUGUGGAUUUGGGUAGAAAACGAACAUAAAUCAUUUCGUGUCUUCGGGAGUAAAUGUUUAUCCUUCGGGAUGCUGUUGAAAACUUGAAAAUUUGACUCCGAGUGACGAAGGAAUACUUCUUGGAUAUUCUACUUACUUAGUCGUGCAUAUCGUGCGUUACAUUUUACGACUAGACGGUGAUAGAAUCCGAUUAUAUAUAAAAGCUUGAUGAAGAUUCCUUCUGUAAGCUCGUAUUAGUGAUAUGAUUUCACUUCUGUGAUGAGUGAUGAUGAUAAUGAUUCUCAUUUAACUUGCGCUGUGAUGAUGAAUUUCCUGAUGACCCCUGAUAUUUUCGUGAUUUUUUUUUGCAAACUAGUUGAUUACUAUGCCUCACAUGAUUCAUCUGAAACCCCUAUCACCUCAUCUGAACUUAUCACCCGUGAAAGAUCAGCCAAUUAUCAAAUGUUUAUUGGAGUCCCUUACUGGUGUGAAAACAGAGGAGACAGCUUCCAGUUGUGAAUUUGCUUGGCUCAUGUUUCUCUCAGUUGAGCCAAAAAAUGUUGAUGAAGCUUCUUGUGAAUUACUGGAUUAAUCCUAUGCAGUAUGAUAUGGUCAAUUCAUGCGUAAUGAUGUCUGGAAUUGGUGCAACGUCUGAGCAACAAACACAUAAUUCGGAUACAUACGUGGAUUUUAAGACAUAAGAAAAUGAGGAAUGGUACAUUGUUCGAAUAAUAACGAAGACUAGUUGCUCAAGGCUAUCCAAGGUUGAAGGAUAGAAUUUGAGGAAAAUUGCCCGUUCUUGAUCAGUCUUGAAAUCAAUUGUAUUCUGUUUGUGCAUCGCCUGUAUUUUAAAAUUUACUCUUUUUUCAAUAGAGAUAGUAAGUGUUUUCUAAAUGGCUUUCUAAAGAGAGGAGUCUAUGUUAACAACCAACAGGAUUUCAAGGGGAGUUCAAAAUUUCCUAAUUCAUGUUUUCGUCUGAAAAAGGCAUCUUAUGGUUUAAACAGGCUCACGGGCGGCAUAGCGUAGAGCGUUUUGGACAAAAUUUCUUUUGGAAAAGGGCACAACCUGAGGUGGAGCGGAUAGAACUCUUUUUGUUAAAACACUCGAAAAGAUCAUUUUCAUCGUGGACACAAAUUUAUUGUUGACGACAUUCGUUUUGGAGCAAUCUAAGGAUAGAGAGCCAGUGAUUUUGCAAGCUUGAUGCGAAGAGCGAAUUUGAGAUGGUCAAUGAUGGCGACAGAGCUUAACUAUUUCUUGGAUCAGUCAACAACUAAAGAUGUGGAAUACAUUGUUUCAUAUCAAAUAUUGCAAAAAGAUUGGUUAAGAAUUUGGAUUGGAUAAGCAAAGGAUUUUGACACCGUCAAUGGGUACGAGUAACCAAAGGACUCGGAGUUGAAUUCGGAGGGACCGCAGUGUAGAUGAGAAACUAUUUACAGAAGAUGUUGGGAGCUCUAUAUGUACUUGAACUGCAAGUAGAGCAGAUAUGCAUUCAGCGUUAAUUCGAUUUGUGUGCUAUCAAGCUAAUCCUUAGGUAAAUUCAUCUAGAUAAGCGGAUCAAAAGGACUUUAUUCGAUACUUGUUAAAGUUACAACCGUUAUGUCUCUUGAUCCUUAUGGGAAAUCUCUUUGAUUUGAUUGGAUACUCGGAUGACAGACUGGCUGGCUCUGGACGAUGAUCGGAGUAGUAGUAGUGGGGGUGUUUUUUCGGUACAUUGUCUUGUUGCUUGGCAACAGCAGAAACAGAAAUGUAUUGCAGUAUCUACUGCUGUAGCGUGAUAUAUCUUGCUGGUCAGUUGCUACUCAGUUUGUUAUGGAUGAAAGUUAGCUGCAGCGCUAUCGAAUCCCUUCCUCAUCUUCUAUUUUGUGAUAAUAACAAGUGCAAUUAAUAUUUCUAAAAACCCUGUUUUUACAUUCGUCGAACAAACACACAUUGAAUCAGAUAUCUAUUUUUGGGGAAUCUUGGAUCGAAUCAAAUCUCUUCAUCUUGAAUCAUAUUUCUAUGAAACCAGCUUGCUGUUAAUUUGCAAAACUUUAGAUCAAAAACGUUUUCUUCAUUGGAAAAGCUAUUGUAUGAAUCCAUCUUUUAGAUGUAGUCUAUGGGCCAUAAGAUUGAACAAAAUCUUUUGCAAUCUGUCAAUUUUAAUUUGAUUCAUUUUUUAGAUAUCGCCAUUGGCAUGAUUUUAUUAUUGAAACGUGAAUAAUGUGGCUGCAAUUGGUCAAUAUCAUUUUUAUUCUCUGUGUAUAUUUUUUGAAAGGAUAGUGUAUUUAAAUUCUAUUUUUUAGUAUGUUUUUGCUAAAUUACAUAUCUUUUCACUUGAACUUUAAACAUUUUGUCUUUGUCUGUGUCAGAUUUAUGAGCUAUUGAUAUGAAUAACGAUUUUCCUAUUUUGAAUUUGUGAAUAAAUCGUCUAACAUUGAGGCGUUGCACUUAUGAGGCGGAGUUUUUAUCCUGGAAUUAAAUUAGAUGACAAAAGAUGAUGGAAAGGUUAAUCCUCCGAUGGGAAGUGUGAAAACUACAACAAUGGAGGAAGAAGCUACCAUCCGGUCAUCGUCGUAUGUGCUGCACUACACAUGUCUAUUUAAAGAAUUCUUUUUGAUAAAGAAGCAACUAUAUCGCGUAGAAUUAUAUACUAUAUAUAUUUUAAAAAAUGAGGGUUUAAAAAGGUGCGUUGUGAGAUUGAUAAGCAUAGAGUUACUUACAAUACUCUCGUAGGUGACAUAUAGGUGAGAUGUGAAAGAUAGCUCAAAGAGCCACUCCCUCGUCGAAUUUGCUGCAUUAACUCAAUUUGAUCAGUUCUUAUCUUAAUUCAUGAUUAUAUGGGAUCUUUUUGUUCUCUAUUUCAAGAAUUAUGAAGACAAUACGAUGACUAAUUUUUAGAUCUUGAUUGAUGCUGUGAAAUUCUUAGCAUUAUACUUAUUUAGAAUUUAUUUCUCUAUUUGUUACAACGAUUUUUUUGACAUUUGUAAUAUUUUGAAAUUGAUCUUGUUUGUCUUAUUUUUAUAAAAUUUUUAUUAUAUGUCAUGGACUACAAUUUAAAAAAAAAAAAAAUAAAAGGAGGAGGAAAUUUUUUUUGUACGGGCGACGGUCCUGUCUUGAAGUGACCAGUCCUCCGCCGAUCCGUAUUACCCAUUCAGUCCGGUUCUCUCUCUUACUUUACUUUUUCUUUCUGAGACUCUCUUUCACGCUCUGACCUUAGCGUCCUCCAGCAGGGAUUUUGCCUGCUCAUUACACAUUUCUUUAUCCUUGAUUGGUAAGUUUUUCGUUUUUUAGGUUUAUUGUUGCACAUACAUCCGACGUUGUUUAUUUUUGGGGUUUUGAUCAUGAAAUUUUGUUGGGGUGUAUCUUAUUCUAUGAAUUGAUCUCUGUAAUAAUCCUUGUGCAUCUGAUCUCCUCAUGCAUUCUUCAUUCUUUUGAUGCAUCAUUUGGCCUUUUUCCUGUGGCCCUAAAUUCCAUUCAUUUUUUUUUAAAAAAAUCUAGAUGAUAUCUUGUGCUUUCCUUCACUAUUGUUGAACAGGCAUUUCUUUCGAAUAACCCAAAAUGAUUUCACUCACUGGAUUGUGCUGUGUUCCUCAAUGGCUGCGUGUGUGGUCGUGGUGGUAAGCCGCGAGCUACUUCAUCUCAGCAAACAUGUCGAGCCACGGUAGAGGAUUGUCAGCAGUGAAUAUGCUCCUGAUGAGAAUCGGAAACGUUGAAGUCGACGGCAUUGGGAAGCCAUUUUCUCAGAAGUGGUGUCGCAUAAAGUUAAGAAAUGGGAAGGAAAGGUAGUUACCGGAAAAAAGAAAAGGGACAGAGCAAAGCCAAAGGCAGAAGACCGGAAAAAUUGCAAUACUCUCGGAGUAGAAAAAAGAUGGAGGUGUUGAAAUAGUGAAUUACUCGUGAUCUACCUGCGUCGCAGACUCAGGGAGGCACCGUUUGAUCCCAAAGAGACGACUAUGCUAUUCUUCAAAGACUUGUAUUGUACGUGAGCGCCACGAAGUUGCGAGUUCAGAACUUAAUUGAACGAAGUUCCUGGUCUUCCAAGCCUUGUUGAGAACGGAGGGGUCUUUAUGAGAUUAGCGAUUUCCCGAACAACUGGAUAUUUGUUUGGAAUUAAUUCGGUGAAUUCUAUAUGCGCGCGGGUAUAUUUGCGGAGAUUCCGAUCGGUGGACCGUUCAAUUUUUUAAGACCAAAGUAUUGCGUGGCAUCGAUUGACAAUUACCGCCUGAAACUAUUGCCUUCUGUUCUUGGUAUGCAAGCUGACUUUUAUGGCAACUGAAUACUUGCAUGCUGGUUUGUUGAUGCCGGUCGAGACUGUGCGUCUGUAUGAAUGGCGUAUGUUUGCCUAACGUCUUGAACGAACCGGCAUUUGUGUAAUGUCAAAGGAAUGAAGAUCGAGUAUUCGCUUUCCUGAAUUUUGUGUGGUCUGCUACAAGUAUAAUGCCGUUGGCUAACACGAAGGGGUGCGUCGGGAUCGCAUUUUAUAUGUAUUUGGUGGGUAUAUGCCGAAUGUGGUUCGUGAUAGAAGAUCAAUCUUAAUGUUCUAUUUUUUGGUUUGGCGCGUUUAUGGCCUAAGAUAUCAAGACUUCUGACGUCGAGUCUGAGGCUUGUCCUUAUUCUUGAUCAUUAUGCCGGAUACUGAGGAUGAUUUUGAUGUGGACACGCGAUGUUCUCAUAUGAGCAUAGUCUGGGUGUUGAUUAGCUGAACACUACUUUCAUACAAGUCUUCGGUGCAGCUUCAAGCUUCUCACGUUCCUCCUUACAACGUUCGUAUGCUCAGCCAGCGUUCACACUCCACAUCCUGGUCUCUCGUCUUCGGCCAGAGGUGUCUGAGCGAAGAAAUGUCAGUCAUCUUCUGUUUAUCGCGAACAACAAAGUUAUCUUCGCAGCAAGAACGCAUCUCUGACGAACUUCGACGGAUUUCUGGAGGAUCAGCUCGCAUGGUUGCCGAGCAGGAGCGCCUCACUCGACAAGUGGGCAAGCUUCGUCGUAUGAUGCGCGCUAUCUUUGAUAAACUAGGAUGUUGUAGUGCGGAUCUUCCUGCGCCUGGUGCUGACUCCGACUGAGAUCUUUUGGUGUUUUCUCUCCUUUUGGUCGUUUUGGCGUUUUCUUGACAAAAAGGGGGAGGAUGAUGAUGAUGAUGCUUGGUGAUGUUUACUUGUUGCUUAGGAUGUAACUAUGCUUGAUGAUGUUUGCUCGCUUACUUGCUUAGGAUGUAACUAUGCUUGAGAACUAUGAUGAUGCUUGCUUGUUAGGUUGUAACUAUGCUUGAACUUUGCUUAACUAUGCUUGAACUCUUGACUUAUAACUGAAUUCAUUGCAAAUUUUAAUGAAGUGUGUGGAGAUUGUUUUGCAGGGUAUUUCAAGACUUCGAGACUCUAUGUCAUGUUCUAAGUCAUAGAGUUUGUACUAGGAUGUUACAAAUGUAAUUUUUUGUUUUUAUUGGAUCGAUCACGCAGAAGGUUGUUGUUUGGUGAUUGCGAUAACCUUCUUAUUUUUGUCUUCAGAUAAGCAUUGUAAAUUCUUUUUGUAUUUUGUCACGAAAUCGCCAAAGGGGGAGAUUGUUAAGGAUUUUAUAAGUUGGCGAAUUUCGUGAAGGGUUUGGACGGAGUCUCGAAGAAUUAGAAGAUGAAGAUUGACGAAAAGAAUUGAAGUUCUUAUGAUCAAAGACCCUUGAGAACUCAGGUAUGAUUACAAAUAAUUUGUGGUGAAGUUUUUCAUUGUUAAAAGAUGUUUAGAAGACUUGGUUUCCUUCUUGUUUAUUCAAACUUAAGUUUUCUGGAAAAACUCAGGGGUCGGGGACCGGUCCUUGAUCAGAGGGACCGGACCCAUCAAGCUUCUCUGCGUAGAAGGUUUGGGAGACCGGUCUCUGAUCAUGAGGACCGGUCCCCGUACGUGUAUUUUGACAUCUACGCAGCGAAAGACCGGACCUCACCUUGGAGGACCGGUCUCCCAAGGACCGGUCUCCUCGAGAGCACCGGACCCUGAGACCGUCGUCUGUUUUUUAAAUUGAGUUUUUAGAAUCCUAGUCUAUCUAGAAGUCUUCUAAACCUAUAAAUAUGAUAUGAGAAUCUCCAUAUGACGUGUGUUGAGCGAGAUAAACUUUUAGAAACCCUAACGGCUUGAUUUGAGUUUUUGAUCCAUGUUUCUCAAUAUCAAGUUUUAGAUCACCGUUUUGAUUCUUCAGUUUUUGAUUUAAACUUUCUUCAAGAAUCAAAUUGGUGAUGUUUUGAUUUGGAUUUCUCCUCAUAUCAUAUGUGCUUUCAAAGAGUUUAAAUCACCACAAAUUGUUUAAUCUCUACGAGCUUCGGAUGGAGCGUUAACGCGUGGAUCUCGCGUGAAGACCGUGGAUUCGGUAGGCGUUUCGUGGAGUCGAGGUGUGUGUGGCUGCAAGGAUUUGCAGUGUGGUCGGUUGGAGGAUUUCAAGCGAUCGAGGACUGGCAAAGAUAUUCUACAACGAGAAUUCGGUAUUUCGAGUCUUGUAUUUUUGAUAAAUCACUUGUACUCAUGUUUUCUUAGUGGAUUUCUUUGUGUGAUCGGUCCCGUGGGUUUUUCUCUCCGGUUUGGAGUUUUCCCACGUUAAUUCUCGGUGUGCUGAUUUUAUUUUUCCGCAUUCUAUUUUAAAUUUGCAUCGAGUUUCGAGAUUGUUGCCGUUUACACCUAUUCACCCCCCCUCUAGGUGUCUUUUACCUUUUAGAUCCUAGGGAUCCAUAUCUUACAAGUGGUAUCAGAGCAGGUAUAGGUUGUAAUCUAUGGCCGAGGGCGGCAACAUUAAUCGACCCCCUCUCUUCGAUGGCACUAACUACGCAUUUUGGAAAGUCCGUAUGAGGGCGUUUCUUAUUGCUAUCGACGAAAGGGUUUGGCAAGCCAUUGAAUUCGGAUGGAAACAUCCUACUGAAGUGGUCGAGAAUGUUACCGGUCCGAAACGUAGAAAUAAGUGGACAAAAGACGAAAAUGAACUAUCUUCGUUCAAUGGGAAGGGUAUCAAUGCUUUGUUCAAUGCGUUGAAUCAAACUGAAUUUUCACGAGUAUCGGCAAGUGAAACCGCCAAAGAAAUUUGGGACACUUUACAAAUCACUCACGAGGGUACAAGCUUGGUAAAGGUUCAGAAAUUACAAAUGUUGACUAGUCGUUUUGAUNNNNNNNNNNNNNNNNNNNNNNNNNNNNNNNNNNNNNNNNNNNNNNNNNNNNNNNNNNNNNNNNNNNNNNNNNNNNNNNNNNNNNNNNNNNNNNNNNNNNNNNNNNNNNNNNNNNNNNNNNNNNNNNNNNNNNNNNNNNNNNNNNNNNNNNNNNNNNNNNNNNNNNNNNNNNNNNNNNNNNNNNNNNNNNNNNNNNNNNNNNNNNNNNNNNNNNNNNNNNNNNNNNNNNNNNNNNNNNNNNNNNNNNNNNNNNNNNNNNNNNNNNNNNNNNNNNNNNNNNNNNNNNNNNNNNNNNNNNNNNNNNNNNNNNNNNNNNNNNNNNNNNNNNNNNNNNNNNNNNNNNNNNNNNNNNNNNNNNNNNNNNNNNNNNNNNNNNNNNNNNNNNNNNNNNNNNNNNNNNNNNNNNNNNNNNNNNNNNNNNNNNNNNNNNNNNNNNNNNNNNNNNNNNNNNNNNNNNNNNNNNNNNNNNNNNNNNNNNNNNNNNNNNNNNNNNNNNNNNNNNNNNNNNNNNNNNNNNNNNNNNNNNNNNNNNNNNNNNNNNNNNNNNNNNNNNNNNNNNNNNNNNNNNNNNNNNNNNNNNNNNNNNNNNNNNNNNNNNNNNNNNNNNCUAUCUGAUAAAGAUUGCAGUUCGGUACAGUUUUCAGUGACCAAACGGGGUCGAAACUGGACCAGUGAUCGUCAGCUUGUUAAGUUAAGUAAAACCGAACAUGACUGUCAAGUUUGAGCUCAAACGGACAUUCAGGGAUUUCCGGCGAAAGUUAUCAGAUUUUAAGUUGCCUGGAUGAAUAAUGUGAGGGGGUUUCCUGCAAUUGUGGCAGCCCCAUAUAUGGUGCGGCUGCUUGGCCGAAGCAUCACACGCACACACACCUUCUCUUCUCCUUCUCUCCCUCACACUUGCAACCAUGGAGAGCUCUCUCUCUCUCUAGGAAUAAGAAGCCAAGAGAGGGAUUUUGUGAAGCUUGGAAGUGAUCUUCAUCAUCUUCUUCCUCUCCUUCAAGCUUGGAGGAAUCUUGUGAGGUAAAGCUCUAACCCUUUAAUGGUAGAAUGUUAGGGCUUCAAUUAUAUACUCUAGAAAUGGUUGUGGGCAAACCUUAGGAGGUUACUAAGAUGAUUCUAACAUGAAUCUAUGGUUCUAUUAGUGUGCUUUGCACUAAUUGCAACAUAGAGCUCCAAAAUGAGGGCUUUAAUGGUAGAUCUCUAAAGAUAGGUCUAAAUGCUUUGGAAAUGGUUUUAGUGGAACCCAUUGAUGCCUAAUAGAUGAUUAUUGCAUGAAUCUAAGGUUGUAGUAGAGUAUUCUUGCAAUAGUUGAAACCUAGGGCUCAAAAUGGGAUUUUUAUAAAUUGUUGGGUUUGAUCUCUUUUAACCCUCUGUUUACCUAAUUGCUAGGUCUACGAACGCGUUGGAAGCGACGGUUCGGCAAUUCGUCGAGCCGGUACAAAGUUAUUAAAGAAACGGACGUUAGGCUUCGUUUCCGCCUGGAGGGCCGAGGCGACGUCGUAAAAUCCUGAAAACGGAUUUGAAGCAUCGUAACAAGAAACCGAAGACCUUUAAUUUUCGGAUUUCGGAUCGGAGGUCGUUUGGUGGUCGCGCACGGAUUGGGUCAAGCCGAGCGGCGUGCGCCGCGGGAGGCCGAUUGCAAGUGACGACAAGCAAUCGGAACGCGAUAAAAGGUGGGGGAGUGCCAUCCCGAAGCAAUCGGGCUUCUUCCUAUGUCUUAGUGCUUAUCCAUUCACAUGUAGCAUAUUGUAUAUCGAUAUCUUGCAUUAUAGGAUGACAAUACAUGCAUUCCUAAUCCUUAUAUGAUGUUUAUGAUCAAUAUAGUAUUAUGAUAUGGAUAUAUGAUGUAAUGGACAUAAGGAUUAUGAGAUGACAUUGGUAAACCUAGGAUGCUAAAUGAAAGAAGAACCUAGUGUUGUUGUAUUUAAAGACAUAGUUUACAAGUGGCAUUGAACUCAUUGUGCUAAAAACACAUAUGACUUGAACUAGUAAUGGAUUGGUUGUUGUACUAGAAACUCUAGUUAACAUUGAUCAAGUUGCAUAUUGGGAUAUUGCAUUAUAGGGUACUAGUUGGCAAUUGUUACAUGUCAUGGCGUGCUAGUGGGAGUGUAGUGUUACUUGAUUAAUACUUGUAACUAGUAUGCAUGAGAUUGGGACUUAGUGUGGUGAAACCCUAUAAGGGCAUGAUUAAUGUAGAUUAAACCUUAGUUGAGUACAUUAAUCGAUCAAGUUGCAUAUUGUAUUUAUUGCAUAUAGGUGCUAGAUGAUUAUGGUUAUUGCUUAUAUUUGCAUGCUAGUAGCUAUACAUCUUGAUGAUUGAUCCAUGAACUAGUAUGCAUGAGACCUAGACCCUAUAUGAGAUGAUUAAUACUUAUGUUGUUAAAGAACUAGUAUGAUGUAACUAGUGUUGAUAAUGAGUCAAAAUUGACAAGUGGCAUCUAGUUAUAGAAAACUAUGAUGAGUGGCAUAUGAUUGUUGAUAACCUUGACACGAGAACCUUAGUGUAGUUGAAACACUAUGAGAUUGGGUACAAGAACACCUUGACUCCAUGAUGAGAUUACCCUUAGAGGGUAGGUUGUUGUUGCUCGUGAGAUGAUCACGCUCACAUUGCCUGUCUGCGCUUGGUGGGGUCGCUCCCCUCAAGUUGUGCGCUCCGGAGUUUGGUCACUAGAGAGGCAGCCGUGCUUGCUGCUCGGAUAGCCGCUUGUUAUCCACAGGCGUACUCGGGGAUAGUCCAGCUCGACAUCCCUAGGAGAUUGAUAUGUGAGCCUUGCUUGUGAACCACGAGUUCACCUUGAGAUUGGGUUACCUAUUGAGCCAUACCCAUUAUUGUUGUUCAUGAUAGCUUGCUUCCAUAGUUGUUGUUGUUGAUCAUAGUUGCCUUUGGCUUACCGGCUGAUUGGGUGGUCUAAUGAAUAGCCCUAUUGAUGAACCUAGUGGUGUGGUAGUUAACCUUCACUAGACUUACCUUGAUAGCGAGCAUAGUCGCUUGGUAGUUGGUUUAGCGGUUUUGCCUAUAUACAGUGAGUGGGUAUACUAUUCCUUCACCUAUGAGAUUUGAGUGGAGUAGCUCUGUACCUAGUAGGUUGAGAUGUGAGUCGGGCAAAGUGCGGGGUAGCCUUUGCCUAGGACCUUGAGAUGUGAGUCGGGCGAGGGGCGGGGUAGCUCUUUGCCUGGGACUCACGAGAUUGGGUCAGACCUUUGAGAUAUGAGUCGAGUGAGACAAGAGUGAGGUAGCUCUUCACCUACUAGAUUUGAGAUCUUAGGCAAGUUAGCCUAGCGGAUUGGGUAAUAACAUGAAUAGCAUAAGAGUAUUGCAUUCAUACCUUGAUUAGACAUAGUGCAUUGCAUAACUAUGUUGUUGUUGUAUUUAUUUCACUGUUGAGGCAUAUUAGCAUGAUAGUAGAUUGUUGCUAGAUGAUGUUCCAUGCAUACUUUGCAUUUGAUGGCAUAGUAGAUAUAGUAGUAGUAUUUCCAUAUAUCUUUCUAUCUAUCUAUCUGUGCCAGCUUGGACCUAGUGGGAAGAUCGGCGGAGUCGGCGGCCGAACCCACUGGGAACUAUAUUUAUAUAGUUCUCACCCCGUGUGGUUUUGGGGUACAGGUACACACGAGAGCGGAUCGGCAGAGGAUCGCGUUAUGGGCUUAGCGCCCUAGUGCUAGUUGAUAGUUUACUUUCCUAUUUUGCAUUAGAGUUACCCUAUACAUGUAUUGAGAGUAGAUGAUGUAUAGGAUGUGAGGUAUUUUGAGAUAAAUGUAAACUAAUGUUUAUCUUUUGAAGAAUGUAAGCUUAUAUUCAUAGUUUGGAAAAGAAUGCAAGUUGUAAUUAAAUGUAUCGAGCUGAAUGGUUGUAAUAGAAUAGUUAAGUAUCUCUCUUUUGUUUCACUUGUAUGUCUUCUACUUGUGACGCUUGCUCUUGUAUUGUUCAGCACUGUUUGUGCUCUCGCUGUUGUUGCAUGAUCAUGUAUGUAUUCAAGUUGAUUUCCUGGGGACUUGUUGUACAUGAUCUCGUUGUUUAGCCUUGGGCGGACAGGGGAGGUGCUGUCCGUUCGGCGGUCCGCCCGCCGCGCCCGAACGGUGCCAAAUCGGUAGCGGUCUCGGGGCGGGGCGUGACAUCUUACCUGCCAUCUCUAUUACUCUUCUUAUUGUCGCUGCCUGUGGAAAGGAGGUCGGGCUCUCUGCAAGUUCCUCUGCUUACUUCUUAUAUUAUGAUGAAGCGUACCUAUGUAUAUGUUUGGAAUUCUUGGUGCUGGGAUGCUUCAAUGUCUGGUGGUGGUUUUCCAUAGGGUUCCUGUUGCCCCCGCCUUCGGAGAUCUGAUGAUUUUUUUCCUUGAGAUUCUUUUUAACUAGGGCUUGCUUGGAUUUUGAGUUUUGAAAAAAAAAAAAAUACUUCAGCUUCUUUGGGUUUUUUUUGUGUCGCCUUCGCAGAUCGGAUGAUUUUUUGCCUUGAGAUUCUUUUCAACUGGGUCUUGCCUGAAAAUUGUUAUUCUUCGACAUUGUACUUCUGUAAUGGCAUGGCUAGAGGAAUGGCCUAUUGGCACCUGCUGCAGCCUAACAAAGUUUUGAUAUUCAUGAUGCCAGAGGUCGGCCUUUACCCUUGGAGCCUGAGAAAUCUAUAAGCCUCACUAUGUUGCUCAAUCCUUCUUGCUCUUCGAUUUUUUCUUGGAUCUUUGUUAGAUUUGCUGCUCUAUUGUUCAUUUUCACGUGUAUGGCAAGCCGAAUGGUUUUUUUUUAAAUUUAUAAUUUUCGAUUUGUUUCUUGAUUGACAUUAUGCUUAGUAUAGCAUACAUACUUUACCAUUCAAUAUAUUUUCUUCAGAACAUUAGCUUCAAUUGGAUUCACUGCCAUUUUAUCACAAAGAAUUGGAGAGCUAAAGUACUUAAGCACGCUGUCAGUAUGAUUUUUAGCCCGCAAACUAUGUAAAUGUAAAUCAUAAUAAUGUUGUGUAAUCUUUAACUCAAUGUGCAGGAUAGAUCCCCUUGCAUUUCAUAUAAAACAAUAUCUCACUGUAAUUUGAAGCUUUAUUGGCAAGCAAACUUUAUCAAUCCACUGUGCAUAGUGAGUUGAUAUGUGAUUUAAAAGGGUUAGGAGUUCCUAUUUAAAUCUUGGAUGUAUGAGAAGCAUGUGAUUUAGCAUUUAUUAGCACAACUCAUAAAACAACUGUUAGGAAUACCAUACUAGAUGUUUUAGAGCUUAUAUAACUUAAAUAUUUAGUUAUUUUUUGAGUGAGAAAAUGACUAUUCUGUUGGUGAACAAAUUCCAAAUUAGCUCAUAAAACAACUGUUUACUCAUCAAUCCUCAUUCUUUAAUUUUUCUUAUUAUUCAUAAAUUGCUAAUCGGAUCUGGUUAAUUGGUGAACAUAUCAUAUUUCUAUUGUAUUUCCAAUAUUCUUAGAAUUAAACAGCUUUUUGUUUGGACAAUUUCCAAAUUGACUGCAUUGAGUAGAGUCUCAAGAUAAUCAGUAUAAAUGAAGUAAUUUGGAAUUCCUGGGAGCCUGAGAAAUCUGAACCUCACUGUGUUGCUUAGUCCUUCUUGCUCUUCGUUUUUUUCUCAGACUGUUAUUAUAUUUGCUUCUCUAUUGUUCAUUUCCACACGCAAGGCAAGCUGAAAGAUUUUUUCUUUUAAACUUACUUUUUGACCGCAAUUUUUUUCCCCUUUCUUUUAAAGUUGCUUUUAUCUUUUAGACAGGCAUACGUUUAUCCUAAGGUUCAAAAGCAGGCUUACCUGAAGGAAAUACUACAUUUCAGGUGUUAACGCAUUACAAAAAUUUUUACCAGAUUUCUUGAAGAUAAAUCUGAUUUAACUGCAGAUGUGGGACAACAAAGAAGAAAGCAUCUUAGAUAAUUUCACUACAACUAUCUUACUUCAAUGGAAAAUUUUUACCAAAGAUCUAAUUUAUUUUUGCAUUAUGUUAAUAUCAAAUGCUCGCAGAUGAUGAUGGCACAAAUAGUAGUAGCAAUGAACCCUACCAAUAUAAGAAAAAUAUUUUGUAUGUUAGCCAUGCAUUUUUUUGGAUUUUUUUACAGUAUGCACUGUGUCGGUGUAAUGCGGUUAACAUAUGGCCUACUUUUUUGUUAUGUCUGAUUAACAUAUGGACAACUAUUUUGUUAAGUUUUUUGUCUCUAAGUAAUCUUUAAUAUUAGAAAUAUUUAUGUAAAUAUUAUUUUUUUAUCGUUUAAUAUUUAUUAAAGUGUGUUUAUUAUAAAUCUUUCCAUCCGCCGCAAAGAGCGGGUCCUUAACUAGUCCAUAUCUAUAAACCUAUAUGAAGCCACAAUACUUUUUGCCACGUGGCAUGUUAUUCUUACUUCUCAUAGCCAACUUUAAAUCAAACAAUUUUCUCCUCUUUUUAACUCUCAAUUCUUCACCUUCCCACUCCUCUAAUUAUAUGUAAGUUACAACAUUUAAUUAUAUGUAACUUUAAAUCCAACUUUAAAUCAAACCACCUUCUUCUUUUCUUAACGCCUAACUCACCUCAUCACUACUCUAAUUACAUGCAAUAUUUAAUUACAUGCACCAUAUUAAGAUUCUAUUUUAUAACUUUAACCACUUUCCUCCUCCAUUAAUCUCCUACUCCCUCUCUUUUGUAAUUCUUUUACAUGCACCACUCCCCUUCUCCAUUAAUUAAUCUCCUACCCCCUCUCUUUUGUAACUCUUUUACAUGCACCAUAAAAAAAUAUCAUCGUCUAAUCUCCUACUCCGCACUCAUCUCCCUCUUUCUCUCAUUGUGUUAACAAAGAAGAAGAAGAAAAAGAAGAGCCUCUGAAGAAUAUUGUCUCCUUCAAGAAGCAUCGUCCCGCGAAGCCGAGUCGCGACUUAUAUAAGUGCUUGCUGAGUCGGUCCGCGCGGGGGCCUCUACUUACUAUGUAAAUUUAGUCAUAUAAAUUAACUGUACUUAAUAUGUUAUAGCUUCCUAUAUAUCAAUAAAUCGUAAAUAUAAAAUUUAUUAAAAUUUUUAAAUUUUACUUCUAUUAUCUACUCGCUGUAUCGCGCGGGUCUCUGCACUAGUACUACAUGAUUUGCCGUUCCUUGUGAAUAAUAAUAUAAAUAUAAAUAUAAAUAUAAAUAUAAUGGAAUCAUUACUGAUAGGACGACAUUGAAGAUUAGGGCACCGAGGGUCUGGUCCUAAAUAUGUAAAGUUAGGGUGUGUGAGUUAAAAAAGUGCUCGUCUCUGGGCACUCCCUAAUCUCUUUCUCUCUCUCUCUCUCUCUCUCUCCCCGAUCUCGCAAUUCUCCGGGUUCUCGAAACCCUAGCAUGCCAUUUGGUGCGAAUUAGGGCUAGAACUCCUGCGGCCGAUGCAGAUGGAGAGUUCCCACAGAUCCGCCGCCAUGGAUCGCUCCCGAGCUCCCAAUCUCAAGAAGCCUAGGCUGUCCCCCGACGCCGCCGCACCCGCCCACAAUCGGGACCGCGCGUUCGCGGCGGCGGCACCGCCGCAGAGGGGCGGCGCCCAUGCAGCGGCGGCGGCGGCGGGGGCCUCGAGGCCAAGAGCGGCGGAGAGGGACGAGAGGGAUGAUCCCAUGAGAGGACGGGAGUCGCUUCAGCAGCAGCAACAGCAGCAGCAGGAGCUCGUGGCGCAGUAUAAGACGGCGUUGGCGGAGCUCACCUUCAAUUCGAAGCCUAUCAUUACCAAUCUCACCAUCAUCGCCGGGGAGAACCUCCACGCUGCCAAGGCGAUCGCCGCCACCAUCUGUGCCAAUGUCCUCGAGGUGACGAUCAACCGAUUUAUGCUUGAAUCUGCUUAUUAGUAUUUGUGAAAGGACGUGAUAGUGUAGUGGUUUGGUUAUUCCUGUAAGAAUGAUAGGAAGGAGAUCCCUUCGUUUCGGAUCCAUGGUCCGCUUCUCAAUACUUAACCUUCGUACUUGUGAGGGAGGGUGAGGGAUUCAGCCUCUGAAUAGUACCAUUAGGGUGCCCUCAAUUGUUACUGUAAUCAUUUUCUGCUGUUAUGAUGCAUUAUUUCUUAUGGUUAUUUGGUUUUUGUUCGCCUAAUGUGGAAAGGUUUGAUUACCUUGUAUAGCGUGCCUACCGAUUACUGAAAACGGAGAAUGUAUAUUGUGCUUAAAUGAUUCGUAAUUGGAAAUCUCUUAGUUCUAUUGCCAUUCAUAAUUACUCUUGAAUGGUGCCUCGAUUAGAGUUUGUUGAGUUAGUUUAAAACUUUUAAGGUUCCGGUGUCCCCCUUCUUUUCUCUUUUUGCCCCUCUGUGGUUUGGCCUUUUGGGGUGGUCAGCAGAGUUCUUUUGGAUGGUUAGAUGGUUACGGAGUUCUUUUGGAUGGUUAGAUGGUUACAGUAAGAUGGUAAAGGGUGUUGCAGAUCUGAUUAGGUUCAUGCUCUUUUAUGUAUGGUGGAAGUUCAGAUCAUCCUUUGUUAUGCCACUAAAAGCUGCACAGUCAUGAAGUUAUUCCUUGAUGACUGAUUCUGUCCAAUUUGUAUCACUAUCAUAUGGCUGGAUAAGGCAUUUAAACUUUCGGGAUCUUCUAAAGAGUGAUUUUUUAUGCACAUACAUUAUUGUAUCAAUUUUUGGGAUGUUGGAUUAUGCAGUUUAUAAUUGUGUAUGAAGGAGAUAAAUUGUUGUGCAUGUUUGAGUCCCUGCCUAUUGGUUCUCUCAUAAUGUCAUGAAGCAUACCAGAUGUAUUCUUGGUAUAGGGAUCUUAGUUUCGUAAUUCCUUGUUUUAUAUAUGUGCAUCUUACUAUCUUCAUGCCACAAUGGAUGUUCAGAUUUGAGAAACUAGGUACUAUGCGCAUGUGAUUUUGGAUCACAAGAAUAAGAAAAGAAAUAAAUGUUAGAGCUGUAAAUUGUAUAUCCCUUAGCAUGAAUAGGUUCAUGAGUUGAGCAUCUUAUAAGAAUAUUGUAUUUGUUUAUAUUAUUACAGUAUUGAUGCAAUUUCAGUUCACAAUACAAUGAUUUCUCACAAUGAUUUUCUCUUGUAUGUCUAUUUCUUGUUGUUUUCUCUUUUACUUCACAGAUAAUGUUUUACUGAUUACUGUUCCUUUAAAAGUGACUGUAUGUUAUCCAAGUUAUAUUAUCUCCAUAGCCGGAGUUUAACAAUUGAACAGCUCUAGUCUAGGUUUCUUGGGCAACAUCUGCUUGCAAAUGUAUGAUGAUAAUUAUUCUUUUGUUUCGGAAUAAGCUGCAUUUCUCUUUGUUAUCUUAUAAAUGUGACAAGCAGACUAUUGUAGAUGGAGAAUUUCAAAACUUCUAGUUCCAUGUCAUUGUUCAUUUUUCAUAUGUUUGAUGCAAAUAAUAUGCUACAUUCUUUACUGCCUAAGCCAUUUGUUUUCUUUUUGGAGAUCUCUUUGUUGAACUAAUUCCUGUCUUUUGAUUUGUUGGCAUCAGUCAUAUGAUCAGAUUUUGCCCUACCUAGCAAGCAUAAUUAUGAAUAUCAUAUCUAAUGUUGAUUACGGUUUGCAGGUUCCGAGUGAGCAAAAGUUGCCAUCACUUUAUCUUCUUGAUAGCAUUGUGAAGAAUAUUGGAAGAGAUUACAUCAGAUAUUUUGCUGCAAGACUGCCUGAGGUACAAGAAUCUUUCCGGUUGAACAUAGAGAGUUAUAGACUAUUGUUUCAUUUCCAUGUGGGUCUAUGAAAUCUAUUAAUUGUUGCUUAUUUUCUCCUUUAAUAAUUGUUAAAUACUUUGUGUUGGCAAAUCAAGAAAUUUGAAAGUGAGAAAUCUCUGUUCCAUAGGCAUAAACAUUUAAUUUUGUCAACUUUUUGUUAUAUUUAUUGUAAUGUAAAAGUUCCUCGAACACCUGUAGUCUUUAUCUUCUCCAAUAUUUGGUGGUUGUAACAUUGUGUUCAGAAGCUUCUUUUUUUGUUCUACCCUAUGAUUGAAAGGAAUUUUAUUUCGUCAUUUGCAUAACUAAUGCAUUUGAGAUGAAGUAAAUCCUUAACACUAAAAGUUUAGUGUUUUAUCUCUUUUCAAGACUACUCCCAUGUCUAGAGGGCUCUACAUAGGGAUUGCUCUUGACCUACAAAACCCUAAACUAUAGUAAAAGGGGUUGAUUAUUCUAUCCAUCAACCACCUUUGUAUCACUAUCAUGGCAAGUCCCUCAAUCUUUUGAUUUUCUUGGGAUGCAAAAACCAUCUGUUCUUUCUGAGCCUUCUUAUUCUUGAUCUGCACUUAGUUGACUCUGUACCGUUACUGAAGGACUUGCAGAGGCUGAUGCCAAUGUUUGUUAUGUUGCAGGUUUUUUGUAAGGCCUAUAAUCAGGUUGAUCCUUCUAUACAUCCUAGCAUGAGGCAUCUUUUUGGUACAUGGAAAGGAGUGUUUCCUCCUGCACCACUUCAAGCAAUCGAGAAAGAGAUUGGCUUCCAACCAUUGAUAAAUGGUUCGUCUGGACCUUCAAUAUCAAGGCCUGAUUCUCAGCCUCAGCGGCCGUCCCACAGUAUCCAUGUUAACCCAAAGUAUUUAGAAGCAAGACAGCGUCUUCAGCAAUCAACAAAGGUAAUCCGACUCCCUAGCAACUGCAGAUAUGCCCACCGAUGUAAUUUUAUUUACGAAUUAAGUACCAGUCUCGUCCUAGAAGUUUGACCUGGAAAUCUAGAAAUGUGGAAUUUCUUCUGCUUUUUUUUAAUUGUUACACUAUAGUCACUAAGGUUUGUCUAGCCUUCAAUGAAUCUUUCCUUUGUUCUGCCUGUGGAAAAAGUGCCAAGUUGGAUUCCUCUGUUGAAUUGAAACUCUAAGGAUAAAACAGAUUUAAAUUAUUGAGAAAAAGCAAAACUGAAGUCAAGGUCCAACUGCGGGGAUUGAAUUAAAACUUGAGGAGUGAUAUUGAAAUUUGGAACCAAUUACGGGGACUGAAUUGUUACAAUUGAAACUCUAAGUCUGAUCUUGAAACUUAUGUCAAUUUCAGGGACUAAUUUCUUAGCUUAAUUUUUUAGUUUACUUAGUGAACUCUAUGUUAAUACUUCUGAUCAAUUUUCUUUGAUUUCAUGAAGGGACGGGAAAUUGGCAAGGAUGACGUAAAUACCUCGAUUAAUUCUGGUGAUGCUGUGGAAAGGUCUGAUAGGCCAGCUGUAGAUGGAAGUACCGGGCGAUGGACAGAUGUACUGAACAAUAGGCCUGUACGUAUCUUGUACCUUUAUUUAGGCUUUUCAACUCAAAUAAUAUGAUUAGAUAUGCUGUGGCUAUUAAUUUGCUUCUGGUUAAAGAUGUAAGUUUAUUAAUCUUUUUAAUUUGUGCAGAAUAUGCAACAUCCUCAAAGAGACCUCUUAAAUGAUCCCAUACAUGUGAAAAAAGAAGUUAAAGAUGUUAGAUGUCCUGAUUUUCCCUCUGAUAUCUCACAGCAGCCAGAGCUGGGAGUUGGAAGGGUUGGCGAGAGGCUUAGAGGGCGAGAAGUGUUUGAGAGACAAUUUGGUGGUUUUAAUAUUGGUGCUUCGGGAUCAGAAAUCCUAAGAAAGAACAGUUUGGACGUAAAUAAGGAUUUGAGGGCAUCAGUUUCUGUGCGAUCUGAUGUAAAUUUGGAAAGAAGCAGCAGACCAUCAUCAAAAAACUGGAAAAAUACUGAAGAAGAAGAGUUUGUGUGGGGUGAUAUGAAUUCUCAACCAACAGAUUAUGGAGGUAGUAACAUCAGGAGGAAAGGUGAUUGGAAUGCUGAAAACUCGAAUAAGUUAACAGGCUUGCAUAUGAACAAAUGGAUGCCUCUGGAGACUGAUCAUCAAGGGUCCCACUUGAACAAACUUGAAAGCUUUUUUAGAAUUGGGAAGAACUCUGGACAGGAUGGAAAAGUUCCACUAUUUAAGGUAUCUUUCUUUCUGCAGUGCUUUUGUAAUUAUUGUCAUUUCAUCUUAAUCACUUGUUUAUUUAUCUAUAAUAAAUUUUCAGUUGUUCUUCAGCUUUUCUAUAAUUUUAGCAUAAGAGAAUUCUGAGUGGGAGGGAAUUCUGUUCUGCAUAUAAGAUUACAAUCCGAAUUUAGUUUCUUUUAUCUUAAGUUAGUGCAACAUCACUAGGGAAAACAUAGACUACAUUGACUACAUUGACACAUCCACAAGUUUGAACACUUCUAGAUCACAUCAUGCCAUUUUGAGAAAUGAAGGAAAAGAAGAAACAAAUCUGUAAUUUGUAUCUUUAUGCGCGUUCACAAACUCUCACUUUUGACCUGACUUUGAUGUUUAUCUGAGGGAAAGUACGACCAUCUGAUGGUUAUUUUUUGUGCAGGACCAUGAAGACUACCUCUCACAUCUUCAAACUAAGUAUGCUCCCAAUGCGAGAAUAGAUAGGGAGACUCCUUCACAGUUGCUAUCUGAGGGAGGACGUGCCGCUGAAGCUCACACCUUCUUAGAGAGGGUUCCACACGAGGCACCACUUCUGGAUAGUGGUUUGGAUCAUAACAGUGCAAGGUUUCCUAGCAAAUCAGAAGAGAGGCCCGUUUCUUAUGGUGGCAGUUUGUCUGCGAGCAUCAGUUCAUCUUUACCUAUUUCAGGCUCACUGUCUCAUCAUACUGUACCAUCAAGCUUAGGAAGUUUGACUAAUUUAAUCUCGAGAUCAGGUGACUCAUAUGGGCAACAGAGGAAGCAAUAUUUGCAUCCUCCGUCUCCAUCAGUUCAUUCACCCCCAUCAUCUUCUGUACCCUUUCCACAUAAGCCACCAAAUAAAGCGGAGCCUGAUGCAUUUUGGUCCAAGCCCUCUCAAAUGGGUCAAAAACCAUUUUCUUCUUUCCAUUCACAGCUGGGUUCUCCAAUGCCAUUUCAGCCUCAAAAGACGGUAAAGUUUUCUGGAACUAGUGAGUCAAAUAAGACUGCCAAUGAAACCUCUGGACAGCCUAGCGCAAGUGAUCUAUUGGCUGCACUUAUGAAGAGUGGACCUAAUCCAAUAAGCAAUCCCCAGAACAUAAACAUACAGCCUCCCCUGCCAACCGGACCUCCUCCUAUCCAUGCUCUCUCGUCACAUGGAAAUAGUGCACCAGCUCCUGUGCCACCCCCAAUGAACAACACAGUGCUUCCUCCCUUGCCGCCUGGCCCACCACCACCAUCAUCCUUGGUUCGUACGGCCUCCCAUAUCUCCAACAAUAAUACUGGUUCUGUAGGAAAUCCACUUUCGAGUCUCCUUCGUUCUUUAGUAGCAAAGGGAUUAAUAUCAUCACCAGCAACAGAAACGCCUGCUGCAACUAUAGCUCAACCUUCCCAUAAAGUUCCAAAUAUUGUUCUUUCAACUUCAACUACAACAGCUGUCCAGCCAUUUUCAGCAAAAGAGUCCCCUGCCGAAUCAGUUGCUCCAAUAGCUGCUGCUUUGUCUCAAUCUACUGAAACAAAAAUGCAGGUUCUCAUAGGCGUUGAUUUCAAGUCGGAGAUAAUGCGAGAAUACCAUCCCAUGGUAAUAGAGAGCCUGUUUGAUUCCCUUAAUCAUCAAUGUCGAAUAUGUGGUUUAAGAUUCGGGCUUGAAGAGCAGCUUCAUGGUCACUUGGAAUGGCAUGCGUCUAAGAAGUUGAUGAGUAAUGAUUUCAGCAGUGUGACUAGGAAAUGGUAUGCCGAUACAAGCCGUUGGAUUGCUGGAUCUGUUGAACCACAAAUUGGACAGAUGAAGCCAACUUCCUCGGGAGACGAUGUAGUAGGAUCUGUCGAAGAGCAAUGUGAAAUGAUGGUUCCUGCAGAUGAGAACCAGAUUAUUUGUGCAUUGUGUGGAGAACCAUUUGAAGAUGUUUAUUCUCAUGAAAGAGAUGAAUGGAUGUAUAAGGACACAGUUUAUUUAAACUUGCCAAGCAACCAAAGUGGUAUUAGAUAUAUGGAUGUGAAUAAAGGACAGGGACCCAUCGUGCAUGCCAAGUGUAUUUCUAGAAGCUCAACCAAUGAUUUAGAAGUGGGCGACCUUAAUAAAGGGGUAUGUAAUAUAUUAGUUAGCCUAUUUUCAUUCUGCACAGCAUGUUUUGGUCCUCCCUUGUUUGUGCAUUAUUAUUUUUUUUUUUUUCCUUUUGCACUUUUGCAUUGGAAACUACUUGAAGUGCAUUGAGUUAUUAGCCCCCUUAUAUAUUUAGAAAGGCUAAGGUUGAUGUGACGCCCCACUUCUUGGGGGACCACCCAUCCUAGAACAACAACUCAACCCUAUUAACCUAUUGGGACUAGUUAUCGUCCAAAAUGCUAUAGCUGAAUUUAGAAGUUUAGCGCUAUUAUACCUUAUAUGUAAGACUUUCAAAUUUUGGGGGUGUCACAUUUGUCAUUCUUUAAGCCCUUAUGUCUUCGUUAGGCUCAAGCACACUCACAAGCAUCCGGCGAUGUGAGACUCGUUUCGCUAGCCUUAGCAGCCUUGCCGGGAGCUGUGCUCCAACCACAAUGGGCGUCAGUUGGGGAGCCGUGCUCUUGCCCUUGUGUGAACCUAGCUCAGCUGAGACUUAUCUCACACUUUCAAUUGGUGAUUGACUCUGAUAUCAACUGCGACACCUUGCUUCCCAGGGAAGUCAUCCAUCCUAGAACUACUCUAGCCCUAUGCUCGUUCGACUCUCUUAACCUCUUGGACCUAACCACUGACCAAAAUACUAUAAUGGGGUUCAGAGGUUUAGUCUCACUAUAUUUUAUAUAUAGGACUAUUUCAAGUCCUAGGGAUGUCACAGUUGAAAGCAUCCACCUUGGUUUGCAAAGUUAGCAUGUACUGUGCCGAUUUUUUGAAUGACCAAGCAUGCCUACAACACAAGGAACUUCCUACUGGCUGUGUUCUGGACUGUAGCAGGUGUCAUGCAGAUGGAUACUAGGCAUAUCCAUGUUGCACCAGCUGAAUAUAUGAUGCUGAUUACUAAAACAUUUCACUCAUCCAUUAUGGUCAAUUUCUCUCUCAAUAAGCUCUUUUGUAUACAUAAUUUCACUGCGUAAAUUGCAUAUUAUUAUAAGAAUGAAAACUAAACAUUAUCGUAAUUUAUUACAUAUUCUAGUGUUCGUUUUUGGCUUAUUAUGGUUACUAAUGCAAACAACUGACCUGAAAUCUGUUCUAUUAGGGUACUGAUUUUUUUUUGUGUGUGUGUGUGUGUGCCCGCGCAUGCGUGCGUGCGUGCGUGUGUGCGCGCGUGUACUCUUUAGUGUUUUGAAUCUUUAGUAUUUUGAAAUAAUCAUCAAUAUAUUUCUUCUGUUGGUAGCUUAUUCCUUCUAUAUUCUUCUUUCUUUCAGCGUGGAUGAACCGGUGAUGUUUUGCAGAGAAGAAUUUACCGGAAGUUGAUGUUUUGCAGAGAAGCAUUUGCCACAAGUUGGUAUUUUGCAGAGAAGCUUUUGAAGCUCUUCAUAGUCCAAGGGGCUGGACAAGGAUGAACUGUGGUAAAGGUUUGCUCUUAACUUGUAAUAUCUUCAUGGCAGUGGUGCAAAUUCAGUAUGCAUGAAAUGAGCAACAGCUGUUUGGCUCAUGUCUAAUUCUCCUUUGGCAUACAAUUUUGAUAGAAAAUGAUGAACAAAGGUUUCCUUUGCCUUCUCUCUUACCAACUUGGUUUGAUGUUGGUCGGCAAUAGAUAAUAUUUCAGUUUGUCAAUGAAAUUGUUGAGCAUUAAAAGUGAAGCAAAUUCUACGUUAACUUUUCCAUUGGAUUUUGUAUGAUCAAUAAUUCUUUUUGUAACUUAUCUUCAUAGACCUCAAAUCAACUUCCAUGUUGCUUCGCUGUUUGUACUCACUCAACACUCUAGCUAUUAUAUUUUUCCUUUAAUGGUAGCUUUUCCUUCAUUUGAAAAUGAAACGGGCCCAUGUUUCGCGGCUAUUCUUCAGGAAUUAUGUCGCCACUAUUCAUAGAGGAACCUUGUUAAUUGAAUCGUUCCUGUUUGUCAAUGUGCGGGCCUCAUAGUUGCUUUCUUUAACUGCAAAUGGAUGUAACUCCUGGUAUCAAGGAAUGUUUGAGGUUAUCAAUAGCCCCUAUUUGUUGCUUCGAAGUUGAUUGACUUGUAUAAACAUAGUAUAAUGUCAUUUGGUUUCUAUCUUUUUGCAGUUUAACUUUUUGUUUCUUCUCUUUUUUUCCUUUUGUGAAGCAAAGGCUUAAUGAACAACUGUGUGAUUCAUUUUCUUGCUAGAUUGUAUCAGCUUUUCAGCUUUGCUCCUAAUUGAGUAAAAAAAAAAAAUCAAUGUGUGAUAAUGUCAUUGUUGUCUUUUACAAGGUAGAUUGCCUGUUAAUAUGUUGGAUUUCAUCUAGUAUAUUGCACAUUUGUCGUAAUUUUGUUUUCUUAUAACAUGAUUAGGUUGGAUAUUGAGAUUUUUAUGGGCAACAUUUUUAUCAUUCUUUUAUCAAACAAGGUCCAAGGGUACUGUCUAGGACACUGUUUGAUCUUAGAUUAUAUGUUUCUGCAAACAACCUGUGAUUGAAUAUUGAUGUUUGGCUAUAAAGGAACAACCGAUAAAGGAACACAUGCUCAGAUAUCCGUUCUCAAAUGCCGUACUUGCCGAUUUCUGAUUGUUCAAUGAAGAGGAAUUAGUGGUUCUAUCGGUUGGAGUAAGGUGCUUUGCGUUCGUAUGCUUCGCCCCUUGGAAGUAGGAUAAUUCCUACCUUUUUUCUUUUGACAUGUGUUUUGUAAGUGUGCAUUAGACAAAGGUAUCAUUAUCAUGUGUUAUACAUUCACUGCAAUGGGAUUGCAAUGUUACUGGUACUUGGACAGUCUUGUUUGCGUCACAAUCUGUCUGUGAGAACCGAUAUAUAAUGGCUGUCGACUGAGCUAGGCCAUGUGGAGAACUCUAUUGUCUUCUCGAUCGCUGUAAUGUUACUUUUGGUUGUGUGCUUGUAGUGUUGUCUCCUGCUGUGUUGCAUUCUCAUGUCCAAUGACCCACUAAAUAACAAAUGGCGUCACGUCCAAUUCUUAUGAGCUGAUGCUAUGGUUAUGCGGUGAUGAUGUUAACUUAUCAUUACGCAAGUUUUUUUUUUUUUUUUUUUUUUUUUUUUUUUUUUUUUUUUUUACCUCAUGGUGCUUGUGAAAUUGGUAAAGAAUCAAAUGUUUUGAUUUCGCUGUCUAAAUCUCUAAAUGUUUAAAUGUUCACCAUUCUGUUAUUUCAUUUAUUCUGUGGAAGCAUACUGACAUUGUAAACUUUGGUAGUAGAAAUGAACUUUUAAAGCGGAGAUUUCAAAUUUAAAAGUGAAAUUAUAAAAAAAAAAUGUCAAAACACAAUUUUUGAUGCUUAUUUUGAAAUGCACUGUAGCUUGAGUAAGGUACACGUAUUUGCUCGAGAGGGGCUUUUGAGGGUAGAUUGGUGGAUCAAUCAAACUAUAGUUGUACGAAUGAGUGUCAUUCCUCCUGCCUUCGUUUUUUAUUUCUCGCCUCGCCAUGCUGAGGUGUCUAACCAACAGCAGCCUCCUCCGCCCGUCGUACUUCGAUUCCAUGUCAACCCUCAGUCGCAUGGCGAGAAGAACUAUGACGUGCUUUUUUCCUUUAGGGUGCGUUUGGUUUGCAUUAUAAAAGAUUACUAAGAAUAAAAAAUAUUCGAGAAUCUUAUUCCUAUUCAUCCUAUUACUAAGAAUGUGAAAUUUUUGUAUUUGGUUCGCACGAUAAUAUUAAUUAGCCAUGUUAUUUAAUAUUACAAAAAAUAUACAAUUUAUUUAUUUAUUUAAUUUUAUAUAAUAUUACCAAAAGUUUCAACAUCUUUUUAGAAAAAAGGGAGAGAGAGUAUAAGUUAGAGAGAGAGAGCAUAAUUAAAAAAAUGGAAAGAAAAAUAUAGUCGAAAUUAAAGGGAGUGAGAGAGUUGAAAUUUUAGAAAGAGAUAGAGAGAGAAAGCUUAGUUUCGAGAGAGAAAAAAAAGUUGAAUUUUAGAGAGAAAAAUAAGUUUAGAGAGAGAUAUAAUACUAGAGUGUAAAGAAAAAUAAUAUCAAUUAGCAGGCGGAUAAAAAAAAAGAAAGAGAUUAGACAUAUUAUGAUUACCCUAAUUUAUUAAUAUGAGGAUACCCACCCUCCCUCAAGGGAAUGAGAUUAGUACUUUGAGGUGAAUCUUAUUCCCAAGUGAAUCCAAUAUUACCAACUAGAUUACUUAGUGCGUUUAGCCAAACACUGUCAUAUUUUUUUUAUUCCCAUUGGAUUACUAAGAAUCUUUAAAAGAUAGUGCGAACCAAACGCAUCCUUAAAGGGAUAAUUGUCUAUACACCCCUCAUGCGUCUGAAAAUAUCCGAUCUAUUAUUUUUUUUUUCUUUCUAAAAUGCCUCUUAUAUGUUUCACCGUUAUUUCAAAAUAUCCCCGCAGUUAUCCCCUGUUAGCUUAAUUCGAAUUAAACAUGGGUUAAAUGUAUACUAAAGUUAAAACCUAUAUAAAAUAUCUAUUUUAUCCCUAUCUUAUUAUGCUAAUCCCUUAAGUUAUCAUCUUUCUCUCCCAACUUGCGCCGGCUCCUCCGCCUCCACCUCGCCGGCUCCGCCGCUUUCACCUCGCCACAUCUCCUCCCAGACCACCACCACCUCCCACACCUCCACCUCCAACACCACCUCUCUCGUUGCUCUCGUCGUCCUCCUCCUCCGCCGAUCUCGUCGUCCUCCUCCUCCGCAGCCGCUCUCGUCCUCCGCCGCUCUCGUCCUCCGCCGCUCUCGUCGUCGCUCUCCUCCUCCGCUGCUCUCGUCGUUGUCGUCGUCCUCCUCCGCUGCCGCCUUGGCCGGCGCCGGGAGCAAGAGGGCCGCAGCGACGAUCCUGUCUCGCUCGAGGGAGCAAGAGGACUGCCGCCUCCUCUGUAGCUCCAGCGAGAACUCACUUCCGGGGCCGGGGCCGAGCCCGAGCCCGAAAUUCCACUUCCGGGCCAUCCCGGACGGACUCACCGACAACCGGGCUCGCUCGGCCGUGCGGUUGCUGGAGCUCGACGCGUCCCUACGUGGUCCACGAGGCCAGUUUGGCCUUCUGGACCGGAUAAGAGGGAGGUCCACGGUGGACCUCCCUCUCAUUAUANUCCACCUCGCCGGCUCCGCCGCUUUCACCUCGCCACAUCUCCUCCCAGACCACCACCACCUCCCACACCUCCACCUCCAACACCACCUCUCUCGUCGCUCUCGUCGUCCUCCUCCUCCGCCGAUCUCGUUGUCCUCCUCCUCCGCAGCCGCUCUCGUCCUCCGCCGCUCUCGUCGUCGCUCUCCUCCUCCGCCGCUCUCGUCGUCGUUGUCGUCCUCCUUCGCCGCAGCCUUGGCCGGCGCCGGGAGCAAGAGGGCCGCAGCGACGAUCCCGUCUCGCCCGAGGGAGCAAGAGGACUGCCGGCUCCUCUGUAGCUCCAGCGAGAACUCACUUCUGGGGCCGGGGCCGAGCCCGAGCCCGAAAUUCCACUUCCGGGCCAUCCCGGACGGACUCACCGACGACCGGGCUCACUCGGCCGCGCGGCUGCUGGAGCUCGACGCGUCCCUACGCGCCAGAUCGAGCCGCGCGAUUGCUGGAGCUCAACGCGUCCCUAUGUGGUCCAUGAGGCCAGUUUGGCGUUGUGGACCGGAUAAGCUCAUUAUAUAUAUAUAUAAAAAAUUUUAUUUAUAAAUAUUUAUUCAUAUAGUAUUUUAUUUUUAUGUAGAAAUAUUAUUAUAUAAUAUUUUAUUUAUAAAAUUGUAAUUAUUUAUUAAUAUUUUUAAAUAUAUAACUCUUAUAUAUUAUUAGUAUAUGUUUAUUAUAAUUUUAAAUAUAUUUAAUCUAUAUAUAAAUAUUAUAAUAAUAAUAUAUAUAGUAUAAUACCGAAUUUUUAAAANAUAUAAAAAAUUUUAUUUAUAAAUAUUUAUUCAUAUAGUAUUUUAUUUUUAUGUAGAAAUAUUAUUAUAUAAUAUUUUAUUUAUAAAAUUGUAAUUAUUUAUUAAUAUUUUUAAAUAUAUAACUCUUAUAUAUUAUUAGUAUAUGUUUAUUAUAAUUUUAAAUAUAUUUAAUCUAUAUAUAAAUAUUAUAAUAAUAAUAUAUAUAGUAUAAUACCGAAUUUUUAAAAGUUAUAUAUAAAAAUUAUAUUUGAUCUCGAAUUUUUAAUUGGUGAACGUAUAAUACCCGUAUAAAUCACGUAUCCGAAUAACUGCCGAAUCUGUUUUUUAGUCGUAUUUUUCAACGAAUUUAAAAAUUAAAAGACGAAUUUUAUCCGAAUUAUAUCCGUAUCGAAUUUUUGCCGAAUCCAAAUUAACUAACUAUGUCUCCAGCCACCAAGGUUGGUUUAGCUGCGAUCGAUCUCAUUCGUUCAUCUGCUCGCUCCCGACGUGCUUAAUUAAUUAAUUGAUAUUUGAAGGGCAAAAAAGAAAAGUAUUUGCUAUAUGAAGGGUAUAUAAGAAAAGUUAGUUACGGUAUGAGGGUAUAUUGAAAUGGGCAAAAUGAUAAUUUUUCAGAGAUAACGGUAGCUCACUAACGGAACUUAACUCCAUGGGUAUAUUAGAAAGAUUUGGAAUAUAAGAAGGGUAUUUUCAAUAUUAGCCUUCUAAAAGGGGUAAAUAAGAAAACCAGAAAUUUUUCAGGAGUAUAUAGGCAAUUGCCCCUUUUUUAAAAAUGACCCUAUGCUUUCCGAAAUUUUCACAAAAGUGAUAAAUCAUUAUCGUCUUUCUCUUAUUUAUUAUUAUUUUUUUUUAUAUCACAUAUAUAAUUUAAUAAUUGUAUAAAAAUUUUAACAAAUCACGUAUAAUCUUAAUAACCUGAAAAAUUCUAAUAAUCUACUCAUACUAUUCUAACAAUCAAAUAAAAAUUCUAAUUAUCUAUAUAUAAUCCUAACAACUAUAUAAAAAUUUCAACAAAUUACAUACAAUUUUAACAAUCUAAAAAAUCCUAACAAACAAUCUUCAAAAAUGCAAUGGAAUAAUUCACUGCUUUAGUAGAAAAUUGCCGUCUUCUUAAAGACAGUGAAUAUUACUGUCUUCUUAAAGACAGUGAAUAAUUCACCGUUUUUAAAAGAAUUCCACCCCCUAUGCUGAGUGAUUUGGCGAAAGGAGUGUUAUUUCGCCAAAUAUUUUUUUAGUAGGGUCCUUUAGCCAAUUAUAAUACUCUUAGGGUGCGUUUGGUUCGCGCUAUCUUUUAAAGAUUCAUAGUAAUCCAAUGGGAACAAAAAAUUAUGACGGUGUUUGGCUAAACGCACUAAGUAAUCUAGUUGGUAAUAUUGGAUUCACUUGGGAAUAAGAUUCACCCCAAAGUACUAAUCUCAUUCCCUUGAGGGAGGGUGGGUAUCCUCAUAUUAAUGGAUUGGAGUAAUCAUAAUAUGUCUAAUUUCUCUCUUUCUUCCUACCCGCCGGCUAAUUGAUAUUAGUUGUCUUUACACUCUAACCUUAUAUCUCUCUCUAAACUUAUUUUUCUCUCUAAAAUUCAACUUUUUUUUCUCUCUCUAAACUAAGCUUUCUCUCUCUCUCUCUCUCUUUUUCUAAAAUUUCAACUCUCUCACUCCCUCUAAUUUUGACUAUAUUUUUCUUUCUAUUUUUUUAAUUAUGCUCUCUCUCUCUAAUUUAUACUCGCUCUCCCUUUUUUCUAAAAAGAUGUUGAAACUUUUGGUAACAUUAUCUAAAAUUAAAUAAAUAAAUAAAUUAAUUAAUUGUAUAUUUUUUGUAAUAUUAAAUAACAUGGCUAAUUAAUAUUACCGUGCGAGCCAAACAUAGCAAUUCCACAUUCUUAGUAAUAGGAUGAAUAGGAAUAAGAUUCUCGGAUAUCUUUUAUUGCUAGUAAUCUUUCAUAAUGCAAACCAAACGCAUCCUUAUGGUUAUUUGAAAAAAAAAAAAAAUCCAACUAUGACAUGUCCCCCAGCAUAAUAAAAUCAAUGCAUCUAAUAGCACUCCUAUCCACAUUCCCCAGUUCGAUCCCUCACCAUAAAUGCAUCCAAUAUACCUUCUAUACACAUUCCCUAGCAAUGGCCACACCACUGUGGCGCAGCUCCUGGGCUUCUAUUGUUGACGACAAAAGGCAAGCUAGGAGACGACUAAAUUAAAGAAAUCAAAUAAUUCUGCUCGGACUAGGGGUGGAAACGAGCUGAGCUCGAGCGAGCUUACUUCUGCUCAAGCUUGACUUGAAAUUAAUUUUGAGCCUAAAUUUAGGCUCAAGCUUGGCUUGAAAUUAAUUCGAGCAGAGCUCAAGCGAGCUCGAGCCCUAAAUGAGUUGCUUGAAAUUCUUAAAAUCGUGCAAUCAAUAGUUUAAUUUUUAUAAAAUAUUAUUUAAAUUUGAUAUAAAAAAUAUUUAAUAAUUUAACAUACAAAAUGAAUGUAUAAAUACGAUAUUAUAAUAUUAAAAAAAUUAUGAAAAGCCGAGGAAGUGAAAAAGAGAGAAAGAGAGCAAUUAGAGUAAGAUUUUGCUGGUUUGGUUUUGUGGGCCCAAUAAUCUAAAUUCUAUAUACAUAUAAUUAAAAUACAUAAUAUAUAUUAUUUUAUAUAAUUUAAAUAUAUAUUAUAUAUAAUUAUAUAUAGAGAUAGUUUGGCUACUAUAUAUACUGUAGCACACUGAACUUUAACAAAUUGCAAGGUUCUAGUGUUCGAAUAGUAUUUGGUACUAUUUCUAGUGAGUUUGAGGGUCGUGGACUGUGUACCGACCUAAUACUCGCGUUUUACGAGGAGAAAUAGUGUACUUAGCAUCAAAAUCUGCAAACUGCAGGUUUUGGGGAGCUAAGUACCGGUACCGCAGUGAGGUACCGGUACCCCGACGCGUAAUCGAGAGAACUGCUCUCGGUUUUGAGCUGAGGGGUGCUGGGUACCGGUACAGACUUGGUCGGGUACCGGUACUGGAGCUGGGUACCGGUACUGCAUUGAACGGGUACCGGUACGCCGCAGGCUGCCCGCUUGACAGAGGCUCGGGUUGCGCAGGUUUGGUCGUCGGGUACCGGUACUCCUGCCCGAGUAUCGGUACGCAGUGCAGAAAACUGCAGUUCGUGCAGUUUGUAAUUUCUGUAUUUUUGAGAGGUCUUGAGAGAAUUGUUACAUCAUGUUUAUAACAUACUCUCUCCCCCACAUGUCUCCCUUUGUGCUGAGACUAAGAGAGGAAGAGGUGAGUUUUUCCUCCUCUCUCCCUUGGAUUUUUUUCUCCAAAACUCAUGUCGAUUUGGGUUUUUGAUCUCUUUUCUUCUUCCUCUUCAUGGUGGCUAGCUUCUUGAGCCUUAAAGGAGCCUUGGAAGUAAAGAAGAGAACUAUUUGAGGAUCUAACUAUAAGGGAGUGAAUUCUCGAAAUUCGAGUGUUGAACUUCGUUUGGAAUCGACUUAUCGUCGACUUGGUGGGCUUCAGAGAGUCCGAAUGCGAUAAAAAUGCGAAAAGCGCAUUAGGGAGGACCUUGGAGAGUUGAGGAUUUCAAAGUUGCAAAGUUGCACAACUUUCCGACUCUCGGGGUCCGGACCCUAGUGGCAGGGUCCGGACCCCAUAGCUGCGAAAAAGCCCCCUUGGGCUUGAGAACCUCAUGUGUGCAAAGUGCACACUUUUGCAACUCUCGGGGUCCGGACCCUGGCUUUAGGGUCCGGACCCCGUACCACGAAAAUGCCCAGAAUGGGCUGGCUGAUGUUGGUGAAGUUGAGGGGCUUUUAUGCAAAUUGGCCAUAUGAGGGGUUAAGAGAGGGCUUUCUCUCUCUCAUCUCCCAUUUCUCCCUCAACCCUCUCAACCCUAACACACACUCUCUCUCUAGAAGCUUUCUCUACCUCUCUCUAGAAAGGAAAGGAAGGAGAAGGAGGGAAAGAAGGAGAAGAAGAUCAAGAAGGGGAUCAUCAUCAUCCUCUUCUUCUUCCUCGUGCUUGGAGCAUCUUGGAGAGGUAAGCUCCCAAGCUCUCUCAUGGUAAAUCUCUAGAGUUAGGGUUGUAGGCUUUAGAGAUGGUUUUAGUAGAACCCAUUGAUGCUAGAUAGGUGAUUGCUGCUUGAAUCAUGGACCAAUUUUGGGUAUUCUUACAAUAGGGAUCACCUAAGGCUCUGAAUAGGGGUUUUGCUAUACGGUAAGGUUUGAUCUCGUUUAACCCUCUGUAAACCUAAUUGCUAGGUAUUCUGAUGCGUUGCCGAAGUCGGUUCGACGAUUCGUUGAGCCGGUGCGAAGAUAUUGAAGAAACGGAGGAUUUAGCUUUGUUUCUGCCUGGAGGGCCGAGGCGGCGUCUAUAAAUCGUGAAAACGGAACCCGGGCACUGCGGCAAAUAAACGAAGACCCUUUUUAACCGUGGCUGCGAAGUGAUGCACGGUUGAUGAGCGAUUGCAGAAUCGGGCCAAACUGGGUGCCGAGUGCUGCGGGAGGCCGAUUGCAAGUGUCGACAAGCAAUCGGAGAGCGAAUCAAGGUGGGUUGUGUUUAUCGAAGCGACUAGGUCGCCGUUAUGUCUAAGCGAAAUCUGAUUUUAUCUUGAUGCAUAUAAAUGCUAGAAGAUGCAUAUAGCUAAUACUAAAAGAAUGCAUAUUAAUGAUAUGAUGUAGAAAUUAUAGAAUGCAUGAUGAGCAUGUUAUAUAAAUGCUAGAUAAAUGCAUGAUUAGCAUUGAGAGGAUAGGCAUGUGAGUUGGAUCGAUAACUCUAGAGUGAGUAAAGAACUCGACCUUGGACAAUUAGGACGUCGAAUAGAUCGAGUAGCAUCGAACCUAGUGUUGCUGAACCUAGGGCGAAUCAUGAGUGGCAUCCAACCUAGUGUCGUGAACAUAGGUUGAAUAGGAGUGACAUUGGACCUAGUGUUAGUAAACAUAGGUUGAACAAGUAAACCUAGAAGCUGAGAUCUAGGUAGUAAUGAUAUAGAACCUAGAGUAUUGAAACCUAGGUUAUGACAUGUGGUAAACCUAGAGUGGUAUUGAACCUAGGUUGUUGAGUAUAGUGGUAGUAGCCACUAGGAUGUACUAGGUCGAUAGAAUAUGGUUGGAUAUGGACCCUUGACCUGUGGAAGUGGUUCUGGAAUAGGGUUGGAUAUGGACCCUUGAUCUGUGAUGACCUUGGUAUCAAGGCUAGGACGUGUGCGACGAUUUCGCCGCUGAGGUUGAUACCAAGGGAGGAUUGGGGGUGAGUACGUAGAGAUCAUCGCCCGGAGGCUUGAACCAUGGCUGGGCAUGUGCGACAAUUUCGCCGCCAGAUGGUUAAGCCGAUUUGUGGAUUAGGCCGCCAGGAUUGACUUGAGCCAUUGUUGGGUGAGGUGCGAUUAGUUUGCCGCCAGAUGGCUAAGUCAAGGGACUUAAACUAGUGUUCGGCGUAUGCGACGAUUUCGCCGCCAGCUGGCUAGGUCACAGAGGGCGGUAGGCUGUUGAGCAGCCAGUGCGCGGUAGUCCACGAAUGAUUGACUCAAGACCGAGUCAGGUGAAUAGUGGAAAUCUUAAAGGCUAGUGAUAUAUGAUAUGAUCUAAGGGAGUAGAGACCUUAGACACUAGUUGAGGUUGAGCUGUGGAACUAAGGUAAGUAGAAACCUUAGAGCUAGUUGAUAUGAACUAUGAAUAGCAAGAUUGAAAGUAGUAUCAAUGGAACUACUACCUGAACUGCAUAGUUGCAUAGUUGCAUAGAUUCCAUAUUGCAUAUUGUGAGGCAUGGCAUAUAUUUCAAUAUGGCAUAUAUAUAUAUAUAUAUGUUGUAUAUUAUUGGACUAACAUGCUGCAGUGCCUUCUUAGACCUAUUGGUCGAGCUUUUUUCUUGGGUGGCCGUACCCACUGGGAACCAUGGAGUUUGUUCUCAUCCCACGUUGUUUUGGGGUGUUAUAGGUUUGCACGUGAGCGACGCGGUGGCGAAGCAAGGGCGUAGCUCCAUAAAUAGCGCCCUACCCAGAGACCGAGAUAGAGGUACCCCGAGUCGGCAUAGCCUAGGGGUAGAGGGAAGGAAAAAAGUAAAAGUUGUAAUAAACUUGUAAUAAUUUAGAUUGCAUUUGGUUGAAGGCAAAUCGAAUUGAGAUAUAAAAUGUAUGAAUGUGAAUGCUUGUAAUAGCAAGUAGUUUUAUGUUUUUGAUACUUCCUUAUGCAAUCUAUAUGUUGAAUAUUGUUCCUGGUUGGAACCCUUGUAUUGUAUUGAUUGCGACGCCUAGGACGUACAGGGAAAACUCUGUCCGUUCGACGGUCUAUCGGCGUGCCCGAGCCCGACUAAAUUGGCGGGGCUCGGGGCGUGACACUAACUCCAACUCAAGUUUGAUUUGGGGCUUCUACUAAGGUUAGUAAUCUCCUUACUACCUUUGAUUGUAGAUUUUGCUUGGAUCUUGGAAGAAAAUCUAGUUUUCAAAAAACUAGGGUUUUAUUUGGGGUUUCUUGAUUUGUAGCCUUUGGGGUUAAAUUGAUAAGUGUAGAACUCUCUUUUAGGUUGGAUUUGAAGCUUUGUAGCUUCGAUUAGGACCUUGAUCAAGUUCUUCUCGGGUAAAAGUAUUUUCUACCUAUUUAGGCUUGAUUUUUGGGUAUUUUUGUAUGAUGUUCGUUCGAAGCUUGUAACUGUCACGCCCCAGGAUCCAGCGGAAGCCCGCCCGGUACGUGUCCAGACCCGCCAUAUGCCUACAACAUAUAAGGCGUCUAUAACAAAACGAUAAAUAAACAACAAUGAAUAACAACUAGAGAUAUCAGAGCAUUCAUAAUCUAAGUUCUAAUGACAAGUAGGAUAAAUAAAAGGACUAAUCCACUAACAUAAAGCAUAAAGUAGUACAAAAGAAAAAUCCCAAAUACAAGUGCUAGACGUACAAAAAUGAUGGUCUCUACUCAUAAGUACAAAACUCACACUCUCUACAUCAAGUACAAAAAUAGAGAGAUGAACCACCUAGUAGAAAAUACUCCUCACUAUCUAGCUAGUAGCGAUCCCUUUACCGCGAUCCCGAGCCUCUCCGAGAGUGGGAGGCUCUGUAAUAAAACAACAAAACAGGGGGCGUGAGAACUAUUAAUCAAUAGUUCCCAGUGGGCAAUUGCUGACCUCAGCGAAAUGCACCACUAGGCUAAAAGGCAAAAGUAGUAUGUUUAACUAGUAAAUGAAAAAAACAAUAUGUAGAUGAAAUAUGAAUAAACUUACUAACUACUAUGCCUCUACUUUAGCAUGUAUUUUCGCAAAUAUAAAUGCUAUUCUAACAUGAAUAUGCAUAAGUAUAACCAACAUGAUGCCCACAAGUGCAACUAGUAAAAUGUUUUUGUUUACUAAUUUGUCUAAUGUCCACUUUGCAUUUUAGUUCAAUAAUGUUCCGAUCAUAUAGAACCUACACAAGUGUAGUCUAGCUUGUGCCGCCUAAUGGCCCCGGGUAGUCCAACAUUUCUCUAGGAAUGUGACUGUCCCACGGUGACCCAAUAGGCCCUCAAUCUCGCACGUGCGAGUAUGAGUCGCGUAGGCCAACUCCGGAGUGCCGGCUUGUAGGGAGCGACCCUCGCUCACAAGUAUGUGCGAAUGAGCACAAAUAGCAAGCAAGCAUAAUCAUCAACUCAAGUACUCUGUCAUCAUGUCUAAACAUGGUAUAACACUAGCAACCCUAAAUGUCUAGUUCUAUGUCAUGAGGUAAAGGAUCAACCAUUUACUAUCUAAUACCACUUUAUGAAAUUAUAAUUUACCAAGCCCAAACAUAUUCCAAGCUCAAUGCCCCUUUAUGAUAUUGUAGCUCACUAAGUCCAUGCAUACCCCAAGUACAAUGCCACUUUAUGGUAUUAUAAUUCUACUAUAUUUAACAUAUGUCCAUUGUUCAUGAACAAGAAUCCACCAAAACAUGGAUUAAAUGAGAGAAACAUGUUACUAACCUCUUUAGAAGCUCGAAAUAAGGUUAGAAAUCAACUAGGGUUGAAGAUCUCUCCUCCAACAAGCUUCAAUCCAAGCUCCAAGACUUCUCUUAUGGUGAAAAUAGCACAAAGAAGCAAAAAGAAGCAAAAAGAGGUGAUUAAACCUCAAAAAUCCCAACUAAAAUGGAAGAAAUCCAAAGAGGAGGUGAGGAGGGCUCCCUUACCUUUUUCUCCUGUGAUGCCAAGCUCAGGGAACCUCCAAGAGGCGUAGGGUAACAUAUAGUGUUGCUACAAAUGCAAAAACACCCCUAAAAAACGAGCAGUUCGCAGUCUGUAUUGCGUACCGAUACACGGAAAAGAGUAUCAGUACAAAGCAGCAGUCUGCGCCAACCCGAGCAUCGGGUUCGCAGAAAAAUACACUGGGUACCGGUACCAGCCUAAUGCUGUACCAGCCUAAUGCUGUACCGGUACCACCUCCAGUUCCGGUACGGGCCCGAUGCUGUACCGGUACUCUGCUCUGCAGAGUCCAACCCGAGAGCAGCCUAAAAUAUUCACUUUAGAGAUUUUAGUGCUAAGUUUUAAACCUCGAUUCUCGGGAUGCGAGCCAUAGAUCGGAACACUGUCAACAACCCUCCAGAAUAUCCGGAAAAAACUCGAAACACAAAUCAAACACUCGAACCUUGCAAUUUGCUAAAGUUCAGUGUAUUACAUUCUUCCCUUCUAAAAAGGAGUUUUGUCCGCGAAACUAAAAAAUAAAGUACCUCAAGACUCUAUCUGAAAAAGAUGGGGAUAGCGCUCAUGCAGCGCGCUCUCCAACUCCAACGUAGCCUCCCGAUCAUCGUGGUUGCUCCAAAGAACCUUCACAUACGGAAUAUUACGAUUCCGAAGCUUUUUCACCUCGCGAGCCAAAAUCCUCACAGGUAGCUCCUCAAAGCUCAAAUCAUCCCUCAGCUCCACUGGUAAAACAUCCAAAACGUGAGCUGGAUCGAAGAUGUACUUCCGAAGGACCGAUACAUGGAAGACAUUGUGCACACCCGAUAGGUUCGGUGGUAGAGUGAGCCGAUACGCUAUCGGACCUACACGCUCCAAAAUCUCAUACAGUCCAAUAAACCGGAGGCUCAACUUUCUCCACAUGCCAAAUCUUCUAAUUCCCUUUGUCGGCGAGACCUUCAAGAAGACAUGAUCUCCAACUUGAAAUUCCAAAUCUCGUCGACGUCUAUCAGCAUAACUCCUCUGUCUACUCUGAGCCGUCAGCAUACACUCCCGAGCAAUGCGAACCUUGUCCUCUGCUUCCUAGAGCACAUCGGGGCCUAAAGCCAAACUCUCGCCGACUUCACUCCAAUGAAGUGGCGAUCUACACUUCCGUCUAUAUAACGCUUCGAAUGGUGCCAUCUUGAUGCUUGCUUGAUAACUAUUGUUAUAAGUAAACUCUGCUAUCGGUAAAUGCUGUGACCAUCCUCCCUGGAAGUCUAUCACACACGCUCGAAGCAUGUCCUCUAGAGUCUGUAUAGUACGCUCAGAUUGCCCAUCACUCUGAGGGUGGAAAGCCGUGCUGAAAUCUAAGCGCAUACCCAAGGCAUCCUGCAGACUUCUCCAAAAGUAGGAUACAAAUUGGAGAUCUCGAUCUGAAACUAUCGAAAUAGGUACCCCGUGAAGCCGCACAAUCUCAUCAAGAUAUACCUGUGCAAGUCUCUCACCUGUCCAAGUCGUGUGAAUAGGUAUAAAGUGAGCCGAUUUUGUCAACCUAUCCACGAUCACCCAAAUAGCAUCAUGCCCGGCCUGUGAGCGAGGCAAUCCCAUAACAAAGUCCAUAGUGAUCUUUUCCCAUUUCCACACGGGUAUAGACAAACUCUGAAGUUUUCCCGCGGGUAGUCGGUGCUCAGCCUUCACUUGUUGACAAGUUAAACAUCGAGCUACAAAUUAGCCAACGUCCUUUUUCAUCUUGGGCUACCAGUAAUGCAACUUUAAAUCCUUAUACAUCUUGGUCCCUCCCGGAUGCAUAGCAUAAGGUGCACGGUGUGCUUCUUGAAUAAUAUCUUCUUUAAUUUCCAAUUCCGCCGGUACACAAAUCCGCCCGCGAAACCGCAACAACCCUUGAUCAUCCAUAAGAAAAUCACCGGUGUAACCAUCAAUCAUCUUAGCUCGAAUCUUUUGCAACUCUACAUCGUGAACUUGCUGUUCUUUAAUUCUUUCCAAUAGUGUAGGUUGCACCACCAAUGUCAUCAAUCUCAAAGGUGUAUCAAGAGCCACCACCUCCAACUCCAAUCGCUUCUUCUGCUCAAUCAACGGCGGUUGAGUGAUACAAGCAUAGCUAAGUUAUCUGUCGAUUUUCGACUUAGCGCAUCCGCCACCACGUUAGCCUUGCCCAGGUGGUAGAGAAUCGUCAAAUCAUAAUCCUUGAGUAGCUCCAACCAUCUGCACUGUCUUAAGUUCAACUCCUUCUAAGUGAAUAAAUACUUUAAGCUCUUGUGAUCCGUAUACAGUUCACACCACUCGCCAUAAAGAUAGUGACACCAUAGCUUUAAUGCAAAGACUACAGCCGCCAACUCAAAGUCAUGCGUAGGAUGGUUCCUUUUAUAUUCCUUUAAUUGGCGAGAUGCAUACGCGAUCACUUUUCCGUCCUGCAUCAAGACACAGCCCAAUCUAUUAAAAGAAGCAUCGCUAUAAAUCACAUACCCUUCUCCAGCAACUGGCAAUGUCAAGAUUUGGGCGGUUGUCAAUCUUUGCUUCAACUCUAGGAAGCUUCUCUCACACGCAUCAUUCCAAACGAACUUGGUGCCUUUGUGCGUGAGCCGCGUAAGGGGAGUAGAUAAUUUGGCAAAUCCCUCAACAAAUCUCCGGUAGUAGCCGGCCAAUCCAAGAAAGCUCUGAAUUUUCGUGACACUUGUCGGUCUAGGCCAAUCCUUUAUAGCUUCAAUUUUUCUAGGAUCCACGGCUACACCCGAUCCUGAAAUCAAAUGUCCAAGGAAUGCCACCUCUCGAAGCCAAAACUCACACUUCUUCAACUUGGCAUAGAGUUUCUUUUUCUGAAGCAUUUGAAGUACAAGUCUUAAAUGCUCUUCAUGAUCCUUGUCACUUCGGGAAUAAACCAAGAUGUCGUCGAUGAACACCAUGACGAACCUGUCUAGAUAAGGCUUACAAACACGGUUCAUUAGAUCCAUAAAAGCUGCCAGGGCAUUAGUUAGCCCAAACGGCAUAACAGUAAACUCAUAAUGUCCAUACCAUGUUCUAAAAGCCGUCUUCGAUACAUCCUUAGGUGCAAUCUUUAACUAGUGGUAUCCCGACUGCAAGUCUAUCUUGGAAUACACACUUGAUCCUUGAAGCUGAUCAAAAAGAUCAUCAAUCCUCGGCAACGGAUACUUAUUCUUGAUCGUGACUUUAUUAAGUUCACGAUAGUCCACACACAAGCGAAGUGAUCCGUCCUUCUUCUUAACAAUCAAAAUCGGUGCUCUCCAAGGUGAAACACUUGGUCGAAUGAAACCUUUGUCCAAAAAAUCCCGCAGUUGUGCCCUCAGCUCUUUCAACUCUACUGGUGCCAUCCUAUAGGGCGCCUUUGAGGUUGGGGUAGUCCAAGGGACGAGAUCUACUACAAACUCAAUCUCCUCUAAAUAUGAUGAUAAUAAAUUAAAAUUUUAGAUCAAAGUUAUUGAUCUUGUUUUAUAUGGUAUAAAGAAUUUUCUAUCAAAAUUUCAUGUGAUUUGGAUAUUUCUACACCGUUAAACUUGCAAACGGCUCGCCACGGCCAUUAAAAUUAUUGAUUUUGAGCCACUUCGAUCGCUAGGCAAAUGAUAUCGAAAAAUCACAAAAUUUAUUUUUCAGGUGCUUCAAAUACUCUAGAUCAAGUCUAACGAAGCCGAUCGUCGAUUCGAAAGUCCGAACAUCGAAAACAACUUAGAAGCACGAAGGGCUCCGUGCUAUAUAUAUAUGUAUAUAUAUACAUAUAUAUGUAUAUAUAUACAUGUAUAUGUAUAUAUACAUGUAUAUAUAUACAUAUACAUGUAUAUAUAUACAUAUAUAUGUAUAUAUACAUAUAUAUGUAUAUAUAUACAUGUAUAUANCACUAAAUUGGGACGCCCCCGAUGAAUCUAGCGAUGAUGAAUCGGAAAACGAAGUUGCCCAAAUUUGCCUCGAGGAGCAAUGUAACACACUGGACCUUUGCAAAUUGCGAGGUUCGAGUGAUUGGCUGUGCUCUGAGCUUUUCCAGAUUUUCUGGCGGGUCGUUGACUGUGUUCCGACCUAUGGCACGUGUCCCGAAAAUUGUGAUUUAGAGCUGUGUACCAAAACCCAAAAAAAUAGGAUUUUGGUCAGCUCUCGGAUUUGCUUUCUAGAGGUCUUGUACCGGUACAAGGGUGUGCUUGUACCGAUACAAGGUUGAUGGUUGUACCGGUACAGCCAUCGGGCUUGUACCGGUACAGAGCAGCUGAACCCCGCAGAACGAGCCUCGGGUUUGGAUUUCGAGGGCUUUGUACCGGUACAAGGGCCCGUGUACCAGUACAAGGCGGCAAAUUUUGAGCAGUUCGAAACUGCAGGGGCUUUUUCGCGAUUAUAGCCUCUCUAUAACAGCACCCACGCCCCUUAGGGCUUUUUUUGUGCUAGAACCACAGGAAAACAAGGUGAGGAGCCCAUCCAUUCCCUCAUUUUUAUUUUCCUUGGUUAUAUUGGAGAUUUUUGAGGAUUAAUGCCUCAUUUUGCUUCUUGUUGCAUCUUGGAGGCUUUUUCCGCCAUUGAAGAGGACUUGGAGCUUUGAUAGAGGCUUGUUGGAGUUAAGAUCUUCCACCCCAUUUGAUUUGGAGCCCAAGUUGAGACUUCUAGAGAGGUUAGCAACAUGAUUUGAGCUUUUGUUUCAUGUUUUGCUAAGUUUUUGAGAUGGAACCCUAGAUUUGAUACUUAGAGUUUGAUUUUGGGCAUUUUAAAUCUAGAGCUUUUGGAGCUAGAUUGUUUGGAUUAGAACCUUCCUUGGGCUUGGAUUGGAAGGGAUUUAGCUCCCUUUUGGAGCUUGAGAGAGAUUUCCUACACAUUAGGUGAGUUUUAGCCCUUUUGCUAAGUUUGUUAAAGUUUGAUCUUAUAGUUGAUCGUAAUGCCCGUGUAUCUCUUCGCUCAAUACUUUUAGGAUAUUUUGAGACUCGUGGACAACCCCGUUCGGCGAAUCGAAGGAGCACGCAACGGUUCGGUGGGUUUGACCUAGCCACACAAUGAGAAAAUCUCAUUGUUGAUGUUUUAAGUGUUGUAAAAUGAAAAAGCAUACAUAAUCAUGUUAGAUACAUUUAUUAUGAAUUUUUGAAUGCUUAAUAUGCAUAUGUAAUGUAUAGUAAAUUUUUGGACCUCUAUGCGGUAGAGUGCAUGUAUGUGAGAUAUAGCAUCCUAGUUGAGAUUUGGAACUACGAUUCCUGUUAUGAAAUUGGACAUUGCUAUUAUGCAUUUAACCUUUAUGCCUAAUCGUGACAUCAGAACCUUAGUAAGCCAUAAAGAGGCUUGGGGACUUGUACUACUUGUUAAUAAUUGGGCUAAUGUCAUAAAGGGGCAUUGAGCUCGGUCAUGUGCGAACCUAGUGGAUAGUGCCAUUAAGAGAAUUGGAACAUGCUUGUACAUCGAAAUGUCUAAGUGUCAUAAAGGGGCACUAGACUUAGUAAAUAUGAGAAUUUCACAUUGUGACAUAGAACUAGAUCUUCGAGAUGCUAGUAAUUAUUGCCAUGUUAGAGAUAUGAUGAUUGGAUAUUUGAGACAUUGACCUUGCUUGUUUGCCAUUUGUGCUCAUUCGCACAUGCUUGUGAGGGUCGCUCCCUACAAGCCGGCACUCCGGAGUCAGCCUACGCGACUAUGUUCGCUCGUGCGGUAUUGAGAAGCCUACGGGGUCGAGUGGGACAGACACAUUCCAAGAGUAGGAAUGUUGGGCUACCACAGGCACUUAGGCGGCACAAGCUGGACUACCUUGGGUAGGNNNNNNNNNNNNNNNNNNNNNNNNNNNNNNNNNNNNNNNNNNNNNNNNNNNNNNNNNNNNNNNNNNNNNNNNNNNNNNNNNNNNNNNNNNNNNNNNNNNNUGUGCAUAUUUUGUUUUUGUUUCGUGUAUGAUUUUCUGUGUUGGUAGUUAGAUGAAUUUUGAGAAUAAUCUUGAUGAUGGGACUGUGAAUCGGUUUCUGACUUGAAUUAUUUCAUAUUUAUUUUUGAUUGAUCACUGUCGAGUUAUUCUCUAAUGGUCAUCGUAUUUUUAAACGAUCAAAAUCAUUAAGAUUCUAGUUAACAUGUAUGAACAUAUUCAGCACUCAUUGCGUCGAACUUUAAAUGUUGCUAAUCAUUUGUUUGAUUAUUAUUUUGAGGAUGAAUAAUCUUUUUGUUUGAAUAACUAUAAAUAUUUUCUAACUUGAGGUAGCACGUAUUAAGGGGAGUCUUGCCUAUCUAGCUAAUGAAUAUUUGUGAAAUUCAAGAUGUGGAAAGAGUUACAUCCCUGCUGGAAGUGUGUAUGGAAAUACUACCGCACAUGGAGGAAAGACUCCUACCACCCCGGUUCGUCCGAGUUAGUGUGUGCUAGCACCAUCAUUGUUGAUUAAAAAGUGUUAUGUUGAGACAAAGAAAAAAUGCCUGCUCAAAAAAAAAAAAAAAACACAAGAAUAAAUGCUCAAAAAGCUAUACAUCUUGUAGUGAUAUAGGUGCGCUGUGUAAAGAUGCUCAAAGAGCCACUCCUGUCUCAGACCAUGUGCAUAACUCACUUUAAUCAUAUUAUGUUAAUUUCACAAUUUUUGGGAAAUAUUUAUUUCAUUCUCUUUAACAAAAUAUGAUGAUAAAAUGAUGCGAUUUGUUUCUAAGAUCUUGCAUGAUGUGUGGGAUUUCAUUUUAUAUGUAUCAAGAAUUCUUAUUGAUUUUCGGUUUAAAAAUUUUUGACAUUUUGAAUAUCCCUGAAAUUGAUUUUUCAAAAUUCAUUUAUGAAAUUUUAUUUAUAGUUUAUUUUUGGAUGAAAAUAGGUUAUUUGUGAUGCUUACAUAAUAAGAUAUACCUUUCCAUUUUUUUUGGAUUUUUCGGGCUGAGUUUUAAAUUUUUGAAAAAUUUCUGGCUCGGAGACCGGUCUCAGGGAAGAGAGACCGGUCUCUCCGCGCGAACCGAUAUAAGGGCUUUUGCGAUUUCUUCUUUUCACUUUACCAAUCUCGCUUAGGUUUUUUCUCCAGAGCCUCUAAGAGUCCCAGGGUGAUUUUGCUUUCAUUCUUCAUCACUUUACACUUGAUUUUGGUAUGAUUCUCGGAUUUUGUUUCAUUAUUAUCAUAUAAUCCGGAUUUUUGCUUUAUUUUGAGUUUUUGGAGUUUUGAUCACAUUAUGUUGUUAAAUCUCUUCUAUUUUUGUCCUGAUUUUGUCUCUAGAUAUGUUAGUCAACUUUUUCUUGCAUUUCUUCAUGUAUUGACACGAUUGUUUGGUUAUUCUUGCAAUGUGUUCUUCGUCAAGACCUAUUGUUUCAGUUUUUUUUUAAAAAUUGAAAUUUUACUGAUUUUUAUGCUUGUUUUGUCAAUGAUCUUCAUGACUAAGUGGCUCAUAGGAUUAUCUAAUAUUUAUAUACCAUUUUGCUGACAUUUUUUUUGGAAAUUUUAUAUGUCAAAUUAAUUAUGUUUAACAGGUAAUUUUUAAAAAAAUGUACUCGUGGGUUCUCGUGCUUGUUGUCCUUAUGGCUGGGGGUGGUCGCGGUAGCAAGCGACAGCGCGCCUCAGCUAAGAGGCCGGUUGAGCAACAACCGGAAGAUGAAGGGAGUGAGUAUGCCCCGGGUGAUGAAUCUGAGGAGGAAGAGCAGGAUUGGGAGACUUUUGUUCCUGAAGUUUUGGCUAAGGAAAAGGACGCUGGGAAAGGCAAGGGAAAAGGAAAAGCUAUGGACAAAGGCAAAGGAAAAGCAACUGAUCGUCCCAGUCGUCGUAAGUCAGGUGGUGUUGAGAUUAGAGAACCGGGCUCUGAGCCACCACGUCGAAGUUUACAGGAUGUUCCAUCUAAUCGACGGUCAAUGUAUUCGUCGAAACAUUGCAUUGGUGAGCGCGAUGUUGGGGUGGCCAGUAUUAUUAGCUGUGUGCCAGGUUUUCAGGAUUUGUUUGAACAAGGGAAUCUUCAUCAGAUUUGUGAUUUCCCAGAGCAAACCGGGUAUUGUUUGGAGCUGAUCAGAGAGUUUUAUAUGAGAGCAGGUCACCUCAGUGUGAUUCCGACGGGUCCGUACGUCUUUAAGACUUCCUGUCGUGUGUUGAGUUAUUCAAUCACCUGCGACUAUAGCUUCGGUGCUUGAAUGGAAGCUAAGACUGAUGAGUGGAGUAUUUGCAGGCUGGGUUCGACUCACUUCGCGACUGGAACCGUUCGUGAACACUAUCUGCAUGCCGGUACUGAAUCCAACGAAUUAUGGUUAUGUCAAGGAUUUUAAAAUGGAGUACCGAUUUCGAACUUUGUGGUUUGCUACAACAUCAUGCCUCUCGCGAACACGAAGAUCUUGAGGUGGGAGGAUUCUGUACAUGUAUCUUUUGGUAGGCCAGAUAUUGUGAGUGCGAAAAACAUUAAUAUGAAUAUUCCGUUUCUGAUCUGGCGGCGGAUGGCGAAAGAUAUCAUAAAACCUCUGGACAAAAUGAGAGUUACCGUUUCCUAUGAUAAUUAUAGGAUUUGCGGCUUCGGGAGGUGGAUGUUCGAUGUUCUCAUACGAGCAAGUUUGGGUCGGAUCAAUGAGAGGAGACGUUUGUAAAGUCCUCGUGCAGCUUCGGUCGCCGUCUCAACGUGCUUCUUCGCCUCCUGCAGCUCACCUCCUGCUACUGCUACUUCUUCCCGUCCUUCUGUGGACAUUUCUGAGGAGGAUAUUUCUGUUUCUUCGUGUAUCGCGAGCAGCAACGUUAUCUGAGGAGCUACAAAAGUUGUCUGCAAACAAGCUGUUAUUCGUAAGGAUGUUAGCAAGAUGAAGCGUUGUUGAACAUGAUUUUUGACAAGUUGGGAUGUUUGUUCGGGCAGAUUUACUCCGGGAGAUGAUUCUGACUAGGGGUUACAGUAUUUCUCUUUUUGUCGUUUUUGGCGCUUUCUGACAAAAAGGGGAGAUGUGGAUGAUGUGGAUGAUGAUAGAUGCAUUUAGCUUAGGGCUUAUUAGAAUGUAAGCUGCUUUAGGUGUUUGACUUAGUGUUUUGUUUAGUUUAACUAUGAACCAUGAAGUGUGAAAUUUAGUUAAGUGUUUGAUCUUGUUUGAUCUUUUUGAUACUUGAAUUUGAUUAUGCUUUGAGAGUAUUUUUGUAGGGAUAAUUCAAGACUUCAAGACUUCAAGACUCCAUGUCUAAGUCAUAGAGUUUGUAUUAAGGAAGUAAAAGUGUAAAUUUUGUUUAUGAUUGAUCAUGCAGGAGAUUAUGUUUGGUGAUUGCGAUGAUCUUCUUUUUAUGACUUUUUGGUUGUAUACAAGCUUUGUAGUAUAUUUUGUCACGAAAUCGCCAAAGGGGAGAUUGUUAAGGAUUUUAUGGUUGCGAAUUCGUAAAGUGUUUGAGUCUUGAAGAGUUGAUCGCAGAAGAUUUCGAGAAAAGAUUCAAAUUAGAGGACAAAGACUUAUUCAGAAGAUCGACACCUAAGGUAUGUAGAAAAAAAUCAUUGUGGUGAAAUUACGUGAUUAAAAUAAGUUCAGAAGGCUUAGAUUGUUUUUUAAACAUAUUUACUGAACUUUUUGUGUUCUGGACCGGUCUCUGGAAUGGAGAGACGGUUCCCCAAGUCCUCACUGCGUAAUCCUGCAUCGCAACGUCCCUGUGAUGAGAGACCGGUUCCCGAACCUUGGUGGUUCUGUCACGCAGCGAGGGACCGGUCUCAAGUUUGAGAGACCGGUUCCCGAACGUGGGGUUUUUGGUCACGCAGGGAGGGACCGGUUCCUCACUUGAGAGACCGGUCUCUCACAGACCGGUCUCCUCGACAGGACCGGUCUCUGAGGACGACACAGGUUUUUGAAAUCGACUUUUUGCAAUCCUAGUCUACUUCUAAGUCUUCUAAACAUAUAAAUAAGCUAUGUGGGUCAUCUAAAAUUAAGGCUUUGAAUAUUUUACCAAUUCUAAACCCUAGAAACUCGUUUUCUUCGCUUCGAUUUACAUGAUGAGUUUCUAGCAAUCAACAUUGGCUUGUUUCUUCGUUUUUACACAAUAUUUCUUACAAGAAUCAAGUAGAUGAUUGAUUAAAGGUGAAUCCUCACAGCUUAUGGUUUUCAAAAGAUAAAUCACCGCAAAUCUUCAAUUCUACAAGCUCCGGAAGGAGGUUCGGCGCGAGGAUCUCGCGCGAAGCCGAGGAUUCGGUGGACGCUUUGAGGAGUUGAGGCGUUGACGCUGCGAGGAGUUGCAGCAAGGUCGAUUGGUGGAUUCCUAUCGAUCGAGGACCGGCAAAGAUCACCGUCAACAAGAAAUCGGUAAAUUGAGUCGCGUGUUUUUGGUCGAAAUCACUUGUACUCAUGUUUUCUUAGUGGAUUUUCUUUGCGUGAUCGGUCCCGUGGGUUUUUCACUCCGAAUUGGAGUUUUCCCACGUUAAAUUCUCGGUGUGCUAUUUUAAUUUCCGCUAUUGUGUUUGUUUGCAUCGAGAUUGUUUGAGUUUGCCGGAUUUACACCUAUUCACCCCCCUCUAGGUGUUACUUACCUUUUAGAUCCUCGGGAUCCAUAACUCACAUCUACCAUACAUAUAACCCCUCGGGGGCUCACAGGUUGACACCUACAACCACUUUUCCGAAAAAGAACACCCUCUUGCGGUGGAUCAGACCGCUGGCGUUCGUGAAAUGCGAACGAGUCUCGGGCGGUCAAUGCUGAUAUGCUCAAAGGCCAACCGUCGGCAACCAGCCGACAAUCCUGCCCCUCAGGGCCCCACCGACCGUAUAGGUCAUCAACUGUAAGGAAGAAUAAGAACUGACCACUCAAGUCAACUAGGAUGGAACAACUCAACAUCCUCUCAAAAGCAUGCAAAUACUGCUCAAUAGGUCAACUAAAGUGUAGAUGCAAGAACCGACAAUAGGUCACAAUACGACAUACAUGAACCGACCAACCAGGUCACUGAUACGGAGUGCGAGAAUCGACCAACCAGGUCACUGAUAUGAAGUACAAGAAUCGACCAACCAGGUCACUGAUAUGAAGUACAAGAAUCGACCAACCAGGUCUCUAAUAUGAAGUACAAGAAUUGACCAACUAGGUCACUGAUAUGAAGCACAAGAAUCGACCAACCAGGUCAUAGGUAUCACAAAUAGAUAGACUACUCUACUCCUACACCUGAUACUAAGCAUGGGAACAUCUAAGUAGAGUGUACUAUAAACAAUAGAGGUGCAAAGCUCAACAUAUAAUAUAUGCAUGGAUAGUAACCAAAAGAGCAAAGGUAAGAAACCAUCACUGAGAGUGCACCACUGUACCAACGUCGGAUCGAAGUACCUACCUGUAAGGAUAUUGUGCCUGUCUCCUGACUGCAAAAGAACGUCAACUGGACCUAAGGAAGGUCCACCGGGUUAGUGUCUAACCCACAACUAAUAACCAUAGUAUCACAACUCCACAAACAAUCCCACGGCGAUCGGUUUCCCAAAACCAAUUACCGUAACUCGCCGGAAGUCCCGAAAAUCGCACUGGGACUCCGCCGGGACCCACGAAUUGUCCCGGAACACACCGACUCAUGCUACGAGUCACCCGCUGCCACUAAACAUAAUUAAUCGUGCAUCAUGGCAGCAAACACAACUCCUCACGUCGAAAUAAUUAUCGUCGGAUAAUCGUUUUGAUCCGGGUUCCCGGAAGUGUUAAUUUCGACACCGGAACCCACCGUCGCUCACCCGUCAUUUCUGAACACUCGAAAUGAUGCGAGUGACCAGCCAACAAGGCUCAGCGACUACACAAUAGCUCACGAAGCACCGUCGGAAUAAUUCCGAACCGAACCCGCAUUCCGUCGGCGGAUUUCGCCGGGAAACGCUCCGAAAAUCACUUUUUGAUUUCCACAAAGGCUUAGGGCCUUGGACGAUCAGUCCAGAGGUUAUUCUCAACCCUAACUUGCUGCCAACAGCAGCCUCGAAGAAAAAAAUUGCAUAAAAGCCCUUACCGAUGCAUAAACUCGCACCAUUUAUGUGGUUUCGGAGCUUUUAUGGGCCGUGCGCGCAAACCAGAGAUCGAUUAAUCAGACCGUCGCACUUGCUGAUAGGUUUCAGCAUGUCGGAGGCCAUGCUCACCUUUCGGAGCACUGCCGGCCACUGUGGUGCGCGCACGAGCGAUGCAAAAAUCUGUGAAACUGCACGCACAGCGCAAAGAUUGCGAUUAACUCGCUAACCAGGGUAUCUUUGCCCCUGUCGGCGGUGAGCACAAUAUUCAGCACGAGUUGUAGAUCAUCGUGCUCACUUCCCAAAGUUUAGAAGGCUUAUCGGAUCACCGGAAAGAUGACCAGAACCUCGGAAUUUAGUGUUGGAGCAUAAAAUAGCCUUACCAGACCCGAGAGAGCUAGGGUUGACUGUCGGCGGUCGGACGGCGGGCGGUCCGGCCAGGGAAGGGUGCGGCCGGUCGGUGGGGUUCGGGGAACCUGCUGGCCGGCGGCGGGAGGCGUCCGGUGGCGCAGUGGUAGAGAUCAAGUCCCUCCACUCCUUCUCGGGUUCAAGCUUCCCGGCGGCGCGGCGGCAGCCGGAGGAGGUCGGGCCGGCGACGAUCCGGUACCGGAGGCCGAGGGGAAGGCGAUGCGCCCCGCAGUGGGCGGCGGUGAUGCGCGGUUGCCGGGAUGGCUCGGCCUCGUCUCGCACCAGUCCUGGGCGGCCGCAGGAUGCCCGAGUGGAGGCCGACGGCGCGCGGGGAUGACCGAACGGCAAGCGGGAGGUCGUCGGAGUUGACUGGAGGGCGGCACGGCCGGCGGGGAGCGGUGGCUGCGCACGCACCCCGAUCUCGAGCCCGCUUGGUCUGGGUUGACGCGAGUUGGCCCGAGCCUGCUCCAGCGGCGCCGGCGACGUGCGGCGACGGCGGGGAUGGCUGGUGAUGAUGUCGGAAGAAGAUCUUGGCCGAGGGGGAAAGAUUCCUGGGGGUUAUGAAGCUUUCCCAAUAAUUUUCGGUCAAGAUGGUGGAGAGGGUGGCCGAGGGAGGAGAAGAGGGGGUUCAGGUGGGUUCUCCCGCGACCGGAGUUGCUUGCUGGAGGUCGGGGCACGCGCACGGUGAGGGCAAGGGUUUGUUGGGGAGGUGAGAAGGCUUUAGGAUUAGGGUUUCCUUGUGAAACCGUAACACCUAAAUGUAUACAUAGAUGUAUAGUUGCGGAAGGGCCCUCCCAAGCAUUUUAUUUAAAGCCCAGCCCCUGCCAGAAUGUGUAUUAUGCGUACACGUCCCUUGGCGUUUGAAUUCAUGCGAAACGGCGCAUAAAAUAUAGGGUCUUUUCGUGAUUUAUCCGUUUUGCCAAUUUGACCCCUUAGUGGACUUUUCGCGAUUCCCGAAGAUCCGUCCGUCGGAUAUCCGAACAGAUUGCGCCAGCGCGUUCAGCAUGACCGGGGCAUCGAAUUUAGCAUCUCGUUUCAUCCGAUUUGGUCUCCGAUAUGCGACAGAACCUACCCUCUUUGUUUUCACUAUGUAGCCACUUAUAUUAAUACAUGUGAAACCAAUCAAACCCCUUUUCUCGACAACCGUGCAUUAUAACUCAAUUCCGUCAGUGCCAUUAGGUCCAGAACAGUCGAGCCGUUCGAAAUGAUCUAUUGGAGCGCUAUGUUCGGAGUCCAAUGCGCACCAGAACCGUCUUCUACUCACUGGCUCCUUCGAAAAGCCGGAGUUACUAUUCACUUUAAGUUAUCGGUUCAGGUCGUGAAACUUCUCCAUCUUAACUCGUUUUCUCCUGAAACUUGACGGGUGCUUAUGUAAUUAAUUACACACAUAAACAUCGUCAACAGAAAGUUUAGUUGCACUGUCAAAAUCUCAGUCCUUACAUAGAAUAUUUUAUAGGCUGCCACAUUUGCAAAUAAACCCUCUAUCUCUUUUUAUUUGCAGCAGACCCAGCCUGCUGUUCGUAGCAUUGCGUACCGGUACGCGGGAGGGCAUCACCGGUAUGCCCCCUGUUCAACAGCCCAACCCAAGAGCUACUGUCUCUCGGGUUGCUGCAGGGUACUAAUAAUACCAGGACAGUCAUCGGUUAAGUCGUCGUGCAGAGACCAAACUCGAGAUCUGCCAGUUCUCGGUUUGCUGCCUAGUACUGGUACGGCCUUGAUGCUUCACCGGUUAACAAUGCUCCAGAAUGCAGUUUUGCAUUGUUUCAACUCCAAUUUGUGCUGAGCAAUGCUAAUACUUUUCUAACUCACUUGGAACUCAACUUUAACCCUUCCAACAUUGUUGAAAUGUCAAAUGGACUUUGUCUAACUAUUUCUCUCGCACACUUUGAUCAAUUUGACUAAAGUUCGAUAUACUCUACCGAAGUUUCGGUAUAUUACAUUCUCCACCCCUUAAAAUUAGUUUCGCCUGCGAAACUAACCCAUACCUUAGCUCGUCGACUCAAAUAAGUGAGGACACGCCUUUCGCAUUGUCUCCUCGAGCUCCCAGGUGGCUUCACGCACCGCAUGGUUGCUCCACUGGACUUAGACAUAGGGGAUUGUGUGACUUCGCAAUUUCCUUUCUUCUCUACCGAGGAUACACACCGGGUACUCCUCAUAGGUCAUGUUCUCGUGCAAUUCCACGGGUUCAUACUCUAGCACGUGAGUCGAAUUGCGAAUAUACUUGCGGAGAUUUGACACAUGAAACACAUUGUGGACUCCCGCAAGCCUCGGUAGUAAUGCAAGCUUGUAUGCCACUGCACCGACCCGCUCCAAUAUCUCGAACGGUCAAACAUACUGGGGACUUAGUUUCCCACGGACUCCAAACCACUUUACUCCUCGUAUCGGCGAUACUUUCAAAAAUACGCGGUCUCCAACCGUGAACUCUAAAUCCUUUCUCCGCUUGGCGGCAUAGCUCUUUUGUCGAGAUUGUGCCGUCGCAAGUCAUUGGCGGGCAAGGCGAACUUUUUCUUUCGCCUCCCGCACCACAUCGGGGCCAAGAGUAACUCUUUGGCCCACAUCACUCCAAUGGAUAGGAGAGCGAUACUUCUUUCGAUAAAGGGCUCGAAUGGCGCCAUCGCGAUACUUUCUCAAUAACUAUUGUUGUAUCGAAUUCCGCCAUCGGUAAAUAGUUGUGCGAUCUGCCCUUGUAAUCAAGUACACAUGCUCGAAGCAUAUCCUCAAGGAUUUGUAUUGUCUUCUCCGAUUGACCAUCAUUUUGAGGAUGAAAUGCGGUACUAAAGUCGAGCCGUGUGCCCAAAGCGUCUUGUAAGCUCUUCCCAAAGUGAGAUGUGAACCUAGGGUCUCAAUCCAAUACAAUAGACACCGGAACCCCAUAUUGUCUCACAACCUCGUUGAGGUACACUUGAGCCAACUUAUCUCCGGACCAUGUAGUGUGGAUCGGCAAGAAGUAUGCCGAUUUCAUCAACCGGUCCACAACCACCCAAAUUGCAUUAUGCCCGGCUUGAGACCGAGGCAAACCGAUCACAAAAUUCAUUGCGAUAUCUUUCCAUUUCCAAAUGGGUAUAGAUAAACUUUGCAACUUUUCCGCCGGAAAUCGGCGCUCCGCUUUUACUUGUUGACAUGUAAGGCAUUGCGCCACGAACUUCCUAAUAUCUUUCUUCAUGCCCGGCCACCAAUAAUGCACUUUUAAGUCUUGGUACAUCUUAGUGCCACCCGGGUGAAUGCUAUAGGGAGAUUGAUGCGCUUCUUGCAUUAUCGCCUUUCGAAUGUCCUCGUCUUUAGGCACAUACCAACGAUUUCAGAAUCGAAGUGCGCCAUCGGUCCCAAUACCGAAAUCAUCGGUACUACCGUUUUCAACUUCAUCACGCAUCUUUUGGAGAUAUUCAUCGGAAGCUUGUAGCUCUUUAAUCUUCUCCAACAAGGUUGGUUGCACCACCAAUGCGGCAAGGCUAGCCGGCACCCCCGGGGCCACUACUUCCAAACAAAACCGUUGCAUCUCUUUUUGCAAUAACGGUUGGGGUGCGAUUGCCGUAACCAAGUUUUUUACCGAUUUUCUACUUAGUGCAUCGGCCACGACAUUUGCCUUUUCCGGGUGGUAUAGAAUAGUGACAUCAUAAUCUUUUAGCAACUCCAACCACCGCCGUUGUCGCAUAUUUAAUUCUUUUUGGUGAACAAGUAUUUGAGACUCUUAUGAUCCGUGUAAAUCUCACAAUGCUCACCGUACAAGUAAUGCCUCCACAACUUUAGCGCGAAUAUCACUGCGGCUAGCUCGAGGUGAUGAAUCGGAUAGUUCUUUUCAUAACUCUUCAAUUGGCGCGAAGCAUAUGUGAUGACUCGCCCAUUUUGCAUCAAGACACACCCGAGACCAAUAUAUGAAGCAUCACUGUACACAACGAAGCUCUCCCCCGGCAUCGAUAGUGCAAGCACCGGGGUUGACGUCAACCUUUCUUUUAAUUCCUCGAAGUUCCGAUCGCAAUCGUCGCUCUAAAAUAUACUUUACUCCUUUAUGCGUGAGACGCGUGUAGUGUUCCGAAGUUUUGGAUAGGAUUGGAUGCAGUAUUAGUGACUGGUCGACAUAUCUGGAGAGUGUCGGACUGAGUCGGAGUCAUUUCUGCACGAAAUGGAUGCAGAAAUGGACUUGACACACUCAAAUAGGCAAAACUGGAGUUUUGUCGGUUUCGGGCGCCCAGAACUGGAUUUGGGUCGCCCAGAACUUGAGUGCUGAACUGAGCAGAAUUGAAAACCAAUUCGGAUUCUGGUUUCGGGCGCCCAGAAGUGGGUCCGAAAAUUCACUUUGUGAAUAUCGCCUGUGCUGACACGUGUAUGUGGUAGGUGAGUUCUGUCGGACCACGUUAGGGGCACAGCAGACCGUAGGUGGAGGAACCGAAGAGGAGUGGUUGUAUGACUUGGAGGUUUUGGACGCCCAGAAGAGUGUUUCGGGUGCCCGAAAGUGUAGAGUUCUGCAGGGACAGCAGGUUAGUGUUUCUUAUUCCUUGGGCUUAUCAGACCAUUUCACCUCUCUAUAAAAGCUUGGGUGCAAUCCCCUGAGAAGCCUUUUCACCCUUCUUCACAAAGAAACCCAAUUUUUGCAUUUGAGCCCUUCAAAUCCUCCAAAUUUGCACAAGUUCACAUUAACGGCUGCAGUUUCAGCAGAUUCCAGCAGCGCGUUUUUACUCGUGUGCGACGUAGGGAGCUCCGAUUGCCACGAAAUUUGGUUUGUUGGUUAGAAGACUUCCUGGAGAUUUCGUGGAGCCCAUUUUGAUAGCAUUUGAUUAAGGUUAGCUUGGUCAAUUUAGUAUUUUUCUGAGCUAUUGGUGGUUUUGAGCUGAAUUUGGGAUUUCUUGUGUUUUCUUGGAUCAAAUCUGGGAUAAAGCUGGAUUUCGGACCUGAGGAGGUUACACCAUCACACUUCACUAGUUUUGAGACCUUUUCUCACCUGAAUUGGAGGUUGAAAGGUAAGUAUUGCAACUAAUUGGAUAUGAUUCAGAUUAGUUACAACAAAUUAGUAUUGCAACUAAUUGGAUAUGAUCCAAAUUAAUUACAAAAGAAUGUAUGCAACUAAUUGGAUAUGAUCCAAUUAGUUAUAACAGAAUGUUGAGGAGUGCCGAUCCGUACGGCUCAAUUAAUUGGAGCUGUGCAUAAAAGGACGCGGCUUCAUUAGUAGGCAACACAUGAAAAUUAAUGUGAAGAGAUUCACAUUAUUCUCUCUCAACCUUUCGUCAAAUAUUUUACUAAAAGGGAACGUGGAUAAGAGAAGACUGCUAGCACUGUCUUUGUAAUCUGCGACUCAUCUGUUCCGUGCGACGGAAGGCGUUGGAUGUGGAUCAAUUCCGUGUGGAUACGCGUAGAGGCCGGGCACGUGCGCGGCUAAUUGGAAUCUCAGUUUCAACCGUACAGUAGAUCAAGAGACCUUAACUGGUCCGAGGUGAUGUAGCCUGAACUUCAAAUCUGUUUAGGUUAGAUUAUUAUUUUACAUUGUAACAUGAGAAUGAUCCGCCGGCACUGGAUUGAUUUGUUUUUGUUUUGAUUCAUAUGCGAUAUGGAUUUUUGUUUUUCGAAAAUACAAUUUUAAUUUCCGCUGCGAUUUUUUUGUGCCGGAUAAAUUCUUAUAGCCCUAACAUCAAUCUUACAAGAUACCUCACCUUAGCCUAGAUGCCCACCAAGCUCCACCUUAUAGGAGAGCCCUAGACCCUUCAAAACUCCAAAUCUCCUCCAAAUCCUCUUCUUGAUCUCCUCCUUUCACUUUGGAGGAGAGUUUCUAGAGAGAGAGAGGGAGAGAAAUGAGAGAGGAGUGUGUUCUCACUACUGUGAAUGAGAGAGGAGAGGUUGGGGUAUUUUAUAGGCUGCCACAUUUGCAAAUAAACCCUCCAUCUCUUUUUAUUUGCAGCAGACCCAGCCUGCUGUUCACAGCACUGCGUACCGGUACGCGGGAGGGCAUCACCGUUUCCCCCCCUGUUCAACAGCCCAACCCGAGAGCUACUGUCUCUCGGGUUGCUGCAGGGUAUUGGUACUACCAGGACAGUCACACCCGCUCGGUAGGAUGCUUCCAGUUUAGGAAUGGUAGCAUUAUCGACGGCUUCGGUAGGAUGCUUCCAACCGAAUUCGAUAGCUUUCCACACCCGCUCAUCGAUUGCGAUUAGAAAAGCUCUCAUGCGAACUUUCCAACGGGCAUAAUUCGUGCCAUCGAAGAGUGGUGGUCGAUUAAUGUUACCACCUUCGGCCAUUAGAUAUCAAUAUAUCUAGAUCCCGCUCUGAUACCAAUUGAAAGUUUUGAGAAGCCCAAGGAUCUAUCUAGAUUGUAUCUAACACCUAGAGGAGGGUGAAUAGGUGUAAUAGCCAAAAACCACAAAUCUCAAUGCCAUCAAAAUAAAUGCGAAAAAUAAAAAUAACACCAAGAUUUACGUGGGAAAACUCCAACUUGGAGAAAAACCCAUGGGACCAACACGCGAAAAAAUAAUUCACUAACAGAAAAGAUUACAAGGUGAUUACCGACUCCACGGACUCGACCUCUCUUAACCUCUUACGAAUCUCGCGCAAUCCUCUGGGUUGUCCACGCCCUCACGUUCUAAUCCACAAACGCCACGUUCCGAAUCCACGAAACGCCUCCACUCCGAAUCCACGAAGCUCACGAUUCGAAUCCACGAACCGCCGUCAAUCACGCUGAAUCCAUGACGCCGUCAUAUGAAGAACAUCAUGUGUACGGUGAUCCUUCGCUUAGAGUAUCGAUGAAAACCAGGAAAGAGAUCUCCAUGCAAAGCGAAGAUCAAAUCGACAUAUAGAUAUGAAAUUCCAAUAUCUCGAUUUGACCUAAAAGAGGCUAAUAUGUAGAAAAUAGGUUUUAGAUGAAAUCUUCGAAAUCGUGAGUUAUUUUUCCGAUUUCUUCGAAAUCUUGAAUUCUUCGAUCUUCAACGAUACGCACCGAUUCUUCAAGACUCCGACUUACUUCACGAAACUUGCCAACACACAAGACUUAACAAUGUGUGCUACGUUUCAGGACGUGAUGGCACCAAGAGGACGCCCUAGUACGCAAUUUGCACCGGCACCGCCUCCUGAGGUGCUCGGGCAGACGUGGUCGGAUGAAGUGCGCGAGCUGCGGGCCUAAGUAGCGACUUUGGCCGGGGCUAUGCGGCAACAGGGGGAGCAAAUUGGACGGCUCCAUAAAUUGGUGGCUCAACAGGCGGCGGCGGCUGCACCUGUACCUCAGGAUCCGCCCGCACAUGUUGCACCUGUAGCACCGCCUCCUGCGGUGGCGGCAGCACCGGUGACGGCUAUUCCUCCGACGGCAUCAGGUUCAUCGGCUCCUAUUCCCGAUGUACUUGAGGCCGAGCAGGAGCGAUCGUUGGCGGUGUUGACGGCCUUCAAGCGAUUCAACCCUCCGACCUUCAACGGUGAUGUGAGGGAUCCGUGGUUGGUGAAGUCGUGGUUGGCCACGAUGGAAGCGUUGUUCAAGGACAUUUAUACCCUCGAGAAGGAUAAGGUUCAUCUUGCGGCCCAUUGCUUCGAGGGGUCGGCGCGGCUAUGGUGGACAUAAGCGAAGAAAAGUCACUCGUUGGAACUCGCUUCCGUUACUUGGGAGGCAUUUUGGGAGAUGCUAUUGAUGGAGUAUUUUUCCGAGAGUGACAAGCGGAAGAUCAAAGAAGAUUUUCGAAAGUUGAGGCAAGGUAGUCGAACGUGUUAAGGAUUUUAUAGGUUGGCGAAUUUCGUAAAGUUGUUUGGAGUCUUGAAGAGUUGAUCGCAGAAGUUUUGAAGAAGAGAUUCAAAUUGGAGAACGAAGACUCAUUCGGAAAGCUCGACACCUAAGGUAUAAAGAAAAGAUCAUUUGUGGUGAAAAUAUCUAAUUAGAAUAAGUUCAGGAGGCUUAGAUUGCUUUAAAACAACUUUUCUGAACUUUCAUGUAUUCUGGGACCGGUCCCUGAAAUGGAGAGACUGGUUCCCCUAAGCUCCUCACUGCGUGAACCUUGAUGCAACCGGUCCCCUGUGAUGAGAGACCGGUUCCCGAACCAUGGUGUUUCUGUCGCGCAGCGAGGGACCGGUCUCAAGUUUGAGAGACCGGUUCCCGAACGUUGGGAUUUUGGUCACGCAGAGAGGGACCGGUUCCUCACUUGAGAGACCGGCCUCUCACAGACCGGUCUCCUCGAGAAGACCGGUCUCUGAGGACGCAUAGGUUUUUAAAAAGGACGUUUUGCAAUCCUAGUCUACUUCUAAGUCUUCUAAACAUAUAAAUAAGCUAUGUGGGUCAUCAAAAAGUUUAAGACUUUGAAUGUUUACCGAUUCUAAAUCCUAGAAACUCAUUUUUUUCUCCGUUUUCAAUGUUUAGAUUUACAUAAUGAGUUUCUAACAAUCAACAUUGGCUUGAUUCUUCGUUUUUACUCGAUACCUCUUACGAGAAUCAAGUAGAUGUUUGACAAAAGGUGAAUCCUCAUAGCUUAUGGUAUUAAAAGGUCAAAUCAUCACAAAUCUUCGAUUCUACAAGCUCCGGAAGGAGGUUCGGCGCGUGGAUCUCGCGUGAAGCCGAGGAUUCGGUGGACGCUUCGAGGAAUUGAGGCGUUGAUGCUGCGAGGAGUUGCAGCAAGGUCGAUUGGUGGAUUCUUAUCGAUCGAGGACCGGCGAAGAUCAUCAUCUACGGGAAAUUGGUAAAUUGAGUCGUGUGUUUUGGUCAAAAUCACUUGUACUCAUGUUUUCUUAGUGGAUUUUCUUUGCGUGAUUGGUCCCGUGGGUUUUUCACUCCGAUUUGGAGUUUUCCCACGUUAAAUUCUCGAUGUGCUCUUUUAUUUUUCGCUAUUUUAUUUUAUUUACAUCGAGAUUUUCGAGUUUGCCAUUUUUACACCUAUUCACCCCCCUCUAGGUGUUACUUACCUUUUAGAUCCUCGGGAUCCAUAUCUUACAGAACGGUGCGGGAGUACGAAAGGGAGUUCACGCACCUAGUUAAUUACGUGCCGAGCUUGGUUCAUGGCGAUAGGGACCGGGCAGAGGCUUUUGAGCGCGGGUUGCGACCCAAAAUAUUCAAGGUUAUUCAUGCGUUCCGCUUGAAGACCUAGGAGGAAGUACUUGAUCGCGCGCUUUGGGUGGAGCGUGGCAAUGCUAUUGUGCGAGAGGAGCGCGAGGCAUUCGAGAGGAGCGCGAGGCAUUUGAGAAGGACAAAGAAAGGGAUAAGUCCAAGAAGCAGGCAGCUAGUGGAUCCGCAGGGCAGUCGAGUUCUAAGCGACCCCCUCGACAUUAGUGAUCACAGUGGCGGGGAGGCAGGAGUCAGACACAGAGCCAGACUACCUACCCGUGCGUGAUUUGUGGCGGAGACCACCGAGUUACUACUUGCCAUCAGCGGGAGGGGCGGUGUUUUCGAUGCGGCCAAGCGGGCCACAUAGGCCGAGAGUGCCCGGGCGGCGCAUCACCUGCUCCGUCAUCAGCUUCAGUCCAGUAUACUCCACGACAGCUGGUGGGAUUGCCACCCACUGUGCUCUGUUGGACGUUCAUCAGUGCCUCGUCAGCCGGAGGCUUCUCGAGCACCUAGUGGGCGGGUUUUUGCCACUCAGGUGGAGGAGCCACCAAUCAUCGUUCCCGACGACGUCGUGGCAGGUAUUAUUCUGAUCAGAGGCACUAGGGCUAGAGCCAUAUUCGAUACGGGUGCAUCUNUGUGCUCUGUUGGACGUUCAUCAGUGCCUCGUCAGCCGGAGGCUUAUGGAGCACCUAGUGGGCGGGUUUUUGCCACUAAGGUGGAGGAGCAGCUGAUUCCAGUCCCCGUCGACGUCAUGGCAUGUAUUAUCUUGAUCAGAGGCACUCGAGCUAGAGCAUUGUUUGACACAGGUGCAUCGCAUUCAUGCAUAUCGGCAUCAUUUGCACUAGCUCAUGACAUAGAGGUUACGCAUAAUGAGGACUAUUGGUCGGUGAACACACCAGGGCAUUCGUUUCGUGUUUAUGACAAGUGUUUGGAUUGUCCAGUACAGAUAGGUGAUUGGAUCAUGCCGAUCGACCUAUUGGUAUUAAGGCAGAUGUGGUGCUUCGAUGUAAUCUUGGGGAUCAACUGGCUCUCCAAGUAUUACGCGGUCAUCGAUUAUGAAAGUAAGGUGAUCACAUUCUGUGAACCUAAUCAAGAAGAAUUAGUAUAUCGGGCAUGUAAAAGUAGGCGCUUCGCGGCGACCGUGUCAGCGGCGAGAGCGAGAAAAAUAAUUAAAGGUGGGUGUGUGGCCUAUUUGGUGACAAUGGUAAAAGCCCAAAAGGAGCACCCGGAAUUGGAGAACAUUCGGGUUGUAUGCGAGUAUCCGGAUGUGUUUUCGGCGGAGUUGCCGGGAUUGCCACCGGACCAAGAAGUCGAGUUCGUCAUUGAUUUGAUUCCCGAGGCGGCGCCAAUCUUGAAGGCACCAUAUAGAAUGGCACCGGUUGAGCUAAAAGAGUUGAAGGCUCAAUUACAAGACUUGCUCGAUAAAGGCUUUGUACGGCUGAGCGUGUCUCCGUGGGGAGCUCCGGUGCUAUUUGUAAAGAAGAAGGAUGGUACGCUUCGACUUUGCGUUGAUUAUCGCGAGUUGAACAAGGUGACGAUCAAGAACAAGUACCCGUUGCCAAGGAUUGACGAUUUAUUCGAUCAGUUGCAAGGGUCAAGGGUAUAUUCAAAAAUCGAUCUUCAAUUGGGGUAUCAUCAGUUGAAGAUACGGCCCAAGGAUGUGCACAAAAUGGUGUACCGUACGCGAUAUGGCCACUAUGAGUUCACAGUCAUGCCAUUCGGGCUUACUAAUGCCCCGACAGCCUUUAUGGGCUUAAUGAAUCGAGUCUUUCGUCCGCUAUUGGACUGGUGCGUCGUGGUAUUCAUUGACGACGUAUUGGUAUAUUCUCGGACCGAGGAAGAACACGAGAAGCAUUUGAGGCUCGUGUUGGACAUGCUCCGAAAAGAGAAACUAUAUGCAAAAUUAAAGAAAUGUGAGUUUUGGCUUUCGGAGGUUACUUUCUUGAGUCACGUUAUAUCCAGUGAGGGCAUCUCAGUGGAUCCAAAGAAAGUUGAGGCAAUUAAAGAUUGGCCUCGCCCGACAAGUAUAGCGGAGAUUCGUAGUUUUCUUGGACUUGCGAGCUACUAUCGGCGGUUCGUAGAGGGGUUUGCUAAGAUAACUACUCCACUAACUCGCCUUGCGCACAAAUGGGUGAAGUAUAUUUGGAGCCCCGAAUGUGAGUAGAGCUUCAAGGAGCUAAAGAAAAGAUUGACAUCGACCCCGGUACUUGCUCUACCGACGCCGAGGGAGAGCUAUGUAGUGUACAGUGAUGCUUCUUACAUCGAUCUCGGGUGUGUUUUGAUGCAAAAUGGCCGAGUUAUAGCUUAUGCUUCGCGCCAGUUAAAGAGUUAUGAAAAGAACUACCCAAUUCACGACCCCGAACUAGCGGCGGUUGUUUUCGCGCUAAAAUUAUGGAGGCAUUACUUGUACGGUGUGCAUUGUGAGAUUUACACGAAUCACAAAAGUCUCAAAUACUUGUUCACCCAAAAAGAGUUAAACAUGCGACAGCGGCGGUGGUUGGAGUUGCUAAAGGACUAUGACGUCAUUAUUCUAUACCACCUCGGGAAGGCGAAUGUCGUGGCCGAUGCUCUAAGUAGAAAGUCGGCAGAAAAUUUGGCGACGGCAAUUACACCCCAACCGGCAUUGCAAAAGGAGAUGCAACGGCUUGGUCUUGAGGUUGUGGCGCCGGGAGUGCCGGCAACACUUGCCACGUUGAUUGUGCAACCGAUCUUGUUGGAGAGGAUUAAAGAACUGCAAGUUUCCGAUUCAUUUCUCCAAAAGAUGCGGGGUAAAGUUGAGAGCGGUAAUGCCGAUGAUUUUGGCAUUGGGACCGACGGUACACUACGAUAUCGAAGUCGUUGGUGCGUGCCCAAGUACGAUGAUCUUGAGUGUGCGAUUAUGCAAGAAGUGCAUCAAUCUCCCUAUAGCAUUCACCCGGGCGGCACUAAAAUGUAUCAAGACUUGAAACUACAUUAUUGGUGGCCGGGCCUGAAAAAGGACAUAGGAGAGUUCGUGGCACAAUGUCUCACGUGCCAACAAGUCAAGGCGGAACGUCGAUUUUCGGCAGAAAGUUGCAAUCUACCUAUAGCCGUGUGGAAAUGGGAAAACAUUGCCAUGAAUUUUGUGACCGGGUUGCCUAGAUCCCAAGGUGGACACGAUGCGAUUUGGGUAGUUGUGGACCGGUUGACAAAAUCGGCACACUUUUUGCCCAUCCACACUACUUGGUCGGGAGACAAGCUAGCUCAGGUUUAUCUCAACGAGGUUGUGAGACUUCAUGAGGUUCCGGUAUCUAUUGUAUCGGAUCGGGACCCGAGAUUCACAUCACAGUUUUGGAAGAGCUUGCAAGACGCAUUGGGCACACGGCUCGACUUUAGUACGGCAUUCCAUCCUCAAAGUGACAGUCAAUCGGAGAGGACUAUUCAAAUACUUGAGGAUAUGCUUCGAGCGUGUGUACUCAACUAUAAGGGCGGAUGACACGAUCAUUUGCCGAUGGCGGAAUUCGCAUACAACAAUAGCUAUCAAGAAAGUAUUGUGAUGGCGCCAUUCGAGGCCCUUUAUGGAAGAAGUGUCGCUCGCCGAUUCAUUGGAGCGAUGUGGGCGAGAGGGUGACUCUUGGCCUCGAUGUGAUUCCGGAAGCCGAGGAGAAAGUUCGCCUUAUCCGCCAAAGACUUGCGACGGCGCAAUCUUGGCACGAGCUAUGCCGAUAGGCGAAGGAAAGAUAUAGAGUUUGCGGUUGGAGACCGCGUAUUUCUAAAGGUAUCGCCGAUGCGAGGUGUUAAGAGGUUCAGUGUCCGGGGGAAGCUAAGUCCCCGAUAUGUCGGACCCUUUGAGAUUUUGGAACGAGUCGGAGCGGUGGCUUACAAAGUAGCAUUACCACCGAGGCUUGCCGGGGUGAACGACGUGUUUCAUGUAUCCAAUCUCUGCAAGUAUGUCCAUGAUCCGGAGCAUAUUCUCUCGUAUAUACCGAUAGAGCUUCAAGAGGAUAUGACUUACGAGGAGUUCCCGGCAUUCAUCGUUGAUCGAAAGUGAGAAAACUACGGAACCGUGAAAUUCCGUAUGUUAAAAUCCAUUGGAGCAACCACAACGAUCGGGAGGAUACAUAGGAGCUUGAGGACGUGAUGAGAGAGCGUCAUCCUCAUCUCUUCGAAGAGCUGGAAUGAGGUAUGAAUUUAGAUUGUCGUUAAGUUGGUUUCGCGGACGAAACUAAUCUUAAGGGGUAGAGAAUGUAACAUAUUGAAACCUCGAGAACGAUUAUCAGACUUUAGCCAAAUUCACUAAAGUAUGCGAAAAAGAUAGAUGGACAAGUUGCAUUUAGCAUUCCAAUAAUGUUGGAAGGGUUAAAAAUGAGUUAAAGAAGAGUUAGAAAGGUUUUAGCAUCGACCGGCGCGAAGUAGAGUCGAAUCGGAGCUAAAACAGCAUUCUGGAGCAAGUGUACCGGUACAACCAGCGAGUUGUCACCGGUACAGCCCUGCAGCCCGAGAAGAGUAAGCUCUCGGGUUUGAGAAAAAUUGGAAGUGUAUCGGUACACUUUGAAAAUGUACCGGUACAAAUCCCGCGUAACCGAGAGAGUUGCUCUCGGGUUUGGCCUCUGCGCAGAGUUGUACCGAUACAAAAUAACGUGUACCGGUACACUUUGGUCUGGCAGUAAGGAAUUGAUCUGCUACAAAUAUAAAGAUUGGGAGGGCCUAGUUGCUAUUGUUGCAACAUGUUAUAACCAAAACACUCUUUCUCCUUCUCUCCCACAGCACACUCUCAUCUCCCUCUCAUUUUCCUCUUUCUCUCUCUAGAAAUCUUGCCCUAGAGCAAGGAGAAGAAGGAGAAGAAAACUUUGGAGAGGAUUUUUAGAGGGUUUGAAGGCUUUAAAAGCUCUCCAACAAGGAGGACUUGCAAGAGCUUGGGCCAAGGUGAGUUGCUAUGCAAAGUAGAUCUAGGGUUUUGGGUUUUUACCUUAGAAUUUGGAGUUUUAAUCCUCUAGCAAGGCUAGAAUCAUUGUAGAGGCUAUGAACACCAUGAAAUCCAUAAUUCUCAAAGUACUCUCAUGGUGAACUUCUAGGGUUCAUGUUUGAUGCCCUAAGAAUGGUCCAAAUAGCUUGGAAAUGAUAUUAGAGAGCUUUUUGAAAGGUUCUAACCUUGUUUUUUAUCAAACCAAGAAAUCCCAUUAUGGCAUUGUUAGGGCAUGGAUUUUUGGGCUUUUGCCUCCAGUUAUUUCUGAGGUAAAUUUACCUCUUGGAAACCUAAUUAGGGGUAUUCCCAACGUGUGGGACAACUCUGUUUGACGUUACGAAAAGUCUAUGUAAGAGAUCUUGUAUAUAGGGCCUAAUUCGGCACUAUUGUGGGUAUAGGUCGCGGGAAAGACGUCCUAAAAUCACGAGGGUCGAACUCCAAACUUCUACAAUAUUCAAAGUGGGGGGUGCACGCCGGAAUCAUUGGAUUCCCUUUUAUGUCUAUUUCGCCUUUUGUUGAGCAUUCUAUGUAUAGAACCAUUCAUGCAUGAUAGGGUAAAUUACAUGUGAAACUUGGUUAGACUUCAUUUAUAUACUUCUAACGUAGAUGAAUAUAGAGAAUGACAAGAACCAUAAUGAAUAUGUAUGGUAGAACCCUAAAGAUUGUAUGAAUGUAAGACUUGGACCAAGACAAUAGUAAACAAAGGUGAUAUUGACAAUAGAGACGAGAUUGGCAUUGAGACAUUGGUUGUUAAACAAAGUUUAAUCAUUAGAGGUAUUGUGACAAGAAUGACUUAGAAAGUAACAUGAACAAAUAGGUAGAAACCUAUUAUGAUAGUGGCAUUGUGGCUAGUGGCUAUACAUUCCCUAAGUGGGAAUUGGAUCGAUACUCACGAUAAAUCUUAGCUUGAGGGUGGUAGCUCCCUCUCAAGCGAUGCGUUCCGGAAUUGUCACCACGGAGAGCGUGGCCCCCGAAGAUGGUCCCUCGGGUCUUGUAGUGCUUAGAGCCUCCCCGAAUGUAAGGAAUUUUGGGUUGUGGGUUAUUGGGGUUAACAAGGUUAACCGGUAAGAUGGAGUAAAAGUCAAGGUACAGUUAUGGAAAAGCAUGCAUGCAUAUUUAAUAUUGCUUUGAUUAUAUAUCCAUUAACAGUUUUCUUGCAGACAUAGUAUUAGCAUUUGUAUGGUUACUACUUUUCUUUCCUUUAAAAUACUUAUGCCUGAAUAGACCUAGUGGGUAAGUCGGUGAGGUUGGUUGCCGAACCUACUGGAAACUUCGUUGUAGUUCUCACACCACUAACCCUACAGAUCCGAGCGCGAGCGGGGCGGUGGAGGAUCAAAGUAAGGGUAUCACGCCAUAGCUAGUGGCCACCGGAGUACUUGCAUUUUAGUCAUUCCCUUUUUGGUUCAUGUAUCAACUUUUAUUUUGUUGAUUUAUAGAUGUAAAAGUUGAAAACAAUUCAUAUAUUUUGGAGAAUGAUUAAGAUAUAAAAGCAUUUAUUAAUGAAAGCAAAGAGAAUGUAAUAGUUGUAAUUUACUAGUAUUUGGUUUAAAUGUAAUCAAAUAUUAUGUAUGGUUGUAUGUUUUAGCUUAGAGCUUUCGCUUCUAUUGUUGCUUGCUCUCGUGCAAGCCUUGUAUAAUUGUAUAUCUCUUUGUUUGGUUGCUUAAUUAUACUUGUUGUUAGAACCUUGGGCGGGCGGGGGAGGCCCUGUCCGUUCAGUGUCUGUUGGCGUGGCCCGAACCCGACCAAAUUGGCGGGGAGCGGGGCGUGACACCAAUAGUCCAUAUCGGAUGGGAAUAGGGUUAUAAUUGCUGAUGAUCCAAAUCGUUACAAUAGUACUUUUAGCUAUUAGUGUUUGUUUUGUUGAUUGCCAUGAGACUGCUGCACCAUCUAGAAAAAGUACAUAUCCGGUAGUGAACUUGAUAUCUAAGGUUUCACUAAUUAAAUUUGCAUCACUGUAGCCCUCUAAGACUGAAGGGUAACCACUAAAAUGUAAUACAUAUAACAGAGUGCCUCCAAUAUAAGCAAGUACGCUUUCAAGCUAGUGCCACCCAAUGCUCUCUACUUGAGUUACACAAAUAUCUACUUAGCCUAUUUAUAGCAAAAGCUAAACUAGAUCUAGUAAAAUUAACUAAAAAUUCUAAUGACCCUAUGAUUUGUGCAUAUUAAAUAUCAACACAUAUAGGAUUGAAUGUAUUUUUCUUUAAAUGUGUCGAAGGGUUAAAAGGAGUAUAACAGAUUUAAAAUCAAAGUACCCAAAUUUCCUUAGCAAUUGUUCGGUGUAAUGUUCUUGUGAUAAAAUUAUCAUAUUAUCCUUUCUAAUGAUUUUUGUCUUUAGGAUUAUUUUAGCUGCGCCUAAAUAUUCCAUAUCAAAAUUUUGAAUUAAUUAGUUUUUAGCAUAAUGGAUCACUUCCAUAUUAAUUCCAAAUAUUAAUAUAUCAUCUACAUAUAAGCACAUGAUAUUGCACCUUGAUCCCCUAUUCUUUUACUAUAAAUGCAUUCAUCGGACAUAUCAGUUUCAAAUCCAUUUGAAAUUAGAAGCUUGCUUGAGACCAUAUAAAGAUCGAUCUUUUGUCAAAUGGACUUUGUCCAACUAUUUCUCUUGCACACUUUGGUCAAUUUGACUAAAGUUUGAUAUAUUCUACCGAAGUUUCGGUAUAUUACAAGUUGUAUCUAAUUCCUGCUCGUUUCUCUAGGGAUAUCUUUGACCAGGUCAAAGGUUGAGGAGAGAGAGGCAUUAAUUUCUACUUCUAAAUUUUAAAUAGAGCCCCUCUCAAAUAUACUAAUAAAACUCCAUAUGAGCUAUAAAAAAUAGAAAGCCUAAUUUAAAUUUUAUUUAAGUGAGGGAUUGUUUAGCAAAAGUAAAACUAUCUAAAAUUAAAAGAACUAAAAUAGGACCUAAAACAGUUCAUGUAAUUUUUGUAGGACACGCAACAAAUAGCUAUGCAAAUAGAUUUUUAGUAAUUAAUUUUGAAAUAAGUAAAUUAAAUAAUACAAUUAUAGUCUAGAGAUGCAAUUUAUUUCGAAGACAAAUUUCCAUAUAUAAUUAACAUAAACAAUAAUAUACAGACACAUGAUCAAGUUUUAUAUACAAGAAUUAGACCUAGAGAUCAAAAUGAAGAUGAAAAAUAAAACCUAGAAGAAGUAAAAGAACAGGAAUAUCUAAAGUUUAUGAAGAAGAUUCCUACAUAAUUCUAUUAGAAGAUAUACCUACAACUUAUGAGGAGCAACGAAAUUCAUAGAUGCUGAAUUUUGGAAAGAGACUAUAACAAAUAAAAUUCAAUCAAUUGGAGAAAAUCAAAUUUGCAUUUUAUCUAAUUUACCUCCUGGAUGAUAGCCAAUAGGUUGCAAAUGGAUAUUCAAAAAGAAAUUGAGACCGGAUGGUACUGUAGAAAAAUAUAAAGCUCAAUUAGUAGCUAAGAAAUUUACCUGGAGUCAAUUAUUUUGAUGUUUAUGCUCCAGUAACUAGAACUACAACAAUUAGAACUCUAUUAGCUCUAACAUCGAUACAAAAAUUAAUUAUACAUCAAAUGGAUGUUAAAACCGCAUAUUUUAAUGGAGAUUAGGAAAAGAAAUCUAUAUGAUGCAACUAGAAUGAUUUAUAAUACCGGGCCAAGAAAAUAAAAUAUAUAAGUUAAAUCGAUCUUUAUAUGGUCUUAAGCAAGCUAAUAUGCCUGAACAAUAAUAAAUGUGAUGCUCAAUAGUAUGCUCAUGUUGAAUGCAAGGUCACAAUCUCAUACCCAAUCUCUUGGCUAAUCCGUAGGUUUCGCCCUCAACGACUCACCAACCAAAUCCCUAAUAUCGGGGAGAUACCCGCUACAACCCGACCGGACCGUCCUCUGGGGGAAACUCGCUACGACCCAGUGAUGACAACUUCGGAGCACAUCGCUCGAGGGGGAGCUACCACCCUUGAGCAAGGACUUACAGGUGAGUAUGAUCCCAUCCUUAACUAUAAGGAUGUCAAGUCUAAUCCAUUUCUUGACUACAAGGAAACAAUGCACAUAUGACCCUUAACUCUAAGGUUGUUAUGUCAUAAUGUCGCUAUCUCUAUUUACUUGCAUUCUUUAACCUUUUUCUAGUGUCAUAUACACUACAUUGUUCUUAUACUCAAUCAUCGAUGCCACACUUAUUUUCUAAGUGUCCACUCUAGCAUAUCUUGACUCGUCGAUGCCACUCUCUACAAUUAUGUCAACAUGUCACUUUUGUUCUCUAAAGCUACUAAGUUCUUGUCAUUUCUCAUGUAUACAUAGGGUAAAUAAAUUUCUCACAUUCUUACAAAUAUUUCACAUGCAUUUAAACUCACAACAUGCAAAUAGAAGCUUACAAUUACCCUACUAUGCAAUAUGCUCAAUAUACAUACAUAUGCUCAAAUGUGACACUUUAGACAUAAAAGAAAUUUCGAGGUCCUUGGAAUGCACUACCUACCUUAGAAGGUUGAGAGGAUACUACGGUGAAUUUCUUGAAAUUUUUGAAGCUUUACUUUUUCGUCUGCGGCAAAACGAAGCCGAAUUAGGCUUUUUAUCAAUAACUCCAUCUAAACCUUUUCGUAACGUUAAACGGAGUUGUCCCACGCGUCGGGAAUACCCCUAAUUAGGUUUCUAUGAGGUCAAUUUGUCUUAGAAACACUCGAAGGCAAAAACACCAAAUUGGGUGCCCUAAUAAUGCCAUAUAGAGUUUUCUCUUAGAUUGAUCUCAUUCCUAAGCAAAAACUAGCUUAGAAUCAACUAGAAAGCAUUCUAAUAUCAUCACUAAGCCUUUCCAAGCAUCCCUAGGGCAUCUACUUUAAACCCUAGGUGUUCACCAUUAGAGCACCUUGGGAAAACCAUAGUUUCAUGGUGAACAAAGCUCAACCAAGCUUCUAAACAUGAGAGAAUCUCAAAACUCUAAGUUCUAUAGUGAAAAUCCAAACCCUAGAUGAGUUUUUACCCUAAACUCACCUUAGCCAAAAGCUAUCCCCAAGUCCUCCUUGUAGGAGAGCGUCUAGUGCCUUCAAAUCCACGAAGACCUCCUCUCAAGCUUCUUCUCCACCUCUUCUUAGCUCUAGGGCUUGGUUCUAGAGAGAGAAAGAGAGAAAUGAGAGGGGAGAGGGUGCAGUGGCUGUGGGAGAGAAAGAGAAGGGUGUUUGGGGUGUUAACAUGUUGUAACAAUAGCCAAAAAGCCCUCCAAACACUUGUAUUUGCAGCAGUUUUCAUUUUGCUGUCAGACCCAAAGUGUACCGGUACACUGUAGCUGUCACCGGUAACACGAUUACGCAGAAGCAAACCCGAGAGCAAUUCUCGCAGGUUUUUCCAAAGUGUACCGGUACACUAUAGCUGUCACCGGUAACACAGGCAAAAUUUUCUCAAAUUCGAGAGCUUUUCCUUCUCUGCCUGCAAUGCUGUACCGGUGACAACUCGAUGGUUGUACCGGUACACUUUGCUCCAGAAUGCAAUUUUGCGCCGUUUUCGAUUCUGUUUCGCGCUGUUCGAUGCUAAAAUCUUUUUAACACCUCUUAAACUCAUUUUUAGCCCUUCCAAUCUCGUUGGAAUGCUAAUUGGAACUUGUUCAUCUAUUUGUUUCGCAUUAUUCACUUUUAAAUCGCGCUGAGCAAUGCUAAAACUUGCUUAACACUCUCGGGACUCGACUUUGACCCUUCCAACAUUGUUAGCAUGUCAACUAGAGUUUGUCCAUCUAUUUCUCUCGGCACUUUAAUCCAUUUUGGCUAAAGUUCGAUACGUUACGUGGAGGGUUUCCAAAGCCAAAUGUAGAGCGACAUGUGGUACACCAGGAUCUAGGAAGAACGCACCCAAAACCAAAAAUUGGUUGGGCGAUAUGCAAUUAAGAUCAGCCAGGAGCGGCCUGCAGAAGCAGGGACAUGGCCAAGACACACUCCGUAAUGGGGAAUAAUUGAAUAACGAUAGGCGGGAUUAUUAAUAAAUAAAAUAUGCCUACCAAAAAGGCCUUUUUUCUUGUGAACUAGAAGACUAUUCUAUUUCCAACAUUUUUCUAAUUUUCUAGUAGUAAUUUACUUGUAAUUUUUAACUUUCUUGCAUUUCCUGCUUUUCUAGGAAUAGUUUGUUAAGAUAGAUUUGGGUUAAUUACACAAUUGGUCCCCAACCUUUGCAGUGUUUUCAAUUUGGUCCCGAACCUUUUAUUUUUUGCAAUCGAGUCCCUAACCUCUUAAUUUUACUACAAUAAAGCCCCCGUUAAAAAAGGUGAUAAAUUAAUAGAAUCGCCACUUCAGCGCCACGGAGGUGCCAUGUCAGCACCAGUGAAUUAUAUAAUUUAAAUUUAAAUUUUAUAUUAUAAAUUUAAAUUUAAAUUUAAAUUAUAUUUUGAAUUAAAUUAUAAAUUCAAAGAAAUAUUUUAAUUUAAAAUAUAAAAUUUAAAUUUAAAUUUAAAUUUUGAUUUUGGAUUCAAAUUCAAAUUCCAAUUUUAUAUUUAAUUUUAAAUUAAAAUUCACAUUUUGAAUUCUAAUUCUAAUUUAAUUUCAACUUUGAUUUGGAACUUCAAAUUCAAAUGUGAAUUUGAAUUUGAAGUUUAAAUUCAAAUUUAGAAUUGGAAUCAAUUUCAAUUCAAAUUUAAAAUUUGAAUUCAGAUUAAAAUUUUAAAAUCAAAAUUUUGAAUAUAAUUUUAAAUUUAAAUUUAGAUUUUAAAUUUAAAUUUUAGUUUCAAAAUUUUCAUUUUAAAUGGAAAUUGAAAUAUCAAAAUCAAAAUCAAAAUCAAAAUUUUAAGUUUGAUUUCAAAAUUAAAAUUCAACUUAAAAUUCAAAUUUAAAAUUUGAAUUUCAAUUCAAAUUUUAAUAAAGCUUUAAAUCAAAAUUAUAGCUUUAAAUCAAAAUUAUAGCUUUAAAUUCAAAUUCAAAAAUUUUAAUAUCUCAUUAGUUUUUAAUUUUAAAUCAAAAUUAUAGCUUUAAAUUCAAAUUCAAAAAUUUUAAUUUCUCAAUAGUUUUUAAUUUUAAUUUUAAUAAAGCUAUAUAUCAAAAUUAUAGAUUUAAUAAAGCUUUACAUCAAAAUUAAUGCUUUAAAUUCAAAUUCAAAAUUUUUUAUUUCUCAUUAGUUUUAAAUUUUAAUUUUAAUAUUAAUUUCAAAUUUCAAAUUUUUAUUUUUUGGAAACUAAAGUGAAAAAGGUGCAAAGUUUGGGAACCAAAAUUGAUGUGCAAAAAGAAGCCAAGUAGGCGCUGACGUGGCGAUUCCGUUAAUUUUAACACUCUUUUUCAGGAUUGGGACUUUAUUGUAAUGAAAUCAAGAAGUUAGUUACUCGAUUGCAAAAAAAAAGGUUGGGGACUAAAUUGAAAAAUAACGCAAAGGUUGGGGACCAAUAAUGUCACAUUCGGGCCCCAGCAGAAGCCUACCCGACAGUGCACAUACCCGCCCGCCGUGUGCACAAGGUGCUCCCGGUGCACACAAGGCGUCUACCACAAAACAAUCAAUUAAGGAAAAUAAGGAAAUUAUACUAGUAUGGUAAUCAAAGCAUAAGUACUAAGCUAUACAAUAAAUCAACAAGCACUAAUGGAAAUAACGAGUUACUACAAUAAAGAUACAUCUAUCACAAGAUAUACAUCAAGUGCCAACAAGAGAGUAUAUCACAUGAAUAUGGUAGUCUCUAUACAAAAUGAUCUAAUACACAUUUCGUGACUAAAACAAAAGAAAGGUGUCCACCUAGGCAACGACUCCCAAAAGGCUCACCGACCGUCCCUAGAGUAAGUGGCAAAGGGCUUGGUGGUUGGUACCCGAGACCCAAGUUCGAAUCCUAGUUGAUUCACAUUUCUAGCUAAGUUUAUUUCUAAAUGAAAUAAACGAAGCGGAUAGCGUGCUACCUAUUUCUCAAAAAAAAAAAAAAAAAAAAAUCCCAAAAGGCUCUAACUAGUCGCAACUCCCUUGCCGCGAUCUCUAACCUCUCCCGCAGUGGAAGGCUCUGAAAUAAAAACAACAAACAUAUGAGGGUGAAAACUAUUAAACAAUAUUUUCUAGUGGGUAAGCCGCCGAGAAAAGCGAAUUACACUACUAAGUCAACUGGGCAAAAGUAGAAAUAGUUACUAAUAAAGCAUGAAUAAAGUCAAGCAUUAAGGUUCAAAUACUACUAUACCUCCAAAUAACUAUAUUAUUUAACAUAUGUGAGAUUUACACUAUCACUUGUACAUGCAUACAAUGUCUAGUAAUUAUGUCCAAAUGUCAUGCACUAUUUAAUUGUGAUGUCCAACAAUAAAUGUAUUUACAAUUACCCAACCAUCGGGGACGUACACAAGGUAUAAUCCCGACUUGUGCUGUACCUAAUGGCCCCGUGGUAGUUAACACUUCCCUGCUAGAAAUAAGUCUCGCCCACGGCAAUUCACUUCGGCGCCCAAUCUCGUACGGGCAAGCAUGAUGUUGCAAAGGCUAACUCCAAAGUGCCGGCUUGUAGGGAGCAACCCUACAACUUCCUUCCCUUUAUGUUGAUAAACAAAUCCGUAAAGAAUUAUUUGAAAAAACAUUGCCAACUACAGGAGUUUCAUUAAGAUAAUCAAACUACUGUAAAACUAUAUACAAAUUUUUCCAGAUAAAAUGUUUAUUUAUUUUAUUCUAACUUUUAUAUAAAAUUUUAUUGUCAGCUCCACACAACCUGCUGAUGACAUCCAAGAAAUCCAACCUGCGAAAUGAUGUCGAUUUAUGUAAUGUCUAAUAACAAUUCAACAAGCUAUUCAUAUAUUUAAUAUAAUUUAUAUUUAAUUGUUUAAAUUUAUUUGUAGAUGUCAAAAGGCUACUACAUGUACAAUAAGAUGAAGAGGAAGAUAAAGAAUUAAAUGAAAUGAUGAUUUUAAUUGCUGCGGUUGCUGCUUGACAUUUAUAAUUGUUAACUUAUUUGAUAAAGCUAUUAGCAUAAGAUAAUCGCACUCUACUAUGAGUUUUUUUUUUAGGAUUUUGAUUCUAAUUUUAUUUAAUUUUAAAAUUUUAAUAAUAAUUAUUAUAUAUAUUAUUUUUCUAAAUAAUUAACCCGUAGCGAAGCGUGGGCCCUUCACUAAACAAUAAUAAAAUGAGGGUCCAUCUGCAGAGAACAUCAUCAAUAAUACAGUACAAUCGUGCUACCAAAAAAAAGAAGAAAAGAACGAGGCUGCUUCCAUUUAAAGCCGAUAAAUAAAUAAAUAAAUAAAUAAAUAAGCGCGUGUUAAAGUUAAAAUCCAAACUAUGCUAUGCACCCUUCUCUCGUCUGCUACAGAGACAAACUCCACCGCUCUCUGAGACCCUUGCUGUUCCCGCCACUCGUUCGGCGAAAUGUCGCGGCCAAAUCUUGCGGAACUAAACCAUUCACGACUCAUGAAGCAGUUGGUCUCUUCCUUCGAGCCCAUCGUUCGGACGUAUCCCCCCUCGACGAUUCCACUCUUUCGUCGAUCCUCAGACUAUGCGGAGCAUUAUCGGAUGUUGUAUUCGGAAAACAAUUGCAUUCGCUUUGUGUUAAGUAUGAUCAGGACAAAGCUCUUAGUGUGGGAACUUCUUUGUUAGGCAUGUACGCCAAGUGCCACAGCAUCGAAGAUGCAGCGAAGGUGUUCGAUGGAAUGCCCGAAAGAAAUGCCGUCGCAUGGACGACACUGAUUGCGGGGCGUACCCAGUGCGGGUCCCGUGAAUCCGUGCCGGAACUCUUCUUUCGGAUGCAAGUGGAAGGAUUUUGGCCCAACCCGCUCACCUUCUCCGGUGUUCUUGCAGCUGCCGCGGCCGACAGAGCGAUCGAGCAAGGGAAGAGGGUGCACGGCCAGCUGAUUAAAUUUGGGUAUCGGUCCACCGUCUUCGUGUGUAAUUCGCUUAUUAAUAUGUACUCAAAGUGCGGACAAGUAGAAGAAUCCGUGUUGGUAUUUGAGAGGAUGGAGAACAGAGAUGCCGUGAGUUGGAAUUCCAUGAUCGCGGGUCUCGUAUCAAAUGGCCGCGAUCUCGAAGCAUUACAGCAUUUCUAUCAAAUGAGACUUUUGGGGGUGAAGCCAACUCAGCUAAGCUUCGCCACGGUGGUUAAACUUUGUGCAAAUCUAAAACAGUUGGAUUUCGCACGGCAACUCCAUUCUUGCGUAGCGAAAGAAGGGUAUGGAUCGGAUGGCAAUAUCAUGACUGCUCUAAUGGUCGUCUACAGCAAAUGCAAUAAACUAGAAGACGCCUAUGCGUUAUUCUCUUCAAUGGAAGGGGCUCGAAAUGUGGUCUCUUGGACUGCUAUAAUUAGCGGGUAUAUACAAAAUGGAGAUGCUGCUCGUGCUGCAGUUCUGUUUGGCCAAAUGAGGAAAGAUUAUGUCGAGCCGAAUGAUUUCACCUACUCUGUAAUUCUGACGACUUCUCCAACUAUAUCACCCUUUGAAAUCCACGCGCAAGUAAUCAAAAGCAAUUAUCAGCAUGCUCCUUCGGUCGGAACCGCUCUGCUAGCUGCGUACUCUAAAAUUGGGAAUACCCGAGAUGCCCUUUCUAUUUUUGUAAGGAUUGAAGAUAAGGACAUUGUCGCGUGGUCGGCAAUGCUAGCGUGCUAUGCCCAAGCAGGGGAUUGUGAAGGUGCGGUGAAACUGUUUGAAGAAAUGGGAAAGAAGAAAGUAAGACCAAACGAGUUUACUCUUUCGAGCGUUAUCAAUGCCUCCACUUGCCCGACCGCUGCUGCAGACCAGGGCAAGCAAUUCCACGCGAUAUCGAUCAAGUAUAGAUAUCACAACUUUCUCUGUGUUAGCAGUGCUUUACUCACUAUGUAUGCGAAAAAGGGUUGCAUAGAGAGUGCACAAAAAGUGUUUGAGCGGCAAUUAGUGAGGGACUUGGUCUCGUGGAAUUCGAUGGUAUCUGGGUUUGCUCAACAUGGAUAUGGAAAGAAGGCCCUCAAAAUAUUCAAACAAAUGGAAGAUCAGGGCAUGGAAAUGGAUGGGAUCACAUUCAUCGGUGUUCUAUCCGCAUGCACUCAUGCAGGUCUUGUAGAAGAAGGGCGGAGGAACUUCGAUUCGAUGGUGAAAGACCACCAAAUUAGUCCUACAGAUGAACACUAUUCUUGCAUGGUCGAUCUGUAUAGUCGAGCAGGUAAGCUUGAAGAAGCAAUGAGUCUCGUACAGGGGAUGCCGUAUCCAGCUGGCACGACCGUGUGGCGGACACUCUUAUCUGCGUGUAGGCUUCAUAAAAAUAUUGAGCUCGGAAAGCUCGCUGCUGAAAAGUUGAUUACGAUGGAGCCACAAGAUUCGGCUGCUUACGUGCUUCUGUCCAAUAUUUAUGCCACUGCGAGGAGAUGGGAUGAGAGGGCGAGCGUACGGAAGCUUAUGGAUGAGAGGAAAGUGAAGAAAGAAGCAGGGCGCAGUUGGAUUCAGGUUAAGAACAAGGUGCAUUCGUUCGUAGCAUCAGAUAGGGUCCAUCCCAUGUCGGACAAGAUAUAUGAGAAGCUCGAGGAUAUGCUGAGUAGAUUGAAGGGGGAAGGGUACAAGCCUGAUACGGAAUAUGUGCUUCACGAGAUGGAAGAAGAGCAGAAAGAAGAUAUGUUGUUCCGGCAUAGUGAGAAGCUAGCACUCGCAUUUGGGUUGAUGGUCACACCAGAAUGUGCUCCAAUCCACAUUGUGAAGAACCUUCGGAUAUGCGGGGAUUGCCACACGGUGAUGAAGAUGGUGUCGGACGUUGAGGGGAGGGAGAUUGUUGUUAGGGAUUCGACCCGAUUCCACCAUUUUAUGGGUGGUUCGUGUUCCUGUGGGGAUUACUGGUGAGGUGAAGCAAAGAAGAGUUUCAGCUCUUCUUGUGAAGCUUUGAGGAGGUUCGGAAGCUAUCGAAUGCUCGAGCUGAAGCAUUAACGAACAUAAAAUGCAUGACCAUUGGGGCAUUUUGUAAAGAAAGGGAGGUCACCCCAGACAUUUGUACAAUACUUUCACGUCGAGCCACUCCUGGAGCGAGUUAAAGGGCCUGCCAGCGAGAGUAAGAAGUGGGGUUAUUAACGAACAACGAAUAAUAAACUCAGUGGCUCAUUAGGCAUCCAGAAUUGGCUUUUUGAUGGAAUAAGACGAGAGAGAUGUUUUGGGGCUAGCUGAUCAGAAGCAGCAAGAGUUAAUGAUAGGUUUAGGUACUUGUAAGAAUCGAGAGUUACAAGAGGUUGAGAUUAUCGAAUUUGGUUGGACCAAAUAAUCUCCCUCCUUUGGGCACUGUGACCUGGCUUCGAAUCCUGAUUUGAGCAGGAUGUGUGCUUGCUUGGGGCCUAUGGACAUUUUUAGAAAAAAAAACAACUCUCUAGGAUGAGAUUACCGAAUCGCAUUCAAGAAGCCUAGAUCGAACAAGAUUGGAUUUGAAUAAUUCUAUCGUAUAGUAUCGAACCCAUUCGUACAUAUUGUGACCUUCAACACCUCAGAGUUGCUAAACCUUCCCUACCCCCAACAUCAGUCUCUUAAUCCAAUUGAAAUCAAUCUUGAGUGCUAAACAAGGGCUCCAGAUAUAAAGUUAGAGAUGGUAUAUUUCCACCACAAUGCAGAAUGCAGAAAUGGAAGGUCAUGUAUGCAAUAUCUGGAUAAGUGAGUGCUUUUUAGAAAUCCAGGGAGUAUAACACUGGACAAUGAUUAAGGAAGUUAAGAUGACAGAAGAAUACACUUGGGAGUACUGAGAAACUCGUCAUCAAGUGAGGCUUUUUGACUUCCAUUUAUUUAUAAUGCAUUGAAACAGUUUUCAUGUUUGGAGCGUUGAAGUAGAUGUCACUGUUUUUCUUUCCUCUAAUUUGGCUUGAUUACGCUAUACUACAACACUGUCUUUAGGGUUUUUUUUUAAAAAAAAAAAAUUCUACACUGUACUCUUUUUUUUUCUUUUUUUUCUUUUUUUAAACACACUACUAAACUGUAUGCCUUUAUCAAUGUGUACAUUACAAGUAAUAAAUCAAAAGUUUCAGACGGAAGCAAACAGAUCCAUCAAAAAAAUGCUGCUUGAAAAUAGCAGAGUAUAUUCAACCUAUUUUGACAAGUAAAAAAAAGUAAACAAAACUUAAAAUUAACAUGAAAAAUAGUUGAAAACAACUUGAUAAAAUCUUUUAAUGAUUCCAUAUUAGAGGCUCAUUUUGUUUUUUUCACGACUAUCUAAUAAACAGAUGUCAAUAGAGUAGUUAGCUUCUAUUAGGAAUAGUAAAUUUAUUGAUAGUAAUAUAGGAGCAGAUAAAAAAAAAAAAAUUAUUAGUUUAGUGGUGCCCUUGAAUAAAGUAAUAAAAGAUGGUAAAUAAAAAUAAAUCUGGUGUGUAGUAUAAAAAUGAAUAAAAAAUUGAUAUUAGUACAAUUGUAUCUUCAAAAACAAAUAGUGCAAUGCAGCAAACAAGAAAACAUUGAAGCAUAGUGCGGAAGGGUGCAAUCAAGCCCUAAUUUUUCGGUUGCUUCACCUACUAAUCCUCGAACUUGUAAUGAACUUUCAAUUUUGUAUUCGAAACUUGUAUGUUCCACAUUCCACAUCCAGUACUUUUUGAAAUGUUUUUAUUUUGUCCAUAUCUUAACGGAACUACUGUUGCCUAUGCAUCAGUUCACGCACACCAAGUACUAAUCAUCAGUGAUUCCAUUUCGUACUUUAAAUCCCAAUGACUCACAAAGUUGAGGCCUUCUCUUUACUGUAAGACCAAACGAAUGGACUCAAUGGGUGCAUGUUUCAUAGAAUAAAGAAUGUACGAGGUGCAUGCGUGGGGCUAAAUGACACAGAUCUAAAAUUUGGGAUGUCGAAUGUUGAAGUUAAAAAUUCAGAGGGGGAAAGUGAAAUCCGACAAUAAGUCCAGGCACUAGUAUAGCAUUUCACACACCUGUCUCUUUGCAUCGCAACCUUCAUAUGUUUUCCUCGGCCAUAUCAACAAUUUAUUUUGAUCUUACAGAAACAAAAUUCUCAGAGGUUUCCUAAAGAAACUGGAGAAAUGGUUUUUUGCCAGUCACUCAAUGCCUCUACAGCAGAAAUUCCAUCAUAAUAUGUAACAAGAACAACAACAGCAAGAAGUAUUAGAAGCAGCGCAUGUGAAUGUGCUAAUGUUGCUAUGUUCAAACUUUUGAAGAGCCAUUCAUUUAGUAAAUAGCGUAUGAAUCAGUUAAGUAUACUUGGAUUCCGCAGAUUGACAAUUUAGAUUCCGACAUUUUUGCUCAUAAGGCAAUGAAAUCUCCAUAUUCCGGGACGAAAACUAAGGAAAGUCGACUAAUCAUACUUGCAUAAGCAGGCCUUUGACAUAUGCAAGAACCAUCGGAACAUCAAUUGUCCAUGCGACCGAGAUUGGCAAGUAGCCAGACCAAGGGUUGGUUGAAUUCCACCUGCACCCACGUUCAAACACAGUAAAGGGAAGAACCAGGGAGAAGAAACCAGAAAAGUUUGCAAUACAUAGAAAACCAAGUGAAGCCCUACUUUUUCAAUCCCUGAUCCAUUAAUGUAUGUCCAACACAAAUGCCUUGCGUCUCAACUCUCACAACACCCUUCUUGAAGGAGAAAAGAUCCGGGCGAACUAGCGCUGCAAAGCUUACAGGGUCAUGUAGGAAAAUCCCUACAUCAAGAGAUGUAUUUUGGUUAAAGCCAUCUGACGUCUCAUUGAGAGAGAGAGAGAGAGAGAGAGAGAGAGAGAGAGAGAGAGAGGGAGGGAGGAAGGCGGUUCCAGAGGUACCAUGAACACCGUCGGAUUUGACAUGCCAGUCUCUGUAGAAUUUGCACAUAUCACAUACGAAUUGUGCAUACUUCCCUUUAGAAUUUCUUAGCUCCAUCAGGUCUGCGUCUGAAAUCAGAAGAUAUCAUGGUUAGUGGGUUGUGCUAGUAGAAAAAUAUCAAGAUAUGAUAGAGAGAACACAACAUAAAAGGAGGACAAAAACCUGUUAAAGUGACUUGAGUGGUGAUGUUAAUGCCAACAACAGCAAUUUCAGCUCCAGAUGUAAAUACAAUGUCAGCUGCUUCGGGAUCUCCAUAGAUCUGAAAAGGUCAGAUGAGUUUCUGUAGCACUUAUUUGUUCAUCCAUAAUAUUCGUAAAGUUUUGAACACAGCUAAGACAAAGAUAAUUCCCAUUGAAAUAGUAACGGACUAAGAUUUACAAGGAUUAAAAAGUCUCCAGUUGAAGAAUAAAGAGUCAAGGUAACAUCUAGAGACUUCAUAUUUUCUUUCGAGCAUUUAAAGAGCAAAGAUAAUACCUAACACUUGAUUGUGCAAAACUGAGAUUCUGUGUGGAUUAAAGCAUCUGUUAAUGAAAUGGCCCAGAAAGUGGUUGUAUUUGACAUCAAAACAUAACAGCAAGCAGGUGAAAACAACCAAGGAAAUGCAUUUAUAAUGACAUCACCCACCUCUAAAAUGAUUAAUAAUUCUUUACAGAUAAGAAUGACUUCAUUAGGAUUCAUAAUGAAGUGGUUGGUGCUUAUCAAUGAGUUAAAAGAGGUCCGAAUAGCUCUAGACAUGUUAUUAAUAUCAUAGGCUGGGUACUAAAUACAAAGCCUAGCCCUGGCUACUCUAAUGAUAGAGAUCCAUUCUUUGUGGUUCAAAAUGUCAAUGGAGGCAAUUCAAAUUACUUCGGUUAUUAGUAGCUGAAGUCUCAGUUGAAAGCAUCCUUUACAUCAUUCAUUAAAUCAAGUUUGCACGAUGUUUAAUAAAAAAAUUGAAAAAAACAAACAAAAACCAUAUCCAAAUUAUUCUUACAUUUGCUUCAGCAGCAGGAUUCACAUUACCGGAUGCAAAAAAAGCUCCACCCAGUAUAACCACUCUUUUCACGUUCUUUGCGAAGGAGUCAUCUUUUUUAAUGGCCUGAAAUAGUAGGUAAGAAAACUUGGUUAUGAACCUGAAAAUUGGAUAUGCAAUCACUUAUAGAGACAUCCUGAGAUAGUGACUAAACGCAGUAUGGUAAAAUUUAUAGUGUUAAAAGGUCACUAUCAUAGAUAAACUUCUUCUGUGAUUACUAGUGGAUCGUAGAAUCUUACCAAAGCUAAGUUCGUAAGAGGUCCAAGUGCAAGUAUAGAUACCUCGCCAGGAAACUCAGAAACCUUAUCAAUCAAAAACUCAGCAGCACUUUUAUCAUGCUUUUUACCAUUAGGUGGUGGGAGAAAUAUAUUCCCAAGACCAUCAGAUCCAUGGACAAAGUCAGCAAUGCGUGGCUCUCCUCCCUAUCCAAACAAAAAUCGCAAGUUCUAUUAGAAAACAAUAAAAUUCAAUAAAGUAAAUAACAAACUAUCCUGAGCAUCAAUAUAAAGCAUAAUGCACUAAUGAAAAUAUGGCAAAAUGAUGUGGCCACUCCAAACAAGAGAAAAAUGCUAGAAAAUCAAUAUAGCAAUCCCUUCAUUAUAAAGACAUUUAAACACUGAAGUAUAACACCAUUUGGUGAGCACAUCAAACACAAGAGGCUAGAAAACUAGAGGUCUCAACAUUUUUAGGCGGAAAACGAAAAAUAAAAUGGCAAAAUCAAGAUAUAACCGAAGAAGUGGGGAAAUUAUAUUACAAAAUCUGUGAAAUAUUUAUUUGAAGUUGAAAAUAAACCAGACAAACUUAUAAUAACCUCCAAAGGGAUAAGAAAGUUUAUUCAACAAAAUUCAAAUUCAAUCGUAAUUAGCAUUCCCUCAAUCUAGCUAAUCAACCCACUAUUCAUCAACAAGUGUUUUUAUUUUGUAGACAACAAUCUAUAGAAGUGGUUUAACAUUCAUCGAGCAAGCAACAGCCGUCUUGAAGGAAGCUAUUCAAAAACAGAUCAAACUCUUUCUACUUCAGGAACAACCAUAUACUGUAUACCUUGUGCAUGGUUGAGAAUAAGAACAAUAUCACAUCCAACCCAGUAGUCAUUAUCAAUAUAUGAGUUUCUACUAAAGGAACUCAAAAAAUGAUCAAAGACGCAACAACUGAAAAAUCACAUUUCAGACUUGAGAGUAAGCUUAUAAGAGCAUCACACUAUGACAGAAGGAAACCUCCAGAGAGGGACGCUCAUUCAAGCCACAAUCCCAGUGGUGGAAAAAUGUUCUAGACACUAGUAGACAUAUUUAAAUGUGAGAUUAUGUUUGAUGUAUGGAAUGGCAAAAGCAUGAAAUUCUGGACAGAUAUAUGGAACAAAAACACCUCAUUGGUCACUUCUUACACGGGCAUAUACGAAAGAAUAGCACGCAAGGAAAUAGGGUCUCAGAUGGAUGGUCCAGUAGAGAAUGAAGUUAGAAUUUUAUUUUCCAAGGAUUCAAGGCAGGGACACAGCAGGCAACAAAUUGGUUCAAGAGCUUAAGAGAAUGCUUGAUGAGUUCUCUCUAAAUGAAAGGACCACCGUUGUCAAAUAGAGAUGGUCCACCAAUGAAUGCUUCACUAUGAAAUCGUGUUACAAGCUCAUUUCAGACGAAGGGAUAAGGGACCACACCACCCCGUAAUUAUGGAAUUGAAAAUUGCAUUGAAAGUAAAGAUUUCAAGAGGGGAUGGGCAGGGGAACAAAUAUGUGUAUUAUGUAGCAUUGAGAACAAAGAUGUGUAUUUUGGCUUGAUUUUCUGUAGUUUCUAUUUUUAUUUUCAUUUUCUCUAUUAUUGUACUUAAUUUUACCUCCUUUUUCGAUUUCAGAGGCCUAGUUGCCUCAGUUUCUAUUGCCUAGUUCAUUUUACUAACGAAUGAAGCCGGUGGUAUACUACCUUUUCUCAAUAUAUAUAUAUAUAUAGCACUCUUCGAAAAACAACAAUAAUUAAUAAGAAUCACUUACCUUUAGAGGCUCAGGGCUACCUUCUGCAACUGGAACUUCAGUAUGUCCUGCUAUCUCACACUAUCCUUUUACACAGUAUUGAAUCAUAAGUGACAAUGAAUGCCACUAAAAUAAUAAGCAAAUAAAGCAAAUUUACAAAUAAUAAUUUAUUUACUUAUAUUGCGUAUUUUAUAAAUCAGCAUCUAAAAAGGAAAAUACCAGUAACAAAGCAUUGCGAGUAGCAUCUUCUGUGCUGACAUUACCAAAUAUUGUUGUCAAACCUAUAACUUCAAUCUCUUUCGCUUGAAAUGCCAUCAAUAUUGUCAUGCUAUCAUCUGGAAACAAAUCAGCGGACAAAAAUAAAACAAGAACAGUCUAUCUGGAGGAAAAGAAUAAGCAGACCAAAUUUAUUAAUAUUGCACUCUUCAUCAUUGUGACUAUAACAUAGAAAGUAACAGAAGAAAAAAAUAUUAAGUUUAAUCAAAUUUAAAUUAGUUUCAAAUUUGAACCUUUCCUGGGUUUUGAUAUUAUAUCUUUAUGGUAUCUAGCGUGUCAGUUUAUUCUAUAUUGGCCAACUUUUUCACUAUUAUCUUUUUUCCUGUUCUUCAAGGACAUUUUAACAAAUUUUAGACUUUCCGGCCAUAUUUCUAAGCAGGCUGGUUUUCUCAAUUGAAAGUUCUAUUUGAACUAACAAAGAGUUAGGUUGAAGAAAAUUAGGUGAGGGGAGUUCUUAUAGGUACUUCCAACCAAAUAACAAUCCUAAUUGUCCACAACAACGUUAGGUGAAUUUAUUGAGAUCAUAAUCAGACAUAUGGGUUAUUUCCCAUCUAAGAGGAACUUUAAAUAGCAAGAAAUUCUUGAUUGUCUGCCAUAGAGAACUCUUGAUGUAUGUAAUUAGGAGGCGUGAUUAUUUCAAUGAAUUUCCAAAUGAAAAUCAACCUUUCUCAAGUAGACCUUUAUGAUAUCUUACAACUUAUUUCCUCUCCUUUUCCUCGUAUCUCCACAAUCUCCUCUACUUUUUCCCCCAUAUCUUCAGUAAAUUUUCUAAAUGUCCUGCAAGAAUCACCUCCGUUGGAAGAAAACUCUUUAUCUCUUACGUACAGAGAGAGGACAAUUACUACAAACCUAUGAAGAAAUUUUUUUUGCCUAAAUUUUUCAAUUCUCCAACAUCUGCGAUCUUAGUUCAGGGACUAAUCUUGCAUCAACCGGAGACACAGGAUCAAAAUACCUUCUCUAAGACUGUAUGAAUACUUGAAUACCAUUUGAAAGCAGACAAAAUCAUAACAUAUUAAAGAUUUCAAUUUUCAAAUGUUCUGCACGAUUUGAACAAAUACAUUUAAAACCAUCCUGACCGAAUUAAGCGAUGUAACAACCGGAGAUCAAUAAAAGGAAAAGUUAGGGGGUAAAAAGUUAUUAGCUCCGAGUCAAGUCGAAAACUACGUUAUGCAACAUCGGCGCCUACUUUGUUGUACUUUUGUCCUAUCACGUAACUAUCACAAUCGAGGUAGGUCGAAUAGGAAAAACCAUCACGACAGUGGAUCUGGAUCCAACGAAUCCACCAACCUUUACACUCUGUAAUCCAAAACACUCUAAAGCAAUCGCAUUAAUUGGAGAAAAAGAUAGAAAGAUAUAGCAUAAGAAUCGAGAUGACGAGGCAAUGUGGAUCGAUACCAAUCCCGGGAUCCGUGUCGAUGAUGACUUUGUCGCACCCAAUCGGAGCCGCGCGAUUCCCACCGUUCUCCAUGGAUCUCCUCUUCUCCCUCUUCCUCUUCCUCUUGCCCUGGAUCGGAGAGUUGAGGAACUAGGGUUAGGGCAUAGAAAGGGGGUGAGGACGAAGACGAGGGUGGGGUGGAUUCAAUUCAAUAAUUAUGAAUUAACCACUCUCGCACUUUCGUUCCCUCUCCCUCUCCCUCUCCCUCUCCCUCGCUCCCCCUCUCUCGCUUUAUUAGUUCCCGUUUGAUAUAGAUGCGACACGUGGCUUGCUUCUACUGGACGGCUGUUUGUAUUUUCCAGGAAUAUAUAUGAAUGGACCGGAAGUGAAUAUAAAGGGACCAGCAUCUAUUAUUUACACCUUAUGGGACAUUUUUUUUGCUUGCACCGGGUCCACUGUGGACCAGUCUCGUAAACUCCAUCAUAAAAGUCUUUAAUUCUCCAGGAAUUUAGAACACGUUUGUUUCGGCUAAAAAUAGAAAGUUGUGAAGUUAAUUUUGGCUAUAAAUAUUAUUUAUUUAUUUUAUAAUAAAUAGGGUCAGAGAGUAACUCAAUUUUUUCCGAACAUCAUAAUUGCCUUUGAUGUAGCCGAUGAUUCGAAAUAAUAGGUAUACUCUCUUGCCUAGUAAUUUGAAAAAUAUCAUAUCACUUUAGUAUCUAUAUUUAUUUUUGUCUCUACAAAAAGACCAGUCGUAAAGAUUAAGAAGGUUAAGAGUGCAAGUUAGGACUAGAAUAUUUUCUAGAAUAGAUGACCUCUGGAAAUCGGGGAGUUAUAAAAAAUUCAUUCCUUGCUCAUCUUAUAUGACAAUAAAUUUCACCAAAUUUUUACUCAGAUGAUACUUUAUAAAUUUAGUAGUCUAAGUUAUAGAUAGUGAAAAAAUUGUCGCUUAAUGAAUAAUAUAUGGUUGAAAUAUAUGAUGGGAUAGAAAAUCAACAAAUGCAAUCGAGAUCGUCUGCUUCACUAUGCCAGCAUGGGUAAGCUCGGGAUGGAAUACCCGGUGGAUGUUAUCCCGUUCCUGGUAAAGUAGAUAUACCUUGGGCGACGCGUGGCGCAAUCGCUGCCGUCCAAACGAUCGGGGGCGGAUGAGGUGUGAGCAUAGUCGUCGCCGACGCCCACGUUGAUCCCACUAGUAUAUGCUGAAGUCGGCAUCGAGAUCGUCUCCUUCACUAUGCCAGCGUUUCCUGCCUCUUCGGAUUCUUCUUCUUUUGGCCUCUAUCUUCAUUAUUAGAUUAGAUGUGUGUUCUAACAGGACAAGCAAUUUCUGAAAAGGAUUUCGUGUGGUGCUUGCUUUCUCUCUCUUAAUUUCUCUCUCUUUUUAUUUGUAAUGGCUACUUGUUAAGGUCAAUUAUUAUAAGAAAAAACAUAAAUUUGUCCACAAACUUUUGUGGUUUAUGUUGUUUUUAUUUUCCAUUCCAUUAUGUGAUUUAAACACUUUUACUUUGCUGCCUAUAUUUUUCUCUUUGUAUUAAUGUAAGUACUAGCAAAAUACCCGCGCCACGCUGCAGAUAUAAACAUAUAUUUAUAAUAAAUUUUAAUUUUUAAUAUUUUUAUAUAAUUUUAUAAGUCUAUUUAUUAAUUAAAUAAAAGUUAUAUAAAAAUAAUUUAAUAGUUAAAUAUAUUUAAAUAAAAGUUAUUAAAAUUGGUAUAUGCGCAAAGUAAAUUUAUACAACAAUUUAUUUUAUAAAGAUUUAUAUGAAAAGGAUUUGAGAUAAAUCUAUCAAAAUAAUUUUUUAAAAAAAUCAAUAAAUAGAAGGAAAAUAAAAUUAUAAAAGAUAUUGUUUAAUAAAAUUAAUAAUAAAAAGAUAAAAAUGAAACCACGUAGCACCAAAUUGAUACACUUUAAACCACAGAGCACUCGAGUGAGAAAGUGCAAAACCAAACCACAAGGGGAUUUUUUAAGUUUUUCCGAAACUUUGUAAACCAUAAAAUAGUAAAGUUAUAUAUUUCACAAAUCACAAAAUGGUAAUUAAUUUACAUAGCCAUCCCGUGAUUUGUCAAAUGCAUCGGUUUACUAUUCUGUGGGCCGGUUAUAAAUUAGUAUCCCAUUUCAUGAAAGUUCACUGACCAGUGUAGUUUACGCUAGUUAGUUUUAGUAAAUUUUAAUCAGUAAAUACAAAGAUCCAUUUGGUUAGAUAUAAUUAUAAAUAAAUAAAACACAAUUAAAAAUAUAUUAAAUUAAAAAUACAGAAAUUAAAAUUGCACUCUGAUUUUGUACAAAUGAAAUUGUUGCAACUAUAUUUCUUCUGAUUAGUACGUAGCUUGAAGAUGUCUUUAUUAUUUUUCUUAAAAUGGGUGAUCUUUUUUUCCUUUUUUGCUAUCGGCCUAUUUCAGUGUAGUUUCAAUUGCAAUUGUUGAAACUUUCGUAUAAUUCUAAUCAUAAGCUGAAACUUCUCACACAGGUCUAAUUAUAACAAUUGGACCCAAAUAUAAGGAUCCAAACAUUUUGCUUGAAUUGCCAUGCAAUUAAAAUAUAGUACAAUAGUAAAUAUGUGCAACCAAAUAGUCCUCUAAGUAUUUCUAGCUUAAUAAAAAUCGUUAUUGAAACUCUUGAAGCUCUAAUUUAAUACUUCUUUGUAUGCUAGCUGUAGAAAUUUUAAUAAUGAGUAAUACUAUUAUACUUUUAUAAGUACUAAGUCCUACAUGAUCAUAAUUAAAUUAUUUUUUAUGACAGAGUUUUCAAAUUGACGAUCCGAAUCAUUAAAUACAAUUUAGAGCAUGUCAAAUCCAAACAAUCGAAUUUUAUAAUUUUUUUAACAUUAUAUAUCUUUUGAUAAAAAAAAAAAAAAUAAAAUUGAUAAUUUUAACGACUAGUAUUAAGCAGUUCCUAGUUAACGUAUAAAAGAAUUAUAAGUCUAUUGACUGUCUAAAGUCAAGUAGAUAAUUCGGACCUUGAAUUGAGUAAUCUAAUCCUUUAUUUUUAGAAAGUCAUUUAAUUUUGACCUUUUUAUAUCUGCUUGAUAAGUUUUUAUUAUAACUUUGAAAAAUUUGCAAAAUCCAGUUUAUAAAUUCUUUCAGUUGUUUUAAAUCGUAUUUAACAAUAUGGAUCAUAGAUUUAAAAUUUUAUCAUCUGGAACAACUUUAUGAAUACGAAGUCGGUCGAUCGUAUUCAUAAUAGUAUAAUAUCUGAGCUCUUUUAAUAAUAUAACAUUUUACAGAGAAGCACCAUUUAGAAUAAUUUUUUUUAAUCUAAUAGUACUACUAUAAAGAGUCCAACAAGGCAAAGCCAAAGCCAAAAAAGAGGCUUUUACUUCGUCAUUAUCGUUCAUACGAAGGAAUAUACGAAUGAGGUUGAUUCCAACUACUUUCCAGGCGAAAUAGCUCCAAAUCACUCGUCGAAAUUCGCCGAAUCUUACUAUGAUAUACUUGUCACAUGCACGAAUAGUAUCAACAAUCAAACUAUACCAAGUAUUAUUAUAAUGGAUAUUCUAAACCGAUUCACAUGGCAUUGUUUUAUUAUGUUUAUCUGUUAGAGACUGUUUGGUUGCAUACAUUUUUAAUUGCACUGUAGUUGUAAAUUUAUAUAUUUAUUAAAUUUUUAUUUGGUUUAGUGUAGUUAGGUCCAACUGUUGUAGUUGAAUCUGCACGAAAAUACCCAACUGCAGCUGUUGGGCCGGAGACGGCUCAUCCAUUAAAAAAAAUAAAUAAAGUGUGAUUUUUUUUUCAUACGUUUUUCUUUUCUUUUUCCUUUACAAGAAUACCUAUUCAUGAAACCUUCUACGAUUAAAUAUUGUCUGUUAGAAUCAAUAAAAUUUUUUCAUACGCUUAUUUUUUUUCCAGUAUGCUAGUUUAAUAAUCUCUUAAUUUUUGUUGACCAAAUCUAUAAUAUAUGUGCAUUUAAAAUUCAUUAAAUUCAUACAUAAUUUUAUAAUAUAUAAAUUAUAUAUAGAUAUAAAAGUCUUAAUUAAAGCUAUAAGUUUCUCUUUUUUCUCUAGCAAAUAAUUUUUUUCUAUUAAUAUUUUUAUAUCAUUCUACAUCUUUUCGUUCUAAGUAAAUAUUAUGAAAUUAUCUCAAUAUUAUCUACUAAUAUUUGGUUAUUAUAUUAAUAUUUUAUUAAUUACAACAAAUAAUCAAAUUUGAUCAAUUUAAUAUCAAAUAUAUAUUUAAAUUUUAAUCUUAUAAAAUUUAAAUUUUUAUUUCAUCUUAAAUUUAGAAUUGAAAUUUAAUUAUAUGAUUUCAAUUUACAUUUAUGAAAUUUAAAUUAAAAUUAAAAUUUAAUUUUAAAUAAUAAUUAAAUUUAAUUUUGGAUAUCAAAUUUGAAUUUACAGUCACAAAUUUUAAGUAAAUUAGAUCAAAUUUAAAUUUAAAUUUGAAUUAAAUGUGAAUUAAAUUUUUAUACUUUAGUUUAAAACGCGUACUUAAAUUUUAAAUUCAUAAAAAUUUGAAAAAUAUGUAAAAAUAUUGGCCUUUUUGCAUAAAAAAUCCACUUAUUUUGGGCUUUUGCAAAAUCGGGUCACUUUUUUCGUUUUUGCAGAUUCGGUCCGUUUUUUUAGUAAACUGACCAAAAUACUCUUAGGGCCCGUUUGGUUCGAGUUAUGUAAUAUUACAAAGUAUCUCGACAUAUCUAGGUAUUUUGGAUUUCGGCGUGAGAUUACUACUGAUGCUGCAUUAGCGUGUUUGGUUUAAUGCAGUAAUAUAAUACUAGAUUACAGUGUUUAUAGCAUUAAUACGUUUGGUUCAGUUUAUAAAAUUUAGUAAUCCUGACAUAAGAGUAUAGUUUUUUCCAAAAUUGCCUUUGUUGUGGUCAUUUGAAUAUUAGUUUUUACGGAAAUGACGAAUGGAGGGAAGGAGAUCGUGAUGCAUGAUUACCUGGAAGGACGACGCAAUAGAAGAUGAUAGGUGUUCGUGCGCGCGAGAGAGAGAGAGAGAGAGAGAGAGAGAGAAAGUGGCAUGAGAGAGAGAGAGGGAGGAAGGCGAGAGAGAGAUGAAAAUAAUAUUGUUAAUUAGAUUUGGGGUUGUUGGAGGGUAAAAUUGUCAUUUUACAUAAUAUAUAGUAUUAACGGGUUUCAGUAAUGCAAGAUACAUGACCCCCCCUCCUGUUAAUAUUUUCGAUGUAAUCCUGCUCGAUUUGUAAUGCUACAUUAACGAUUAGAUUACAUAGCCGAUUAACCAAACACAGUUAUCCUGAUAGAAUUGCCUGUAAUCCUGCCAGGAUAACUCGAACCAAACGCACCCUUAUUACUUUUUCUCUUUCCUCUUUCUCUCUCCUCUUUGUUUCUUCCGUUAUUUUUUUUUUUUUCGUUCUUUUGCGCAAGCCGAACCCCCUCCUCCUCUCCCCGGCCGCCGCCGCCGAGCCCACCCCACCGUCGUCUCGCCUCCUCUUUCUCUCUCCUCUUUCUCUCUCCUCCUCAACCCCUCCUUACCUUCCGUCGCUCCGCCCUCCAAGCCCGCUGCGAAGCUUGCGUCCUCCUCCUCCGCCUCCAACAAGCCGAACACCGUCGCCGGCGUUCGUCACCGAAGUUGCAGGGGCGGAGCAAGCUCCUCGUCAAGCUCAAGGUCGAGGAGUCCCCGAUCGUCUCCCUCUUCACGCGAAGCUCCGCUGCCGAGCCCCUCCUGCUCUCCCCCGCCGCCGCCGCCGCCGCCGAGCCCACCCCCACCAUCGUCUCCGUCGCCGUCGCCGAGCCCACAUCCCGCCCCUUGCCGACCACCUCGUCACUCCCCUUGCUGAGCCCUCGUCACCCCCACCGUCGUCUCCGUCGCCGUCACCGUCGUCUCCGUUGCCGUCGCCAAGCCCACGCCCCAUUAAUGGUGUAAUGGUGCACCAUUAAUGGUGUAAUGGUGAAAUGGUGCACCAUUAGUGUAAUAGUGCAAUUAAUGGUGCAAUGGUGCAAUGGUGCACCAUUAGUGUAAUGGUGCACCACUGCACCAUUACACCAUUAAUGGUGCACCAUUGCACCAUUAAUGGUGUAAUGGUGCAAUGGUGCACCAUUACACUAAUGGUGCACCAUUACACCAUUACACCAUGAAAUUAUACCAUUAAUGGUGUAAUGGUGCACCAUUACACUAUGAAGAAGAAGAAGAAGAAGCAGCCGCAGCGCGCCCGCGUGCCCGCCCGCCGCCGCUGCGUGCACCGGCCCCGCCGCCGACCCUGCCCCGCACCGUGGCUGCGCGCCCCGCGCCAGGAGCAUCCCGCGAUCAGCGCCUCCCCCGCCGUCGCCGACGCCUUAAGCGGCAUCGUUGGCCCGCAGCCCGGGGGCUCGACGUCGGCGCCGAACUCCAGCAGCAGCUGGACGAGGUCCGGCCGGCCUUGCGCGAUGGCCGAGUGCAGCAGGCCGACGCCGGACGCGUUGACGGCGUCGACCGGGCGCCAAUUCGGGUCGCUCCGCUCCAGCCGCCGGCGACGAACUCCGGAGCCUCUUCCUCCGCCGCGCCGCCGACAGCGACGACGACCGCGGCGGCGGACGAGGGGCUCGGCGACGGAGACGACGGUGACGGCGGCCAUGGGGCCGCCGCCGCCAUGGCCGUGGGCUCGGCGACGGCGACGGAGACGACGGUGGGGGUGACGAGGGCUCAGCAAGGGGAGUGACGAGGCGNGGCGGGGGAGAGGAGGAGGGGUCGCGGGCGGUGGAGAGGAGGGUGAGGAGGGAGGCAACGGUGAAGAAGGAGGGUGAGGAGGGAGGCGACGGUCCGAUCCGCCUCUUUUUUUCGGCGAGAAAAAAAAAAAACGACAGAAACGAAGAGGAGAGAGAAAGAGGAAAGAGAAAAGGUAAUAAGGGUAUUUUGGUCAGUUUGCUGAAAAAGCGGACCGAAUCUGCAAAAACGAAAAAGGUGGCCCGAUUUUGCAAAAGUCCAAAAUAAGUGAAUUUUUUAUGCAAAUUGGCCAAAAAUAUUUAAUGUAUAUAAAAAGAAAAAAAUAACAUAAUAUAUGAUAUUGUAGAUAUUUUCUAAUAAAAUAGGACAAUUUGCAUAAAAAAUCCACAAAUUUUGGGCUUUUGCAAAACUGGGUCGUCUUUUUCGAUUUUACAGAUUCAGUCCGCAUUUUCAAGUUUUUGACCAAACUGCCCCUCACCUACAUCCGCCCCAAUCGUAUGCGCUUUCUUACUCGUAUACGUAUUGUAAGGUAUUGACUCCCCAGAGUAUUGUACCAAUCUUGGUCGAAAUGACCAAUGUAUGGUGAAGGGAACGAUUGGACAUAAUUCACAUCUUGUCCUGAAGGCUUCGGAGCCGUUGGAAGUAACCCCUGACAGUGUUUGAGUGUUUUCAGCAUUAUCCGGCGCGAAAACAGACUCAAACAAUAUUAAAGCUGCAAAACUUGUGUUGAGUACCAGUACUAGAACCUAGUACCGGAACCCAAUACAAGUGCAAAAAAUUCAGCUCUCGGGUUCUGCGGAAUUGGGCCUGGGGUACCGGUACUGGAAGGUCGUGUAUCGAUAUUGGAGGUCACGUACCGGCACUUAAUAGAUGAUCCGAAAAUCCAACAUUCGGGUUGAGGUACCGAGUUGCGUGUACCGGUACUAGGGAGCUCGCAUACCGAUACGCCAAUUCGAGUACCGGUACUCAGCCUUAUAAAUUGCAGAAAUUGAACUGCUGCAAUAAUAAAUUGUUGGAGGGCUUGAAUGCAAUUGUGAGAACUUAUAAAUAUACCCCAACCCCUCCUCUCUUGUUCUCAUGCUGAGAACACAUCUCCUCUCCGUCUCUUGACUCACCCCUCUCCCUCUCUCUAUAAUCUCUCCAACAAGAGCCUUUUGGAGAAGAUUGAAGGUGGAUUGGAGUAUUUUGAAAAGAAGAAGCUCUAGAAUAGGGUGAAGCUUGGAGUGUUUGAAAGGCUAAGGUAAGGUUUUGAAAAGUUUAAGUUAGGGUUUGGUUUUAUUGCCUUAGAAAUUGUAUUUUUGGGAUUCUUGUAACAUUAAAACCUAGUGUAAUUCAUGAAUCCCUAUUGUCACGCCCCGAGACCCACCUAUUUGGUCGGAUUCGGGCACGCCGACAGACCACCGAACGGACAGAGUUUUUCCUGUACAUCCUAAGCAUCACAAUCCAUAUAAAGUGUGAGGUUCCAACUAGGAACAAUAAUCAAGCAAGGAUUGUAUAAGAAAGUACCAAAAACAUAAAUACAACUAUGCUAUUACAAGGAUUCGUCUCAGGUUUUUUUUUUUUUUUUUUUUUUUUUUUUUUUUUUUUUUUUACAUAUUACAUUUUCUUUCACAUUUAAUUUUCAAAUACAAUCGACUAUUACAAGAUUAUUACAAGUCUGUUUCUUUCAUUUCUACAUUCCUAGCUAGGCUGACUCGGGGUACCGCUAUCUCUUGUCUCAGUGGUAGGGCGCUAUCUACGGAGCUACGCCCUUUCCUCGCGCCGCCGCGCCGCUCGCGUGUGAACCUGUAAUCCCCAAAACAACGUCGGGUGAGAAUUAUUGUCCAUAAUUUCCAGUGGGUACGACCACCCAAGGGAAGAGCUCGACCCACCAGGUCCGAAGGAGGCACUGCAACAUGUUAGUCCACAAAUAUCCACAAAUAUAUAUUCUUCAUAUAUUAAGUUAUGCAACUAACAUUUAUCAUGUUCAUGCCUCAAAACAUGCAACCAUGCAAUCAUGCAAUGAAGUAAGUAAAUCUACUAAUUCUACUUUCUAUUUCGCUAUCCACAGCUCAUCCAAUUGACUUCUAAGUUUUCCUCUAUAUUAGAUUCAUAUCAAUUACAAUUCUGCUCAUAAGGUUUCAUCUACCUUUACCGUUUGCUCAUAAGGUUUCAUCUACCUUUACCGUUUGCUCACAACGUUUCAUCUACCUUUACAAAGCUAUCCACCCGACUCGGUCUUGAGUCAAUCAUCCGCAGAAUACCGCGCAAAGCCAGACUCGAGGUGAAGGACGGCUCAUAUGCACCUCAGCCUUAAAUCCACUUAACUGGGAUACAACUACAGCUCAUAUGCUUGUCACCGAAUCAACUGGCUAACCUGAAGGUUUCGCCCCGACUCACAUCUCUUAUCUCAUAGGUGAGGAGCUACCCCGCUUUUAUCCCACCCGAGACCGCCUGCAGGACAACUAUAUCUGCCCCUCGUGUGACAACUUCGGAGUGCACUACUUGCGUCGAGCGACCACCCGAAGCUCAAAACAGACUAUGUGAGUAUGAUCCAAUCCUCGCCAACUGAGGAUACCCUGUCAACUAGGGUUAACAAUCACUCGGGAACUCAACUAUCCCUAUGUUCAAAUGCCAUAGUGUUCUACUACACUAAAUUUCAAAUGCCACUCGAUCUACUUGACAUCCUAAUUGUCCAAAUCGAGUAUCAUAGAUCACACAUUCUUGUUUUCCAAUGUCGAGUUCUCUAAUCAACCUAGAGUUUAUCGACCCAAGUUAGACAUGCACAAAUAUCAACUAGCAUCCCAUGAUAUGUCAACAUGCAUAUAUUUUCAUCUAGCAUCUCAUGAUAUGUCAACAUGCAUAUAUUUCAUAUAGCAUCUCAUGAUAUGUCAAUAUGCAUAUAUAUCAUCUAGCAUAAUCCCGAAACAUGUCAACAUACAUCUCAUCUAGCAUUUCUAUAAUAUGCCAACAUGCAUAUAUUUUUGUCAUCCAAUGAUAGUCAAGCAUCUCAUGCAUUCAUAUAGCCUCACUUUCAUGCAUUCAUCUAGCAUUUAAUUCAUACAUUCAUCUAGCAAUUAACUACCAUUAUAUGCAUAAAUAAGAAACAACACUUCACUUCGACAUGGAAGUAAGCUAAUAUCUUCGAUGAGCACAACCCACCUAGUAACGCUCUCCGAUUGCUUGUCGACACUUGCAAUCGGCCUCCGGCGACACUCGUUGUCCGGGUCUUCAAGGGCCCUUUUCUAACCUCUAAUUAGAGAAUAAAAGGGUUUAAUUAGAUCAAAACCCACUAUUUGCCGAAAACCCCACUUCCAGCCCUAGCUUCUCAUUUCUCCCAAAUAACCCAAGUAUUCAUAGAGAAAACAUGCUAGAAACAUUCUAAAGGCUACUAGAACACUAAGCAUUAAGGAUUAAACCAAAUCUCAAAAGCUUACCAAAAUGCGAACGCCGAGUCAGAAGCACCCCGCUCCAACGGGCGCACGAGGACUCGAUCCGACGUUCCCAACGCGUUCCCAAGCCUUUUCUCCACCAAAUACCAAAGUUUGGGAGAGAGAUCUAGAGUGAGGAAGGAGAAAUCUAGAGAGAGGGAGAUGUGUUUCUCUCUCUACCUUAGUAUAUGUGUGGGUGGUGGGUUGAGGGAAGAAGACGAAGGGGACCAAACCCCUUUAUAAAAGCAACCCACCCCAUUUUACCAAUAUGCCCCUGUUGUUUCUGGGCAUUUUCGGGCUUUAGUGUCCAGACCUUGAAGCCACGGUCCAGACCCCGUAGGUCCAGAAAAACUGCACUUUUAAGGACUUAGCCAAAUUUUCAGCAAUUUCAGCCUUUGGUCCGUUUUCGCUCGUUUUCGCUCCUGGGGCCUCUGAUUCAUUUCUAAUCGUAUCGAGACUCCCAAAACAUAUUUUCGAGCGCGUUUAAACCAUCUUUUCAUCCACGCCUUGCCGGAUUUCGGCCAAGGUCCAAUCGUAACUUUUCAGGUUCUGUUUUCGAGCCCGAUGCGUACCGAAAACACCCGAAUGCUCCCGAACUUUACCGGAACCAUUCAAAUGGCUUUCCAAACUAAUAUACCCCGUAAUUUCAUAACUUUCAAAGUUCGGUAUGUUAUACCUAUGGUGUUGAGUAAAUGACCAUUGUAUGAAACCCUAGGGUUACUGUCAUGCCCUGAGACCUUCAAUUUGGUCGGUUCGAGUUCGUACACAGACGCUGAACGAACAGUUGUUCGCCCAAGGCUCAACAACAACUAUCAAAAACAGUUGUUCGCCCAAGGCUCAACAACAACUAUCAAACAUGUAUAAGGAAAUGCCCAGGAGAAAUUUCAAUAUACAUGGCUUGCACGAAGGUAAGCAACACAAGCAAGUGAAAGUAAACUAACUAAACCAUUCAUACAUUGUAUCUUGAUUAUUUUAAAUUAAAUACAAAGCUUGCAUAAUUAUUACAUUCAUUCUUUCAAUAUAUACAUUAGCCAUCUUUUAAAUGAAUAAUUUACAUUUGCUUUCACUAACUAUAAAUAGAUGAAAUGUAUAAGGUACAACUAUACUCAAUGGAUGUCUGCUAUCUAUGGAGCGCUGUCCAAGUCAUGAUCCUCAACCACCCCGCACGAGCUAGAACCUGCAUGGUUAGUGGGGUGAGAACUAUUGAAAGUUUCCAGUGGGUUCGGCUGCUGACCUCGCCGACUCACCAACUAGGUUUACUCAGGCAUAUGUAGGCAAAAAAAGAGAGCAGAUAGUAACCAACUAUAUCAUACAACUACUACAAUCCCUGUACAAAGAUGGAAAGAACAAUAUAUAACUCAUGGAGUUUAUGCAUGCAUGCUAUCAUAUAUCAUUACCCAAUUAAUCUAGUUAACCCCUUGGUUAACCACAACUCACCAACCAAAUCCCUUUUUAUUGGGGAGACUUUCACAUUCACCCGACGGGACCGUCUACUGGAGAGAAUUCAGCUUACUAACCUAGUUGAUGACCACUCGGAGCUCAUCGCCUAAGUAGGAGCGACCUUUACCUCGAGCAUUAAACUAAUGUGAGUAUGAUCCAAUCCUCACUUAGAGGAUACACUGACAAUGUCACACUUUAACUAGCUCUUUAUGCUAGGUUUACAUGUCCAAUUCUAGAUGCUAAUCAAUUCAUCUAGUUCUAAUGCCACAUAUUUUACAAGUUCAUUGUUCUUGUUUGACAUUCACAAUACUGGGUGCUAUUCAUACAAUCAAUUCACAAUGUCAUUUUAUCAACUAUUUCAUAGUCCAACACAAUUUCAUACAUCUAUAGGGUUCUAUAUUUACUAAUCAAUGUCCACAUGCAUUUUGCUUCCAAAGCAUACAACUAGAGCACAUAUUAUAUUUAACCAUAAGACAAUCCCAACCCUAUCAUGUAUGAAUAUCAACUAAACAUGUAUAAUCUAUGUAUGCUCAAGAAAAGUGACAUAAAUAUAAUGGAUCAUUUGAUAAUUUCGGAAAGCACCACCCACCUUUAAAUGAUGUCGAGAUGCGAGAAAACCACUUCCCGCGAUUUCUGAACAAUAACGACCCUCGCUCGCGACAAACGAGGCUAAAAUGAGGUUUUUCCUCACUAGCUUGCCGUAUGCUCAUCAAAACACCGAUCUGAGCUUUCCAACGCGUCAGUUUUAUUCUCAAUUAGGAUUCUACGUGAUCAAUUUCGAACUAAGCCUCCAAUCCUACAAAGUAGCAUUUUCGAGUUAGAGCUAUAUACAACCCGCUACUAUACAAACGUCACAAAAGUACAUAAAGUAAUACAACCCUAACAAGCCCAAGAACCUCAAAACUAAAUAAUUUAGAGGGUUUACUUCAUUCCCUAACAAAAAUCUGCAUGUUGGUACAUCAUGAUUUCUAGCUGCCUAGAUUACACAUAUACUACAGGCAGCUUUUCUAGAUUUUUUACGGCAAAAACAACUUUUAGUAUUCAAGAAUUCUAUUACUCAACCUCUUUGUAGAGUAAUUACCUUGAGCUUUAACCAGGAAAUAGCAAACUUCACUUUAGGUUUAAUACUUCACCAGCUGGUUACUUCCUAGCUUAUAAACUCCCUCACAUCAAAACAUAUAAAGUAAUCCAAAUCCAACCCUCAAUACUCCAAAGACCUCAAAACCAAGUAGUGUUAACCUAGUAGGGAGCAUAACAAACCUUACCUUGAAUUUUACUCUCUACUAGGUUAUCUUGCUCUCGAACUUCUUGUGAUAUACCGAAACUUCGGUAAAUAAAUAUCGAAUUUUAGUCAAGUUGACCAAAGUGCGAGGUUGGUACGCUUCGGAAAGGCCAAAGACGUUAAAAAGGAUAAAAGUGCAUUGUUCUGGGUUUUCGAGAGCCAAAGAAUCAAAAAUCUGCUUACUGCAGCUUUUGAGCUCUCGGGGAUUGGUCCCUGAUGGGAGAGACCGGUCCUUGAAUGUGAAAAAUCUCAGAGAUGAAAAGUCGGCUAAGUCCCAGAAAAUCAGCUCUUGGGAACCGGUCCCUGCGGGGAGAGACCGGUCCCCGAGAGACCGGUCCCAUUGGGAGAGACCGGUUGCAUAAGGCGAGAGCCCUGCUGAGCUGCGGGAGAGCUCUCUGGGACCGGUCCCAUGCUCGAGAGACCGGUCUCCGAGCCCGAAAACUGCCCAGUCUGGGUAGUGUGACAGGAUUAAAGUUGAGGGGCUUAUUUGCAUUUAUGCACUAAAUGAGCUAUGUAUGAGGGGGGUAUGAGAUAUUAUUUCUCUCAUUUCUCACCCUCUCACACACUCUCUUCUCUUUUUCUCUCUCUAGAAGGCAAGGAGAAGAAAGAAAGGAAAAGAAGAAAAACAGAACGAAGGUGAAGAAGAAGAAGAAGGAGUGAAGAAACUCCCUCCUCUCCUUCCCUAGCUGGAGAAGUGAAGCUUUUAGAGGUAAGCUUCAACCUCUUUCAUGGUAGAACCCUAAGUAGGGUUUUGAUAGGGCUAAAAAUGGUUUUAGUAGAAUCUUUUGAGUAUUUGAAGCUUUCUUUUGCUUCCUAAUGAGAUCAAAUCCUAAGGUUUUGAUAUAUGUGGAGCUAGGGCACCCAAAUUGGGGCUUUUGCUUGCGAGGGUUCUAAAGUUAAAUUGACCCUCUAGAAAUCUAAUUGGGGGUGUUUCCGACACGUUAGUGCGCUCGGAUUAACGUUACGAAAAGACUAUGCGAAGUUAUGAGCGAAAAGCCUAAUUUGGCUUCGUUUUGCCGUAGGUGAAGAACUUGGCGGCCGAAAAUCGUAAAAUUUGAACCUGAGCACCUUAAUAAGCCUACGAGGUGGGUGGUGCUUUUCAAACUUGUUGAAAUUUCUUUUAUGUCUAAUGUGUCACUUUCUUGAGCAUGUGAGCAAAUGUUUGUGCAUGCAUUGUGGGGUAAAUGAGAUGAUAGUAAUGUGAAGUGCAUGUUGUGAGUACAAUUUGCAUAAUGAGAUGGUUGAGAACCAAUAAGAAUGUAAUAACCCUAUAUGUGCAUGUAAAGAGACAAGAAUUGAGAAUAGUUAAAGAACAAGUGACAUGUGACAUGAGGACAAUGUAAUGUUAAGAACAAAAGCUAGAGUUAGCAUCAAAUAUGUGGCAUAUAAGAACGAAAGCUAAAGUUAGCAUCAAAUGUGUGGCAUAUAAGAACAAAAGCUAGAGUUAGCAUCAAAUGUGUGGCAUCAAAGAACAAAAGCUAAAGUUAGCAACAAUUGUGGCCUAAAGAACACUAGAGUUAGUGUAAUGACAUGAUCGAGAACAAAGAAUGCAAAGAACUUGAGAUUGAGACACAAUGACAUACAACCUUAGAGUUAAGGGUCAUUUGUGCAUAAUUUUCUUAGAGUUAAGGAACGGAUUGAACUGAACAUCCUUUGAGUUAAGGAUUUGAUCAUACUUGCUAUAAGUCCUUGUUCGAGGGUGGUCGCUCCCCAUCGGGCGAUGCGCUCCGGAGUUUGUCAUCACUGGGUUGGUGCUGUUCCCCAGAGGACGGUCCUAACGGGAGGAAGCUAAGGGCCCGUUUAAUGGGAUUUUGAGUGUGCGAGUUAAUGAGGCGAAACCCUCGCGUUAGCCGUGAGAUUGAACGAAAGAGAUUGAACGAAAGAUCAAAGAACUUGCAUUCUACAUGAGUUUUUUAUUGAGCAUCUUUAUUGAUAGCAUUGUUCAGGCAUAUUAGCUGCAUAUAUAUAGUUGGUUACUUAUCUUAUUCUUUCUAUUAUGCCUGAGUUAGGCCUAGUAGAAAAGUCGGUAAGAUUGGGGCUGAACCCACUGAAAACUUAGUUGUAGUUCUCACCCCACUAUUUUCACAGAGCCGGGACCGAGUGAGCCGGCGAGCAACCGCGGUAAAGGUAUCGUGCCGUAGACAGCGACUACCAAAGUUGGGCUUUACAUUUUGUUAGUAGCAUACCUUAUAUCAUCUUUUGUAUUCGAUGAUUAGAGAUGUUAAAAAAAAGAAUAUAAACCUUCUAUUUUGAGAAGACAAUGUGGUGUAAAAAGAAAUGAUGAAAAGUAUGUAUAUGUAAAAGAAUCAUGAAUGUAAAGGUUGAAUGCAAUGUAUGUGAUAAAAAAUGUAUCAUAGUACUUGUGUAGAUGUUUAGCUUCCAUUCUUUCACUCUUGGCUAUUGCUUACCCUCGUGUAAGCCAUUGUGUAUGUUUCUGCUUGUACAUUCUCUUUGCUUGAAUUGUACAUGUGUUGAGCCUUGGGCGGAUAGGGAAAACUCUGUCCGUUCGACGUCUGUUCGACAUGCUGGGGCCGGCCAAAGGGAUCGGUCCCGGGGCAUGACACUUCUGUUUGCUUAAAUGGGCCAGCAUCCUGCCUUGUGGCGGGAGGCCAUGUGGGCCGAGUCAUGAUCGAAAUGGCGUGAGGCUGGGUUCAGCCGAGUCAUGUUCGAAGUGGCAUGAGGCCAGGUGGGUCGAGUCACAAUUGAGAUCUGUGGGUGCUGUUUCUGUACGCUUUAAGUGAAUUGGUUCCGUAUUUCUAACAGCUCGAGCUUUUGGGAUUAAUGGUUAGCGCCAACGAUCCGACAAGUGGUAUCAGAGCUAGAGUUUACGGGUUCGAUUCCCGCAUGCUGCAAAUGUGUGCAGGUGCUGGAGGGGGGAUUGUUGGCUUAAAUGGGCCAGCAUCUUGCCCUGUGGCGGGAGGCCAUGUGGGCCGAGUCAUGUUCGAAAUGGCGUGAGGCUGGGUUGGGCCGAGUCAUGUUCGAAGUGGCGUGAGGCCAGGUGGGCCGAGUCACAAUCGAGAUUCGUGGGUGCUGUUUCUGUACGCUUUAAGUGAAUUGGUUGCGUAUUUCUAACAGCUCGAGCUUUUGGGAUUAAUGGUUAGCGCCAACGAUCCAACAACUUCUUCUCCACCAUAACAACCUUGUUCUUGCAGUUCCUCACAGCCAAGAACAUCAAUUCCCCCAAAAUCCUCUUCGUAUGGUUCUAGAGAGAGAGAGAGAGUGAAAGAGAUAGAAGAGAAGGAGAUGAGAGGGAGAAGAGAGGUGGUUCACUGCCUGAGAACCACGUAAGACCUGGGGUUUAAAGAUAAGGCUGAAAACAAUUGCACAUAAACCCUUCACACCAGCUGAAAUUGUUGUUUGCAAAUUAGUCCUCGGGUCUGGUUACCGGUACUCCCCUGCACUGGUACCGGUACCCAGUGCAAUUCCUGCACUGCUUGCAGCAGCACCAAUCCGGGGUCCAUUCGCGCGUCCACUUUACACCGAACACCACCAAACAUCUCCGAAAUCUGCCUUUAACUAUCCUCACGCUUCCACAAUGAUUCGGAAACACCACAAACUAUAUUCAUACUUCCAUUUGAUCCAUUCCAUCAAAACUAACCUUGUAAUCCGGAGAUUUUCUUUCAAAUUCGUUUUGCGCCCAAUUUGCGCCAAAACACUCAAUUACCUCCAGAAAUCAUUCCCAUACCUCCAGAAUCACUCGGGAAAGAUGCAUAUCCAGUUCAAACUUUACUUUGAUUCUCCAGCUUAAAGUUAGCAUUGUAAUCCGAAAAUUUUCAGUAUUUUACAGUUACAAUUAGGAUUUUUGUGGUUAGAGGAUUUGUAAUGAAAUUGACCCCUUAAUUCCUUAAUUGAAUGAUAAAUCGACGCGUUGGGUAACUCAAAUAGGAGUUCCUUCGAGCCUACGACGUUUCGUUGGAAAAAAAUACCGAUUUGCCUUUGUUAUCCUUGGGUAGAGCUAAAACAGUGACGAUAAAUUGCGAGGCUUGGUUUCUCGCCCCUUAACAUCGAUACGAGGUGGGUGGUGCUAUCUGAAAUAGUUAAAUUUCUUUCUAUGUCUAUAUUGCUAUUGUUAGUCAUAUUGUAUAUCUAUAGACCGCAUGCAUUGUAGAGUUAUUAUGUUUUGUGUAUUCAAUUCCUUACAUGCUCCUAUAGUUCAAUUAGAAAACAUGAGAUCGAAACACAGAUAUUGGACACAUGAGGAUUGGGUCUUGAACAUUGGAAACUCUAUAGUGCCAUGAGCUAAAUGUGAAUUUAGACAACAUAGUGAUAUGAACGGGUGACAUUUGGAUUAUUUGUGUUGACAUCACUCAUGACAUUAGAUGUUAGGGAUUGGUAGAUCCCCGAGUAUUGUUACCCUUAGUUGGUAGGGUAUCCUCAAGUUUAGAGGAUUACAUCGUACUCACAUAGCGUUUGUCGGCUUGUUGGUAUUCGCGACACCUCAAGCAGUUAGCUCUGCAGUAGUCACACCUGGGUUAAAGCUACCCAGCAGACAAUCCCCGAUGAGUUGUAGUGAGUGUCUCCUCAUUUGUGAGAUUUGGUUGUAAGUUGGGCUCAAACUUCGGGUUAGCUAGUAUGAUUGGGUUAUAAAAACAGAAAUGACCUGCAUUAUGAGCAUAGCAGCAUACUUACUCAUUGUAUCAUAUUGUUGAUACAUAGUAGCUUACUAGUUGUUUCUCGUUGCUUUCCUUUUUCUACUUAUGCCUACUUAGACCUAGUGGGAAAGUCGGCAGGAUCGACGGUCGAACCCACUGGGAACUUCUUUUAAUUCUCACCCCACUAUUUUGCAAAUCCCAGUACUAGCGAAGCGGUCGAGGAUUGCGGCAAGGCAUAAUGCCCUAGGGAGUGAACCUCGUGCAUUAGAGUACCUUAUAUAUAUAUAUAUAUAUAUAUAUAUAUAUAUAUAUAUAUAUGUGUGUGUGUGUGUGUGUGUGUGUGUGUGUGUGUGUGUGUGAGAGAGAUGUUUUGUAUUUUGGAGAGAAAGACAACAAACAAGUAUAUGUACUAUGAAUCAAAUGGUUGUAUUUUAGUGAGUUGUAUGUGAAUGUUCAAAUGAAUGGUUGUAAUAGCUAAGUUAAUCUUCUCUUUGCUCUUGUAUAUUUGCCCUCGUGCAAAUCAUGUAUAUUAAUUAUUUUUUCCUGGGCAAAAAUCGAUGUAUAUGAUGUUGUUGAGCCUUGGGCGGGCAAGGGAGAUUCUGUCCGUUCGGCGGUCAGUGUGCGUGCCCGAACCGACCAAAUUGGCAGUUGCGAGGGCGUGACAUGUAUAUUGUACUGCACGAUGCUUGCCAGGGCAUUAAAUGCGCCCUUGUCGAGUUACGCAUGUAGUGUCCCUGGGUUUUGGCGGUCGAAAUGACUAUAAUAUCAGCGACUAGUCAAUAUAUCUGUAUAGUGUCGGGACGAAUCAAAGUUGUUUUAGCACGAAAUGGAUGAGAAAAUAAACUUAGCACACUCAGUUAAGCCAAAACUGAAGUUCUGGCAGUUUAGGGCGCCUACAUCCUGUGUAACACACUGGGCCUUUGCAAAUUGCGAGGUUCGAGUGUUUGGAUGUAUUUCGAAGUUUUCCGCACUUGGUGGAGGGUUGUAGAAUGUUUUCCGACCUAAAAAGUUCGAAAACUGGAAUUCUGGAUAAGUCCUGAGAGUUUUUACUCUCGGGGAUCGGUCCCUGGGAGGAGAGACCGGUCCCCCAGUGAACAGUGUUGCGGCAGCCCUGAGGCAACGGGUCCCUGGCGGGCGAGACCGGUCCCCGUGCGCGCUUUCGCAGAGAGAGACCGGUCCCACACGGGGAGAGACCGGUUCCCGAACGUUGGUUUUUCGGGUUCGCAGCGAGAGACCGGUCCCUGCUGGGGACAGACCGGUCCCUCUGGGCGAAAAUUGCCCAGACCGGGCUGAUGCAAUAUUGAAUUUUUGAGGGGCCUCUUAGGAUUUUGUUGCAAUAGAGGGUCUAUAUGACCCCUCCACUCUCUCCUCUCCCCAUUUGUCUUCUCUCAACCCUCUCUACACCCUUGAUAGAGAAGAAGAAGAAGAAGGAGAAGGAGAGGAAGGAGAGAAGGAGAAGAAGUUUGGAGCUACUAGUGGACUUGGAGCAUCUUCCCCACCCUCUCAUCUUCCUUGGUGCUUGAAGGCUUGAACUUGGAGCUUCCAAGGGGGGAGAUCUUCUUCCUUGGAGCUUGGAUUGGAGCUUCUAAGGAGGUUUGUUGCUCUUUUCUUCCUCUAGACCUUGAUUUGAGGAUUUUUAGUAGAUGGAACCCUAGAAAUGAAAUUUAGGGUUGAUUUUGGGGCUUUUUGAUCUAGGGCUUUUGGGGCUAGAUUGAUUGGAUUAUAACCUUCCUUGGGCUUGGAUUGGAAGGGUUCUAGCUCUCUUUUGGAGCUUUGGAAGAGAUUUCUCCUCUUGAGGUGAAUUUUGGCCCUUUUUGCUUCUAGGUUAAUGUUUGAUCUCUUAGUUGGUCGUAAUGCUCUCGUAUCUCUUCGCUGAUCGCUUUUAGGGUAUUUUGAGGCUCGUGGACAACUCCGUUCGGCGAAUCGAAGGAGCACGCGACGGUUCGGUGGGUUUGACCUAGCCACACAAUGAGAAAUUCUCAUUUGUGCUUAAUUAAGUAUCGUUAAAUGAAAAAGCAUGCAUAUUCUUGUUAUAUGUAUUUAUUGUGAAUUUUAGAAUGCUUAAAAGGCCUAUGUUAUAUAUGAUGAAAUUUUGGACCUCUAUGUAGUAGAGAGUAGCUUGGUAGGCCUAUAGUUGCUCUUAGCAUUCUAUAUGAGACGUGGUUCCAUGCUCCUAUAGUGUAAAUAAGAUUGGAUUUAUGCAUUUAAACCUAAGUUUAUUUGAGACAUGAGAGUUUACAAAAUUGCCAUAUAGAGCUAUCGAACUAGAAUGUAUGUGAUUUGGAGAGCUAAUGUCAUCAAGCGGCAUUGAGCUCGGGACAUGUGUGAACCUAGUGGUUAGAGCCAUUGAGGGAUUGGGUAUAUGUUGAACAUUAGAUUGUCUAAGUGUCAUCAAGGGGCACUAGGCGUAAUGAAUGUUGGAACUUCAUCUUGUGACUUAGACUAGAUCUUCGGGAUGCUAGUUAUGAUACCAUGUUAGAGACAUGAGGAUUGGACACUUGAGACUUGGACUACGCUUGCUUGCCAUUUGUGCUCAUUCGCACAUGCUUGUGAGGGUCGCUCCCUACAAGCCGGCACUCCGGAGUUAGCCUACGCGACUUAUGUUCGCUCGUGCGGUAUUGAGAAGCCUACGGGGUCGAGUGGGACAGACACAUUCCAAGAGUAGGGAUGUUGGGCUACCACAGGCACUUAGGCGGCACAAGCUGGACUACCUUUGGUAGGUCCUUAAUUGGAAAUGGAAAUCGACACGGUGUUGAGAAUGGUUAAUCACUACUAGAUAGGUUUAGUAGUUGAAUUACAUUUAUAUGCUUUUAGCAUAGUGUUGAGACAUGUAGUAUACUUGAUAGUCUCCUUUUGCAUUAGAGCAUACUUGGUUGCCAUGACAGAACUUAUGCAUAAUGUAUUCAUAAAGGUUAAUGACUUACUAUUUUGAUAUCGUAGAUGUACAUCACCAUGACAUCGUUUAUACUUGAGUUUAGUAAUUUAGCAUUUUAAUUAUGCCUUUAUAUCGCAGUCAUUAUUGCUAUUAUUAUUGUACUUACCCUUUUCUUUUGGGGCCUAGUGGUGCAUAGAGCUGAGGUCAGUAAUUGCCCACUGGGAACUAUAAAUUAUAGUUCUCACGCCCUCUUUUUCUCGAUGUUUUUCAGAGCCUUCCACGCAGGGAGAGGCCAGGGAUCGCGGAAAGGGUAUCGCCUCGGGCUAGCGUGCUUACCGAGGGAUCGUUGGAUAGGUGGUCUACCUCUCGUGUUUUCUUUUUGUGAGAGGUUGAGAGUUGUACCCGUAUAUGUAUAGAGACCACCAUUUUGUACUAGAGACGGUUAUUGUACUACUUAUGGUUAUCUUUGUUUGACUAGUUUUAUUUUCUUUACUUUGGUGUAGAUGAUAGAACUUUACUUGCUCUGAUAUCAUUAGUUGCUAGUUAUUUCACUACUUUUAUUUGUUCUAUCUCCUGCUUUACUUCCGCUUUUGUUGUAGACGCCUUAUAUGUGUAGACAUAUGGCGGGUCUGGGCACGCUACCGGGAGGGCCUCAGCCGGUCCCGGGGCGUGACAUCCUGAGUGCUGCUUUGUAUUAGAUGUUGAAGUCAUUUCGGAUCCUAUUUAGGGCUCCCAGAAGUUAGGCCCAAAAGUUCACUUCGUGAAUAUCGAUCGUGUUAACACGCGUGCUAUGGUGAAAGUUCACUUCGUAAGGUGGUGAAAGUUCACUUCGGAUCCUGUUUCGUGAAUAUCGAUCGUGAAAGUUCACUUCGUAAAAAUAGGAGAACAUACCCUGAGAGCUCUUUUCACCUCUUCUUCACAGGGAGCUUGCAACUUUACAUUUUUAGCCCCUCCAAUCCUUCAAAUUCCAAAUUUUACCUUAAGGACUCGAAAAUUUAGUAGGGUUUCAGCAGCAAUCUUUGGAGUUUUGGCUCGUGUGCAGUCUACGAGCAUCCAAAUUCUGUGAAACAUGAUUUGGAGGAUUGUGGACUCGUGGAGGAGUGUGUUGAACCUUUCCAACAGCAAUUUAAGUAGGUAUGUAAGCUCGAAUUGCUGUUUUUUCUGAAAUUUUAGUGUUCUUGAGCUGAAAUUGAGAUUUUCUUGAUGUUUUGAACCCAAAUCUUCUUGAAGCUGGAUUUUUUAUGCGGGAAUUAGUUUUCCAUUAUUCUCUACUGAUUUAGAAGUUUUUCCUACCUAAAUUUGAGAUUUGAGAGGUGAGUUUUAGCUCAGAUUUGGAUAAUUAAACUUAUAUACUGAUUUUUGAGAGUUUUGAUGGAUUUCUUGGAUUUUUUAGUCUAAAUUUUUAUGAAAAGCUUAUUGAUGAAUUUGGAUUGAUUCUCUACUCUAUUUGGAAGGUUUGCGACCUAACUCCACUGGUUUUAUAAGUUAGAAUUUUCAGAUUGAACUAGAACAAGCAGAUUGCUUAAGUGCUGAAGUUCUGGAUGCAGGUUAUGGGCAUCCAGAAGUGGGUUCGAAUUGGUGUGAAGGCUUUUUGGUGAUCGUAUCGAGCCCAAUUUCGCUGUUUGCACUAAAGGCGGUGAACCAUUCACCGCCUUUAGUGCAAACCCCAGGGUGCAGAACCUGGGGAAGCACUGAUAAGACGGUGAACUAUUCCACUGUCUUCAUGAAAAUGAUUAACCAUUCACCGUCUUAUUUGUGUUUCAGCCCCGACUCUAGGACUUAGCCAAAUUUUGUUGAGUUGGGUUUUACACUAAAGGCGGUGAAUGAUUCACCGUCAGCCCCCAGUCCAAGACUUAGCCAAUUUUUUUUAGUUUUUGGAGAUUUUGCACUAAAGGCGGUAAACCAUUCACCGUCUUUAGUGCAAACAACCCCAGCACCUUUUUUCAGUUAGAUUUUAAAAAUAAUUUGAACAAAUUUGAGUUAAGAAUUUUCACGAGAACAAAUAUUUCAACAAGAAACACAACAAGACAAGUAGAACAACAAGAUACAAUCAGUAGCAUAAGAAUAUUAACAAAAACGUAGACAAAUAUUCAAAUAUGAACUAAAUAAAGUGAUAUAAUAUUAUACAAUCCAAUUCGAUCUAAAUCAACAAGAUACAAUCAGUCUCUCGAUCUUCCUCUCCCUCGACAUCCUCAGCCACGUCCUCGUGCAUGGCUACGUCCAUGUCUACGGCCACGAUCCAUAUCGAGCUCAGUAAUAGGUACGUCAUCAAGUGGCUCGAUACCGGCCAUCUAAUCGAGAUCUGCAAUAAUGAUGCCCUCGGGAUGCUCCGAAAUCACCUAAGUCUCCUCUGGCUCAAGUCGAUCACCCUCGAUAGUGGCCGAUGUAGAUGCUCGGCGGGCCUGUGAUGAUGACGCACCAUGACGUCGAGAAUAGACAUAUCUGAAGUAUGCUCGAGAGACUAGCGGCGAAAGUGAGUCCAAUGUCAAGAAAGAAAAUGUCGAAGGGACGACAGGCAUAUCUACAGCAUUAGUAGGAGAUGGAGAUCGUGACACCCACUGGCUCGAUGCCGAGUAUGAUCCAGUAGGAGUAGCCGACUGUCUCCUGUGAUGACCCGAUGUCGAGGCAUGACGCAAAUCUUGACCUCCGAUAUCAGCGACAACAGAUAUGGCAGGAACGUGCUCCAGUACCGACUCAAUAUGGGCACAAAUGCCCGUCAAUAACUCCAGCAUCGUAUGGAUCGCAGGUGGAUCAUCAACUAGCUCUUUGAUGCUAUAAUGAGUUUGUCGUAAUGCGUCCACCUGCAUUAUAGAUAAAAACUCACUUUUUUCAAUCUAUAUUAAAUAUAAUAUUAAAAAAAUAAGGUUAAAUUAUAUAAAACCUCACCGUCAAAAUCUGAUUUUUCACUUUCCCCUCUGUCAUUUAAAAACCUACACUUUGGCCCCUUGUAAAAUAAAAAAUAUUCACUUUCCCCCCUGCCGUUAGUAAUCCGUUAGGGUUUCGUUUAUAAAAUAUUAUUAUAUAUUUUUUAUGCCAAAAAUGUCCUCAGCCUUCUCUUCUGUGAACAUGGCGAGGGGCAAAAUGGUGAGGGGCAAAAUUGUCAUUUUAUCAUCACAGUUCACACUGCACCUUCUGUGAAUAUUUUUCAUUUUACAAAGGGGCAAAGUGUAGAUUUUUAAAUGACAGUGAGGGAAAGUGAAAAAUCGGAUUUUGACAUGGAGGUUUUCCGUAAUUUAGCCAAAAAAUAAUUAAUAUAUGAGUGAUCGUACCAAAGCUCUCUCAGUCUUGCUGCGAGACUGGUAAGUUAAUGAUGGACGCUGUACUGGAUGAGAAAUUCAUCUUCUCGUGAUCUACCAAUACCACUGCAUAUAAUAUUGGAGGUCGCCUGUAUCGGGUCAUCACCGGCAAUCGGCAGCUGGUAAAAAAUGGCCUGUAAUCUCUAUCCCCAUCUCUCGAUGUGUGCAGCAUGAAAGAUUGCCCAAUCCUCAUCUGGCCGCCCCUGAGAAGUGACACGAUGGAUGGUCUCCACGUUAACGAGUAUAUGCUGGAGGAGACCAAACUGUCGUAGGACUCGAUUCGAUACAUGAAGCUCAACAAUAUGAAAAGAAAUCAGCGUCGUCCUUGACCACCAGACCUCACAGAAUGCCGAUAGCGCGGCGAUAAUAGUAUAUGUGUACGGCCUCCUUAUAAUCUGUGAAAAAGGCAAUAAUAGUCGGCUGAAUGCAUUAAUACGUUUGUAUUAUAUUGAAAAAGAUGGUUGCAUUAAUACGUUCCUGGGACUCUCUCUGCUGAUCUAACUCAUCUCGAUAGAACUCAAUAUCCGUUGUAACAUAAUGACGCAAGUUUUGUAAAAACCAACGCCAACUUCCACCAUUUUCUCCUUCGUAAAUUGCAAAUGCUAAAGAAAAAAUGCUAUCAUUUGCAUCAACGGCCGUCGCUAUCAAUGCAUGACCUUCGUAUUUGCCAUACAAGUGAGUGGCAUCAAUGCUCACUACCGGCCGACAGUGCGUGAACCCAUGAAUAGAAGGAGCAAAUGACUAAAAAACACAACCAAACCGACAUAUUCCGUCUGAUGGCCAUCUAUGUUCAAGGCGCCAUGAAGUAUCAGGAUUACUACUCUGCACCAUAGUAAAAUACCGAGGCAAGUCUGUGUAUGAUUGCUCCCAGCUCCCAUAAAUAAUUUGUAAUGCUUUGCUCCUUGCUAGCCAUGCCUUCCAAUAGUUUAUGUCAAUAUGCAAAGUGGAUCGCAUUGUUUCCUGUAUUUCCUUUGGCGUCAUAUUCAAUCUUGCCUUCAUUAACGAGAGAAUCACUUGGCAUAUAAGACUUGAAGUACAAUUACGUACGGUGAGCCGCAUUUAGCAUUAGAAUAACACAAGUGUGUUGACCUGCAUAUGUCUUAACUUUGAAAUAUGUUGCAUCUUUAGGAAUCAAAGCGUGUAAUCUCUAAGGACAUCCCUCAACCGUGCAUUUUAUUGUAUAAGUUGUUUUGGUGGAUUUCAAAACCUUCAUCUGAACAUUCUGAGCAAUGUGCCAUUAAUCUAGCACGGCCAUUAAAGAUGCCUUAUCAUAAAAGAUUUGACGAAGCUAAGUCCCGUCAAUGCUAGGUAGAUCAGUAUUGGUACGUCUAACAUCGAACUCAGUCGAAUUUACAACAUAUUGAUUUAUCCAAUUGUUAUCUGUAGGAAAUUAUUUCGGAUGGUCAAUAAAAUCAAGUUCCUCGUCAGGAUUAUCUACAUAUUCGUUGUUUACAUAUGGGUCGUCAUGAAUACUGUAAAAGGCAUUCGCAAGGCAAUUUAAUCUUCCAUCGUGAUCAUCCUCAACGUCAUUAGCUAGAUAAUUCCAAUCGUCGUCCUCACUGGGGUAAUGUGUUAGAAAAUUGCGUACGGUAAAAACGCAGCGGAAAAAGAAAUCAAACAAAUUUGAUUUUUGAAAACUCUCGAGAUCAAAUCUCAAAAACCACGCAAUUAGGAUCCCUCAUGUUUUAAGAUUAAAGAAGAAAAACAAGAUCGGAUAUUUACCUUUUUCGCAGAUAGAUCUUCCCCUCAAUUUGAUGAUCGUGGAAUUCGGUUCUCUUGAAGCCGCACACGCGUCCGACCUCUAUAGGUAUCCACACGAGGUUCUUGAUUUGAUCGAUGUCCUCACCGGGGUGCUAGCUCCCUUGCAAAAGGACGUCUUUCUUGCUAGAAGAUGGAAGAGAGAAGAGAGGAUAGAUGACGGCUAGGAUUUUCUAAAAACUCCCGUAUAUUACAUAUAGGAAUAUAAUCCUAUUCCUAAUAAUAUAAUGACAAUUAAGUAUAAAUAUAAAUCUAGAUUUAAAUUUAUCUUUUCCUUAAUUGGUUAGAUCAAUCAAAUCCUAAUUUGAUUCGACUUGAAUUUUAUAUUAAUUUGAUCUUAUCAAAUUAAUAAUGCAAUAUUUGCACAUAAGUCCUCUUAUAAUUUACUAACUAUUAGUAAGUCCUCUCUUGUAACAUUUACACCUUAAUACCACUAAUUUGUAACAAUUACAAAUUAGUCCAAUUAUCAUUAUAUUGACAAUUAGGUCCUCCGACGAUUCAAUAAUCGCGAUCUAGCUAUUCGAUCAAUCACAACCUCUUAUGUGUGUGACCCCAUAGGUUCUAUUCUAUCUGGUAGUGAGAUAUAUUUUGAUCACUAUCAACAAUAUCACUGAAACUCCUUUCAGUGGAUCGAAACAAUUCCAACUCAGCCCAAUGAGAAUUAUCGAUCAUCUAGAUAAUUCUUAUAAGUCUCACAAUCCACCAGUGACGCCUAGCAGCAUGUAGUGGCAUUCCAGUAGAAUGGAAUAAUGAACCUCUUGGUGCAGUUACCGUGUGAUACAAUCCUUCUAUCAUGAGUCCCGACUAGACGGAGGUUAUGGAAUAACUCGUCAAACCCCAUCGUCUGUCAUAUGUUAAAUUUAUUCGACUCGAGUUUCUAAUAUCGGAAAUCCUUUUCCGCUAUUUAUUCUGCCCUGGCCAAGGUCUUCUAAACUCGGUCUCAUAAAUCACAUAGGACUAACACCCCUAUCUACCAAGGGAGAUAGAUUCCAUCUGAGUGCGCACCCUAUUUCUACAAUGAACUUACUGCAGCCAACAUGCACCGUAAGGACCCGAAUGGCUAGGGACCAAGUCUAUGUACAGUCAAACUACAGUAACCUCAUUGUGAAUAGCCGAGGCACCGCAGGUCAAAGGACCAGUCACACUACUGCAACAAUUGAGUAAGUCACUGACGAGUGAGUAGACAUCCAAGUGACUUCUCGCGUUGGUCACGCUCGGUACCCUUGUUCUCUAACAACCACCUGCAUAUUCGCUUCAGUGUCCCCACACUGUCGACUCGAGACUCGUCUACCCAAAAGGGAAGCGGCCUAUGCACCAAUCUCACUGGAUCAAUCACCGUCCACGUAAUGAUCCAUUGAUCGGGAGCAUUUAGGAAUUAACCACCAAUGACACAUGUCUCAAAUUCUCAACUCUUGAGAAUAUAUGUCAUCAUCUUAUUAAUUCCUUGGACGAUUCAUGGACACAUACAUAACAUGAAUGGAAAUAAAAACCCAAAGUUAUUCAUAAUAUUUAAAAGUCAAAUACAAAUUUAUGUCCUAGAAAGAAUAUAUGUGUCGGCCUGGUUGGCUUCUAGGGCAUACAUCUAACAUAAUGAUCAUCAUUAUGAAUGGAUGUAUCAUCCUGAUUACUGUCAUUACCAUCUCCUUCAUUGACAAUAUUAUCAAGAACUUCAUUCCAAUUUUCAUAGGAUGUAGAAAGUUUGCAAUGGGUCCCGAAUUUUUACUAUAUUAGGUAGAUUUUUACUUACUAUUAAUUUAAAAAGAAUCAAAAUUUUCUUUACCCUCAAUCAAAAUUUUCAUUAGGUGCAUGAAAUAUCAUGGGUUCCUCGCGUGUAGUCAAGGGUUGCGCACGUGAGGUCGAGGGUUGCGCACGUGAGGUCGAGGGUUGCACACGUGGAGACUGACUUUGUCUGCAAUAUUUACAUUUUAAAUUUAUCAAAAUAUUUAAUAAUUAAAUAAAAUAUUCACCGAAACAUAGCGAUAUCACUUACCUUGAGGUCGGGGUUCAUUACCAACUUUGCGGUCACCAAUUGGAUUAUCCGAAAAACCUACAUCGAUAUCAUUAUGAAGCAGUCUUGUGUAAUAUCCUCGCGAUUGAUAUUGCGUCUCUAACGGAUAUAAAUCUUUCUCGAUGUAUACCGAUACACAUCCAUAAUAUUCAAACAAUCUAAUUAAUCCCUCCAAUGAUUCAUCAUCUACUAUAUCGUGAGCACUAUAUUCAUUUGCUCCCGUAGGGCAUCGAAUAGUGAAUUUAAGACGAAAUUCUUCUCUAUUACAAUUUACUAAACGAUACAUUCUCGUCUCAAAAUGAGUAUAUGUCGUAUCUGAACGAAUCACGAUCAAUUUCUUUCGACUGCUGACAUAUCAGGGACCAUUUUCAUCCAUAAUUAAUUAUCUAUCUCAAUGAACACUAAGAGACAUCCGACGAGCCAUUUUAACUACAUAGAAAAAACUUUCAAAUCUCCUCUCAAAAUAUCUAGUGAAUAUAAUACAAAAGUUUAAACCUAAAUAAAGCUAAUUGCUAGUUUAAAGUAGGUUUAAACUAGGUUUAAACUUAGUUUAAAAUAAUUUUAAACUACAAGCCCGUCUCGUCAAAAAGUUUAAACCUAAAGUAGACUAAUAGCUAGGUUUAAACCUAGUUUAAAACUAGUUUAAACUACAAGCUCGUCAAAAAGUUUAAACCUAAGCUAAUAGCUAGUUUAAAGUAGGUUUAAAUUUAAUUUAAAACAUAAUGAACUACAAGCUUGUAGUUCAUUAUGUAACAUAAUGACACAAGUUUUGUAACAUAAUGAACUACAAGUUUGUCAAAACAAGUUUAAAUAGGUUUAAACUACAAGUUUAAACCUAAAUAGGCUAAUGGCUAGUUUAAACUAGGUUUAAACCUAAUUUAAAACAAGUUUGAACUAUAAACUUGUCAAAACAAAUUUAAACAAGUUUAAACUACAAACCUAAAUAGGUUAAUGGCUAGUUUAAACCUAGUUUUAACUAAAUUUAAACCUAGUUUAAACCUAGUCUAAACUAACAAUGCUAACAAUGCUAACAAUGUGGGUUGCUACCUGCAAUGUGGGUUGGUGAGGGAAGGUUGGCACGGGCGGCGGAUGCGGGGGUUGACGGUGAACGGCGGGGGCGACGUCGGCAGGGGUGACGGUGACCGACGAGGGCUCCUGGAGAUGGUAUGGCAGAGAGAGAGAGAGAGAGAGAGAGAGAGAGAGAGAGAGCGUAGAGGGAAGGAGAGGUGUCGGGGUCGGGGUGGGGUGCGGGUAUACCUAAUGAAGACGGUGAAUUGUUCACCGUCUUCAUAAAGCGAUGAACGAUUCAUCUUCUUAUCUUGGGCACUGCAAGGCGGAGGUGCUUUGCACUAAAGGCGGUGAAUCGUUCACCGCCUUAUUAAGACGGUGAACGAUUCACCGUCUUCUCUAGGGCACAGCCGUGUUGUGGUGAUGGUUUUGUACUAAAUGCGGUGAAUUGUUCAGGUGAUGGUUUUGUACUAAAUGCGGUAAAUCGUUCACCAUUUUAUGAAGACGGUGAACGAUUCACUGUCUUACUAAGGCCACGCCCAAGACUUGGAGAGAUUUGCGCAGCGGGAUGGGGAUUUGCACUAAAGGCAGUAAAUAGUUCACCGUCUUCUCAAGGCAGUGAACCAUAUACCGUCUUCACAACAAAUAUUACAAAGACGGUGAACAAUUCACCGUCUUUGUGAGAAAAUCUUGACAUGGCGCCCACGUGACAAAAGAAGGAUAAGUUUUACAAAUAAAUUUUGGCAGGGACAUUUUGCUAAUUUCGAUUUUUUGGAGGCUCGUUUUAUAAAAAAGUCCUUUUUGUGUGCCUUUUGUGCGGGUAUCGCAACCGCAUAAAACUGGUGUUUCAGACAGCGGGUCUUCUGCCGAGACUCAUCACCGCACGUGCAUUCCACGUGCCAAGGGUGCUGGCUCCUGUGGAACUCCACGAGUGACGGAGUGAGGGACAACUCUCGACCGCGACUGGACGCGACGGAAGAUGGGGAAGCGCGGGAAGAAGCAAAGAGACAAUCACAGACCCCGCCGACUUCUCCCUCGAGACGACGAAGACGGCGCCGACUCCUUACCCUCCUCUGCCUACGACCUCCAUUCCCAUCAACAGCAAGAAGAAGCCGACGCCGGAUUUAAAGAAGACGCCGGAGACGAAGACGAAGGCGAAGGCGAAGGCGACAGGGAAGAGGAGGAGCAAUGGCGCGUCGAAGGAUCCCCAUCGAAGUUCCAUCUCUACCAGAUAUCGGUUCAGGUACUCAAAAGCUUUAGCUUCUUAUACUUCUUACCCUCCCAAAAGCCCAAAGACUAGGGGCUUUUUCUAGAAGCUAGGGUUUUAUUCGUGCUGUGCUUCGUGUAGUCGCCGAAAGGGGACAUUAGCUAUUUGCAGAAGUUCUUUUUGAUGUACGUCGGGGGGAGAUUCCCGCUGCACUUGCAAGAGGAUUUCUGCGGCACCGCGCUUCUCAGGUUCUUCUUCCUUUGGAUUACUGUAGUUCCUUUUUUGGGUAUAGUUUGGAUUUUCUUUCUUUUUCUUUUUUUGUAAGAUUCCUUAUUUGCUUGUUUUCUGUUAUGUUGGCAAGAAAUCUUGAUGUUUUUGUGCAUAAAUGGUUCAUGAAUAGUAUGUUUGAUUAAUUGCCUCAAAGAAACUUGGUUGUUAGCGAGACUAGUAUGUUAGCGAGACUAGUAUGUUUGAUUAAUUGCCUCAAAGAAACUUGGUUGGGCCUGUUGCAGGAUGUAGAGCUGUUCGAUGAACUACUGUUUGAGUAGUGUUAAGUAAUGUGCUUAAGUCUUUCUAACAGUUUCUUUCUGCAAUAGAAUCAGAAGCAUUAUAAAAUUCGAAUUGAAGCUUCCACUUUUGAUGCUCGGAGUAUCAUUUCACCCUCUUGUUAAAGUAGAAGCACUGGACUUUUCUGUUCAGCAAACAUUCUAUUGAGUGGCAGAAGUAGAAAGAAGCCAAAUAGGCAUUUUGGGUCAGAGAGAAAAGUAUUUUAGUUUCUUCACGAAGUCAGUAUGGUAAAUAUAGAUAAUUACAAACGUGCUUGUUCACCUAGAUGAUAUGUCAAUAAGAGAAAUAGGACUGUUUAGUCAUAUAUCCUAUAUGCUAAGUUGGUAAGAAGACAACUAUCAGUAUAGUCUCCUUCGAUGCAAUACAAGAGGAAGAACUUGUUCUGCUACCAAUUUGAUUCAAGCGUAUGAAGGAUAAAAUUAUGAGAUUUUAUUCGUGAGAUUUUUCUAUAAAUCAUUCUUGGUAGCAUGGUCAGGAAAUUUAUGUUUAGGGACGAUAUUUUUGUUUGAUUAAUUGUCAUAAAGAGCCUUAGGAUGAGAAAGAUGAUGCCCUUGUUCACCUAAUGAGAUCUCAAUAUGAGAGAUAACACUAUUUAGUGAAAUAACCGAUGUAAUAUGAAAACUAUUAUAUUUAGUUCAGUUUGAGGCAAUAUGAUAGAAAGAAUUUGCUCGAUGCUGAUUCGUUGCUAGCUUAUGAAGUAUAGAUUUCUAUCUUUGGGAUCUUUUGUGUGUGCUUACAAUGGAUAAAACAUUUGAUGUUGUCCUCUGCUUUAGCUGGGAAAAAACAUGCUGUUCAAUUUUUUCAAUGUGGGAAAGCAUGGUAUGUUUUGGAAUUGCCAAAAAGUUGCAUUGGGCAAUGUUACUGUACAAGCUCUCCUUCCCAAUCUUCUGUGGUUGCCACGCAUUUCGGGGUCGAGGGCGCGGCGCUGGUGACUAGGCGACUUGUGGGGGAGAGGGGGGUUGGUGCGGUGGUGAAGCACUUGGGUGGGAUGGGGAGGUCUGAUAGUGAAGCAGUAGGGUGGCAAGGCUAGGGGGUGUCAAGUGGCGUGGGUGAUCUGCAAGGGUGGUGUGGCGAUGCAGCCCGAGUGGUGGGGGGAGCGGUGGGCUCAGAGUGACGCGGCAUGUGAAAUGGCAGUGUGUACAGGCUACAUAGGCGGGGAUGGGUAGUGUAGAGUAGGACAAUAGCAAGGCAGGGUGGUCAAAUAGUGUGUGGGACGGCAACAAGGUGUCCAGAUAAAAGAAAAUUUUUAAUUAAUUGUUUUUUAAAAAAUAAAUAUAGAAAUGGAGAAAGGAAAGAAAAUAAUUGUGGUUUGAUUAUGACUUUCCGGAUUGGAUACCAACAAGAAAAGAGAUAAAAGAUAUGGUGUUCUCUUAUUUUGAAAUUUUUUUGAAUUGUUUUUCAAAAUGAAGAGGUCCUAAGAUCACUAUAAAUUGGACCACGGGAUUCAAGGAAAAAAAAGAAAAAAAGAAAAAGGAUAGAAUAUAAAAAAGGAGGAAGGAUUUAAAAAAAUAAAAGAAAAAGAAAAUAAAGAGAGAGAAGGUGAAAUGUCAGACGGGAGCCCCGCCCCUCGCUCUCUCGUUCGUGCACAAAGAGAAAAGGAGUUGGUGUCCCUCUUUCCAACCAACCAAAAUAAAGGGUGAUGGUGACAACGAUAAGGACACGCGAAGGUUCUGCAAUUUGCUUCUUCUCCAACGAUGACAAAAGUGUGCGAGGAGGCCUCAUGGCCUCUUCUUUCUUAUUCGAUUGUGCCGCCAUAAUGACGAUAGGUUAGUGUAUACACGCAAACGGUAUUAUGGUGAUCCUUUUGUUAGUUUAAUCACACAUCUUUCUUCUUGAUAGGCUUGACUGAUCAAAUCCGACAUUGGAUUGUUACUAUGCCAUGCACGCGUAUUCACUAAGCGUCCAUCUCCCCAAUAUUGCUUUUGCUGUCAUGAUCAAAAGAUCAAUAUGUGCGCGUGAAUGACGUGAUGACAAUUCUCUUACUGGUUUGAUCGUGCGACCGCCUUCGCGAUAGGCUUGACAUGAUCAAAUCCUUAUUCAACAAAUAAAAUAAAAUAAAAUAAAAACAAAAUAAUAAAAUAAAUAUUUGCCUUGGAUCCUUGUCUUCGUGAUAGGCCUGAUCUAUUCGGCUUAAACCAAAUCGCCAUCUUUGUGAUAGGCUUGAUCUGAUUAGUUCAAACCAAAUCUCCAUCUUUGUGAUAGGCUUGAUCUGGUUUGUCUUAAACCAAAUUUCCGUCUUCGUGAUAUACUUGAUUUGGGUUUGCUAUCACCAAAUUGUCAUCUUCGUGAUAGGCUUCAUCCGGUUCGGUAAAAUCAAAUCAUCCUCUUUGUGAUAGGCUUGAUUUGGGUUCGGUUAAACCAAAGUUACCGCCUUCGUGAUAGGUAUGGCUCAAACGUCUUCGUGAUAGGUUUGAUUUGAGUUCGGUUGAACCAAAAUCGCCAUCUUCGUGAUAGGCAUGGUUUGAUCCAAUUGCUGUCUUUAUGAUAAGCCUGAUUUGGGUCGGUUAAACCAAAACCGCCAUCUUCGUGAUAGGUAUGGCUCAAACGUCUUCGUGAUAGGUUUGAUUUGAGUUCGGUUGAACCAAAAUCGCCAUCUUCGUGAUAGGCAUGGUUUGAUCCAAUUGCUGUCUUUAUGAUAAGCCUGAUUUGGGUCGGUUAAACCAAAACCGCCAUCUUCGUGAUAGGCGCAUUCCAGCUCGCGCAUGUCAUUAACCACAACUUGACGUGCACUAAGAUUUGAUAUAAUGCUGACUUCUUAGUAAAAUAUUGAAAAAAAUUGUACUACUUAGCCAAAAGGGCUCUUGAACUCGACAUAGGUUCUAAUCCAAAUCAAUUGCAUAAAUGGUUGGGUUUGAAUCGAGCCCAACAUAAGUAAUAAAUUCAAUUUGAACUUAAUAAAAAAAAAAGAAAAAAAAAUGUUGGAGUCGAGCCUAAGUCAAACCGGCUUAAACGCAAACUCAAAUUGAACCAAACCCAAGUCGACAACGGGUCAUGCCGAUGAUCAAAAAUAAACUAAAUGCAAGUUGGUGAACCAAACCUAAGAUGGUAAACUGAACUCCUAAUGAUGAACCAAGCCCAAAUAUUAAACCAAAUGCAAGACACUGAGCUAAACUCGCAACAUUGAAUUGGACCCAAGAUGGUGUAGCGAAAAUCAAAUCCAACACGGUGAAUCACAACCACUGCGUUGAGCCAAAGAUAAACCGAAUCUAAGACGGUGAACUAAACCUAUGGUGGUAAACCGAACUGAUGAUGAUGAAUUAAAUCCAAAUAGUGGACCAAAGCUUGAAUCUAUAACGGUGAACCAGACAUCGAAUGGUGAACCAUAUGCAAAAUGGUCGAAUCAAUCCAAAAUGAACCUAGGAUAGCGAGCUGAACCCAAGCCGACGGAAGGCCGUGCUGGCAAUGGAUCAAAGAGGGACCGAGCCCAAGUUGUAGAAUCAAGCCAUAAGUUGGUUCGGCGCUAAUCCAAACAAUAAGUUGGUGCAAUCUAAAACCAAACCAUAAAGGAUUCAACUUGAACCGAAGCCAGUUCAACCCGAACUGAUACAAUUUGGAUCAAAUCAUGAGCUGGUACAAUCCGAGGAAGUCCGAGCUAAGCCGAACUGAAACAGAAGUCGAUUCAACUUAAACAGAGUCAUAAAAGCUUCAACUUGAAUUGAACUAGAGGCCAUUUCAACUCAAAUGGAAUGACAGGAGGUCUGAGCUGAGUCGAAACAAACAGAAGCCGGUUCUACCUAAACCGAGCUGUAAAGGAUUCAACUUGAACCAAAUCAUAAGUUGCUACAACCCGAAUGAAACUACAAGAGGUUUGAGCCAAGCCAAACCAAACUAUUAAGAUAGUUCGACAUAAACCAAGCUAUAAAGGGUAUAACCAAGUUGACCUAAACCCAAAUUGAAAUACACAAGGUUUGAACCGAAUCAAACAAUGAAAUAGUUCGACCCAUCGAACUACAAUUGGUCAAUGAAACCAUAAGGAUUUGACUGCAUGAAAUUCGAGGAGACUCAGACUAAACUAUAAGGGUUCGAUCUAAAUCAAACCGAACCUCAAGGGUCUCGAGCCAAACCAUGAGGGUUUUGACUCAAAUCAAACUCAAAGAGGUUCAAGCUGAGUCAAAUUAUAAGGGCUCAACUUAAAUUAACUUCAAAGAGGUUUCAAGCUAGGCCAUGCCAUAAGGGCUUGACCUGAACCAAGUUGAAAAGGAAUCUAAAUUGAGCGAAAGCAUGGAGUACAACCCAUAUCAAACUCGAAAGGUCUUGAACCGAACUGGUUCGAGCCAAGCCAAACCCAAACCGCUUUGAUUUAAACCAAACCAUAUGUCAGUUCAACCCAAAUUGAACUAUAAGCCAGUUCGACUUAAACUAAACCAUAAAGGAUUCAACUUGAACCAAAGUGGGUCAACCUAAACUGAAUCACUGAGAGCCAAGUCGAACCGAAUUACAAGACGAUUCAACCUAAACCGAACCAUAAAGAAUUCAAUUUAGUUCAACCUGAACUAAAUCGCAGAUGGUUUGAGCCAAGUCAAACCUAACUACAAGCCGGUACAACUUUAAUCGAACUACAAAGGAUUCAACUUUAAUCGAAGCUGGUUCAAUCCAAACAGAGCCACGGGAGGCCCGAUCGAGCAAAACUGAAGUACAAGCCUGUUUGAUCCGAAUCGAACCACAAGAGGUUUGAGUUACAAGCCGGUUCAACCCAAACUGAACCACACGAGGUUCUAGCUGAACCUAAUCAAAUUACAAGUUGGUUCGACUUAAACCGAACCAUAAAGCAUUCAACUUGAACUACAAAUUGGUAACCCAAUCUGAACCAUAGAAGGAGUGAACCAAGUCAAACGAAACCAUAAGCACAUUCAACCUAAAUUGAAUAUGGACCGAAAUAUAUGUUGGUUCAACUCAAAGCAAACAACUUGAACCAAACCAUGAACUAUUUCGACUCAAAAUCAAAAUCAAAGAGCUCUCAACCGAACAACAAAGUGUUCAACUAAUCAAGCUCAAAGACGUCUUAAAUCAAACCGCACGGGUUUGAUCCAAACCAAAUGUAAAAGGGUUCCACGCUGAGCUGAACCACAAGAGCUCAACUCGGAUCAAACUAAAACGAAUCUUGUACCAAACCAUAAGUGUUUGACCCGAAACAAACUGAGCUAUAAGAGGGUCUAAGUUGAGGCGAAUCAUAAGGGGUCAACCCAAAUCAAAUUUAAAGGGGUCUCGAACUAAGUCAAAAGGGUUGGAUUUAAACCAAGUCUCAACGGAUCCAAGUGUCAACAGAUCUUGAACCAAAGCAUAAGAGUUUGACCUUAACCAAAUUCAAAAGGGCCAAAUCAAGCGAAAGCCUAUGACGGCUCAACCUAUAUCUAAUACCAAAGAUUCAAACCAUGUCAAACUGAGCUCAACCUAAACAAAAAUUCCGACCAAACUUUAGGGAUGAUCAGUGUUGGCAUUCGGUUAAAUCGAAUCGGGUACGCCCAUAAGCGGGUUCGAUCCGACGGAUAUUAUGUUAUCUAAUUGGAUUAGGAUUAAUCUCGCUUUCAAAUUGGAAAGCUAAUUAGAGAUAAAUCUAAUCAUAUUAGGAUAACAAAUAAUAACCGAUUUGGCCUUAUCUCUAACGCUAUUAGGAUUUUGGAAUUCCUUAUAAAUAGACGGGCGAUCCCACAUGAAACGAUGCACAAAAAGAACGGAAAAAGAGAGAAUAAGAAACCAAAAAGAGAGAAACCACAUCCUCCACUAACCUAUUAUUCUAGAGGGACUUGAACGGUGGAUUUGCGAUCGUGCUCGUUUGUAGUUCGAUCCACCGCGAGUUCGGAGCGCAAGAAGACUUUCAAGGACGAUCCAAGGACACGUGAACCAACCUCCACGAUCCGGGCUCAUCGCGUUCUAGCGCGAAUCGCUUCCGCAAAAAGGUACGAACGAAAACUUCCGCUGCGUUCUACAAUCAGAAUCAAGGAAAUCAGCUCCGCCCGAACUGAAGCAAAUCAAGGAUUCAAACCGAGUUGAAUUCAAAUUAAUCGGCUAAGUCAACUUAAUUGACUCACAAGCCAUAAUCAAACAGACCGUCACAUCGUUAAAUUGAGCAAUUCGACUUAAACUGCUGUUAAACUGAGCGCGGAGCGCCUAAACUUCAAACCGUCUUCCAUGUUGUUAAAUUGAACACCUCAACUUCAAACGACCGCCACGUUGUUAAACUUAGCAUCUCAAGUUUAAACCAACUGCCAUUAUUAAACUGAGCAUCUCAACUUCAAACUAAUCAACACGUCGUUAAAUUGAGCAACUCAACUUCAAACCGACCGCUAUGUUGUUAAAACUGAGCAACUCAACUUCAGGCCGAUCGCCAUGUCGUUAAACUGAGCACCACAACUUCAACUGCCAUGUCGUUAAACAAGGCACUUCAACUUCAACUGAUCGUCAUGUUAUUUAACUAAGCACAUCAACUUAAAAACAACUAUUAAGUCGUUAAACUGAGCACCUCAACUUCAAACCGAUCGCAAGUCGUUAAACUGAGCAGCUCAACUUCAAACCGACCGCUAUGUCGUUAAAGUGAGCUUCUCGACUUCGAAUCAAUCACUAUGUUAUUAAACUGAGCAAAUCAAGUUUAAACUCAACUUCAACCAACCUCUAUGUCAUUAAACUGGGCAUGCCAAACUCAAACAACUGUGAAGUUAUUAAACUAAACGAAUUCAACUUGAUUGGCAAGCCACCAAGCUGAGCAAAUCAAGUUUAAACUCAAUCCAACUUGAUCGCCAAGUCAUUAAAUUGAGCAAACUAAGUUCAAAAUCAAACUCAACCCAACUUGACCAUUGAGUAGUUAGACUGAGUAAAUCAAAUUCAAACUCAAACUUGAACCGACUGUCAUUUUAUUAAGGGCAUGUUUGGUUGCCCGAAAUUGGUUGAAGUGAAAAAAGUUACUUUCGCAAAAGUGACUUUUACAAAAGUGACUUUUCAAUUCGAUUGUUUGGUUUGCUAUAAUGUAGAUCAUGAAAAACUUUAGUUUUGUAAUUUUGAUUCUUUAAUUAUACAUAAAGAGGUGAAAAUAUAAACAAACGACUUAUACUCGCAAUUUAAUUUAAAUUUAAAUUUAUAUUUUGAAUUCAAAAUUAUAUUUUAAAAGUUAAAUUUAAACUUAAAUCUGAGUUAAAUAUAUAAUUAAAAUUUAAGAGAUAAAUUAAAUUUGCAAUUUGAAUUUAAAGUUUAAGUUAUAACUCAUAACUAAAAUUAAAUUCUAAAAUAAAAGUUCAACAUAGAAAUUACAACAUUUGUUCAAAUUUGAAUUCAUAAUUUGAAUUUAUAAUUUGAAUCAUAUUUUAAUUUACUCUUUGAUUUUAAAUUCUCAAUUUAAAUACGAAUUCACAAUUUGAAUUGAUAUUUAAAUUAAAAUUAAAAUUUGAGUUUAAAUCACAAUUCAAACUGAAUAUUUGAAUUCAUAAUUUGAAUUCAAAAUUCAAACUGAAAUACAAUUUAAAUUAAAUGUAAAUAGCAAAUUUAAAUUUGAAUUUGAAUUUAAACUUAAAAAUUGAAUUUUAAAUUCAAAUUUCGAUCAAUAAUUUGAAUUUAUGGUUAAAAUAAUUUGAAUUCAAAGUUCAAACUGAAGUUCUCAGCAAAAUAUAAUUAGAUUAAAAUUUGAAUUUCAAAUUUUAAAUUUUAAUUCUAUAAUUCAAAUUUAAAUAAAAAUUCCUAAAAUUUAAAUUUAAAUAUAAAGUCACAAAUCUGAUUUUAAAAAUUUUAUGUUGAAUUUGAAUUUAUAAAUAAAAUUUAGAAUGUGAACAUGAUUUUAAUUAAAAUUUAAAAUGAAAUUCAACUUUAAAAAUAAUUUGAAAGAUUAAAGUUAAGACCAAAUAUUACCUCUUAACUAAUUCUUCACUUUCGGUGACUUCUAAAUUUUUUAAGCCAAAGUCAAAAAAGUGAAAUUUAGUUAUAACUCACUUUAUCAGCCUAUUAUCAGCCUACUUUGCUGAAGUGAUUUUCAUAUUCACUUUCGCAAACCAAACAACCGAUAAGGCGUUACUUUUCAAAAGUGCCACUUUCGGUAUGUCCCUUUCAGCCAAGGAUUUAAGUGUCGUGGCACGGGAUCGUGCCGGAAACUUGCUGGCACGGUACGGCACUGUGUGUGCCGAGCCGUGCCGAUGCAUGUUGGUCAAAAAAAUUCUUGUGUGCCGACAGCCUGACACAUAAUAGCAUGAAAUAUUUAUUUUCUUUAGAAACAAAAUAUUCUAACUAUUUAUUAUGUCUUUUUAUCACAUCUUUUGAACUUUAUUAAGGAGAUUACUUACUAAUUUAAAGAAUAGAAGGUUUUGAGCUGUGCCAUCGGCACGGGGUCUGUAUCGUGCCGGUAUCUUGUUGGCACGGUAUGGCACGGUAGAUACGACCCGUGCCGACGGGCACUUAAAAUCUUGCUUUCAGCCAAUCAAAAAUGCCCUAAACUGAGCAUGGCAACAUCAAACGACCGCCACUGUAUUAAACUAAGCAAUUUAAUUCAACUUCAAACCAAUUGCCAUAUCAUUAAACUGAGUAACUCAAUUCCAAAUCGAUUGCUAUGUUGUAAAACUAAACAAUCCAACUUCACUUUAACCGCGAUGUCCAUAAACUGAGGAUUUCACUCAUGUACAGUGGAGAUCUGUCUUUGCUUAAGCUAUGUACCAAAAAUUAUAUCAAUAAAAGUUCAUCUUUAUACUCUAGUCUCUUUAUAUUAUCAGUAUUAAAUUUGGUCUUUUAAUCGAGGGUUCCUUAACACUGUGAGUGUGGGGUAAUUAAUUGUAGAUUCUUGAAUUUGCUGGAAGUCAUGAACUUAUAAAUAUGAUUUCAAAUUAAAACUUAAACAAAUUUGAUCUAUACCAUGAAUAACCACUUGUCGGCACAGAACUGCAGUAGGCAGCAUGGGCGAGCGGCACUGGAACAAAGUGCGGGGCAGCUUAGCGCCUUCGCAUUCUGCACCGAUCUUCUCUCUAUUGACUUAUCCACCGAAUCACAAUAUUAUUAAUUAUUUUUUUCUACACUAAUAAUUUUCUAUUUUGUUGUUGUUCUUUUUCACUAUUAUUACAACCCAUUCUACACUCUAAUAAUAUAUUUUGGAUAUUGGGAUAAUAUCUAACAUACCCUUCAAAACUUUAAAAAAUCUAAUAUAUCUUUGGUUGACAAAAAUGCCUAUUGAUUUCCAAAAAUUCCUUAAAGUAUCCCAAAACCCACUAGGGUUUACUAAUGGGAUUUGGGUUUUAGAAGGGUAUUUUGGUAAUUUCAGAGUAAAUAUGAAAAUUUUGAAUAGUAGUCAGGGGUAAAUAAGCAAAAGUCCCUUUGAUAUUUAACUUAUUAAAAGAAUAAUUCUGAGUUAAGAAGAAUUUUCUUAAUUAUGCUAUUUUUAAAUUGUGUUUUCUAUUAGAUAUUUUAAAUAUAUUUUAUUAAUAAAAUAUUAAAAAUAAUGUUUUGGUAGUGUUUUAUCGAUUUAUGAUAUUUACGACACUUUUCAGACGAAUGUUAGCUAAACAACAUUCAAUUGCAAACAACACUUAUAUGACAGAUUAUUAAACACUUUACAGCUUUUUUAAAUGCUGCAUCUUUAUAUCUACAGUACUUCUACAAUUGCAGUAUUUUCUACAACUUGGCCAAACAGGCCCUUUAUCUGAGAGAGGUGAGAUCCCAGUGAUUUGACAUCAUAGGUGUUGUAUUUGCAUUAAAAACCCAAAGGAGAAGGAAAUGAGAGUCUUAAAAAGGAGAAAGGGAAAUAUAAGGGAUGACAUAAGAACACCUAAGGCUAAAAGAGCUCAUCAUUCGUGUGUGUUCACCGAGCAAUGACAUUCUCUUUGUUCCUGGCUGACUGCUCUUCCUAUUUUCAUGGAGCAAACAUGAUCAACUCGAAUUCUCUCACAGAUGGGUUGUGUUUAAUUCUGACCUUCUCUUCGCAGAUGGGUUGUGUUUAAUUCUGACCUUCUCUUCACAUAGUCUUGUCCAAUCCUAAUCUUGUAGCUAUCCUUUUAAAUCCAGAUUAUUCUAUUUUUCAAUUGUAUUUUGUGAAUGUCUGUUGGACAAAUCAUGUGAAAGUAGCAAUGGUCUGUUUUCUUGAGAGUGGUUUCCUUCCAUCGUUCGGCAUUUGCAAUCUGUAGGAUGCUUUCUAAGUUUUUGAUGCUUAAUCAAUUGAAGUCAAAUAUGCUCUCAACUUGAUCGAUUGACAUGUGUUUUAGAGUAUAAAGUUAUUUUCUUUGUGGCAUAAUAUAGUUUUGAGGGGGAAUUCAACAUACAAAAUGUAAAUGUAUUUCAGACUCAACCUAAUAGCUAUUAAAAGGAAUCAUGUGAUUCAUGUUAUAACUUUGUAUUCUUUGCUUAGCAAAUGAAAGUUGUUUGUAACCUAUUUUUGCAUCUAAUAAUUAGACAGUUCAUCUCAGUUAAAUAUCAAUGUUUUGAAAACCGAACCAGUCAUCAAAUUGGAAAAAGAAAGAGUUUUGAGGGUCAGAGGUUCAACCGGAGUUGAUCUGGGGUCAAACUGUAAAAACAUAUGAAUAUAAGAAUUUAUAUAUGUAAAUCUGUUUUUACAUUUAACUCAUUUAACUACUUAAGCUGUAACACUUUUACAUUUUUUAUCACGCCUGUUGCUUAGACUUGGUAGAGUCAAUGGACGGGUAAUAAUCAAUUGUAAGUUCAAUUUUCCUUCAUAUCAUUAAUAUGUUUAAAGUAAAUAACCAAAUUUGCAUGUUUAUUUAAACCGGAUUUGAGCCGGCCGGUUUGUUUUUUUCACAGUUUACCAGCCAAUUCAUCUGGUCUAGGCCGGUUCAAUCUGGUUUCUCCUCUCUAACAGGUUUUAUACCUGGGUUGGACUGAACCAGCCAUCGGACCGAUUUGUGGUCAACCCAGUUUGAUCGGAUGGUAUGGUUCGGUUUUCAGAUUCUUGGUAAAUAUAAGGAUGAUUAGUAUUUCUUAACAUGCUUUUCUUCUUUUGAAUAUAUUGAAUAAAUUUAUAGGGCUAAACUUAUUGUCUUGUAUGUUUUGCAGUGUUGAAUGGCUGCGGAGUGACCCAAGAAGAACAGCAGUGGGUCUAGAUUUGGAUCUCGAGGCACUAAACUGGUGCCUCGAAAAUAAUGUAGUGAAAGUUGGGGCCGAUGGAUAUUCGCGAAUAAAUCUUUUUCAUGGUAAUGUUUUGCAGCCAAGUAGAGCCUGCCUAGUUAAGCAUAAAGUCGAAGAUCUCGUGAACGGUGUAAUUUUAGACGAGAAAGAUGAUUUGUCUAAAUUUGUAGAUCUUGCUGCGCCAACAAACUCAACCAGUGCAACUAUAGUAGGGGCUGUGUUGCCCAAUAGAGACAUUGUAUGUGCAUUCAACUACAGCUGUUGUUGCCUCCAAAAACGUAGAGACUUAGUUUUGUACUUCAAGCAUGCUUUAGAAGCCUUGUCUAAGAAUGGUGGCAUAUUUGUUAUGGAUUUAUAUGGAGGUACGUCCUCAGAACGCAAGCUACGUCUCCAGAGGAGAUUCUCCAACUUUACUGUAAGUAUUGUAGAAUUAUAUGGCCAGCUAGUAGUUUACAUUAAAAUGUUAAUAAUUACAGCUAAAUAGGCAUUUUAGAUAUUUACAUAGAAAGACAUGCUACUGUACAUUGUGGCCUGAUAUUCAUUUGUCUUAGCUAUUUUUGUUUUGUAAGAUUGAUAGUUGCUUCCAAUUGAAGUUUGUCAUAGGAUACCAUAGCUGGUAAAAUUACAAGGAGAAAGAGUAAACAACUAAAAUUGUUGGAAAUUUCAUGCAUUGCUAUGAUAUAGUAUUAGAACUACUGAAUAUUCUUUGUAACCUGACAUCUUUGUGGUGUAAAUUUGCAGCUUGUACAUGGUUGUUUUGCAUUUAUUUUUUCGUGUUAUUUGCUGUUUUUGCAGUAUAUUUGGGAACAAGCGGAGUUUGAUGUAGUACAUCGUCGAACAAGAAUAAGUCUUCAUUUUCAUCUGGGAAGGAAGAAGGCACUACGGCAUGCAUUCUCAUAUGAUUGGCGCUUGUAAGUUGCAUCAAGCAUAUGGAUUUAUAUACCUCCACCAUGAACUAAUGCUCAGUUAUUGUAUAUCUGAUUGUUUGUAUGCUAUUUUGUUCAAAUGAAAAAUGAAUAAAUUAAUUGUUCAAAAUCCUUGUUCUUGCAGAUGGUCAUUACCAGAAAUCAAGGACUGUUUAGAGGAGGCCGGAUUCAAAUCCAUACAUAUCUGGAUAAGGAAGAUGCCAAACACACAGGAAGUUGAAAAUACAGAAGAAUAUAAUGCUGGCGCCGACAUCAAGUAUGAAGAAUUUUCAUCUUUCCAACAGCAAGAUGCGUGGAAUGCAUACAUAGUUGGCAUAGCAAAUGUCUAGUUGGUUGGUUGUCAAAGGUACAAUAACCUCAACUGGUUUCACAUGUGCAUCAUUCAGAUUUAAUGGUGAUCUUUUUUUUUUUUUUUUUUUUUUUUUUUUUUUUUUUUUUUUUUUCUUUUUAGUUCUACAGAAAUUGACAAUUUGCUAGAAAUGCUCCUCCAUAUACAGCCUAGCAAUGAAUGAAUAAGAUACUUUUUGGAUUUAGUUUCUAAUAAACUUUGUGCAUUUUUGAAUUUUCAUCAACAAUUUUUAUAGCUUCUUGGCUGACUUGUUACAUCACAUAUGAAACUUCAGCAUCAGCUUUGAGUUGUCGUAUGGAUAGAGUUGAUAUAGUUUUCCACUGCUCACAAUAGAUGUGUUGUUGAAUUUUCUUCAGUGAGUUGUUCGUAUUGGACGGUUACUGCCUCACCUUCGUCGUUUUUCUACGUUUUAUUCCAGCCUCUGCUGUAGAUAGUAAGAACAUUGAGACUCAUUAAAUUCAAAUGCUUGUAAAACAGCUUUAUUUGAUUUUUCAUAUUACACUUGUCCAAUAUGAAAUGAAAGUAUUCGAGUGGCACCUACUUUACUGAAUAGAUAGCCAGCCUAAUGACGACAACACCAACUGCUAGAAAGUAUAACCAAUCCAUCUGUAAUGGAUUCUAAACUCAGCGAGGCACAACAAUGUUACACCAUUAAUGCCUAGUUUGAAUCUCCGAGACAGAAAUUUUACCUGUUGGAGAGAUUGAACAAAGUGGCUCCACUUAUCUGCAUCAGAAAUGUGCUUGAGUUUUCAUUUUUCUAGUACAUUUUCCUUUGGACUCGGAACCUGAUUUAUAUGCUUUUCAUUUACAACUCACUUGUAUGCGGCAAAUUCAUUAUGUCAGUGGCUUACUAAACAUUGUUAUCAGAGGAGAAAUUGUGUUAGGAAUUUAACCUUUAGGAGAAAAGGAACGAUGCUGGUUUAAAAAAAAAAAAAAAACCCGAUGCUGCAGCUAAACUUGCAAACAGCGAUGUCUGCAAAGCUAAGAAAGAAAAGAAAAGAAAAGAAAAGAAAAGGUCUGAGAAUUUAAAAAGCAUAAAAGAUCAUUAAAAACAAGCUACUUGUAAAUGAAAGUUUAAGUUAUUGGAGAACAAGUGUUUUUAAAAUUUAAUUCAACUAUUUUCUCUAAUCUUUGAUGUCAACAAUCUUUCCUUGGCAUCAAUUGUACCAUCAUGGCUUGUUAAAAGCUUGACGGUUGUUAUGCGAGGUCUCAAUUUCAAAAUGUAGUUGCUUUACAUUUUUAAAUUCAAAAAUCCUAAUUUUACCUAAGGUUUUCCCAAAUCUACAAUAAAAAACCCAGUCUCUUUACAAACUCCUACAAUUUGUAAUCUAGAUUUGUCUAGGAUUUGUAAAAACUUAUUUUCUAGGGUUAAAUCCAAAAUCCUAACCAUAAACUUUAAAAACUCAUCUUUGCCCUAGCUUCUCCAAGCCCUUUCUUGCUUCAAGAAUCUUGCUUCAAGAAGCUUGCUCUCCACCUUCAAAAGCUUUCCCAAGCUUACAAAUCUGCAAGUGUUGGAGAUGAUCUAGAGUGAGAGAGAGGAGAAGAGAGUAAGAAAGAAGAGAGAAGGUGUGCUUCUCUCUUGGGUAAGGGGAGAAGAGGUCGUGAUCCCUUUUAUAAAGGUUGCAACAGUUGCAACUAACAUCCCCAAACUCUCUUAAUUACAACCAGUCAAAACUGGGCCUUCUCUGUAUUGAAUACUGGCACUUGGGAUUUAGUACAAGUACACGGCUUCCGGUUUCGGUACUCAAUGCCUAAUUCUGCAAAACCUGAACGAUAAUUUUCUAAAUUUUUUACUGUGUAUCGGUACUCACCCGUAUCAAUACUGGUACUCAACAAAACAAUAUCGGUAUUCAAGAAGAGUUCUGCAAAAUCCGUUGGAUUUCUUCCUACACAACAGAGUUCUAGUACCGGUUCUCAAUCUGCAUUUUCAGCAGAUUUGACUUUUCAAAGUCCAUUUUUGCACCAAGUUUGCGCCGAAAAUACUCGAAUACUCUCCUAACCUCGUUGAGACUAUUCAAAUAGCUUUUCAAGCUACUUUUCAUUGGAAUUCCAUAAUUUGCAGAAGUUUAGAUGACCAUGCGAAAUAUGUUCUUUAUCAAGUUAAUGAUACCACGAAAAGAAAAGAAUUACAAAUUUUCUCCGAGAAUAAUCAUGUUUGCUUUCAGUAAAUUCAUGAUAUAAGUUUGAUGUAACCAUCAUCACUAACGCAUGGAAAAAGAAAAAAAAGGCAAAAACCCAACAUCCUAUUCUAUAUAAAGUGGACAAUAUUCUAAUCCAUCUACUAACCUGAAACUAUUCUUAGCCUAUUCAAGUCUAAUUACUGGUGGAAAAUUCUUUUUAAGAAUUAGAAUUCUGAUAUAAGUCGAAAUAUUACCAAGAGCGAGGCCCCUACAUCUAAGAUGAAACUCAUGAACUUUAAUCAUAAAAUUUAGCAGGAUUCAUCUAAAUUUUAGUUCACUAUUUUGUUACAAGAGAUCUGCAAUUGGUUUUGGGGUUUUAUUGUAGAUCUAACCUGCAAGUUUUCAUCAAAUUAUUGAUGAUCUAAAUGGCAACCUGAGAGGGGAUGGGAGAGGUUGUGAAUGGGUUUUUAAAAUGAAAAUGCAAAAAAGUCAAAUCAACAAAUUCACAAUAAAAUAAAAUGAGAAGAGUUAGAGAAAAUCAAACUCAAAAAAGCACUCGGUCGAUUUGUUUUCAGGUUCGGCCCUUUGCCUAUAUCCCCGCCAACUUCUAGACACGAGAACGUUGGAAUUCCCAACAGAUGAUGCUCUUGCGGAUAAGCACCAAGUCUUUACACCAAAAGACUCUUCUUCUUACAAUAUUAUUACAAGCCUCUUUCUCUCUUUUACAAAAUAUAUCUCACUGUAAAGAUCACUCAAGUUUAGAGAGAGAAUUGAGAGCUAAGAGUAUUGAAUACUAGCAAUUACAAGCUCAAGUAUCUAUGUUUGAAACACCAAAAUCCUCUAUUUAUAGGCAAAAUAAAAAAGUAGCCAUUUCAGUAAUUAUGUACUUUCGGGCGGCCUAACCAGUUUUCAAUCAUCAUUUUCUACAAUGAUACAGUGUCAACAUUCAGAAACUAUUCAUCAGAGUAUUUUUGAAUGCCUAUAACAGAUUUCGGGCGCCCAAAUCUGGCCACCAACUUUCACCUGCUUUGUACAAUGAAAAAUAAUAUUCAAUCUUCUGAAAUCUAUGUUUCCGAAAUAGCUUUCGAGUUCAAUUUUCUGAAAUCCAUGUUCCCAAAAUAGCUUUUGAGUGCCCGAUACUGUUGAAUCAUGAUUUCGAUUUUGAAUAGAGAAUUGAAACAUACAAACAUGUUCAAAUUCAAAUUUCAGCACUUUCGGACGCCCGGAACCACUUCCGGGUGCCUGGAACCACUUCGGGGCAUGCUUACGAGCCCAAUUCCAAGAGUCUGAAAUUCUUAUACCUAUCCGAACGUCCGAAAGAAGAUUCAGGUGCCCAAAAACAAUUUCAAGUGCACUUUUGCACUUUCCGGAUGCCCAAAAGCACGAGUCCAAAGCCAAAACACUUCCGGACUCUUCUUUUGGGCACCCAGUCCGGAGUCCGAAAUCUUUAAUUUGCUAAAUUUGACUUUAAACAAAUUUGGACGCCUUUGGAUUUUGAUAAAUAGAGUUUUGGCAUUCAUUUUUAACACAUAUUAAGUCAUGUCCUACUUUUGGUCCAUAACUGCUUUAAGUAUUCAAUUUUAGCUCAAUAAUCUCAACUCAAACCAAAAGUGAACUUAAGUUAUAUUUAAGCUCUAAAAGAAGAGAAAGUCUUUUUGACAUUGGAAACAUAGAUAGCUUCAAAUCAUAAAGCUCUUUUCCUUACAAUUUGCACUCCUUUGAGUCCUUUCAAAAUUGGAAGAACUAAAUACAAAACUCACGAAAAAAUGUUAGUUCAAAUUUCACUAUUAUUUGCAAUCAUCAAAAUUUAAUUAUAGAUUGAUUCCAGCCAACGAUCUCCUCCUUUUAGAUGAUAACAAGUAAUGUGAUAUAAUAAAAUAAUUGAGCAAAUAGUGAAUAAAAUUGCAUAGAAGGGAAAGGGAAAAAAAAAAAAGCGUUAUAAAAAAAAAAGGCUCCCCCUAAGAUUAUGCAUGGUUUCAACAACUUAUCAAAUUCAUCAUCAAUUUUAAAUUCAAAGCCUACAUGAUAUCAAAAUAAUAAUCACAUUAAUUUUUAAAGCAUGCAUGAAAGAACAACCAAGCAAAGUUAAGUAUAUAUCACAUAUUAAUUAUCAAACAUUUCAAGCAAUUCAAGCAUAAUUAAGCAUAUAUCACAUAUUAUCAAAUAUAUCAAGCAAUUCAUGAUAGAAUUACUAUGUAUGUAAAAUACGAAGCAAAUUAAAUACAUACCAAAAUUCAGGAUCAAAAUAAAAUAAGAUAACUCGCAGAGCGCCAUCGAAAAAAAAAUCCUGAUCAAUCUGCGAAAGCGUGAAGUCCGGCUAUGAUCUGAAAGUCACGAAUCCAAUUUGGGUGAUUUAGUUUCUCCUCCUAUCUCAGGCACUUUAUUGUAUGGUGUGGAACUGAUGAUAGUCCUUCAUCAGAAUGCAUAUGAGAAGGUGACAAAACCAAUACCCCUUUAUAUAGAGUUCCAAAUCGACUUCCCAUCAAAGUCUGAUUAGAAUUCUAUUUAAAUUUAAAAUAAAUAGGAUAGGGAUAAAAUAUAUCAAGUAGUUAUAUAUCAGUUAGAAUUGACCUUUAUCUAUAGCAAAUCUUAAUUUAAAUAUAAUUAAUUGGGCCACAAUAUUUGGAAAUCCUAAUAAUUCAAGCAUAUAUCACAUAUUUUACUUCCCCUUUGUUAUCAUAAAAAGAAGGCCAAUUUGCAUAAAAAAUCUACUUAUUUUGGGCUUUUGCAAAACCGGGCCACCUUUUUCGUUUUUGCAGAUUCGGUCCGCUUUUUCUGCCGCCUGACCAAAAUGCCCCUCCUAUACAAUAGCCUCCCGCGCGUAUUUCUUGACAGACGUACACUACCCUACUACCCUGCCGUACGGUCUGGCGCGCAUUAAAUGACCGCUUAUUUCUCGGAACCCGGACAACAUCCGCCCCCGCUAUUCGCCGGCCCCGCUGUUUCCUGUUCUGCUUAAGACUUUACGAAAUUUUCGAACGCUAUUGACAAAUAGUGCGCGCUCCGCAACAGGGAUAAUAGUGCAAUGCGAAGACUGCGAAAUGAGAAAUGGUGCAACCAACCUCUAUAACAGUGCAUCCUAGCCUCGUUCCAGUGCAACCAAACCAUAAUCAGUCAAAAUUUACUUUCUCCAUUUCUUAAUAUAAUCUGAACUUAAAAGUGCAAAUGAACGGCGUCCCCUCCAAAUGCAGGCGAAGCGUUGGCGGCGCAGGACGGUCGCUACCGGGUAGGACGGUCGGCGAUGUGCGACAAAAGAGUCGGCAGGCCAGGAAGCUCUGCGGCGGGGCUGGACGGUCGCCGGCGGGGUUCGGAGUUCGAAAGGGGCGACAUAAUGGCUAAACGAUUGUGUAAAGUUUUCCUAUAAAAGAUCACGCGUCCUUUUGCUUGUUAAAUAAGUUCACAGUUAAGCGCGAAUAAUAGUGCAAGGCAGUGUUAACUACAAAACAAUAUUUUUCAAAAGAGUGCAAAGAAGCUCGUAAGAGUGCAAUACGGGGAAAUAACAGUCUAAUGGAUUUUAUCUACGAGUGCAACGAAACUUGUAAAAGUGCAAUACGGUAGUAAUACCAGUGCAACUCAGAUGAAAUGAGUUCAAGAUUCUCCGCUAAAGCGUGUAACAGUACGAUAUGUAGUACAAACUUUUCACAGAUUUGGUGUUAACAUGAACAUAAUAGUGCAAAAAUGAUCUAAAUUUAUAUUAUACCAUGAUGUAAACAAUGCAUCCGUAGCUGGUAAAUAGUGUAACAUAUUCCUAAGCAGUACAUUAAUUUGUGAACAAGAAUUACAUUUUCUUUAAAGCUGAGUACACGAUUUUAUAGAAGUUUGCAAAAUACAAAAAGGAUUUGAAUACAAUGCAAAUUUCUAUUACAUCGACUAUAACAAAUUGAACAUAAUAUAAAAUAUUUAACAGAAAUAUGUAAUCAUCGAAGCUUGUCUGCAAUUCCACGCGCACAUAGCCUAAAGUAACAGGUAUAGGCCAGGGGAGACUUCCGCAGGAGACUGCGAGGAGGAGAUUGCGAGGAGGAGACUGCGAGGAGGAGACUGCCGAAGGAGACUGCGUCGAAGAGGAGGGUCGUUCGGAAGGGUAGAUCCAGCAACGAGGCGUUAAGAUUGAUUUGCACUAUCUGGAGUGCUUUAAUUGCCUCAAGCCCUUUGGAGCUCCGCUCUACUAUGAAACAGACAGUUCAAUCAGCAAACAUAAGAAUCCAUCAAUAACAAUAAAGAUCUGCAAGAAUUUAAGAACCUGUAUGAGAAGAGGGCCAAUGGGCUCGUGGCAAAUAAAGCACUCCAGAUAGUGCGAAUCAAUCUUAAUCCCUCAUUGCUGGAUGGUACCCUUCCGAGCGAGCCGCCUACUCCACGAACUCUGCUUCGGCUCACUUCGGAGCGACCAGCCUACUCCUCGAACUCUGCUUCGGCCAUCUAUCGUCGUUGCCUAAACGUCAUGAACGAACUGUAGCCGGGUACCAGUCGUUGUGGCGCCUACCCUGCCGUACGGUCUGGCGCGCAUUACAUGACCCGUUUCCGCCUUACGCAAUCUCGCUCAUUUCUCUGAACCCGGACCACAUCCGGCCCGGGUAUUCGCCGGCCCCGCUGUUUCCUGUUCGGCGUCCCCUCCAAAUGCAGGCCAAGCGUCGGCGGCGCAGGACAGUCGCUACCGGGUAGGACGGUCGGCGAUGUGCGACAAAAGAGUCGGCAGGCCAGGAAGCUCUGCGGCGGGGCUGGACGGUCGCCGGCGGGGUUCGGAGUUCGAGAGGCGCGACAUAACGGCUAAACGAUUGUGUAAAGUUUUCCUAUAAAAGAUCACGCUUCCUUUUAACUGUUAAAUAAGUUCACAGUUAAGCGCGAAUAAUAGUGCAAGGCAGUGUUAAUUACAGAACAAUAUUUUUCAAAAGAGUGCAAAGAAGCUCGUAAGAGUGCAAUACGGAAAAAUAACAGUCUAAUGGAUUUUAUCUACGAGUGCAACGAAACUUGUAAGAGUGCAAUACGGUAGUAAUACCAGUGCAACUCAGAUGAAAUGAGUUCAAGAUUCUCCGCUAAAGCGUGUAACAGUACGAUAUGUAGUACAAACUUUUCACAGAUUUGGUGUUAACAUGAACAUAAUAGUGCAAAAAUGAUCUAAAUUUAUAUUAUACCAUGAUGUAAACAAUGCAUCCGUAGCUGGUAAAUAGUGUAACAUAUUCCUAAGCAGUACAUUAAUUUGUGAACAAGAAUUACAUUUUCUUUAAAGCUGAGUACACGAUUUUAUAGAAGUUUGCAAAAUACAAAAAGGAUUUGAAUACAAUGCAAAAUUCUAUUACAUCGACUAUAACAAAUUGAACAUAAUAUAAAAUAUUUAACAGAAAUAUGUAAUCAUCGAAGCUUGUCUGCAAUUCCACGCGCACAUAGCCUAAAGUAACAGGUAUAGGCCAGGGGAGACUUCCGCAGGAGACUGCGAGGAGGAGAUUGCGAGGAGGAGACUGCGAGGAGGAGACUGCCGAAGGAGACUGCGUCGAAGAAGAGGGUCGUUCGGAAGGGUAGAUCCAGCAACGAGGCGUUAAGAUUGAUUUGCACUAUCUGGAGUGCUUUAAUUGCCUCAAGCCCUUUGGAGCUCCGCUCUACCAUGAAACAGACAGUUCAAUCAGCAAACAUAAGAAUCCAUCAAUAACAAUAAAGAUCUGCAAGAAUUUAAGAACCUGUAUGAGAAGAGGGCCAAUGGGCUCGUGGCAAAUAAAGCACUCCAGAUAGUGCGAAUCAAUCUUAAUCCCUCAUUGCUGGAUGGUACCCUUCCGAGCGAGCCGCCUACUCCACGAACUCUGCUUCGGCUCACUUCGGAGCGACCAGCCUACUCCUCGAACUCUGCUUCGGCCAUCUAUCGUCGUUGCCUAAACGUCAUGAACGAACUGUAGCCGGGUACCAGUCGUUGUGGCGCCUACCCUGCCGUACGGUCUGGCGCGCAUUACAUGACCCGUUUCCGCCUUACGCAAUCUCGCUCAUUUCUCUGAACCCGGACCACAUCCGGCCCGGGUAUUCGCCGGCCCCGCUGUUUCCUGUUCGGCGUCCCCUCCAAAUGCAGGCCAAGCGUCGGCGGCGCAGGACAGUCGCUACCGGGUAGGACGGUCGGCGAUGUGCGACAAAAGAGUCGGCAGGCCAGGAAGCUCUGCGGCGGGGCUGGACGGUCGCCGGCGGGGUUCGGAGUUCGAGAGGCGCGACAUAACGGCUAAACGAUUGUGUAAAGUUUUCCUAUAAAAGAUCACGCUUCCUUUUAACUGUUAAAUAAGUUCACAGUUAAGCGCGAAUAAUAGUGCAAGGCACUGUUAAUUACAGAACAAUAUUUUUCAAAAUAGUGCAAAGAAGCUCGUAAGAGUGCAAUACGGGGAAAUAACAGUCUAAUGGAUUUUAUCUACGAAUGCAACGAAACUUGUAAGAGUGCAAUACGGUAGUAAUACCAGUGCAAUUUUUUGGAACAGACUCGUACUAAGCUUUUAAGAGUGCAAUACGGUAGUAUUCCUCAGCGUAUUCCUCAACGGAUGUUACCAUGCCGUACUGUCUGGCGCUCAUUAAAUGCGUCGCGUCCGCUGUACGCAACCCAACCUCCCUCGAUCAUUACUCGGAACUCGGACCACAUCCGCCCCAGCUAUUCGCGGGCCCCGCUGUUUCCUGUUCGCCUUUAAGACUUUACGAAAUUUUCGAAAGCUAUUGACAAAUAGUGCGCGCCCCGAUAAUAGUGCAACGCGAAGAGCUACCAAAGGAUAAAUGGUGCAAUAGACGUCUAUAACAGUGCAUCCGUAGCUUCGUUCCAGUGCAACCAAACAAUAACAGUCAAAAUUUACUUAUUUUAUUUCAUAUUGUAAUCUUAAGCUAACAGUGCAAAUGAAAGGACAUGGGGGCCGUCGAUAAUAUAGGGGCGGAAUGGGAGGAGGCUCCACGACCUCUUUAUCGCCGCCGCCGCCGCCGCCGCCGCCAGACCAACUAUUCAAAAGCCGUGUCGAAUUAGCCUCCGUGCGCCAGAGAUAAUAGUGCAACGAGAAUGUUCUACUGCAGUAGAAAUGGUGCAAUGACCGCUAUAACAGUGUAUCCGUAAGUCGUUUCAGUGCAACAUCAGUUAACCAGUAAAAGUUUUGGGAUCCUCGUUACACUAUUUACUAAAUAUGUUGAACUGUUAUCCUCUAUUUUAUACUAUUACAAAAUUUUACUUAAUCAAAUUAUCACUAUUAACAUCAGCCUUGAACUAUUACAAUAAGACAUAUGGAUUUAACGAUGUUUCCUGCGGUGCGGCCGCGGAUGUCGUCGCGGGCGGCUGGUUUGCUCUAGCCACAGGAGGGUUCUUGCAUGACCUUUUGUUGUGCCCCCAUCUCUGGGAAUUCCGGUAGCGUUUCUUUAUUAAGCCGUUAGCAAUAGACUCUCGCCGCGAAACCUUUCUUCUUCCCGGUUGUAUGCGGACGUUUGGCGGCCGCGGACGAACAACGUUACUUGGUAUUGCAGGCCAUUGCUCUUUGCCUGUCGUGGGGGGGACGCAAUCGUUGUAGGUUGCGCGAUAAGUCGAGGUCAUAAACCAGUCCUCGACAAAAUCGGACGAAUCCCGUAGCCUAAAUGAAAUUGCUGCCAUGGCGUGAUUGCAUGGAAUGCCGUCAAUGUCCCAUCACUUGCAGGAACAUGUCUUUUUGGAAAGAUCCACAACAUCCGUACGGUCGGCUGCAAUUACCUGGAAAACAACAAGCCAGUCCAAAGGGUGGGACAAAUAGUGUAAUGACUACAAGUAACCGAUUGAUAAUUAGUGUAAUAUACAGACUAAAUGGUGCAAAAUAAACGAUAUUACCUGAAAGAGGACAUCGGUCGAAGGAUUCAGCGUGUAAAAGCGGGACGUUUCCCUCGAGCUCCCUAAUAUCUUUUCUGCGUAGGGUGUUACUACACUGGUAAUAUUCUCCCCAUUAUUUUUCCUCCGGUAAAAAUAACAAACUGUUUUCUUUCGUGUUUCCUCGACAAGGUAGGUAAUUGGAAGGCCCUUUAAAUGUCGAAUUACACUAUUUAUCGUCUCGGCACAGUUGGAAGUGAGCAUUGAAUAACGCCUUCCCAAGAAGCAAUGGGUAGCCCACCUAUGCCGAGGAAGCUUGACCACAUACUUGUACUGUUCGGGGUUCAACUCCUUCAUCUUCUCCAUGUGUUCGUUGAACUUCGCUACAGUGUAUGCACGAGCCGCAGCCCAAAAUCUUCUCCAGGCAGGUGUAUUCUUUGGCGCGUGCGGGAGAUUGGUAGACAGAUGGUAAAUGCAAUAACCAUGAGCUGCAUCCGGAAAAACAUCGGAUACAGCAUCAAUCAAUCCUUUUUGGCGGUCGGAAACAAUAGUAAGUAGAGUAUUUGCUCUGCUGGAGUCGCGAUCACCGACGACGCCAUCCCGUAACUGUUCCAGAAACCAUUGCCAGGAAUACCGAUUUUCACCUUCAACAACUGCCCACGCCAAUGGCAAUAUGCAGUUAUUCCCAUCAAUACAUGACGCCGUCAGCAGACAACCUCUAAACUUACCAGUUAGGAAGGUUCCUGGAAGAAUAAGAAACCGUGUAUAUUAAUGUGUAAUCGUGCAAAAUAUUGCAUUACCUUCAUGAAUAUAAUAUAUAAUAGUGCAAUAUAGUAAAAUAAUCAUGUGACAGUGGCGUAAUUGUGCAAUAACGUACCAUCCAGACCAAUAAGCGGCCUGCAGUGCUUCCUGAAUGCUCGAAUCGCUGCACUGAAUGCCCAGAAAAAACGGUGAAAAUGACCCUCGUCCUGGUAAAGUAAUCGGAGACAUCUUUCCGCAUCUCCACUCUUCAACUCUUGUAUGUACGAGGGAAGUAGAGCGAACGAGCCCUCGAAAUCGCCGCGCACCUCUUGAAUGACCAAUUCUCUGGCCCGGUAGGCUUUCCAGUAUGAAAUUUUUACGCAGUGCUGCCGAAGAAUCUCGGUCUGAAUCAUUUUCGGCGUGUAUUUCUCGUUUGCCACCACCUGCUCCCUAACAAAUGAUGCAAUAAAAGCCGCAUCGCAAUUCCUGUGGCCCAAUCCCCCUAUUGCCCUACUACAAGUGUGUUGGGAAUCAAAUUUCUUCACCCACCAUUGAGCAAUUCCUGGUACUUGACGCGCCUUUAUUCUCCAAGGACAAUCUGAGACACGGCAUCGUGCGGUUAUCUUAUGGUCGUUGCAUUUCGUGGGUGCGUACUCAAAACCUCUUUUCAUUGCGUAUGCUUUCAGAGCACGUUUGAAGUCGCCUUGCGUCUUGUAGAGCUGGCCCUCGUGGACAUCGUCCGCAUCUGCGACGUCAACAACUGCAUCCAUCGUAGAGCUGUUUACAAUGAGGUCUUCUUCAAGCUCGUCGUCGCGAAAUUGCUCAGCAGUAUGUCCCACUGUAUCACCUUGCCUCAACGGGGGGACAUCCAUGGCGCUGUAUGUCCGAUGAGCUGCGUUGGGAUAAGUCGAGACGAUGCGGAUGCUAACGUCGGAAUCUGACUCGUCUUUCAGAUCAGUGAUAAUAAAACCGUCGUCAGUGUCUUCCGAUUCUGGAUCGUCAAUGAGAAUAGGAUGAGAAGAUCUGCAGCACAAGUGAAAGCAAGGAGUGUAUUGUAAAUAUUAAAUAGUACAAGAACCCUUAAGUGUAAAUUUCAUACGAUGCAAGAGGUCUAAGUAAUGAUGCAAAAUACAGCAUAAAAAUAAUCAAAAUGAAAAAAUAUGUAAUAGUGCAACCGUAUAAUAUAUAUUGCUUACACUUGAAAGCGGUAGAAUAUAAUGGUGCAAAAGUGCGUUGAGAGUAGUGCAACCUCUUAAAAUAAAGAGGUUACAAGUGCAAUAAGGCUCGGUAAUUGUGCAAAAGAAAUAAUAGUGUAACUUACGAGCCAACUAUUUCAAAAAUUGUCUGCUGAGGAGUAGAUGCAUUCCCGGAACGCCUGUUAAUCAGCAGAUCCAGCUGUUCGUCUGUAAGCACUUCGUCUAUAUCAUCGGGAUCACAAGUAGCAAACUUUCUCUCGACUAAGUUACUCACAGCAUAUAGCUCCAUCAGAUACGCGUGGGCUUUAUAGAGUCUCCGCAUGUUUCCGACAUCGUCGUCGUCAACAAUGUCGAUGAGUUUGCUUAGAUUCCCACUAUAGCAAAGUUUAAUUUCGAUAUUGUAGGAAUCCUGUGAAGUAUUAAUGUACUUGCAGAACAUUGCUUGCAGGGAUUUAAAAUUAUCGCCUUGCCUGAUGAAAUUGAGCCGGCUGGAUCCUCCUACAUAAUUGACAAAGCCUCUUUCCUCCUUAAAACACCCAUUAAAAUUGAAGUGCACUGGAAUUUCAUCAGUGUUAUCCAUGACUUGUAAGAAUUGGAUAUAGGAAAUUAGCUAUUAGUUAUCCAAAAACACUCUUUAUAUAAUAUCAUCCAGUUAACGCAAUGAGUUGUUAAGUUGUGCAUGGGGCGGGAAAUAGUACUUGACACAGCGGAAUCAAUAGAUUUUAGAUUUUAUUCCCUUCAGUCCUUGAGACAAGUCCAAGUUGCACUUCCAAAUAAUAUAAAUAAAAAAAUAAAAAACCUAACAGCAAACACAGGCUCUGGCGAAUAGAAUAUCUACGCCCUAAACCCACCUUUCCCGCGCUUGCUGCAUUAAUGGCUCUUUAAUGGUUUGCAUUUAAUGCUCUGUCAUAAAACGGCGCUGUUGCGUAUAGCGCAUGGGCCUCAUAUAAUUACAGGAUUAUAAGGGAAUUUCGCCUCGGGAAGGUAAGCAAGUUUCGCUGUUUGGUAAUGGAAAUAAAAUAGUGUAACAGAUGUAAACAGAUCACCAUUUUAGCAAGGAAUUGCACUAUUAUAUCUAUUACAUUACACUGUUAUAAUACAAGAUGAAUUUUUUUACACCACUUGUACAAUAAAAUGCACCAUUAUGUACAUUACAUUGCACUGUUACACAGAUUGUAAACACCCUAGACAAACCCUCCGGGGCAUUAAAUGCGGCCCAUGCGCUUCACGCAACAUGGCUCUUUUUCGAAACUCGGACAACAUCCGUUCCGCUAUUUGCAAGCCCAGCUGUUUGCUGUUCGGCUUUAAUAAUUUAAAUAUGUGAACCUAAAACAUGACUGAAAUAAUAGUGCAACGAGAAGGAGCAAUGAUAGGUUAAAUGAUGUAACAGCCCUUCUGAGCGUGCAUCACUACACUCGUUCCAGUGCAAACACCUUGAAGCAAGGAGGGAUAAUAGUUCAACAUUCUUGUAAAUAGUGUAACGAAGAAUAUUACAAGUAAAAUUCUAUUAAUUUCUUUAUAACAAAGGUAAUGAGAAUUACAUAUGUACACCAAUUCGUCUUAGUGUGAAAAAAAUGACAGUACAAAUGAAAGAACUGUAACUCGAAUCAGCCUCGAAUUAUUACGAGUAAAAAAGACGCAAGAAUUCUGCUGCUAUCUCGCCGCGUCUCCUCGUCAUAUCCUUCUGGGAGAAGUCCAAGUUCCACCCCUUCUGCAAGUAUUCCUCGUAUGCUAACAGGAAGAUUGCGCAGUCACUGGACUGAUCUUGAAUCGGGAUGUCUUCCAUAUUGAUCUUCUCCCAGUCGACGGGACGGGUACUGCGGCGCCCAAACAAAUCGGAAAAUUUUUGUUGCAAAUAAUUUCCUAUGAACUUACACUGCAUAGAAAUCAUUGCACUAAUUAGAAAUAUAAUGGGGUAAUGCUGGUAUGAUUUCAAAGUAUUAUGAAACACUUACUGCUUUUUCAAACCCCACGUUGUUGUCUGCCACCACGAAUGACGCACCUCGUACGGUCGAUGGAAUUUUCGGGGCCGUGGGGUAGUAUUCAUGAUUCAAAUGAGUAUUUAUAUGUAUGUGUGGGUAUCAGGUAUUGCGAGUCCAUGGCUUCCAAUAGAUGCAAGCAUCUAUUGUUAAUUACCCCCUAUAGAUUGGGGUACCUUCGAUUAGGAGACCUUUAUAGAUGGGAUGAGAUGAAUCACGUCUCGGAUUAUUGAAUCCUAAGUAUAUGUAUUAGGAUUCAGUUGGAUUUGAGGUUGAUUAGGCCCUAAGUAUAUGUGUUAAGACCUGAUCGAUAUUAAACUCUAUGUAUUAGAGUCUAAUUGGUUCAUGAGAUAUGGGUAUGAGUUUAUGGGAUUUGGGUAUUGGUUCAUGGGAUAUGGGUAUUAGGUUGGAUGUAUGGUUCAUGGGAUUUGGUCCAUAAACUUGGUUUUGGCUCAUGGGAUUUGGUCCAUGAGGUUUGGUUUUGGUUCAUGGGAUUUGGUCCAUGAACUUGGUUUUGGCUUCAUGGGAUUUGGUCCAUGAGGUUUGGUUUUGGUUUAUGGGAUUUGGUCCAUGAACUUGGUUUUGGUUUAUGGGAUUUGGUCCAUGAACUUGGUUUUGGCUUAUGGGAUUUGGUCCAUGAGUGUCACGCCCCGGGACGGGCGGAGGCCCUCCCGGUGACGUGCCCAGACCCGCCAUAUGUCUACAUGUAUAAGGUGUCUACAAGAAAAGCGGAAGUAAAAGCAAGAGAUGGAACGAAUAGGAGAAGUGAAAUAACAAGCAACUAACGAUAUCAGAGCGAGUAAAGUUCUAACAUCUAUACUAAUAGUAAUAGAACAACUAAAAUAUAAAAGUAAACAUAAGUUAUACAGUAUCAGCCUCUAAUACAAAAAUGGUGGUCUCUAGUACACCGGUAAAACUCUCAACCUCUCCAAAAAGUACAACGAGAGGUAGACCACCUAGCAAAUCGUCCUCGAAGGAAGCUAGCUCGAAGCAACUCCCUUCCCGCGGUCCCUGGCCUCACCCUGAGUGGAAGGCUCUGAAAAACAUCGAGAAAAGAGGGCGUGAGAACUAUGAUUUAUAGUUCCCAGUGGGCAAUUACUGACCUCAGCUCAGUGCACCACUAGGCCCCAAAGAAAAGGGUAAGUCUAACAAUAAGAGUAAUGAGUAAAUUGCAUACUAGAAAGCAUAAUAAUUAGGAUGCUAAGCUACAACUUGCAAUUAAACAUGGCAUUCCUAAUGCGACUUUAUCUUGUCAUUGAUAUAUAUAUAUAUUCACAAGUAAUAUCAUGCUUUACUUAAUACAGAUAUGAAAGUAAUACUUGGUCAUGACUACAAUGCAUAUAAGGAUGCAAUAAACAACAUCUCCUAGCAUACUACAUGUAUGUAUGAAUACCCAAAUGUCCACAACUAUGCUAGAAGUAAGUCCAAGUAAUCCUACUACUACUCUCUGACUAGUAGUGUUCAUAAUAAACUCAACACCGUGUCGAUUUCCAUUUCCAAUUAAGGACCUACCAAAGAUAGUCCAGCUUGUGCCGCCUAAGUGCCUGUGGUAGCCCGACAUUCCUACUCUUGGAAUGUGUCUGUCCCACUCGACCCCGUAGGCUUCUCAAUACCGCACGAGGCGAACAUAGGUUCGCAUAAGGCUAACUCCGGAGUGCCGGCUGUAGGGAGCGACCCUCACAAGCAAUGUGCGAAUGCACAAAUGGCAACAACCAAGGUCAAACAGUCCAGUAUCUACUUCGGCUCGCACAUGGCAAGGCACUAGCAUCCCAAGGAUCUAGCAAACUGUCUCAAAGUGAACGUCCCAACACUCACUUGCUUAGCUGCGCGUCUUAAUGAAACUUAACAUCACACUGUCAACUCGACCUCUUGUUCUACUGUUUCAUUUUAAACAUUAAUAACUAAGACUAUAUAUGCCCUGCGGCCCAAUGCCUGCUUUAGACAUUGUGCCCAAUCCGCAAAUAGCCAGUUCUCACCCUCUCUAGCUUCUAAACAAUUCCAAUGUCCCCAUUGGCAUCAUAGCUUAAAUUGCCAAGAGAGCAAGAUCCGUUUUCAUAAUAGAUCCAUGGUUCCCAACAUAAAACAAAUGCCUAAGUCUCACAAUACAACUGCACUUACCACAUAGGGUAAAAUUCAAAUGUGGAAAAGCUCGAAAUAACACAACACACUCGACACCUCGCAAUUUGGCAAGGUCCCAGUGCGUACAAUGAGCGUUUGGUUUUGGUUCAUGAUUUGGUCCCCAUGAGAUUGAAUUUUGGUUUCAUGAGAUUAUGUCCAUGAGGUUUGUUUUGGCUCCAUGGCAUUUGGUCCAUGAACUUGGUUUUGGCUCAUGGGAUCUGGUCCAUGAAGGUUUGGUUUAGGUUCAUGGAAUUUGGCUCCAUGAACUUGGUAUGGUUCAUGUAUUUUGGUCCAUCGAACAUGAUUUCUGAGCUCAUGGAUUGUCCAUGACGUUUGGUUUGUGUUAAUGGAUUUGUCAUGAACCAGUUUGUCCAUGGAUUUGUCCAUGAACUUGGUUUGGCUCAANNNNNNNNNNNNNNNNNNNNNNNNNNNNNNNNNNNNNNNNNNNNNNNNNNNNNNNNNNNNNNNNNNNNNNNNNNNNNNNNNNNNNNNNNNNNNNNNNNNNNNNNNNNNNNNNNNNNNNNNNNNNNNNNNNNNNNNNNNNNNNNNNNNNNNNNNNNNNNNNNNNNNNNNNNNNNNNNNNNNNNNNNNNNNNNNNNNNNNNNNNNNNNNNNNNNNNNNNNNNNNNNNNNNNNNNNNNNNNNNNNNNNNNNNNNNNNNNNNNNNCCUGGUUUAGGGUACUCGGUUUUGGUUCAAGUACCUGGUUUAAGGAUGAGGUUUGGUUUUGUUUGGGUCCGAGUUUGGGUUCUUGUUUUAUGUGUGGACUUGGUUUGGGUUUGGAUUUAUUUGGGUCCAAGUUUGGGUUCUGGUUUUAUGUGUGGACUUGGGUUUGGAUUUAUUUGGGUUUGGGUUUUGGUCUUAUUUGUGGACUUGGUUCAGGUUGGGUUUGAAUUUGAUUUGGGUUUGGGUUUUGGUUUUAUGUGUGGAAUGGGUUUGGAUUUUAUUUGGGUUUGGGUUUUGGUUUUAUGUGUGGACUUGGGUUUGGAUUUUAUUUGGGUUUGGGUUUUGGUUUUAUGUGUGGAAUGGGUUCGGAUUUUAUUUGUGGACUUGAUUUGGGUUGGGUUUGCGUUUGAUUUGGGUUUGGGUUUUUGGUUUUAUUUGGGGAAUGGGUUUGGAUUUUAUUUGUGGACUUGGUUUGGUUUCGGUUUAUUUUGGUUUUGGGUUGGAUGUUUAUUUGGACUUGGUUUGGCUAGGUUUGGGCCGUUUGGCUUUGUAUGUGGACUUGGUUUGGUUUGGGUUUAUUUGGGUUUUGGAUUUUGGUUUGGAUGCUUAUUUGGACUUGGUUUGGUUAGGUUUGGCUUUGUAUGUGGACUUGGUUUGGUUUGGGUUUAUUUGGGUUUUGGGUUUUGGUUUGGAUGCUUGUUUGGACUUGGUUUGGUUAGGUUUGGCUUUGUAUGUGGACUUGGUUUGGUUUGGGUUUAUUUGGGUUGUGGGUUUGGUUUGGGUUUAGACUUGACUUGAUUUAGGUUUGUAGGUGAACUUGAUUUGCAAUUUGGGUUCGCAUAUGAACUUAAUNNNNNNNNNNNNNNNNNNNNNNNNNNNNNNNNNNNNNNNNNNNNNNNNNNNNNNNNNNNNNNNNNNNNNNNNNNNNNNNNNNNNNNNNNNNNNNNNNNNNACAAAAGAGAGAGAUUUUUCAGUCGAAAAUCAUGUAUUUGGAAUGUUUGAGUCUAUUAAACCUUUCGGUUGUUCAAAUAAUAACUUCCUCUUUUAAAAAUCCAUUUAAAAAGCACAGACUUUUGACAUACCUUUGGAAAAGUGUAUUAAUUGAAAAUGACUAAGCAAUUCGAACUAGGAUACGAAUGUAGUUCAAGACGAGCAACCGAGCAAAAGUUCUUCCAAGUUCUAUUCCCUAAUUGGUGGUACCCAUGAGCAACAAGUCUACUUUGUUCGUAUGCAUAGUACCAUCCUCGAUCUUUCUUAUUCUUAAAGAUUCCACUUUGGUACAUAAUGUGUUGUUCGGUCAAGGGCGAAUGGCACCAAUUCCCAUACCUCAUUGCGAACAAAUUGACCAUAGUUCUUCUGCAUGGCGUUAUCCAAUAUUCAUCACUAAGAGCUUCGUCAAGCUAUUCUUUGAGCUCUAAUCAGAGAAAUAUACAUGCGAAUCAUCUUGUAACAUGACUCUUGGUUCGCACAACCACAUUUGAUCCCCAAUCACAUUUGACAAAGGAUGAUUCUUUGACUCAGUCAAGGAAUAAUUCAGGAGAUCCGCUAGGUAAUUUCAGGCUGUGAUAUUUUGUGGCUCAUGAAAUCAUUUGAUGGCAAAGUUUUACCGAUAGAUGCAAUGAAUUAUCAGGUAAUAAGAAUAUAUCAUCUCACUAGGUUAUUACAACGGAGAUCAUUAUCAUUCAUCAUUCUCAAGGAUUUGGAGAACCAUUCACAGAAGAACUUACAGGAAACGUUCAUCUACUUUUUAUAUGAUAGACUCUAUCACCCGGUCUAUAGUUCGUAAAAUUGUGACGCACGAUAGGCACGCACUGUAGUAGAAUAACAAGAAAUAUCCUUACGUCACUGCGAGAGGUCAAAUUUUUCAAGAUUUCACCGAUCCCUAAGGUAUAAGCACUUAUGUCCGAAGACAGAAAGUAUUUAAUAUUCAGUUUUCUACCAAGCCAAAUUUCAUAAGGCGUUCAACGUGCCGGACGUAAUAAAUCCGAUUGAUGAUAUAGACAGCUGGUUAACGCUUCGCCAAAAUGUAAAGCAUUUCUUACUAUGCAGAUAAACGAGCAUCUCCUGUAAACAACCGCAUUCUUAGUUCAACCACUCCAUUUUGUUGGGUGUAUAGGGGGCCGAGAAAUUCAUGUUUUAUACCGUUUGAAACACAGAAAUCAACAAAUUUGGAAUUUAUGAAUUCUCCCCCUUGAUCACUUCGAAUGCGUACAAUUUAUCAUUUCGUUCGAGUCAUGACGGAGACAGAUUUCAGAAAAGAAUUAAAAGUAUCAGCUUUUUCUCGUAAGAAGGCACUCCAUACAUAGCGAGUAAAAUCAUCAACAAAUCAAAAUAUAACGUUUUCCACCCAAACUUUGAAUCUAGAUGGUCCAUCAAAUCCAUGUGAAGUAGCUCUAGCAGUUUAGUUGUCCCUAAGUGGUUCAAGUUCUUAUUGUGGUCUAGUUUGUUUCCCUAAUUGGCAACCCCACACACAGGUGUUCUCUUUUAAGUCAAUCUUAGGUACACCUCUAACUACUCCUUCUUUAGUUAUCUUGGAUAGCUCCUUAAAAUUAAUGUGACUAGUCGUUCAUGCCAUAAAGUUUCAGUUUCUAAUACGCUAGGUUACAAUGUUCAGUGGGCGAACUAGGAACAACAUAACAAUUAUUCUGAAUCUAAUGCCCUUUAAGAAUAGAUUGUCAUCACGAGUCACAUGGCAUUCUUUUAUCAGAAAAGUUCACCGAAUACCCAUCAUCACAAAUUGACCUUAUGCUUACGAGAUUAAGAUUGAGCCCUCCAACAUAAAAAACAUUCAUUCAUGUAGGGCCAUCAGAGAUAGUCACUGUUCCUUUUCCCAACAUUUUUGACGAUCGACCGUCUCCAAACACACAAAAGUCCUUCCGAGAUUUUGGUCAAAGAGGUGAACCAUUAUUUAUCUCGCCAUUGACGGGAAACAGCCACUAUCCAGAUACCUGAUGAGUUAUCGUAAGCAUGAAGUGAGAGUGUGAAUGACUAGGCAUGGGAAGAGUUCACCUUUGCGCACCAAACCUUACGUGUUUUGUUUGUGUCCAUUCGUUUGCUUUGUUGAUCGUGGCUUGUCGACGAUUUGAAUUGACUUCCUCUUCAUAUCCUCCUUCUUUGGUUUCCAUGCUUGUUUUGCCUUUGGCUUUGGAGUGUUUGGCGUCCGAAUUUGGCUCUUCUUUUGUUCUAUCUCUUUGAGGUCACAAUUGACUUCAUCGUCGUUUUAGGUUACUCUUCAAGAGAGCUAUUGAGCUCUCUCCUUUUGGUAGCAGAAUUUCUUUAUGUGCCUACAACACCACAAAUGUGACAAGUUUUGUUAGUCAAAUUAUUUUAGGAGAGACAAACUUACCAUAAAGUUUAGUACAGCAGUUGACGAGUUUCCAUCAUCCUUCUUAGUAACUUGAUCAAUAUAUGCCGUUCAUAACCAAGUCAAGUUAUAUUGUCUGACCAAGUCCAAGCAUCUUAUCUAGUUUGCUCGAACCAGAUGAAAAUUGGUUCAAAUCUGACUUCAGUUGAAUGAUCGUCUUGGUGAAUUCCAUAUUUGCUUCUCUAGCUUCUGAAUUUGUUUGGUAAGAUACUUGAUGUUCUCCGCCUGAGUCUCCUUUCUUUUUCAGUAACGAACACUUCUCAACAAGGAUUGUACGCCUUGGUCAACCCAUCUCUCUCUGUUCUAAAUCCUUUGUUAGAGAGGCCAACUUUGAAUUUUCUUGUUCCAACUCAUGUAGGCUUCGCCGCAAUUUCUUGUAUGUUUAGCCAUCUUCUUUGAUCAACAACUAAUUGUUGAUAUGCUGCGAUCAUUUCAUCUUCGUCCGAUUCUCCAUCCGAUGAGUCCCCGAAGAUGAUUCUCUUGGAUAGAUGUAGUAGAGAUCGAGUCAGAAGAUGCUAGACACAUGAAAGUUGAUUCUGGUGGGCAAUUAGAGCCGUGCAUUCACAUCCUCUCACUCGAAGUAGAAUCGCAGAUGAGGAGUCUCCCGUCCAAGUCAUAGCUUGCAUAGCUUUCUUCUUCAACGACUUUUUAAUUUGGAGCAGUCAGAUGCUAUAUGGCCAAAGCCCUACAUUGUAGCAUUGGAUUUGACCUUCACCGCUUUUCCUCUCUUUUGUGGAGUCCUUUUGAGAGUUAUCAGAUUUUCUGUAUUUUGACGAAGAAGAAGAGGAUGGACCCCUUUUGAUUUGUUAGUCUUUGAUGAAGUAGACUUGGGAGGAAACUUCUUUCUAAAGUUCCGACGGAACUUCUGUUGUUAGAAGUGCGAGUUGUUUCUCAAAUUCCUCCAAGCUUUGCUCCGACUCUGAAUCUGAUGAGGUGACGAGACAUCUCCUUUUUGAUUUUAGAGCCAUCCCUGAGCUAUAGAAAAAGACUUGGACGAAGACGAAUUAGAAGGAAAAGUCAUUUCGUACGUUUGAAGAGCACCAACUAAUUCAUCUACUUUGAGUUCAUCCGGAUGUUCAUCGUUUCAAUGGCCGCAACCUGGACCGGAAACGUUCGGGAAGAGUUCUCAAAAUUUUUCGAACGAUUUUUGGUUCAGAAAUUUUUCACGUCAAAUUUGCACAAGUAUUGACAAUAUCUGAAGACGAGUGUAAUACUCGGUAAAGGUUUCAUUUUCUUCCAUACGAAUAGCAUCAAAGCGACUAGUCAACAUUUGUAAUUUCUGAACCUUUACCAAGCUUGUACCCUCGUGAGUAAUUUGUAAAGUGUCCCAAAUUUCUUGGCGUUUCACAUGCUGAUACUCGUGAAAUUUCAGUUUGAUUCAACGCAUUGAACAAAGCAUUGAUACCCUUUCCCAUUGAACGAAGAUAGUUCGUUUUCGGUCUUUAGUCCACUUAGUUCUAGGUUUCGACGGUAACAUUCUCGACCACAUUCAGUAGGAAUGUUCCAUCCGAUUCAAGGCUGCCAAACCCUCUCGUCAUAGCAAUAAGAAACGCCUCAUACGGACUUUCCAAUAAGCAUAGUUAGUUCCAUCGAAGAGAGGGGGUCGAUUGAUGUUACGCCCUCAGCCAUGAGUUACAACACUAUACCCGCUCUGAUACACUUGUGAGUUAUGGAUCCCGAGGAUCUAAAAGGUAAGUAACACUAGAGGGGGGUGAAUAGGUGUAAACCGGCAAACUCAAACAAUCUCGAUGCAAACAAACACAAUAGCGAAAUUAAUAGCACACGAGAAUUUAACGUGGGAAAACUCCAAUUCGGAGUGAAAAACCCACGGACCGAUCACGCAAAGAAAAUCCACUAAGAAAACAUGAGUACAAGUGAUUUCGACCAAAAACACGCGACUCAAUUUACCGAUUUCUUGUUGACGGUGAUCUUUGCCGGUCCUCCGAUCGAUAGGAAUCCACCAAUCGACCUUGCUGCAACUCCUGCGCAGCGUCAACGCCUCAAUCCUCAAAGCGUCCACCGAAUCCUCGCUUCGCGCGAGAUCCUCGCGCGCGAACCUCCUUCCGGAGCUUGUAGAAUUGAAGAUUUGCGGUGAUUUAUCUUUUGAAAACCAUAAGCUGUGAGGAUUCACCUUAAUCAAUCAUCUACUUGAUCUUGUAAGAAAUAUUGUUAAAACGAAGAAACAAGCCAAAUGUUGAUUGCUAGAAACUCAUCAUGUAAAUCGAAGCGAAGAAAACGAGUUUCUAGGGUUUAGAAUUGGUAAAAUAUUCAAAGCCUUAAUUAGAUGACCCACAUAGCUUUAUUAUAUGUUUAGAAGACUUAGAAGUAGAUAGGAUUGCAAAAAGUCGAUUUCAAAAACCUGUGUCCCUCAGAGACCGGUCCUGUCGAGGAGACCGUCUGUGAGAGACCGGUCUCUCAAGUGAGGAACCGUCCUCCUGCGUGACCAAAAACCCCACGUUCGGGAACCGUCUCUCAAACUUGAGACCGUCCUCGCUGCGUGACAGAACCACCAAGGUUCGGAACCGGUCUCUCAUCACAGGGGACCGGUUGCAUCAGGAAUUACGCAGUGAGGACCUUGGGGAACGUCUCUCCUAUUCCAGAGACCGGUCCCAGAACACAAGAAAGUUCAGUAAAUAUGUUUAAAAAACAUCUAAGCCUUCUGAAUUAUUUUAAUCACGUAAUUUCACCACAAAUGAUUUUUCUACAUACCUUAGGUGUCGAUCUUUCUGAAUAAGUCUUUGUCCUCUAAUUGAAUCUUUUCUCGAAAUCUUCUGCGAUCACUCUUCAAGACUCCAAACAACUUUACGAAAUUCGCCAACCUAUAAAAUCCUUAACAGUAAGUGGUAGUGGGCACGCUUGAGGUCUGGCGGUGCUAACCAACAGAGCACAGAUUUUGGAUUAGGUAUAUUUGGAUUUCUUGUCCGGUUGAUGCAAUAGCUAUAGUAGCGGUUGUUUGUUUGUGUAUACCUUCAGUUCUUUCGUUUCACUGUCUUGCUGCUAUAGUUUUGUUGCAGGUAUACUUUCAGUUGUUCAUUAUAGUAGCGGUAGAUGUACUUUCUUAUAUACAUAUCUCUUUCGUUCAUUAUCGUUGCUACUGUAUUUCCACUGAUCCGUACUGUUGUUUAUCUCUUCCUGAUCCGGUGAGUACUCCUCGCCUUCAUCGACUUGCGGUACCCACUGGGAGGGGAGACAUGUUUACAUGUUCUCACCUCCCCACCACUUUUCAGGUAUUGCGGGCGGUGAGGUUGAGACGAGACGUGAGAAACGUGGAUAGCUGUCGAUAGAACUUCUGACCCGGUUUGUUUAGUUUAGUUACUACCUUUGUUAUUUCUGUUGAUAUGACUUAGACAUCUAUAUGGUUCAGUAUUUCAUUAUGUUUAAAUUCAAGAUUUCAGUUGGUUUUCUGAAUGAGAUAAAGAUUUUUGAAUUUUUGUGAAAAUGAAAGGUUUUCUAUCCCUCGUGGUAGCGUGUUUUAAAAAGAAAAGGUUUCCGUGUGGGAAACAGCUUUCAAAAGAGUUUUCUCAUGGUUUUCUUGAAUUAGUAUUUCAAAAUAAGUUUCCUGGUAGGAAACGUUACAACUGAUAGUUGUGGAUUUAUACUCAGAUCUCUGUUUAUGAAUCGUAGUGAAUGGUGUAUGGAUAUUGAAUGUAUGAUGACUUAUAUAUUUAUUUAGUUGUGGUUGUAUCCUGUUUUACACCUUGUACUUGUGCGACGCCGUGCAAAUACAGGAGAGACUCUGUCCGUGUGAACAGUGGAAUCCCCGUAUUUGUGGCGGAUCUAGCAUACCCUGGGGUCAGGUUUUCAAAAAAAAAUUUCUAAUCACUUCCGCUGUAUUUUCAAACUAAAUGGGACCUUGGGGCGUGACACCCUAACCUCUCCUCUCUCAUUCACAGCAGUGAGAACACACUCCUCUCUCAUUUCUCUCCCUCUCUCUCUCUAGGAACUCUCCCCCAAAGUGAAUGAGGAGAUCAAGAGGAGGAUUUGGAAGAGAUUUGGAGUUUUGAAGGGUCUAGGGCUCUCCUACAAGGUGGAGCUUGGUGGGCAUCUAGGCUAAGGUGAGGUAUCUUGUAAGAUUGAUGUUAGGGUUUGGUUUUAUGCCCUAAAUCUUUUAAUUUUGAGCUUCUUGCAAUAUUAGAAACCUAGUAAAGACCUUGGAACCUCAUGAAAUUCAUGAGCUCUCAUGGUAGAAACCUAGAGUUUGUUUUAUAUACCCUAAGAAUAGUUUAAAUGGCCUAGAAAUGGUUCUAGAUAAGUUUCUAGAUGAUGAUUAAGCUUGCUUUUGCUUAUCUUAGAAAUCAAAAUGGUGUAUCGGCCAAAUGACAUUGUUAGGGUACCAAAAUUGGGGCUUUUACCCUAGGUUGGUUUAAAGAUAAAUUGACCUUGUAGAAACCAAAUUGGGGGUAUUUCUAACUCGUUGGUGGACUCAGUUCGCCAAUCGACGAGUCUACGCAAAGAUAUGGGAAAAAAGCCUAAUUUGGUUUCGUUUGCCGCAAGCGAGAGAAUAGGCGCUCAAAAAUCACGAUACUUGAACCGUAACACCCUAGCAACCAUACGAGGUGGGUGGUGCUUUCCGAAAUCGAUGAAUUUUCUUUUAUGUCUAAAGUGUCAUUUCUUGAACAUAGUUUAUAUAUGAUCAUUAUGCAUUAUAGGGUGAAAUGAGAGCAUGUGGACAUGUGUUGUUGCAUGUUAUGAGUACAAAUGCAUGUGAGAUGAUUGUAAACUAGUGAGAGCUUGUAAAAACCCUAUGUAUGCAUGAAUGAUGACAAGAACCUAGAAAAGGUAAAAAAACUAGUGACAUUGAGAACAAAUGACAUUAUGACAUAUGGAUUGUGUGGCAUUAGCAAACAAAAAGGAAUGCUAGAAUUGGACUCUUAGUUGAGUGGCAUCAAUGAGUUUUGAAUGCUAGAGUUGAACACUUAGUGUGUGGCAUUAAUGAAACAGGAAUGCAUGUGAUUGAGUAUAGAGAACAUUUAGUGUAUGUGGCACUAAUGAAAGUAGAGAAUGCAAGUACAUGAGAAAGUUGACAUUAUGACAUAACAACCUUAUAGUUAAGGGUCAUAUGAGCAUUGCAUCCUUAUAGUUAAGUAUUGGAUUGAACUUAGAAUCCUUAAAGUUAAGGAUUGAUUAUACUCACCUAUAAGUCUUGGUUUGAGGGUGGUCGCUCCCCCUCGAGCGAUGAGCUCCAGAGUUAUCAUCACUGGGAAGGUGUUUGCCCCAGAAGACGGUUCCGUCGGGAGGCAGUUGAGGGCCCGACUAGAGGGAUUUGAGCUAGUGAGUUUAUUGAGGGCGGAACCUACGGGUUAGCGAAGUGGAUUAGAAAUUGGAAAGUAAUCUUGCAUUCAUCAUGAGCAUUCUAUUUGAGCAUAAUCAUUGAUUAUAUCUUGUUCAGGCAUAUUAGCUGCAUUUGUUUAGUUUGGCUACUAUCUAUCUCUAUUCUUCUAUUAUGUCUGAUUUAGACCUAGUGGGAAAGUCGACGAGGUCGACGGCCGAACCCACUGGAAACUUUGUUGUAGUUCUCACCUCACUAUUUCCACAGAGCCGGGAUUGAGUGAGCCGGCCGACGAUCGCGAUAAAGGUAUCGCGCCAUAGACAGAGACCACCCGAGUUGGUUUCAUAUUUUGUAUAGUUGCAUACCAUUUAUAUAUCAUCUUUUGUAUUUUGAUGAUUAUAGAUGUAUAGAUGAUACAAACGUAUUAAUGAAAGAAUGUAAAGAAUUCUAUUUUGAAGAAUAUGUGAUGUAAAAAAAAGAAAUGAUGCAAAGAAUAUAAAUGUAACAUGUGAUUGAAUGCAUGUAUGUGAUUAAAAAAUAAUCAUUAUACUUGUAUGAAUGUUUAGUUUAGUACUUUCACUUUCGGCUUUUUGCUUGCCCUCGUGCAAACCAUGUAUAUCUUUAUUUCGUUGUGCAAAUUUAUAUAUAUAGAUGAUUUGUACUCGUUGAGCCUUAGGCGGACAGGGGAGGUGCUGUCCGUUCGGCGUCUAUUCGACGUGCCUGAACCGUCCAAAUGGAUCAGUCCCGGGGCGUGACACAGCUUCAAGUGGUGACCCUCGAAGUUUGCUCCCUUCAACGGAUCAAGCGAUUCGGUUGAUGAGGAAUCGGAUCAGCCGAGUUCAAAUACCUUCACUGUAGACUGGGUUCGGCUAAACGAGCCGAAUGAAUGAGAUGCACAGUGGUUGGGUCGGUUGAAGAGCUGCAUACCUUUAUAUAUUGAUAUUAGAUCUAGAAACUUGUACAAAAUAGAGUGUGCCUCUGGGACAUACAGACUCUGAAAAUCUAACUCUAAGACUACUCCUAAGAAAAACAGUAAAUACGAGAAAGGAAAAGAUUACAAGUAGACUACCCCUAGAAAUGCGAGAAAAAUGCAGAGAGAAUAAAAUGUGGUCUUCUGUUCACAAAAAAAGACCCUACUUUUAGGCGUUACUUACCUAUUUAUAUUCCGCUGUUAUUGUUUAGUUGUUGCUCAAGAUCGGCCACUUUCCUAUUUUUGCGGGCCACUACGAGCCGAUCCAAACUACUCAUAACCGUUUGCAGUUACGUCUUGCAGUUAUGCCAUUUAUUCCUUUAUUACUCCGGUGCACAAAAAACCCAUUAACCCCGACUUCCGAAUGUCCUGACUGAACCGUGCACCAACAUGCCAGUGUGUGAUUUGUAGAAAUCUAUUUCACUAGCCUGAUUCAAGGCCUAGUCCAUCAAGUGCCUGCAGUUGUAUACAAUCAAUACUAUGCUGAGGUUCAAACCGAAAGGUACCUUUAGCCGAAUGCACAGUAUAAAGAUCUUAAUUAAUUUGAUGGCUUUUAACUUUUGAUCUUUAUUAAAGUUUCUAAUUGUUUAUAUGUUUUCAAUGUUUGAGAAGCUUUUAAAUUAAAUUUUAAAUUACGUGGGGGACUGUUGUAAAUAGUUAAAUUUAAAAUAUUUAAUUUAAAUCUAAUAGAUUAUUAAAAGGUUUAUUUAAAAUUUAAUUUAAGUACAAUAUAUUUAAUAUGAGAAAAUUGAGCGCACAUAUUCCCUCUCCUCUAUUCGGAAAAGGAGGUAACAUGCCCCGCUUUGUCAGGAGAUGGGGAUCAUGGAUUCCGCUUUAAUAGAACGUCCCACAACGGUCCUUUAGACCGUCAACUUUAUAUUAUUAAACAAAGGAAUAAAAGAUCUAUAUCUAUAGGAAUUUUAACCAACAGAUAUCUAUAUCUAUAAGAAUUCUAACUAACAGAUAUUUUCCCUUCUUUACUUUAUUUUUUUAUUAUUAAGUUAAGAUUUUGAAAGCCGAAUUGAUAUUCAGUCUUGUAUGUUGUAUUGCUAGAGCAACUACGCCGGAGACUUGCACGUGGGGAGGCUAAAGUUACUCUAGAAUAAUGCAUUGCACGUCUCACCGGGCUAUUUUCCGAAAUUCCUUAUCUUUUAAUUUAGUUUCAUAUUUAACUUAAUAUUUAUUUAUUAGUAGAUUUAAUCAAAAAUCUGUGAAAGAAAAUCAAAUUUCAAAAUUUAUCCUAACAGAUGCUUCAUGGUGGGGAUUCUUACCAUCAUUCUUUUUUUCUUUUCUUUUUUUUGGUGUUUUGGCAGUGGUGAAGCUUCAAAAAGUAAUUUCGAUCUUCAUGAUUUCUUUGGAAUCUUAGACUCCAUUUCGGUCUAUUUUAAUAAUAUAGUGGAAAAAAAUAUUAUUUUUGUUGGCAUUCGGUUAAAUCGAAUCGGGUACGCCCAUAAUCGGAUUCGAUCCAACGGAUAUUAUGUUAUCUAAUUGCGAUCGUGCUCGUUUGUAGUUCGAUCCACCGUGAGUUUGGAGCGUGAGAAGACAUUCAAGGACGAUCCGAGGACACGUGAAUCAAUCUAAACGAUCCAGGCUCAUCGCGUUGUUGCGCGAAUCGCUUCCGCAAAAGGUACGAACCGAAUACUUCCGCUGCGUUCUACAAUUUUUAUACUAUAGAAAAUUUAAAAAGUCUAACAACGUAUUCAUCUUCUAUUUUUUAAAGUUACGGUUGCAAUCUCUACCAGAGAAAGAAGUUACAAUCUUAAUUUUAUAGUAUAAGAAGUACUUUUCAAAUUUUUAAGCAUUCUAUAAUAUGAAUAUAAAAUGUAUAGCCAUUACAUUACCAAAUUAGGUCUAAGAUGUGCAGGAUACUUGUGAUGCUGUAUAUCAUACAUAGCGGAAUUCAAGUAGUUCAACUCAGCAAUUAGUACGCCCAUUCUGUAACGCAGGCGAUAUUUGUUUCAAUCAUUCUUCUUCGGUUCGGUUUACCCAACAGACGGAAGCGAAAGCAUCUAACGUCGUGUUGUCAUGGCCCUUGCGAAAAGUGUAUCGCAAGGAAAUCAUCAAAGAGUGUCUCAAGCAAAUCACCAAAGAGUGGCAUCAUUUGGAGAACAAACUUCUUGUCAAACUAUAAUAAUAAGCCUUAGACAAAACCCUGUAACAAAGGCGCGCGUCUAGGGCUUUUUUUGCGAAUAACCUCCUGAGCAAUUUUUAUUCUAAAAACAGCCCUAUCAAAAUAAAAUUUACAAAAAUGGCCCUGACCCUGCCACACAGGUGCCACGUCAGCGCCACGCGGGCAGAACUGGGGCCAGGGUAUUAAGUUGAAUACGGUGAACCAUUCACCAUGUCUAAACACGGUGAAUGAAUGAUUCGUAUUUUUGUAUAUUGAAAAGAGGAAUAGGGAGUAGAGAUGUCAAUAGGUAUGGAUAUUCGAAAUAUUAUCCGAAUCCAAACCCGAAUAAAUUAUAUAUAUAUAUAUAUAUAUAUAUCAUAUAUAUAUAUAAGCUAUAGUAUAUAUAUAUAUAUAUAUAUAUAUAUAUAUAUAUAUAUAUAUAUAUAUAUAUAUAUAUAUAUAUAUAUUAUUUGUGUUUGGAAAGUAUAAAAACAGAAAGGAAAAAACACCUUAUAGGUAACCCGUAUACCCGUCAGUGCACCAGCGGGCGGAUAUAUAUAUAUAUAUAUAUAUAUAUAUAUAUAUAUAAUUUAUUCGGGUUUGGAUUCGGAUAAUAUUUCGGAUAUCCAUACCUAUUGACAUCCCCACUUCCUAUUUCUCUUUUCAAUAUACAAAAAAUACAUACUAAACACGGUGAACCAUUCACCGUGUUUGAACAUAGUGAAUGGUUCACCGUGUUUAACUUAACACACGGGUCCCAACCCUACCCGCGUGGCGCUGACGUAGCGCCUACGUGGCAGGCUCGGAGCCAUUUUUAUAAAUUAAAUUUUGACAGGACUAUUUUUAAAAUAAAAAUUUGCCAGGAAGCCCGCGCAUCUAUUGUAGCUGAAGUAAUAAUAACUUCAAAGAAAUUUAAAAAUUGCCUUUCAAGUUUCAAAUGAAGAAGCUUAUUUAACUUCGCCGUCAUAUAUAUAAAAAAAAAAGAAAAAAAAAAAAAAGAAAAGAAAGUCGGACAAACUCGUAGCAACCACUCGCUUUUGAGCGGGUGUUUCCGCAGAGCAAGGGAAAAAGGACACUUAUUAGGAUUCACGAGCUAAUUUCUUUUCCGGUCUUCUGUUUCUGUUUUAACUAGCCAAUUGAUCCCUUCCCAACUCAUCUAUCUGCGAGUCCGCUCGCAGAUCUGUCAUCGUAUCAUUUUAGCAGCGAGGUUUUUGUUGCGGAGCAAGCAAGGAAGCAGAGGUGCAGUUUAAAUAAUAGGGGAAUACGGCAAUUCCCAUAAUAGUUGCCGACUUCUUCAUAUUAUCCUAGCCGUUCAUCAGAAUUAACUCAAUUAACAGCUGGGACCCGCAUUGUUGACUUUCUUCUUAAUUACAGCUAUGCCAUUGUAACUAAAUAUAAAUGGACAGAGUNUGUUGCGGAGCAAGCAAGGAAGCAGAGGUGCAGUUUAAAUAAUAGGGGAAUACGGCAAUUCCCAUAAUAGUUGCCGACUUCUUCAUAUUAUCCUAGCCGUUCAUCAGAAUUAACUCAAUUAACAGCUGGGACCCGCAUUGUUGACUUUCUUCUUAAUUACAGCUAUGCCAUUGUAACUAAAUAUAAAUGGACAGAGUAGGAGAAUUGUAAGAAGGCGAUGAGUAUCAAUAUAGUUUUCCCCAUUCCUCUACACUUCUCUCUUUCUCUCCCCUCUCUCCUUCUCUCUCUUCUCUUCCUUUCUAUCUCUGUGCUGUGAAGAAGAGUGCACCAGAAUUCAUCUUGAAUUCUCUGCUUCUCUUUUGAGUUGGAUACAAACGGCAUCAGUGGUAUCAGAGCACGUCGAACCUCGGCCCUCCCGCUGCAGUACUAUGGAAACAAGGUCACAAGAGUUGAAGAAGAUGGAAGAAUUGUUGCGGACAAUGAUCAAGGAUGCUACCAGCCGCCAGGAUCAAUCCAUCCAGGAUGUUAGAGAGCAACAAGUGAAAGAUAUGGAGGAUGUACGCCAAAUGUUUGUUAAAUUGCAAGCGUCUAUUUCAACAGGGAUUAAUUCAAAUUACACCUCGUCGUCGAGAACUGAAGGUAAUUCCUCUACUAAACUACAAUUUCCGACAAGAUUCACUAAGGUAGAGUUUCCUCGCUUUCAUGGUGAAGAGCUUAAGGGAUGGUUGUAUAGAUGUGAGCAAUUCUUUGAGAUUGACGGAACUCCUGAAGAUUCAAAGGUUAAGAUAGCUGCCAUUCACUUAGAAGGGAGAGCCUUGCAAUGGCAUCAAGUUUUCAUGAAAGCUAGACUAACCAGAUCGAUGCCAACUUGGGAAGAGUAUGUGACGGCCCUCAACAUCCGAUUUGGUUCUGAGCUAUAUGAUGAUCCCAUGUCUGAGCUAAAGAGAUUGAGGCAAACUGGAAGUGUUCAAGAGUAUCAAGACAAAUUCGAUGAGUUGUUAAAUCGGGUGGAUCUCUCGGAAGAAUAUGCUGUUAGUUGCUUCUUGAGUGGAUUAAAAGAAGAAAUCCAAAUACCGAUACGAAUGUUUCAGCCAAGAACUCUUCAAAAGGCCUUUAGCUUGGCUAAACUACAAGAGGUAUCUGUGGAAGCUUCCAGCAAACACAUCAAGGGCGGAACCAAACCAAUGCUUUCUAGUUCUCCACCUUUGUUACCCACACCCAAGAACAUUGGAGGCCAUCAUAAUUCCAGCAACCUCAGAGCUCCUAGACCUUCCAUGCUGCCGGGGAGCGCAAAUCCACAGGGUACAAACUCAACUAAGACUGUGAGGAGUGUGUCGAACUCUGACUUCGACGAGCGCAGGGCCAAGGGGUUGUGUUUUUGGUGUGAGGAGAAAUACACGCCAGGUCACCAGUGCAAAAAAAGGCAAUUAUACAAAAUAGAAGUAAUUGAAGAGCCCCAAGAAGUCACCCAGGGAGAAUUGGAAGAAGAAAUUUCAACAGAUGAGCUCCUUAAUGCAGCACCCUUAAUAUCCUUGAAUGCACUAGCUGGGACCAACCAAUUGUUGGAUUAUAGAACUAUGAGGCUUUCUGGGACAGUGAAGAAUAGAAAAAUACAUAUUCUGAUUGAUUCUGGGAGUACACACAAUUUUUUGGACCUAGCUGUAGCUAAGAAGUUGGGUUGCCAAAUUGAGCCAUUUCCUCCAGUAAGAGUAGCAAUAGCAUAUGGCAACAAGGUGACUUGCUCUUCUAUCUGCAAAGCCUUCAAGUGGAAAAUGCAAGGACUAGAAUUUGAAGCAGAUUUGCUCUUGUUACCAUUGGGUGGUUGUGAUGUAGUGCUGGGCAUACAAUGGUUGGUGAAGUUAGGCCCUAUCUUAUGGGAUUUCAGGCAGUUAAAGAUGGAGUUUCACAUCAAAGGUAGGAAGAUAUCCUUAAGAGGCUCUCCACAAGCUGCUCUACAAGUCAUUGAAGGCAGACAACUGAGAAAGAUGAUGCAAACUGAUACCCAGCUAUUCUCUAUGCACCUGUGCUGUAUUCAUUCUGCUAAACCUUCUAAUGGUGAGUCUGAAGCUGAAAUUGUCAAUAGAACUCCAGAGAUCCAUUCAACCUCAAUAUUUCUACAACAAGUGCAGUCCUUACUAUUGGAGCACUCAGAAUUGUUCGCCGAACCUGAAGGGCUACCACCACACCGAUCACAUGACCAUAAAAUCAUCCUGAAGGAAGGAACUAACCCUGUAAAUGUAAGGCCUUAUAGAUUUCCGUCUUGUCAAAAAAAUGAGAUUGAGAAAAUUGUGCAAGACCUGUUAGCUCAAGGAGUAAUUAGACCUAGCACUAGUCCUUUUUCCUCUCCAGUGGUGUUAGUAAAAAAGAAAGAUGGCUCUUGGAGAAUGUGCAUUGAUUACAGGGCCCUCAAUGAGUGCACAGUGAAAGAUAGGUUCCCAAUACCGUUGGUCGACGAACUAAUUGAUGAAUUGCAUGGGUCGACUCAUUACACUAAGUUGGACUUGAGAUCCGGGUACCACCAAAUCUGGAUGCUCGAAGAUGAUAUUCCAAAAACGGCUUUCCGGACGCAUGAAGGACAUUAUGAAUUUUUGGUUAUGCCCUUUGGGUUGACCAAUGCCCCCUCCACCUUCCAAGGUCUCAUGAAUGAAAUUUUUAGACCAUAUUUGAGGAAAUUCAUCCUUGUAUUCUUUGAUGAUAUUCUUGUGUAUAGCAGAGGAGAGGAGGAACAUCUUGCACAUUUGAGAAUAGUUUUUGACAUCUUGAAGCAACACUCGCUAUUUAUCAAGGAGAAGAAAUGCACUUUUGCUACACCUAGAAUAGAGUAUUUGGGACACGUCAUUGAUCAAAACGGAGUUUAUAUGGACCCUCAGAAAGUCGAAUCCAUUAAAAGGUGGCCUAUGCCUACUACGGUGAAAGAAUUGCGAGGAUUUCUGGGGUUGGCAGGAUAUUACAGGAGGUUUGUGAAAGAUUAUGGUAAAAUCAGCCAACCACUACACAAUAUGCUAAAAAAAGAAGGGUUCAAGUGCACUGACGAGGGACAACAAGCAUUUCAAGAUUUGAAGAAGGUUAUUAGUAGCGCACCAGUUUUAGCACUACCAGAUUUCGAUGAGGAAUUUACUAUCGAAACAGAUGCUUCAGGAAUUGGCAUUGGAGCAGUUCUUCAGCAAAAAGGGAGACCAAUUGCCUUCAUGAGUAAGGCUUUAUCCUUCCGAAACAGAUCUUUAUCAGUUUAUGAGAGGGAGAUGCUAGCAAUUGUAACAGCAGUCCAAAAAUGGAGGGCAUAUCUAAUCGGAAGACAUUUUAAAAUCAAAACAGAUCAUCAAAGACUUAAAUUUUUGAUGGAGCAACGAGUAUCGACACCAAGCCAACAGAAGUGGGUAUCAAAGUUGAUGGGAUAUGACUAUGAAUUAAUCUACAAGAAGGGCCAAGAGAACGUGGUAGCUGAUGCAUUAUCUAGAGUCCCAACGCUAGCUGCAAUUUCUGUUGUGAAAACAGGGUUGAUUGAUGAAAUUCGAAAGAGCUGGGAGGCAGAUAAAGAGUUGAAGUCCUUGAUAGAAACAAAGCAACACAAUCCAGCGUCUAGACAUCACUAUACAUGGGCUCAUGAUCAAUUAAGAAGAAAAGGGAAGUUGGUUGUGGGAAAUGAUGAUAAAUUAAAGCAAAAACUUCUCCAAGAAUUUCAAAGCAGCAGCACUGGAGGACAUUCAGGUAUUGAUGUUACUACUAAAAGAAUUAGUAGUUAUUUCUACUGGAAGGGCCUCCGCAAAGAUGUAAAAAAGUUUGUGAAGGAAUGCGACACCUGCCAAAGAAACAAGAGUGAAAAUGUGGCACCUGCUGGGUUACUACAACCCUUACCAAUUCCUGACAGAAUUUGGACUGAAAUCUCCAUGGAUUUCAUAGAAGGGUUGCCUCCAUCUUAUGGUAAGGAAGUGAUUUUUGUUGUGGUUGAUAGAUUGAGCAAAUAUGCCCAUUUCAUAGCACUUUCGCACCCUUAUUCUGCAUCAACGGUGGCUCAGGCUUUCUUUGAUAAUGUAUAUCGACUCCAUGGCCUUCCAAGGAGCAUAGUAAGCGAUAGAGAUGCUGUUUUUCUUAGUCAUGUGUGGCAGGAAUUGUUUAAACACUUGGGGGUCCAGCUAAAUAUGUCCACAGCCUAUCAUCCGCAAUCUGAUGGGCAAACCGAAGUGGUGAAUAGGUGUUUAGAGACUUAUUUGAGAUGUAUGACAGGGGAACGACCUAGAGAUUGGGUUAAGUGGUUGGCUAUGGCAGAAUGGUGGUAUAACACUUCGUUUCAUACGGCAAUUAAAUCAACACCUUAUGAAAUUGUUUAUGGUCAAACCCCCCCCCUACAUGUUCCAUACUUAGCUGGUGAUUCUCAUUUCGAGGCAGUGGAUAGGGAUCUUACUAAUAGGGAGGCUAUUCUAAAAAUGCUCAAGAACAAUCUACAUAAGGCGCAAAAUCGCAUGCGACAAUUGGCUAAUAAGAAGAGGAUUGAGAGGGAUCUACAAGUUGGGGAUUGGGUGUACGUGAAGCUUCAACCUUAUCGGCAAGUAUCCGUACAACGACGAACUUCACAAAAACAAGCCCCAAAGUACUUUGGACCAUUCCUUGUAAUUGCUAGAGUUGGUCAAGUUGCUUACAAACUGCAAUUGCCUGAAACAGCAAGGAUUCACCACACCUUCCAUGUCUCACAGCUGAAGAAGAAGAUAGGGUCAGCAGAGUCAUCUCCUACCAUUCCUGCCUAUAUUAAUGCUGAAGGUCAACUAUUGGUGGAGCCAAUUGCGAUCCUGGAUAGGCGCAUCGUAAAAAGAGGUAACAAGGCUGUCACACAAGUUCUUAUACAUUGGUCCAAUCUAUCUAAGGAGGAAGCAACAUGGGAGUACUUCUUUGAUCUCCAAAAAAGGUACCCAAACUUUAAUCCUUGAGGACAAGGAUUGCUUCAAGAGGGGGAAUCUGUUGCGGAGCAAGCAAGGAAGCAGAGGUGCAGUUUAAAUAAUAGGGGAAUACGGCAAUUCCCAUAAUAGUUGCCGACUUCUUCAUAUUAUCCUAGCCGUUCAUCAGAAUUAACUCAAUUAACAGCUGGGACCCGCAUUGUUGACUUUCUUCUUAAUUACAGCUAUGCCAUUGUAACUAAAUAUAAAUGGACAGAGUAGGAGAAUUGUAAGAAGGCGAUGAGUAUCAAUAUAGUUUUCCCCAUUCCUCUACACUUCUCUCUUUCUCUCCCCUCUCUCCUUCUCUCUCUUCUCUUCCUUUCUAUCUCUGUGCUGUGAAGAAGAGUGCACCAGAAUUCAUCUUGAAUUCUCUGCUUCUCUUUUGAGUUGGAUACAAACGGCAUCAGUUUUAUAUUAACUUAACAAAUAAAACUUCCAUGGCGAUUUCUCAUUAAGAAUAAUAUAAUAAGCUAUUUAGCAAGAAUUGUCACGCCGCCCCGCCGGUGGGGAAUGCGCCGGUGCAUCCAUCAUUUUUGCAUAGUAAUAGUAGUGUGCUCCCACGCCAAUGCGGCACUGCCACGGUGCCACCGACCCACCAUCCAAUGCGGCACAUUGCAUGCCAAUGAUCCGCGCAUGGGUGAUCCUCGCGCUGUAUAACUAGAAAAACAAAAGAAAAAAUAUUAAAAAAUAAUAAUAAAAAAAUCCUGAUUACCAUUAAUAUUACAGCUGCUGAAAAACAGUGGAACUUGCAGAGCUGCUAGAAAGGGCAGGAAAAUAAAACAAAAAAAAGAAAAACGAAAAAAAGAAGAUGAUGAGAUAGAUAUAUAAUGAAAAUGGCACGCACAUGCUAAUUUCACGAAGAGGACGAACAACGAGUAGAAUAACACAACCGUUCAAUCAUUAACGACUAAGAACUUGUCGGAGAACAGAAAAGAAAAAUUACCUUCCCCAAUCCCCGCCAAUUUUUCAGGCUGAGCAAAAAUGCCACCCAUACCAAUUGAUAACUGCACUGCACUAAAUGAUCAAAUGAUGAGUUCAAACAAAGCUUCCGAAGAAUUUUGCCGAGUUACAAAACAGUCACUUAUAGCUCCGUCAUCCACUGUAUAACAGACAUAUAAUUGACAAACCACAUUAACAAGGGGCAGCAGACCAGUUACCUUCUCGAAAGUUAGGCAAACAGAAAUUUGAUAAUGACAAGAUAAUACGCUAUUUUGUUAUAUAUACAGGGUAUGCAGGUGAAUAAUUUAAUUCUCUGAGUGUCAAUAAGGCGAAAACUCUAUGUGAACUAUAAGUUGAAACAUCCUGUGGACCAAUCAUACGGUGGUGGCAGUGGUGCUCGGUGGUGGCACAACAUCCAUUGGAUCUGGAUCUCUUCCAGCAGCUUCAUAUUCUGAUAGAAGGUCCAUGAACUCGUUGAGGAGUCGUUGGACUUUUCGGUUUGUUGCCAUGGCUGGAAGGACAUCUUCUCUUAGAAGUGUGUGCUUUUUCAUUCCCUGCCAAUAAAACAAAAAAUCAGUCCAUCACAUUAUCCCCAAAAAGAGAAGAGAAGAUGGAAUAGCAAAUCAUAAUCAGCAGGAGGUUACUGCAAAAAAAAAAAAAAAAAAAAAAAGGUUUAUUGCUUAGAGAAUGAUUCCACAACAAAAAACUUCAAGUGUUUGGAUAUCAAGUCAAUAUCAAAUUCCAAUGUGCAUUUAGGUUUUCAGGGAACUGGGCAACAUUUUAUUUCCACUGACAUAUAAAGCAAGAAAUAAAAUGUAAGAUUUUUAAUACCAGUCAAUACAUUGGCUGCAAGAAUGUAAUUUUUAAAUUGAAACAGAUCAUUCGAGUAGAGAAAAAUAGGCUCUGACCAAAUUAAGAUGAAAAAAAGGAGAGAAAGAGAGAGAGAGAGAGAGAGAGAGAGAACUUGUUGUUGUUGUAAUACAAGCAGCGCAUAAAUGACAAGGACAGGUAGAGUAUAAGCUUACAAGAAUAUCAGGAUCCCAAGCUGGGAUUUUAGGAUCAGCAGAAGCAGCUUCAAUCAUGCUGAUGGGAGGUCCGAGAAAGCUCUCACAGACCUCACGCAAACGGGACUCGUCAGCUUCUCUGCAACCAAAAAGAAAAAAAGGCUGCUUCACAUGUAUGAAAUUAGCAGGAGGUGCCAGAGGAUUAUAAACAGCUGUUGUAGCUUGCAUUAUGACCAUACCAAGGCCACAAACCCCAUAAGAAAUGUAAUAAAAAUUUUGUUUUAAUGACUGUAAUUAGGUUUACUAGUGUUGUUGUGGCUGAAUUUCUUAUAGAACAUGGUAUAAAAAUGGGAAAUAUGUUAUUGUACAGAUUCCACUUGUCAAGGCACAAGGGGCACAGGAUAACCAAACUAUAUUAAGAUGGAAUAUGAAACCCAAACUACAUAGAAAAGAUUGCAUAUAAAAUCAUAUUAUAUUUGUCCCUAUCAAUCUAAAUCACAUAUAAGCACCUCAAUUAUUCUUAUUUGUUCAGUUUUGAGGGGUCUGAAAACUUUACAAUAUGAAGUUGUUAUUUGCAUACCAUGAGAAAAAGUACGAAUCCUUUCAAUCUAACCUAUCAGGAAAUAUAAAUGCAACAUUACAUUUUCAAAGGUAAGCAUACAAUUAUACUUUCAAGGUGUGUAAACCAUUUAUCAAACCUUCAGCUCAGAACAUAAAUCCAAGAAAUUUUAUAAUUCUGAGGAUGUGCAAGAAGAACAUAUACCUAGUUAACAGCACAUGAUAGAAAAUUAGUGAAAGGGGCAGCACAAUAAAGGAGGCGGCUCCAGGCCCUAACAGGCAUUGUGAGGAUCAAAUCUACAGCAUACACCAUAUGUGACUUGAACCCAUGAUGAUAAGGUUUUAUCUAAGAUCCCACCCUUCAACCCACAGACGCACAUCCCAUCAUGAAGGAAAAAAAUUACAAAGAGAAAAAAGAAAAAUCAGUGCAGUAACCUUGCCAAGAAACGUAUGUAGGAAAGGAGACAUUGUCGAUACUCUUGAGGUGACUUUAAGGCCAAUGCUGCUGCAAGCUGAGUCUCUAAAUGAGCCCGUGUCUGCACCCCAUCAUCUGUCACCCUGUAACCGAAAAAAAAAAAAAAAGGAAGAAAAGAAAAGGCAUACCAUUCUUAAUUAGGAUCCCAAUUUUUCAGAAGCUGCUAAAAAUUAAGCUCAAACAACUUUUGUUUGUACUGCAAAUUUUAAAAUAUUCUGAAACCUGCUCCAACUUGGCUUUCUAGCCAUGAACUUUCCCACAUCCACUUGCAAUUUGCCCAGCUCGCCACUUUGAGUAGAGCUCAAACUAAAAGAGCUGGCAUAAUUUGAACCAGGAAAACAAUCAUCGGCUAUCCUCAACCAGCACUUGAGGCUCAUGUCAAAAAGGAAAGCAUGGCGAGUAGCAAGAACAACCAAUGGUGAACCAGAUCUAGAGAACCUCACAGAUAUAACCCUAAUUGUGCCUGUCACAAAGGUCAGAUCAUGCUGAUGAAUGAAUUUGUUUUUAAAUUAGAGAGAACAAUACCAGCAUUAACACAGAAAAAUGGUAACAUAUACAUCCCUGACCAAUCAUUUAUUUAAAUAUGUAACCCUAUAAAAUCUGACUUUCCACAUACACUCUUCAAAAAUAGUCUUAUCUUAAAUGGGAGAUUGUGCAGUCAGGGGAAGCAAUAGAAUAGCUCUUAAACUAGAGGCUUUUUCAUAAGUCCAAGGGCCUUUCAUUAAAAAUAAUUAACAUUUUGAAGGGCAUAUAUAUGUAAGUCAGAUUUUGCAUUAUACAAAUCUAUCCAGAAAAUUAUGCGCAUAUGUAAACAUCUCAAAGAUCUAUUUCCUGAAUCAAGAAUAUAUAAAUUACUUCUUUUUUUUGGAGAGCGAGCGAGUGUGCGCGCGCGCGCGCGAGAGAGAGAGAGAGAGAGAGAGAGAGAGAGAGAGAGAGAGAGAAUGGUAGCAUGCAACCACUUUGUUUAUUUUUUGGGAAUGAACUUAGCUGAAAAUGUGACGUAACUAGGCUUCGAAGUUGAGAAUUUAGGAACCAAGCAUCAAGCUCUUUGUCAUUUGCGCUAGAGACUGUCGGUAGAAUAUAUAAAUUGCUUAACAAUUGACAAUAAAAGGAGACAUGAUGUUAUUCCAUACCAGUAUCUUUUGCAGAUGAGUCCACUUGCGGGGCGACAAGAGAAGCUAAAGAGUCAUUAAGAAGACAAGUUCUGCUGAAAAGAUCCCAGACAUACAAGAGCCCUCUUCUUGUGACGAGAAGUAGCUUCCAACACUCGUCGCAAUCUAUAAAAACUGCUGCAGACCCCAUCAUCAUUGCCGGCAUCGCUCGUCUUCCACAUUUUGUGUAAAUCUUCUCAAAAAUAAGAAGCAAUCAUGAUUCACAACAAAUCCAUAUAAAUAAGCAGAAAAGAAAACAUACUUACGCAUCGACUCACAGCCAAACACCCAUUUAUUCCUUAGAAGAUGCACAUUUAUGAAAAGCAUAUUAAUACAAAUGUUACUAAAAGAUGCAAAAGAUGGCAUGAUAUAGGAGUAAAACCGGUAUAUGAGCAGGCAUAAGCAUGCUAAACCGGCACUGAAUAGCACAUCUAUUGGAGCAUCUCGAUAUAAAAGCACCCUAGUAACUAGUGUUUUACCGAACAAUUACUCAUAUAAGCCAUGAGAAUCAGUGUAAACCAUUUUCUUUUUAUAAGGAAAAGGAAUAGGCAAUGCACAAAAGCAUAGACAGAUGCUUCUUGAUCCCAAUUAAUCAUGUCAUCUACCAAUAAGAAAAUUAAGUUUGAGCACCAUAAUGUCAGGAAGGCUAAUAGUUACUGAAAGAAAACAGAUUCCUAUUAACAUAUUGACUAGAAAUUUUGAGUAGAGCUGAAAUGGCAGGAGUAAUUUAAGUGUAGCUGAAAUGGUAUGCUGUCAAGCAGUGAUUCUACCAAGUGCCGACUGAGAAUUUCAAUUUUACAGUCAUGCAGCUCCCACAGCCUAAUAACAAAAAGCCAAAAUACCGUGAGAAAAUAAUAAAUUUUAGAGACAUGCGCAAAAGAAAAUGAAAAAAAAUUGAAGGGUUUUUUGUACCAUUUCUGUCUCCACACCCAUCAUCUUAGCUGAUCACGGGCAAUAAGAGAACAUUAGUCCUCAUACAAUUCUCAAUUCUCAAGUACCCAAACUUUACUAAUCUUUUGAAUGAAGUAAUAUGGCAUACAAAGCACAAUUCAAAAAGUUUAACCAAAAUUUGUAUAUGAUAAGACAGCUCACAAAGGAAAUUAUCAUUUUAGUACCUGUAGGCAGCCAUCUUCACAACCAACAGCCCAAAAGUUGGUGUUACCAGCCAAAACAGUUACUUUUCCAGAUAUACGAUCCGACCAAAGGGUUUGAGUUCCUUUAGUGCAUCUAAUUUCAGUUUCUUUUGAUAAAAAUGAAUUAGUAAGACCGAUUACAUCGCUUGCAGCUCGUUCUACUGUUGUAGCCUCCAAACAAACUGGCAAAGUAUCCUCAUCAUCCUUCUUGUUAAAUACACGAAUAGAAAGAGUAUCAGAAGUCAACGAGCUCGCCAAUCCUAGCGAACCUGAGUAUUCUAUGUUCGUCCUUCCCUCAUUAUAAGUUGAAUCUGAAGUCUUCUCUAUAACAAGACUUUCGCUGAUAUUAGCCCUAGCCAUGACACCCAACCGCUCCCUACCCCCGCAAUUGGUGCAAUUUGUAUCAGUGCUUCCACUGAAAAAUCUUUUGGCAGAAGCUUCUCUUACCAUAUUACUGCCAAUAAGCAUUUUAUCAUCCUUUUGCUGUUCCAAGGCUAACGAUGAAAAAUCAACCAGUUGAGAUUGAGGACCACUAGAAAGAGCUUCUUGGUUGGAAGGAACUCCAAGUGCUUCUGGAAUUAUUCUUUUUCGCCCAUCUGGACGACGGUAUUCUCUUUGUUUAACCGGACUAGAUAGACAGCCAGAUGGGAUUUUGUUUAACCCAUCAGCAGAAGCUCCUGUUUUCUUGGCAUCUUCUUGUUGGGCUUCUGGAACAUUCUGAAUUGGUUGAUUGAUCGCUGGAUUCCCCAAAUCAACAGAAGUUUUCACGGAUAUUUCAUUUUGCUGGGCAUUGGAAGUUGCUUUAUUAGUGGGUGUUUGCUUUGCUGAGACUGCUUCUAAUAGGAGCUGUGCAGGGGUUUCAGCCAAGUUUGCUUGCCUCCCUCUCACAUCCCCAUAUCUACUUCUCUUCAACUCGUCAAGCUCAGCAUCACUCAAUCUGUGCCCUAAUUCCUUCACUUCAAAAUGAAAAGUAGCCACUGUCCCAUCCAAUGAGCAGGCAAAUAGAUCAUACCCAUCCGGACUCCUGUCAUGUAGAAUGUUUGGAUUAGCUUACAGUCAUGUAUUACUGUUUACAUAUUAUAAUCCAAGAAAACAAAUUAAAACUGAUUGGGUUAACUACAAAUUUAAUCUCUAAAUUUAGACCCUAGAUUCAAUUUUACCACAUCAGAACUAUUGACUUUGCUUUGUAAAAUUUGGAAUCAAGGAAGAUAUCAAAAUUGGGAUCAAACUUUAGGAGUAAAAUUGUUAAAAAUAAAACUUCAAGGACGAGAUUGAAAAUCAAACAAAGGACUAAAUUGUUGCAAUUGAAACUCUAAGGACGAGAUUGGAAUAUAGAUCAAACUUCAAGAAGCAAAUCUGCAAUAAACCAAAGAUUUUACCAUGACAAAUCAACGACACUUUGUGUAAAAAAAUGCUUGGCAACAAACAAGGGGCGAGCGCUUGCUGUUGUCCAAACAGUAAUCGUGCGAUCUUGACUUCCGAUAGCAAUCACAUUGUAGGGCUGUUGGUCCUUUGUUGGUGUCUUUGAUGCUCCAUUGGUCCAUCCUCCAGCAAGUGCAGCCUUCAAGCCUUGACCAUUAGAGAAGUGCUUACGAAAUAAUGAAUGGUUAAACUUCACCACAAUAACGGGGGCAUUGUGUCCUAGAAAGUCAAAGGUAGCAGACCAUUCGCCUCUUUCUAACACAGGAGCAGAAUGCCUUGGUUUCUGAAAACCAUGAGUCGUAGUAAUAAAGUGGCCACAAGGUGACCAUGCAAGCCGCCUAAAAAAGGUUGAACCUAGCUGAAAAAGACCAAUUAUUGAAUAAGCAAAACUUUCAUUGAAAAAAGAAAAGAAAACGCUAUUAAAAUUAUGCCCCUUUAAAUCUAUAAAUAUUUAUAGAGAGAGAGUUAAGCUAUUGAUAGCAAACGGUCUACCGAUAAGAAAGAAAAUGCUUUUAAAAUUAUGCCCCUUUAAAUCUCUCUUCACAUAUAUAUAUAUAUAUAUAUAUAUAUAUAGAGAGAGAGAGAGAGAGAGAGAGAGAGAGAAAGUUAAGCUAAAAUACUAUUGGUAGCAAACGGAUUCCAUUGCUACCAAUUUAUUUUCGACAAUAGAGCCUCUGAACCGACGAUCCACACUAUUGAACAUGAUCUAGACUACUUAAAAUAUCUAGAAAUUAAAUUACAAUUUUUUUUUUACAUCAGUGACCUAAUGAUCAAAGGGUCGCAAAAUUUGUAAUUUUAAUAAUGGAUAUGAGAAGAAAUUCAAAUCAGUUAAAUUUUUGUUAGAAAAUCCUCUAAACUAUUUAAAACAAGAUCUACACUCUUGAUCUUGAUUACAAAAACCUUAUCGUAACUUUUUGAAGGAUAUUUAAUUUCAGCCGUUCAUUUUCUGUCUACUUGAUGCAUAAGAGAACAAUAUCAGAAAAAUAUAAAAUUUGAUUUCUAGACACUUUAAGUGGUAUAGAUCAUAUUCAACGGUGUUGAUCGUUGAUUCGGAGGUCCAUCGUCAAAAACAAGUUGGUAACAACAAAGCUCGUAGACUAGUGAUAGUAUUCUAGCCCAACUCUCUCUCUCUCUCUCUCUCUCUCUCUCUCUCUUUCUAUGUAUAUAUACUAGUUAAGGAACCCACGCUAUGCGCCAGGUAGACAUUAUUAUAGUUAGUCAUUACGGCAUGUAAAUUAAUACGAAAUUUAAUAUUAUAAUUUAUAUUAAAAAGAUGAUCUCUAAUACAUAAUUAUUGAAGAAUACAAACACACUUAUCAUCUGUAGCUAUCAUUAAUUAUAUGCAUUAAUAUUUUUAAAUAUUAUUUAUCUCAGUAUCGAAUAAUUAAAAAUUAAAGAAUGAAAUUAAAGCAUAUUUCUUUCUAAAAACAUUUAAACCUAAUAAGUAAAAUGAAUAAAUCAGUUUAAAAUAAAACAAAAGCUCAUUAAAGUAUUAAAAAAGAUGAAUAAUAUUUUUCUAUUAUCAUCAAGGUAGAAUUUACAAAUAAAAAAAAUAAAAAUUAAUUUUAGUGAAAGUACUAUCUUUAACAUUUUUGGCGAUAACGUCUUCAUUGUCGUCGCUGACGAUGAAAUGAAGCCCUCGUUAACUUUUAUCAUCACAAAUACAAUUAAUAAAGUAUUUGAUUCCUAAAUUUUAUAUUAGUGAAUAAAUCAAUGGGCCCUACUGGAGUGAGGAGGCCAAUCAUAUUUGGAUAUUCCAAAAAAUUUUAAUUAUAAAAUUGAUUGUUCAUCAAACUAUAAAUAUGACAUUAUAUGUUAAAAUAUCUAAUAAAUUUUAGAAUGUCUAAUUGUUAAAAUUAAUAGACCAAUCAUAUUUGGAUAUUCUAAAAAAAUUUAAUUAUAAAAUUGAUUGUUCAUCAAACUAUAAAUAUGACAUUGAAGUUUGAUAUUAAAAUCAAAGUAAAAUUGUAUAAAACUUUUCUAAACUAUGAACCAUUUUGAAUCAUUUAUCCAACCUUCCAAAAUUUUGUUUUUUCUAUCCAAUCAUUCUAUAUGUUAGAUUUGAGCCAAUCAAUAAUACUUCGACUUCAAAAUUUGACUGUGUCUUUUAACUUUACAAAUUUACUUCGUAUACUUUAUAUAAUUCUCGUAACUAAAUUAUUUUUAAAAAAAGGUUUGGUUCGUGUCUCAUAUACUCGGUGUACAACUUUUUUUACACCGUAUAUAAAAAUCUAUUAAUUUUUGUAUAUGAAUUUUUUAUUAAUUAUAGAUUGUAUUGAUUAGAUGAAAUUUUAAUUUUGUUAUAUUGACUAUUGAAAAAUAGGCAAAAGCAAAAAAGAAAAUGUAUAAAUAAAUUUUGUAACUAAAAAGCUAAAGUUCGAUGACUUAUAUUAGAUAGUUUUAUCUUGUUAAAACUAAACUUUAUCUUAUACAAUAAAUGAACAUGUCUUAUACACUCGGCGUAUAACUUUUUUUACAUCGUAUACACUCGGUGAACAACUUUUUUUACACCGUAUUUAUAAAACUUUAUUAUAAAAAUAAAAAAACUAUUAAUUCUUAUAUAUGAAUUUUUUUAAUAAUUAUAGAUUGUAUUUAUUAGAUGAAAUUUUAAUUUUGUUAUAUUGACUAUUAAAAAUAGGGUUGGUUCAUGCGAUAAAAUUUUACACUCGGUGUAGACAAAAAAAAAAAAGGGUGUUGAGAGAAAAAAAAAAAAAAGAAAAAAAAGAAAAAAGAAAGAGGUGUAGGGUGUGUGAGAGAGGGUGAGAGAGAGAGAGGAAAAAAAAAAAAAGUGGGCCCCACCGGAGCCCCCCAAUUAAGGGGAGGGCUGCCGUACUAUGAAUUGCAGCAUCCCCAAUUCAUAGUUUCUAUAGAUAUAUAUUCCGGCUGGGGUGCUCCCAAUAGUACCAAGCACUUGGUACUACCAAUUUUUCCACUAUUAGAUCUACCCCUUUGACUAUUUCUACCCCUUAGAUCAUGCUAUUCCACCAACUACCAUUAAACCCUAUAGGGACCUCUAUCAUCCUAGCCACACAACACUUUAUCCAAGGGCCAAAAACCCACAAGCACCAAUGACUUGGUGCUAUUAAAAGCAUUCCGCCCCAAUUUCCUCUCUCUCUAUCUCCAUAUAUAUAUGAAGAUUUUAUAUGUAUUUAGGUAAUAUUGCAAAGGUGUAUAUAUGUAAACACCAUAACAAAAAAAAAGUCACUAGAAACAAUUAUAUGAACAAAAUCCCUGUGGUUCAUAACGUACUGAUUUUGACCAAUGCCCCUCCGUCUUAUGCGCAAGACUCCAAUCACUGGUUCGCCAUAUGAUUACCGUUUUGUCAUCUGAUUGGCUAGCAAUAAAAGAACCAAUGGGAUCCCAGGCAACUCCUUUGACUAAGCUUGAAUGCCCUCUCAAUACAGCGGUGCACAUACCGUUAGUCAUGUUCCAUAUGUGAACAGUGUUAUCCAAACUGCCACUAGCCAAUGUUUGGUCAUCGGGCGACCAAUUUAGAUCUACCUGUUUAGGCAUUGGAAGAUAGGAAAAAAAAAAAAGGAAAAAAAAAGACUCCAGUAUUAAGUCAUUGUUCAACUCCAACAUAAGCAAGAAGGAAUCAAAAUUAGGGUGUUUUUUUUAGAACAAAAUGUAUGGACAGUCAUUGUACUAUCUGAAAUAUCAACUAAAUCCCUGACUUUUUAUGUAAACAUAUUAGUCUCCUAACUUUUUUCAUAUAUUGAAAUUCCAACAUUGAUAAUCAAAUUAGUCUUAAGUUUACCCUCUCAAAUGACUAUUUUUCCCCUUUUCCUGCAAAUAACUUGUUGUGGUAUACUUGAAAUAAGAUUAAGAAGAUCAUAUUGUAGGAAAAACGCCACAUGUUGUCAGAUAUACUCUUUAAGUGGCCAGGGAUGGAAUGGUAGAAUAUAUGAUAAAUUCUAGGGAUUGAAGUGUGUAAAUCUCUUGAAAACUCAGGGACUAGCAAGCAUGCAGUAUCUUGAUGCAAGACAGUGCAGAGAUUAUCUAUGCCUUUUGCUCGGCUUUUUUCUUCAGCCAGAAAGAAAGCAUUGACAAAUAAUUACCACAUCAGCAGUGUGGCCUCUUAAAGUCAUAACGACUUUCCAAUUUUCUACGUCAGGGGGCUCUUUACUGCCAAACUCUGAUGUCCCGGAUCCGGGUUUCCUUUCGUGAAUUAGAAUGACCUGAUCAUCUGAACCUGAAGCAAGAUACCUGCCAUGCUUGGCCCACCUCACACAAUUAACUGAUCCAAAAUGGUCGCGGAGAGUUGCCAGUAGUCUCUGUGAUGAAUGGUCGUUAUUAUGGUUCUUUCUCAUUGAUUUCGUGUUCCAUAUCCGAACCUACACAAAGAAUCAUUUAAAACAGAAGUCUCAGCUAUAAAGUGCUUUGCACAACAGACAUUUAUGCAUGCAAAGCUUGUGCAUCAUGAAAGUAUAAUCUUGUCACAGGUAAGUGUAUUACUAAGGUUUAAGUAAAGCAAUGCAGAAGAAAUAAAAAAGAACUGAAAAAUUACUUUGGUAGCUUAUAACAAGAAUAUCAUGGCAGUCGUGAAUAUCACAGCCACAUGCAAAUGACGAACACAAAACCAAUCCACAUGUGCAAAUAAGGAGUAAGGAUAUGUAUUAUCUACGGUGAAACUCUACUAGAACUAAAAUACAAACGAAUUGUUAGAUUGACGAUUUUUCUUCAACAAAUUGUAAUUCAACUGCUUGUGCCAUGCAGAAGUUCUGAAUCGACAUAUCUGAGUAACUAUCAUCAGAAAUAGCAAAGAUUAAUCCAGAUAUAGCACUAAAUAUAUUGUUAGUUUUCUCAUCCUAAUCGUAUGUUGUAGUGAAAUUACUAAAAGAUGGACAUCAUAGGCAAAUAACAUCACAAAGUAUACUAAUACAUACGAUUAGGAUGAGNGUUGUAGUGAAAUUACUAAAAGAUGGACAUCAUAGGCAAAUAACAUCACAAAGUAUACUAAUACAUACAAUUUAAACACAGUCGGCAAAAAUUAAAAUAAAAAAACCCUUAAACUAUCUGUUAAAAAGCAAACAGAUGGACCAAGGAGGAACCUCAAACAGAUGAAGAGAAGAAGGUACUCUUAAAUCCACCAAAUAAAAUAAAAAAAAAAAAAAAAAAAACAUGAAAAAUUGCAACAAACUAUGCUCAACUAAACCUAUAAAUAACAAUUGAGGGAGUCUAACAAGGAUCGAAAGAUACAAAUACAUUAGGAAUGUCACCUUUUGAUCUCCUCCGCCAGUAGCAAAUCUGAGACCUCCCGGCUGCACAUCAAUGGAGAAGAUCUGAAGACCUUCGUGCCGAAUCCAACUCGGCUUCUCCGUUAUCAUCUCCGAUCACCACAUCAAUUGAUCUCCACGCUUUUUUUGAAAACCCUAACCCUAACACCCCCUAACCGUUCACCUCGAUCUCGAUUCAGCGACGUAAUCGAGAAUUCUGCGGCCAAAAUCGCAGAAACCAGGAUGGAUCAAGAAGAUAAACCCUAGGAUGAGCUCAGACGAAUCGUGGAGUGGAUUGUGAGUGAGUAGUAGAACAGUGGAAAGAGUGGUCAAAAUCAAACCCUAACAAGAGGAAGUAAUUUAGGGAUGUUUGCAGGUAAUUAGGGAAUUUUUCUUGGAUUUCUGUCAGCAAGCAAAAAUUUUGAACACGGGAAGCAUUAAAUAAUAAUAAUAAUAAUAAUAAUAACGAUAAUCAGUUUUUGUACAGACCCUUCUGUAUCUAUAUCUAUAUCUAUAUCUAUAUAUCUACCUAUAGUUCUACAGUCCACAUGUAAAUCCUUCUCUUUUUGGUCUACAGUCCUCCCCUCCCCGGCUCUCACUCCGCCGCCCCAGGGACGCCGCGAAGGUCCUCCUCUGGCUCUGCCGCGCCGACUCCCCCGAGUUUUGCAGGCUCGAGGUCUACGAGAUCGCCAUCGGAGGGUUUUGCAGGCUCGGGAGAAUGCUCGAUGCGCUAAGGAUCGUGUUCUGAGUCUUGUGACUUCUGAGAGGAGGGGGUUUGUGGGGUACGGGGUUUGCUUCCGGAGAGGCGAGGGGAACUAUCAAUUUUUGGAGAAAAUUUUUGAAUAAUUAAUUUUUUUUAAUUUAUUAAAUAGUUCGGUAGACCGUAGUAGUACUUUUUGGCACCGUUUGGAUGGGGAUAACCCCUUUUAACCCCUUUAUACCCGAUGUAAAUUUUUUUUUCGAAAAAAGUAAUUCUCGGCUACCUGAAAUAAACCGGUAUAAUUAUCCUCACCAACAUCUUUAUUUUCUAUAUACAGCUCUACCCACUAUUUUUCUUAUUAUAUAUUAUCUAUCCAACGCUAUUUUUCUUAUCCCGGGAAUUACCCAAUUUUCAUCCAAACGUUAUUUUCUUAUCUCCAUACUUGUAUCUAUUCCUGUAAUAGCUAGUUCUUGCUUAUACCCAAACCAAACGCUAUCAAAUUAAUUAAAGUUAUUCUUGCAUAUAAAUACUACUAGUGAAGGCACCUGCACGUUGCGAUGGAUCGAUUCUAUAAAAAUAAAUAAAUAAAUGUCACGCCUCAGGAUCUCUUUUUAUAAAGAUGUCUGAAAAAAGAGCUAAUUUAAAGCUAACGGAUCAGUGAAAAAUACCCAAUUUUUUUAAAAAAUCUUGACCGAAGGGCUGACAGAACCGCCACAAAUACAGAGAAUUCACUAUUCACACGGACAGAGUCUCCUCUAUAUUUGCACGGCGUCGCACACAAUACAAGUCACAACCACAACCAAUCGCAAUAGUAUAUUCACAAUAUUUCACAACUAUCAAUUGAAAGUGUUUCCCACCGGAAAACGCAUUUUUGAAAUACAAAAGUCACAAAAAGUCGAGAAAACCUUUUUAAAACUGUUUUCCACCAAAAAAUCUUUUAUCUCGUUUGAAAACGAGCAACCACGAGAAGUAAAAAACCAUUUCUAUAAAUCCAUACAAUGUUUCCAAAAAUAGCUUUAUUUAAGAUUUUGAACCAUGCCAUAGUUGAAAUAAACCAAACCAAAACCUAAUAAAGCUAAAUUGAACCACAUAUGCAAUUUAGAUUAUUUAUCAAAAAAAAAAGGGGGUGAAGUCUAGAACCGAAAUGCCACCAGGUCGAGACCUCUAGCACUCGCUAGCCACGUCCUCAUGCCUCAUCCCGACUUGUACCCCUCCAAAAUCACAUGAAAUGGAUGGGUGGGGUGGAAGUGGGGGUGGGAGGGGGAGGAGAAACCAACAAGGGUCUCCCAGUGACAGAUUAAUUUGGUAACAGAACUGGUUCACUAGCCGGAAGUGUGAGAUAAGUCUUGGCUAAGCCAGUGUCGGAAUGAUAGACUAAGUUAGGGUCGGUGAAUUACAAGCUAAGUCAGGGUUGGAAUAAAAAAGACUAGUGAGACAAGUCUCACAUCGCCUGGUAAUCUUGGGCUGUGUGUGUUUAGGGCUGACGAGGAUGUUAGGGCCUAAACGGGGGAGGCUAUGACACCCCAAAAGUCCCACAUCAGAUGGCAAUUGGAUUGUCAUUGGGUACAUGAGACGAUUCCACUUUAGUAAUAAUAACUGGGCUUAAGCAUUUGGCCGGUGAUUGGGCCCAAUGAGUUAUUAUUGUUGGAGAGUUGGGUCGUUAAAGCCAAGUUUACAACCACGGCUCCACUCACGGAUUCGUUUAAAAAAAAAAAAGGCAAACCAAAACCAAAUAAAGCUAAAUUGAACCACAUACACAGUCUAAAUUAUUUAUCAAAAGAAAAGGGGUAAAGUCUAAAACUGAAAUGCCACUAGGUCGAGACCUCUAUUGCUCGCUAGCUAUGUCCUCACGCCUCGUCCCGACUCGUACCUCCAAGAUCACCUGAAAUGGGAGGGUGAGAAACCAACUAGGGUCUCCUAGUAGGCCGCAAGCGGACGAGGGCGAAUGUACUAACUGGUAACUGUCUGCCACCACGAAUGACGCACCUCGCACACUCGAUGGGUUUGGCUGUGGGGUAGUAUUCAUGAUUCAAAUUAGUAUUUAUAUGUAUAUGGGUAUCAAGUAUUGCGAGUCCAUGGCUUCCAAUAGAUGCAAGCAUCUACUGUUAAUUACCCCUGUGGCAUUGGAGCACCUUCGAUUAAGAGACCUUUAUAGAGAGGAUGAAUCUAUCUUGAUUUAUUGAUUGAUUGAACCCUAAAUAUAUGUACUAGGAUUCAGUUGGAUUUGAAGUUGACUAGGUCCUAAUUAUAUGUGUUAAGACCUAGCCGACAUUAAAUUCUAAGUAUAUGCAUUAGAGUCUAAUUAGUUCUAAGUAUAUAUCUUAGAGUCCGAUUAUAUUCAAAUUGAUUGUAUAUUCUAAGGUGGAGAUAUGACCAAACCCCAAGUAUAUGUAUUGAGGUAGGUCGGAUUUGAUUUUACCCGUGUUACGCCCCGAGCCCGCCUAUUUGGUCGGUUUUGGGCACGCCAACAGAUCGUCGAACGGACAGGGUUUCCUCUGUACUGCGGGCAUAGUCUUCCCUGUAUGUUCAAGGCAUAGCAAUCAAUACAAUGUACGAAGUUCCAACCAAGAACACAUUUCAAUCAAGAUUGCAUAAUGGAAGGUAUCAAGUCAUAGUGGCAGCGCAAGUCGGUACUUGACGACUCUACGCGCUCCAACACCACUCGCCACUCGGUACACAAAGAACUCUUCUUUGCACUGGCCUUCCCUUUUGGGAAUACAUUCCAAUUCGAUCACCGACAUUGCUUAGAAGCAAUAUCACCGGUGCAUCGCUCCGUCGUGAGUGCUCUAAUUUGGCACUGACCCUAAACGUUAACAUGAGAUGGCCUAUCUUAGCACAUCCCCAAUUCCAUUCCUCCAAGUCCACGUGGCUUACUACUCGCUCAAGGUCUCACCAAGAGCACUUCAUCUUCUGAUACCAUAUGCCACGGUCAACAUCGAACUACUUUCGCAACGAGCUCACGCGAGCACUUCGUUCGUGAAUUCGAGUCAAACUCCUCGAUAAGGCUAUCUGCCAAAUCGCUCUCUUCGGUCUCCACAGGUGGACCAAAGGCCACCAAUCCUACGUAGGCCUACCACCUAAACCUGUCUCAAUACGCAGCGUCUCUCGCUCGCAAAUGCAGACCCAAUCAUGAUCGGGCGAAAUUCUCACUUGGGAAUUCGCACACACUCCAACCAGGAGCAACUAAGACCCCAAACCACGUCAAGUCCUCGGGUUGGGUCACAACCAUACUCGGUGUACCAUCGGUCACACAAUCUAUCACGUGGCAUUCCACGCUCCCGGGCCUAAACUCGGACUACCGUCCUGACCAGAACUCUGCCCUACCCGUAGGUACCGGGCCGCUGUCACUCACAGCUGACUGCGCCUGCCCAAAGGGCCCAGGCUCCACAGUCCACAAAUGGUCCAGGCACGGGUCGUCCCCAAGCACUACCCGCCGUCGUCGUCCUACACGACAUACUCUACCGAGUCACACGUACCAAUAUCGGCUCCUAUGCACCUAGUGCGAGUCACCAGUCCCACGAGUGAUCCAUGGCACGCUUCACACCUAGCAAUGCUCAAGUGCUACUGCCAAUACACUCUCUCGGCUGAAUCCACAUCCGCACUCUACGGGUAUCUACACUCGAGCGCUCUACGCCUCUACAGCGUUCCACACGAAGUCCAGCAUUAGGCAAUCUUGCCUAUGCACACCGGCCGCACGAGCACAACCGCCUACCUCACCUUGAGGUACUACUAGGCCCACGUGCUCAAACUUGGCCACUAAUCGACCGUUCUCUCAACAGUGAUGCUACUUUCACUGUUCGAUCUACCAGAAUGACAUCCGAAAUUUUCGGACCACUCGGGUGUUCUCAUAAGCAUCAUGGCUCAACUCUCGCAAUUUACUACUCAUAUUGCUCUGAGAGUCAUUUCGCCACUUCUAUCUCUACCGCGAGUCUCACUUCUCGCCAUAGAUUACUUCUAGCACUUCGCUAGUGCCAUCUGGCUCUAUACCUGUACUGGCAGGUACUACGCCCUCACAUAAUACAAAACUCCAUUUCUAGAGCAAUCAAAUCUAUCUCUAGAAAUCCACCAUGAGAGAGAGCUUAGAAGCUUACCUCUCCAAGAAGCUCCAACCAAGGAGAAGAUGAAGAAGAUGAGGUAGACCUCCUUCUCCUUCUCUUUCUUUCCUUUCCUUUCUUCUUCCUCUUCUUGUCUUCUAGAGAGAGAAAGAGAGAUAUGAGAGGGUGUGUGGGUGAGAAAUAAGAGAAAAGAGCUCUCAUACCCCUCACAUAGCCCCACAUGUUGCAUAAGUGCAAACAAGCUCCUCAACUUUUAUUCUUUUACACUGCCCUGACUGGGCCAUUUUCGGGUUCGGGGACCGGUCUCUCCGACGAGGGACCGGUCUCCGAGAGCUUCUCCCCGCAGUCAGCAGAGCUCACACCCGAUGGAACCGGUCUUUCUUUGGGGGACCGGUCUCUCAGGGACCAGUCUCUCCAGCAGGGACCGGUCUCCGAGAGCUGUUCACCAAGGACUUAGCCGAUUUUUCUCUCCUCUUGCUGCCUGCGCGUUCGGGGACCGGUCUCUCCCCACAGGGACCGGUCUCCGAGAACAGAAAACCUGCAGUUUGUAGAUUUUCAUUUCCAAGGCUCUCGAAGAUCCCCAGUAAUGCACUUUUGCAUUAUUUGACGCCUUCGGCCUUUCCAAAGCGUACCAACCUUGCUCUUUGGUCAAUUUGACCAAGGUUCGAUACUUGGUUACCGAAAUUUCGGUAUAUUACAUACCCACUCGAUAAUUAGCCGAUCCCGGACGAAGUCCAACUCUCGGCGCUCGAGAGUUCACUUCGUUACGACCAUACUAUACCGGUACACCCCUGGUGUUAAAUCGGUAACACAUGUUCCAGAACUUCGAUUUUGCACCGCUUCGACUCCAAUUCGCANNNNNNNNNNNNNNNNNNNNNNNNNNNNNNNNNNNNNNNNNNNNNNNNNNNNNNNNNNNNNNNNNNNNNNNNNNNNNNNNNNNNNNNNNNNNNNNNNNNNGAUUAUGUUUUGAUACUUCCUUAUGCAAUCCUUGAUUGAAAUGUGUUCCUGGUUGGAACUUCGUACAUUGUAUUGAUUGCGACGCCUUGAACGUAAAGAGGAGACUCUGUCCGCGGUACAGGGGAAACCCUGUCCGUUCGGCGGUCUGUCGGCGUGCCCGAAACCGACCAAAUGGGCGGGCUCGGGGCGUGACACUCCUCCUCCAAAGACCAAAAGCAUAUUCUUAAUCCUUCUCAAGUAUUUGAGUAUGUCCUUCACAGCCGUCCAGUGCUUCUCACCUGGAUUAGAUUGAUAUCUAUUUGUAACACUCACAGUAAGCACAAUACCAGGUCGUAUACACAACAUGGUGUACAUAAGACUCCCUAUAGCUGAGGCAUAAGGGAUCUUACUCAUAUGUUGAAUCUCUUCAAAUAUAUUGGGUCACAUUUUCUUGGAAAGAUAAAUCCCAUUUCUAAGGGGUAAAAGUCCUAUUUUGGAGUUUUUCAUGCCUAACCUCUUCAACACCUCCUCUAUGUAUAUUUUCUGUUGGAGGCCUAGCAUCCUUUUAGAUCUAUCUUUAUAGACCUUAAUCGCCAAAAUAUAGGAUGCUUUUCCUAGAUCUUUCAUGUAGAAUUCUUUAGACAACCUGUAGUGUACCGAGUUUCGAAGUAAUAUACUAAAUGUGGGCCAAUUGGACAAGAUACAAUAGAGAUCUAAUUUAAACAUGCUAAAAAAUAAGAUUUGAGGGUUUUGGAAUGAUUAGAAAUGGAUUAGAGGCUCAAGGAGUGAAAACGAGAAUUUUCGAAAAUGUCGAUUUUUGAGCUUUGGACCUUCGAAUUUCGGACCCUGAGCCAAAGGUCCAGACCUUGACUGCAUAGCGCGAAAAGCAGGCUACGGGAUUCGGACCCUGGUGCCAUGGUCCGAACCCUCCGCUCACAGAACACCCAGUGAGGGGUUAGAGAAGUACCCCAAACAAAUUCAUGAUCCUUUAAUUCGCUAAUUGAAGGUUAGAGAAGUACCCCAGACAACUUUUGUAUUGUACCGAAAAGUCGCGUUGCAAUGCUAACUUUGAUCUACAAGAUUAAAGUGAAGCUUGAGCUGGUCGUCCAUCAUUCCUGAGCAAUUUUGGAGGUGUGGGAAUGAGUUUGGAAAAUAAUUGAAUGUUUCGGCGCAAUUUGGGUGCGAAAUGAAAUUGAAAGAGAGCCUUCGGGUUAUGAUGCUAACUUUGUUUGGAUGAAUCAAAGUGAGGUGUGUGGGUAAAUUGUAGCAUCUCCGAAUCAUUUUUUGAUGCUUAGGGAUAGCUAAUGGCAUGUUUUAGAAGUGUUCGGAGGUGUUCGGUGCAAAGUGGAAGCGAAGAACGGCCUCGGUACCCAGUUGCUGCUAGAGUGCAGGAAUUACAUUGGGUACUAGUACCAGAACAGGGGGGUACCAGUACCCAGUCCCGAGGACUGAAUAGUAAUAGCUAAUUUCGGCUGUUUUGGAGGGUUUAGUUGCAAUUAAGCAACCUUAUCUUUAAACCCAGGUGUACGCAGGGUAUUUUCCUGCAGGAGCCAGCUCACCUCCUGUCUCUUUUCAUUUCGUUCUUCUUCCCUCUCUCUACAAACCCUACGGUGAGGGAUUUUGCGAAGAGAAAGUGUGGAGUUGGUGUUGUUAGCUGUGAAGAGGGUUCAAGCGCUGGGUUGCUGUGGUGAGGAGGUAAACCUAAGGUUAAGAGAUGAGAUUUUUGUGGUAAGGAUUGUUUUAGUUGCCUUAGAAGAGAUGUAGUUUUGGUUCUCUUGGUUACUAAAAGCUGUUUUUAAUAUGAGAAAGCUAGAAUAGGCCAUAUGUUAUAUGUGUAUAUAUAUGGAGUAAUCAACCUGAGGUAGGCUGAUUGUAAUUCUUGGAUAGAAUUUGUUGUAUUUAGCCUAAAGAAGGGACUUGGCUUGGGUUUCUUGGUUACUAAAGCAUGGUUGCCAUGAAAACCUAGAGAAAGGCUAUGUUGUGUGUAUGACAUGUGAACUUUUGGGUUGAUAUGAAGUGAAGGGUGUGGAAGGUUGCGAGUAGCAUGAGUUUAAUCCCUGGUAAUCCUCUAAAUUAGUUGCUGUUGAGGUUCUUGAAUUAUUGGAAUUGGUAAUGCUUUAUAAACCCUUAUAGAAUCUGUAUAGUGGCAGAUUGUAUAGAACCCUAAGCUUGAAAAUGCUAAUUUGUAGGAUUGAGGCUCUAGCCUGGGAUUGAUCGCAUGGAAACCUAAUUGAGGGUAAAACUGACGCGUUGGAAAGCUCGGAUCGAUGUUCUGACGAACCUACAGCAAGCUAGUGAGGAAAACCUCAUUUUAGCUUCGUUUGUCACGAGUAAGGAUUGCGAUCGUUCGUAAAUUGCGGGAAGUGGAUUUCUCGCAUUCCUGUAUCAAUUAAAGGUGGGUUGUGCUUCACCGAAGCGAUUAGGUCGCUUCCAAGCCAAAGUAAAGUAUGGUUAUUAUUGAUGCAUAUAUGUGUAGUGGUAAGUUGUGAUUAAUAAUAUGAAUGCAUAAAUCAUAUUGUGAUAGUUAAUGUUACCUACCAUUGGAAUAUGGAUAUUGAUAUAUUGUGGAUAAUGCUAGAUGAUAUAUGAAUGUUGACAUAUUAUGAACAUGCUAGAUUCAUAUGAGUUGAAAAUGGGUCGAUAACUCUAGAUUGAUUAGAGAACUCGACAGUUAUAAAAUGAGAACGUGUAAACUACAAUCCUAGGUGUGGACAACUAGGAUGAUAAGUAGAUCGAGUGAUAUGAACCUAGUGUUAUUAAACAUAGGUUGGAUAUGAACCUAGUGUCAUAGAACAUAGGUUGAAUAAGUGAACCUAGAGUUGAGAUCUAAGUAGAAAUGACAUAGAACCUAGCGUGAUUGAACCUAGGUUAUAAUGUAUAGUGACACUUAAUGUAUUUGAAACUAAGUUGUGGAUUAUAGUGGUAGAAGGACCACUAGAAAAUGAAUGGUUUGGACCUAGAGAGGUCGACAAUAUAGGGUAAGUGUUUAACCCUUAAGAUUUGAAAGUGGAUUCCAGAAUCUCCAGGAAUGGUGGCUGCAAGUGCAGUGGUUGAUAUACGUGGAUUGGCAAAAAUAGAAUUAUAACUCNUGUAUUUGAAACUAAGUUGUGGAUUAUAGUGGUAGAAGGACCACUAGAAAAUGAAUGGUUUGGACCUAGAGAGGUCGACAAUAUAGGGUAAGUGUUUAACCCUUAAGAUUUGAAAGUGGAUUCCAGAAUCUCCAGGAAUGGUGGCUGCAAGUGCAGUGGUUGAUAUACGUGGAUUGGCAAAAAUAGAAUUAUAACUCCGGGUAUGUUGGUUCUCCUCGCCCGACAGUGAUUCAACGGGUAUGUUCGUUCUCCUCGCCCGGUAUGCCAUGAAGCAAGUUAAUUAGAACUACUGUAAGGAAGUGAAUUCUCGAAAUCCGAGAGUUGGACUUCAGUCAGAAUCGACUAAUUGUCGAGAAUACUUCGAAAAAGCCGAAGAAGUCAGAAAUCCAAAAAGCGCAUUGGCGAGGGCCUUGGAGAGCAAAGGAAUGGAAAUCUGCAACUUUGCAGAUUUUGCUCUCGGGGACCGGUCCCUGGUGGGAGGGACCGGUUCCCGUAAGCCUGGUAUGCAGCAGAAAAUCUCUGCGCACAAAGUUUGCUCUCAGGGUCCGGUCCCUCGUGGACAGACCGGUCCCUGAAGGUCCGGUCCCUCAAGCGAGGAUCGGUCCCCGUACGCGUGGGAAAUGGAUCAGGGUGUCCUGGGAGAGAUCUGCUCUCGGGGACCGGUCCCUCUGGGGGAGAGACUGGUCCCCGUGUGCGUGAGAGGCAGCUGCAGGCUGUUGCCUGAAGAGCAGUGCUCUCGCGGACCGGUCCCUGGAUGGAGAGAUCGGUCCCUGAGCGCGAAAAUGGCCAAGUCUAGGCACUAUGAGAGAGACAAAGUGGAGGGGCUCUAAUGCAAUUGUUGCAUUAGUUGAGGGUAUAGAUGGGAGACCACUCUCUCCCUCUCUCAUUUUCACACCCUCUCUCUCUCUAAACUCUCUCUCCCUCUUUCUAGAAGUGAAGAAGAAGGAGAAGGAAGGAAGGAGAAGAAGGGAAGCAAGCUAGAGAAGACUUUGGUCAUCUUCUUCUUCCUCCUCUUCACCAUUGGAGCAAGCUAAGAGGUAAGCUUCUAAACCCCUCUCAUGGUAACUUGCUAGGGCUUGGAUUUCUUGCUCUAGAAAUGGUUUGAUUAGCAUUCUAGCAUGCUUAAUAGAUGCUUAAUGCUAGAAUCAAGGAUUUUAAUGGGGUAUUUUUCUAUAGUGCAAACCUAGGGCUCCAAAAUUAGGGUUUUUGGAAAUGAGGGGUUUUGAUCUAAAUUGAUCAUGUAUUAACCUAAUUGCUAGGUGUCUGAACGCGUGGGAAGCGACGGAUUGAGCAUUCGUCGAGCGGGUGCGAAGAAAUAGUCGAAACAAGUGUUCGGGGCUUCGUGUUGAGCUGAAGAGUAAAAGCGACGACCAAGGAUCGCGAAAUCGAGUACCUAGCAUCGCAACAUUACCCAAGAGGUGGGGGGUGUCCAUCCCGAAGCAACUGAGCUUCUUUCUAUGUCCGAGUUAGAAUGGUUGAUCAUAUUUCAUAUAUAUUGUUCUUAUGCAUUAUAAGAUGUAUGUAUAGUUGCAUUUCUAUUUCCUUGCAUGCAUGUCUAGUUGUGUAGCAUUAUGGACUUGACACUUAAAUCUAGAAUGCAUGAGGAUUAGCGUUUGUGACAUAAGAUCCUAUAAUGAUAAGAAAACGGUGAACUCGGACUCGAUGAUGAUAAUCGAUGACAGGUGAACUAGUGUAUAGAAAACACUUAGAACUUGGACGAGUGGCAUGUAAACAAUGUUAAUAACAUGACGAAUGGCAUCAGAACUUAGUGUAAUAGAAACACUUAUGGCAUUGAGCAUAGGGAAUAGAUGAGUUUCCCUAGUCGUGGCAUAUUGCAUGAGAAUUAGUGUAAUUGAGAUACUACGGCAUCAAACAUGGGGAUAGUUAAAUUCUCUAGUGCGAGUUGAUUAGUAUGAUUGAGACACUUGACAUGGACCUAGGGAUAGGUGGAUUUUCGAGUGUUUGUUAACCUAGUUGACAGGGUAUCCUCAGUUGGCGAGGAUUGGAUCAUACUCACAUAGUCUGUUUUGGGCUUGUGAUGGUCGCUCCACACAAGCAGUGCACUCCGGAGUUGUCACGCGAGCUGGGUAGCUCACGAGCGGGGUAGCUCACCGGGUGGGAUACGAGCGGGGUAGCUUCUCACCCAUCGGACUGGGAAGUGAGUUGGGGCGAAGGGCGGGGUAGCCCUUCCCCUAUGAGAAUUGAGCGGGGCAGCUCAUUACCUAUGAGAUUAGAGCGGGGUAGCUCUUCACCUAUGGCUUUUGAGAUGUAAGACGGGUGGCAUAAAAGCGGGGUAGCUCCUCACCCGUGAGAUUUGAGAUAUCAAUCGGGGCGAAGAGCGAGGUAGCACUUCACCUCUUCACCUACUAGAUUUGUAGUGUGAGUACCUAUGGGAUUUGAGUCGGGGCGAAGGGCGGGGAUGCUCUUCAUUUAGGACAUCUGAGUUGUGAGACAGGUGAGACAAGAGCGGGGUAGCUCUUCACCUAUGUGAUUUGAGAUCUUAGGCGGGGUAGCCUAGUGGAUUGGGUAAUGACAUAAAUAGCAUAAGUGGAUUUGCAUUCAUCCCAUGAUUAAACAUAGUAUAUGAUAGUGGAUUGCAUAACUAUGUUAUAUUUGUAUUCAUUACAUUGUUGAAACAUACUAGCAUGAUAGUAAGCUUGUUGCUAGAUGAUAUUCCAUGCAUUGCUUGCAUUUGAUGGCAUAGUAUAGUAUAGACGCAGUUUCAUUUCUAUAUAUAUCUAUCUAUCUAUCUGUGCCAGCUUAGACCUAGUGGGAAGAUGGGCGGAGUCGGCGGCCGAACCCACUGAGAACUAUAUUUUUAUAGUUCUCGCCCCACCUUGUUGCAGGGCCGAGUGCGAGCGUUCUGGGGGAGGAUCGCGGUAAGAGCGUAGCGUCCUAGCUAGCUAGUUGUGGCUUUCCCUUCUGUACCAAAGUACCCUCGAGUACAUAGGUGAUAUGGUUGUAUUUUGGAGAGUACUCAUGUAUCUAGAUGUUGAGAUGAAAAUGUAUUCAUUUUGGUGAGACGAGAAUUGUAAAAAUAUAUACAAAGAUUGAAUGUGAUGUAAUAGCUAGAUGUAUCUCUCUUUAUACACUUGUAUGUAUACUUGUGUUACUUGCUAUUGUUGUAUUGCACUCUUUGUGCUUUUCUCCUUGUCGGAUCGUGUAUGUAUUGAAUUAUCCCAGGGCAAAUUCCUUGUACAUGAUCCCGUGAUGAGCCUUGGGCAGACAGGGGAGGUGCUGUCCGUCCGGCUUCUAUUUGUGUCACGCCCCGGGGCCCAACGUAAGCCCGCCCGGCGCGUGCCCAGACCCGCCAUAUGUCUAAAACAUAUAAGGCGUCUAAACAAAACGAUAAAUAAGGCAUGGAGAGAGAAAAACAUCUAGCCGUAUCAGAGCAAAAUGUAUCUAUGAACUACAAUAAAGAAAUGAACAUAAAGCCGAAAGUCCACUAGAUAAAAGCAUAAAGUAGUACAACUGAAGUCCCAAAAUAAGUGCUAGAAAGGUACAUAGGUGGUCUCUCUAUAAAUGGUACAAAAUCUCUCUCUCUCUCUAAUACAAUAAAAGAAAGAGUAAGCCACCUAAGCUCAAAAGUAGCUCUCCGCUAACUAGCUACGCGACUCCCUUGCCACGAUCUCGUGCCUCCGCCGGUGCCGAAGGCUCUGAAAUAAAACCAUAAAACAGGGGGCGUGAGAACUAUUGAAAAAUAGUUCCCAGUGGGCAAUUACUGACUUCAGUGAAAUGUACCACUAGGCCCAAGAGCUACAAAAAGGGGUCAGUAAGCAUAUGUAAACAAAUACGAUACGUACGACAAGUAAAUAAGCAUGAAUAUUUGCUACCACAUGAUAUCUCUACUUAGCAUGAUUUAGCAUAAGUAAAAAAAGCUAUUCUUGUAUGAAUGUACCCAAGUAUCGCUAGUAUGAUGUCCAUAAGUCAAAUAAUAAAGAUGUCAUUAUUUACUAUUCUAAUCAAUGUCCAACCUAGGUAAAGGUUCUAAGCCAAUCAAUUGGGUCUCCAAGCCCUUAAAUCAAAAAUCCCCAAAAUAAACCCUAAAUCUCAUUUCUAGGGUUUCAUAUGGUAAAACGUACCAAAACAUGGAUCAAAUGCUAGAAUCAAGGUACUAACCUCUCUAGAUGCUCCAAAACAAGCUCCAAAUCUUCUAGGGUUGAAGAUUGAUCCUCUAUCAAGCUCCUAGCCCAAGCUCUAAGCCACCAAUGGUGAGCAAAGGGAGAGGAAGAUGCUCCAAAGCCUCAAGAUCUUGCUCUCCUCCAACUCCUUCUUCUUCUCUCCUUCUUCUUCUCUCUCUAAAGUGAGUGUGAGGGAGAGAAAUGAGGGAGUGAGAGAGUGGAAGGACCAUAAAAGCCCUCUCAAGUAACAAUAUCCUAAUAAGCCCUCCAACAAUCCAACAAAUGCAUCAACCCGGACUGGGCAACAUUCGCCCAGAGGGACCGGUCUCUCCCUGCCUGGGACCGAUCUCUCGGUUCAUCCCGCAAAACCAGCGUACGGGAACCGGUCUCCCCAGCCGGGGACCGGUCGCAUCGCCAUGGGGUAUCGGUCUCCCCGACCAGGGACCGGUCCCCGAGAGUGAAAACUCUCAGGACAGCCCAGAACUCAGAUUUUUCGAGCUCUUUAAGUCGGAACACCUUCCACGACCUUCCACCAAGUGUGGAAAAGCUCGGAACCCAAGUCAAACACUCGAACCUCGCAAUUUGCAAAGGUCCAGUGUGCUACAUUCACCCCUCCUAAAAAAGGAGUUUCGUCCGUGAAACUCAAAAGCAAACACAUACCUCAAAGCUCCAUCUGAAAAAGAUGGGGAUAGCGCUCCCGCAGCGCGCUCUCUAGCUCCCACGUGGCCUCCCGCUCCCCGUGGUUGCUCCAAAGCACCUUCACAUAGGGAAUAUCCCGAUUCCGUAGUUUCUUCACCUCGCGAGCCAAGAUCUUCACGGGUUGCUCCUUGAAGCUCAAAUCAUCCCGUAGCUCCAUAGUUGUAGCAUUCAACACAUGAGUCGGGUCGAAAACGUACUUCCAAAGAACCGAUACAUGAAAGACGUUAUGCACGCCCGAUAGGUUCGGUGGUAGAGCAAGUCGAUACGCUACCGGACCUACACGUUCCAAAAUCUCAUACGGUCCAAUGAAACGGGGGCUUAACUUACCCCGAACCCCGAAUCUCUUAAUCCCUCUAGUCGGCGAGACCUUAAAAAAAACAUGGUCUCCAACUUGGAACUCCAAGUCUCGCCGUCGUCGAUCGGCGUAGCUCCUCUAUCUACUCUGUGCCGUCAAAAGUCGCUCCCGAGCUACUCGAACCUUGUCCUCAGCUUCCUGGAGCACGUCAGGGCCUAAUGCCAAUCUCUUGCCGACUUCACUCCAAUGAAGUGGCGACCUACACUUCCGUCCAUAAAGUGCUUCGAAGGGCGCCAUCUUGAUGCUUGCUUGAUAACUGUUCUUAUAAGCAAACUCUGCCAUAGGUAGAUGCUGCGACCAUCCUCCCUAGAAGUCUAUCACACAUACUCGGAGCAUAUCCUCUAAGGUCUGAAUGGUGCGCUCCGACUGCCCAUCACUCUGAGGGUGGAAAGCAACGCUAAAGUCCAUUCGAGUGCCUAGGGCGUCCUGUAGACUCCGACAAAAAUGAGACACAAACCGAGUGUCUCGAUCCGAUACGAUCGAUGUAGGCACUCCAUGAAGGCGCACAAUCUCAUCAAGGUACACUUGUGCGAGCUUCUCUCCGAUCUAAGCAGUAUGAAUAGGUAUGAAGUGCGCCGACUUCGUCAACCUAUCCACGAUCACCCAUAUGGCAUCAUGCCCGGCCUGAGAGCGGGGCAAUCUAGUCACGAAAUCCAUGGUGAUCUUCUCCCACUUCCACACGGGAAUAGGCAAACUCUGAAGUUUUUCCGCAGGUAAUUGAUGCUCAGCCUUUACUUGUUGGCAAGUUAGACAACGAGGUACAAACUCUCCAACGUCCUUUUUCAUCCCGGGCCACCAAUAAAGUAACUUAAGUCCUUAUACAUCUUGGUGCCUCUCGGAUGUAUAGCAUAAGGCGCUCCGUGCGCUUCUUGAAAAAUAUCCUCUUUAAUUUUCGAAUCCGCCGGUACGCAAAUCUGCCCACGGAAACGCAUCAAUCCUUGGUCAUCCACAAGGAAGUCGCCGGUGCAACCAUCAACCAUUUUAUCUCGAACCUUUUGCAACUCCACAUCGGAAGCUUGCUUCUCUUUAAUUCUAUCCAAGAGUGUAGGUUACACCACCAAAGUCAUCAAUCUCAAAGGCGUAUCUGGAAUCACCACUUCCAAAUCCAACCGCUUCAUUUGCUCGAUCAACUGCGGUUGAGUAACAACAUGCAUCGCUAAGUUUUCCUUUGAUUUCCUACUUAGCGCAUCCGCCACCACGUUAACCUUGCCCGGGUGGUAAAGAAUAGUCAAAUCAUAAUCUUGAGCAGCUCCAACCAUCUGCGCUGUCUCAAGUUCAACUCCUUCUGAGUGAACAGGUAUUUGAGGCUCUUGUGAUCCGUGUACACUUCACACCGCUCGCCAUAAAAAUAGUGGCGCCAUAACUUUAAUGCGAAGACUACGGCCGCGAACUCCAAAUCAUGCGUAAGGUAAUUCUUUUCAUAUUCCUUCAGUUGGCGAGAAGCAUACGCGAUCACCUUGCCAUCCUGCAUCAAAAUGCAACCCAAUCCAUUAAGAGAUGCAUCACUAUAAAUCACAUACCCUGCUCUAGCCAUCGGCAGGGUUAGGAUCGGGGCGGUCGUCAAUCGGUGCUUCAACUCUUGGAAGCUUCUCUCGCACGCAUCAUUCUAAAUGAACUUGACACCUUUAUGCGUGAGCCCCGUGAGGGGAGUAGAUAGCUUAGCAAACCCCUCGAUAAAUCUCCGGUAAUAGCCUGCCAAUCCAAGAAAACUCCGAAUCUCCGUGAGGCUCGUCGGUCUUAGCCAAUCCUUGAUAGUCUCAAUUUUCUUAGGAUCCACGGCUAUACCCGAUCCCGAUAUCAAAUGUCCAAGGAAGGCUACCUCUCGAAGCAAAAAUUCACACUUUUUCAGCUUGGCAUAAAGCUUUUUUUUCCGAAGUAUUUGAAGUACUAGCCUCAAAUGCUCCUCGUGAUCCGCAUCAUUUCGGGAAUAAACCAAAAUGUCGUCGAUGAACACCAUGACGAACCUGUCUAGAUAAGACUUAAAAACACGGUUCAUCAGAUCCAUAAAAGCUGCCGGGGCAUUGUAAGCCCAAACGGCAUAACUGUGAACUCAUAGUGUCCAUACCGUGUUCUAAAAGCCGUCUUUGACACAUCCUCGGGUUUUAUCUUUAACUGGUUGUAUCCCGACUGCAAGUCUAUCUUGGAAUACACACACGAUCCUUGAAGCUGAUCAAACAAGUCGUCGAUCCUCGGCAACGGAUACUUAUUCUUGAUCGUGACUUUAUUGAGUUCACGAUAGUCCACACAUAGGCGAAGUGAUCCGUCCUUUUUCUUGACGAACUAAACUGGCGCUCCCCACGGUGAGAAGCUCGGUCGAAUGAAGCCCUUGUCCAACAGAUCCUGUAGCUGUGCCCUCAGCUCUUUCAGCUCCACCGGUGCCAUCCUAUAGGGUGCCUUCGAGAUUGGAGUAGUCCCAGGGACGAGAUCUACCACAAACUCGAUCUCCCUAUCGGGUGGCAUACCCGGUAGCUCCGUUGGAAACACAUCCUGAAACUCCCGUACCACUGGAAUAUCCUCAAUCCUAGGGGUGUCAUCCUCGCCCCUCAACACAACACUAGCCAAGUAGGCUACACAUCCUCGGCUGAUCAGCUGCCUAACUCGAGACAAGCAGAUCGACAUCGCAAAAAGCGAACUCCGGCAUCCUCUAAACACGACCUCAGUCUGCCCCGGUUCUCUAAAAGUAACCGUGCGAUUCUUGCAAUCAAUGGUGGCGUAAAACUUGGUUACUAAAGCUACACCAGAACCUAUACCUAACCGNCGAGACAAGCAGAUCGACAUCGCAAAAAGCGAACUCCGGCAUCCUCUAAACACGACCUCAGUCUGCCCCGGUUCUCUAAAAGUAACCGUGCGAUUCUUGCAAUCAAUGGUGGCGUAAAACUUGGUUAGCCAAUCCAUAUCCAAGACCACAUCGAAAUCUCCUAGCUUGCGCAAAGCUAGCAAAUCCACGGCCAUGAUCCAAUCUCCUACCCGAACAGGGCAACUAGGGCAAUACUCUCUAAUAUCCAGAGUGUGGUUUGGUACUACAACAUGUCCCGGAUGCAACAAGAAAAUCAAAGGGAUGCCAUGCAACUCGGCAAACAGUCGAUCUAUAAAUGAAUGCGAUGCACCAGUAUCAAAUAAAGCACGAACUCUAAUGCCAUCAAGUAAAAUGAUACCUGCAACCACAUCCUCGGCUGCUGCUGCCUCCUCGGUCUGAGCAGCAUACAAACGCCCACUCGAGGCCUGUCGAGAACCAUCGCUCUGGCGCUGGACGGAUGGCUGCCCAGGCUGAUACUGCGCUGAUGGAGUUCCGUGGCUGGCGGCUGGUAGAGCCAGUGCCGAUGCAGUUGACGGUGCCGAUGAUGAACCUCUCGGGCAGUCAUUCCGAACGUGGCCCUCCUGGCCACACUGGAAACACCUGCCCUUUCGCUGUGGACACUGCGGUGGGUAAUGAGGACCACCGCAGAUCACACACGGGGAGGGCCGGCGACGAUCAGAACCUCCUCGCUGCGUCGCUGAGCCGCGUCCACGCCGCUGGCUCCUAGGAUGCUUCGGCGGUCUCCUAGAGUGCGUCUGGCUCGCACCCUCAGCCGCAGACCUCUUGGCCUUACCCUUGUCCAUGGUCUCUCGCCGCUCCUGGACAUCUGUCGCGCCGCUCUCCACUAUGAGCGCGCGAUCCACCAACUCCCGGUAGGUUUGAAGGUUAGAGGAUUGCACGAACCGAAAAAUCGACGGUCGCAACCCUCGCUCGAAAAUGCGGGUCUUGUCCUUUUCGUCCCACACGACGAAGGGCACGCAGUGUAGAAGCCGAGAAAACUCCUGCUCGUACUCGGCUACAGUUCGAUCUCCUUGGCGCAAGUUGCGCAAAUCCUGCUCCAUCUUCCUCUUGACGCUGGUCGGGAAGUAGUGCGCCAAUAGAAGCUCCUUAAACCUCUUCCAAGAUAUAGCCGCCAAGUCAGUGCUGGUGUAGCACACUGGACCUAUGCAAAUUGCGAGGUUCGAGUGAUUGGUUGUGUUUCGAGCUUUUCCACACUUGGUGGAGGGUCGUAGAAUGUUUUCCGACCUAAAAAGUUCGAAAACCAGAGUUCUGGACGAGUCCUGAGAGUUUUUACUCUCGGGGACCGGUCCCUGGUUGGGAGAGACCGGUCCCCCCCCGGAACAGUAUUGCGGCAGCCUUGAGGCAACCGGUCCCUGGCGAAUGAGACCGGUCCCCGAGCGCGUCCAAGCGGGGAGAGACCGGUUCCUGAACGUUGGAUUUUCGGGGCAGGCCGAGAGACCGGUCCCAUGUCGGGGACACCGGUCCCUCAAUCCGAAAACUGCCCAGUCCGGGCUGAUGCAAUAUUGGAAAUUUGAGGGUCUUUUUGGAUUUUGUUACAUUUGAUGGCUUAUAUGGCCAUUUCACCCUCUCCCUUUUCUCAUUUCUCAUUUUCUCAUUCUCCCAACACCCUAGAUAGAGAAGGAGAAGAAGGAGAAGAAGAAGAAGGAGAAGAAGAAGAGAAGGAUCUAGCUUGAGGACUUGGAGCAUUUUCCUCCCCUUCUCUUCCCACCUUAUUGGUGCUUGGAGGCUUGGACUUGGAGCUUGCAAGAGAGGAGAUCUUCACCCUUGGAGCUUGGAUAGGAGCUUAUAAGGAGGUUGGUUGCUCAUUUCUUCCCUCUAGACCAUGUUUUGUUGGUUUUUAGAAGAUGAAACCCUAGAAUGGGAAAUCUAGGGUUUCUUUGGGGCUUUUUGAUUUAGGGCUUUUUUAGCUAAUCUAAUUGGAUUAAAACCUUGGUUUAGGUUACUUUGGAAGGAAUCUAGCCCUCUUUUGGAGCUUGGAAGAGAUUUUCUACUCCCUAGGUGAGUUUUUGCCCCUUUGCUUGUGGUGGUUAAUGUUUGAGCCUAGAGUUGCUCGUAACGUUUGUUUAUCUCUUCGCUCCUUACCUUUAGGGUACUUGGAGACUUGCGGACAACUCCGUUCGGCGAAACGAAGGGUUUCGAGACGGUUCGGUGGGUUUGACCUAGCCUAGCAUAUGAGAAAUUCUCAUAUCCUAUGUUUUAUGCUUCGUAAAGUAGAAAUUCAUACAUUUCCAUGAUAAAUGUAAUUAUUGUGAAUUUUAGGAUGUUUAACAUGCCUAUGUUAUGUGUAAGACAUUUCGGACCUCUAUUGUGACGCACUGGACUUUUGCAAAUUGCGAGGUUCGAGUGUUUGGGUGUAUUUCGAGCUUUUCCACACUUGGUGGAGGGUUGUAGAAUGUUUUCCGACCUAAAAAGUUCGAAAACCUGAGUUUUGGUUUGGUCCUGAGAGUUUUCACUCUCGGGGACCGGUCCCUGGAAGGAGAGACCGGUCCCCCAAUGAGCAGUGUUGCGGCAGCCCUGAGGCAACCGGUCCCUGGCGGGCGAGACCGGUCCCCGAGCGCGUCUACGCAGUGGGAGACCGGUCCCGCACAGGGAGAGACCGGUUCCCGAACGAUGGUUUUUCGGGUUCGCAGCGAGAGACCGGUCCCUGCUGGGGAGAUACCGGUCCCUCUGGGCGAAAACUGCCCAGACCGGGCUGAUGCAAUAUUAGAUUUUUGAGGGACCUCUUGGGAUUUUGUUACUUUGGAUGGCCUAAAUAGCCCUUCCACCCUCUCUCUUUCUCAUUUCUCUCCUCACACUCCCUCCAUACCCUUGUUAGAGAGAGAAGCGAGUGAGAAGAAAAAGGAGAAGGAGGGAAGAAGAGAAGUUUGAGAGCCACUAGUGGACUUGGAGCAUCUUCCUCACCCUAUCUUCUUCCUUGGUGCUUGGUGCUUGGACUUGGAGCUUACCAAGAGGAGAUCUUCAUCCUUGGAGCUUGGAUUGGAGCUUCUUAGAGGUUUGUUUGCUUUUCCCUCCCUCCUAGACCUUGAUUUGAGGAUUUUUGGUAGAUGGAACCUAGAAAUGAGAUUUAGGGUUGAUUUUGGGCAUUUUGAACCUAGGGCUUUGUGGGCUAGAUUGAUUGGUUUAGAACCUUCCUUGGCUUGGUUUGGAAGGUUCUAGCUCUCUUUUGGAGCUUUGAAGAGAUUUCUUCUCUUGAGGUGAGUUUUGGCCCUUUUUGCUUCUAGGUUAAUAUUUGGUUUUAUAAGAUGGUCGUAAUGCCCUCGUAUCUCUUCGCUGAUCACUUUUAGGGUAUUUUUGAGACUCGGGGACAACUUUAUUCCGCGAAUCGAGACCCUGCGCGACGGUUCGGUGGGUUUGACCUAGCCACACAAUGAAAAAUUCUCAUUUGUGCUUAUUUAUGUAUCGUUAAAUGAAAAAGCAUGCAUAUUCUUGUUACAUGUAUUUAUUGUGAUUUUAGAAUUUUUAAAAUGCAUAUGUUAUAUGUAGUGAAAUUUUGGACCUCUAUGUACUAGAGAGUUGCUUGGGAGAUCUUUGUUGCAUUUAGCAUUCUUCAUGAGACUUGGUUUCAUGCUUCUUAUAGUAUAAAUGAGUUCGGAUUCUGCAUUUAAACUAAUGUUAUUAGAGACGUGAAAGUUGACAAGAUUGUCAUUUAGAAGGUAUGUGAAUUAGAGAGCUAAUGUCAUCAAGGCGCCAUUGAGCUCCGGACAUGUGUGAACCUAGUGGAUAGGGCCAUCGAGGGAUUGGGAUACAUGUUGGACACCAGAUUGCCUAAGUGUCAUCAAGGGGCACUAGGCGUAGCAAAAGUUGAAAAUUCACAUUGUGACUUAAACUAGAUCUUCGGAUGCUAGUGGCUAUACCUAUGUAGAGACAUGAGGAUUGGUUACUUGAGACUUGGACUAUGCUUGCUGCCAUUUGUGCCAUUCGCACAUGCUUGUGAGGGUCGCUCCCUACAAAGCCGGCACUCCGGAGUUAGCCUACGCGACUUAUGUUCGCUCGUGCGGUAUCAGUAAGCCUACGGGUCAGUGGGGCAGACACAUUCCAUGUGUAGGAAUGUCGGGCUACCACAGGCACUUAGCGGCACAAGCCGGACUACUUGGUGUAGGUCCUAAUUGGAAUGGAAAUCGACACGGUGUAGUAUAUAUGGUCAAUCAUGCUCGAUAGAAUCGGUAGUUGGAUUACUUGGACAUGCUCAUGAUAAUGGCAUUGGCACAUUUAGUAUACUUGCGCGUUUCAUUAUUGCAUAGUAGUGUACUCGGAUGUUUGAUAGUGUUUACCCUUAUGCAUUGACACAUUGCAUCGUGAGGUUUACUUGUUUAUUACGUUGAACCAUAUUAGUAUGCAUUACCAUUUGAUAGCGUAGAUGUACUCACCAUGGCAUCAUGCUUACUUGAGACAUAUGGAUUAGCACUGGCUAUAUGCUUUUCUACAGUUGUUACUUAUUAUUCUUAUUGUUGCUUAUUAUACUUACCCUUUUUCUUUUGGGGCCUAGUGGUGCGAUGACUGAGGUCAGUAAUUGCCCACUGGAACUAUAAUUAUAGUUCUCACGCCUUUUUUCUCGAUGUUUUUUCAGAGCCUUCCACGCCGGGUGAGGCCAGGGACCGAGGGAAGGGCAUUGCUUCCAGCUAGCUCUUCAGCGAGGGACGAGUUGUUAGGUGGUCCACCUCUCGAUGUAUUUCUUUUUGCGAGAGGUUGAGAGUUUUACCCGUGUACUAGAGACCACCAUUUUUGUACUUUUGAGACAGAUAGUGUUCUACUUAUGGUUAUCUUUGUUUGACUAGCUUUAUUUUCUUUGCUUUGGUGUAGAUGAUAGAACUUUACUUGCUCUGAUAUCAGUAGUUGCUAGUUAUUUCGCUACUUUUAUUUGUUCUAUCUCCUGCUUUUACUUCCACUUUUAGUCUAGACGCCUUAUAUGUGUAGACAUAUGGCGGGUCUGGGCACGCUACCGGGAGGGCCUCCGCCGGUCCCGGGGCGUGACAUCUAUAUAGUAGAGAGCUAGCAUGUGGGACUUGUACAUGAUUGGCAUCCUAAUGAGACUUGGAAUCAUAAUUUCUAUUGUGAAAAUGAAUAUUACUUUCAUGCAUUUAAAGCUAUUUCCUACUUGAGACUUAAAGAAUCUUAGUAAGCCAUAAAGAGGCUCGGGGACUUGUAGUUCUUGAGAAUAAUUGGGCUAAUGUCAUAAUGGGGCAUUGAGCUCGGAUUAAAUGAGAACCUAGUAUAUUAGUCAUGAAUGGAACAUAGAUUAUGAAAUGCGUUAACUUAUAACAAGCUUAAAUGUCAUAAAGAGGCACUAAGCAUAGUGAGUGUUGGAACAUCACUUUGAAACAUUGAACCAGAGCUUUGAGAUGCUAGUGACUUGUACCAUAUUAGAAACAUGAUGAUUGGACGUUUGAGAUGUUGACUAUGCUUGUUCGCCUUUUGUGCUCAUUCGCACAUGCUUGUGAGGGUCGCUCCCUACAAGCCGGCACUCCGGAGUUGGCCUACGCGACUUAUGUUCGCUCGUGCAAUAUUGAGAAACCUACGGGAUCGAGAGGGAUAGACUCAUUCCUAGAGUGGAAAUGCUGGAGCUACCACCGACACUUAGGUGGCAUAAGCUGGACUACACUAUGUAGGUCCUAGAAUAUGUUGGAAAUAAUGACAUUGAACUGAGAAAUGACUAUCUCUACUAGAUAGGCUUAGUAGUCUGAUUACCUUGACAUGCUUAUAGCAUAGUGUUGGGACUUGUAGUAUACAUGAUAGUCUUAUUUGUUGCAUCAUAAUAUACUUUGCUGCCAUGAUAGAGCAUAUUCAUCAUACAUUGACAUAGUAGAUCAUGAUACCUACUUGCCCGUUAUGUUGGGACAUAUUAGUCAUGCUUGGACAUACUUCAUUUUGAUGAGUAGAUGUACAACACAUUUGACAUCAUGUUUAUUUGCGACAUAGUAGUUUAGCAUUUUAAUCAUGCUUCCAUAAAUGCAAUCCAUUUAUUAUUAUUAUUGCUCUUUGGACUUACCUUUUUCUUUUGGGGCCUAGUGGUGCAUUGAGCUGAGGUCAGUAAUUGCCCACUGGGAACUAUAAAUUAUAGUUCUCACGCCCUCUUUUUCUUGAUGUUAUUCAGAGCCUUCCACGCUAGGAGAGGCUAGAAACCGCGGAAAGGGUAUCGCCUCGAGUUAGCUUGGCUUCGAGGGACGCGUUGAUAGGUGGUCUACCUCUCGUUGUUUUCUUUUUGGAGAGGUGGAGAGCUGUACCAGUGUAAUAGAGACCACCUAUUUUGUGUACUUUUUGGAGAUGGUUAUUGUAUAACUUUGUGUUUCCUCUUUAUUGCUUAGUCGUUCCAUCUACUCUUAUCAUAAAUUAUAGAUGUGUACUUGCGCUGAUAUCUCUAAUUGUAGAUCAUCUCUUGCUUUAUUUCCGCUGUUGUUGUAGACGCCUUAUAUGUGUAGACAUAUGGCGGGUGUGGGCGCGCUACUGGGAGGGCCUCUGCCGGUCCCGGGGCGUGACAUAGAUAGCUAUGCUGAAUUGAAAGCAUUAACGAUAAUUAAGCAAGUAUGAAUAAGAACGUCUAUCUAUGCCUCAAUCCAUAGUAAUGCAUGCAUGCAACAUAAGGCAAAGCUAAGUACUAAGCUACUAUGCACAAUAACAACGUAACUCAUCAGGUUACCCAAUCACUUGGCGAACUCAAGGCUCGCUCCCAAAUCUCACGUGUGUAAGCCUCAUAGGGGAGGAGUCCCACUGUUCAACUACCCCCGAGACCGCCUCCGUACAGAUACUUUAGUCCAAGGGCAAUUAUGUUAGCCCUCCUCGGGUGACAACUCCGGAGUGCACUACCUGUAUGGAGCUAUCGCACCAGGCGCAGACAGGCUAUGUGAGCUCGAUCCAAAUUCUCAUAAAAUGGGAACCUCCUAUCAACUGGGGAUAGUAUCAUCAUAAUACGCAAGCAAAUCCCAUACUCAUCAAUCUAGUGUUACUAACCACACUAGGGUUCUCAUAGCUACUCAUCAUAGGUUAACAUUAACUAGAUGCCACUCGUCAUGGUUAACAUUAACUAGAUGCCACUCGUCAAAGUUCAAGGUUCUCAUACACUAGUUAUUCCACACUAGGUUUUCAUUCACGUGACACAUUCAUCACAUAUAAGGUUAACUAUCUUAUGUUCAACUCAUGCAUACUAGGUUCAGCGCUAUAUCCACGAAGCUAAGCUAACAAUAGCAUGCAAUAAUAUGUAACAAUUACAUUCAGCACCCUAUAAUGCGAUUUUACAAUAUGCACUUGAUCAACAUGAUGACUUAGACAUAGGGAGCAGUUCAACUGCUUCGGGAUGGCACCCCCUACCUUUUGUUAGUGCUGCGAGGGUUGGGAAAACUUGACUUUGCGAUCCUUAGUCGUCGCCUCGACUCCUCGGACCAAUACGAACCCUUGAGCGCUUGUUUCGGCGAUAUCUUCGCACUCACUCGUCGUAUCGACGAACUGUCUUCACCCACGCGCUCGAAGACCUAGCAAGUAGGUUUUCAACCUAUCAAAAUAGAUCAAAACCCUAUAUUUCCAAAAAUCCCAAAACAUGCCCUAGAUUAGCAACGAUAGAGAAAUUCGUGGUGCAAGCUUCGAAUUCGAGCUAGAACUACCUAUUUAACUCCAAUAGGUUCCAUUCGAACCAUUUCCAAAGCAAUAAAACCCAAGCUCCAAGAAUCCACUAUGGUAGGGUUUAGGGCUUACCUCUAAAAACUUCUCAAAGCUUAAGGGACAGAAGGAAAAGGAUGAUCUUCCUCUUUGCCUUCUUCUUCUUCUACUUCUUCUCCUCCUUCUUCUUCUUCUCUUUCUUUUCUUUCUAGAGAGAGAGAGGGAGAAAGAGUGUGAGAGGGUGGAGAGAAAAUGAGAGAGUGAGGGAGAAGAGUGGUCCCCCAAGCCCUCAUAUAGGUGUUUUUGCUAUUAAGCCCCUCAACUUUCCACUUUACAAAACAGCCCUCACUGGGCAUUUUCGCAGUGAGGGAUCGGUCCCAGGUCGGGGAGACCGGUCCCCGAGAGCCUCCCAUUCGGGCAGAGGGAAUUUUGCGUUCGGGAACCAAUCUCAGCCUGAGAGACCGGUCCCCGGGAGAUCGGUCCUUGCUUAAAAGACCGGUUCCCGAGAGUUGGAUUUUCGGGACUUAGCCAAAUUUCGGCUUCUCUCGCUUGUUGCGCGCUGGGAGACCGGCCCGACUGAUCCAAGGGACCGGUUGCAUCAAGCAACCCCGCAACCCAUAGCCUCGGGGACCGGUCGCUCCCUACCAGGGACCGAUCCCCGGGAGCAAAUUCUGUCUAGUGCAGAUUUUGUACUGAUACUCUCGCGGACUCUUCCUUAAUGCACUUUAUGCAUUUUAAUCGCCUUCAGACUUUUCGAAGCCUACACACUCGACAAUUGGUCGAUUCUAAACGAAGUCUAAUCCUCGGAUUUCGAGAAUUCACUUCCCUUACAAAAAUGAGGUCAGCUCAAAUUCCACUAAGUCAAUUCCAUGGUCCGUACAAGUUUCGGGCGCCCAAAAUAUUUAAGGCAUGUUUGGUUUGAAGUAUCACACUUGGAAAUCGGAAUAAGCCCAUUUUGGUGCUUGAAUUGAGAGAUAGUAUUCCCCAGGGGGAUUUGAAUCCCUCAAAAGUGACUCCCACCAUAGAGGUCCGUAGAGGUGGGAGUCAAUUUUGAUUCCAAAGUGAUUGAGAAAAAAAAUUCACUAAUAACUAUUUGAAUUCAAAUAUAAAUCUAAAUAUAAAUUCAUUAAAUCAAAUCAUAAUUUCAAUUUUGAAUGUAAAUCAUGAAUUUAAAAUUAAAUUUUAAAUUUUUAAAAUUUUAAUUUAAUAGUUCUAAUUUUAAAUUUUGACUUUGACCUUGAACUUGAAUUGUAUAUUCAAAUUUAAGUUCAAAUUAUAAGUUCAAAUUUGGAUUCAAAUUUUUUAUUACAAAUGUGAAUAACAAAUUUAAAUUUAAUGAAAAUUUUAAUUUGCACAUACUUCUGAUUUCACUUUCUCUUAUGAGCCAAAUAAAUUCUUGAUUUUAUCAUUUUGUUUGCGCUUCCGACCUUUCAAUUCCUAUUUUGAAACCAAACAUGCCCUUAGUUCAUUAUUGGAAUGGAAAUUAAAAUUAACAAUUAAAAUAUCUAGAAUUUUGUAAGAGAGCUUUGAUAAAAGAAGAGAAUAAUGAAGAAGAGAGAUGUUUGCGAAAAAAAAUUGAGUGGUUUAUUAUAAGGUGGGUCAAACCAUGAUUCAAAAUCGAAUCGAGCCAUAAAUAGAUUGAAUAUUCUCAUUCCAAAGUGGAAUAAGAAUGGAAAUUUGAUUGCUCUUUGGAAUAAGAAUGGAAGUUUGACUGCUCUAAAACAAGCAACUACGAAGCAAUGAAUCUCAUUCCGAUUCCGGAGCCUAAAUUAGAUAAACCAAACAAAACCCUAAAUAUAAAGACAUAUUUUAAGCACGAUGUUAACAAUAUUGAAAACAAGCUCAAUACAUCAUAUAUACAAUAAUGUAAAAUAGGAUAAAAAAUACUAGAAUUUUCAAAAACAGAUCACGUUCUAACGAAUUUACUGGUGCAUGUAAAUUCAUGUAAACUCCAAAACUCCAGCAUCAGAAAAUUAAGACUCGUGGCUGAGAAACUCAAGUAGCGCCAACCGUUGCAUACUGUAGCACUCUCAAGAUUUAUGUUUGUUUUCAUAAAAGUACAAAUCGUUAGAUUCUCAUUGAAUGAUCACAACAUCUUGCACAAUCGAUACAAACAUUCUUCAGAAACAAACAGGGCAAAAUUCUUCUUUGCUAUAAAAUUUAGAUACCACAACUGUCUCACUUGAAAGUGAGAUCCAAAAUAAAUUUGCCACACAAUUUUUUAAAAUUACACUGGAUGGGGAACUACCUCCAGGAAAGGAAAAAGGGAACUUUGAUAGAAUGCAGUCGAGGAUCUACAACUUACAGGUGCUACUCAUUUGCUGAGGUAUCAGUCCUGCUGCCACUAGCACCUCAUUUGCUGAGGUAUCAGUCCUGCUGCCACUGACAAAAAAUGGCACGCUGAUUUAGUUCGGAUGAUUCUGAUGUUCAUAGCAGACAUCUCUGGAAAAAAUUUCCCCACUUUUAGCUUUUCAGUAAGCACGAAGAAUAUAAAUAAUGAUAACCACAUUUAAACUGAAUAGUGCAGUAUGAAUAUCCAAGAAAAUUUGCUGGAUGAAACUUAGCUAUCGUUUGUUGACAAAAUCACUAUCUAAUAGUAAUAAGCAUUAUUCUUCGAGUUCUUAUUCAUAGGUUAUUGGUGCAAGCAAAGAAACUGCUGUAGCGAAUGAUUAGAAUAGCGACCGUUUGAAGUCUGGAUUCCACCAGAGGAAAGAAAGGGAAAGAAAAUUGUGAUCAAAUCAAUUCCGAAAACGUUAAUUCAACUUACAUUUAAAGCCCACAAAUUUAAAAAGUGCCAAACCUAUCCUAUCUUGAACGACAAACCAUAACAAGCUUAUGGACCACUUACGACUUAAGACUUGACUUCACUCUAAUUAUCCAGCCAUAGAUAAUUCAAAACCAACCAAUCAUAAAACCUUAUCAGCUAGAAAAGAUCGAAAGAUUUGACUCAAGUCAUCAACCCAAUAAGAAAUUUAUCUAAAUUAUCCAAAAAAAAUGACAAAUUAAACUUAAUUAAUCAACAAGUAAAACUCUGAUCAAAACCUCAGUAACAAGUAGAGCUAACCUGAACCUGUCCUGCAUCAGUUAUUCUCUAUUGAGUAGAUGGUACAGCAAAUGUUUCCUUACAAAUGGCCUCCAUAGUUAUGAUCUAAAGUACUUCUAACCAUGAAUUUAAGUGCCGUGGCACGGGGUCAUGCCGGAAAAUUACAGCACGGUGCUUGUCGGGUUGUACUGAUGCGUGCCGGUCACAAAAAAUACAUGUGUACUAACACAUAAUAACAUAAAAUAUUUAUUUCCUUUAGCAACAAAAUAUUCUAACAGUUUACUAUGUAUCUUUAUCAAAUCUUUUGAACUUUAUUGAGAAAAUUACUUACUAAUUUGAAAAUUAUAGAGUUUUGACCUGUGCCAACGAUACGGGGGCUGUAUCGUGCCGAAAUCUUGUUGGCACGAUACGGCACCAUGGGCACUUAAAUCCUUGCUUUUGACAACUACUCUGCGAGCUAUUGACCUAGUGCCAAAUUCAAAGUGCAAACAUAUAGGCCUCCUUUGGUAUUGUUGCCAUUAUUUUUCACUAUGUGCUUUAAAUGUACCGCUGGACAAUUUUUCCUACUCUUAGCAUUUUGGCUAGCUUGCAAUGUGUUGGCAUUCGAUCAAACCAAAUCAGGUGUACCUAUGAUCACGCUGGCUCUGACGGUUAUAUUGUCUAACUGGACUAGAGUUAAUUUCGCUUUUAAAUUGGAAAGCUAAUUAGAGAUAUAUUCUAGCCAUAUUAGAAUAGUAAUUAUAAACCGAUUCGGCCUAAUCUUCUACUUACCUAUUAGAGUGUUGGGAUCAUUCAUAAAUAUACAGGCGAUUCUCUCAAAAAAGACGAACAAGAAGAAAAUAAAAAAAUACGUAGAAAUUCAUGAGAAAUUUGUGAGCCAUCUUGUGAGAGAGAAAAAACACAUCCUUUAUUAACCUAUUGCUUCUAGAGGGUCUUGAAUGGUGGCUUAUAGAUUUAGCUCAUUCAUAGCUCGAUCUACAGCAGGUUUGGAGUGUUAGAAGACCUUCGUGGACAAUCCGUGUCGUGAAUCAACCUCUAUGAUUCGGGACUUAUCACGUUCUAGCGCGAGUCGCUUCCUUAAAAGAUACGAAUGAAUACUUCCACUACGUUCUACAUUGGUAUCAGAGCAUUAUUAGGUUUAUUUCGUGCCAUAGAUGAAUUUUUAAUAAGAUUACAUGCGUAGAUCUAGAGUUGCCAUUGUUUAGAGCUCUUCUUGCAUGCUUGUGGGUGUUAAAGGCGGAUUUUUUUAGGGUGGAUAUAAUUGCAUGAUAUUUACAUAUCUUAUAGCUCUUAUAUGAUAUGUUAAAUCUAUAGUUUGAUUCAAUUUGGUUUUGUAUUUUGUGAGAAAAACAAAAUCCUAGAUCAAAACUUCACAGAUGGCUUGUUUGUAUGUGUAGUGCAUAUCCCAUUGUGAAUCUUACAUGAUUUGGAAGAGCUCCUCAUAUGCUUUCUAUUGAUAUAUUAUUUGCAAGAUUUGAAGUUCUACCUAGAAAGGUUUAAAUAUUCCAUAUUUUUCCAUCUAAAAAAAAGGGUUAUUAUCUUGUGGGGAAGAAAUUCCAUGUGGGCCAAGCCAGUCCCGCCCAUGCGUGUGAGCACUAUCCCAUUCGGACCAAGCUAGUCCUGGCCUGCUAGGGCCAAUCCUGGCCUACCCGGGCCGGUUGCGGGCCGUUUGCGGGCAUACCCGCGCGUGCAAGCCUAUGCGGGCUAGGCCAAUCCUGGCCCACCCGGGUCGGUUGCUGGCAGACCCGCACGCAUAGGCCCAUGCGGACUGGGCCCGUACAGGCCAAUCAAUAAACUAUAUAUUUUAAAAAGAAUAAUAAUUUUGAAUUUUUUAAUCAUAUUAGAUGAUUUAAUAUGCCUUGGUGAUGUAUGUUGAAUGCAUUUAAAUAUUGCGAUGAUUUUUAUUACGCUUUAUGAUGUGUAGAUGUAACUUCUGGCAUAAUAUAAAUUAAUUAUGUACGCUUAGUCGAGUGGGAAUUUAUUGUGGUAGAAUAAAUUGUAUGUUAUCCUGCAAAAUGCUAUAAAUUUGUGCAACUUAAUUAAAUAAUGAAAACAUUAGGCGUAGGGUGUGUGAUGUGAUUAUGAGCACAGCGAAAUUUUCCUUUACGCACCUAUGAUCUAAUUUUUCAAUUUGUUUAAUUAGAGAUGCGACAAAACUUAAUAUAUGUAUUCUGUGCUAAUUUAAAAUAUCUUUUUCUACGCACUGUGUGAACUUAGUAAGAUAGUAUGGACUCAAAACAAGUUGUUGCUGAUCUAAUCAAAGGUUUGAAAUUGAACAGUGACAAUUAUGAUAUCGGCACGAUAAAAUUCAAUAUAUUCUCGCUAAGUAGGAAGUCCUGGAAAAUUUGAGUCAUAAGAUGGACCAACCCAUAGAGGGCAAUAGCACUCAGGCUUGCAGAGAGAUGGAAGCCUAUAACAAUUGGCUUUGAAAACGAUCACAUUACUCGCAUUACGUUGCUGAACGGUAUGAGAAAUGAUCUGUUGUGCGAAUGAGUAGUACCCUACUGUUUAAAACAUGUGGGAGGCUUUCAAAACUAAAUUUGGUGCGAUUUCGGCCACAAGAUUGCUCAACCUGACUACUGUGUUUUGACAAUUAUAAGAAACAUGCCGAUCAGACUAUGAAACAGCACGUGAGAAUAAUGUCAAACAUGAUACAUGAGUUAAAGUUGAUCGGCAGCACUUUGACUGACUCAAGCUAUGAUUCGCUCCCUUCCCAAUUUGUGGGAACAUAUGCGAAUCAAUUUGACACAUAAUAAAAGCGUUAAAACCUUUGAGGACGUUGCACGACAACUAGAGUUGGAGGAGCACCAUGAGGCUGCUAAAAUCUCAACUGCUAAUACUGCUGAGUCAAACUUUUGCAUAACAUCCGAGUUCAAGCAAAAGCGGACUACUGACUCAAAAGCCAUAGCGGACCUGUGCCUAAAAAACGAAAAACACCCAAAAAAGAGAAGCAGACGAGAUGGCAAGAAGAACAAGUCGAAGAUGACUUGUUACAACUGUAACCUUGCACUGAGCCAAAAGAAGAUAUCCCUUUAUCCUGAUCCUCACUAUUUUGUUUAUUCUACAUGUUUGUUGCUGAAUCUCUCUGUGUGGAUUGUAGACUCAGGAGCAACAGACCACGUAGCGAGAGAUAGGCUAGGAGUCGUCGAGUACCGUCACAUAGCUGCUGGGAGCGUGAGAGUAAACAUAGGGAAUGAUUCCAGUGUCGAUAUAUUAGGCGUCAGCACGUACAAGUUGAUCAUGCGAGGUGGUCGCACGUUGUAUCUUCAUGAUGUACCUUAUACUCCAGAAAUCCGACGGAACUUGUUUUCUAUACUUGCUAUGCUCCAGUUAGGCUUUUCUUUUAGUUUUGAGAAUGUAGUUGAGAAUUAUCUUGGGACUAUUUAUUAUGGUAGAGUUUUUAUUUCAAAUGAUUUUAUGGUUUUGGACAUUAAUUAUAAAGGCAAACUUCAAAUACCACCCCUGUGGUUUUGCACUUUCUCACUUUAGUACCCUGUGGUUUAAAGUGUAUCAAUUUAGUACCCUGUGGUUUCAUUUUUCUCUUUUCGUCAGCUCUUCCGUUAACAUUUCGUUAAAUUAUAUACAAAAAAACUUCAAAUACCCCACCUAGGUUUAUCAAAUAUUCACCGUAGUACCUUUUAGUUUUAACUUUGUCACUGAUUUAACGAAAAAAAAAAUAGUGAAAGGGAUAAUAAAAAAAAAAAAAAAAUGAAACCACAGGAUACUAAAUUGAUACACUUUAAACCACAGGGUACCAAAAUGACAGUGCGAAACCACAAGGGUGGUAUUUGAAGUUUUCCCUAAUUAUAAUAAUAAUGAUAGUAAUUCGUUUUUCUUGCUAUCUUCUAUUGAUGAUCACAAUGUUUCUAUUAAAUAGCAUGAUCGUCUUGACCACAUUGGGCAGGAUAGAAUGACUAAAUUAGUUAGAGACGGGCUGUUGAGCUCGCUCACUAAAAUCGAUCUGCACACUUGUGAACAUUGCCUAGCGGGAAAAGAGACCCAAAAACCAUCUAAUAAAGCUUAUAAAGCAGAAUUUCCUUUACAAUUGAUCCACUAUGACAUUUGCGACCGAAUAAAUGUGGGGGCAAGGCAUGGUGCUGCUUAUUUCAUUACAUUUAUAGAUAACCAUACGCGCUUCGGUCAAGUCUAUCUGAUCUCCCAUAGGUCUAAAUAAUUGGAUUGUUUUAGACAUUAUAUUAAUGAGGUUGAGAAUCAACUAGAUAUGAAAAUUAAAACCUUAAGUACUGAUCGAGGCCACGAGUAUCUAUCUAAAUAAUUCAAAGAAUUGUGUAAUAAAAAACGAAUAAUCAGAUAGCUGACAUUUCCUGGAACUCUGCAGCAAAAUAGUGUAGCAGAAAGGAGAAAUCGCACUUGCUUGACAUGAUUAGGUCAAUGAUGGUGCAAGCAAACUUGCCUGUCUCUUUUCGGGGAAACGCAUUGUUAACAACUGCCUACAUUCUUAAUCGUGUGCCCUCCAAGUCAGUGCCUUCCACCCCUUAUGAGUUGUGGACAGGCAGGAAACCAAAUUUGGAGCACCUACUUCAUUGGGAUUCGGCGGCUUGUGUGCACGAUACUUCUCACAAGUAUGAGAAGUUGGGCUUUAGCGGGAAGAAGUAUAUCUUCAUAAGAUAUUUUGAACACACUAAAGGAUACGUGUUUAUUGAAAAGCAGCCAGAACCACAAGAUGAUGAAUUCCUCAAGAAAGAUUUUCCUUACAGAAGUGAGGUCCAAAAUGAAAUUGAGUUCCAUGAAAUAAACUCCGGUAUUGGCACUCUUGUUCGUUCGCCUGAGGUAGAGAAGGCAACUCCAAUUUACCUCCUGGGGAUAGUGACUCCCGACUUACCUUUAGAACAAGAGCCUCAACUUUGUAGGAGCACACGUGUGAGUAUUCCCCGUCUUCGUUUUGAGAUUGAGGGGGAAACUUUCAUGGUUGUUGCACAUAAUGAUGAUGAUGAGCCUAGGUCUUUCCAAGAGGCUCUCUCAUCGCCUCUAUAGCACACUGACCUUAAGCAAAUUGUAGAGUUCUAGUGUGAGAAAAGCUUUGGUUGAUGUUUCGAGUGUGUCGGCCUAUUUUCGGAGCUUAAUGAGCGCAAGAACGGAUUUUGACAUCAAAAUCUGCGAAACUAUAAUUUUUGCUGUUGAGUACCGAUACUGGAUAUGAGGUACCGGAACUCGGUAGAGAGCAGUUUUGGGCAGCUCUCGGAUUUUACAAAACUCGACUGUGUACCGGUACCGAUUGUGGUGUACCAGUACUACAUCAGGCGGGUACCGAAACACAAUAGAAACCGAAAAUUCCAACGUUCGGGUUUUGCAGAAUUGCAUUUCGGAUACCGGAAUUAUCCGAGUACCGAUACUCCAAUUCGUGUACCGAUACUCAAUGCUGCAGAGACUGUUUCUUGCAGUUUGUAAUUUCAGAGAUUUGAGGGGCUUCCAGGUAUAUUAUUACAUCAUGUAUAAUACCCCUUCACACCUCUCAUUCACUUUUGUGUGGUUGUGCUUGAGAAUGAAGAGAGGUGAGUUCCUUUCCCUUUUUCUCUUAGAUUCCUCCCUCCAACCCCUCUAAUCCUUGGAUUUUUCUUCUCUUCAUCUCCUCCAUGGAUGCAUGCAUCUAGAACCUUGAAGGGAGCUUGAAAUUGAAGGAAGGAGCUUGUUUGAGACUUGGACUUCAACCCUAGCAUCUUAUAGCUUAGUUUGGAGCUUUAAUUGAGGUUAGUAAUCUUCUUGCAUUCUCUAUUUGUGAGUUUUGCAAGAAUUUUUGGUAGAAAACCUAGUUUUGUAGAAACUAGGGUUUAUUUUGAGGUUUUCCUAUUAUGAGCUUUUGGGGUUAAAUUGGUGGGUGUAGAACACUUUUAGAUUGGAUUUGAAGCCCCAUUGCUUUAGUUUCGACCUUGGACAAAUUUUACUUGGUCAAAGAUAAUUUUCACCUAGUUCUACUUGAUUUUUGGUGAUUUUUGUGGUGAGCUUUUUAGAAACUUGUAACCCCUUGGAAAUUUUUCUUAAGGUGCAAGAAGUCUAGAGGACAACUUCGUUUGGAAAACGAUCAAGUAUUCGAAGGUUAUCCGAUGGGUUUGACUCCCCCUAUGUCUCUUAUCAUGUUAUAGGGCCUAAUAGAUGCUUUAUUAUGUUAUUCAUGACAAUCUAGAAUUUUUUGACACAUGGCAUAUUCAUGUUAUAUAUGAGACUUUACAUUCUCUAUGUAGUUAGAGGGUUUGUGACAACAACAUGCAUAUCAUGACAUAUGAAUUUGUUUUGGAAAUAUCAAUCUUCUUUUGUUCAAAUAUAUGUAUGCAUGUAAGAUAUUAUAAGUAUCAUAUGAGACACUACAUGACUAGUAGAACUAUAGACUAGAACUUGAAAUGUGCAAUUCUUUAUACUUGCUAUAGUUAAACGCAAAACUAAUACCUUGCAUGUUGAUGAUAUGUUGGCAAGUGUAAGUAGAUUGUACUUAACCGAGAAACACAUUAGAGAUGACAUUACGACAUGUACUCGACCUCUAGGUCGUUCAAGUGAUAUCCAUGUUUUAGACAUGAUGAACGAGGUUCCAUACGCAUGAUCACCUGUUUGCCUUGUGCUCAUUCGCACAAGCUUGUGAGGGUCGCGUCCUACAAGCCGGCACUUCGGAGUUAGCCUUGCGACAUCAUCUCGCUCUGUGCAGGAUUGGGCGCCAAAUAGACGCCAUGGGCGAGGCUCAUUUCUAAGAGGGGGAAUGUGUAGCACACUGGACCUUGCAAAUUGCGAUGGUUCAAGUGUUCGAUGUGUAUUCCGAACUUUUCUCACACUUGGUGGAGGGCCGUCGAUGGUAUACGGCCUAAAAGUUCGAUCUCGAGAGUUUUGGCCGAGUCCUGAGAGUUUUACUCUCGCGGGACGCGCCUGAUGGGAGAGACGGUCCCCAGAGUGAACAGUGCUAACGCAGCCGGCGAGGCAACCGGUCCCUGGCAGAUCGAGACCGGUCCCGAGCGCGUCUGCGGGGAAGACGGUCCCGCGCAAGGAGAAGAGCCGGUUCCGGAACGGGAUUUUCGGGGGCAGGCUGAGAGACCGGUCCAGGUCGGGAGACCAGUCUCUGGGCAAAAACUGCCCAGACCGGGCUGUUGUGAUUUUGGGAUUUUUGAGGGGCUUAUCAGGAUUUUGCUACUUUAGAGCCUAUAGAGAGCCUUUCUUCUCUCUCUUUCCCUCAUAUUCUCUCAACUCUUUGCAUUCUAGAGAGAGAAGAAGAGAGGGAGAAGAGAAGGAGAAGAAGAGGAGAAGGAGCUUGCUUGAGGCCUGGAGCACCAAUCUCCUUCCCAUUUUCUCACCUUGGGCUUCGACUUGCGGUUGGAGCUUUGUGGAGGAGCAAACUUCAACCUACGUGUUUUGAGCUUAGAUGGAGCUCUCUUGAGUUGGUAGCAUGUAAUCCUAUUUGAUACAUGUUUUCCUAGGUUUACUAGAUGAAACCUAGAUUUUGGGAUUUAGGGUUUAUUUUGGAGUUUUUGGAUUGAGGCUUCUUGACCUCAUUUGAAUGGUUUGGAACUUUAUAUAGGUUUAGAUUGGAGACCUCUACCUUCCAUUUGAGAUAAAAAAGAGAUUUUUCACUUGAGGUGAGUUUUCUUCAACCCUACUUGAGGAGCCUUCAUGAUUGAGCUAUUUGCUCUUCGUUUCGUUUAGAUGACCUAUUUUGAUGUUUCUAGAUACUAGGAAGCUUGUGGAUACCUUCGUUCGGCGAACGAAGAAGUCGAUUUUGGUGGGUUUGACUUCAUGAAAAUGGGAACAAAUGGCCCUAUGCCUUCUAAACUUUUUGUAAGUAUUUUGAAUGCAAAUUCAUGCUAAACAUGAUUUAUAUGAGUUUAGAACACUUAACAUGCAUGCCUCAUGUAUCGUAAAAUCUGUACUCCAUAUAGUAGAGCUAUAUGUGUAGAUUGCAUGCAUUGUGGAUAGUGCUUGGUUUUGCAAGUUGAGAACAUGUCUCCAUGCUAGAAUUGAGUGAACUAUGCAUCAUGAACAUAUUAAUGCCAUGCUUGGGACUCGUGGAACAAAAGUGUCAUAAAGAGGCACUGGAAUUAGUAAACUAUGCAAUCCAACUUAGAGACAUGAUGAUAGCCAUUGCACAUCUGCUAUAUAUUCCAUGUUAGAGACAUGAUGACAUAGAGAUAGGCCUUUGGAACAUUCGAUACAUUCCAUGUUAUUAGACAUGAGGACUUGGUACUUGUGAUAGGAAAUACGACUACUUGCCAUUGUGCUCAUUCGCACAUGCUUGUGAGGGUCGCUCCCUACAAGCCGGCACUCCGGAGAUAGCCAUCGUGAUUCAUAUUCGCCGUGCGGGAUUGGGCGCCAAGUGGAUUGCCGUGGCCAGGCUCAUUCCUAGGGUGGGGAUGUUGACUACCACGGGGCCAUUAGGCUCGACACAGCCAACAGCCUCGGGUGGGUCUCAGGGCCAUAGACAGCCUUCGGGGUGGUCUCUUCAGAUUUGACUUGAGUAUUCAUUAUACAUUGGACAGAUGAUGACUUAGAGUAUUACUUGGACAUUGACUAGAAUAGUAAACAACGGAACUUUACUAUUUCGCAUUGUGAAUAUUAUGAUAGUUGGAGACUUUACUUCAUACAUAAUUGCUUCAUACUUAUGCUAAUUACGCUAAGUAGAGAUAUCAUGUUGUAGUAGGUUACAUUAUUUUUACUUACUUUCGCUUUUCUACUGUUACUGUCACUGACAUCUUUUGUAGCUUUGGACCUUGUGGAGCAUUCACUGAAGUCAGUAAUUGCCCACUGGAACUAUUUUUAAUAGUUCUCACGCCCUGUUUUAUGGUUUCUUUUCAGAGCCUUCGGCACCGGCGAGGCACGGGAUGGCGGCAAGGGGAUCGCUAGCUAGCUAGCGAGAAGGCGUACUUUGCCUAGAAUGGGUUACUCUUUCUUUUGUAGUUGAGAGAGUGAGAGGUUUUGUAUCCAUGUAUAGAGACCACCUAUGUAUCUACCUACAGCACUUGUAUCUGGGAUUUUCUUGUAUCACUUUAUGUUUUAUUUAGUGAAUUUACAGUUUUAUCCUUAUCCCUUGUUGUAGCAUUUAGACAUUUAUUAUGCUCUGAUACUCCUAGAUGUCUUGUAUUAUUGCUUUUAUUAUUGUUGUUUUUAGACGCCUUAUACGUUUUAGACGUAUGGCGGGUCUGGGCACGCGCCGGGCGGGCUUCCGCUGGGUCCCGGGGCGUGACAGAAUGUUGACUAUCACAAGGCCAUUAGGCAUGGCACAAGCCAGGACGUUACCUUGUAUAAGUCCCCGAUGAUUGGGUGAAAGUUAAUUAAAUUUGGCAUUGUAUAUCACAACUGGUUGAUGCAUUCAUAGUGCUUGGACAUACUUGUUAGUCGUUACACACUUAACACAUUUGAUAGUGGUAGAAUUGCAUACAUGUUAAUUGGCUUAGUCGUUUAGAGGCAUUAUAGUACUUGAAUCUCAACUUCAUUUACUUUAUCCAUGCUUUAUCUUUAACUACUUACUAUCUUGCCUCAGUUGACCUAGUGGUGUAAUUCGCUUUUCUCGACGGCUUACCCACUGAGAACUAUUGUUUAAUAGUUCUCACCCCCAUUGUUUAUUUAUUUUUAUUUCGGAGCCUUCCACUACGGGAGAGGCUAGGGAUCGCGGCAAGGGGCUAGCGACUAGCUAGAAUCUCUUUGGUGUGCCUAGGUGGACCCGAGACACCUUUCUUUUGUUUUAGUAGUGAAAGGUGUAUUAGACCAUUUAAUUCAUGAGAUGCACUUUUGUAUGUGACUUAUUGUAUGUCUUAUGAAAGGUUUAUAUUUAUAGUAAAAUUGUUGAAUUAUUUCAAAGUUUAGCACGCAUGCUCUAAUUACCUUGUUAGGAUUAUUUUUCUACUCUCUUUGUUAGCUGGUUCUUUUGGUAGACACCUUGUGUGCACUCGGGGUGUCUUGUGCGCACGACGGGUCUGUGCACGUGCCGGAUAGGCUUCCGCAGGGGCCCAGGCAUGACAGCCUACUUGUAAGAAAUGGUUAAAUGCAAUGGUAAAGAAAAUGCAAUCAAUGAAGUCAAAUCAUAUCUUGGUUGACUUGAGAUCGCAAGACCAUUAGAAAUAAAUGGGUUUUAGAGGUUAAGCGCAAAGCGGACGGUUCAAUCAAUAGGUAUAAGGCUCACCUGGUAGCAAAGGGUUUCACCAACUAAGGUGUUGAUUACGAGGAAACCUUCUCUCCUAUUGUAAGGUUUGCUUCGAAUCCCUUGAUCUUGGCCAUUGUCGCGCAUUUGAAUUUGAAACUUUACCAAAUGGACAUCAAAACUACAUUUUUCAAUGGAGAGCUAGAUAAGAUCUACAUGGAUCAGCCUACUGAUUUCGCUGUGGAAGGUGAGGAGCAUAAAGUUCGCAAGCUCUUACGAUCCAUCUAUGUAUUAAACAGUCAUCCAGACAUGUUGUACAUUCGAUUUCAUCGAGCCAUCACUGAGAAUAGGUUUACGAUGAUUGAGGAAGAUCAUUGCGUGUAUGUUAAAUGAUUCAAGAAAAAUUAUCUAAUCAUUUCCUUAUAUGUUGAUGACAUUUUAUUGGCCAAGAAUGACAAGGAGAUGAUUGUCACCACUCAAAUGCGGCUGUCCUCUAAUUUCCAGAUAAAGGACAUGGGUGAAGUGAAUUAUGUGCUUAGAAUCAAAGAUCCUGCAAAAUAGUUCAAAGAAACUCUUAGGUUUGUCUCAAAAAACUUAAAAAGAUUUUAGAACGAUUUCAGAUACACAAUUACAAACCCAUUAACACUUCUGUUGCUGAAGGUAAGAGUCUGAACCUUAAAUAAUGCCUUAAACUUCUGAAGAGAAAGAUAAGAUGAAUUGGAUUCCAUAUGCUAGUGCAAUUGGGAGCCUGAUGUACGCUAUAAUAUGUAUUCCACCUGAUAUAUGCUAUGUUGUGGGCCUAGUCAGCCGUUUUCAAUCCAAUCCAGGAUUGGACCACCGGAAGGCAGUUAAGAGGAUACUCCGCUACCUUAGAGGGACUUUGAAUUAUGUGUUAUGCUACCAAGGUACAGAUUUACGUCUCGUCAGUUAUAGCAAUGUGGAUUGAGCUGAUGAGAUUGAUGAGCGUAAGUCGACAUCAGGAUAUGCCUUCUUGCUUAAUAAUGGCGCCAUAUCUUGGAAUAGCAAAAAGCAGACCUAUGUGACUCUAUCCACCUUGGAAGCAAAGUUCGUGGCAUGCUCUGUAGCAACUCAAGAGGCUAUUUGGUUGAAGAGGUUCCUUCAAAAUCUUGGAGUUGUCACUUGUGCUUCCAUUCCGUAACGAUCUAUUCUGACAGUAUGGCAACAAUUGCAUACUCGAAAGAUCCUAAACAUCAUGGCAAGACUAGCAUAUCGACUUGAAGUAUCACUUUAUUCGUGAAGUAGUGGCACAGAAGGAAAUAAUUCCGAAACGCAUUUCCACAAGUCAAAUGAUUGCUGAUCCUCUGACUAAGCCCAUUGUUAGAUAAUUAUUUUUGGCUCAUGUUAAAGCCUUUGGACUUCGUAAGAUUUGAUUGUAUAGACAGUCAAUUAUUUAGUCUUUUGGUAAUAUUCUUUGGUUAUUUAAAUGCAAAUAAUUCUUUUGGCAAAGAUAUUCAUUAACAUUAGCACGCAUACAUAUAUAUCCUAUCUUGUUGAAAAUAGGUUGAUAGUAUGUCGCACGCUGAUUGGCCCUCUCACACGGGCAAUCAUUUUUUUCGGCGCUGCAAAGAGCGAGCAAAAAUUGAGGCAUUCAAGGAAGCCGCCUUGGUUUGCACCAAGAUGAGGUCAUAAGCGAGACCAAAUACGGAUAUUUCCGUGAUUCAGCCAGACCAAAAACGGAUAUUUCCGUGAUUCAUACGGCGACUAUGGCUUGUACAUUUAGAGCCGAAUGUGAACUCACCGUUUGGCGUUUGAGAUAGCGACCAAAUGAAGAACUCAGGCUAGACACUUCGAGAGUGAGAGAGCUACGAUCCAUAUGGCAUUGAGAAAGACAUACGCUUAUUGAGAUUCUCUGUCAUAGCAUGUAUUUCAUACUACAUAUGCUUAAGCGACCAAAUGAUGGAGAUGAGUAAAUGGAUUCCUGCUUCCUCGUCGUGUGAGUUUUUAUGGACAUCAAUUCUUUUUACCUAACGACAUAGUCAAAAGUCACUAAGAGCAUCUAACAUAUGCCGGACAUCGCCUCAAAAUGAUGUCCGGUAUAUGUUAGACGCCCUUAGUGACUUUUGACUAUGUCGUUAGGUAAAAGAAUUGAUGUUGCUUUGACAUGUUUCCUACAGUUAGGAGUGAUGCAGCUUCACAAGGCAUUGUUAGAAAAGCAAUCAGUUCUCAACUUAAUAGCAUAAAUGCUCAAGGAAGACCAGCUGGAUUACAUUGAGACACUUUGACUCAUUGCUGACAGGUUGUGUCGCUUCAACAUAGCGAGAUAAUCAUGAGUAUAGUGUCAUAAUGUGCACAAUAGAGGUUAGCAUGGCCCUUUGAGGGAUUAGAGAUGCUGAACCUAAUGUAAUCUAAUGGUCUAGGGCAUCGCGAGUUAAUAUUUUUUGUGGGUUGAUGUCUCUAUACUAGCCUUAUGCGGUUUCUAGUGUAGAGCUCCCAGAAUGCAGAUUGACUCGACAGUCUAACCGUUCAUUUCCAUGUAUGAAUGGAAUCAGUAGUGGUGUAAUGUUGAGGAAGUAGUCACGAUGGCAUCGAUCCCGUUAUGUACGAGUGGGAAAUUGAAUCGUUUGCGCCCAUGAUCAGGCUCAAUCUGACGGUUGUUAUGUUGUCUAAUUGGACUAGACUCAAUCUCGCUUUUAAUUUGCAAAGCUAAUUAGAGAUAUAUUCUAGCCAUAUUAGGAUAGCAAUCAUAAACCGAUUCAACCUAAUCUUCUACUUACCUGUUAGGGUGUCAGGAUCCCUUAUAAAUAUACAAGCGACUCUCAUAAAAUAUGAACAAGAAAAAGUAGAAAAAUAUCUAGAAAUUCAUGAGAAAUUUGUGCGCCAUCUUGUGAGAGAGAAACCACAUCUUCUAUUAAUCUAUUGCUUCUAAAGGGUCUUGAGCGAUGGAUUAUAGAUCUAGCUCGUUCGUAGCUCGAUCUACCGCUUACAAGACCUUCGUGGACGAUCCGAGGACACGUGAAUCAACCUCUACGAUCCGGAUCAGAUUCUAGCACAAGUCACUUCUGUAAAAGGUAUGAAUGAAUACUUCUGCUGCGUUAUACACAAUGCAAUGUGGUAAGAAGCCAAAAGGCAUCUUUUUUUUUAAUUAAAAUAAACAAGAAGAAAAUUACAACUAGUUUGUGUUUUUUAUUGCCAAAUAAUCACCUAGACAUAUGGACUGCAAGCACUCAAACAAAGUAACAUAUAAACAUUUUGACAGAGAAAGCUUAGAAUAUCAUUAAGAAACCAAGGAAAAAGUUUCUAAGCAAAAAACAGAUCAAUUCAACACAAAAGUUGAAACCAAAGAACCUUUGAAUUGACCUGGAAGAGGCUAAUUUGUGGAAGAAACAUUUAGAAGGAAAUCUAGCCUCUAGAGUUGCUCUCAGAUGGAUUCUGAGUUAAUUCACGUGAUUGAGAAACCCUAAGUAUAUGUUUAUAGCCUUUUGAAUCAAUUAGAAUCGGAUUAGAAGUAAUAAAACAAAUAUGCAUAUUGUGUACCGAUAUACGAAGCUGAGUUCAUGUACUCAAAGACAUAACCAGCAAAUUUCUAUAUUGUAUACAGGUACGCAGCCGAAUCAGUACCAGUACUCCAGUAAAUCAGUACCGGUACUCAACCUUUGGUACCGAUAUGCAGUUCAAAUUCCAAAACUGCUACUCGCGGAUUUUGAGGAACUAAUCUUUGGGUAUCGGUACCCAGCAUAAAAACUAAGAUUUUUCAAAUCUGUUUUUGAGUAACUCUUUUUCAGUACCAUUAUUCAAUGUAAAAUUGAGUAAUAUUAAAAACCCUAGUUCCAAAAACUUUUCUAAUCCGAUUUAAAUAUAUUUCAUCACUUCCAAUGCUGUAAAUAGAUAUGAAUCACCAUGAAAACAUUUAGAUUAUACAUAAGCAUCAUGAAUUCAAUUUGUGAGUUUUCCUUGAGUUCUUCGCGGAAUCUUCGAGUCUUUUCAGAUACUAUAAUAACAAACCGAACUCUUCAAAACUUCAACUCAAAUCACGAAAUAUGCCAACACAAAAUCCAUAACAAACCCAACUCUAAAAAUUCAUUCAUUUAAAUCUCUUUCACAUUGGCCCAAAUGGGACUUAUUUAUAAUAGAUCUGAACUUAACAUAUCCCGUAAAAGGAAUUUUACCUAAUACCCGCACAACCAUAAAUCCAUAUUAAAUCUAAAUAAGCACCUUAAAACAAGAGAUUCAAUUCUAUCUUUAACUAACUAUUAUUCAAAAUUCAAAAACUAAUCCAACUAAGUAUGAGAUAUACAAUUUCCUAAAAAUAGAAACAAAAUCGAGUAAAAUUUAUUUUAUUUUUUUAUAUCUCAUUAGUGGACUCCUCACAUACUAAUGGAGUCUUUAAAUUAAAAAAUAUAAGAUAAAUUUAUUUUAUUUCGUUGUUUUGGAAAACUGUAAAUCCCGUAUUUCGUGGGAUUAUUUUUAAAUUGUGAAUAAUUUCUAGUUAAGGAAUAUAGAGAAUAAUUUCAUUUAAAGGAUUUGCCUAGAUUGCUUAGAUAUGUCGUAAAUGUCAAACAAUGGUCAUUAAAGGGUUAAUGUAGAAUUUUCUACUUUAAGUUUUCAAUCCAAAUCUACUGUAGCUAAUGCAGUUAAAUUGUAAAUGAAUGAAAUUUUUGAAGAUUAGGGUUUUCCUAAUUACCUUCUCUCUCUGUCUCUUUGGCCUGGAUUGGUCGGUAUUCUUCUUCCUCUUCUUUUUUGGCAUGGAUUGGUCAAGCUUCUUAACUCUCUCCUUCUUUAUCUUCUACUUUAGUUUUAAGUAAUUUAAAGUUCCUUUUAAACAUUGGAUUGCAUCAACUGGAAUCAGAGCUUAUGAAGGAUUCUUGGGUCAGAUUAUAUUGCUUUUCCUAACUUCAUCCUUAGUCUUCUACCAAUAUCUUCCUACUGUAUUUCUUACUUUUCCCAAUGACUCUCUUAUGUGCAUCACAAUAUUUGAUGCCAAAAUACGAAAUGGUUGCCCAAAAGGUGCAACACGAUUAAUCUAAGUUCCCUAAGAAACGUCACACAACUCUUUGGCAAAGAUCGAGUCAAUGGCGCAACAUUUCCUAAACAAUUCAAAUGUUGGAAUUCACCAUCAAUUAGCACAGUGUGGCACUUUAUUGGACCCAACAACUGUAUACACCUCAAGGGCGCGAUGCUUGCAGCAAAAGCAAUUAAUGGAGUCUAUAAAUUAACAAUAUAAAAUAAAACAUUUUUCUUUUGUUACCUUAGAAAACUAAAAUCCUAGAUAUCGUUGGAAGUUUUUAUGUUUCUAAUAAUUGUUGGUUUAGGAAGACAAAGAAUCUCUUCAUUUCAAGAAUCUGUUUUAUAUUCCAAAGAGGGUUGUUAAAGUGUUUGGUAGAACUCCUUUCUUUUAAGGAAUUUGUUUCUAUUCAAAUCUAUUAUAAAUAAGUUCCAUUGUACCUAAUGCAGCUAAAAUAUGAAAGAAUGAAAUUGUUAGAAAUUAGGGUUUUCCCAAUUAUCUUCUGUCUCUCUAGCUUGGAUUCCUCAGUAUUCUUUUCUCCUUUCUCUCAAUAUGGAAGAAUUGGUCAAGCUUCCUAACUCUCUCCUUUAUUUUCUAAUCUAUGCAAGUUUGUAAAUACCGAAUAGUAGAUACAUAACGUUUGGGGAUUAUCAAAGCGGAAAGCAGAUAGCGGGUUUCUUAGCGGCCACUAUGAACUCGUAGCGGGGCUCAUAAGGACUUAUAUGCUUUAUUCCUAACUGCAUUUAUAUUUCAAACUGAAAGCAUGAGACGAAAGCGCAGGCCCCUAGGAUUUUCAUUAGUAUUUAUAAACAAUACACAAGUAUAGUCAUGCGACAUUCAUGUGACUCACUAAACCAAUAAUACAAAAAGAAAAUACAAAUAAACCCUAACUACGCCAGCAUCCCUCAGAACCGAGAGGUAGAAAAUAGUUGGUGAAGAUGUCGACAAGCUGCUUGUCGGAAGAAAUAUGCAUUAAGUCACCCAUUGUACUUUCUCAAUGAUGGUCCGGCUCGCUGUAGGGGUGUAAACGAGCUAAACACGAGCGAGCUGGGGCCAGCUCGUGUUCAGCUCGUUUAAUAAACGAGCCGAACACAAGCUGGCUCGUUAAAGUAUCGAGCCGAAAAAGAGCUGGCUCACGAGCUGGCCAACGAACAAUAAGUUAAAAAGGAUUAGAUUGAAUAUAUAUAAAAAAUAAAUUUAUAAAAUCUUAUCCAUUAGACUUUGAUCUAAUAGUUGAAACUUUACAUAUAAAUAAGUCUUUUUAUAAUUAAGCUCGCAUUUAUAUUUUUAUUUUGCUAAAAAUUAAAUAAUAAAAAUAUAUAUUAUAUAUAAUUAUUUAUUUAUAUAUAAAAAUAUAAAUUAAAUAAAUUAUAUAAAUAUAAAAUAUAUGUAUUUGAGCUGUUAUCGAGCCGAACACGAGCGAGCUGACCCCAGCUCGUGUUCGGCUCGUUUAUUAAACGAGCUGAAAAAUUUAGCCCGUGUUCGGCUCGUUUACUAAACGAGCAAUUCGAUCUCGAGAUCAUUUCGAGCCGAACACGAGCUGGCUCACGAACAGCAAGCUGGAUUGCCACCCCUAGCUCGCUGUGCUUGGUGCACGCAUGUAAUAUCGAAUUGGUCGCCAUGUAUGUCGCGCUGAGAUUAUCACAGUAGAUGGUAAUUGGAUGUCGUAGCUGUGCACUAAGAUCACGAAGAAGACGACGAAACAAGACAGUCUCGGCAAAUAUCACCGAAGUGAGGAGUUUUCUUAGGCUUGUUGGAUAUUACCGUCGGUUUGUGGAAAGAUUCGCAAAGAUCUCCACUCUACUCACUUGAAUUACAAAGGAACUAUACAUUUGGAACAACGAGUGCCAAAGAAGUUUUGAGGUACUGAAGAGUAAACUGAUGUCGGCUUCUAGUCUUGCCCUAGUAGUUAUGGAAAAAGAAUUUGUGAUUUAUGGUGAAUUGGUGAUGCCUCGCAAGGUGGAUUGGAUUGCGUAUUGAUGCAGGGUGAUUGCCUAUACUUCCUGACAACUGAAAGAAUAUGAAAAGAAUCAUCCUGCACAUGAUCUGGAGUUGGCAGCUAUGAUCUUUGUUCUUAAGUUCGGGCGCCACUACUUGUACAACGAACAUUGUGACAGUUAUACUAAUCACAUGAUGCGGUGUAGGCGAUAAAGGACAAACUAACAAUUUGCUCACUUUUUUUCUAUCUAUACUACUUGGUCAAAGGAUAAGAUUGCACAAAUUUACUUGAACAAGAAUGUGCGCCUUCAUGGAGUGCGUACCUUGAUUGUGUCAAAUCGAGACCCAGGAUUUGUAUCGCACUUUUGAAAGAGCCUAAAUAAAGCCUUAGGGACUCAGUUGAACUUAAGUAUGGCAUUUCGCUCACAAACUGAUGGACAAUUGGAGAAAACAAUUCAAUUUUUAAAAGAUAUGCUUCGAGCUUACAUCCUUAACUAUGUUGGUGGAUGGCAUCAACACAUACAAAUGGUGGAGUUUGCUUACAAUAACAGUUAUAAAGCAAGCAUUAGAAUAUCUCCCUUUGAGGCAUUAUAUGGAAGAAAGUGUCAAUCGCAUUUGCAUUGGAGUGAAGUUGGUGAGAAGACAACUUUGGGCCCCGAUGUGUUGGUGAAAGCAGAAAAAAAAGUAGGAAUUGCACGACAACAUUUGGUGACAGCUCAAAGUCGACAAAAGCUAUAUUCUGACAAACGAAACAUGACCUUGAGUUCCAAGUUGGAGAACAGGUAUUCUUGAAGAUUUCGCCAUCUAAAGGAGUGAAGAGAUUUAGGAUGCAUGGGAAGUUAAGUCCCUGAUACAUUGGUCCUUUAGAAGUGUUGGAGCGAGUUGGACUAAUGGCAUACUGGAUUCCUUUGCCGCUCAACCUCGUGGGAGUUCAUGAUGUAUUUCAUGUAUCAAAAGCAUACAUUUGAUCUUUCUCAUGUCAUUGAUUUUGCGCCUUGGAGUUGCAUUAAGACUUUCACCACGAAUAACAACUGGUUCGCAUUUUGGCUCAAGAAGAAAAGGAACUCCGAAACCAGACUAGGGAUGUCAAUGGGUGUGGAUACCCGAAAUUUUAUCCGAACCCGAACCCGAAUGAAACGGAUAUAUCCGAUGAUAAAUGGAUAUGGAUUCGGAUAUGGAUAUCAAAAAUAGAAACCCGACGGAUAUGGAUUCGGAUAUGGAUUUUGACUGUACCCGACCCGAACCCGAACCCGACCCAAACCCAACCCGAACCCUAAUUUAUUUUGUAUUAUAAUAUAUAUAUAUAUAUAUAUAUAUAUAUAUAUAUAAUUUAAUGUUAUAUUUGAAUUUGUAUUUUAAAAAUUUAGAUUUAAUAUAAUAUAUUUUGAAAUAUUGAAAAAAGAUAAUUGUUUCGGGUUCAAAUUUUCGGGUUCGAGUUCGGGUUCGGGUUCGGGUUCGGGUUUCGGAUUUUUGGUCGGGUUCGGGUUUGGAUAUGGAUUUUUAAAAUCCGUCGUGUUCGGGUUCAUUCGGGUCUCGAGUUUGGAGUCGGGUUCGGGUUUCUGAAAAUCCGCCCCAAAUCCGACACGUUGACAUCUCUAAACCAAACUAUGUUACUUCAUAUACGAGUUUCUUUUUGUUGAUUACUAGGACAUGAAAUUAUGUGAAGUUAACACACAAAAAGAGAGUUAUGAGAUCUUGUUGAUCAUGACAUGUGAUUAUAGCCUACAAAAAGCAAAUUGAGCUCAACUACUUAUUUACUCAUGUUGGGGUCCUCACGAGAUGGUCCUCCGGAGGUGUAGCCAUGCAGCUAUGCGAGUGUUCAAGCUGCCUACAGUUGAGAGCCUUAAGGAGUUCAUGUGCGAUUGUUCGAUGUCUCACUAGGCACGGUGCGAGCUUGGGUGAGCUAUAAGUCAGUCGUUGGGAUCGGAUGGUAUGAUGUUUGCUAUUAGUCAUCACAUUUGUUACAUAAUAAAACAUGUAAUCCUACCGUUGGUAUUUCAUUUGUAUUGAGGCAUAAUAGUAAGCAUAGUAGUUGAUAGUUUAUUAUACUCGUCAUUUUACUGUUCUGUCUACAGCCAAUACUAAUGAUGCAUUGAGUAGACCUAGUGGCGAAAGUCGCCACUAUCGGCGACUAUAUCUACUAGAAACUAUUUUUCAAUUUCCUUUGUUGUUGUUUUUCUAUAAUAUACUGGACCUUCGCAAAUUGACAAGGUUGCAGUAUAAGAUGAUGGUUAGUGCUUUUGUGAAGUUCUGGGCUGAGUUGGAUCUGUUUUUACGCGAAAGGGACACGAAAACAGUACUCGAAAGCAAACUUUACCGAAACUAUAGUUUCAGAGUAGUUCCGGAGGCCGAAAGGCGUUGUGGGUGCUCGAAAGUCCAAAGUUGAGAGAGAGGUUGAUUUGAAGGAUCUAGAUGGUGGACCGAACGCCCGAAAAGCCCGUGCGUAGUUCCAAACACCCAAAGGUUGGCGAGAGUACUAUACUAACUUGAUUAGACGUAUUUAUGCAUAUCUAGUUUAGUUGAUAUAUGUGAGAGCUAUUGCGUCAAAGGAUACAGGAUUAAUACACCUGAGUUUAUGUGAUAUUGCCAAGGGCCAGAAAAACUGUAAAAGAAAAGUGAAAUAUGAUUUGAAAGUGCCAAAGGGCGAGUAAACAGUAUGAUUAUGAUCUUGUUGAUAAUCGCAUAUGACUAUAGCCUGCAAAAGCCAAAUUAAACUUGACAGUGUUGUGGUAUUUGAUCCUCAGUUAGGGUCACGCCCCGUGAGUAGGCUUUUCGAAGGCUAGCCUUCUGAAACAAUUGUGACAGUUACCUGCAUGGUAGCGGACCACUAUAGGUGGGGGCUGGACGUGAGACGACGCAGGCUUGACCGGACAUAUGAGUCAAUUGGCAUGAUUGGGUGGUGUGGCGUUGGUUUUAUCAAUUAUUUUCGUUGAUGCAUAUGAGACAUAAUUAUAGUUUCCAAUAUUUACUUGUAGAGGCAUGAUAGCAGUUGUUUAUUUCCAGCUCAGUAUAGUAUUAUUUAUUCAAUUCAAUUUUCACUAUCGAUGCCUCUGAUAGAGAUAGCGAUGUAGGUCAUCGCUAUCGUCGACUGUACCUACUAAAAAUUAUUUUUUAAUAGUUCUCACACAGUCCCAUUAUUGUUUUAUUUUAGAACCCUCAGAGCCGAUGACCGAUCAAGGUAAGGGGAUCGCAAGUUAGAUAGCGUCUCCUACCAUGGCAAGUACUAGAGAAGGACCACAUGAUGUAUAUGUUGUAUAGCUGACUGUACAUAGUGGGCCAGAGAAGGCUAGCAGAGUUGUAUUUAUUUUUGGGUGUGCUAAAGACUUACAUAUUUGUGUAUUUACACUUAGACUGAUACAUGUUCUUUUGUAUAUAUACUCCUGUUACAUGAUUUGGACAGAUUGGUUGUAUAUGCUUCAUAUGUGCAGGGUGCGCCCUCGUGCAUACGGCGGGUUCGUUAGCGUACCUGGAAGCUUCCGCUAUGACCCGGAGAGUGGCAUUUUCUUUUAGAGCCAUUGUCAUCGGCUAGUGAUCGUGGUAAGAAAAUUGCGAGCUAGAUAGCACCUCUAGUCCUGGACGAGUCUAGUGGAGUGACCCUUGUGGACAUGGAACUUGCUAGUUGUAUAUCGAAAACGGAUGUAAAUGUUGUUUUGGGUUGAUUAGUCGUAUGGACAUAACUAGUAAUAGUAUAGUUAUAUUUUGGCUCUGGUACAUCAACUCAUAUAUUUUCUUAUAUAUGUCCACAUGUAUAUGAUAUUAUCAUGUUGGUUAAGUUACGCUUCGUAUGUGCGGGGAUGUCCUUGUGCACAUGACCAGUCUGUUAGCGUACCCGGAAAGCUUCCACUACAACCCAGGGUGUGACAUUUUAGAUCUAUUUAUAUAUGGGUGCAGUAUAUAAUACCACUCCAAGAAUAGGAUGUACUACUCUCUCGUUCCUAGUAAAUAAGGGAUAAGGGAAAAUUAAGUUUAUGGAACCUUCAGAUGAAGCAUCAGGAGAUAGAGAAAAUGCCGGUAACUUAUUUGUUUUUCACAAGAUUCUUCUGGUUUCUUGUCCAGCUUCUAGAAUAUUACCCAGAAGAUUAAUCACACAACAGAUACUCGUAUAUUUGUUUCUAGGGCUGCAGAAAAGGACAAAUGGUCACAUUACAAUAAUUUCUAGGACAUCAGUUCCGUGGACAGCUCCUAACACAUUCCUAGUUUCAAGUUGUACAAACACAUAAAAUAAAUUUUAUAGCGCCUAAAUUAUACCAUUAACUAGAGGUUUACAGAUUAUGAAUUAAUUCAGGUAACAACUACAACGUGAAAAAUAAUGCACAAACAAAUAUGAAAUGCACUUGAUUACCACCAGAAUAAUCCUAUAAGAGAUGGAUUCAGCAUACGGUUCAAGCUUGAAGACAAAAGAAUAACCGUCAAGAUGCAUGUGCAUAUUGAGAAGACUACUAGUCACCUUGAAGAGGAAAUAUGCUUUUCAAUCGUUUUUUCUUCCUCUUCGUCAAAGGCAAACCACUUGUCUUCAUUUAUAACCAGGUCCCAGUUCUCAAUAUCUGCAGAGAGAAUAUAAUGUUCAAAUUCACUAUUUGUAAAUGAAUUCCAGGAGAUCAAAUAUUUUAGUAAAGAACCUUGAAGCAUAAUUUUCAAGUUACUGUAGUGGCCUUCCAAAUUCCAAUAUGUACGCCCGUUUCCUUCCAAAAAAAUAGGCUCAGUUCUUACAGCGUCUCGUCUUUGUUUCUCUGCAGUUGUAAACAAGGGAAAAAAUAAUAAUAAUAAUAAUAAUAAUAAAGAUAUUAUCAAUACCAAUGAUCAACUGAAUGCUCUCAUGGCUAAUGUAACACAACAAGAGUUUAAAAUGAGAGUGUCAAAGUUUAUGCGAAGAUUAUUAGACAAAUGAGGACCAUGAUACUACAACUCAGGUGUAGCAUCCAGAUCACACAAACCGGCAGAGAUGGUCUCGUCGAUGAAAGAUCAUUUGACGCACCAGUAAGAAAUGGAAUUUCAUUGAUGUCGAUGGUGUUUUAAUGUAUAGAAAGACCAAAACUAGCAUUAGAGGAAGUAGAUAUGAUAACACUAGGUUUGCUCAAAUAAGGGGAAAAAAAAGAAAAACCACCAAAAGUUGAACUGAUAAGAAGAAAGAUAUAUAUAUUGGGAAAGAAUUGAUCCAGAAGCUAAUGAUUAGCCAAAAGGGGUCCACUUUAAUAACAAGAAACAGGAAUGUUGCAACAUACUUUGAUGACAUUAACCCAGUGAAAUACUAUAUAAAAUGCUAAACUCAAGCACGCAUAAAUUAUUAAAAAGAGUCCUCUUUUUCUUUAUCGACACGUCAUCAAAAAAAAGAUAAUAAUAAUCUUAAACAUUUUGUCCGCCAAAAUGACGUAAUGAGAAUAAUGAAAAUUUAGUUGACAGUAUUCAUCCUACUCUAUUCAAAUAAGCUAUGAGCCUAUGACCCUCGACACUAUGCAGGAAUUGUAUAUGUGCUUAUGUUACUUGUGGCAAUUCUCCUUGAAAACAGGUUGAGACAAUGAAAAUGAUAAAUUGGACAAUGUAUACAACAGAAGGGUCGAGUAUUGAGAUUCUAUCUUUAGACAUGAUGCAUGAGACCACGCUUGCAAGGGCCAAUUAUGCACAUGUGCAAUGUUUGAAAGGGUAGCUCCCUAUAGAUUAGGCACUCCGGAAUUAUAGCCAUCACGACACUAUGCUCGCCGGAAUUCUAUCUUUAGACAUGAUGCAUGAGACCACGCUUGCAAGGGCCAAUUAUGCACAUUUGCAAUGCUUGAAAGGGUAGCUCCCUAUAGAUUAGGCACUCCAGAAUUAUAGCCAUCACAACACUAUGCUCGCCUGUGUGGGACUGAGUGUUGAUUGGGACGUCGCAGGAAAGGCUCAUUUCUAGGGAGGAGAUAUUGACUACCAUGGGACCAUGAGGCACGGUGCAGAUUAGGACUUUACUUUAUGUAAGUCCUCAAAGACAUUGGGUAAAAGUUAGUAAAACUUGACAUUGAACAUCACACAUAGAUUAUGCAUUUAUGAUAGUUGGACAUUCAUGUUAAUACUUCACUUUGUAGAGGCAUGACAGUAAUAGAUCUACUUUUCAUUUCAGCUAUUUCAUUCCUACUCUUUACAUUUCAGUAGUUGAUAUUAUCUAUGCCUCAGUUGACCUAGUAUAGUACAUCCCUCUCGAUGGCGGUAUCCACUGGAAACUAUAUUUUAUAGUUCUCACCACCAUUGGUUGAUAUUUUUUUUCUUUUCAGAGCCUUCUAGCACAGGAGAAGGCCGGGAUCGUGUGUAUGUGAGGUGUGUAUAUGUAUAUAUUUAGAUAGUUACCUUGAGGUGUAUUUGAGAUGUACUUUUGGUGGGUUGAUGUAUGAGGUGAUUAUAUGUAUUUUGGAGCUCUCGUGCCGAUGAGAUCAAGGUUGCAAAUAGCGGAUAACGGGUACAUAGCGUUUGGAGGUCUCAUAGUGAAAAGCGGAUAGCGGGCGCCAUAGCCCAUAGCGGGUUUCAUAAAAACAAACUUAAUAUAUUUAUAUUCCUUAUAAAAAGUACAUAAUUUUGAAGAAAAGACAAUUUUGAAGAAAAGAUGACUAAUCAUUCCUUUUUUUUAGUAUAGCAAGCCUAUAAAUAUUUAAUGUGAUUAUCAAUUAAGAUUAACUUUAAAAUAUUAUGAUUUAGCAAACCAAAAGAGGCAUAAAACUCGAAAAUCUAUAAUCCAUAAACAAUCUAAAAAAUUUGUAAAUGGAUGUCAAAAAGGAUAAUCUUAAGUAAAUAAUUAAAAUCUUAUUCAUCAGAAAGACAUUCUUCUUCUCCUUCACUAGAGGUAUUAUGGUCAUCCACUUGAUAACCCGACUCGAUUAGAUAUUUUAACCCGUUUGCACUUUUUUAAGUUUUGGGCUCAUAUCGUCCGCUUUCCGACUGCUUUAUAGCAGCCGCUUUAGCAGGCCCUAUGCAGCUAAAGCGGCCGCUAUGAACCCGAUCCUCUAAAACCCCUUUAGAGAUUAUGGCGUAGCGAUAGCACAUAAAAUCCACUAUAGCAGCCGCUAUAGCGGGCAUAGCGGCCUGUCACGGACUUAAAUUUUUUGAACGCAAAAGCCCGUGCGGCGUCCGCCUUCCUGCUCGAAGAUGGGCAAGCCUACCCCAAGUCCUAACACGGACAAGUCUCCCAAACUUAACAGCGGAAUAUCAAUCCAAGCAUUUGCCAAGCUUGCUCCUCCGCCAGACUGAUAGCUCAACCAAUCGCCUGCAAUCGAACCCCUCGUCGGACUCCACGAGUUCCCAACGAGCAACCCCAAUACUGAGACUGGCCACCAAGCAAGGUCAUAUUCUCCACCAUUGUGCCUCAUGCGCCUGACAGCAUCCACGGCCAUACCGCCUACGCGCGGCCUGCUCGCUCGGUUCACUAACACACGUCAGAGAAGCCACCCAAGUGUGCGCCACAAGCUCGUCUGUCUUCCAACGCCAGCGACCAGCGCGACAAACCGCACGCCCAUGCUCCGCACAUCCGUGCUUCGCAUGCGACCCGUACGGCACACGUGCCCUCAACGCUCCUCGCAAGGAAGCCAACAAGCCCACACAGUGCUCCUCGACUGUCCCCAUGACCUCGCAUUGCCAUGGCGCUCCAUGCCCUUGAUUACCAUAGUUUCGCCCCAUACAAACGAGCCGGCCUCACUCCGCGUACUGGCCGCCCUCUGUGACUUAACCAGCUGGCGGCGAAAUCGUCGCACACGUCGAACACUGGUUCAAGUCCCUUGACUUAGCCACCUGGCGGCGAACGCAUCGCACCUCACCCAACAAUGGCUCAAGUCAAUCCGGCGGUAAAAUCCACAAACUGGCUUAACCAUCCGGCGGCGAAAUCGUCGCACACGCCACGACAAUGGUUCAAGCCCCGGGCGGUGAUCUCUGUGCACUCACCUCCCAAUCCUCCCUUGGUAUCAACCUCGGCGGCGAAAUCGUCGCACACGCCCUAGCCUUGAUACCAAGGUUAGCAUAGCACAAGUCCUGGGAUUCCGGAAUCCACUUCCACAGGUCGAGGGUCCAUAACCAACCCUAUGCUAUCGACCUAGAACAUCCUAGUGGUUGCUACCACUAUGCCCAACAAUCAAGGUUCAAUGCCACUCAAGGUUUACUACAUGUCAUAACCUAGGUUUCAAUACUCUAGGUUCUAUACCAUUCAUAUCCGACCUAUGUUUAUUAACACUAGGUUCAUUGUCAUUUCUGUUCAACCUAUGUUUACGACACUAGGUUGGAUGCCACUCGCCUAGAUCUAUUUACUCUAGGUUCAAUCACAACCUAUGUUCUUUAACACUAGGUUAGAUGUCACUCGAUCUAUUCGACUCUCUAGUUGUCCAAUGUCGAGUUCUACAUUCACUCUAGGGUUAUCGACCCAUUCACAUGCCUAUUCUCACAAUGCUAACUAUGCAUCCAUACAUUUAUCUGGCAUUUACAUAACAUGCUUAUCAUGCAUUCCAUAUGCACUUCUACAUCAUAUCAUAUGCAUCUACUUGCAUUUUACAUUAUAGUAUUAUACCAUUAACAUGCAUUAACUAUAUGCAUCAUUCACAUGCGUCAUCUAGCACUUAUAUGCGUCAACAUGGAUUCUUAACUCGCUUAGACAUACAGGCGACCUAGUCACUUUGGUAAGCACAACCCACCUUAGCUUGCUGUCCGAUUGCUCGUCGACACUUGCAAUCGGCCUCCCGCGGCACUCGGCACCCGACUUGGCCCGAUCUUGCUGUUGCGCUUCAACCGCGCAUCGCUUUGCGAUUCCGGGUAUUAAAGGUCUUCGCUUUAUCGUUACGGUGCUCGGGACCCAAUCUCGCGAUUUAUGGAUAGCGCCUCGGCCCUCCAGGCGAUAACGAAGCUCCGAACAUCCAUUUCUUCAAUAUUUUCGCACCGGCUCGACGAAUCGUCUAACCGACUUCGCCAACGCAUUCACAGACCUAGCAAUUAGGUUUACAGAGGGUUAAUCGAGAUCAAACCCUACCAGAUAGCAAAAUCCCAUUUUGAGCCCUAGAUGAUCAACAUUGCAAGAAUACCCCAAAUCGAUCCUCGAUUCAUGCACUAAACAUCUAUCUAGCAUCAAUGGGUUCCACCAAAUCCAUUUCUAGAGCCUACAACACUAACUCUAGGGAUUUACCAUAAGGGAGCUUGGAAGCUUACCUCUCCAAGAUGCUCCAAGCACGAGGAAGAAGAAGAUGGAGACGAUCCUCCUCCUCUUUGCCUUAUUCUCCUUCUUUCCCUCAUUCUCCUUCUUCACUUCAAGAGAGAGGUAGAGAAAGCUUCUAGAGAGAGAGAGAGAUGCUAGGGUUGAGAGGGUUGAGGGAGAAAUGAGAAAAAAGAGAGAGAAAGCCCUCUCUUAACCCCUCAUAUGGCCAAAUUGCAUAAAAGCCCCUGAACUUUAUUUCUCUUGCACAGCGCUCACUGGGCGUUUUUCGUUCUCAGGGUCCGGAUUAAGGUCCGGACCUCCGGACCCUGAGGGUCCCAACCCCGAGGGUCCUGAAAAACUGCAAAUUUCAGUUUUCGCCGAUUUUGCUCCGUUUUGGUCCGUUUUCGCUCCGUGGGUCUCCGAUUCACUUCUAAUCGAACCGAGACCCCCAAAACAGGUUUUCGAGCGUAAUUACAUCAUCUUUUUAUCUACGCUAAUGCCGGAUUUAAUCACAGCAUAACAUAGCCUUUCAGGUUCCGUUUUCGCGCCCAGCGCGCACCGAAAUGCCCGUAUGCUCCCAAACUUCACCGAACUUCACCCAGCCCAUUCUGGGCAUUUUCGUGGUACGGGGUCCGGGCCCUCAAGCCAGGGGCCGGACCCCGAGAGUUGGUAAAUUCUGCAAAGUUGCAGAUUGCAACUUCACAAGCCUUUCGCAGCUACGGGGUCCGGACCCUACAGCUAGGGUCCGGACCCCGAGAGUGGAAAACAUGCAGAAACGCAGAAUUGCAAACUCCAACUCUCUAAGGUCCUCCCUCAAUGCACUUUUCGCAUUUUCAUCGCAUUCGGACUCUCCGAAGCAUACCAAGUCGACAACAAGUCAAUUCUAAACGAAGUCCAACUCUCGGAUUUCGAGAAUUCACUUCCUUACACCAUAGCUUCGUCAACUCAAUGACUAACAAAUGUGGCCCCCAAGAGCGUCACGGUCGAGCCCCAACGAUUGACCCGUGACAUCGGCCGCUAUUUAAAACACGAUGAGAUAUGUAGUUGGAUGUAUUAGUCAUUGAGGAUUUGGAUUCCUUGUAUAUGUUUUAGUUGUAUGGUUUAUGUUUAAACUAGUUUUGUUAAUGUUCACUUGCGCUGAUCAUUAUGUGUAGGAUUUAUUUAUCUUCUUGGUGGAUGUUGUGAUUGUAGACGCCUUGUGUGUGCUGGGGUGGGGUGUCCUUGUGCACACGGCGAGUCUGUGACGUACCCAGGUAGGCUUCCGCUAGGGCCCGAGGCAUGACAAGUGUUGCAUACACCUAUAUAUGCAUCAUUCUGCUCAUAGCUUAAUAUUGCACGAUGAGUACAUACGUAAUCUAUUAUACUCAAAGACUUCGAGUAUAUAUAUAUAUAGUAUCCAGCUAGAAUGGUCCUAUCAACUUGUUUUCGAUGAUCAAGAAUCUGAAUCAAUGAUCGGCACCAUUGAACUUCAUCUAUCUGGAAGUCAAAUUUGGUGAUUUUUGAACAAUUUACCUAGUGAUUGAAAGGUCACAAAAUGAACAAUCAAGAGAAACUUGUAAAAAUAGAGGUUCAAAUUUCUCAAUUGAUGAUGGGGGUUGUUGAACAUGAUUUAGAUAGUGAAAGAAAGUUCCUCUCAUAUUCAACUGAUUUAGAUUGCUCUAUAUCAAUAAAUAAGCAAACAGCACAUAUAGGUCAUCAAAAAUUGAGGAUUUUAUAGCUAUUUGAUCACUAGGAACAUGAUUUUAAAAAUUAAUUAAAUUCGGUUCAUAGGUACUUCAAAUACUUCAACAAUGCUAAUCAUUGAUUCAAAUUCCUGAUCAUCCAAAAUGACUUGAUGGUAUAAGCAACUAUUUUAUUAAUAGGAUUGUAGCUAGAUUCCAUAUAUAUACAUAUAUAUAGGCUAGAGCUACUAUACUCUUAUGAAUAUAAAGCCCUUUGUACUCAUAAGUUUUCGGAAAUUGGAUGAAGAGAUGUGCUGUUAAGAUGAUAAUAGUCUCCGGUUAGGAUGAUAGUGGUCUCCUAGGGUUGAAUGGGUGAUUGAUUGAAUAGUAUGAUCUAACGGAUGAAAAUGGUCAAAAAGGUAGAUCUAAAGGCCAAAAACUUAUGAGUACAAAUGGACCUAUACUCAUAAGAGUAUAGUCGCCGGACUACAUAUAUAUAUAUAUAUAUAUAGUUGAGCUGGAAUGUUAUUAGUAGCAAACGAGCUCUCUUACCACCUAUCUGUUUUCGAUGAUGGAGCCUCCAAAUCAAUUAUCGGCACCGUUGAACAUGAUCUAUACCAUUUGAAGCAUCUAAACCAAAUUUUCAUGAUAUUGUUCUCUUGUCCAUCAAGUGAACACAAAAAUGAACUGCUGAAAAUGAAUAUUCUUUAAAAAGUGAUGAUAGGAGUUUUGUAAUCAAGAUCAAGAGUAUAGAUCUUGUUUUAAAUAAUUUAAAGAACUUUCUAACCAAACUUCAAUUAAUUUGAAUAUCUUUACACCGUUAAAUGAAAAAAUGUCUGAUAUUGACCAUUAAAAUUACAAAGUUUGAUACCCUCUGAUCAUUAGGCCAAUGAUGUCAGAAAGAUUUAAAACUCAGUUUCUAGAUAUUUCAAGUGGUAUAGAUCAUGUUCAACAGUGUCGAUUUGGAAGCUGCAUCAUCGAAACAAAUCGGUAGCAACAGAGUCCGUUGGCUACUGAUAGCAUUCCAGUUCAACUCUCUCUCUCUUUAUAUAUAAAGAAAGAGAAAGAGAGAGAGAGAGAGUUAAGCUAUGAUACUAUUGAUGGUAGAUGAAUAGUAUUUACUAACAACUUUUUAGCACUUGGGUCCAUUGUAGUAUUCCUGGUUUUUGGGUUGCUUGUGGAUCUCAGCAUCUGAGGCUUGGCGACACAUCUGGAGAGUGUCGGGACAAGUCGGAGUCGUUUUGGAGCGAAAUGGACUCAAAACGGACUCAGUGCGACGCGAGAGCAGAGCUUGAUAUUAAAAUCUGCAAAGUGCAUGUUUCAGUAUCGAGUACGGGUACCAUGCAGGGGAGUACCGGUACCCCAGUGUAUUUUUCGAACUGCUCCUCUCGAGUUGCGAUAAUUGAUGCGGAGUACCGGUACGGCAUCAGGCUGGUACCGGUACUCCAACUGGGAUGUUGAGUUGGUGAGGGGUAGAAUGGUCUUUUUGGUUGGUGGAUAUGUACGCCACCUACUCCCUAUUUAUGUUUAUCAACUCAACUUGGUCAGCUGAGCUUGGAUAAUUAUCCUUUUCCUCUCUCUCUCUAGUUUUGAUUGUGUGCUUGGUGGAGGCCACGGCUUAAGCUCGGAACGACGUCGACGUUGCGCCGGGGAGCCGUUCGAGACCGUGGACGUCGCGGUUGCGCCGUUGGAGGCAGGGCGAGCGCGUGUUUUCCCUUCUCUUGACUUCUCGCCGUAGUUGGAUUAGUUUUUCGAGGUGGGUUGAAGUUUACCGAAAUCGCCGGAACAUCUCCUAAGUUUUUAUAUCGUCUACAUGUAUCAUCUGUUUAAUUUUUGCUAGUACUCGAAUUCAUGGAUUAGGCUUAAAAUCUGAAUUUGGAGUUAAGUAGUAGUAGUAUAAUUUUACAUGUUGGACUUGGAAUUGACUUAGGAGAAAACUGUAGAUCCUACACUGUCAGUUUCUGAAAACUACCAGAUUUAGCUUUAGGAGCUGUAGUUUGUUUGUAUUGCCGCAGUUUGUAUGCGGUAGAUACCCAAAUUAGUGUAGGAUGGGUUUACGCUCGUGCUGGAUUGCCGAGUUUAUUUUACAGUAGUGUGUAGACUGUUUCGGAUUGUCGGGUGCCAUCGCGGUUGACGGUGGACCCAGAUUUUUGUAUUUGCAUCAGAUUGUGUCAAGGGCACGUGAGCUUUGGUUGUUAGACCCAUUUGCUUUAAUUAUAACCUGUGAGAGCCUGAUUAAGCUCAACAGAAACACGCUUGCAUACUCGGUUGGGUAGCGCCCACAAGUGCCACUCCGGAGUCGGGCUUUGUGCUUUUGCAUUGUUGUCGCAGCAGUCCUGUUUGGACGGUGCUUUAGGACCGGCCACCUCAAUGGUGGUAUGCGGUAUAGCUCGGACGCAGGCAGGACGGGCCUGUUGGCAGUCCCUUGACAGUAUAGUCGUUGUUGCAGGGGAUAUAUAUCUACAGAUAGCUAGAGAUGAUUAGUGAUAGUAUAGGGGCAUAUAGCUGUAGGGUUUCCAGUUUUCCUUACUAUCUCUUGCAUACCAUUCUGCAGACUUAGUGGGUGACCCGUUGAGAUCGGUAGCGGUACCCACUAAGAACUACUUUUUGCAGUAAUUCUCACACCUAGUUGUUGGCCCCUUUUUGCAGAGCCUUCUUCUGCGGCUGCUACUGUCGCUGUCGCUGAUACUGAUCGUGGAAAAGGAGUGGCAAGCUAGAUCCAUUCCCUGGUUGCAGUUUUAGAGUACCAUCUAUAGGCAGUUUUGGGUUUAGGUUCAUGUACAUACUUAUGCUGGUACUCGCUAGAGCAAGUGAUGUCUGUAUUUUGGAGACUAUGUAUAGUGAACCUGAUGUUUAUUUAUUUAUGUUUACAGUUCUGUUAGCAGCUCUAUACUCGUAGUUAUAGUUUUGUAUGAUUACAGGUACUGUUACAGCUAUUGCUUCGUAUACAGAGGGAAUUCUUUUGUAUACAGCAGGUCUGUUGGCGUGCCUGGGGAAACGCGGUAAUCCGGGGCGUGACAUCCAUAAUAGUACCACCACCUGACCACCAAAUAAUAAACCCUAAUGCAUCCAAAAGAUAAAAAGUAUAUAGGCAACACUAUUCAUCUAUUAUCAAUAGCAUGCUACUGAAUAGCAUUCUACUCUCCCUCUCUCCCUCUCUCUUUCUCUCUCUAGCACUACCAAAUAGUAAACCCUACGCAUUCAAGGGAUAGAAAGUAGAUAGUUGUUAGAUAUGCCUCGAAGUUGGUAAUCGACUUCAGUUUUGGGACUCCGACUCAUCCACAGUUUCGCGGUGCGACUCAUUUUGGAAAAUAAAAUGUGAAGAAAAAAUGAAUGUAUGUGGUGGGUAGCUAUCAGCCCGAGCUCAUUUAGAGUGAAGUUCUACGGAUCAGAUCCGAAACCCAUUAAGAGUUUUCCUUUAUCGUUUUGCCCUAAAGGCGACAAAUGAUGCAUUGUAGUUUGAACUUUGUAUUCCUUUUUUGGAUAGUGAAGUUCUUUCCUCCCUCGCCCGUGGUUUUUCUUCCUGCAAAGGGUUUUCCACGUAAAUCUGUGUUCUUCUAUUUUCUACUUGUGAUUUGUCUAUUUUCGUGUUCGCUAUUUUCAUUUUCGUUUGUGCAUUUGUCGUAACAAACUGGUAUCAGAGCCCUAGGUUCAUCGAUUAGGGUUCUCUUCAUCAAUGGCAUCCAUGAAAUAUGACCUCCCUUUACUUAACCACAGUACACGGUUUACGUUAUGGCAAGUGAAGAUGCGCGCAAUCCUGGCUCAGAUGGGCCUAAAAUAUGUGUUGCUCAGGAUGGAAAAGAUGGUUGUGUCCCUCAGUAUGGCGAAAAAGGAGAGGAUGAACUGGAAGGUCCUUACACAGAUUCAACUACACAUUUCGAAUGAGAUCUUACAACACGUCAUUAAGGACAAAAACGUUGCGAACUUAUGGCUAAAACUGGAGUCGUUAUGCAUGAUUCUCAACCUCAUUAAUGUAACGUCUAAAACAAUCCAAUGCUUCAGACCUAUGGGAGAUCAGAUAGACAUGACCAAAGCGCGUAUUGUCAUUUAUAAAUGUGAUAAAGUAAAAAAAGCACCAUGUCUUGCCCUCACACUUAUUGGAUCAAUUGUAAAGAAAAUUCUUCCCUAGAAGCUUUAUCAAAUGGUUUUCGAGUCGUUUUUCCCGCUAAAUAAUGUUCACAAGUGAGCAGGUCGACUUUAGUGAGCGAGCUCAACAGCCCGUCUCUAACUAAUCUAGUCAUUCUAUCAUGCCCAAUAUGACCAAGAUAAGCGUGCCAUUUAAUAGAAACGUUGUGAUCAUUCUCAACAAAAGAUAACAAAAAAAACGAACCAGUAUUCUUAUUAUUAUAAUCAAUGUCCAAAAUUAUAAAAGCAUAUGAAAUAAAACCUCUUCCAUAAUAAAUUGUUUCAAGAUGAGUCUCAAAUAUAUCAUUCUCAAAACUAAAAAAAAAGCCUAACUAAAGUAUAGCAAGAAUAGAAAACAAGUUCCAUCGAAUUCCUAGAGCAUAAAGUAUAUCAUGAAGGUACAAAGUGCGACCACCUCGCAUGAUCAACUUAUAUGUGCCAACGCCUAAUACAUCGACACUCGAAUCGUUCCCCAUAUGUACUCUUCUGCUCCCAGUAGGCAUACGACGAUACUCGACGAAUCCCAUCCGAUCCCUCGCUACGUGGUCUGUUGCUCCUCAGUCUACAAUCCACACAGGAAGAGAUUCAGCAACAAACAUGCUAGAAAAACGAGAAAGCGAGAAUCAGGAUAAAGGGGUACUUUCUUCGGCUCAGUGCAAUCACGAACGAAGUGUCCCAAUUGGUUACAAUUGAAACAGAUCAUCUUUGACUUGCCUUUCUUGCCAGCUCGUUUGCUUCUCUUUUUUUUUGGGUAUUCUUCGCAUUCUUAGGUGCAGAUCCGCUAUGGCUUUGAGGACCAGUAGUCCUCUUUCGCUUGAACCCGAAUGUUCUGCGAAAGUUUGACUGAACAACAUUGGCAGUUGGAGUUUUAACAGCCUCAAGGCGCUCCUCCAACUCCAGAUGUCGUGCUACGUCCUCCAAAGUUUUAACACUUUCAUUAUGUGUCAAAUUUACUCGCAUAUGUUCCCACGAAUUGGGAAGUGAGUGAAUCAUAGUUUGGAUCUGCUGCUCAUCAGUCAAGGUGCCGCCAACCGACUUUAACUCGCGAAUUAUGUUUGACAUUAUUGUCACGUGCUGUUUCAUGGUUUGAUCGGCACGCUUUUUAUAACUAUCAAAUCGCAUAGUCAGAUUGUGCAACCUUGUAGCCGAAGUCGCACCAAAUUUAGUUUCGAGAGCCUCCCACAAGUCAUGCGCAGUCAGGUACUGCUCAUAUUCGCACAAGAGAACAUUCUGCAUACCGCUCAACAACGUGAUGCGAGCAAUACGAUCCUUUUUACGCCAAUUAGUAUAGGCUUCCAUAUCUCGGCGAGCCUGGGCACAGUUGCCCUCUGCGGGUUGGUCCAUUUUAUUACUCAAGUUUUCUAGAUCUUAUUACUCAGCGAAAACAUAUUGAAUUUUACGGUGCCAAAUAUCAUAAUUGUCACCGUCCAAUUUCUCACCUUUGAUCAAAUCCGCAACUUGUUUGGAGGCAAUUUAAUCUCACUAAGUUCACACAAUGUGCAGAAAAAGAUAUUUUAAAAAUUAGCACAUGAUACAUAUAUUCAAUUUUGUCGCAUCUCCAGUUAAAUAAACUAAAAAUUAGAUCACAAUUGCGUAAAUAAUUUCGCUAUGCUCAUAAUCACAUCACACACUCUAUGUCAAAUUUUUAAUUAUUUAAUUAAGAUGCACAAAAUAUUUGGGAGUAAAAUAUAUAAUUUACUCUACCAAAAUAAAAACUCCCACUUGAAUUGGCAUGCACAAAAAUAUAUAUUAUACCAUAAAAUUUCAUCCAUAUAUCAUAAGGGCAUAAAAAAUAUAUUAUAAUAUUUUAAAUGCAUGCUCAUAUGUCACAAAAGCACAUUAAAGCAUUUUAAUAAAUGGAUGCAACAUAUAUCAUCUAGGCAUAUUAAACAUCAUUAUAUACUUGAAAGGAAUUUAAAUAAAAAAUUAUGUAUUUACCCUUUAAAAAAAAAUACAGUGCAAAAAAAUAGCCCAAAGUGCAGCCUUUCUGCAGCCCAUGCAACCUGCGGACCUGUGCAGCUUGCAGGCCCGUGUGGGCUGCAGGCCCGUGCAACCUGCAGACCGGCAUAUAUAUAUAUAUAUAUAUAUAUAUAUAUAUAUAGAACUAGGCUACUAUGCUAUCGGUAGCACGGAGGGCUCCAUACUACAAAGUUGUUUUCGAUGAUACGGCUUCCAAAUCGACGAUCGGCUCCUUUUAGGACUUGAUCUUACACUGAUUAACAAGUAUUUUAGAAGCUGAAAUGCAUAAUUUUUUAUAUCAUUUACCUAUUCAAGCAAGUAGUUCUAUAAGAUUGAACUGGCUGAACAAUAAAAUCUCAUUUAUAAAAAAAUUGAAUAUAAAAUAUUUUUAAAUUCAAAGAUCAAUAUAGCUGAUCUUAUUCUAAAUACGUGAAGGAAAUUUUCUAUAAAAUUCUUAUCGCAUUGGAUUGUUUAGAUCUCAUUUUUUUAAAACUCACAAAACAUACCACAUCGGCCUAAAAAUUGUCAAUUUUGAGCUCUUUUUGAUCACUAGUUCAAAUUGACUUUCGAAAAAAAUUUGAAUUAGUUUUCACAUAUUUUCGAGAUAGUUCUUGUACGAGAUCAUUCUAACGGAGCCGAUCGUCCGAAUUUGGAGAAGCCGCUAUCAUCGAAAACAACUGGUAGCAUGGAGCCUCCAUGCUGCGAUAGCAUAGAUAGCCGACUAUAUAUAUAUUAUAUAUAUAUAUAUAUAUAUAUAUAUAUAUAUAUAUAGUAGGGCUACUAUACUCUUAUGAGUAUUGGGCCCUUCGUACUCAUAAGUUGUUUUCAAUGAUGGGGCUUCCUUUUCGACGAUCCACUCCGUUAAAUAUGAUCUAGAGUAUCUGAAACUUUUAAAAAAUAAAUUUCAUAAUUUUUCGAAAUCAUAAUAAAGGCCAUCAAACGGGCAUAAAAUGAACAGUGAAAGUCGAACGACGUCCUAAAAAUGGAUAAUUGGAUCCUUCAAUUUAAGAUCGGAGUUAUUGAUCUUUAUCUAGGUAGUGCAUAGAAUUUUCUAUAAAAAAUUCAACCUAUAUCAAUUCUUUUAAACUAGCAAGUAUCUCAUACCGGCCGUUAAAAAUUGUCAAUUUUGUAAGCUUUUGAUCGUAAGGUAAAUGAUGUCGAAAAAUUAUGAAAUUUGAUUUCUAAAAGCUUUAAAUGAUCUAGAUAAUAUUUAACGGUAUGGAUCGUCGAUUCGGAAGCUCUAUCGUCGAAAACAACUUAUGAGUACGAGGGCGAUCAUACUCAUAAUAGUAUAGUAGCCGGACUCUAUAUAUAUAUAUAUAUAUAUAUAUAUAUAUAUAUAUAUAUAUAUAUAUAUAAACAACCUAAGUGGGCCUGCAUGCAUACGCACCCACGCAGCUCCAGGCCACGUGGGGUUCCUCCCCACAGGAGAAACACCUAUUUCUUUUUUUUUUAAAAAAGAUGAAUAAAUUUCAAAAAACGAUAUAACUUAAAAAAUAAAGUAUUAAAUCUUGCAAGAAAUAUAUUAAUGGAAAACUUGUGAAAAGCUCUACCAAAUCAUGCAAGUUUCACAAUGGGAUAUACAUUACACAUCAAACAAGUCACCCACAAAGUUUCGAUUUAAGAUUUCGUUUUUUUCAUAAAAUACAAAACUAAAUUAAAUCAAACUUUGUAGAUUUAAUCUACAACAUAAGUGUUGUAAGAUGUGUAAAAAUCAUGCAAUAAUAUCUAUCCCAGAAAAAUCCGCCAUUAACACCCACAAGCAUGCAAAAAGAAAAUCCAAACGAUGAUAGAUUUAAUUCUACGCAUACAAUCUCGUUAAAGAAUUAAUCUACGGCACGAAAUCAACCUAAUAAGGCUCUGAUACCAAUGUAAAACGCAGCGGAAGUAUUCAUUCGUACCUUUUGCGGAAGCGACUCGCGCUAGAACGCGAUGAGCCAGGUCGUAGAGGUUGAUUCACAUGUCCUCAGAUCGUCCACGAAGGUCUUCAAACGCUCCAAACCCAUGGUAGAUCAAACUACGAACAAGCACAAUCUCUAAUCCACCAUUCAAGACCCUCUAGAACAAUAGGUUAAUAGAGGAUGUGGCUUCUUUCUCACACAAGACGGCUCACGAAUUACUCAUGAAUUUAUGAGUAUUUUUCUGUAUUUUUCUCGUUGUUUUUAUGAGAGAACAACCUGUAUAUAUAUAAGGGAUCCCAAAACCCUAAUAUAUAAGUAAGAGAUUAGGCCGAAUCCGUUUAUAAUUUUUAUCCUAAUAUGGUUAGAAUAUAUCUCUAAUUAGCUUUCCACUUUAAAAGCGAGAUUAAUUCUAGUCCAAUUAGACAACAUAAUAAUCAUCGGAUCGAGCCCGAACAUGGGCGCACCCGAUUUGGUUUAACCGAAUGCCAACACUUAUGUUAUCGGAUCUUAAACUCAUUUAAAAAAGAAUGUUCAAAGCAUUGGCACAUGGCAACCGCUUUUUUACCGCUUUAUGGCGGCCCCCGUGGCAAGCAAAGCCCGCAAUAUUAGCCUACUUUGUUCCAAAACACCAUGAAUUCCCACUAUCUAAAAGCGUGGUGAUGACUAUGUAAAUCCACCAUGCGGCGACCACGACCACUAUUUAAAACAUUGCUUACAUUAGAUUUCUCACAUUCUAUAGUAAUCGCUAUAUUUUAUUCAAACUCAUGUGAAACGCAUAUGCAAUAUGCCGUAUGCAUAUGCGAUGGGUCAGUCACCUGACAGCCAUUAUUCCAAAAAACGGCCUAUGCAGUCGCAUAUGUUGCUCAGAACCGCAACAGAUAUGUAAUAUACGGUGCAGCACGUAGUCGGACCGCAUAUGCAGCCUAUAUGUCACAUAUACGGCAGUUUCCUUUUUUUAUGUGGGAUUGAAAUGCAAUGGUGAAUAGGAUUAUUUGAUUAAUGAUUAUACAUAUACAUAUGACUAUUUUCAUACAAGUUUAGUUAAUAAUAAUGCACAUAAUUGCAAUUAUCUUUAUACAUAAUCUAACUCUCUUCCUAUUUUAGUAGGUAUUAUUCAUAAUAUACCUUGUAAUUAUACUCAUAAAUAUUGGUGAUAAUUUUGUAGCUAUUAGAUGUUGUUAUUCUAGCUUUUUUUUUAUUCUUUUAAGUGGAUGAUGUGAAUGACAGUUUAUUAAUAUCAUUACUAUUCAUAAAGGUUUAGCAUGCUGCUUUUUAGAACAUUAAUUUUUGCAAAACAUUUUUUAUGAUUUUGCAUCGCAAUCCAACUUAUUUUUUAUUUAAUAAUUAAGAAUAAAUUGCUAAUUAUUAGUUUAGACUUUAGAGACACAGGUGUGCAUAUAAGGUCCAUUACUUGAAAUUAAUUAUUUCAAUUUGUGAAUUCUAAAUUCUUACUUUAGUUAUUUAGCUUCGUUAGGAAGCAUUUGUUUAUAUAUUUUUAUACCUAUAAAUACUUUUUAAUAUUGUAAUAGUUAGACCGCAUAUGUGCCUGUUGCAUACCGCAUACGCGCCAUGCUGUGGGUAACCGCAUGGGUACCGCAUACCGCCUUUUAGAACAUUCCUGAAAUCCACAUUCCUCUUUUUAGAACCUAACUAAUGAGAUAUUUCUUGGCCAUAAUAUUCAUUACCAAGCCCAUCUAAAUAAUAUGUGAAUACAAGUUGUAAUUUAUGGGAAUAUGACUAGUUCACGAGAUUAUAUUGCCAAAUAUGUACUUCCUAUUUUGAAUUUAGACAUAAUGCUUAUAAAGCAUUAUGUCAUCAAUUGAAGUAGCGAAAGAAUAAAGGUUGUAAAGAAGCCCAAAGUAUCCAAGAAUGCCCUGCAAACAGGUUUACUGAAUCACAUAAAUAUAAUAUUUACCAUGUUAGAGCCUUGGAGCCCACUUUAAUGCAUGAAUAUCUUCCCCGGCACUAAUAUUAUUGUUUACUCAAAUUGAUUAUUGGUUGACGACAAGCUUGAAAAGAUGUCAACUAGUAAGGACAGUGAACCCCAUAGUUUAUCUAUUUAAAUGACCUUGUUAAUUAAAUCUACUGUCCUAGAAAAGCGAAACUAUUAGGAUGCCAAAAUAGCCAAAUGUCAACUUUCUAUCUUAUCAAAUGAAUGGAAACUUACAUCUAAUACAAUUUAUCACCAAAAAACAUGUUCCAACAUCCGAACAAACCCAUAAUAUAACUUUGUCUCAUAAGUGAAACCGCCAAUUACAUGCAACAACAGGAUAAAGAAAAAUAAUAUCCCACGAUUUAUUCUUUUUUCCUUGAAAUAAUAAGAUUGACCUGAGACUCAUACCUAUCCCCAUAAAUCAUUUUAACUUGGCCAGCAAUUUUUGUACAAUGAUAAUGCAACAGUUGCCCAAGGAGGUAAAAUAAUCUCCAAGGAAACCAACAUAUAUAAUACAAAUUUGCAUAUGAAAGCCUAGACUAUACUAGAGUGAAUUCCAAGAGUCCUAAGAUGUAGUCAUAAAAGCUCUGAAAUCAAUAAGGCCACAGUUGGUUACACUUUUGUUCUUUUUUGUUUAACUCAAAUUUUUUAUGCAAUUGAAUGCAUCGACUGAUGGGCUUAUUUAUUUAUGUUAUUGUUGGUUGCUCACAAUAAACUUACCCUAAGCGAAAAAACAAACAAACAAACAAACAAACAAACAAGUGAAAAAUGUACUACCAGAUUUUUGUUUUUCAUUGCCAACAAACACCAUAGAUGUAUUAAUUGCAAAUAACCCACCAUCCAGUGGGGCAUUAAAUUGCACAAAACCUGCCUUUAAAGAAAAAGAAAAAAAUAUAAGCAUAACUAAAGUUCCUCUAUAUGGUUGGAUGUGUUCUACAGAAGCUAGUAAAAUUAAGCUCCCAUAUCUCUCAAAGAAGAAAAUGUAUAAUUUGUUUUACCUGCGGGCCUUUUCAAUGUUGUAGGUCGCACUCAAUGAUUUGCAUUUCAAUUUUAUCCUUAAUGGUUCAAUUUUUUGUUUUACCUGCAGGCCUUUUCGAUGUUGUAGGUCGCACUCAAUGAUUUGCAUUUCAAUUUUAUCCUUAAUGGUUCAAUUUCACACUUAGGAAUAGCACCCAUUUUUGGUACAUAGAUAAGUUAUAAUGGUAGGUUGACAUUAACAAUUGCUUUCCAUUCCUUCUGCGCAAUGAGUAUCUCACCCAUCUUUCAAGUGCUCUCCUUACAACUCAAAAGCAGCACCUUAUGCAGAGUCUUCUUAUAAGCAUGUGGUUCUUUUAUUCAAUUCAAACACACACUUCCAUUUCAACCCUAAUAGCUGGAAUAGUAUGCUGUUACCUUUUGUCUUAGAAACCCAAAACGUGUGUAACUCACACAUGCAUAUAUAUUUGCAAAUAUGGAAGCAUUGUUGUGAUGUGAGCACAGAAAGAAUGCACAGAUGAAAAAAACUACUAUGUUAAGUGCUUCCGAUGUAACUACUAGGGAUGAAUGGAUUGGAUAUCAUCCUAUCUGACGUGACUCCACAUCCGAAAAUUAUCGCAUAUGGAUUGGAAUUUACUAUCCAACUCGCAUACUGACCAAGAUGGUUCCAUUCUAGCAUACUUACCAAGAGGGUUCCAUUCUAGCAAGUGAGCUAAGAUGAGUUCAUUUUAUUUUGAGUUAGGGUUCGGAAAUAACCAUAGGAAAAUGGAAUUUUGAAAAACCCUAAGUGAAUCUAUGCUAGUGUUUUGGGGGAUUUACCCUCUUCAUGAGGUUUUGCUGCGAAUAAUAAAAACGUAAGUCAAAAUUGGAGAUUUUGUACCUAGGGGGUUUCAAAUUGAAUAAAUCCCUAGAAACUUUAAUUGAAAGGUACAUUGAUGCGGGAGACAGCAAAAAUCUACUUCACAACAAGGUUGUGAAACCCAAUUGCAAGACUUGGGCCAAUUUUGAAGGUUUUAUGUCAAAUUGGCCUGGAAGUUAGGCGAAUCGUCGACCACCAUUCAAUUACUUGGUUUUUCUAGCAAUUAGCGACGUGGGUGAUGCCUUCCGAAGUGAUUGGAUUUCUCUCUCUGUCUACUUUCUCCAUUUAGGCUCAUGUAUUACUAAUUCUUCAUUCUUACUUGACAUGCAUGGGUUCUUGCGAUUACUCUUCCUUAUUUUGGGAGGUUAUUGUCACAUGCAUAAGUAGAGAAUGCCAUCUAACUCACUUGGAAACCUUUGAGCUUGUAUGUGACUAGUAGAAACUAGUUUCGCAUUGACAGAGAAUUCAUUAUGGGACACUAGAUAUCAAUGAAGUUGUCAUAUAUGGAUAUGGUGAUCAUACAUGAAUAUGAACGUCGAGUGUAGCUAGAAAACAGUGCCAAUGCAUAUUGAAGUAAUGUGUAUGUUAGUAUGCGAUAUAUUAUCAUAGUCGUAUUUCUUUCGAGGUAAGCACGCUAGGGAUUGGUAGAUCCCAAGUACUUUCACCAUAGGAUAGUGGUGGGUUCUCUCAUAUAAGAUAACAUAAUCAUGCUCACCAAGUCUGUCAAAACUUGUGGAGGUCACAACUCCACAAGUUGUGUCCUCCAGAGGUGUCGCGAUUAAAAGGGUGGCAGAGCGCGGUAGCGACUUCCCAACAGACAAACCGAGGUGGGUGUCAGGGCGCUGUAGCGACUCCCAAUGAGGCUUAGAGGACACGAGUAGGGCUCAACCUUAUGGUUGACCAUUAUGAUUAGGUCAAGAAACAGAGAGACAAGUUGAACAUAUUGGGUCCUUUACUUCGUAAUUUCUUAAAGUCACAGUACUAGUUCUUAUUAUUCUUGUUCAUAGAUACCUGCAAGUAUUCACUACUUUAUUAUCCAUUUACUACUAAUUACUUGUUAGACCAAGUGGGAAAGUAGCCAAAGUUGGCGGCCGAACCCAUUGGAAACUUUCUUAUAGUUCUCACCCCCUAUUUUACAAAUCCAACCAUGACCGGAGUGGCGCAAUCAUGCAGGACCGAGGCAAGGGCAUUGCUCCAUAGGUAGCAAGGUCACCAUUCGCUAGAAGAAUCAUGCGAGUAAAACCAAGUAGUUGUACUUUUGGGAAGCAAUGUAUAGUUAGUACAUUUUGGAAGUGGGAACAAAUGUAAUCGAUUAGUGUAUGUAUAUGGGAAAAGAAUCAUCUAAUAUAUUCAUGCUUAUAGUAUGUAAAAGUUGAAUGGUUCAAAUUUGUAAAUAGUUAGCUUUACUUAGUUGCUCUUGUGAUGCCCACCGUAUGCAAUUCAUGUAUGUAUUGUUCCUAUAUGGAAUGCAAUGUACAAGUUUUGUGUACGCUUCAUGCGGACUAGGGAAACUCCGCCCAUUCGGCGAGUCUGUGCGCGUGGCAGGAAGGCUGCCGUUGUGGACCCGAGGCUUGACAGCAAUUCUCUUCGACUCUACAUAUAUGAGGACAUCGACACACAUUUUUGUCCGCGCAUCAACACGAAUCACAUCGCUCUCAAUCUUCUCAUGUUGUUUCAUUGUGUAUUUUGCUUGUUCUCACUUGCUACAGAAAAUAAGGUAAAAUACAAAGUGCGUUGUGUAAUAUCUCAUCAAAUAACAUCACAGCAAUACUGCACAGAGGUAUAGGAGUCAGCAACUUCCAGAUGCUAAGCCUCUUCCUUGACAGAUUUACAUUCCAUAUGGAAUAUUUUUUUUUGCACAGUCGGUUUCCUUCUGUUUCAAAGAUAUGGAAAGAGAAAUACGUAAUCAUACUUCUAUGACUUGAUUCAUGUCGUAUAUGUCAGCCCAUUGAACAGAUAUAAUCAGCAAUCAACAAAUUAGUACGAUCAAUUAUAAGCUAGCAUGCAUUGACUUUGCAUAGAAAUGUUUAGCAAGAAAACAGCAAGUAAACAAUCAGGAAGAACAAACCACAAGCUAUCUAAAGGCGUACUCUUGGGAAAAAGUGCCAUUGUGUUUAACAUCUCAGCACGUGCCUUCUCUGCCUCUUCCUUUAUUUUUAAAAUAAGAUCCUCGUGCUCAGAAAUGGUAAUUUCCUUUCCUUCUCGCUGAGAAAGCAUCAAACUGGCAACAUCAUUCUUUACCUUUUCCUUAAGAUCCUUUACCUACAGAAAAGUUGAUUAAAGACUCUUUGAUUAACCAGCUCAAUAAGAAGCAAGUGAACUACACAAACUACUAACAUGAGGUAGGAACCUUUCUUUUGGCAGCAAGAACUUUUCCCUUGGCCACCUUCCUUUCUUCUACAAAUUUUGCAUUUUCUUUAUCUAUCCAGCUUCUUAGUUUCCUGGAAAAAAAUGAACUGUGGUAUACCAUACAAUUUAAUAGGAUGACAAAGCAAAUUACAAGAGAAACAAUGAUACCACUCACUCAGUAUUAAGGGUCUCAUCACAUAGGAAAUUUAGAACAUUAAGUUUUCCGGACACAUCCAAGUUAUCAUAUCCGACCAACCCAUUAUUUAAGAAUUCCAGAGAAAGUUUGCUCAAGCAACAUUGUGACUCACUGAUACAUUUGCCAAGUGUUUUGAGCCAUGCAUCACCACUUCUUGCAGAGCUUGAGAGAGGCCUAACAACAUAACAAAUAACUCUGACGGUGAUUAUAGCUGAACUAAGUAGCAGAGCAUUUCUAGAAAAUUGUAAUAUGGUAUAGUGUCAUACUUUUUCCCCCUGUCCUUCAAAAUAAUAGAUAAUAAAUUAGUAUGGAACUGCACAACCGCUGGAAACACACACUGCCGCUGAGCAAAUCCUCUCGUUAUUUCUUGAAGGAUAGAUUCAGGCAAACCUUUCCUUAUAUUAAGAACCUAAAAAAAUAUGCAUACUUGAUCAAAAACAGAAGCAACAAACUGAAUUUUCCAAGGAGAAGUGGCAAUGCAGAUAGAAAGAUUAUUCUGUGAGCGAACAAAAAUUUUGAGUUCCAUGAAUGGAACAAAGAUAUAUGUUGAGAGUAAACAACUAGCUUUAUCCAGAGAGGACUGAAACUUCUACGCUCAUAAUUAUCAGUAGAAAAUAUUUGCUAAACUCUAAGGUCAUUCAAGCAGAAGAAACUUCAUGACCCAGCCAGAUUAACUCAAGGAGACUAACAAUCGUAUCAAUAUAGACUUGCAGUAGACAAAUCAUUUUUCGUGUUAUACACAAGUGGCUGAUUUAUGUAACCUUGUCCUCAGAGAAAAUUAGCAAUGAACAUUUACCUUUGAAAAUGUUGUACAAAAUUCCAUGAACUGCAGUGCCGGUCCAACAUCUUCAAGUGGCAACUCAACACCUGCAACCUCUGCUAAGGGAUUGCCCUGAGGUAGCACAAUGGCUUCUUUCAUUGGCGAAGUUUUAGUUUCAGCAUUAAUAAUAUCGUUGACGAGAUUAUUUGUCACCCCAAGAAUGUCACACUUAUCCCAAGUGCUAUCGAAGUCUUUUUGUGCCAUGGGAACUUUCACAUUUGCACAAUCCCUGGCAACUUGUAGUUGACUCUUGCCUGCCAACCUCCUCUUCUUCUUACUGGGACCCACUGGCACUUCAUUAAGAUCUAUUUCUAGCAUAUUUACCUCCUCUUCUUUCACAUGGCAUUUUUCGCAAUCAAUAAUAGAACGCUUGCGCCUACUUUCCAUCUUUAGCUUUUUCACAAGCUUCGUUUUCUUUUCCUUGUUAAAUACACAACCUCUUUCUUCACCCGUGCCUGGCAUCGUUUUCUUCUCCUUCCUCUCGACAUCAUAAUUCUCAUUAUUCCUACCGACCAACCCCUUCCAGGAGCAACCAAGAGUGGGAGACUUAUUAGGAAACAGAUCAUUUGGAGGAGGGAGUGCGAACAAAAGAAAACAGAGAAAGUGAGACAGGUAAGAAAGACUAACUGAAUCACACCUUACUCAAAGCCGGAGAAUUAUUUGGACUCGCAUUGCUCACCGAGUUUACAGCAUCUAGGAUUUGAAGGCCUUUGUUAUCCAAAAGCUCAAGAACCGAGGAGCACCCAGUAGCCUUUGCAGCGUGGACGAGUAUGCCGGUUGGCUUGUGGCCUCUCUUCUUCCUACAAGAAGAACACCCAUCAACAUAAGGCACGAGAACAACGAAGGAGUCCCCGGUAGUUGGCAGGCUGGCGACGACUUACAUGCAAAAGCUGCAGUUGCAUAUGCCACGGCAUUUGGGGCAACUCCAGUUAUCCAACACCGCCAUCUCUUCCGCGUUCUCCCCAUACCUAACAAUACGGAUUUCCAUACCAUCACCAUCCACUAGUGUAAACCCAAAAGGCCAAAGUAGAAGCACAUCGUCAAUCGGAAAAAAUGAGGCGGAGAAUAAGAAGUAACCUGUUUCGGAGGCAUUUGUGGCAGAAAUUUAUGGUGCAGGCCUUGUUCCCCUUGUUGAUCUGCUUACAGGAGGCAGCGAAGUCCCUCGUCUUCUGCCGGCACUGACGAUGCGGCAAAAAUAAUCAACAAACCAAAUAAUUAAUUAAAAAGGAAAAAAAAAAUAAUAAAAAAAGAGAGAGAGAGGAGGUACAUGGGUUUUGCUCGCUCGGAAGUGGAGAUAUACCUGAUGGCAGGUCUUGCCGUGCACUGGGUCGUAGAUGCGACCGCUUUUAACCCGGACGCCGGCAGAUGCGGUGCGCUUUCUAGGCUUCGCGGAGGCGUCUUGCCGGUGCUGCUGCUGCUGCUGCUCCUCCUCCUCCUCCUCCUCCUUGCCGGUCUUGCUGAUCUUGUUGAUGGGAGGCUUCCGGGGGGUGAUGGCCAUGAGAUCAGUACGUGGAGGAGGAGAGGAUUGGCGCUGGGUGGUGAGCUCGGACUUGAGAGGAAGGUUACAUGUUACAUAUGCUCGCUGCGCUCCUUUCCCAAGUGGCGCCUUCAGGAGAUUUGCUGAUUACGACAAACUUGAAACUUUACCUUCCCUCCUUCCCCGCUCUGGCCACUUUCGGACACGAGAGAAACGCCCAUUUCCAGUUGGAGCACCGCUCCGAUUUUUCAGAUGCAAAAAAAAUCAUUAUUAUAAGGGAAAACUUCCAAAAAAACCCAUGUGGUUUUGUAGGUUCUCACUUUGCCACCCUAUAAUUUAAAAUAUAUCAAUUUGUGCCCAUGUGAUUUCUUUUUUCUUUUUUUUAUCAAUUUCAUUAUUCUUUUCUUAAGAUAAAGUUAAAAUUAAAGGGUACUAAAGUGAAUAUUUGAUAAAUCUAGAUGGGUAUCUGAAGUUUUUUGUAUAUAAUUUAAUGAAAUAUUAAUGAAAAAGCUACCGAAAGAUAAAAACGAAACCAUGGGGGGGCAAAUUGAUACACUUUAAACCACAGGGGGGCAAAGUGAGAAACUACGAAACCACAGGGAGGUUUUUUGAAGUUUUACCUUAUUAUAACAACUAUUAUAAACAAUUAAAAUUAAAAUAUUUCUAUAAAUAAAUUUUGGUGAAUGUUAUAUUUGGUUUAGAUUUUAAGUUAUCUAAAUUGGAGUUAAAUCCUAUUCUAAUUAGGAUUAUAUAUAAUAUAGAUUUAAUUUGACAUAUAUGGGUUAUGAGUCGGAAUCUAGUUCAAAUUGAAUUAGAUUAGACUUGUGUUUAGAAAUCCAAUUAGAUUAGAGUUCCAAUUAGACUCUAAUUCAAAGUCAUGCCCUAUAUAUACAGGGCCAAGAAGCCGGGCAGCGACCAAAUUGAGAAGCCAUGCCUAAUUAAGUUCUCAAAAUUAAGAGAAAACACCCCCCCCCCGCCCCGUGGUUUCGUAGUUUCUAACUUUGCCCCCCUGUGAUUUAAAAUGUAUCAAUUUGCCCCCCUGUGGUUUCUUUUUUCUCUUUUUCUUAUCAAUUUCAUUAUUUUUUUUCUUAAAUCAGUGAUAAAAUUAAAAUUAAAGGGUACUAAAGUGAAUAUUUGAUAAAUCUAGAUGGGUAUCUGAAGUUUUUUGUAUAUAAUUUAAUGAAAUAUUAACUAAAAAGCUACCGAAAACCGAAAAGAUAAAAACGAAACCACAGGGGGGCAAAUUGAUACACUUUAAACCACAGGGGGGCAAAGUGAGAAACGACGAAACCACAGGGGGGGUUUUUGACGUUUUUCCCAAAAUUAAUGGGAAAAUGCUAACUGGACAACAUGGUUGGGUUGUAGAUCCUACAACUCAAAGAUCCAACGGUUGAUAUUAAUCACUUUGCACAGUAGGUUAUAAACUCACCCUCUUUUAUUUUUUCACAUACUACUACACCCACAACUGUCGCCUUCUCUCUCUCUCGCUCUCUCGCUCUCUCGGUCUCUCCACCAUCUCUCUCUCUCGCUCUCUCUCUCUCUGUUUCUCGCUCUGUCCCGCACACCUCUCGCCACUCUCUCCCGCACAGGUCUCGCCAUCUCUGAGUUUCUUCGUUUUGCUCUCAUCUCUUUCUCUCUCUCUCUCUCUCUCUUUCUAGCUCGCUCGCUUGCUCGCUCGCUCGCAGAUCACUCCAUAGGGCGGUGUUCGGCAGGGAAGGCGGUCGGUAGAAGCUCAUGUCCGAAGCUGUCUCGAAGGUGUCUCUCGCCCUCACCUCUCUCCAUUGGUAGGAGGUCGCGUCUCAACUGCUCCACUGUCCAUCUGUGACGCGUUCCUUUAGUCGUGGGCGUCCGAAAUUGGGAACGAUUUCGGAGCUAAUUCGGCCACAACCGAACAGAGGAUUCAACUCAAACAGGGGAUAUUUUUAAAUUUCUAUAAUCUUUUAUUUUUAAUUUUAAAUUUAAUAUAAAAUUUAUAUUUUGAGGGUUUAGGGUUGCAGCUUGGGUUCGUCUGUGCGUGCUCCGGAUUUCGUCACCGACGGCUAAUUCAUUUUAUUUAGGGUUUACUCAGCUGGUAUAUUAUAUUAUUUGUUGCAUUUAUAAAAAUAAAGCAUUUAUGAUUUUAGUGUUUAGAAUAUGAGCCCACAGUAACACACAUAUAUUUAAUGCAUUUCAUAAAUUUUGCUUAGUGUUGGUGGCCGAAAGUCCCGACCCUUGACCCGGUCAAGAAUUCUCCUCGGGAAGAACGUCGGGAUGAUGAGCGGCCGCGGAUGGUAACUCUCGAAGUUUGCGCCCACGACGGAUCAAGCGAUUCGGCCGAUGAGGGAUCGAAUCAGCCGAGUCCGAAAGCUAUUUUCACUCUUCGAUUCAGCUGGAUGAGCCGAAUAUGCGGGAAAAGUCGGAAAUUAAGCCGGGAGAUGAGCCGAAUGGCUAGCACAAUACAAAAUCUGGUCGGCCUGAAUAGCCGAACGUGACUUUCUAUUGAAUAGAAAAUGGAAAAGUACAAGAACAGGGGAGUGAUGCCCGUGGGGCAGACAGACUCCAAGUAUAUUCUACAAGGGAGUGAUGCCCAUGGGGCAGACAGACUCCAAGUAUAUUCUAUAAGGGAGUGAUGCCCAUGGGGCAGACAGACUCCAAAGAUCUAAGUUACAAGAACUACUGCUAGGGAAAGCAGUAAAUGCGAGAAAGAAAUAUGCAGAAAAAUAAGGGUGGUCUUUUGUGCGUAGGGGCAAAGACCUCUAUUACAGGCUUCAAAGUUACUAUUUAUAGCCCACAUUAUUAGUUGGUUGAAAGUAGUUGGGGGGAGUGGUUGCAACCAUGAUCGUGGAAGUUAUACUAACUCCUCAUGAAAGUUACGCUAACUCCUCGUGGAAGUUACGCCCCAAUCUGCAACCGUUCCCGCCUUCUUGUCCUUCAGGCGCCUUAUUGCCGACUCCUGGUGUACUGCGUGUCCUUAUUGGCUCAUACGUGGGUUAGGUCGGCUCAAUUUUGGUAUCAACAAUGCCCCCUUAAUAGUCAUUCGAAUGAACAUUUGGAUGACUCUUGGUGCCAAAUUGAAUGUUCAAAAGCACAGCCGAGACCCAAGCUUUAGUUUCGCUGGUCUUGGUCGGCUUUAGGCAAACGGCGCUUUAUCAUCCCAGCCACAUAUAUCUUGGCUUCAUUAGCCGAUUCUUUACUUUUGUUCGAUUAGUUCGGCUCUUCUUGAACCGAAUGUUUUUCUAUCAAGAAAUUUUUCUUAAAGAAAGUGGCUAUAUCUCGGCUUCAUCAGCCGAUUCUUCACUUUCACUCGAUUGGCUCGGCUCUUCUUGAACCGACUGUUCUUCUAGCAAGGAUUUCUCCUUGUCUUUGCUUUGAUUUUUAUAUCGGCUCCAUUACAGCCGAUCGUUCUCACUUUUCUUCUGAAAUUGCUCGUAUUGGGCAACUCGAACACCUAGAUCAAAUAGGUUAGAAAAAUACUUAUCUUCAAAAUGGUCUUUUAUCUUAAAAUGCAGACUAUUUAACGCCAUUUUGGCGAACUCUGAUUCCGGCAUUCUUAUAAAGCACCGGGUUUUGGCUAUUUUGAAACGGUCCAAAUACUUUUCGACCGUUUCACUUGACAUUUGUCGGUAUAAAGCCAAGUCGGCGACCGAUAAUUGUGGCUCUGAUCUAUAGAAUCGCUCAUGAAAUUUUCUUUCCAAUUCGUCCCAAUCUUGGACGGAAUUGGCUGAUAAACUUGUAUACCAAGUAAACGCCGUUUUAGUUAACGACGUGUUAAAUAAUCGAAGUUUCAAAAAUGAGUCAACGGCCGCUUCUCUACAUUGGGCCGUGAACCGGGCUAUAUGCUCGACCGUAUUCUCGGUCUCAUCGCCCGAGAACUUGUCGAACUUCGGCAUUUUCCAGUUUGCCGGAUACGGAUGCUCUGUAUUUAUGUUUGCUGGGUACGGGGAUCGAAAAACAGGCCGCAUAGCCGGCCUGGCCCCUACCCCGAAGGUAUUCCGAAUGACUUCCUCAAUUUGAGCAUACAGUGGAGCUUGUGCUUGAGCCGAAUUUGGCCCUUGAGGAACUCCAGAAUUCUAUAUUGCAGGGUUCGCUCCUUGCAUAUCAUUAGGGGCCUACCCCCCAGCCCUAAUCCCUAUAUUUUGGGACUGAUAAGCUGGUAAAGGAGGUAAACCCGAUGCAAUCUCCGAUUGAGGGCCGGCGUUUAUAUUCACCGGCCUGUAAGCAACCGGGAAAGGUGCCAUUUGCGGUUCCGCCUGUGAGACCGCCGGCGUGACGGGAUUUUGUUGCACCGGCACAUUUAGGGGCCCUUGUUGCCCCCCAUAAGGUUGCUCAUUUCGGGUAAAUAAUUGUCUGAUUAGACCAAUAUUUUCAUUAUAGGCCGUGAUAGCGGCGAGCACCGCAUCUAGUCGAGCGGUACUUUGAUGGAUGUUUUGAUCUAAAGUUUGCAGGACUCGGCUCAUCUGGCCGAGUGCCUGAGUUAGACUCGCCUCUUGAUGAGCCGACUGUCCAAUAGUUUCUCCUUCAACUGGCAAAACUGCUUGACAUUCGCCAGCAUUGUCUGAAUUACUAGGUUGAUCACUCCCAGAAUUUCUAGGAAUUGCCCUUUUACGUAGAUUUAUGGCGUUAUCAUCAACCAUAAUCUUAAAAAUAGAGUCCCACCGAGCGUGCCAAAAUUGUUGGUGGCCGAAAGUCCCGACCCUUGACCCGGUCAAGAAUUCUCCUCGGGAAGAACGUCGGGAUGAUGAGCGGCCGCGGAUGGUGACCCUCGAAGUUUGCGCCCACGACGGAUCAAGCGAUUCGGCCGAUGAGGGAUCGAAUCAGCCGAGUCCGAAAGCUAUUUUCACUCUUUGGUUCGGCUGGAUGAGCCGAAUAUGCGGGAAAAGUCGGAAAUUAAGCCGGGAGAUGAGCCGAAUGGCUAGCACAACACAAAAUCUGGUCGGCCUGAAUAGCCGAACGUGACUUUCUAUUUAAUAGAAAAUGGAAAAGUAUAAGAACAGGGGAGUGAUGCCCGUGGGGCAGACAGACUCCAAGUAUAUUCUACAAGGGAGUGAUGCCCAUGGGGCAGACAGACUCCAAGUAUAUUCUAUAAGGGAGUGAUGCCUAUGGGGCAGACAGACUCCAAAGAUCUAAGUUACAAGAACUACUGCUAGGGAAAGCAGUAAAUGCGAGAAAGAAAUAUGCAGAAAAUAAGGGUGACCUUUUGUGCGCAGGGGCAAAGACCUCUAUUACAGGCUUCAAAGUUACUAUUUAUAGCCCACAUUAUUAGUUGGUUGAAAGUAGUUGGGGGGAGUGGUUGUAACCAUAAUCGUGGAAGUUAUACUAACUCCUCAUGGAAUUUACGCUAACUCCUCAUGGAAGUUACGCCCCAAUCUUCAACCGUUCCCGCCUUCUUGUCCUUCAGGCGCCUUAUUGCCGACUCCUGGUGUACAACGUGUCCUUAUUGGCUCAUACGUGGGUUAGGUCGGCUCAAUUUUGGUAUCAACACUUAGUUUAUGAUAGAAAACAUGUUUAGGGUUACUAAUAUGUAGAAAGGUAUAGAAAAUAUGUUUGGGGUUACUAGUAUAUUCUCUUAUUCAUACUUCUAUACUUGUAUUAAUAAUUAAUUUGUUUGUAUUCGUAUAUGUAUAGUUGGCUAGGAAUAUGUAUGCAUUGCAAUCUGUCACUCUUAUACCAUAAAGGGUUUACUCUUAAGCUUAUAAGAACACUCUUAGUAGAACACUCUUAUAGAAUUUGGUUUGCGAACAUGUAUGCUUGACAAUCUGACACUCUUAUGCCAUAAAAGAACACUCUUACAGCUUAAUAGAACACUCUUAUUAGCUUUAUGGUUGUGAACACUUUUUUUGUCAUAAUAGAACACUUCUAGGGCUUAAUAGAAUAUUUUUAUCAGGUUUAUAGUUGUGAACAUGUAUGCAUUGCAAUCUUACCCUCUUAUGACUUAAUAAAAUAUUCUUAAGUAUUCAUAGAACACUGCUAUCAGUUUUAGGCUUUAUAACAGUUUUAUGCCAUAAUAGAACAGUUGUAAAGGUUAAUAGAACAUCUGAAUAGCUUUAUGGUUGUCAACACUCUUUUGUCAUAGUUGAAUAAAACACUCUUAGAGCUUAAUAGAACACUUUUAUCAGAUUUGCAGUUGCGAACAUUUAUGCAUUGCAAUCUUACCCUCUUAUGAUUUAAUAAAACAUUCUUAAAACUUAAUAGAAGUGUGCUAUCAGUUUUAGGCUUUAUAACAGUUUUAUGCCAUAAUAGAACAACUGUAAAGGUUAAUAGAACACUCUUAAUAGCUUUAUGAUUAUCAACACUCUUUUGUCAUAGUAGAAUAGAACACUUUUAUGCCAUAAUAGAACAGUUGUAAAGGUUAAUAGAACACUCUUAAUAGCUUUAUUGUUGUCAACACUCUUUUGUCAUAGUAGAACACUCCUAGAGCUUAAUAUAACAGUUUUAUCAAGUUUACAGUUGAGAACAUGUAUACAUUGCAAUCUUACUCUUUUAUGACUUAAUAGAACAUUCUUAAAGCUUAAUAGAACACUGCUAUCAAUUUUUUGGUUUAGAACAGUUUUAUGCCAUAAUAGAACAGUUGUAAAGGUUAAUAGAACACUCUUAAUAACUUUAUGAUUGUCAACACUCCUUUGUCAUAGUAGAAUAGAACACUCUUAGACCUUAAUAGAACAGUUGUAAAGGUUAAUAGAACAUUCUUAAUAGCUUUAUGGUUGUCAACACUCCUUUGUCAUAAUAGAAUAGAACACUCUUAUACCUUAAUAGAACAGUUGUAAAGGUUAAUAGAACACUCUUAAUAGCUUUAUGGUUGUCAACACUCUUUUAUCAUAGUAGAAUAGAACACUCUUAGAUCUUAAUAUAAUAGUUGUAAAGGUUAAUAAAACACUCUUAAUAGCUUUAUGGUUGUCAACACUCUUUUGUCAUAGUAGAAUAGAACACUUUUAUGCCAUAAUAGAAUAGUUAUAAAGGUUAGUAUAACACUCUUAAUAGCAUUAUGGUUGUCAACACUCUUUUGUCAUAGUAGAACACUCUUAGAGCUUAAUAGAACAGUUUUAUCAAGCUUACAGUUGCGAACAUGUAUACAUUGCAAUCUUACUCUUUUAUGACUUAAUAGAAUAUUCUUAAAGCUUAAUAGAACACUGCUAUCAGUUUUUUGGUUUAGAUCAGUUUUAUGCCAUAAUAGAACAGUUGUAAAGUUUAAUGAACACUCUUAAUAGCUUUAUGGUUGUCAGCACUCUUAACCGUUGUAUAUAUUAUUUUUGCGAUUAAUAGAUAAUAGAUGUUCUAUAAUGCAUAGCAUUUAUAUGUUUGCAUUCAAAGAAACAAAAAUUAAAACAUGAUAAGAGUGUUCUAUUAUAUCAUAAUUAAUAGUGUCAAACUGUACAUAUUCUGCAUUCAUAGGAUGAACAUAAUUAAUUUAUUUUCUAGUUACUUUCAGAAUGAAGUUAUGUGCUGACUUAUGGUUCAUAAAAUGCAGGUGAAAAUAUAAUUUCCACCAGAGCGAAGUCGGGCAAGAAGGCCACUACAGGUGGUGAAGGCACAUCUGCGCAUUCUGCAGAGAAAAAAAGGAGAGGUCAUUGAAAGCUAAAAGGGCGAUCAUGGAGCUUGUUGUGUGCAGAUGUUACCCAGAUCAUCUGCACACCACAAUGUGUGUUUCAAAGUUGCCGAAGACUGCGGGCAGAAUUCAAACAGCUGGCCCCGCGUUACGUGAUAUAAUGUCCGAUGAACAGAUGGCACUUCUGAAGACCACUCCAUUCUUUUCUUAUCUCGACUUGCCUCCAAUUAAACAAGAUCUUGUGUUAGUCAAUUCCCUUCUCAGUUUUUGGGACGAAGAGAGAAGGGGUAUUAGAAUUGGAGAAACCUUUCUUCCCUUUAGUCCAGAGGAAAUAUCCAUUUUGGUAGGGCUGCCAGCAGAGGGGGAACCAAUAGAAUGGCAGAACAAGAGUGUAAAGUCGAGCACUCUUGGUAAAUACUUCAAUGGUGACUAUCGGCAUGCUGAUAGGUCGAAAUUAAGACAUAUUUUGUACAGUAUUACUAGUCAGAAUGGAGAGAAGAUGGCAGCUGAUUUUGUGCGUAUAUUUAUAUUAUAUGUAUUUGCAACCGUCCUUUUUCCGACCAGCCACUACAAUGUGCCGAAGCCACUAUAUAGAUAUAUAGAUGAUGUACAUAGAAUAGGAGAAUAUGCCUGGGGUCAUGCUGUAUGUAAUUAUUUUGUAAGUUCGAUCUCCAGAGCAUCCCCACGUGUGAAGCAUCGGAAUAGCGGCCAAGAAAGACUUGGCGGCUAUAUUGACGGCUGUACAAUAGCAUUUUUGGUAAGUAAUAUCAUAAAUUAGUAUGUCAAUAGAAUAUCUUUUGCACAAUUUUUUUAUAAUAAUAAUAAUCUUAAUUCUUGAUAAACUUGCAGAGUUGGGCUUAUGAGCAUAUAAAGGGGUUGGGUAAUUCCGACGGAGAUUAGGCUAUCCCUCGGAUGAGAAAAUGGAAGGGUUCAAAAGCCUAUCGGAGUUACGAGAAGUUUCUAACAAAGCUGCAGAGUUAUACUCCUGCAAAAGUAACCAUUUCUGUAAUGAAUGUAGUUUUAUAAAAUUUUCUUAUAAUACUUAUUAAAUAAAUUUAUCUUUUUGACAGGUUAUACCCACAUUUACCUACCGCCCUACUGACAUGUCUAUAUUGAAGCCCACAUUACGUGGCAGCCUACCGGAGCAGGUAUUACUGAAUUGAGUUAGUAGAAAAUAUUAUUUUGUUAGAGUUUAUUUGUCAAAUUGUGAUAUUGUCCUUUCGUACAUCUCUCUCGAAAGUGGUACAGGCAGCGGUCCCCGUGGCAACAACUACUGGCGAUGAAAGUAGCAAUAAUAUUAGCUCCUUAUUGAAUCAAUUGGAGCGAGCUCUAAAUAAACUAGAAGAUCGGAAUAAAAUCUUAGAGAAGGAGAAUGUAAUGUUAAAAGAAAAAAUGCAAAGCUUGAAGCACAACUAUCUAGCGCCAGCACAGCCGCUGUUGCAGAAGGCGGAGCCGGAGCCGGUGUUGAUACACCUCAAGGUGGCCAAGGCGCAGCGGUUGAAGAAAGUAGCCAACAGAGAGUUGAUGUUGGCGAGAGUGUAAUAAGGGACAUUUCUUCAAGAAUUCAAUGACUUAAAGGGCGUGAAAGGAAACAAAAGAGAAUGUCCCCUGAUUUUAUGCCGGGCGAACGUCCUUUGACUCGCCAAUAUAGAAGAAAGCAACGGCAUCCUUUGAAGAUCGGAGGGGCCGAAGCUGGUGAAGAGGCAUCAGAUACUGCGACAGGGACCAUUGCGGAGGUCCUUAUGGUAUGAUGUACUUGAUUAAGUGUAGUGUGAAUAAACUUAUAUCAUAUAAAAUAUGACUUUUGCACGUGAUUUGGUUCAAUAUAGGAAAUUAAAGCUGAACUUGGACAGUCAGAAAGUGCAAUACCAGCUGUUGAGAUUGAUGAUGUCCUUGUGCCGGGUGAGGAGUCUGGGGUAAUUAUUGAGCGUCGUCGCAACUACCCCGGAAGAGAUAAUAUUCCCAAAGUUGAGGAGGAUGCAAUAAAUUUUCUAAUUUCUCGACCUAUUACAAAGUUCGUCAAUCUGACUAGACAUGUAAUGAUUAGUUAACAUUAAAUAUCUUUGUCAAAAUAUUCUACCUUAACUUGACAGCAAUUCUUUUCUUUCGUAUUAUUAAUUAAAUUUUCUUUUUAUAGGGGACCCAUAUGGCAAGAUGAUACAAAAGGGUCAGAUUCGCCUUCUGUUAGCGGUCAAGUCCUCCUUGAUUACUUAUUUGGAGGCCCGACGCGCGACGAGGUUAGUUCUGCCACAAAUUAUACAUUAUAGUUAGCGCUUGUAGCUUGAUAUAUACAUAUCUAAUUAUAUAUAUAUUAUUCUAAUUCUUUUUGUUUUGCUGACUUUCUUAUUUAGGUGAUUAAUGUAUAUUUCCAUAUAAUUGAUAAGCUCGAUUGCAUGGGUGUACAUAAAUUUAGUUAACAGGAUAUUUUCUUGCUAACUGAAGUUGCGGUGAGUUUGAUGCUUUCACUAUUAGAUUAGUUGUUAUCUAUUUCUCUUUUGUUCUCUAUUUCUGUAAGCAAACUUAAGGAAAUAUAAAAGUGAGUUGCAAUGGAAGAAAAAAUAUGUGUUGAGAUCCGAAUCCCAAUUUGUUGAAUAAUAUUGAUUAGCUCCUGUUCCAUAAUCUGUGAACAUAUGAACCGUCCAAAUAAUAGCAUUUGAGUUUCCCGCAAGGUUUCGUAAGGCAUCUUGCUAUCUUGAUUCCUAUUUCUAUGCAGAUGCACGUACUCAAUAAGAUGCAGGGAUUUGGAAAGAAUAAGCCAGUAACAGCUGAUUUUCUGAGGGAUGUGGCAUUUGGAUCCGCAUCUAUACGUCACUUUCUUGAUAAAAUAAAUACACAUACCUGCAGCACUUCUAAAUAUGUACUUAUUUUCUUACAUAGUAAUUGGCAUUGCAUUUACUAUCAAUUGAUUUGAAGGAACGACGCUUUGAGAGUUGGAACUCUUUGUGGAGCCACAGCGGGGCACAGAACGCGGCACAACUGCUGGUAUUAAUUUAUUCUUCUCAGUAGACAGAGUGUUUUAGUUAUUUAUUCACUCGGCAGUAACAUCUACUAUCCACUUGUUUUAAUUAAUUUACCUUUUUUUUUUCUCUUGGACAGGCGAAGUGGUUUGCGUCCUAUUUUGAGCAUAUCCUCCAAAUCCCCGUCGGCGCUCCUGACGUCAUAUUUUAUAAGGAAUGUCAACAACAGGGUUCCACGGAAGUCGAUUGUGGCAUGUACACAUGCCUUUUUGCCGAAAGAAUCGUAAGAAACAGCCUCCCCGAUCUAUCAUUGUACGAUACUGACCCCCCUCCUUCCGUGCUCAUAUGGUCAGUGCGAUCUUAAAGGAUCCAUAUUGUGUGACCUAUACUUCUACAAUUGAGUCUACUGUCACAAAAGAUGAUGUCUGAAUGUUAUAGAAUUUUACAAUUGUGACUGGUGCUAUGCAAUUUGUUUAUAUAUUCUCUCAUAUGGCUUGCGUGGCAAUGCUCCUUAGCUUCUCUCUCUUUAGCUGGCUUGGUUCCCGACUAGCCCGUCUCUCUCCCAAGAGCAAGAAUACCGCUUGACUAUCUUGUGCAAUUGUGACUGAUACAGGGCAAUUUGUUUAUAUAUGAUUGUGAAUGUGCAAUUGUACACAUUGUGAGUGAUACUAAGCAGAUUUUUUAUAUAUGAUUGUGAAUGUGCAAUUGUGAAUUUGUGGCUGGUAUUGGGCAGUUUGUUUAUAUAUGAUUAUGAAUUUGUUUAUAUAUGACUGUGAAUUUAUUUAUAUAUUGACUGUGCAAUUGUGCACAUUGUGAGUGGUAUUGGGCAGUUUUUUUAUAUACGAUUGUGAAUGUGCAUUUGUGAAUUUGUGACUGAUACUGGGCAGUUUGUUUAUAUAUGAUUAUGAAUUUGUUUAUAUAUGACUGUGAAUUUGUUUAUAUAUGUGACUGUGCAAGUGUGUACAUUGUGACUGGUUCUGGGCAAUUUGUUUAUAUAUGAUUGUGAAUGUGCAAUUAUGCACAUUGUGAGUGGUACUGGACAGAUUGUGUAUAUAUGAUUGUGAACUUAUUUAUAUAUGACUGUGAAUUUAUUUAUAUAUAUGACUGGUACUGGGCAGUUUGUUUAUAUAUGACUCUGAAUUUAUUUAUAUAUGAUUGUGAAUUUGCGACUGGUACUGGGCAGUUUGUUUAUAUAUGAUUGCGAAUGUUUUAUGUUGUAUUGGAUGUUGUCGAGUUGCUUGGUGAGCCAUGGUAGUUUUUUAUAGAAACACUUUAUUAUUUUGCGGAUGGUCCAUGAUCUUGUACAUAAGUACGUAGGUUCAUCCCUAUACUAUUUCAAGCUCUGGCAUAUUUGUAAUCUUGUAUUCUGCUUAAUCAUAUCCUUGAUGUAUUUUGUAUAAUGCAAAUUGUUGAUGUGAAAGGUAUAUGGGUCUGCUCAUUAGCCCUACAGAUGUUCCAGGAAGUAGUAUAACUGUUUUAGUUUAAGCUAUAAGUACAAAAAUAAAGCCUACCAUAUAAAAGUGGACAUAUAGAUGUGAAAGGUAUAUGGGUGUGCUCUUUAACCCAACAGAUGUUCCGUGAAGUGUUAUAACUAUUCUAUUUAAGUUAUAACUGCAAAAUAAAGCCUACCAUAUAGAAGUGGACAUAUAGAUGUGAAAGGUUUAUGGGUGUGCUCUUUAGCCCUACAGAUGUUCUAGGGAGUGGUAUAACUGUUCGAUUUUAAGCUAUAACUACAAAAAUAAAGCCUACCAGAUAGAAGUGGAUAUAUAGAUGUGGCAGGUAUAUAAGUAUGCUCUUUAGCUCGGCAGAUGUUUCGAGGAGUAGUAUAACUGUUCUAUUUGAAGCUAUAAGUACAAAAAUAAAGUCUAUCAUAUAGAAGUGGACAUAUAGAUGUGGCAGGUAUAUGGGUAUGCUCUUUAGCCCUACAAAUGUUCCGGGGAGCAGUAUAACUGUUUUAUUUUAAGCUAUAACUUCAAAAAUAAAGCCUACCUUAUAGAAGUGGAUAUAUAGAUGUGGCAAGUAUAUGGGUGUGCUUUUUAGCCCUGCAGAUGUUCUUGGAAGUAGUAUAACUGUUAUAUUUGAAGCUAUAAGUACAAAAAUAAAGCCUACCAUAUAGAAGUGGACAUAUAGAUGUGGCAGAUAAUGGGUGUGCUCUUUAGCCCUACAGAUGUUCCGGGGAGCAGUAUAGAUGUUCUAUUUUAAGCUAUAACUGCAAAAAUAAAGCAUACCAUAUAGAACUAGAUAUAUAGAUGUGGCAAGUAUAUCGGUGUGCUCUUUAACCCUACAGAUGUUCCGGGGAGCAGUUUAACUGUUCCAUUUUAAGCUACAACUGUAAAGUAAAGCCUAUAAUUUAGAAGUGGACAUAUAGAUGUGAAAGUUAUAUGGGUGUGCUCUUUAGCUCUACAGAUGUUCCGGGGAGCAGUAUACCUGUUCUAUUUUAAGCUAUAACUGCAAAAAUAAAACUUACCAUAUAAAAGUGUACAUAUAGAUGUGGCAAGUAUAUCGGUGUGCUCUUUAGCCCUACAGAUGUUCCGGGGAGCAGUAUAACUAUUCCAUUUUAGCUAUAAAUUCAAAAGUAAAGCCUACCAUAUAGAAGUGGACAUAUAGAUGUGGCAGGUAUAUGGGUGUGCUCUUUAGCCCUACAGAUGUUCCGGGGAGUAGUAUAACUGUUCUAUUUUAAGUUAUAACUGCAAAAAUAAAGCCUACCAUAUAGAAGUGGUCAUAUAGAUAUGGCAAGUAUAUGGGUGUGCUCUUUAGCCCUGCAGAUAUUCCGGAGAGUAGUAUAACUGUUCUAUUUGAAACUAUAAGUACAAAAAUAAAGCCUACCAUAUAGAAGUGGACAUAUAGAUAUGGCAGGUAUUUGGGUGUGCUUUUUAUCCCUACAGACGUUCCGGGGAGUAGUAUAACUGUUCUAUUUAAAGUUAUAAGUACAAAAAUAAAGCCUACCAUAUAGAAGUGGACAUAUAGAUGUGGAAGGUAUAUGGGUGUGCUUUUUAGUCCUUCAGAUGUUCCGCAGAGCAGUAUAACUGAUCCAUUUUAAGCUACAACUACAAAGUAAAGCCUACCAUAUAGAAGUGCACAUAUAAAUGUGAAAGGUAUAUGGGUGUGCUCUUUAGCCCUAUAGAUAUUCCGGGGAGCAGUAUAACUGUUCUAUUUUAAGCUAUAACUGCAAAAAUAAAGCCUACCAUAUAAAGUUGGACAUAUAGAUGUGGCAGAUAUAUGGGUAUGCUCUUUAGCCCUAUAGAUGUUCCGCGGAGCAGUAUAACUGAUCCAUUUUAAGCUACAACUGCAAAGUAAAGCCUACCAUAUAGAAGUGGACAUAUAAAUGCGAAAGGUAUAUGGGUGUGCUCUUUAACCUUUCAGAUAUUCCGGGGAGCAGUAUAACUGUUCUAUUUUAAACUAUAACUGCAAAAAUAAAGCCUACCAUAUAGAAGUGGACAUAUAGAUGUGGCAGGUAUAUGGGUUUGCUCUUUAGCCCUACAGAUGUUCCACGGAGCAGUAUACCUAUUCCAUUUUAAGCUACAACUGCAAAGUAAAGCCUACCAUUUAGAAGUGGACAUAUAGAUGUGUAAGUUAUAUGGGUGUGCUCUUUAGCUCUUCAGAUGUUCCGGCGAGCAGUAUAACUGUUCUAUUUUAAGCUAUAACUGCAAAAAUAAAGCCUACCCUAUAGAAGUAGACAUAUAGAUGUGGCAAGUAUAUGGGUAUGCUCUUUAGUCCUGCAGAUGUUCCGCAGAGUAGUAUAACUGUUCUAUUUGAAGUUAUAAGUACAAAAAUAAAGCCUACCAUAUAAAAGUGGACAUAUAGAUGUGGCAGGUAUAUGGGGGUGCUCUUUAGCCCUACAGAUAUUCCGGGGAGUAGUACAACUCUUCUAUUUGAAGCUAUAAGUACAAAAAUAAAGCCUACUAUAUAGAAGUGGAUAUAUAGAUGUGGCAGGGAUAUGGGUGUGCUCUUUAGCCCUACAGAUAUUCCGGGGAGUAGUACAACUCUUCUAUUUGAAGCUAUAAGUACAAAAAUAAAGCCUACUAUAUAGAAGUGGACAUAUAGAUGUGGCAGGUAUAUGGUUGUGCUCUUUAGACCUACAGAUAUUCCAGGGAGUAGUAUAACUGAUCUAUUUUAAGUUAUAACUGCAAAAAUAAAGCCUACCAUAUAGAAGUGGACAUAUAGGUGUUUCUGUAUUUUGCGUUAGAUGCGAGAUGACCCAAAUAGGUAAAACAGGUCGCACAAUUGCAGAGGUCGACAUUUCAGUCACGGGUCUAUGGCUGUUCCCUAUAUCGCUUUAGAUGUACUAAACUGACUUAUAACAGUUCCAUGGAAAGCUAUAAUUGUAAAUGUAAAGCCUAGCAUAGAAAAGUUGACAUAUAGAAUUUGAAGUUAUAUGGGUGUGCACAUUAACACUAGAACUGUACAUGUGAAGUCUACAACUGUUCAAUUCUAUGCUAUACCUGCAAAAGCAAAUCCUAGCCUAUGAAAGUGGCACGUAUAUGGGUGUGCCUAUUAGCACUAGAGAUGUACAUGUCACAUCUACAACUAUUCCAUUCUAAAAUAUAACUACAAAAGCAAAGCCUACCCAUUCUAAAUGGGCACUACACAUGUACCGAACUGCCCUUUAAGUGUUCCGUUGUUGGCUAUCUCUGGUAGGUACAUGAAUUCUCCCUUUCACCACUUAUAGAUGUAUUUUGGCACACCUAUAUCCGUCAUUCCUUUUUAUAACGUAGAAGUAGGUUUUGAGUAAUGUAGAUAUCUCAACAAGACGUACAACGGUAAAUCACUUUCUAACAAGACGCACAAAUUUAAAAGUGCACAAGUGUAUAAAAAUGGCAGUACAUUCGUAUUGAACAUUGGAGGUAACUCACAUUACAUAUGUAGGAUUAACAUUAGAACAAAAUUUUUCUUUACGCCAUAAGUUGUAACACGAUAUUACAAUAAAACGUAGAAUUUAAAGCAACAUAACCACACGGCACAAAGACUAUUGAUAUAUCGUAAAGUCUACCACAAAAUAGUACAACACGUUAUAUUUGUACAACACAACGACUAAUAUAUAUAUUACUACAGCCUGCAUGAUACAGGGUGGUCAUGUACUGUAACAUAUGGAAACUUGGAGUUGCGAUGUCAACUUUGACCUAGAGGGUCAAAGUGAGGAUUGAGCUAGUUGGACAUCAUCCCCGAGGGAUUUGUGAUGCGUUGGAAUGAGUUCCAAAGAGAAAAGGUAUUAGUAGAGAUUUUGCCGAAUCCUGACUCCGCCAACUAGAUGGCGUUCUUUACCCUCAUUGGUUUAUACGCGGUCAAUCAACUUUAGGACUCCUAUUUUUAUCAAAAUGCAGUGCCCGGGGUCAGGUUCUCAAAAACAGCUAUUUAAUGCAAUUUCACAAUUCAUUACAGUAAAUUCAACCUUAAGCCCAAGGACCCAAAUCAGAUUUAGUAAAAACUGUCAUAUAAUACUUCGACUUCAUCUUUCACUCUAUCUCAUAUCUUUCUUCUUGGGCGCUUCUUCUUUUCUUAUCCUUUCUUUCCUUUCUUUUCUUGCUGCUUGCCCUGCAGGCAGGACUGCUGCGCACUGCUGCGCCAGUGCGCUGCCGCUGCUGCUGCUGUUGAGCUGCUGUCUCAGCGCAUACUCGCAGCCUGCUGCUGCUGACCACGCGCUGGCGCUGCUCCGCUGAAGCUGCCUGCUCAGCAGCUGCCUCUGAGCUUGACUGCCAGCAGCUCCUGCUGAGCUGCUGCGCUGCUUGACUGCGGCUGCUGCCAGCUGCUGCUGAUCUAUUGCUGCUGACACCAGCAGCUGCUGCGCUGUCCACUGCUGCUGCGCUAGCUGCGUGAAGCUUACUGUGCUGGCCGAAGCUGCUGCUGCUGAGGCUGACUGCUUGCUGAAGCUUCUGCGCUGCUGAAGCUGCUGCUGCUGAGCUUGCUGGAAGCUGCUGGCAAGCAGCGUGCUGAGCUGCUGCUGCGACUGAUUGCUGCUUGCUGCUGCUGCUCGCUACACUACCAUAGCAGCAGAGAGGUGAUAGGAGAGAGUAAAUCCUACCCUCUUUUCUCUCUUCUUGCCUCUAUUGCUUCUUCUUCUUACUUCUGCUUCUUCUUCCUUUUCUCCUCUUUUCUCCUUCUUUUCUCCUUCUCUUCAGUCCUCUCCCUCUACGUAUGGAACCAGAAGGGGGAUAAGGAAUGGGCGGGGAACAGGCUCGCCUGCUGGCCAGGUUAGUGGAAAUCACUAACCAGAUGCAAUUUACAAAGGCCCGACUUAUACUUCCGUCGGCAAACUCGGGAUCAUUACCUUUCGUAGUGCAUCUGUCCAAAAUCCGAUUGAGGCUCAAAUUUGGCAGGAAGUGUCGUUUUACUUGACUAAGUCCACUGAAAUUUAAACAUUUCAGUUUGACCCCUGUUGGUCACUGCGAACUGUCCCGAACUGUACAUCUUUAUGCAGAUACUUCCAAUGCAUUUCUCUCUACAGUCGUCCAGAAUAAAUCUGAAACUGAAAAAACUAACUAUAAUAAUGCUGAAUCUCUCUCUGCCAAAUUUCGUAAUUUCUUGACACUGUGCAUUGCUAACUAAAUUUCUUCUCAUCCCGUUCCUUAUACAGAUAAAUUCUAAAUUUUCCGAUUUUCCAGCUUCCGAUGUCACCCUAAAACACUUCUAAAUACACAAGGACCUUGCCAACUACCAAUUUAAUUUGGAAGCAAGAUUUCUUUUCAUUUCGACAUAUUGAGCCGAAUUAUAAAUAGAACCGCUCCAAAUUCAUUACAUGACCUUUUUGGGCACUAGCCUACUUCGCACGAGCUUUCAAAAACCCUUGAACACACGCCUUGCUUUACAAAACUUCACAAUUGAUGUCGAGGUACCAACAAUUAUCCUACAACCUUACUUAUUUCUUAAUCAAAGUUAGCGUCGGAAUUUUCCGAAAAUUCUCUUUACCUCUCUUUACAUGUCAUUUCGCUGCCAUUUUUUUGGGCCGCCGAAACACUUANNNNNNNNNNNNNNNNNNNNNNNNNNNNNNNNNNNNNNNNNNNNNNNNNNNNNNNNNNNNNNNNNNNNNNNNNNNNNNNNNNNNNNNNNNNNNNNNNNNNUGUUGUACAUAUCACUUGGCUCUGACCAAUCUUACGGCUUACCAUGUUAACCCCAAUAACUCACAACCCAAAAUCCCUUAAUACGGGGGACUCGAACCUCCUAGGGACGUCUUCUGGGGGACUUUACCACGCCCAGUGGUGACCAACUCCGGAGCGCACGAGCCCGAGGGGAGCACCUCACCUCAAGCCAAGACUUAUCGUGAGUAUCGAUCCAAUCCUCAACUUGAGAUUAAUAGCCACUUGUCACAAUGCCAUUGUCAUAAUAGGUUUUCUACCUAUUUAUUCAUGUCACUCUCUAUGUCAACUUGGUCAAUGCCACUCUUGGCUUAAACUAUGUUUAACACUAUAUCCUCUAUGCAAAUCAAUGUCUCUCAUUGUCAAUGUCCCUUUGUUUGCUAAUGUCCAAGUCCAACUCUCACAUUCACACAAUAAUAGGGUUCUAACAUAUAUGUCCAUUAUGGUUCUUACUUUCUCUAUGUUCAACUACGUUAGAACAUGUCAUUGAAAGCAACCAAGGUUCACAUGUACUUAGCCCUAUCAUGCAUUAAUGAUACGAAAUAUAUAUACUCAAAUGCCACAAGUGUCUGCUAGGUUCAUGACACUAGUUUACACUAUACUUGUUCAACCUAAUGUUCAAUACACUAGUUUAAAUGCCACUGAUGAUCCAACAUAGUUCUUUGACACUAGGUUCAUAUCCUCCAUGUUCAACAUAUGUCCAAUACAACUAGGUUUAAUGCCACACGAUCUAAUGUAUAUAGAUUGUCCAUAUGCACAUUUCCAUUUCUUAACAUUAGUAUCUCUCAACAUGAUCAUCAAGUAUAUAUUAGUAUUAGCCACAAUGCUUGCAUUUAUUAUUUCUACAUCAUGCUAUAUACCAACUUCUUAGCAUUAUCCACAUGCAUGCUUAUGAUGUAAACUUUAGCAUUACUCAAUGCAUUCAUCUAGCACUAUUUACACAAAGUCAUCACGCAUUCCUCUUAUCAUGUUCUUAUAAUGUUAACAUUCAUAUGCCCUUUAUCUUAUGCAUUCAAACAUUAAUCACACUGCAUUUAUCUAGCAUUUCUAUAAUAUGUUAACAUGCAUGUAACACACUGGACCUUUGCAAAUUGCGAGAUUCGAGUGUUCGAGCUGUGUGCUGAGCAAUUCCAGAUUUUCUGGUGUGGUCGUUGACAGUGUUCCGACCUAUGGCUCGCAUCCCGAGAAGUGAGGUUAAAGCCGAGCACGAAACUCGAAAAAUCGGAUUUUUGGUUAGCUCUCGGGUUGCCUUCAGAGGCUGUGUACCGGUACCGGGAGUGAUGCUGUACCCGUACAGCCAUCGAUCUGGCCGCUUCUCAGCACACCGAGGCUCGGACUGAGCAUUUCGUAGAUGGCUGUACCGGUAGCGGGCCGUAUACGGUACGCAGUGCAGAAUUUUUGAACGUUUCGAAACUGCAGGGUUUUUCGCAUUUGUGAGCUCUUAUAUGUGUCCCCACGCCCCUUGGAGCUCUCCCUGAGCUGAAACCGUGGAGAAGCAAGGUAGGGAGAACCUUUCUCUUCCUUUGGUUUUGAUCACCUUUUGCUUGGGUUUUGAUGGUUUUUCCCUCUCUUUUUGGCAUUUUGGAGCUAUUUCACCAUCGUUGAAGCUUGGAGGUUUGUUUGAAGCUGAUGCGGAAUAUUCUGUUGAUAAAGUAGUUGAGACUAUGAGCUUGGUUUGAAGCUUUCUAAGAGGUAAGUAGACAAGAUUCCUUCCUUCUAGAUUGUAUUUGUUUUUUUUUGAAGUUUCAUUGAGAUAACCUAGAUUUGGGGUUUUAGAUCUCUCUUCUGGGUUUUUGGGGCCUAGUGGAGCAAGAGCUGAGGUCAGUAAUUGCCCACUGGGAACUAUAAAUUAUAGUUCUCACGCCCUCUUUUUCUCGAUAUAUUUCAGAGCCUUCCACGCAGGGAGAGGCCAGGGAUCGCGGAAAGGGUAUCGCCUCGGGCUAGCGUGCUUACCGAGGGAUCGUUCGAUAGGUGGUCUACCUCUCGUGUUAUCUUUUUGUGAGAGGUUGAGAGCCGUACCCGUAUAUGUAUAGAGACCACCACUUUUGUACUAGAGACAGAUAUUGUACUACUUAUGAUUUCCUUUAUUGUCUAUCCUUAUCUCUUUACUUUGGUGUAGAUGAUAGAACUUUACUCGCUCUGAUAUCAUUAGUUGCUAGUUAUUUUACUACCUUAUUUGUUCUAUCUCUUGCUUUACUUCCGCUUUUAUCCUAGACGCCUUAUAUGUGUAGACAUAUGGCGGGUCUGGGCACGCUACCGGGAGGGCCUCCGCCGGUCCCGGGGCGUGACAAUGCAUCAAUAUAAAAUCUCAUUUCUUAAACAUAAAGGGCGACCUAGUCGCUUCCGUAAACACAACCCACCUCAUUUCGCAUUCUGAUUGCUUGUCGACACUUGCAAUCGACCGCCCGCGGCACCCGGCACCCGGUUUGGCCCGAUCUCUCGCGCGACUGCGCCUCAACGGUGCUCCGCUUUGCAGCCCCGAAAAUUAUAGGUCUUCGGUUAUGUGCCACGAUGCUUCAAAUCCGUUUUCAUGAGUUUACGAUAUCGCCUCGGCCCUCCAGGCGGAAACGAAGCCUAAACGUCUGUUUCUUUAAUAACUUCGCAACGGCUCGACGAAUCGCCGAACCGUCUUCGCCAACGCUUUCGUUUACCUAGCAAUUAGGUUUACAGAGGGUCAAAUGAGAUCAAACCCUCAUAUUUACAAAACUAGCAUUUUUGAGCCCUAACAUGUAUUAACCACCAAAUAAUCCAAAUUAAUUGAAGUAACAUACUAACAAUGCUCGCUAUUAGAACACUUAAAGCUAAGGAUUAAGCCAAAUCCCAAAAGCUUACCACCAUGUGAACGCCGCGACGACAACACACCGCUCCAACGGCCGCAUGAAAGCCCGAUCCGUCGCUCCCAACGCGAUCGCAAGCAUCAUCUCCACCAACCCCGCAAAUUUGAGCGAGAAAUAUAGAAAAACGGGAGAGAAAUCUAGAGAGAGAAAGGAGGGUUUCUCUCUCCCCUCUCCAUGCGUGCGGGUGAUGGUGGUGUGGGGUGGUCGGCUGAAGGAGAAGAAGAAGGCAACAAGUCUUCUUAUAUAAUUAACACCCCAAAACACUAUUCACUUCAGGCAGUUUUAGCAGUUCAAAAUAGUUGGAGCCCUUCUGAAUGUCCGUUUGAGCUCAAAUUUAACAAGCAGACUCAGUUUAACGUACUGAGUAAGAAUAUAUCUUAAGUUUUCAGUUUCAACCCCAUUUGGUCACUGAAAACUUUACCGAACUGUAAUCUUUAUCAAAUAGCUGUCGGAUUUUAUUUCUCACUCUACGGGUGUCAGAAAAAUAUGAAACUUUAAAUCUACCCUCAUAAAAAUAUUUCUGACUUAUCCUCCAAUUUUCAUAAUUUUCUGAGACUAUGCAUUUUCUGCUAACUUAUCUGUCCCGUUUCCAACAGAAAAUUCUAAAUCUUCUGUUUUCAUUCCGAUUUCAGCACAAGUCAUUUCUGACUUAUGUUUUACUUCUACAAAACCAAUAAAAAUAGCUUCUCACACUAUUUUUAUUUAUUUUAUUUUUAUACCAAAAUCUGGUAUGUUACAACUUACUGGUAAAAUAGUUUCAAAGGAGAGUUUUUCCUAGUCAGAUUGUUGUUCUUGGGGAGGUAUUUUCCAUGGUCUACCUGCAAUUUAUAUAUUUCAAUUCCUUCCUGGAAAUGCACAACCAAGUUAGAUCAUAAUAGCUGUAAAUCAGUGUCCUUCAGAUGGCCGAUAAGAGUUCUCUUUGCCCAACCAGUUGAGAAUUCUUGAUUAGGGACAAAGAAUCAAUACAUUGCAUAUAAAAUUACCUAGAGCAGAUAAAUCAGGCGCUAUUUCAAAAGGUAGAUGUAGGAAAAAUAGCCACCCAGAGAAACUCGCUUGCAGCAAAAAAGAAUGGAGAUGGAAUCCCUUUGUAAUGCUGCUGUUAUUUGUUCACGCUGCUGUUAUUUGUUCUUUUGUUUUCUAUUGUUGGGCAAACACUAACACACAAGAGGUCAGGUAACAUCUACUGAGCAAAGAACUUGCUUGGUAGUGGUUUCUAACUGCAUCGUAUAAAUGGAAUGUAUGGAGGGCUCAUUGGGCCUCAAAGCAGGUCAACUACAAGGCUUUCAAGAUCACUACUGAUUUCGUAUGCUCUGAUUCUAUGAUGAAAAACCCUCAUCAAAUAUUAUAUAAUUUGUCUCCUCAUAGCACUUCCGAUUCAUCUAGAUCUCUUCCCCUAACGUUCCAUGACAUUCUAUCAAAUUCAUGGGUAAUCAUAACUAAAAAAUAGAAAAUUUUUCGUUAUCAGUGUUCAUGAAAAGAAUAACAUUAUAUCAUGAAAAUACCAUAUGCAAACUAAACACCGUAUUACAAAGAAAUAAUAUAUACAACUCAAAAACGCAUUUCCAACUCUUUGUUACAUUAAUCAAAAAGGGCUGCUUAAUCGGGGAAACAUAGUAGUGCUAGCUUUAGUAGGUAGAGUACCUCAUGCACUAUUGUUAGGCGUCGUCGACUUGCUCAUCCAUCUAUCCGUCACAGAAUCAGGAGAAUAUGGUGGAUUCUUCCUCAACAAGUAGGCGUCCUCCUGAGCCAAAGCACCCUUGCCCACAUUCUCCACAUUGUUGGCCCCGUCUCGUAUACCUCUCAGCACCUCCAAAACCUCCUUCAUAGGAGGCCGCAUAUCCCUCUCUAAUCUCAAACAUCUAAAUGCCAGUUCAGCCACUUGAGCAAUCAUCUUCUUCAUUUCCGAGUCUGAGUGAUGCCCAAUUUCCGGGUCCACCAACUGAUCAAGUUCAUUGCUCUGGAUCUUACUGAUAGCGAAGCUAGCCAGAUUGACCUCAUAUCUGGACCUAUUUAUGUCAACCGCCGGCUUGGAUGAUAUCAGCUCCACCAACACCACCCCGAAGCUAUAUACAUCACUCUUAUCUGUGAGCUGGUAGCAUUGGUAGUACUCCGGGUCCACAUACCCUGGUGUGCCUUGUGGUGCCGUGGAGACAUGGGUGACAUCGAGAGGGAAUAAUCGGGACAUCCCGAAGUCACCUACCUUUACAUGAAAACUGUUAUCAAGGAGGAUGUUAGUUGUCUUAACAUCACGGUGUAUAAUUUGAGGCUCGACAGCAUGGAGGUAAGCCAGUGCAUCGGCUGCUUCUAUGGCAAUAUUCAACCGGAGGGACCACGUUAGGGCUCGUUCCCCAGCACGGGAACCAUGGAGGUGGUCUGCAACAGUUCCAUUCGACACGUACUCAUACACGAGGAGGAGCUCACGGCUGUUGCUGGAGGUGCAGCCAUAGAGGGUAACAAGGCUCUGGUGACGCAAGCGAGAAAGGAUGUCCACCUCAUUCAUGAACUGCUCAACCCGCUUGUAGCUGUUCUCGUAUAGGCGUUUCACUGCAACAGUGCGUCCAUCUCGGAGCUUCCCUGCAGGCAAUUAUGCAGAAGGUAAAGAUUGAAUUGAUUUAACAAAAAAGCCCUUAAAAGAGUUUUUGAUCCUCGUAAAAGGCAAGUAACCAUAUUGUACAAAUAAUGAGAGAAGAUAAUUUGUACCUUCGUAGACUCUGCCAAAGCCACCAUCGCCAAGUUCUUUGGAGGCAUUGAAGCCAUCGGUGGCUUCUUCAAGUUCCUCAUAGGAGAAAAUGUGGGUACGAUAUUGUGCAGUAUUUAACUCAAGGUCAAGAAUUUGCCGAGAAGAGUUGGUUUGUUUGAGCUGAAGUGAAGAGGAGGGUGUCCGCUUUCUUUUCUUUUGUUUGUACACAAGAAGGCAAACAAAACUUAUUACAAGAAUACCUCCUGCACCUGCACCAAUUCCUGCACUUUGCAAUAUAUACAAGAGGUUAUCGGUUGCUGUGAUAGAUACAUGCAUUCAAAGCAUUAUAUGAUGCCAAAAUUAAAAGUAAAAUAUAUAUAAAAAAAGAUUAUAAAAAAAGGAUAAUACGACAUGACAAUCAUAAAAGAUGUGAUCACUUGCUCCAAAAGUUUGACAGUUUAUGUACAAGGAAAUGCAUGUGGUUUAGAUUAUUUAUUUUUUAGAACUAGAACUGUAGUAAGGACAUAAUUGAUAUGAUAAAAGUUAAAAGAAAGAGACAUCAUGAUAUAUAAAAACGAAUUAGAAAUAGUGAAUUGGCCGCUUGCAAAAAGAUAAUGUUUACCUAUUCCAAUCUUCUUCCCAAGAUUGCUUUUCUCUGCAGUAAACAGUGAAAAAGACAAGCAGAGUUUAGUGAAGAGCUUGCAAAUUCACAAAAGAAUUACAUAAUACUAGUCUCAAGAAAUUUACGUCUACACAAUAUACAAGCACAGUAUAAAAUGUUACGACAUUAGUCUAAAUCAAAGUUUUAAGUACACGUCUUCACGGGCCGUAUCAACCGUGCCGUACUAUGCCAACAAAAUACCGACACGAUACAGACACCGUGCCGAUGGCACAGUUCAAAACCCUCUAUUUUUUAAAUUAGUGAGUAAUUUCCUCAAUAAAGUUCAAAAGAUGUGAUAAAAAGAUAUAAUAAAUAGUUAGAAUAUUUUGUUGCUAAAGAAAAUAUAUAUUUUAUGCUAUUAUGUGUCGGCACAUAAGAAUUUUUUUGACUGGCACGCAUCGGCACAACUAGGCAUGCAUCGUGCUGUACCGUGCCGGCAAGUUUCCGGCAUGACCCCGUGCCACGGCACUUAAAUCCUUGGUCUAAAUGUCGUUACAUAUAGCAACCUUUACAUAAAGCUUGAAUUAUUGCAGUCACUUUUUUUCCUUCAAAGCAAGGAUUUAAGUGCCGUGACACAGGAUCGUGCCGGAAACUUGCCGGCACGGUACGGCACGGUGCAUGCUGGGCUGUACCGAUGCGUGUCGGUGACAAAAAAAUAUGUGUGUGCCGACACGUAUUGGCAUAAAAUAUUUAUUUCCUCUAGCAACAAAAUAUAACAAUUAUUUAUUAUGCAUUUUUAUCAAAUCUUUUGAAAUUUACUGAAAAAAUUACUUACUAAUUUCAAGAAUAGAGGUUUUUGUGUUAUGCCAUCGGCACGGGAGCUGUAUUGUGCCGAUAUCUUGCUGGUACGAUACGGCAUGGUAGAUACGGUUCGUGCCGAUGGACACUUUAAUCUUUGCUUCAAAAUAUUAUGUGAUAACACUCUCUUCCUCAACUUCAUGAGUAAAGCUAAUUUAAUAAUAGCAAGUAAUAAAUGUAAAAUAAAAAUCUUGAGGCCUAUUGGGAAGGUAAGCAAAGCCUGUCAAAAGGAUUAUAAUCGGAUCUGAACAUUAUGCUUUUUCAAAAGUUAUAUACUCAGCAACUCACAAAUGCUCCUGAGCCUGAGGUCUUUGCUGAAGUUUAGAAAAUUUCAUUUGGAAGAGCACAUUAGCUAGUAGCUACAAUACCAGUACAGCCAAGGAAUUAUCAUUCAUGUAACCACCUUGCACAACCUAGGAAAUAGUGAAUAAAUAUUUACAACUAAAGCAAGCAUUAGAUCUCAUUCACAUUAAUGCGGCAUAUUAUCCACACAACCCUAUAGAGAUGGUUUUGUAAAAAUUACUGGAAAUGCUUGAGAUUUCAUUGAUGGCGGUAAUGCCUGUCUAGGCGCAUACAGCAAAGUACCUAAUUAAUCUUCGAAAGAUAUAAACCUAAUUUCUAGCAUAAAAUAAUACACCAGGAGAAAAUACAAGAUGUAUUUGUUAAAAUUAGAACGGCGAAAAUUAAAUCCAGAAAAAAUACUUAAUGCACGAAGAGAAAAGAAAAAGGAAAGACCACACCGAUAUUUAUGUGGUUCGGCCAACGGCCUACGUCCACGAGCGAAGGCGGAACAAAUACUUUAUUAAUAUCGAAAGGUGGAGUACAAAGAAGAUCUCUCAAAAGAACCAAAACUUAAUUAGAUCCGAAACGCCGAAAUUUGCGUCCGUACAAGAGACUCCAAAGUGGCUCGGCUUAAUUAAUACUACGGCUCCUCGAUACCGUACGGAACAUCGAAACUUGAAGCUCAGUUCUCUUGGCAGCAAGGGUACGGCUCAAGAGAACCUAAUUAAUUAGCACGCCACAGGAGUAGUCUCAGCCGAUGGAGCACCAACCGCAAUUGGAUCUUGGUCAACUCUCUUUAACAUACAUGGCUUAAUUAGAGUCACCGCGGCUUCAUUAACUUGGCCGUAGCAUGUAUAUAUAAUACAUGUCUCCAAACUAGAGUCUAAUUCUAAUUCAAUUAGAAUUAGAGUACUACUUAUAAUCCUUAAAUCUAUAAAUUAUUUCUUAUCCUAAUUAGAUUAGGAUUUACCUUCAAUUUAGAUAACUACAAAUAUAAACUAAAUUAUAACAGUAUUAGGGCAUACAAAGUAUGGAAAGAAUAUGAAAUAAGAAAGUAUUCAUGCACUCAAUAAACGUAAUUGAGAUGCAUAAUCGAGCACAAUGAGAAGUUUAUUCAUGCACUCAAUCAACAUAUAUAAUUGAGAUGCACAAAUAUCAGGCACAAUUAGCUCAAAAUCAAAAUCACGUUCAGAAAGUAUGAGAAGGAUUAAUAAGAAUGAGACUACAAACUCGAAUUCAUCUCUUCAAUCAUCCUCUUUUGAACCUUUUUUUUUCUUUUGGGUGAAACCUUAAGAUUUACCACACAUAAUCCUAUUUCAACUAUUUUCAUCCAAGAUUUCAUCAUUAACAUGUAAGAACAAGCAGAAUGGAAUCCAGUUUGAUAUCUGAAUUGAACAUAUCAAAGAAAUUGGCAUCUACAAUUUUUGCAAAUCCUUCGACCGACAACGUGUUUAUACCAUUCAUUUUCCCUAUUCCUUAUGCCUUCCAUUUUUCCUAGUCUUCCUCAUUUAAUUGUAUAGAUCUAUUUACUUCCACAUCGGAAUUGCAACUCUUUGAUAUCUCUAGCACUACGGUUCUUUUAAAUUGUCAUUGAUUCUUCCAAGUAAUAUGCUUAUCAUUAUGCUUCUUGAAGCAAAAGUGCGCAAAGUGUGGUUAGACCAAUAACGCCAACCCUUGCAGAUUGCCAAGGCAUAUCAUAUACUUCUUCAGAUUGAUGAAAUUUUAACUCUACUAAACUACAGUUGGUGAUAAUCACCUUGUUCCUCCACCUCACAUAAUUUGUCUGGUGCAACUUCACAUUCAAUGCUUCUAUUUGGUGACAAACUUCAGGAUGGAAAGUUAAAACUGUCUUAUCACAAGCUUCUUUUCUUUUUAGGGUUCAAAUCACAUAUAUCCCCUGAAUUUUAGUACUUUUUGGAAGCAGACCUCUAAACUAUCAAUUUUUACAAUCAGCACACUGAACUUUAUCCGAGACGGCGCUUGUUUGUAGGUAAGUAGUCAAUAGAGGUAUAGGUCCAAAUUGGUGUGACAAUUUCCAUUAAUUUGUUUUGAACAAAGUGAAAGUGGAAAGUGGAAGGAUCGAAGUGAAGUCUUGACUUAGCAAGCUUGCUUGUGACUGGCUCGUUUACACCCUUUAGUCUGCAUGGCUCAGUUUGGCUAGCUUUGAGAAGAAAGCUGAACUAAACUGAUUAAAUUGGUUUACUAAAAAUAAGAAAAGAAAUCUAUUAGGUUCCGACGAGAGUUUGUCAAUGACAGUUUGGACCUCAGGUUGGGCUCGGAAGCAUCUCCUGGUUACUCUAAGGCUCAACGGAGCGGGUCCAUUAUCUCCGACCGUCUAAGCCACAAAGCUUGUGGUUUAAAUACAGGGUUUAAAAACUUCCAAAACUACCAUCUUUGCCCUAGAUCUUGUCGGGCUGCUUCUCAAUCCUAUUCUGUUGAAACCUAACUCACCACCAUCUUCUUCUCAGCCCUGUCGGAGCCUCUUUUCAACCUUCGAUCUCCAUGGAGUCUACCUCCAUGAGCUCCUACCUAGGCCUCUGUUCUCGACUACUUGCUUUCUUUAUUACCUUUACACUCGCUAUGUGUUUUAUUUCCUUUACUCUCACUCUUUGAGAUUAUACUACAUAAAUAUACAUCUACUACUGCUUAAACUCUACUCCAUGAGCUUUUUAAUUCAAAGUCGAAUUGGGAGCAAAUUUAAGACUAACUCAAUAGACUCGCAUAAGGCCACAGGAUCAAGUAAUAUGAGCUUUAGAAAGGUAUAUAACAAUCCUAUGUUCAUCAUGUUCAAGGCGAAUGUUUCAGGUUUGAGAUCAGAUCAUCCGAUGGAAUUUGUCAAAUGCAACUUGACAGCAGCAGUUACCGGUUCUAUGCUGCUACAAAAAACCAGUAAAAGCUCGUAUCAGCAACCGUUCACGCGGAGGAACAAGUUCUCUCCAAAAUGCUCAAGAUAAAGUUCUUCAGUUCAGAUUAAUCUUCUUGCUGAAACAAUUGAGGUAGUAGAUUUUCAACACAGACUGCAAUCUGUAGAAGUUGAAUCUACAAACAUAACAUCGGAACCAUAUGAGAAAUGACACAGCGCAUUUAGAAAUAGGCAACUUGGCAACUAAACUCAAAGUUUUCGUAUUACAUGUAACCUCUUUUUGCUUUUGAAUUAGGCACCUGAACUUAAUAUUUUUUAUUCUAGUACCCAAUCUUACAGUAUCUGCUAUGUAUCACGAACAUUUUUAUAAGUCUCGCGUGUCCGUGUCGGACUCGUGUCCAACGUAAACACGUCAUGGACACACAUUCGACGCGAGUCCAUAGCACAUCUCACCAAAAAAUAUAUAAUUUUUUUAUUUUAAUUUUUUUUAUGCAUAUAUAAUAUAAGGUGAUAAAUAUUUUGGCUUUUUUUAUGAAUGCAUAUAAUUUUUUGGAUAAUAUGAGUAAAGUAUGUAUGAUGGAGAAUUUCUUUUCUUAAAAUAUAUAAAAUAUCAAUGAGAAUUUUAACACUUUAUAUAUAGUAAUAUAUACUAUUAUAUUAAUCUAUUCUAUUUUAUACGCGGUGUCCAUAUCGUGUCCGUGUCCUAAAUUUUGGAAAGUGCCGAGUUACAAUGUCCGAGUCAGAGUCGCAUCCCGUGUUCCGUGUUCAUAUUCUUGACGCCUAGCAAAUCUGUAACAUUCUUGAUGAAAAUUCCAUAACCUUAACCGAAUAUGCUGUUACUCGAUGGAAUCAACAGAAUGACCUACGUACUAUCACAAAUUGCACAAAUUAUGUAAAGUUUGUCAUGCAUAACGAGUUCAAAAAGAAAAUUUAGCAAAAGGAGAAUGCUCGGAAACUGCUAAUUGCGUACUUAUCUUUAACAACUACAUGGUUUGAUUGGUAAUAAUGUAGAAUUCUCCUUUUUCAAUUUUAGCUGCCUAUUAAUCAUAUAUAUAUAUAUAUAUAUAUAUAUAUAUAUAUAUAGUCCGGCUACUAUACUCUUAUGAGUACGAUUGCCAUCGUACUCAUAAGUUGUUUUCGAUGAUAAAACUUCCAAAUUAACGAUCCACAUCGUUAAACGUUAUUUAGAGCAUUAAAACGUCUAUAAAUUAAAUUUUAUAAUUUUUCGACAUCAUUUACCUUACGAUCAAAAGGUCACAAAAUUAACAAUUUUUAACGACCGGUAUGGAAUAUUUGCUAGUUUAACGGUGUAAAAGAAUCGGAAUCGAUUGAAUUUUUUAUAGAAAAUUCUAUUCAUUAUAUAGAUAAAUAUCAAUAACUCCGAUCUUAAAUUGAAGGAUCUGAUCAUCCAUUUUUAAGACGUCGUUCGAUUUCGACCCUUCAUUUUAUACCUGCUUGAUGAAUUUUAUUAUGAUUUCGAAAAAUUACGAAAUUUAUUUUCUAAAAGUUAAAAAUACUCUAGAUCAUAUUUAACGGAGCGGAUCGUCGAUUCAGAAUCUCCAUCAUUGAAAACAACUUAUGAGUAUGAAGGGCUCUAUACUCAUAGCCGUAGCCUCUAUAUAUAUAUAUAUAUAAUUAUAUUAUAAUUGAGCUAGAUAUUUUUAUAGCACUACCUCUGGUGAUUCUAAAUUUUUAGCCUUUGGAUCUACUCCUUGAUUACUAAUAGCCUUUGAUCAAACACUAUCACCCACCACCAUCUACCCAUCAUCAUCUCAACCUCAACAUCUCUCCAUCCAAUGGUUAAAAACUCAAAAGCACCACCUUCAUGGUGCUUUUGAGAGUAUUCUAGCUCAGCGCUCUCUCUCUCAGCCUAGCGCGCUCUCUCUCUCUCUCUCUAUAUAUAUAUAUAUAUAAACAUUAUUCCAAACUCCUGGAAAGGAUUUAAGAUUCGGAAUUAAUUGGUAAGCAAUAGGAGAAAAAUUAAACUCACUGCAGCUUCUUAAAUGGGGCCGGUCAGGGCAAAUGCACAUGAAGGCGGAGCCAUCGUAGCCACACUGGCCGUUGCUCGCCUCGCACUGGGAGCAAUCGGCCACCGUCCACUCCGCAAUGACCCCGUUCCGCAAGAGCUUCUCAUAGCCACUCGCGUUUACUCCCUCGAUCCCCACGACCGGCACGACGGCCGCCUCGCACUCUCUCGACGGAUUCAGCCCCUCGAGCCCCGCAUCGAACCCGCCGAGAUACACAGAGGUAUCAUUCGCGCAGGGGACACGGUAGUAGUAAUUCGCCGCAGGACUAAUUCCCGAGCAAGCGUAGAAGAAGAAGAGCUUCGCAUUGACGGCGCUAAUGGCCAGCGGCGAGAGGCCAAACGUGAGAUUGAAAAGCGGGAGGGGGCACUUGCCGUGUAGCCAGUUGCUGUUGCCGAGCCAAACGGAGCUAUUGUGGUAGAAGAUACUGCGAACGAAGUAGUAGCCAUCGUAGGAGGAUUUGAGGGCCGGCACGCCGUCGCCGCCGCAGACGAGCUCGAAGGCGGGGUGGCCGCAGUAGCUGGGCUGCCGCCCGCCGACCCUAAAGGGGUACGAGAUGCGCGUCACGUUCCCGCAGCUGGCGGGCUGGCAAUCGCCGAUUCUCGGACUGACGGAAAGAGAAGGAAUGGGCGACGAGGAGAGGAUCGCGAUGAGGAGGAAUAGUUUCAUUUGGAGGGGACGGAGAUGCAGGGAUAGACCGAUACAGAGAGGGGUUUGAGACGUGGGUAUUUGUGCCAGCCAGAAGGUUUAGGUGCUGAAAUUUUUGACCGGUCAUUUUAGACCAACAUGCUUUCCGAAUUGAUGAGGAAAGUCUUGGGCGCUGAACUGGGAAUAGAAGGAUAGAACAUGGCCGGUGGCGCGAGUGGUUUCUGUUAGCCCCACUUGCCCGAGCCCGACGAAGAAGUGCCAUCGCAAUUGUACUUUGUCGAAUCUCCCAGAAAGAAAAGGCGUUCAAUCCUUUGGAUACGACUUUUUUUGGGGAAAAAAAAAAAAGUCUGCAGGAAUUUUUUUGGGUAAAAAAUUUCUGGACAUUGUGCCCAUCUAACAAUACUUUAAUUUGACUGUACAAAAAAGUCAUGUUGCGAGAGGAGGCAAGUCUAUUCCACAUGACACGUUUUUAAUGAGACGGGAUCCACAAAGAAAAAAAAAAAUCUGUUAGAGCUGUAAAACCUCUCUCCCCUCCCUCCCCCUCUUCUCUAUAUAUAUAUAUAUAUAUAUAUAUAUAUAGAGUCCGGCUACUAUACUAUCGAUAGUACCAAGUCUUUGGUACUAUUGAGUUUUCUACCAUUAGAUCUACCCUUUGAUCAUUUCCACCCGUUAGAUUAUACUAUUAAACCAACCACCCUCUCAACCCUAGGAGAUCACUAUCAAUUUAAUCGGAGACCACUAUCAUCCUAACCGCACAUCCUUUCAUCCAACGGCCGAAAACUCAAUAGUACCAAAGGCUUGAUACUAUUGAUAGUAUAGUAGCAUAAUUCUAUAUAUUAUUAUAUAAUAUUAAUAUAAUAGAUGCGGCUACUUAUGUGCUAUCAGAAGCAGCGGAGCUUCCGUGCUUCUAGCUCGUUUUCGAUAUUGCGACUUUCGAAUCGUCGAUCGGCUCCGUUAAACUUGAUUUAGAGUAUUUGAAGUACUAGAAAAUAAAUUUUAUGAUUUAUGAUAUCAUUUGCCUAGUGAACGAAGGGGCUCAAAAUCAACGGCUGAAAAUAAAAAAUCUUAUAAAGUAAUAAUAUGACAUUAAAAUUUUAAAUCAAAGAUAUUGAUCUUGUUUAUAUAGUAUAAAGAAUUUUCUAUCAAAAUUUCACGUGAUUUGAUAUUUCUACACCGUUUAAACUUACAAACGGCUCACUUACGGCCAUUGAAAUUUGUUGAUUUUUGAGCCCCUUCGUUCACUAGCAAAUGAUAUCGUAAAAUCAUAAAUUUAUUUUCUAGGUACUUCAACAUAUUCUAAAUCAAGUUUAACGAGCCGAUCGACGAUUCGAAAGUCGCAACAUCGAAAACGAGAUGGAAGCACGGAAGGCUCCGUGCUUCCGAUAGCAUAGUAGCCUCACUCUAUAUAUAUAAUAUAUAUAUUUUAAAAAUUUUGAUAUCAAAUUAAAAUUUUGAUACUUUCAAAUUUAAAAUUUAAUAUUUAAUAUUUUAUAUUUAUAGUCUAAAUUUCAAUUUUAACUUAUAAUAUUAUUUUCAAAUUUUAAACUUUUAAAUUUAAAAUUGUUAAUCUUUAAACUCUAUGAAAUUAAUUAAAUAAUUUUAUUAAUUCAUUAUAUAUAUCUAAUUAAUAAUUGUACUAAUAAUAUGCAUAAUAAAUCGAUAGUAAAAUCUAACCUAAUAGAUGCAAUUUAAAUCACGUAAAAUAUCAUUGUAUAAAAAAACUACAGCAUUUUAAUUUCAGGAAAAAAUUUUAGAAAUAUAUUGUAUUUGUGUAUAUAUAAUUAAUUUUAUUAAAUAAUUUCUUCUACAGUUUUAUUUUUCUUCUUUUUAUUGAUUUUCUUAAAAUUAUUUUGAUAGAUUUAUCUCAAGUCCUUUUCAUAUAAAUAUUUAUAAAAUAAAUUAUUGUAUAAAUUUACUUUGCGCGUAUACCAAUUUAUGAUUUUAUUUAAAUAGAUUUAAUAUUAAAUUAUUUUUAUAAAUUUAUUUAACUAAUAAUUAGACUUAUAAAACAUAUAAAAUAUUAAAGAAAAGUAAAAUUUAUUAUAAAAAUAUUUUAUAUCCGCAGUAUCGCGUGGGUAUUUCAGUAGUGAAAAGUAAUUUGGGGACUUCCCAAUGAGCGCCGCGUAACACCCUCCACGCGGGGCCCAUUGCCCCACUGCUAUGUCAUUUGGGAGGGCAGUGUGAUUUUUUUAUAGUGUUGCUUGAGAAAUUAGAAGUUUGUACAAAUAGUAUGUUAAAAAAUGCUAUUUUAAUUUUUUAAAAAGAUUUUUUUUAUUCUAAAAUGGAUAUCAUUACAUUGGACCUACAUUUUUUAUUUUAAAUUCACACUUCUGUUGAAAACAUCCAUAUCUUAGCAAGACAACAAUUGGCUCCAAAAAAUGCUUCUAAUAGUUGACAAAAAACAAAUGGGUAAAUUUCUGUUGGUUUUCAAACUAUAAGAUAUGUGACAUUUUAGUUCGAAUUUUAAUUUAUUGUAAUUUUUAGUUUGAACUUUCAGAAUUAUAAAUAAUCAAUUUUCACAAUUCAUUUUAAUUGAUUAAAUUUUGAUGUAUCGUUGAUAAUAAAGUAACGCUGUAUUUUAAUUAUUAGUGUAUCAUCAAUCACAACACUAUCUACAUUAUUUUUAUAUUAGUGAUAUAUCAAUAUUUAUUUAAUUAAAUUUGGUUAUAAAAUUUGAUUGUAAUAAUUCUAAAAUUGAAGUAUAAAAUUGUAACAUAUUAAGUUUAAAGACCAAAAUGUCUCGAUCCUCAUAGUUUGAGGACCAAAGGCACAAUUAACCAACAUAAAUGACAAAUGCUAUGUUCUUAUUUCUAUUGUUCUUAUCUAACUAUUCAAAUUUAUUUUUCUUUAUUUUUAAAUAAUAUCUAAUUUUUAUUUAAAUGCAAAUUAGUUUUUUUAAUAUUUAUUUUCGAAAUUGUACCUACUUUUGAAAUAAACAAAUACAUCUUAUUUCUGAAUCAAAGAUAUCUUGGAGAGAUAGCACCGAAAUAGGUGUAACAAUACCCUGUUUAGGCUGUACAAGAGUACAAGUUUUACCCAAAUAAACUGGAACUUUUGCAUACAUAACCUUGCGAAAUAGAAUUGCGCAUUUAUUCCUAUAAAGUUGCUAUACAUAGAGGCACUUUGGAAAUUACACUUAGGUAUCGUUUGGCUCGAUGAUAAGCAAAAGUUGCUAUUUCAGAGAUAGAUAUAAAUUGAUGUAUAAGCGGGAUUAGAUUAAUUUUGUGUUUGAAUGAAAUUGAGGUAUUCUUAGGAAUAGGAAAAAUAACGUUUGGUUAGGUAAGAUAGAAUAAAAAUUAAAGUGAGUAGUUUAAAAUAAAAAUAAUGUAUUACCCUUCUUAUUAUAUUUAAAUUUAAAUUAUAUAUAUUUUAAAUUUAAAAUUUUAACUUUUAAAUUUCAAAAUUUGAAAUUAAAAUUUAAAAUUUAAAAUCUCAAAUUUUAAAUUCAAAUUUUAAAUCUAAAUUUAAAUUUAAAACUUUAAAUUUAAGAUCAAAUUUAAAUUUGAAAAAAUAUAAAAUAUAAAAUUAAAUUUUAAACAUUUAAAAUAUCAAAUUUUAAAUUUAAAAAUUUAAAAUUUUGAAAAUAAGAAUAGGGGUGGGAACAAUUAAUAAAAUAAUUUAUUAUAAUAAAUUUAUAAAUUUGAUAAUAAUAAAUUUAUAAUUUUUUUAUUAUUAAUAAUUUAUUAAUUUUUUUAAAUUCUACUUAAACUUAAAUUUAAUAAAAAUAAUAUUUUAUAAUAUUUAAAUAUAAUUUAUUAUAAAAUUUAUUAUAAUAUUUAAUAUUUAAAUAUAAAUAAUAUGUAUUAAUAUAGUACAAUUAAUAAUUUUAUAAUAAAAUAAUAUAUUAUAAUAUAUAUCAUAUUAUAUUUAUAUAAUUUAGUUUUAAUUUAAUUUAUAAUUUUAGUAAAGUUUGAAAUUAAACAUUGGAAUAGCACUAUUCCAUUAAAAUGGUGGAAUAAUAAAUCCCAAGCUAUUCCGGAAUAGCCGGGAAUAGCAAGGUUUGACCGGGAUAAAAUAUCUCGGUUAUUUCGUUUGGCGAAAUAGUGGGGAUAACUCCCCGCUUAUUCCGCAAACUAAACGGACCUUACUGUAUAAACACCCCUUCCAAGGGUAUAAGUUUGGAAAACAAUUUUGCAUGUAAAUUAAUUUUUAUUAGCUUGUUAUUUAUACUACUCAAAGAAUGACUUAAAAAUAGUACAGUUUGUAUGCUAUCUAAUUUAGUUCUAUACUAAUUUGUCUGUUUAUCUAUACCGUAAAAUAUCCUAUAAAGUAUCUGAAUUUCCUUUUUCAAGAAAUAAUAUACCAAUACCUAAAUUUACUGCAAACUAAAUAAUAAGUUUUUUUUAAAAAAAAUUACAUCUAAAUAGUUGUGAUGAAGCACAUUAACUGCAUUACACAAGUUUUGAGCAGUCAAAAGGCAAAAUUAGCUCUUCAAACACAACCCAAUUCCAAAACCGAAUUUGCACAAGUUGCUUGAUAUAGGGCUUAUCAUUUAUAGAAAGAGAUCUUCGGGUUGGGUUUUAAUCUAGAUGAAAUGCAAAUUUGUUCUUUUUUUUUUCUUUUUCUUUUUUGAGUGAUAGAUAGCACGCCACCCGCUUCGUUUAUUUCAUUAAAAAUAAACUUAGCUAGAAAUGUAAAUCAACUAGAAUUCGAACUUGGGAUUUCGGGUAUCAACCACCAAACCCUUUACCACUUGCUCUAGGGACGGUCAAAAUCAAAUCUAAAUUCGAAUAUGUUUAAAUCAGGUUCGAACUAAAACCUUAUUCAACCACAAUCUAAAUAAUAUAUUAGUACAUAACAAAGGUCAUAAAUGUUAACAGCGCUAUGAUUAAAAGACACUCAUAAAUUGUUAAGUAUAUUUCUAAACCAUUUUUAUUACAUCUAAUAAAAUCACAAUAGACUAAAGAGAAAAUAUGGCAUCCCAUUUUUUUCUUUAAACAUAAAAGUAAAAGAUUGAUUAAUUUGCAAAACGGUCAGUUCAUAGUGAUUAACGCCAUUAAUUAAUUAGAGAUUUGUUGGAGAGCAAAUGUACGGUACGUACAACUGACAUAAACGAGAAGCCUAAUGUUUGUUUGGUUAAAAGUGAGGUGGAAGUGAAGAGAAGAGAAAUUGUUUUCACCGUAAACGGUCACUUUUAUUGUUUGGUUCACCAUAAAAAAAUUAUGGUAUUAAAACUCGAGUUAACCUCAAAUGGCGUAAUUUUAAUAUUUUUUUAUUUAGUUGUACAAUUAAAAUAUAAUAAAAAUUAAUUAAUUAAAUAUUAAUAAUUUUUUUAUUUUAUAAUUUUAUUGUUGUAUUACUAUGAUUUAUGUAUAAAAAAUAAUUUAGUUGUUUUAAAUUAAAUUUUAAUUAUAUAAAAAUAUAAUCAUAUUAUUUUUAUUUAUUAAAAUAUUUAUUAUUUAUACAUAAAUUAUAGUUUUGUAUUAUAUACUUUCUACCACACAAACAGUAAAAUUAAUGAAACUUCACUUGCAUAACUAUAAAAAAAAUAGCAGAGAAGAAAUAGUUUUUACUGAGCUUCAUUUCGACCCAAAAUCUACUUCAACUUAAAGUCCAAUUUGGAUAAAACAAAUAAACAAUUUUUGAAGUCUAUUUUUGAAGCUUCUAGAAUACUCAUGUUAAAAAAAUCUAUCAACUGCAGGUAAGGUAUUCAAAUUUUCAUUGUACUAGUUGAAAAAGUCAAAAGUUGAAAAGUCAGGCAGGAGGAGGUAACAGUUUUCGUACCGCUAGUGAUGCCCUGCUGCUUACAUUCGUUGCCGGACGAGACCAUUCCGUUGGGACAGAAGCAGUUAGGUGUGCUGGAGUUGCCCAGAACGCUCCCGCACAUACCGCCGGAGCUCUGGCAGCUGCCGCACCACUCGGUCCCUAACGUCCAAUUCACCCCGAACCCGCCCUGCAGCGCAUCCCUGAUAUUCGUCCUCCCCCCGUCCAAGAAAUCCGAUGCGGCCGUCUGAUUUAUCGCGAACACCCCGACCGAGCUGCAGCUUUGCAGCAACUCAACUAUAAGCGGUGUCUCGUUCACGCUGUAGUAGUAAUAGUUGGAACCGAACUCCGUGCAAUUGGUCGGGAUGAGCCAGGGGAAGGUGAAGAUCGAGGAGCAGUUUGAGAAGAAGGUGAGGUUGAGAUCGAACGCGGCGUAGGUGAAGAGAGAGAAGUCGAGGGUCGUGUUGGUGAUGCGUUGCGGGCAGGGCUGAUUGCCGGAGACGAGAUCGGGGUCGACCACCGUCAGCACGUUGGUCGCGUAAUCGAUGCUCUUCACUUGGUAGGAUUCGCUGCCGAUGCUGAUCGUCAGCGUUUCGUUCGCGACGCACAUGAGGUCGAACCCCUCGCUUCCGCAGUAGUCCGGCAUGGUCUCGGGCAGCCGGAAAGGGAACGUGAUGUUGUAGGUAUUGUCGCCGCAGCGGUACUGCGACAGAUUGCAUUUUGCGAAUUCAACGGCGUCGUCGGCUUUGCAGCGGGAGAGAAGCUGAUAGAAAGAGAGAAAGAGCGGAAGGAAAAAAUGGAUUGGUUUCAUUUUGUUGGCUUAAUUAAUUAUAUCUUUCCCAAAGAUGCUAGCUAGAGCCUGGAGGGGAGUUUUUCGAUCGGGGGCUAUAAUAUAUGGGUGUAUUAGGAAAGAAAAUGAGUAGGUUUUAACGUUGAAAUUAAACGUUCGAAAGACAGAAAAGGUCCGAACGUUGAAAAUGAGAAAAAUCCUUGAUUGGUAUUUGGUACUGCAUGGUUUGUCAAAGGAGGUGCGUUUAUAGCAAGAAUAAGCUGACAAAUGAUGGAGCUUGGUGACGGCAGCUGUUGGCCGUUUUCACCCGGGAGUGAAGGUGGAAAUGCUCGAAGGUCUAGAAGCUGAUUUCUGUAUGGUUGCGUAACGAAGGAGUUAUGCGACUAAAUUCUUCAGACUCUGUCGGCUAAACAGAACGGGCAAACGAAUAGAUUGGACAAUUCAAUUCGUGGGCAGAUUAUUAUAUCUAAAAAUAAUAUAAUAUUAUCCACACCACUCCCCAGGUGCGUGGGCGGAUGAAUAAUCUCUUUUUUUCCCCUUUCUAUAUUUAUAUUUUUCAAACACAAAUAACAUAUAUUAUUUUUAUAAAAAUAAAAUAUCACAUUAUACAACAGAUAAUAGAAAAAAAUAAUAUUAGGGAAAUUAGGAAAAAUUAGUGGAUAAAAUAAAAAAGUAUUCACUAUUUUGAUUUUUUAAAUUUUUUUAAAAAAAUUAUAUAUGCUGGUAUUUAUGAUUACUCGUGGGUUGCCCAAAAUAAUCAUAAUUUAACGGAUAUCCACCUAUUUUUACCAUAACUUUUUAGUAAAAAAAAAUUAGUAUUUAUAUCUAUAAAUUUAUGAGUAAUUCGUGAGUACGUACCUAUAAGUGCGAAUUGCGAUUACCAGCUCUACAGCUAAGAAAGAAAAUCAAAUUGAAUCUUCAAUUAGUAAAAUUGCAUGACUAGUAUCCCCAACUUUCCGUCCCAAGUCAUUUUAGUUCUCAAAUUUUUAAUUUUAAUAUUAGUGGGCCCCAAACUUUUAAAAAUGUUUCACUUUUUUCCUUAUAUUUACAUAUAUAUUUAGAAUAAAUUAUUGCCUACACACGGGGCAUCUAUUUAUAAAUCUAUGUCUUAUACAUUAUUUGAGUAUUCUUUUUAGGAUAAAUUGCAUGUUUGGUUCUUAAACUAUGAGACACGUGACACUCUAAUUUUCAAACUUUAAUUUAUUAUAAUUCUUACUUAAACUUUUAAAAUCACGUCUUACAAUUCAAUUUAAUUGACUAAAUUACCGCAUUUUGAUUAAAAGUGAUAUGACAUUUUAAUUAUUGGGACAUUAUCAAUUGUGACAUUAUUACAUCACUUACAUUAGCGAUUUAUUAAUACUUUGUCAACAAAAUUAGAUUAAAAAACUUGACUAUAGUGAUUUUAAAGGUUCCAACCAAAAACUAUAAUAAAUUAAAAUUUGAGGACCAAAAUAUCAUCAGCCUCAUAGUUUGAGGACUAAACAUGCGAUUUACUCUUUUUAUCAUAUAUUUCAAUCUUACUAUCCAUUUGAAAUAUAAUUUUUUUUUCUUUAUAUAAAAAUUAGAUUUCUGGAUUAAAAGUAUGAGAUAAAUGAAGAAAACGAUGAAUUUAUGAUAUACAAAGAUAGAUUAACUAGGUGCAAGCAAAAUUUUUUAAUUUGUGAUAAAAAUUAAAAUAAAAUACUGUUGAAAAUUUAGGAUUAAAUUAAAACUUUAUUUAGAUUCAAGAUCUUUAAUAUAAUGAUGUGAAUCGAAUAUGUUAAUAUUGGUUUCUUGAAAUCUACUAGUAAUAAUAAUUUGUUGGGCCUACAUCACUGGCCCAAAAUGCUUAAUAAGAUGACGGAUUAACUGGGUGCAAGCUAAAUUUUCAAUUUGUGAUAAAAUUAAAGUAAAAUAUUGUUGAAAAUUUUGGGACUAAAUCAAAACUUUAUUUAGGAUUUAAGAUCUCAUUAAGACCCACUAACAAUAAUAACUUGUUGGGCUCUCAAACUUCUGAUUGGUAUUGAAACAACCCGAUCCACUAGCAAUAGUAACUUAUUGGGUCCAAACCACCAGCCCAACAAUAUACUUAAGUCCAGUUAUUAUUACCAGUGUCCAUGGUCUUUUAUAUAUCGAACCAUAAUCCCAUUCCUAUUUGAUGUGGGACUAUUGAGAUGUUACAAACUCCUCCUUAGACCCUAACGUCUUUGUUAACCCAACCACACACACAACCUAAAAUCACCAGGUAAUGUGAGACUUAUCUCGCUAGCCUAGUCAUUUUAGACCAUUGUAUACAGCCUAUCACACAAGACACUAGCUUACCCUGUUAUUCUAACCCCGACUCGGUCAAGACUCAUCUCACAUUUUCGGCUGGUUAUUAGCUCAACGAGUUACUAUGUCAUGCCCUGGGGUCCUUUUUGAAAGCCAAUUCGAAAUCGGGCUAUCUUUAUAAAUCAGAGUAAACGGAAUACUGCUCUUUUUUUUUUUAACUUGAACCCGAAAGAUAUGCACAGACCCGCUAUAAAUACAAAAUUUUUUUGAAACAAACGGACAGAGCCUCUCCUGUAUUUGCACGGCGUAGCACAUAGUACAAAUUAACAACCAGACUCCACUCACGCACGCAAUAACAGGAUGUACAAAGAUUAUCAUAUUGUUAGAUGUAUGUAACACCCUGAACUUUAGCAAAUUGUAAGGUUAUAGGGUUCGAAUAGUGUUUAGUACUAUUCCUGCGGUGUUUGAGGGUUGUUGAUUGUGUCCCGACCUAUUUACUCGCAUCUUGAGAAGCGAGGUUGAGUACUUAGCACCAAAACCUCCAAACUGCAGGUUUUGGGGUGCUGGGUACCGGUACAAGAGAAGGAGUACCGGAACUCCCCUGCGUAACCGAGAGAAGCUGCUCUCGGGUUUAAGCUCUGCGAGGCAGAGUACCGGUAUGGCAUCGCCCGAAUACCGGUACUGGGGUCUGGUACCGGUACUGCAUCGUGCGGGUACCGGUACCCUACACGUUGUUCGCUUGACAGAGGCUCGGGUUUGGCAGUUUUGUUGACCUGGUACCGGUACUCUUGCCCGCGUACCGGUACGUAGUGCAAAAACUGCAGUUCGUGCAGUUUGCAAUUUUUGGUAUUUGGAGAGGCUUUUUGGGGAUUGUUACAACAUGUUAUAUAAUACCUCUUUCUCCCCCACAGCACUCUUUGUGCUGAGCUUGGAGAAGAAGAAAGGUAGAGUAUUUUCCUCUCUUUUUCUCUAGAUUUCUCUCCCAAAUCUUGGUUGAUUUGAGGUUUGAUCUCUUUUCUCCUUUCUCUUCAUGGUGGCAAGCUUGUGGACCUCAGAAGGAGCUUGGAGGAGAAGAGAAGAGCUUCUUGGUGGAUCAAUCUUCAACCCUAACUCAAGAUAGUUUGAUUUGGAGCUUUCUUGAAGGUUAGUACUUUUCUUGCAAUCUCUAUUUGUGGUUUUUGCAAGAUUUGGAGAUGAAAACCUAGUUUUGGAAAAACUAGGAUUUAUUUUGGAAUUUUUUGAUUUGAGGCUUUUGAAACCUAAUUGAUGAGUGUAGAACUCUUCUUUAAGUUGGAUUUGAAGAUUCUUUGAGUUGAUUUAAGCUUUGGACAAAUAUAGCUUGAUUUAAAUUAAUUUUCUACCUAUUUUAUAGGUUGAAUUUAGAUGAGCUUGUGGGGUGUUCGUUCGUCACCCCUAACCCUCUUAGAAAUUCUUUUAGGGUGCUAGGAGCUUGGUGGACAACUUCGUUCGAACGAACGAAAGGGUUCGAAGAGCAUCCGAUAGGUUUGACCUCACCAAAAUAGUGAACUCUCCCUAUGUCUUCCUUAUGUUUUUAAGACAUAAUUAGAUGCUUAUUCAUGCUCAAUAUGACAUGUUAGAAUUUAUGAAAACAUAAUACUUACAUAUUAUGUGUAGUGAAAUUCAUGCUCUAUGUAGUAGAGGCAUAUAGGUGGAGUUGGUCAUAAAAUGACACUUCAUGAUUAUCUCCCUUAUUAUGUAAUAAUAGAGAGCAUAUUAGAGAUAAAUAAGGGUUUGAUCUUGUUAACCUUGCAUGAAUUGUGAAAUGAAGGAGACUUAGCAAUUAGUUGCAUGUUGAGAUAUACUUGUGGUAGACAAGGGAAAUACGAUAUUUUGACAUAAGUGCAUGUUAGGAUCAACAUGAAACUAAGUUUGAUGAAUCUAAUCUAGUUGAACAACUAGUUUAUAACAUUGUGAUAUUGCAUUCGAUUUAGGGAUCGAUAGUUGCCUUCCAUGUGUCGGACAUGUGAAUUGAGAUUUGAACGCCCCUGGUCGAAUGAUAAGAAGGAAAAGUGUAUAUAAAAUUAAUUGGUGGAACUCACUUGCAUGAUUAAAGAUGAUAAUUCUAUUUCAUAUAGUAGGGACUUGGUAGAAAAGUAUAUGCAUGACAUGCAUCAUAGGCAUUGUAAAUAUUUUGUAAUAUCUAUGCAUAUGGCAUAAGGAAGUGAUUCCCUUAGCUAUAGUGGAAUAGUAUAAGCGUGAACUCUCAUUUGAGACUUGAACAAUAGUGAAUGAUCCUGGAUAGGAUAAUGACAAGUGCUAUGUGCUUAUGAACUAGUGACUUACUUGACAUAGUAAACAUGAACGUCAUGUAGUAACAAUUGAAUUAGUAAAUGACUACACCUUGACAAUGUGACACUAUAUUGGACCUUUGGGUCGUUGGUGCUUAUUCCAUGUUUAGGCAUGAUGACCGAGAGCUGGAUACUAUUGAUCAUGCUUGUUUGCCAUUGUGCUCAUUCGCACAUGCUUGUGAGGGUCACUUCCUACAAGCCGGCACUCCGGAGAUAGCCUACGCGACACAAGCUCGCCCGUACGGGAUUGGGCGCCGAAAUGGGAUGCCGUGGGGGAGGCUCAUUCCUAGAGUGAAAAUGUUGACUACUAUGGGGCCAGUUUAGGCACAGCACAAGCCGGACUACACACGUGUAGAUCCAUGACGAGGAUUGAACUAUGACACCUAUAAAGUGUAAUGUGGAAACUAUUACUAGAUGGUGCAUAUUAGUUGAACUAGUGGACAUGCAUGAUAGUGCAUAUUGCGAACCUUAUGUUAGUCAUCCAUAGCACUGACACUCUAGUGGUAGUAUGUUUACAUCUAUGUUGAUUAGUAUAGAUGUAUGGAUAGAAUAGCAAUGAAAAGCAUAAUUCACUCUUUGUAGCAUUAUGGACAUAAUGAAUAUGCAUGUAAAUCGACAUCGACAUAUAGUUGAACAUGCAUGUAAAUCAACAUUGGCAUAUAAUUGAACAUAUGGAAUUAGAACAUCAUGUACAUGAUAGUUAAUCCUAUAGCGGAGGCAUGACUAUGAUUAAACAUGUUUAAUUUACUUGCUUUUCAUAUAUGGAAUUAGCGUGACUGGUCCUUUGACCUGCGGUGCCUCAACUAUUCACAAUGAGGUUACUGUAGUUUGACUGUACAUACACUUGGUCCCUAGCCAUUCGGGUUCUUGCGGUGCACGUUGGCUGCAGUAGGUUCAUUAUACGAAUAGAGUGUGCACUUAUAUAGAAUCUAUAUCCCUUAGUAGAUAGGGGUGUUAGUCCUAUGUGAUUUAUGAGACCGAGUUUAAAAGAUCUUUGCCAAGGCAGAGUUAAAAUCAAAAUAGAGAUUCUGAUAUUAGAAACUUGAGUCGAAUAAAUUUGACAUAUGACAGAUGAUGGGGUUUGACGAGUUAUUCCAUGGUCUCCGUCUAGUCGGGACUCAUGAUAGAAAACUGUAUAACACCAUAACUGCACCAAGAGGUUCAGUAUUCCAUUCUACUGGAAUGCCACUACAUGCUGCAAAGCAUCACUGGUGGAUUGUGAGACUCAUGAGAAUUAUCUAUAUGAUCGAUAAUUCUCAUUGGGCUGAGUUGGAAUUGUUUCGAUCCACUGAAAGGACUUUUAGUAAUAUUAUUGAUAGUGAUCAAAAUAUAUCUCACUACCAGAUAUAAUAGAACCUAUGGGGUCACACACAUAAGAGGUUGUGAUUGAUCGGAUAACUAGAUCGCGAUUUUUAAAUUGCCGGAGGACCUAAUUGUCAAUAUGUUGAUAAUUGGACUAAUUUAUAAUUGUUACAAAUUAGUGGUAUUAAAAUAUAAAUAUUACAAGAGAGAACUUACUAAUAGUUAGUAAAUUAUGAGAGGACUUAUGUGCAAAUAUUGCAUUAUUAAUUUGAUAUGAUCAAAUUAAGAUAAAGUUCAAGUCAAAUCAAAUUAGGAUUUGAUCGAUCUAACCAAUUAAGGAAAGGAUAAAUUUAAAUUUAGAUUUGUACUUAUCCUUAAUGGUCAUUGUAAGGUAAUGAAUCCUCGACGCGUAAACCGAACUUUAGUCGAAACUAACCAAAGUGUGGUAUUGGACGCUUCGGAAGGGUCCGUUGAGCGUUCCAAAAGUUCGGAAUGACUUAUAAGGGUGUAAAGGACCUUGGAGAGCAUUAUGGAGAAGUUCUAGAAAUUUUUGCAGUGGAAAUGCUCUCGGGGUCCGGACCCUGGCUGUAGACCCUGGCUGUAGGGUUCGGACCCCGAACACGAAAAGUUCUGAGUUGAGCCGAGUGUGUUGUGUGAGGGGCUUUGUCACGCCCCGGCCCAGCGGAAGCCCGCCCGACACGUGCACAGACCCGCCGUGUACACCGAACAACCACGAUGCACACAAGGCGUCUACUAAUACAAGAAUGAGCAAGAUCAAGUCCUAACAAGGCUAUCAGAGCGAGUAAUAUAAAAUCACUAAUGUUCUAUCACAAAGAGAUCCACAAGAUAUACAAAGUGUAUAAAUAUAAAUCCAAAAGUCUAACAAUAUCUCUAAAUCAAAUACAUAAUAUAUCUUUCCACAAGAUACAAAAAGAAAGAUGACAUCGGGUCCCUCUAAAUAUCUCCGUAAAGGCUCUAACUAGUCGCUAACCCCUUACCACGAUCCCUAGCCUCUCUCGCCGCGGAAAGCUCUGAAACAAAAACCAUCAACAAAUGGGGGUGAGAACUAUUAAACAAUAGUUCCCAGUAAGUAAGCCGCCGAGAGUGGCGAAAUACACCACUAGGUCAACUAAGGCAUGCUAUAAAGGGGUAAGUAAACAACAUAUAUAAAGCAAGUAAAUUAAACAUGUUUAUUCAUAGUCAUGCCUCCACUAUAGGAUUAAAUAUCAUAUAUAUGAUGUUCUAAUUUCAUUUGUUCAAUUAUAUGCUAAUAUCAGUUUACAUACAUAAUCAUUAUAUUCCGAUGUCAAUUUACAUGCAUAAUCAUUAUAUGCCGAUGUCAAUUUACAUGCAUAAUCAUUAUGUCCAUAAUCUACAAAGCGUAAAUUAUGCGUUUCAUUGCUAUCCUAGCAAUACAUUCAUAUUAAUUCACAUAAGUGUAGGUUUACUACCACUAAGGUUGUCGAUGUCAUAAUGUCUCACAAAAUAUUCAACUACUAUGAAUGCAUCAAGUAGUAACAUAAGGUAGCAAACCACAAGUAUGAACAUCUAUCAUGUAUGCAUCGACUACGGUGAUGUACAAAGUCAAGUUAAGUCUCAAUACCCAAUUUACGAGGAACGUACACGUGGUAACGUCCCAGCUCGUGCCGUGCCUUAGUGGCCCCGUGGGGGUCAUCAUUUUUCCUGCAAGAAAAGAGACUCUGCCCACGGUGUCACGCCCCGGGACCGGCAGAGGCCCUCCCGGUAGCGCGCCCAAACCCGCCAUAUGUCUACACAUAUAAGGCGUCUACAACAACAAUGGAAAAUAAAACAAGAGAGCAAAAGAGUCUAACGAUAUCAGAGCAAAGUAAAUAUCUAAGUUCUACACGGAAGAGUAGACAUAAAACUGGAAUCCAUUAAUUAAGCCAAAGAGUAGUACAGAGGGAAUCCCAAAUACAAAAACUAAACAUAAAGAGUAUAUAGGUGGUCUCUGUAUACAUGGUUCUCAAAAUCUCUCUCUCUCUCUAAUACAAAAAAAAGAGUAAACCACCUACGCUCACACGUAGCUCUCAGCUAACUAGCUACGUGACUCCUUUGCCGCGAUCCCGUGCCUCCGCCGGUGCUUAAGGCUCUAAAACAACAACAAGAAAAAGAGGGCGUGAGAACUAUAAUUUAUAGUUUCCAGUGGGCAAUUACUGACCUCAGCUCAAUGCACCACUAGGCCCCAAAAGAAAAGGGUAAGUCCAAAAAGCAAGAAUAAUAAUAAUAAAUAGUUUACAUUUAAGGAAGCAUGAUUAAGAAGCUAAACAACUAUGUUGCAAAUAAACAUGAUGUCAAAUGUGUAGUACAUCUACUUUAUCAAAACGAAGUAUGUCCAAGCAUGACUAAUAUGUCCCAACAUAACUGGCAAGUAGGUAUCAUGAUCCACUAUGUCAAAGUAUGAUGAAUAGGCUCUAUCAUGGUAGCAAGCAUACUAUGAUGCAAUAAAUAAGACUAUCAUGUAUACUACAAGUCCCAACACUAUGCUAUAAGCAUGUCAAGGUAAUCCAACUACUAAGCCUAUCUAGUAGUGUUAGUCAAUUCCCGGUUCAGUGUCAUUGUUUCCAACAUGUUCGUGGACGUACAUAUUGUAGUCCAGCUUGUGCCACCUAAGUGUCGGUGGUAGCUCCAGCAUUCCCACUCUAGGAAUAAGUCUAUUCCUCCCGACCCCGUAGGCUUCUCGAUACCGCACGAGCGAACAUAAGUCGCGUAGGCCAACUCCGGAGUGCCGGCUUGUAGGGAGCGACCCUCACAAGCAUGUGCGAAUGAGCACAAAUGGCAAGCAAGCAUAAUCAUCGUCUCAAGUACCCAAUCGUCAUGUCUCUAACAUGGUAAUAGUCACUAGCAUCUCAAUGAUCUAGCUCUAGGUCACAACAUGAAGUUCCAAUAUUUACUAAGUUUAGUACCCCUUUAUGACACUGAGACAUUCCGACGUACAAGCAUGUUCCAAUUCUCUCAAUGGCCCUAUCCACUAGAUUCACACAUAACCCGAGCUCAAUACUGCUUUAUGACAUUAGCUCACAAUUUCACAUGUCAAUCUAGUCCAAUGCCCCUUUUGUGGCAUUAUAAUAAUUCCAUGUCCAACUAGGGUUUAAGUCCAAUAGCGUUUUACAUAGAUCAAUUCUACUAUAUAAAUAAGAACCCAAGUCCACCAUAAGAAUGCUAAUGCACACAUAAGCCUCAUAUGCAAGUUCCUUACUUUAUAGGGUCCAAAAAUACAAUGUAUGUAAUAUAGACAUUUUAAGCAUUCUAAAAUUCAUAAUAAAUAUAUCUACCAUGAUUAUGCAUGCUUUUUCAUUUAACGAGACCCAAAUCUUCACAAUUGAGAUUUUCUCAUUUUGUGGCUAGGUCAAACCCACCGAACCGUCGCGGUGUCCUUCGUUUCGCCGAACGGAGUUGUCCACAAGUCUCAAAAUACCCUAAAAGUAAUAAGCGAAGAGAUACACAAGCGUUACGAGCAACUCUAGGCUCAAACAUUAACAAUCACAAGGAAAGGGCAAAAACUCACCUAGGGAGUAGAAAAUCUCUCUCAAGCUCCAAAAAAGAGCUAGAAUCCUUCCAAUCCAACCAAAAGGAAGAUUCUAAACCAAGUAAUUGAGCCUCAAAAGCCCUAGAUCAAAAAGCCCCAAAAUCAACCGUAAAAUCCCAUUUUAGGGUUUCAUUUACCACAAAGCAAUAAAACUCCAAUCUAGAGGGAGAGAAUGAGCUACUAACCUUUUAGAAGCCUCCAACAAACUCCAAAGUCCUCCAAGUGUGGAGAUCUCCCUUCUCUCAAGCUCCAAAUCCAAGGUCCAAGCCACCAAAAGGAAGAAGAGAGGGUGUGGGUGAAGAUCCAAGCCUCCAACAAGCUCUCUUCUCCUUCUUCUUCCUCUCCUUCUUCUUCUUCUCUCUCUAAGAGCAAGUGGAAUGGUGGAAUGAGGGAGAAGAGAAGGAGAAGUGACCAUAUAGGCCUUCUAGUGUAACAAAAUCCAACUAAGUCUCUCAACUUUGCUCCCUGUGCAAAGCCCGGACUGGGCAGUUUUCGGAUUGAGGGACCGGUCUCCCCGACAUGGGACCGAUCUCUCGGCCUGCCCUGAAAAUUCCGACGUUCGGGAACCGGUCUCUCCCCGCUCAGGACCGGUCUCUCCCCGCGUGGAUGCGCUCGGGGACUGGUCUUGCCCGCCAGGGACCGGUUGCCCCAAGGCUGCCGCAACACUGCUCACUGGGGGACCGGUCUCUCUUAUCGGGGACCGGUCCCCGAGAGUAAAAACUCUCAGGACUUAUCCAAAACUCAGGUUUUCGAACUUUUUAGAUCGGAAAACAUUCUACGACCCUCCACCCAGUGUGGAAAAAGCUCGAAACACAUCCAAUCACUCGAACCCUGCAAUUUGCACAGGUCGAGUGUACACACGGCAUCCCACUUCGGCGCCCAAUCUCACACGGGCGAUCUAUCGUCGCAAGGCUAAACUCCGGAGUGUCGGUUUGUAGGGAGUGACCCUCACAAGCAAGUGCGAAUGAGCACAAGGGCAAGCAAGCGUGAUCAUAGCAUAGGGUCCACAAUUUGGGAUACUCAAUCAUCAUGUCUAAAACAUGAAAUUUUCACACAUCGACUCGACGGUCGAGUAUUAGAUCAUUUAUGUCAUGUCUUGUCUUGUUUUCAACUACUUCGGUGAUAUGUCCCUACCAACACAUAUAAUGCUUAAAGCAUGCAUAGUUCAUAUGACAAUAUCCUAUAUAGGAUAGUUCACUAUUGUCAUGCCCCGGGACCCGGCGUAGGCCCGCCCGGUGCGUGCCCAGACCUACCAUAUGCCUGUACAUAUAAGGCGUCUACAAUAAAAGCGAUAAUAAACCUGUGAUACAAACAUUUAGAGAUAUCAGAGCGAGUAUAUAACUAGGUUCUAUCAACAAGUAGAAUCAAAAGAGACUAAACCACUAAAAUAAAAAGUAAAAUAAUGCAACCCAAGUCUCAUGAUACAUAUAAUGGGUGGUCUCUACAAAAUGGUACAAGUCUCUCUACCUCUUCAAAAAGAAACAAAAGAGAGGUAGACCACCUAUCGACAAAUCCCUCACUAGCUAGCUCGAGGCGAUUCCUUUUCCGCGAUCCCGAGCCUCUCCCGAAGUGGAAGGCUCUGUAAGAAAACAUAAAAGAGGGGGCGUGAGAACUAUAAUUUAUAGUUCCCAAUGGGCAAUUACUGACCCGAGCAAAAUGCACCACUAGGCCGAAAACAUAAGCAGAUAUGGAUAAUAAUAAGUAACUGCGAAAAAGAAAGCAUAUAAUAAAUGCUAUACUACUAUGCCACAAAUAUACAUGAUGUCAACAUGGAGUACAUCUACUCUAUCAUGAUCCAAUAUGCCAUAACAUGUCUAGUAUGCUCUAUCACGGCAUCCAAAUAUGCUAAAAUGCAAUAAGCAAUACUAUCAAGUAUACUACAUGUCUAAGUGUCCAAUACAUAUCUAGUAUGCACUAUCAUGGCAACAAAGUAUCUAUAUGUCCCAAUGUCCACUGAAUCCAACUACGAUAUACGAUCAAGUAGCGAUUAUUACAUAUAUGACUCCGUGUCGAUUUCCAUUUCCAAUCAAGAACCUACACAAGGUAGUCCGGCUUGUGCCGCCUAAGUGCCAGUGGUAGCUCCAGCAUUCCUCCUCGAGGAAUGAGUCUAACCCUCCAGGCCCCCAUAGGCUUCUUAAUAUCGCACGAGCGAGCAUAAGUAGCGUAGGUUAACUCCAGAGUGCCGGCUUGUAGGGAGCGACCCUCACAAGCAUGUGCGAAUAAGCACAAAUGGCAAGCAAGUAUAGUCAUCGUCACAACGAUCCGGUCAUCAUGGCUCAACCAUGGAAAUGAUCGCUAGCAACCCAUAGGUCUAGUCCAAUGUCCCAAGUGAAGGUUUAACCCUUCAUUACGUCCAAUGCCCCUUUAUGGCAUUAUAUCUCACUAUGCCCAAAUCUUGUGCCAACACUAAUGCCACUUCAUGACAUUAGGUUUACUAAGUCCACACAUAUUCCAAGCCUAAUGCCCCUUUAUGACAUUAGCUUGUUAAGUCCAUAUCUAGUCCAAGCCUAAUGCCUCUUUAUGACAUUAGCUUACUAUAUCAAUUCCAAGCCUAAUGCCCCUUUAUGAUAUUAACUUACUAUACCAAGUAUGAGUCUAAGUCCAAGAAUGCAUUGCACUUGUCAAUUUCACUAUAUGAAACAAGAUCCAAAUCCACACAUAGGAGUGCUAUCCAUAGGCCCAAGCCCAACAUGCAACUCUCUACUACAUAGAGGUCCAAAAAUGCAUUAUAUAUAACAUGUGUAUUUUAAGUAUUUUAAAAUUCACAAAUAAUCUAUUUUACAUGAAUAUGCAUGCAUUUCCAUUUUACGGUAUGUAAAAACCAUUAUAGGGAUGAUUUAUCCUGUUUUGGUAAGGCCAAACCCACCAAGUCUCCUCGCGACUCUUCGUUUGCGCCGACGAAGGUGCCCACAAGCCUCCUAACUCCCUAAAGGUUAAAGUAGGAGCAAUACACGAACGUUACGAAUAGCGAAUAGGUUAAACAUUAACCAACUCAAUAAAAGGGUCAAAACUCACCUAUAGUGGUGAAAAUCCCUCACAAGCUCCAAAGGGGAGCUAGAACCCAUCCAAAGCAAUCUAGAUAAAGGUUCUAAUAAGAUCAAUUGGACUUCAAAAGCCUCUAAUCAAAAAUCUCCAAAUCACACCCUAAUUUCACAUUUCUAGGGUUUCGAUACAAAAAUCAUGUAAAUCAUGAUCUAGGGAGGGAAAACAAGCAACUAACCUUAAGAGAAGCUCCAAACCAUGCUCAAGUGGAGAUCUCUCCUCCAACAAGCCUCAAUCCAAGCUCCAAGCCUUCAACCAUGGUGGAAAAGGCACCAAGAAGCAAAAAGGAGCAAAAUAAAGUGAUUAAACUUCAAAAAUCCUAACUAAAAGGAGAAGAAUCAAAGAGAGGAAGAGGAUGGCUGCCCUACCUUGCUCUCCUCUAUUUCCCAGCUCAGGGAACACCAGGGGGCGUGGGUGGUAUUUGUAGAUAGGCUACAAUUGCAAAAACACCCUCCUAGAAUAAGCAGUCUGGGGACUGCAAAGUGUACCGGUACACGAGAAAGUGUACCGGUACAAAAUCCUAUACGCGCAAACCCGAGCCUCGGGUUGGCAGAAAAUAGCCAUCUGUACAGGUACAACCAUAAGGUGUACCGGUACAAAAUGUGUUCCGGCACAACCAUCAAGGCUGUACCAGUACACAGCCCUGCUGAGGCUAACUCAAGAGCAGACCAAAAAUCUAACUUUUUGGGUUUUGGUGCAAAGUUUUAAACCACAAUUCUCGGGAUGCGAGUUAUAGGUUGGAACACUGUCUACGACCUUCCAGAAAAUGUAGAAAAGCUCGAAAUACAAACCAAACACUCGAACCUUUAAGAUAAGGGGCGGAUGUAGCCAAGUGGCAAUUUGCAAAAGUCUAGUGUGUUACAACUAUUUUAUUCAAGUCUCCAAAUAAGUUCUCAACAUACAAUUACAACAAUUGUUGAGAGAAACAUUUACUAAUGUCAUCUGCAAAAGAAUUAUGAUAUGUCCAUAAGUAUCACAAUGCAUGUCAUGCAUAUGUCCUUCCACUAACAUCCCCACUACAUGGAGUAGAAAUAUUAUGAUGCAAAUAAUUAAUUCCACUAGUAUUACAUGCAAUCAUCUCUAUUAGGAUUCGCCCCAAAGGCUUUAUACUCUCUUUUCCUCAUGUCUAAAACAUGAAAUAUAACUAUCGAACCCUAAAUCGAAUGUAAUGUCGCAAUGGCAAAUACUAGUUGUUCUACUAGGUUAAAUGCACCAAGUUACAAUGUCACAUGUCAAGUUCUAGUUGUCAACUAGGUUAGAUACAACAAUCUUAACUUCAUGUUUAGCCUUGUUNGAACCCUAAAUCGAAUGUAAUGUCGCAAUGGCAAAUACUAGUUGUUCUACUAGGUUAAAUGCACCAAGUUACAAUGUCACAUGUCAAGUUCUAGUUGUCAACUAGGUUAGAUACAACAAUCUUAACUUCAUGUUUAGCCUUGUUAUUCACUAGGUCACAAAGUCACAUUUACUUGUCUACACAAGCAUAUUAUUCAUCAUGUGAGAUAAUCACUUUUCUAACCUAUUCACUAGGUACCCUCCAAGUAAUGUAUCAUCAUUCAUACGCUAACAUACUUCCUAAGAUUGCAUAAAACAGAAGUCAUCAUGAAGUGUCAUUUAAUGUACAAGUCCACAUGUAUGCCUCUACUACAUAGAGCAUUUAUUUUACUACACAUAACAUGUAUGUAUCGUGUUUUCAUAAGCUCUGACAUGUCAUAUUGAGCAUGAAUAAUUAUCUAAUUAUGUCUUAAAAAUAUAAGGAAGACAUAGGGGAGUUCACCUAUUUCGGUGAGGUCAAACCCAUCGGAUGAUCUUCGAACCCUUUUGUUCCUUCAAACGAAAUUGUCCACCAAACUUCUAGCACCCUAAAAGAAUUUCUAAGAGGGUUAGGGGCAACGAACGAACACCCCACAAGCUCAACUUUAACCAACCGAACAAUAGGUCAAAACUCACCUUGUAUGGUGUAGAACCCUUCCAAACUCCAAAUGAAGGCUAGGAUACUCCUAAUCCAACCUAAAAGGAAGUUCUACACCCAUCAAUUUAACCGCAAAAGCUACAAAUCAAAACCCCCAAAUAAAACCCUAAAUUUCUCAUUCUAGAUUUUCCUCACAAAAAUUCACAAGAAAUAUGAUCUAAAGAGAAGAUCACGGUUACUAACCUCUCUUGAAGCUCCAAACCAAGCUAGGAGUGAGCUAAGGUUAGAAAUCUUUCCUCGAACAAGCUCCAAUCCAAGCUCCAAGGCUUCUCCAAUGGUGGGAGAACCACCAACAUGCAAAGAGAAGCAAAGAGAGGUGAUUAAUCCUCCAAAAUCCAAGUAAAAAGAAAAGAAAAUCAAAUAGGGGAAGAAGAGAAGCUCCUUACCCUUCUCUCCACUGGUUCCAAGCUCAGGGAACCCAAAGGGGGGCGUGGGGUAUAUAUAGAGUUGUAACAAACUAAAAGAAACCCCUCAACAACGCGCGCAGUCUGCAUCUGCACUGUGUACUGGUGACACGGGCUGGAGUACCGGUACCAGGCAGCCGAGCUCGCCAAACCCGAGCCUCGGUCAGGCGAGAAAAUACGCUGCAUACCGGUACCCUCGCGAUGCAGUACCGAUACCAGGUCAAGUAACGGUACUCUGCCGAUGAAGUACCGGUACUCUGCCCUGCAGAACUCAAUUCGAGAGUUGCCCAAAAUAUGCAAUUUAGAGAUCUUGGUGCCAAGUUCUCAUCCUCGCUCCUUGGGACGCGAGUCAUAGGUCGGAACACAGUCAACGACCCUCCAGAAAACCCAAAAAGGCUCAGAACACUAAUCAAAUACUCGAACCUUGCAAUUUGCUAAAGUUCAGCGUGUUACAGGCUUGGUGCAAUUGUGGCUAGUGGGAGUGUAUAUAGAUAGGUCUCCAACUCAUCUCUCUCAUUUUCCCUCACUUUACCAACCAAAGAGAAAACUUUUUCUCUCUCUAAGCUCUCUCUCUCUCCUAGGGUUUGUACUAAGAGGUGGAGAAUAGUGGAGAAGGCUUGCUUGGAGGUGAAGCUUCUUCUUCUGCUUCCUUAGCUUGAGAAGAAACUUGGUUUAGAGGUAAGCCUCAUGAGAUUUGAUGGCUUGUGGUUAGGGUUUUGGUAUAAUCCCUUAUAAAUGAGUUAUAUGGAAACCCUAGGUGAUGCUAUACUUGAUUAUUGUAUGAAUCAUGAGCUAUUUUGGUGUAUUCUUGCAAUAAUGAAUUUUAGGGUUUCUAGAGAGGGUUUUGUCAUGUGAUGGGUUUGGAUCUAAAUUGACCCUAUGAAAACCUAAUUGAAGGUAAAACCGACACGGUGGGCAACUCAAAUCGGAGUUCCUACGAGCGUGCGGCGAAUCGUUGAAGAAAAGUACGAUUUUCGGUUCGUUUGCUUUGGGUCUAGCCGAAACGACGUCUAUAAAUCGUGAGGCUAGGAUUCUCGCACUUCGGCAUUGUAAAAAGGUGGGGGGUGCUAUCCGAAACAAUCGGAUUUUCUUUUAUGUCUAUGUUAUUAUAUUGACCAUGUAUGCAUAUGUAUUGAGAUCAUGCAUUGUAGAGUAGUUGUGUUAGUUCUUCCAUUCCUUGCAUGCUCUUAUGGUACUUGUAGAAUUAUGAAAUGGAUCAUAGUGAACUAUGUGCAUGAGGAUUGGGUUGUGAAUAAGGAACUCUAUAGUGCUAUGACAAUGAGAACUAAAGACAUUGUGACAUACAAAGGUGGCAUUUGGAUAGAGACAUUGAGACAUGAAUGAUGGCAUUUGGAUAGUAAAUUGAGAACACUCAACAUAUGAGGAUAGGGAUUGGAAUCUUCCCUGGCUUUGUUACCACUAGGUGGUAGGGUAUCCUCGGGAUAGAGGAUUGGAUCAUACUCACAUUACGUCUGUUCGCUUGGCGGUGGUCGCUCUACCCAAGCAGUGGUCUCCGGAGUACUUCACGGUAGGGGUUAACGUAGGUAUCCCGCAGACGGUCCCGGGUGAGUGUAGCGGACAUCUCCUUACUUGCGGGAUUCGGUUGUGAGUCGGGGCUUAACCUUCGGGUUAGCCGGAAUGAUUGGGUUAUGAAAUAUGAAUGGCAUGCAUCAUGGGCAUAGUAGUUGCUAGUACAUGUUUACUGUACCUGUUUAUUGUUUCAUAUUACUGAGGCAUAGUAGCAUGCUAGAUGUUUAUUAUAUUGCUAACCCUUCUACUUAUGCCUGCUUAGACCUAGUGAAAAAAUUGGCGGGGUCGGCGGCCGAACCUACUGGGAACUAUUAUUAGUUCUCAUCUCACUUUGUCGCAGGGUGUAGUACACUGAACUUUAGCAAAUUGCGAAGUUCGAGUGUUAGAAUAGUAAUUGGAACUAUUCUACAUCUUUUGAGGGGUUGUCGGGAGGUUUUCGGUAAGUUACUUGAGUGAUCAAAUGGCCGGAAGAGUGAAAGUGUAUCACAAAAUGCAAAUUCUGGACUUUGCACUGAGUAUCGGUACCAACAUGCCCAAGUACCAGUACCCAGCAUAGUAGCUGCGUGGCUGAGGUUGUUUUGGUCAUUUCACUCUUUAGGCUUAUCCCCAGCUGAUCCUUAUCAUGUUUAAGCUCAGAGAACAGGGUAAGAGCCCUUUCCCUCUCCCUCUCUCUAGGUUUUUCUAAUUUUGAAGUGAGGUUUGGUGGAUUUGAGCUUAAUUUCUUCCCCUUUCUUGUGUUAGCUCGUUUGGAGACUUGAGGGAUAGCUUUUGGAACAUGGGAGGUGGUGUUUUGCUGAGUUUCCUCAACCCUAACUCAGCAAGUAGCUGAGUUGAAGCUUGGUGAGGUAAACUAUUCAACUUCUCCCUAGUUUUAUGCUAUAGUAGUGAAGUUGAACUUGUUCUUGAUUUCUUUGUUACCAGUUGAUUAGGGAAGGUUUAGAACAGCUAUAGAGGAGUUGUUUGCUGUGGUUCUUCAACCCUAAUUCAAGGAAAAGCUAAAUUGAAGCUUUGGAAGGUGAUUAGUUAACUACUCUCCUUAGUUGAUACUAUAGUAAUAGUAUUGGUAGUAGUAGUAGUGAUGCUUUUGAGAUUUGUUCACAGCAGCUUAUGUGAACCCUGUGGUUGAGUUUUGGUGACUCUUAAAGCUGGUUUUGGUGUGCUUCAACCUGUAGUGAAGUGGAAUUCAAGUUUGGAUUAUAAACUAGGUAUGAUUCUACCUAGAUUAUAUGCCUAUGUGAGAUCUUUAGUAAAGGUCGAAGUCAAGCUUCUAACUUGAUUAGUAUACUUACUAGGGUACUUGGAGGCUAGCGGAUACCUUCGCUCGCUAGAUCGACGAGAGUUGUCGGCUAUUUCGUGGGUUUGACCUUACUGAAUUGGGUGAAUUCUCUCUAUAUCUUCUUUGACAUUAUGAAAUUGGAAUUGUUGCAUAUUCAUGUGAAUAUAUGUAUAUUUGAAUGGAUUGGUGCAUGCAUAAAUUCGCAUAUUGUAUCGGAUAAAAGGAAACCUCUAUGCAGUAGGGGAGAACCAUGAAAUUGCUUCGCAUAUAGAGAUUACUUGCUCGUUUAGCAUGCAUUACAUGAUAUUAGUAUACUUGUGUAGACAAGUUAAGUAGGACACUAUUUACAAGUGAAUAGACAGGAAGCUAUGAAUACGAUACCUAGUUUAGAUGUAUAACUAAGUGAAUGUGGUAUUAUGGGUCUUAACCUUUGAGUUAAAUCAUGCAAUUUCAUGUUGUAGACAUGAUGAUAGAACUUCUAGCAUAUCAUAUGUAGUGGAAACAUAGGUAUAUAUUGAUAUUGUGGGAAUGAAUCGUGGAGAAAUCAUGUAUAGAGUAUCUUAUAUGAUAUUUUGCAUCCUUGGGUUGAUCAGUUGAUUAUCACUUUCACAUGAUAGAACUAGCAUGAAUUUCGUAUUCUUGUAUAUGACCUAGUUAAAUAAUUAGGAUUGGACAUAAUGAUAUACUUGUGUAGUCAACUAGAAGUAAUUGCAUAAUGCUUGUUUACUCCAGGUAGUGGAGGCUUAUGUAGAAAUAUAAAAUAUAUGCCACGAGUGGUAUGAACACCAGAGUGAUUCAUUGAUUAUGAUCUUAGUAAACCACUUUCCUUAUGUAUAGGGAGUAGUGAGAGGACUAUAUGUGAGUAUGCGAGUAUAGCUCAUUAGAAUCAUUAAGAAGAUGCAAACCAUGUACUUGUUGAAGUCAUCCUAUCUAUUGAUAGAAAUAUGUUACUAAGUAGUCAAUAGUAGAAUUUGACUUAUUGUCAAUUGUCGACCUUGUGUCAAAGAUGAAAUUCCAUGUUAGAGACAUGAUGAACUUGCGAAUACUAUACUAUGAGUUAAGCUUGCUUGCCAAUGUGCUCAUUCGCACAUGCUUGUAAGGGUCGUGCCCCACAAGCUGGCACUUCAGAGUUGGCCUACGCGACAGCAGAUCGCUUAUGUACUGAGAGCCGAAGUAGAUUGCCGUGGGUAUUGUUGACUUCCACUGGGCCAUUAGGCAUGACACUAGCCUGGACUUUACCACGUGUAAGUCUCCUGUUAAUUGGGUUACUAUAGUGAAUUUAGACUUAGAUGGACAUAGUAGUAAAAGUACUUUAUGUCAGUAGUAGAGAUAUACCUAGUAAUGAUCAUACUAGAUGGUUGACAUUUCUAUGAGUCAUUAGUUGUAGUGACAUUAUCUGUAUGAUUACACUCCUACUAAUAAUGAAAGAUAGUUACAAACAUUAUUAUUCUGUUGAACUAUAAUAGUGGAAUCCGGCUUUAACAUUGACAUAUAGUUAAAGAUGAACAAACCGGUAGUUAGCAUAACAUACAGAACUUAUAUCCAGGACGAGUAGCAUGUAAGAUAUGUUAGAAACAUAUUUCGUUGAGGCAUGUUAUAAUUGAAUUAUUUCAUUUACUUGUUGCAUUUAUUUUUCUUACUUGUUAUAAUUUACUUAUGCCUCAGUUGACCUAGUGGUGUACUUCGCCAUACUCGGCGGCUUAUCCAUUGGGAACUAUUGUUUAAUAGUUCUCACGCCCUUUUAUUAGUUGCUUUUGUGCAGAGCCUUCCACAGCGGGAAAGGCUAGGGUUCCCUGCAAGGGGUCAGCGGCUAGCUAGAGCCUCCUCGAUGUUAAAUAGAUGGAACCAUACCGGCUAUUCUAGUUUAGUUCAAAGUUGUAUAUUGGGAUUAUGUAGAGUGUACUUUAUACUUUACUUUUAAGCUAUAGUUUGGUUUUAUGUUAAUAUAAGCUUAAGAACUUUUAAGGUUUGCUCUGAUUACCUGAUUAAGAUAUUAUGCUUUUGCUAUAUUGAUUGUAGAGGCCUGGUGUACACUUGAGGUUGUGGUGCACUCGGCGGGUCUGUGUACGUGACUGGUGAGCUUCCGUUGAAGUCCAGGGCGUGACACAAGGCCUAGCACGAGCGGACCGGCCGAGGAUCGCGGGAAGGGCAUAGCGCCCUAGAUAGUAGCCUCCUAUGCAUUAGAGUGCCAUGUACAUAUUGAGAGACUUAAUGUAUUUUGGGAGAGGUUACUUUUGGAUGAUGUAUAUGUAUCUUGAGAUGUAAUUUGUAAACCAAAUGAAUGUAAUAUCUAGUAAUCUCUCUUGCUCUUGCUUGUAUCAUAUUUGCAUGAUUCAUGUAUGUUGACUAUGUUUAUCUGGGUAAACUAGAUAUACAGAUUGAUAUUUGUUGAGCCUUGGGAACACAUUUAUUAAAGUGCGUGCGUGAUAUAUAUCAUAUUUAAUUAAAUUAAAUUUGAAUUUAUAUGAUUAUUGAUGAUAUAUUGAUAUGAGUCUAGGGAUGCAAAUGGAUCCGGGUUGGUGGAGCUCCUGCCACUAUCCACCCCAACGGGGGCAGUAAAUGAAAGAAAAUAAACGGAUUCGGGGUAGGAAACGGGAUAAAUUUUACGAUCCGAGACGGAUUCGGGGCAGAAAACGGGAGAAAUUUUGACCCGCCCCAAAUCCGCUCCGCCAUGAUCCGCUCCGAAUCCGUCCCGAAUCCGCCCUGAAAAUUAUUUAUAUUUUAAAAAAAAUAUUCUUAAAAAAUAAUAUAUUUACAAAAAAGUUCAAAAUACAAAUAAGUUAGUACUCUUAUUUCUAAUGUAUUUGAAACUUAUGAAUUUUGUUUUGAAUUAUGAUUGAUAUUUUUAAUUUUUAUAAUUAAUAUUGUUAAAUUAUAUAUAUAAUAUUAUUAAAAAUUAUUAUUUUAUAUUUUAUAAAAUAUUAAUAAUAUUAUAAUUUUAUAAAAAAUAUUAGUUGGCAGUAGAGAUUCGGGGCGCCGGCGGGAGGCGGGUUACGAGGCAGGGCGGAUUAUGGGAUGUAUUUUUUAACCAGUCACGGAUUCGGAGCAGAGUCUUUGUGUCGAUUGAUUGUUUUUUCUCUUUAUUUUGUUUUCAAGUAAAUUUUGUUUAUUUCCAAUUUAGUAUACCUAAAAAAAAAAUUUUAAUGAACUGCACAGAGCAUGGUCCUGGCCCUAUCAGUCGCGUUUUAUUUUUCCUUGUCUCAGGCAGAAAACGAAAAGCCCAUUUUUUCCAUUAUUUGUAAAAGUGGUUUAUGUGGAAAAAAUUUUUACACGAAAUCAAAAUUCCACGACCCAGCUAAGUUUAUUUCUAAAUGAAAAAAACGAAGCGGGUAGCAUGCUACCUAUCUCUCUCAAAAAAAAAAAAAAAAUCAAGAUAUAAAAAAAAAUGAGUAUGGUUAAUAUUUGAAUUUUUUAAUAGUAUUAUAUUUUAUAUUAAUAAAUUACAUAAACUCAGAUUCCAAUAUUCUAUUUCCAUCCUUCUAUUUUAAUAUUGUGCUUUAAAAUUUUCAGAUAUGUAAAAAAGAAAUUUCUAGAUUGUUUAAUUGCUUAAUAUGUGUGGGGAGAUAAGAAGGGUUAAAUUAAAUUUAUUUUUUUUGUGUGUGAAGAUAAAGGUGGCUUAAUUGCUACAAGUGAAGAGAUAAAGAGGAGUUUAUUUUUUUUUGUGUGUUCUUCUUUUGUUUUAUUAUAGUUUCAUAUAAAAAUUAUAUUUGUGUUUGUUAAAUUUUAUAUUUUAUUAGAUGAAAUAUAGGUAUUUAAAAAUUUGAUCGUGAAUGUAAAACUUUUGUGCAUUGUUAGUUUAUCAUUGUUAUAUACGAAUAUAUAUAUAUCUUAUACGCAUUUGAAUCUCAAGAAAUAUUCGAUCAUUUCCGAUUUCAUCUUUAGUGGUUACAAUAAGGAAAAUAUGAUAUCCGACCUAUAUUCGUAUCCAGAAAAAAGAAAGUAAAUGCAAUUAUAUUCUCAUCAAAUAUUUGCCCAUACGUGAUCCAGGCUCCAGGCACAGCUCCAGAUCUGGGCCGUACCAUGCUAGGCCGGGUUUCUCUAAUGACCUCAACGACCAAUUUUCUUUAAAUUUAAAAAUCCAACCGCGGGCCGUGCCGAGCCUUUGGUGGUGUGCCCGGCCACGGCCCAUUAUAUUUGUAGAGAGAGGUUGGUAAGUAUUGAAAUAAUGUUGGGGGUCUUUACUAGGGGUGGCAAUCCAGCUCGCUGUUCGCGAACCAGCUCGUGUUCGGCUCGAAAUGAGCUCGAGAUCGGUUCGCUCGUUUAGGUCAGCUCGCUCGUGUUCGGCCCGAGAACAGCUCGAAUACAUAUAUUUUAUAUUUAUAUAAUUUAUUUAAUUUAUAUUUUUAUAUAUAAAUAAAUAAUUAUAUAUAAUAUAUAUUUUUAUUAUUUAAUUUUUAGCGAAAUAAAAAAAUGAAUGCGAGCUUAAUUAUAAAAAGACUUAUUUAUAUGUAAAGUUUCAACUAUUAGAUCAAAGUCUAAUGGAUAAGAUUUUAUAAAUUUACUUUUUAUAUAUAUUUAAUUUAAUCCUUUUUAAUUUAUUGUUCGUUGGCCAGCUCGUGAGCCAGCUCAUAUUCGGCUCGUUAAUAAACGAGCCGAAUACGAGCUGAAUUUUUCGGCUCGAUACUUUAACAAGCCAGCUCAUGUUCGACUCGUUUAAUUAACGAGCCGAACACGAGCCGAUCCCAGCUCGCUCGUGUUCCGUUCGUUUACACCCCUAGUCUUUACUAGGGUGUCGAUGGCUUGGAUUCGGGACGAAUUUUAAAAUCUCGAAUCCAAACCCGACUAUCAAAACUAAAACUUAAAUCAAAUAAAUUUUAAAAAUUUAAUAUUUAAAUUCGAAUCCGACCAAAAAUUCAAAAUCCAAACUCGAAUCUGAAACAAUUAUUUUUCUUCACAAUAUUUCAAAACAUAUUAUAUUAGAUCUAAAUUUUCUAAUACAUAUUCAAAUAUAACAUCAUAUUUGAUAUAGUGAUCCAAAAUAUUCAAAAUCAAUAAUUUUUAAUAGUUGAUAUGUGUCAUUUGGAAGUUUAACAUUGUAGAAGUAUUCAAAUCAAAUGAAAAUUUUGAUAGAAAAUUUUAUACUAUCUACAACAAAAUCAAUGUUUAUAAUAAAAAUUUUUAGUGUUACAUCAUAACUUUUUGUAAGAUUUUUAUUUUCAACCGUUGAUUUUGAGUCCUUUCGAUCACUAUAUAAAUGAUAUCGAAAAAUUAUAAAAUUUAUUUUUUAGAUAGUUCAAAUGCGCUAAAUCAAGUCUAACAGAGCCGAUCGUCGAUUUGAAAGUUCCAUAAUAAAAAACGACAGGAGCAUGGAGGCCGCCGUACUCGUAACAACACAUGAAUUCUACUCUCUCACUAUAUAUCUAUACUACUUAUAAAAAAGGGAGUUCUAAAAUUUUUUUCUUUCCUAAAAUACCGGUCCGUAUUAAUAUACUUUUAAUCACAUACUAGCAAUAUCAUUCAUUCAACUUUAAUGGAAUAAAUCACAGUCGUACAAAUUUUAUUUUAUUUUAAAAUUAUUAAAAAAUAUAUUAAUUCUUAGUCAUUGGAUCUAAUCAAAUGACUGACGAAUUAAGUAUCUGUCACUUUUUUUUUUCUAAAUUGCUCUCAAAUAGUGCUUAUCAAAUUUCACUUUUAAAUGCAUAUCCUAUCUCCUAAUAACCGCUGUCCACAUAAUAUCGUAUUUUAUCAUAAAUAAUAUUCGCAAUCUACGCGUUUCUUAAGUAUUUUCUUUCUCACACAUAAUAUCUGCCACCUACAUAAUAUCUAAUCACGUAAUACCUUCCGCAUAUAUAAUAGUUAAUCAUUUUUUUUAAAGGUAAAUAUAUAAAAAUUAUCUCAAUUCAUCUACUAAUAUUUAAAAUAUGAGAUAUUUUUCAAUAAAAUAUAACAUAUGAAUUUACAAUUUAAAAAUUUAUUCACAAGGGCCCCAUAAAAAAAUAUUCCAUACUAAUCAAAAAACGAAAAUCUCUAUGCAACACACCUUGAAAAUAUUUAGUAACCACUAUCUCUCACUUAACUAACUAAAAAAAAUUAGGUUUGAAAAAUAGAAUGAUUUAAAUAAGCUUAUCAAAUCAACUUUAAAUUUUAAAUUUAGUUCAUAAUUUUAAAUGUGAAUUAAUAUUUUAACUCAAAUUUGAAAUUAAUUAAAAUUCAAUUUGGGUGUGUAAGCAAUAUUUCAAAUAAAAAAUAAUAAUUAACUUGAGAAUAUAUAAAAUUUGAAAAUAGAUGGAAUGAUAAAUAUGUCAAUGUCUCUAAUAAUUAUUUAUAUUCAAAUUAUGGAUUCAAAAUUAACUUCAAAUUUGAGUUUUGUUCAUAAAUUUAAAUCUGAAUUUAUUAAUUAAAAUUAGAAUUACUUCAAUUUUAAAAUUUGAUGCAGUAAAAAAAUUUAAAGUUAAAAAAUAUAAUUGGAUAAAUGAGAUUUAUACACCAAUAAUUAUUUAAAUUUAAAAUAUAAAUAUAAAUUUAAUUUAAUUAAAUGUGACGUGUAUCGAGCGUGCAUAGGGGUGGAAUGAGUCGAGCUCGAGCGAGUUACCUCGCUCAAAUUCGGCUUGAAUUAAUUUCGAGCCUAAAUUAAGCUCAAGCUUGGAUUGAAUUAAUUCGAGCCGAGCUCGAGCGAGCCUAAUUUCAAGUCGAGCGAGCUCGAGCCCUAAACGAGCCGCUUGAAUAUUCUGAACAUUAUACGAUCAAUAGUUUAAUUUAUAUAGAACAUUAUCUAUAAUUUGAUACAAAAAUAUGUCUAAUGUUCAAAGUACAAAAAUAUAUAUGAAAUAUAGUAUUAUAAUAUUAAAAAAAAUAAUUUAUGAGUUGAAUACUAAUUUUUUCAGCAUCACAUGUCUUUUCUUCCGCCUUUCAAUUUCUAUAUUAUUCAUUUUCAUUUACAAUCAAAAAUAAAUAAAUUUUAUAGAUAAAUAUUGGAUUAAACUACCCAAUCAUAUAUAACUAAAAUUAAAAUUUUAUAUGAAUAAUUUUUUUACUUUAAAAUAUUUAAUAUUUUUUCAAGCAUACAUAAAUAGUAAGUGUAGGCAACGACGGCAUAUGAUGUUACUUGGUAACUUAGAGGGCUUCCGGCUUGACCACUUAGGGUGAGAGGCAGAAAAUGAGAAAGAAAAAUAUUGAAAUUUAGAACUCUGUUAAAGAAAAGAAAGAAAAGAAAGAAAAAUAUAUAAAUUUAGUAAAAUUUUACUUUUUUAUUUGUCUAUUGGGUUUGUUUUAUGGGCCAACAACAUUAGCCCAAUUUAACUAAACUCAGAUUAUUCACUCAACCUAUAUAUAAUAAAAAUAUAUUAUAUUUAUAUAUUUUUUAAUAUAUAUAAAUAUAUAUAUAUAUAUAUAUAUAUAUAUAUAUAUAUAAUAUAUAUAUAUUAUAAUUAUAUAUUUUUUAUAUAUGAUUAAUAUAUAUAUAUAUAUAUAUAUAUAUAUAUAGUGUAGAACUACUAUGCUAUCGAAAUAUAGAGGAUUUGAUGUUUUUUAAUUUUUGACCCUUUGAUUAAAAAUUGUAUCGUUGAGAUGAUUGCGGUCUCCCUAGGAUUAAAUAAUACUCUUAGGAUUGAGUGGUCCCUAUAAGGUAAUAAUAAUAUUAAUCCAAAGAUAAAAAACGAUUAAAGGGAUUGAUCUAAGAAUCAAAAAAUCGAGAGCACCAGAUCUCUAUACUUUCGAUAGUAUAUUAGCUCUACUAUAUAUAUAUAUAUAUAUAUUCGAGCUUUUCGAGCCUAAUUCGAACGAGCCGAGUAAUACUCAAGCUCGGCUUGAAAUGAAUUUCGAGCCUUUUUUUUUGUUCAAGCUCGGCUCAUUUAAUUUCGAGUCGAGCUCGAGCGAGCCAAAUAUCGAGUCGAACGCGAGUCGAACGCGAGCCGGCUCGCUCAUUUGCCAGCCCUACACGUGCACUAUAACUAGUAUAUAUAGGAAUCGGUGAGAAUAGAUACGUAACGUCUCUUUUUAUAACAAUAAUAUAUUAAAAUUAUCUCAAUUCUAUCUACUAAUAUUUAACUGUUACAUUAACAUUUUAUUGAUUUCAACAAAAUUAAAUUUAAAUUUAAUUUCAAGUGUUUAUAUAUAAUUUUAAUAUUAUUUGAUUUUAAAUAUUUAUUUCUUUAAAUUCAGAGUUAAAAUUUAUUUAUAUAAUUUAAAAUUAAAUUUAUUUUUAAAUUAAAAUUAAAAUUUGAUUUUAAAUUGUGAAUUAAAUAUAGUUUUGGAUAUUAAAUUUGAAUUAAUAAUUAAAAAAAUUUAAUUAAAGUGAAUAAAGAUUAAAUUUUGUAUUUUGAUCUAAAUGUGAAUUAAAAUUUCUAUACAUUUAGUUUAAAAUAUAUACUUAAAUUUUGGAUUCGUUAAAAUAUAAAAAUAUAGAAAAUACUCGAUGUAUAUAAAAAAAAUAGAACUAUAUAAUUAUAGCUGACAACAGCUAUUUGAAUUUGAAUUGAGAUAUGACAGAUUUUUUCAAAUAAAAUAUAAUAGAGGAAUUUAUUUUUUAAAAAUUUAAAGUUUUACUGUAAAUUAUUGGAUAAAUAUGAUACACAAAUUUAUAUUGAUUUAAGAUAACUUUUAAAGUAAUUAUUGAGAGAAUUAUUAUUUAGUGAAAAAAAUAUUGCAAUCCAUUUAAGUAAUUGAAAAGGAAUUUAUACUUAUUCAAAUUUUUACCGAUCGAAGGAUAUGUACUAUAGAAUAUUGUUUACACGCGUCUCAAACUAGAAGUAUCAAAAUUAAUUCACAUUUAAUUCAAAAUUUAAAUUUAAUUUGAUCCACUUUAAUUAAAAUUUGUUAGUUGUUAAUUCAAAUUUGAUAUCCAAAAUUAAAUUUAAUUUACUAUUUAAACUCAAAUUUUAUAGAACUAUAUAAUUAAUGUCGGCAAUAACUAUUUAAAUUUGAGCCAGAAUAAAGCAGUUAUUUUCUAAUAAAAUAUAACAAAUGAAUUUACUUUUUAAAAUUUUAAAUUUUUAUUGUUGAUUAUAAUCUUUUGAAUAAAUAUAAUCUAAAAUUUAUGUUAAUUUGAGAUAACUAUUAAAAUAAUUGUAUGUGCAUUUCCACGUACGCUCAAUUAGUUUAUAUUUAUAUAUUAACCUAAAAUCAAUUUAGGUUUGGGUCGAGGUCGGGUUCGGGUUGGGUACAGUCAAAAUCUAUGACCGAACCCAAAUCCAUUGAGUUUUCGUUUUUAAUAUACAUAUUCGAAACUAUAUUCGUUUAGUAUCAAAUAAAUCCACUCCGUUCGGGUUUGAAUUCAGAUAAAAUUUCGAAGAUCUGUACCAAUUAACAUCCCUAGUCUUUACACCUGUAUUGGGUAAAUACUCGAAUAAUGUUGGAGGUCUUUGCUAUGUGAAUCCUAGUUUAUUAUGUUAUUGUUUCUAAAAAAUUUUUGAUGGUGUACUCUUUUCUCUUUUAUCUUCGAUAUUUAUGCACCUAAAUUUUGAUUGUCGAUAUAUUGAAUUAAAAAUAAAAUUCAAUAAAUAUAAUUUAUUCUAUUUAAAGACUUUAUUUAUAAAAAAUUAUGAAUUUUAAAUUUUCACUUCAAAUAUUAAGUAGAUUCUAAAAUCAACAACAAGAGAAAACUCCGUUUGAUUUGUAAGAAUAGUUAGUUCAAAGUUUAUAUGGACUGUGUUAUUACUCAGAUGACAAGCUUCAUCCAGUUUGCGAGGGGUUGUGAUGGAAAUAAUCCAAUUGAAGCAAUAAGAAAAGAUUUUAAACCUAAUUAAAACAACAAGAAGAUUAAGUCUCGGCAGGAUCUGGAUCUUAGAUCAGUAAAAAAUUUGUUUUGGCCGAGCUCAACCUAGCUAGAUCAGGAACCGGCCACUUUAAGUCUUGGGAGGUCCUACACCGCUAGGCUGUGUUGUUGUGCUGUACAUGUUCGGUCAAGUGCGAAUGAAAACAGCUCAUGCUUAAAUAAAUGAAAAGAUUUAGCGCACCCCAAACUCUGUCCAGGAUUGGUUUUCAAAUUACAUUGUUCGGUCCAAUGAGCCCCCGCUGGUUUAGAAAUUUUUUUUUUUUUUUUUUUCCUUUUUUUUUGCUUUGGCCCAGUCCUAGUCCACUAUGAAGAAUAGAAAUGAAAAGCUUUCAAUUGAUCAUCAUCUCUUUGUUUUCUUUGCUUACUUUAAUCUAAGCAUGGUUUGUCGAGUUAGCUGAUCAGUGGAUUGAGAUUCAAUAAUUUGAAGAGAGCUUUCGAUCUCUUCUCCUCUAAUAUCUCGUGUUCAUUCAGAUCAUCACAGGAGGUUGCAAAUAUCAAGGUUCUCAUAUAUGUCCCCAGCUGCUGUUCAAUGCAUACAAUCAAAUCAAGUAUCCCCGUUUAAACUGGCGCCAAAAUUUGGCACGGCAAUGGCCAACAUAUAUGGCUUGUUCAACGCAUCCCACUUUAACGCCUUUGUUUUCUCUCUCUCCGUCGGCAAGUUCUAUUUCCAUGCCCCUCUCGGGCGUCAAUGCCUAUUUUCCUUUCCCAUCAUCUUCUAAUUUCAUGCCUUUUGUGCCGUCGCCACAAGUCUUGACCCCUAUGGUAACUACAGCUGCAUGCUGUAAACCAAGAUGCGCCAGAAAGUCCAACAAGAGAUGUAGAGAAAGGUAUUCGAGACAAUUUACAAGUCGAAGAGGUGCCUCAGGUCAAGUUUUGCAUUUCCUUUUUCCUUCUUUCAUUGCUGAUUAAACAUUAUAUUUUCACUCCCUUUUUAACUGAAAUCAUAGGCAGGAUAAUAGCAGGAGAGCUUCGAGCCUCGUGUGUUUAUGAAGUUAUUCAUUGUCACUAAGAUGUAAAUAAUUAACUUGUUCAAGUUGUACAUUUGGAUGUCCAAUAAUUAUUCUAAUCAUCGUUUUUUUCAGAGAUCGGACUUUCGCAAGUCUGCGCCCUUCAUCUCCAACAACUUCCUAGCAACAACCUCGGCAAUCAUGAUCUAUCUUGCAUGGGAAAAUUGGAGCUGAAAUCUGGGCGGUCUCACGGAUGCAUCGAUGAAACUACUAUUUAGUCUACUAAACGGCUUUUUUCUGUUAUGUCAUUGUGAUGUGGUUAAUGGUUGCAGGCUAAAGUGGCUCACUUUGUGGGUAUCCAAUGCAUGUACGGAUGUUAACUAACAUAUAUUGCAGGACUCUGUGUUUGUGUAAGCCGCUUUAAAUUGCAUCAAGUAUCUUGUCUAUAUCCGAUAUAAUUUUGGUAAUAUAGUAAGAAUUGAGCUGUACUGUGUACUGUAAUUGUAUAUUAUCUCUUAACUUUUUGGAAGGUAUUCGCUAUUGAUCAGCUCUGACGGCAGCACGUCUAUUUUGAUAUCAGAUUGUUCAUAUUUGAACAAAUCUGCAGUUUCCUUUCCACAAUUCGGACAGUAUUCAUUCUAUUUGAGUUGGUCCAAGCUCAAAACCAUCUUCACUGCUUCGGCUUUUUGGAGCAACUUGGUCUUAAGAUUAAUUUAAGCUGUAAUAUCUUCAAGGAUGGUAUGAUGAGCUCUCUGUGUUUUUACCUCGUUGUUAGCUAGCCAGGGUAUGAAUUAAUUUUUUUGCCGUUUCAUAUCAACUUAAUUUGACGACUCACAUAGAAUUUCUUUUCGAUUCACACCUUGUGGCUUUAUAUAAACUCCUCUGUAUUUCCUUCUGCUAUUAGCAACCUGGUCUAAAUGUAUUAACCCAGGGACACAGCAUAAUUUUUUGUGGCAGUGGUUAACCUUCAGUUCCCUCUUGAGUCCUUGGAAUGUAGCUGUGGCUUAUUUUCAGAUGCGAGUCGAUAUGAUAUAAAAUCUGUCGACAGCAGUUGUGGACCUAGGUAUAAUUUUUUUUUUUUAAUUAUUAUUUUGUACUUUAAUAAUUGGCCUGUUUUACUUAAUGUGAAGCCCAAAUUUUGAGAUCUUUUAGUUCUACAAUUUCUUUGUUUGUGUGUGUGUGCGUGUAGCUGUAUGUAUGCAUACUUUUUAGUUUCAAGUUGAGCUCGAUUUCAGGUCAUGAUCACUUCUAGAAGAUAGGGUGCCUGAUUAACGGCCCUAGAUGAUGGUAUUAUCUGUAAUUUCUGUUUCAUGUAAAAUCUAUAUUCUAUAUAUACAUCUAUGAAAGCUCUGUUCUAAGCCCCGUGACCGCCAAGGGAGCGGGAGGCAAGCGCGGGAGCGGGCGAGGCGCGCGGACGGAAUUUCUUUUUUCUAUUUUAUUCAAUCUAAUUUUUUUUAUUAUAAAAAUUUUAGAUAUAUAAUUUUUUAUGAAUUUCAAAACCUAACAUAUAGAAUGAUUGAAUUGUAAAAAAUAAAAUUUUAAAGGGUUGAAUUUUAUACAAUUUUAUUUUGAUUUUAAUAUCAAACUUUAAUAUUAUAUUAUAAUCUGCUAAGCGAUCAAUUUUACAUCUAUAAUUUUUGAAAUAUUCAAAAUAUGAUUUAUCGUCUCUUAAUUUUAACAAUUAUGCGUUAUAUAAUUUGUUAGAUAGUUUAACAAUUUUUUUUUCUCGAAUAAAGUGAUUAAUUGAAAAAAAUCGAUCGAUACUCAACUUUAUCUUUAUUUGGAAAAAUUUACACUUUUGGUCUUCAAAUUAGUAGGAUUCAUGACAAUUGUUUCCAAUAUUUUUUUAAAUAAAUAUUGUGAUCAUAUUGCUUACACUUUUGGUCUUCAAAUUAGUAGGACCAAUGACAAUUGUUCCAAAUAUUUUUUUAAACGUAUUGUGAUCAAGUUGCUUAAACUUUUGGUCUUCAAAUUAGUGAGACUUAGUUUGGUAUUAAAGCUUAUCUGAUACUAUUAGAUAAAAUGGAGUUAGGAUAAAAGCAUAUAGGGAUCUGUUUCUAUAUUAUAUAGUGGAAUCGCAGAAAAUAUAUCUUAACCGACUAAUCGUGAAUAUGCAAAACGUAAUAUUACGUACGGAAACAAAUAAGGUAUUUUUCGAUCAUAGUUUCUCAUUACACGUAACGCAAUCUUCUCGCAAUUCCAAACAAAACUUAAGAUUCGUGACAAUUGUUUUAAAUAUUUUUUUAAACAAAUAUUGUGAUCAUACUGCUUAAUUAAAUAUCAUUAAUAUGUAUAUAUUAUAUUAUGUAUUAAUUAUUUUUAUUAUUUAAUACUAAUAUUAUUGGUCAUUUACUUAUAUAUCAUGAAGAUGGGUCUAUUAGACGACUAGUAUUGUAUAAGAGAUAGAACAUUCAAUUUUAGUGGUGAUGCCACACUUUAGAAAACCCUGAUUGAGGUCUUGCACUGAUGUUUUAAUUGCAUCGUACACCGAUUUUAAAUUAUGUGUUAAAUAUAAUUUAUAUUAUAUAAUAAAUUAUUUAAGUAUUUAUAUUAUAUUUUAUUUUACACUAUUGAUUACUAAAUAUUUUAUUAAUUAUUUAAUAUCCUGUACGAUAUAUGAAGCAUUAGCAUAUACUAAUUGUAUCGUACACCAAUUUUAAAGUAUGUGUUAAAUAUAAAUUUAUAUUAUAUAAUAAAUUAUUUAAGUAUUUAUAUUAUAUUUUAUUUUAUACUAUUGAUUAUUAAAUAUUUUAUUAAUUAUUUAAUAUACUGUACGAUAUAUGAAGCAUUAGUAUAUAGCAGGUACAAGAAAAGAUUUAUUUUCUCUCUUUAAACUAUGAGUGCAUUAAAUUAAGCAUUCUUUGCACCGAGUGUAUAUGUGCACCUGGUGUAUAUGUGUACACAUAUAUCGUAUGCUUAAAUUUUUAGGAUAAUUACCUACAUACCCCUCAUACGUUUCAAAUUAUCCGAUUUAUUCUUUUUUUUUUUUCUUUUUAAAAUACCCAUCAUAUGUUCCACCGUUAUUGCAAAAUAUCCCCGCAGUUAUCUCCUGUUAAGUUAACUUGGGUUAAACGUGAGUUAAAUAUCUACCACAGUUAAAAAAAAUUAAAAUACAAAUUUUACCCUUAAUUUAAGGGCAAAUAAGAAAUGCCGGUGACGAUAGGGGUAUAUUUGAAAAGAUCAAAAGUCAAAAUACUUUUUGUGCCACUCACUUUAAGGGCAAAUAAGAAAGUCAGUGAUGGUGGAAGGGUAUAUUUGAAAAGGUAAAAUAGUAAUUUUACAGAGAUAAUAGAGUUAUUAACAGAUUUUAACUCUAGGGGUAUAUUAGAAAUAUGUUGGAACAUAAAAAAUAUAUUUUCAAUAUUAGCCUUCUAAGAGGGGUAAAUUGAAAAGUCGAAAACUUUUCAGAAAUAUAUAAGCAAUUACCCCUAAAUUUUUUAAUAGAGAUUUGAAUAUCUAAUUAAUUCAAUAGAAUUUAAAUUAUUAACUUUGUAGGUCAUAUAUAUUUAAUUAAAUUUUAAUAUCAAAAUAUUUAUUAUCUAAUAUAAGUUGUGGUGUAUAGAAUAUUAAUAUUUAUCAUAUGUAUGUAAUUUUUUAGUUAAAAAAAUUAUUUAUAGAAUAAUUUUCAAAACUAUUAAAGUUGAUUAAUUUUUAAAUAAAUAAAGUUGUUAGAAUAAUAUAACUAUUUAAAAAUUAAGAAAAUAUUAAUAAAAGAGUUAUUUUUUGUAAUGUAUAUAAUACUAUUUGAUAAUAUUUUUAUUUAGUUAUAAUUUUUUAAUUUUAUAAGUUUAAUAAUUAUAUAUUUUAAUUGAUUGAAAAAUGAUUUACCGGCGACGAAGCGCGGACCUGCGCUAAUUAUACAUUGAGAGUUGCAGAAAGGACCAGCCAUAUGAGAUAGGUUAUUAGGUUUUAGAUUAUCGUCUAGCCUUUUAAUUAUUCGCAACACCAAGUAACCAAAUAGAAUAAGAAUAGAAACAAUGCACAUAAUUACAUGGGGACAGAAUAAAGACUAUUAAAAGAAGGAUAAUUCUAGAAAAAGAGAACCAAAGGUCAUGAUGGGAAUCGCGAACGAUAUCUAUUUGAGCAGAUAUUCUUGUAAGGAAGCACAAAUUUGUCCCCAUCCAUCAGCCUAUGGAUCAAACACGGGGGACCCACCAUUACUACGACCUCUCACGCCCAAAGUCCAAGUCAAAUUAUUAGUGAUCGACUAGCGAACCCAUCUAAUUCGCAUUAGUCACCAUCCCCUAUUCCCUUUCCUCCACCAGCCCACAAUUUUCUUUUGGAGUAAGCAGCCAAAGAAGGCAAAUGACUCAUCCUUGUGACACAAGUGUAGUCUGUUGUUCAGGUUAUCUACCACAUCUCUCUCUCUCUCUCUCUCUCUCUCUCUCUCUCUCUCUCUCUUUGAAAGGUGCUUCGAGAAAGGAAAGGCUACAAGAAAAAACGACCAAUUGCAAAGCCUCCAAACUCCAAGUUUUGAAUACAAAAGUGCAAAGCCUAGUUCAUAUAUGGAUGUGUUAUCAUGCGCGUUGUUUUGGAAGGCGUCGACACCAAAAUUUGACCGUUGGGUUUUUGGAAGGGGUCGACUACAAAAUUUGACCGUUGGAUUUUUAGGAGGCAAGGUGAUCUGAGCCCUCAAUGCUUAAAAGGGGGGAAAUUUUUUAAUCAGAAGGGAGAAAUCUAUACCGUUGCAAGAAACAAUCUUGGUCUUUAUCAUAAGGAAAGAGAUAUUUGUAAGAGAAAAUUUUGAAAAUUUGGUCGAGAUUUUGUAGGAUUCACAGUCUAAUUAUAGGUUACUUCCGAAGAGAAGGGUAGAGGAUCCUUUUUUCAUUCACGAAAAAUUCAAGAGCUUGAGAGAUUUAGAGAAAGAGCUUCACGCCUCGGGGCCAUUUUGUAAAGCUUUUAUAUAACAAGUGCUGUUUGAAAACCAGAGUUUGCGAAAAUAUGCCGAUUUUUUUUUGAAACUUGCCUUGCUCACGGGUCAUACAGAUUCGCCAUAAAUACAAAAAUUACUCUGUCUACGGGGGUAAAGUCUUUUCUAUAUUUGUACGACGUACCAGCCAUUUACAACACCAUACAACAAAAAUUCACAUUCACUAACCAGCGUACAUACAACUACAAUGCGUACGCACAUAUAGUUUAACCAUCCUUAAAGAGAUGAUGCAUGCUCUAAGCGCUCUUUAGGCAAAGAAUGAUGCAAAAUGCAUAAUAUAACAAUCAUUCUAUCUUUUGUAGGUGUUUCCUACCCAGAAACUUUAUUUUGAAAACCUUAAAAUUUUGAUAAAGUCAAAAUUCAAUGUGAAAGCUAUUUUGAAAGCCGUUUCCCACGCGAAAAAUCUUGCCUUCGAAAAUCAACUACUAUGAGGAAUAGAAAACUAUUUUGCCAUAUAAGCUGUGAACCCAGAGGCACACUAUAAAACCGCAAAUCAUAUGCCGUAGAACCAUAAAGCCAAAUACCACGUCUACAUCUGGCCAAACCAUAUUGAAAGCCUUAUUAUCCGAAAUCAUUCAAAACCAUGAGCAUUCAUGCAUUCACAAUAUUCAAAUCUAACAUAACCAUGAUUAAUAACCAAUGUGAAUGAAUUAAAGUAGGUAUAGAUGACUAAAGAUAUAGGUGAGCACUAAUGCGAUCUCCCGAAUAUCGGGAUCUCAUGUCGUGCCCUAACCUUUCUCCUAACCCAUGCCACCUAUGGGAAAUCGUGGGUGAGAAACCAAUCUGAGGUUUCUCAUUGGGUAUAACAGAGCCACAAAGGUAAACUGUACUCACCGAAAAUGAUACAAAUGAGAUAUAGAGAUAAAUCUGAAAGACUGAAAGUAAACUUAUAGUAUCAAGGGAUAUGAAUAUGAACAAUAAACAAUCAAUAUGCCGCUACUGUAAAGAACCUAUCUCUAUAUACCCGAAUGGACGAAUAGUCCAAUGCUUAUACCCAAUCCACAACCUGCUAUAUGAUCAGAUAGAGAUAAUCCCUACAGUAGCAAGAAGUAUAUAUGAAUAAAUAUAUGAUCGAAAGCUGCUACUGUAAAAGAAAACCCUACCAACUAAUGUGCCAGGAGUACAAGUAGUCAGUAUUGUCACGCCCUGAGACCGCUACUAAUCUGGUCCGGUUCGGACGCGUCGAACAGACGCCAAACGGACAACAUCUCCCCUGUCCGCCCAAGGCUAAACAACCUGAUCAUGUACAAGAAUUGCCCAGGAAAUAGAAAUUCAUACAUACGCGAUCACGAGGACACAAACAGUGCCGACAACAAAGAGCAAGAAUCCACAAGCAUACACAAAUGAAAUAAAGAGAGUUUUACUAACUAUUACAUCAUUUGCCUUCAAUUACACUUUCAUCUUCUCAAAAUGGAUACAUGGUUCACUAAUGACCAUCAAAUACAUACAUCAAUAGCUCUCCAAAUCCUCACCUACAAAAGUCUCUCAUAUACAUAGGUGCGCUAAUGCAAAAUAGGAAGCUACUAUGUACUACUGCUCGGGCGCUAUGCCCUUGCCGCGGUCCUCGCCCGGUACGCUCGUACUAGGCCAUGCAACAAAGUGGUGUGAAAACUAUUGUCCAUAGUUCCCAGUGGGUUCGGCCGCCGACUCCGCCGAUCUCCCCACUAGGUCCGAGUGGGCAAAAGCAGAUAGAUAGAUAGUUAUGAAAAACUGUAAAUGCAAUAGUAGGAAACUAUGCUACUAUGCCCAAUCAUAUGUCAUAUAUGCAUGCAUCAUAUAGUAAAAGGUUUACUAACAUGCUACUAUGUCCACUAUCCAUGUCCAACAAGCAAAUGUUCAAGUAACAAUGCUAUUCUCAUAUUCAAUCAAUCCUUGGCGAUCCAAUUGGGUUCGCCCACGACUCACCUCAAACCUCGUAUGGUAAGGAGACUCACCUCGCUCUCAAACCCGAGGCCGCCUGCAGGGCAUCAACUCUGCCCUUCUCGCACCAAACUCCGGAGUGCACGAAGACCUGGGUGGUGCGACCACCACAAGUAUGAACAGACUAUGAGUAUGAUCAAUCCUCUCAACUCGAGAAUACCCUAUCAACUCUAGGGUUACAAGUCACUCAAGAAUCCAUCUAUCUCAAUGUCCAUGUGUAAGUACUUGACUACACUAUGUCCUUUGUUCAACGAGUCAUCACUAGGGAAUCCACCUAUCCCUAAGUUCAUAUGUCACUAGUGUCAUUGUACACUAUAUUAUAUGCUACUUGUUCUUGUUUGUUUAACAAUCAAUGCCACUCGUUAUGUCUUUAACUAUCAUCGAGUUCAUCUCUUUUCUCGGCACUAUAGAAUUCAAUGUCAAGACCCAAUCCUCAUCUAACCAUCAUCAUGCAUUCAACUCAUACAUCGAUAUCAAUAGCAAGCAUAAGGAAAGGGAUAACAUGCAAUCCUACAAUGCAACAUGCAAGAGAUGCAAAUCAUGAAGUACUAAGACAUAGAGAGGAACCCGGUUGCUUCGGGAUGACACCACCCACCUUUCGACGAUGUCGGGGUGCUAAGAACACUAUUCGGCACUUGCUUCAACGUCGCUUCGACCUCCUAGGUGGAAACGAAGCUCAAUCAGUCUAGUUUUGCCGAUAACUUUUCACCGGCUCGACGAAUGCUCAAUCCGUUUUUGCCCACGCGUUUAGACACCUAUCAAUGAGGUUUAGGGGCCAACAAAUGAGAUCAAUCUCAUUGAUUUCCAAAAACCCCAAACUGGAGCCCUAGUGUCACGCCCCGGGACCCAGCGGAAGCCCGCCCGGCGCGUGCCCAGACCCGCCAUAUGUCUUCAACAUAUAAGGCGUCUAAAACAAUAAUAAUAAAAGCAAUAAUAAAAGACAUCUAGGAGUAUCAGAGCAUAAUAAGUGUCUAAUUGCUACAACAAGGGAUAAAGUUAAAACUGUAAUUCCACUAAAUAAAACAUAAAGUAAGUACAAUAGGAAUCCCAUAACAAGUGCUAAAAGUAGGUACACAGGUGGUCUCUCUAUACAUGGAAACCAAAAGCCUCACGCUCUCUCAAAAUAUAAAACGGAGAAGUAGACCACCUAGGCAAAGAAACUCUCCGCGAGCUAGCUACGCGACACCCUUGCCGCGAUCCCGUGCCUCUGCCGGUGCCGAAGGCUCUGAAAAGGAAACAUGGAAACAGGGGCGUGAGAACUAUUAAGAAUAGUUCCCAGUGGGCAAUUACUGACUUCAGUGAAUGCACCACAAGGCCCAAAGCUACAAUAGAUGUCAGUGACUAUAAAUGUAGGAAAAUGAAAGGCAAGUAAAAAUGUAACUUACUACAACAUGAUAUCUCUACUUAGCAUAAAUAGCAUAAGUAUGAAGCAACUAUGCAUUAAGUGAAAGUCUCCAACUAUUACAAUGUUCACAAUGCGAGAUAGUAAAGUUCCGUUGUUUACUAUUCUAGUCAAUGUCCAAAUAAUACUCUAAGUCAUCAUCUAUCCACAUGUCAUAGCGGAUAUAUAAAGUCCAAUCUGAAGAGACCCACCCGAAGGCUGUCUAUGGCCCUGAGACCCACCCGCAGGCUGUCUGGCCGGUGCCGAGCCUAAUGGCCCCGUGGUAGUCAUCAUCCUCACCCUAGGGAUGAGCCUGUCCCACGGCAAUCCACUUCGGCGCCCAAUCCCGCACGGCGAAUAUGUAUCGCGAUGGCCAUCUCCGGAGUGCCGGCUUGUAGGGAGCGACCCUCACAAGCAUGUGCGAAUGAGCACAAUGGCAAGUAGUCAAACGAUCUGUCGCAAGUACCAAGUCCUCAUGUCUAAUAACAUGGAAUGUGUCAAGUAUCUCAAAGGCCUAUCCCUAUGUCAUCAUGUCUCUAACAUGGAAUAUAGCAGAUAUGUAGUGGCCUACCAAUAUGUCUCUAUGUUGCAGUUUCAUGGUUUACUAGUUUCAAGUGCCCCUUUAUGACACUCUGGUUCUCUAUGUCAAAACAUGGUAACUAUGUUCCAAAGUACCUAUUCCAAGUCAUAAUUCUCGUAAGAGAUGUAUUUUUCACUUGCAAAAUAAACACUUUUUCCGUAUGCAUGCAUUCUACUCAUAUAGCUCUACUAUAUAGUGAAAUUUUCAUAAUACACGAGGCAUGCAUUUUAAGUGCUCUAAAAUUCAUAUAAAUUCCAUUUAGCAUAGAAAUGAACUUAAAAAUAAUUUACAACAAGUAGAAAGAGCAUAGGGGCCAUUUCGCCCCAUUUCCACGAAGCCAAACCCACCGAUGACAACGAAACUCCUCGUGCGCUCCAACGAGGGUGUCCCCUAGUCUCCUAGUAUCCUAGAGGUAUAGAAACAUGUGUCAAACAAAGCUCACGAACAAAGCUAAGCUCAAACAUUAAGCUUCUCUAGCUAGGUUGGAGAAAACUCACCGAAAGCUAACGAAUCUCUCUCGAUCUCGAAAAGGGAGUUAGAUUCCUUCAAAUCCAACCUAAAUCAAAGUUCUAAACCAAUCAAUUUGGUUCUAGAAGCUACAAAUCAAAAAUCCCCAUUUUUAGCCCUAAAACUCAAAAUCUAGGGUUUGAUCUAGUAACAUCCAACAAAAUCCGAAUCUAGAGGAGAGAAAAAGCUACAAACCUCUUAAAAGCUCCAAACCAAGCUCCAAAGUCCUCUAGGGUUGAAGGUUGAUCCUCAAACAAGCUCCAACCAAGAUCUCACACUUCUCCAAUGGUGAAAUACCCACAAAAAGCAAGAAGGAGAAGAGAAAAGAGAUCAAAACUAGCAAAAACCUAACAAAAAUGGAGAAGAAACCAUAGGGGAGGAGUUCUCACCUUUUCUCCACUGGUCUAGGGCUCAAAGGAGCUCACAAAGGGGCUGGGGUGUCAUAUAUAGGUGUUGCAACAAUUGCAAAAACACCCCUCCACGAAAACAGCCCGCUCUGCACUGUGUACCGGUACACGGGUUUGUGUACCGGUACACCACCCACGAAAAGCCAAACCCGAGCCUCGGGUUUGCUGGGAAAUGGUCUGUGUACCGGUACACUACCACGUACCGGUACAGCCAUCGAUCACGUACCGGUACAGCAAGCGAACCCGUACCGGUACGCAGCCCGCUGAAGGCAACCCGAGAGCUAACCAAAAAUCCAACUUUUUGGAUUUUGGUACACCGCUUCAAACCACAAUUCUCGG